AAAUUUUAACAAUAUGAAGUAUGUUUGGUUUUUUUUUUUCUGUUAUUCUUUGUUGACUUGUCAUCGUCCAAUCUGCCUAUGUGGCUAAAACCACCUCUCCCUUUUAGAAAAAAUGUGUGCUUACCUUAGCAACACUGCCUUAGGUAUAUAUGAUCUAGUUUGUGAUAGAUCAAAAGGGUUAGAUAUUCAAAAAUAUAACUUGUGUCCCUCAAAAUAAGUAUAGGUUGAGGCGCAACGAGGAGCGACUAGGUCUCGCCCGCAGCGAGACAGGGCUAGCCUAACCUGAAGCAAGGCAAUAGUGGGCCAGCCCAAUAGGGAAACAUGGGUUUAUUACGUAGUCAUGUUUCAUUCAGUAUUUCUUCUUAAUUUAUUUUUUCCUUACAUUUCAAAAAAAUACUUAAGUUUUUAAAACUUUCAUCGCACAUUUAAAAAAUGUUCACGCAUUUUACAUAAAGUGUUGAUAUCAUAUAAAAAACUGUUGCUGAUAUUUAAAAAUGCUCAGGCUUUUCGAAAACAAUGUUCAUGAAAGUUUAGAAAAAUGUUUAUACAAUACAAAAAAGUAUUUAGGUAAUUCAAAAAAAUGUUUCAUACAAUUCAAAAAAAUUAAAUGACUCUUUUGAAAAAAUGUCCACGUAUUUCAAAAUGUGUUCAUGACAUUUAAAAAAACUUAUACAAUAUAGAAAUAUAUUUCAUACCAUUUAAAAAAAUUCAUGUGUAUUUGCCAAUUCUUUAACAUGUAUUCAAAAAAAAUUAAAACAUGUGUUUAAAAAAUAUAUGUCAUGUAUUUGGAAAAUAUUCAACAUGUAUGAAAAAAAUGUUCCAGGUGUGUACCAAAAAUAUGUAAUGUGCAUUGAAAAAGUUUGACAUGUGUUGGGAAAAGAAAAAAGUAAAAAAAAAAUAGGAAACCCCAAAAAAAACGGUGAAGAAACACAAAAAUCCUGAAAAAAACACGCGAAAGCUUCUAAAACAUGUACACACCGGUAAUAGAAGCUUCAUAGAACUGGGUAGCUGUCCCAUUCUAUCGCUCACCUACGGUGAGACGGAACUUGGUCUUGCAGUAGACGAGAUAUAGCACCCGCGGGCACAAUGUGCCUCUGGAAAUACUUCCCUUUGAAAAUUAACAAGCUAAUGGAGCCCAAAUUCAAGUGGACCUAGUCUCGCGCACAUUUUUGGUAUAUGGGCCCUCAUAUUUUCGCCUAUAUUUCUCCCAUUUGCCUACAUGAUAAAGAAAACAGUACGGCCCAAAACAAUUCCCUACAGAAAUGACCCUAGAGAGAAAAAAAAACUACCCAAGGUGCUGCUCAAAUAGUAAUAAGGAACAUUGAGGCACUUUCCAUUAGAAAAACAUUAAGGCACUGUUCUGUAUUUUUACUUUUUUAGAAAAUAAGAGACACUCAGGUGAUAUUAAAGAAAAACAAAUGACAUUCAUGUUGUUCUACUUUCCACAGUUUGGAUUUCAUUUCGUGUACACAAAAGAAUUGGCGUUUGGACAUUUGUUGUAUGUCCACGUCUAACUUUUUUAUUGGUUUCUUGGCUAUAUCCAUCGGUUGUCUUUUCUUACUUUUCAAUGGAGGAAAUGCUGCAUACACUCUAUAUUCUUAUUCUUGGCCUUGCUUGCAUGGUUGUAUUUCGUCUUGCUUCCUGCAAGAGGAAAACGAUGAGGCCGGAUACCAAUUUUGACAUCUCUUCCCACCAAGACAUAAUAGUGCGCUGGCAAAACUUAGCGUCACAAUCAGUAGCCCCCGGUGUAAUAUUAAACCUUAGAAUCAUACUGUAUAUGCGUAUACAUAGGUGUAUCAGAUAUUAGAGCUGGUUUGCAGAGUUAUUUUAGCUGUAUUUGCAGGAUUUUUUCUUCUCCUUUUUUGAGUUGUGUUUGCAGAGUUAAUUAUGUGGCAUCGGUGACUCAUAAAGAGCGAUGCAAUGACAAGACUAAACCAAAAUCAAGUGGGGGUUUAGUGGUAGUGGGUCAAUAUAUGUAUGGCAACAGCCAAUCAUGCAUGGAGACGUAUGCAACAUGAUUGGAGGAUUGCAAGCACUAGAUUUGAUGAAACUAUAUAUACGUACAUAACCUCCAUCAUGGUUUAUUAGUCUCCUUUAUAAUUUGUGCUAAAUUUUAACCAAAUAAUUAACUGACAAAAUAUUAGUGCAUGUCAACAAUUCUUUUAUCGUUGGAUUCGUAUUUAAACAUACUUUUCAACGAUAUAAUUUUUAAUGACAUGCAUGAAGAUUUUGUUAGUUAAAUUUAUGGUCAAAUUUGACAGAGAUUACAAUGAGGAUCAAUAAACCAAGACGGAGGUAGUAUAUAUCAGAUCUUGCGGAACAUAUUAUAUAUGUCAGCUGGCAUGCGCUCGUGGAGCACGUGCAUGCAUGAUAAAGCUUGUACGGGUCCAUCUACCUGCAGCAUCUCAUAUGAUGCUACCGUGAGAAAGCUUGCAUUACCUGGUCAAAAGAGAAAGCUUGCAUUAUUAUGUUAUUAAUGGCUAGGUUUGCCAGUUUUGCACGUAUUGCCACUAAUUAAACUAUCGUGAGAAUUUGUUUGGAAAAUUGACCCAAGGUGGUAGAUAGCUACACGCCAAAUGGACAUGUCAAAAUCCAGACCUUGAUCUUCAAUGGCGGAGCUAUGUGAAGACUAGAAAAAUCAGGGAAGAAACUUCAUUUAGGUGCUAAGAAUAAGAAUUUGUUCCAAUGCCCAACCAAUGGACAUGAAUACAUGAUUAACCGGAAGCAGUUAGGCUAUUGGAUAAGAAUGAACUACUGUUUCAACACGUACGUCAGACGUCGAUGUGUCUCUUUUUUUCACUUUUCUAUUGCAAGGAUGUUGAUGUGUCUUUGGAUCUUUCAGCCAAUAUAUGGUUUCCCUACACGCUGAUCGAGCAGAGUCAAUCAACGUUCCCCAAUUAAUUAGCUAGCAAAGCUGCUGUCACAAGUCACGGCAGUUCGCAGGCUACUAUAUGUAUACAGCAAGAUGCUGCUCUCUAUGGAUGUUUUUUUUGCGGGAAUGCUCUCUAUGGAUGUUAAUGUGGCCGGCCGAUCCCUGGAAGGUCACGACUAUAAGAAAGAGACUUUGUUUGCCGAAAAGGUUGAAUAGGGCUCGGGAAUGGGCGCUGUUCGUAUCCGUAAGCAGCAGUUCAACAACUUGUCUUGUAAAGGAUAUGUCCCGAACUCCCGAUUACAACGCGCUCAAUGAUAUUGAGUUCUCGCGCCUAUUGAGGGGGGCGGCUUAGUUUCUCAAAACUUAUAAAUCCGUCUAGCUUGUACUCCCUCCAUUCCCAAAUAUAAUUUUUUUAGAGAUUUUAACAAGUGACUAUAUACAAAGCAAAAUAAGUGAACCUACGCUCGAAAUAUAUAUGUCUACAUACGUUCGUAUGCUGUUUUCAUUUAAAAUGUCUAAAAAGACUUAUAUUUAAGAACGGAGAGAGUACAUGUUUGGUGUCAUACGGUUUCUUCACAAAAAUCGCGGGAGAACGUUGAGAUCAAUGCAAAAAAAAGGAAAAGCUAGAGCGUUGGGGCGCACACCUGCGGGGUCCUUCUUGGACGUAUGAUUAUUUUAAGAUUCGCGAAUGUGUGUAGUCUUAGACAUUUUUUUAAUGUAGAGUGGUGUCCAUCAUGCAUGCUUUUCGAAGGUUUUGGGCCAUUCACCCCACCACCAAUUUCUUUUUCAUUUCUUCUAUUAAUUUCAAUCUACUAAAUCUUCUGAAUCAAAAGGCCAAAUUUAAAUUUUGUUUUCAUAUUUGUGUUUGUUGGGACGAAAACGUUUGAACAAGACCAAACUUGAAUACAUUUUGACAACCUAUUAAAAAAAGUUUCAAAUUUCAAAUAUUGAAACAUGGUAGUCGUAACAUUAAGUUUUAUCAAGUUUCAUGCGCUUUUAGGAUUUUAGGGUUCUAGGCUUAGGGUUUCAUUUUUAGUUUUUGAAACUUGCUGAAAAGGUCACGACUAUAAGAAAGUGACUUUGUUUGCCGAAAAGGUUGAAUAAAGGGUGGAGCACGCGCGCUAUUCGUAUCCGUCAGUAGUAGUUCGACAACUUGUCUUGUAACGGAUGUGUCCUCCUCGCUAGAACGCGCUCAAUGAUAUCGAGUUAUCGUCUAUUGAGGUGGACGGCUUAGUUUCUCAAAACUUAUACUCUCCCCAUUCCAUAAUGUAGUGCAUUUAGAUUUUCUGAAAAUUCAAAUAUUACAAACUUUGAUCAUGUUUGUAGGCAAACAUAUGCACAUUUUAAAUACCAUAUGCAUAUCAUUGUAUACAUCCAAUAGUGUAUACAUCAUCGGUUAUAUUAUCAUGUUGUAUAUUUUUGAAAUUGUAUAUAUAAAUAGGUUUCUUUGUAAACUCAGUCAAAGUCUACUUAGUUUGACUUCUUAGAAAAAUCUAAACGCACUACCUUGUGGAACAGAAGGAGUAUAUAUGUCCAGCUUUUACAUGUUUGGUAUAAUUGCAUAUAUCAAUAUCAAGGUUAAAGAUUUGUCAGAUGGUAUCUUCACGGAAGUCAUGGGAGAAUGUUGAGAUCAAUGCAAAAGAGGGAAAGCUAGAGCCGACGAGUUUGAAGAAUCCUAUGGUAACACUACUGUUGUAGUUUGGUUACCAAUGAUGACCUCAAAAAGCCUACCAGUGGUGGAAGCCCGCCACUGGUAACAUGUCACUAGUAGUACUCCUUCCGUACCGAUGUAUAAUUUAUCUUACCAAAACCAAAUAAUCUCAAAACACUUAGGCUCCGUGCAUUAACUCCGAUCUCGUUUCUUGUUUAUUGACAUGAAUAAAGGAAACAACCAAUAAGAGACAUGGGGCGUGUAUAUUUUUAGUGAAUUGAGACUACCUAGCACGGCAUGCAGUGGUCAGUUCAUUGCAUGCAAUGGUAUUAAUUAGCAAAUAAAUAUUAAGUUCUCUUGUUUUUUCCUCUACCUUGGUCGCGGUGCACAACGUAAGAUGACUUAUGCACCGAUACAGAGGGAGUAAUUGCUUAUACGACCUCUUUAUCCACAAAAAUAUCAGUGCACCUCCAUCUGGUUUUAUUAGGCCCGAGAGCGAUGGAACUAAGGGACGUAAAUUUGCAGAUUUCAUAACUCUGUCCCAUCCGCCGGUUGUGGGAAAUAAAUUCCAACAGGCGGCGCUUGCAUGAGGUGGGAGGCGCGACGGUUUUGCGAACCGAUGUGUUUUAAUAGGCCAAUUCAAAGCCGCACAACGUGGUGCCUUGGUCCCAAUAUUGUGCCCUAAGACUACCCAUAAUGGGAGUAACAUAGGUGGUAACAUCACACCUAUCUAGGCAAAAUAGAUGAUGUGGCAUGUAAUUAAUGAAGAAAGAGAGGCAUGUGGUAACGUAGCUAGUUACUGUAACAUCACACAUAUCAAGGCAAGAUGUGUCUAUAGCCUAAUAAAUAAAGUGUUGCAUGUUACCACAUAUAUGUUACUCCCACUGUAGAGGUAGUAACAUAGACUAGUAACAUGCCCAUGUUACUAGUCUAUGUUAUUAUCCAUUGUGGCUAGUCUAAUAAACCUGAAGGAAAAUAUUCAUUCAAUCCUUGGAUCAUUUAUAUCCCACCAUUUCAGAAUCUGAACGAAUCAAAGAGGAUAUCUCUUUUUUUUCCUUUUGUGAAUGAAUCAAAGAGGCUCUUGUACGUACGAAUCAAAGAAGGAAAAUAUACACCAUCAUUCAAUUCAUCGCGUGUAGACAUUGUAUAUAUACACAUGCUUUACAAAGAUGAAGUCAAAAACUUCUACCCAGUCAACUUGGUCGGGGGAGGGGAUGUAUAAUCAUACCAACAUGGAACCGCCUAAGACUAAAGCUACGCCUAGAUAUGAGAUCAUGUGGGAACGGCACCUGGCGUUGGCUUCGGUUGUAGCGGAUCAGUGGGGGAAAAGCAAACCUACAGGUACUUUAGGUGCUGUCAGGGAGGCUCUUAGAGAGAUGAUGGCGAAGCUGCGUUCAUGGAGUAAGGAGAACUUUGGCCAUGUCACGUCUGAAAUUGAAAAACUCCGGGGAAAGUUAGCGAAAUUGCAACUUUAAGACGCGGAAAGAACUUUGAUAAAACAGAAAAUGUAUCAGUUGGAUGAACUACUCUAUAGAGAGGAGAUGCUUUGGUUACAGAGAUCUAGGAUUAUGUGGUUAAAGGAGGGAGAACGUAACACAACAUAUCUGCAUCGCCGGGCUGUGUGGCGUGCGCGACGGAACUACAUCCAGCGACUGCGCCAAGCUAAUGGUACCUGGUGCUCAGUGCCGUCGGAUAUGGAGCGCAUGGCCACCUCGUAUUUUAAGGAAGUAUAUACUAAGGAUCCAACGCUUACGCCUGCGGGUGUGCUCGACGGAAUUGCACCCAAAGUGACACAGGGCAUGAAUGACAUCUUGUGUGCGCCCUUCUCUGAGGAGGAAGUGUCUAAUGCUGUGUUUCAGAUCGGCCUAAUUAAAGCACCUGGCACAGAUGGCCUGCCGGCUAGGUUUUUCCAGCACAACUGGUCUGUUUUGAAGACAGAGAUCAUAGCUGCGGUGUUGGAUUUCUUCAAGUCAGGAGUAAUGCCAGAGGGAGUGAAUGAUACGGCCAUCGUCCUUAUUCCAAAAGAUCCUCACCCAAAGGAACUAAAGGACUUCAGACCGAUAAGUCUAUGCAACGUGCUAUAUAAAAUCGUGUCUAACUGCCCGGUUAAUCGUCUUCGACCUUUGUUAGGGGAAUUGAUCUUGGAGAAUCAAAGUGCAUUCAUUCCUAGAUGACUUAUUUCUGAUAAUUCCAUCAUUGCCUUUGAGUGCAUCCAUCAUAUACAAACUCUGAAAUCUAACAGACCAGCAGCUUGUGUUUACAAACUGGAUCUCUCGCAGGCAUAUGAUCGUGUGGAUUGGGAUUUUUUUUUUGAGCAAGCCCUAAUUAAUUGGGGUUUCUCGUUGGAGUGGAUUUCUUGGAUAAUGGCUUGUGUUAAGUCUGUCAAAUACUCUGUCAAGUUCAAUGGGAAGUUGCUUGAGACGUUUACCCCAUCUCGUGGGCUUAGGCAAGGUGACCCCCUGUCCCCCUUCCUGUUCCUUUUUGUUGCUGAUGCUUUGUCCUCUCUAAUAUCAAAAUCAGUUAAUGAGGGAGAGUUGAAGGGGGUUUCGAUUUGCCGCGGAGCACCAGUCAUAUCUCAUCUACUGUUCGCGGAUGAUACUAUGUUACUAUUUGAAGCGACGAGCCACCAAGCGAGCAUUGUCAAAGGUUUGUUGAGCACAUAUUCCAGAGCGACAGGUCAACUUAUCAACCCCGAAAAGUGUUCCAUCCUUUUUUCAGACAAUUGCAUUGAGUCGGUGGCAGUGGAGAUGAAGAAUAUUUUGAAGGUUACGCAACAAGUGUUUGAGCCUAAGUACCUAGGCUUACCUGUACCGGAAGGAAGGGUACAUAAAGGGCAAUUUGAGACCGUGCAGGACAGGCUGAGGAAAAGACUUGUUGAUUGGAGUGAACAAUAUGUGUCGUCAGGCAACAAGGAAAUUUUAAUAAAGGCGGUGGCGCAAGCAAUACCUACUUAUGUGGUGAGUGUCUUCCGCCUGCCGGCGUCCGUGUGUGAUGAUUUAACACGGAUGAUGAGAAAGUACUGGUGGGGAGUGGAGAAUGGUAAAAGAAAGAUGGCUUGGCUCAGCUGGGAGAAGAUGACUCUACCCAAGGACAUGGGGGGUAUGGGGUUUCGAGAUAUGCGGGCAUUCAACCAGGCAUUGCUUGCAAAGCAGGCUUGGAGGUUACUAGACAGCCUGGAUAGUCUUUGUGCUCGCCUUCUACGGGCUAAAUAUUACCCGAACGACAAUCUUUUGGACACGGUAUUCCCGUCUAGCUCUUCUGCAGUCUGGAAGGGAAUUGCAUAUGGCCUUGAAUUGUUGAAGAAAGGACUGAUAUGGAGGGUGGGGAACGACACGUUGAUUAAAACAUGGAGGGAUGCAUGGAUUCCCAGGAGACAUGACUUCAAACCGAUAACCCCAAAAGGCAGUUGCAUAUACAACUGGGUAGCUGAUUUCCUGGAAGAGUCAGGAGCUUGGAAUGUGAACAGACUACGACAAUAUUUUUGGGAUAUGGAUGUUUGUGAAAUACUGUAGAUUCAGACGUCCCCGAGGGGUGGGCAAGACUUCUUAGCUUGGUUUCCGGAGAAGAGUGGUUGCUUUACUGUUAGAAGCGCUUAUCAUCUCGCUACCUCAAAAGGGCCGGCAGGGUUGGGUUCUUCUAGCGCCGCUCCUGACGGGCACCACUCGAUCUGGCGAUGGAUCUGGAACGCAAACCUCCCUCUGAUGAUGCGGAUAGUAGCCUGGAAGGUGGUGUCCGGGGCGUUAGCUACUAAUGCAUGCAAGAAGUACAGACACAUUGCUACUCGUGAUACAUGCCCGCUAUGUGGUUCUGAGAAGGAAACUAGUGUCCACGCUCUCAUCACAUAUGAUCAUGCACAUGCGUUGUGGAUGCAAAUGCACCAGAUUUGGGCCUUGCCGGAUAACCAGUUGCUGAAGGACACUGGGAAGGACUGGCUCCUUAAUAUUCUGCUAAAUUGUGACGAUGCAAUGAGGGACUGCAUAAUCAUGCUUCUGUGGAGAAUCUGGUCGCUGCGUAAUGAUCAUACACAUGCUACGGCGAUUCUGACGACCGCAGCGACAGCAGACUAUCUUCAGAGCUACAUGUCAUCCACACAGUUGGCUAGGAGGUAUACUACCGAGGAAAUACUGAAGGGAAAAAUGUCGACUGUUGUUACUAGCAGGGAUACCCCGCGCGCAGCAGCAGCGGCGCUGCACUGGCCGAGGCCUCCACCUGGACAGAUUGCCCUAUCUGUGGAUGGAGCCUUUUCUGGGGCAGAUGGUUCAGCAGCAGCGGGAAUGGUGUUGCGGAGGAACGAUGGCAAUGUCAUCUUUGCAGCGUAUCGGUGCAUAUUUAACAGCAAUGACGCCCUAGAAGCCGAACUACAUGCUCUAAUACAAGGAAUGGCCCUGGCUAUUCAACAUAGUGAGGGGCCUGUCAUUUUCCAAUUCGAUUCAUCGAAAGCUUUGAUGGCAAUGAAGGGGGACAGUCUUCGGUAUUCUGCUUAUGGACAUUUGGUGGCUGAGAUUCAGCAUCAUAUGGGUGUAAGAGAGUUUAUACCUACGAAAGUUAAGCGUGAGCAAAAUUGGCUUCGUAUAGUCGUACGGAGAAUUGUAUAGUCGUACGGAGAGCACUACUGCUAUAUGGCUUGGUAGAGGACCAUCAUGUGUGGAGAAACUUUUGCCUCUUAAUUGUAACCCGUGAUCUUGGAAUAAAAUCUCUUUUACCCUUUAGAAGAAAAACAUGAAAUGGUUAAUCUUAAUGGUAUACACAAGUUGAUGUGCAACCUUUUUUUACUCAUUUUGGGGCACGUGGACGAGCGUGAUUGGCAGGAAUGGAUGUUCCUCUGCCUGACGGACGCGCAGCUCGAUACAUACAGAAAAAGAAAAUAUCCGGUCUUUGCCAUACCGGGGGUUUGGUUGGAUGAAUCUUCCAUCUGCUGAGAGAAAGAGAAAGAAGAUUCCAACACGGCAUCCCAACCACCCUACUACGUGCCCAUAUAUACAUUCCACACCGGCCUAUGGGAUUAUUGAUUCGUUGACCAGGCCGAAUAAAACUUCAGUGCUAGCUGGAGUAUUUGAUUAGCCAACCAGAUUCUGUAGCUUGUUGGCUACUCUACCACCACACACGCCUCCCCUCGAAUGCAAAUAAAAAUAAGUGCGGUGGAUCAUAUGGCAUGUAGUUAAUACUAGAUCAACAACGAUCGAGCAAGGAUGUUAUAUGGCUAAAAUGGAGCUCCAUGUAUCAUCUACACCCCGCCAACCCACAAGACAAAGCAUCUAAACAUCUACUCACUCCGUUUUAAAAUAUAAGUCUUUGUAGAGAUAUCAUUAUGUACCACAUACGGAUGUAUAUAGAUGCAUUUUAAGUGUAGAUUUAUUCAUUUUGCUCCGUAUAUAGUCUACAAUGGAAUCUCUACAAAGACUUAUAUUUAGGAACGGAGGGAGUAGAGUACAUGAAUUUUUUUACUCGUUCCUUGUAAAAGCAUUUACUGCUGUUCCUUAUGCGCAACGGGAGUUUAUGUGCAAAGGCCCCGUUCGGUGUCCCUCCGCUCCACGGCUCCGCUCCCGGAGCGGACGGAGCUGCAGUUAAAAAUCUUGGAGCUCCGUCGAUCCUAGAAUUUUAAGGAGCUAGUGGAUUGCCGAACAGAUCCUAGAAUUUUAAGGAGCUGCACCUAAUAACUGGACUUCUGAGGGUUUUUCCGCAAAUAUGCGCCAGGUCGCAUUGUGGCCUUUAGAUCUCUGAUCGAACGGCUGAAAAGCUCCUGGAGCACCUAAACUUAGGUGCUCCCGUACCACUGGAUACUUCCUCGGUGCCUGGGGAAAUUUUCUAGUGCUACGGGAGCACCUAAGGUGCUCUAGGAGUUCCCCAACCGUUGAUUUCAGAUCAAAUGAUCAUCUAUGGAUGUGCUGGAGCUGGACCUAAUAACUGGACUUCUGAGGGUUUUUUCGCAAAUAUGCGGCAGGUCGCAUUGUGGCCUUUAGAUCUCUGAUCGAACGGUUGAAAAGCUCUUGGAGCACCUAAACUUAGGUGCUUCCGUAGCAUUGGAUACUUCCCCCUGGUGCCUGGCGUCGUGUCUAAAACUCUCAUUCAAUUAUUGAGUUGUACUAGAAUAAUUUUUUCGCAUUUUCAUGGUGUCGCCUCUGAUCGAUCCUGCCUAGAGCCAUGUGAGAUGUGACUGAAAUUAAGUUACUCAUACGGCUACCCACGGUGGGAGUAACAUAGGUAGUAACAUCACAAAUAUCUAGAUAAGAUAGAUGAUGUGGCAAGCAAUAAAUGAAAAAAAUAAAGCAAAGUGGUAACAUAAUUAGUUACUAAUAGUAGGAGUAACAUCACACAUAUCAAGGCAAGAUGUGUCUAUAGCCUAAUAAAUGAAGUGUUGCAUGUUACCACACAUAUGUUACUCCCCACUGUAGAGGUAGUAGCAUAGACUAUGUUACUACCCAUUGUGGCUAGUCUACAUCAGCAAGCAAGACACACGUACUGCUAAUUAACUAAUCUCCACAUCAGCUUUCUAUUCUAUCUACAAAGGCACAACUGAUGUACUACUAAUUAGGUUCAACCCUACUUAAUCAAGACAGGCCGCUGUCCACGCGAUCGGAUCGCAUCACGGACGUACAGUACAGUAGUGGCACCCACACGCCACAUGCUUAUACAGUUUCACUGUCAGGAGUAAUAGUUAGCAGGGGAUCCAACUAAACGUAUAUAGCUUUCGUACUAGGUACUACACAAGUAUAUAUGCAACCACGUGGUAUUUAAUUCCUCGUGUGUGUGGUUUUUCUUUUUUUCCUAAUAGCUUUUUUUGCGGGCAUUUUUUCUAAUAGUUUGGAUUGCUUACCACAUGUGUCACAUGGUGUAUGUGUGUGUGAUUCAGUAUGCAUUUUUAUGACUCUUCAACUCCAUUGGCGUAUUAAACACAUCAAACUCGAUAUUCCUCGUUACAAAAUUAUUCCAUGUAAUAAAAUUCCCACAAAGACUCUUCAGUCUCNNNNNNNNNNNNNNNNNNNNNNNNNNNNNNNNNNNNNNNNNNNNNNNNNNNNNNNNNNNNNNNNNNNNNNNNNNNNNNNNNNNNNNNNNNNNNNNNNNNNNNNNNNNNNNNNNNNNNNNNNNNNNNNNNNNNNNNNNNNNNNNNNNNNNNNNNNNNNNNNNNNNNNNNNNNNNNNNNNNNNNNNNNNNNNNNNNNNNNNNNNNNNNNNNNNNNNNNNNNNNNNNNNNNNNNNNNNNNNNNNNNNNNNNNNNNNNNNNNNNNNNNNNNNNNNNNNNNNNNNNNNNNNNNNNNNNNNNNNNNNNNNNNNNNNNNNNNNNNNNNNNNNNNNNNNNNNNNNNNNNNNNNNNNNNNNNNNNNNNNNNNNNNNNNNNNNNNNNNNNNNNNNNNNNNNNNNNNNNNNNNNNNNNNNNNNNNNNNNNNUUUCUUUUCAAUAUUUUGGAUGAUUCACACAACAACAGACCUCCUAUUAUGAAUGCCAAAAAAAUAGGUUCAACAACUCCAUCUUGUAAGAACCAUUCCGCAGUGCCGGAGAGAGACAGGAAUUGCCCUACGCGUCGGGGAGGAGCGGGGGGGGAGGGGGGGGGGUCUCCCUAGGUAGUAUUUUUUUCCUUCAGAACUUGAUCCGCCUUUUUUUCUUUCCAUUUCGCAAAAAAGGAGAUUCAACGUGCCCCUAUUUAUUCCCAUUUCACAAAUUAAUUAGCUUAGUAUUGAGUGCCAAGGCUUUUAGACCACUAUGUUCGGUUUCCACGUCCCUAUUUCUUUUCAUUUCGCAAAAAAAUAAAGAUUCAAGGUGGGGGCAGUGCCCCCCCCUUCCCGACAUCCACAUAGCUUCGCCUCUUUGAAGGCUCAAUAAUAUUUCGCUUGGCACCUCCUAUAUCUUUUUAGUACAAAUUUUUGUUGAAAUAACAAUGAAGCACAUAAUCUCAGUCUUACAAGGGUAGCACGCGGUGGCCAACAACACGUUGCCUCAGCCACAAAAACACAUAGACAUAACAAAGCUAAACUUUACUGGCAACAACAAAAGAAAGCCACAUGGCUAAGUUAAAGCAAGUUCAAGGAGCUACGUUUUGCAUUUCAUCACUGGAACUAGCAUCUAAGCAUGCCGAAAGACGAUGAUUCUCCGCGUUUUGAUGAACUUUCAGAACACGCUUUCCCACUNNNNNNNNNNNNNNNNNNNNNNNNNNNNNNNNNNNNNNNNNNNNNNNNNNNNNNNNNNNNNNNNNNNNNNNNNNNNNNNNNNNNNNNNNNNNNNNNNNNNNNNNNNNNNNNNNNNNNNNNNNNNNNNNNNNNNNNNNNNNNNNNNNNNNNNNNNNNNNNNNNNNNNNNNNNNNNNNNNNNNNNNACGGUCCUUGACAUGGCCUGAGGAUAGGCAUCCCCACAGAGAUAGAUUCGAUGUAGUUUUUCGCUACAUAGCCUUCAUCCCAGACCAAACAAUAGAAUUGAAAACCAUGUCAUUGCGAGUUUUUCAGAUAGCCCACAGGCCAGCUGCAUGAAUAACAUGAUGCUAAGGCUUUUAGACCAUGAUGUUUUGUUUCCACGUUCCUUAUCGCUGGUGCUAGUCGAUUUCUCUCAUCUCCCGCGUCUGCUUGGUUGAUACGGAUGCUCUCUGAUACGUCGAGUUCGCAGCUCGGGUAUCCAGUGGUACUCUAUAUUUUGUAUAAUAUUUUUUAUGGAAUUUAUCAUAUAGGUGAUGAAGUAUGGAGGAAGGCCGUCAAGCGUGUGGUUAUGAUUCUUCAACCCUUGCUACUCAUGUUUCUUUGAGGGAAAAUUCAACUCAUUGUUGGCGUAUUAAACACAUCAAAUUUUGUAUUCCAUGCCAUUUACAUGGUUCAGCAGUGAGUAUAAUACAUGUUCAGUUUGCAAAAUAAAAGAUUAAUUAUUUCACCAUUGUGAACUAACCUUAAUAAGGAGCGAUUCUAAUAUUGUUUACCGUAACGUUCGGUUUCCACGUCCCUUAUAAUGUAUUGUUAACCUUUAGUUAGAGGAAUUAGAGUUUAGUGAGAAGAGAGUUGUAUAGAGAUUAUUCAUGGGAAGUGUCGUUUCAUUCCCAAAUCCCCCAUUUGGUGUUUAAUGGGAAUUAUGUGUCGGGGUGUGAUAAUAAAGCCUAUUCCUUUGCUUGAUAGAGGGGUGGAUUCACGUGGGAUAAGUGCAAAGAUGGAACAUAAGUUAUGAGGAAAGGUGAAGAUGUGUGUAAAACAAUUUCCUCCCGAUUUCCGGCCCCCUCCACGGUGUUAAUAUAAUAGUGCAAGUUAUACUCUUAAGUCUCCUACCUAGUCCCUCCCAAGCUUACAUUCUCUCAAAAAUCUAAAUUAUUGUUGAGAGCAUCCAUGAAGGGCGCGUGCAAUUUAUAACUAUUUAUAUUACUCUACUCGGUGCAAUAAAACACGCCAAAAUUUAUCGCUCAAGCAAGUCUAUGAAUUUUCAGCCCUCUCUUCCUCAUGCAAUAAAACCUGCCGCUCUGCCAUUGCAAUAAAACCCACUCGAAUUUAUCUUCGGGGCGGCGUGCGGUUUUAUAACUAUGACCUCUUCAGCCCUUCAUAGUCUCGAGUUAUUAAAUUACACUCAUGUUGGCGUAUCAAACAGAGCAAACUUUAUUCCAUACGCUCCAUGCCACGUACGUACUACGUAUACAUAGAGUAUACUACUGCUCCUACAGUUUCUAGAUUUUUUUUAUCUUUUUCACGAUUCAGACAGCGGCACGCCUCACGAUAAAAGCCAACGAGAAGCCUCCUCUGCUCCCUGCUAAUCCUGCCCGUAAACACACUCUUCUCCCUCCUCCUCCCAAGAAUCCCCGCGGCUCAAGCAAGGGGGACAGGGCGGCCGGAGCCGGCCAGCGCACCGACCGCGCUACACGUUCACCCCCCACGUCGCGGGGGCGGCAGCGGGGCUCCUCCUCCGUGCCGGCGAUGGGCGCCGACGAGGCGGGGCCGGGCGGCGGCGGCGGGAUCCGGGUGCUCCUGCGGCGGAAGCAGGUGGACUCCGACCGGGCCCGCGCCGCCGGCGGCCAGCAGCUCGCCAAGGAGCUCUCCAUCACGCAGCUCAUCGCUAUCGGUGCGCGCUCAUCAUUGCCUUUUUCUCUCCUUGGACUUCCCGUGGAUGAUCUUUUUUUGUGGGGAAUGGGUCACAUGCGGAAAGCGCCAGCUUUGACCUGCCUUCCGGGUUAAUCGUUCGCCUCCAUGGCUCAAGGCGCCAAGCUUUCGCGCCGCGGAUUGUUAUCUUUGGAUCUUUCAGCUCGUAACAGUGAAAAAAAUUACUCUGCUCCGAUAGGCGUAUCGUUGGUUCUGUGGUGUGAUUUUCUGCAGAGUUUUUACCUUUUGGAUUCCCCUCGCGUCAUUCGCCCACACGGCCGCCAAAUCCAAAAUCUGUUAGGUCUAUGUAUAAUACCGAACACACACUAGAAUUGUAGUAAUAAAUGUUGUUGCCCAGAGCGCAGAAGCUUCCACUGAAGAACAGCUAAUACUAUUUCACAUGAUUUGAGAUGAAUUCAAUUACUACACGCGGUGUGGGAUCUCAAUAGAAAUGUUUUGAUCAGGAGAUGGACUAUGAGAUGCAGAUUCCGUCCAUUUGUAAUACUACUACUUUCCAUGGAGGGUUGAGAUGUAGUACUAUCUGAAGUUCAGGCUUGUGCCGUGUCUACUACUCUUGUGCUUGUUUGGUUGUUGCCGUGUCAGUGUUGGUACGGUGGGUGGCUGGGUGGGUCCUCCCUCAGGAUUCCAAUCCCCAAAUCUUGCUACAUACCUUGAUGAUGCAUACUCUGUUUGAUGUAGAAAUGGUUACAUGCUUCUGAAAUGCAGAGUGUUCUUAACACUUGUGCAGAGUCUAUUUUCUGUCUUGCACCGAUCCCGGUGUUUUAUGUUAUGAUGAAAAUAGUGCUCAUGGAACAUCUAUUUUGUGUCAUCUUUCAGGCGUCGGUUCGACGGUUGGAGCCGGAGUCUACGUUCUCGUGGGGACGGUUGCCCGGGAGCACUCUGGCCCGGCACUGACGCUCUCGUUUCUGAUCGCCGGAAUAGCGGCUGCGCUUUCCGCUUUCUGUUACGCGGAGCUUGCUAGCCGCUGCCCUUCCGCGGGAAGCGCCUACCACUACUCGUACAUCUGCGUUGGCGAAGGGUAAUUUGCUGAAAUGCUGGAGUGCACAUUGUUCAUGAAGUGCCGUAUUCCAAUGAUCGGAUGUUCUCACACUUUCUUUUGACAUUUUGUUCUCCUAGGGUUGCAUGGUUGAUCGGCUGGGCUCUCAUACUGGAGUAUACAAUUGGCGGAUCAGCCGUUGCCCGCGGCAUAUCACCCAAUCUAGUAAGUGGGUUUUUUCCCUGUUUCUGUGGCAUGUUGGUUAGUAGUUUCACCUUCCAUCUCUCCUAACAUACCCUGUCUAUGCGUUUAGGCGUUAUUUUUUGGAGGACCAAAUAGUCUGCCAUGGAUUCUAGCACGCCAUGAGCUCCCAUGGUUAGAUGUUGUUGUUGAUCCUUGUGCUGCUGCCUUGGUUUUCCUUGUCACUGCCCUGUUAUGCGUCGGGAUAAAAGAGGUUACAGGCUUCAACACUUCAGAAACACCUUUCGUGCUACUUCCUCGAGAAGUAUAGCCUAUGAUAUUUACUCCUUGUUUUUCUUUGUAAAACAGAGUACAUUCGUGCAAGGAAUUGUGACAGUCCUGAACUGCUGCGUGAUGCUAUUUGUUAUUAUAGCCGGCAGUUACAUUGGAUUCCAAACAGGAUGGGUCGGCUACAAGGUGUCUGGCGGGUAAUGUAAAAGCUACUUUUUAUUUAGUUUUCUCUAUUUUGUAAGUAGUGUGCUUAACCACUUUUCUCUACAGAUUUCUGCCAUAUGGGGUGAAUGGAAUGCUUGCUGGAUCAGCGACAGUUUUCUUUGCCUACAUAGGCUUUGAUUCAGUUGCGAGCACCGCUGAGGAGGUAAGGACAGGUUCCAUUUCCCAAAUUGACAUGCAUGGCACGUCUUUACACCCACUGGAUCGGCGGCAUUAUUAAGAACUCUUCUGUCUAAACUUCCAUUCCAACAGGUGAGGAAUCCACAACGGGAUCUGCCGCUGGGAAUAGCCACGUCAUUGACGAUUUGCUGUUCCUUGUAUAUGCUGGUUUCAGUUGUUAUUGUCGGUCUGGUGCCAUACUUUGCUAUGGACCCAGAUACCCCUAUUUCAUCCGCCUUCGCGAGGCAUGGGAUGCAGUGGGCAAUGUAAGGACUCUCCCUUUGACACCUCUUCCAUUUCGCCGGGCAUCACUUGGUGUGCUUCCUGCUGAGGCCUUUUUUUCCUGCACUGUCUUGUUUUAGGUACCUUGUAACAUCUGGUGCCGUUCUCGCUCUCUGCUCAACCUUGAUGGGAUCACUUCUGCCACAGCCAAGGAUAUUGAUGGCCAUGGCGAGAGAUGGGCUGUUGCCAUCCUUCUUCUCUGAUGUUAGCGAAAAGACACAAGUUCCUGUCAAGAGCACAAUCAUAACUGGCAUCUGCGCGGCUUCUCUGGCUUUCUUCAUGGAUGUUUCACAACUAGCAGGAAUGGUAAGGAUCUAGGAACCUUUAAAUAGUUUCCAUUUGAGAAAUUUGAUGAAUUUUGGCUCAAGAUGAGAUUUCAUGAAGAUUAAGACUUUUAUGAGUACUAAAUAUUGGACCUAAAGGAGUUAAGUUUGGUUGCAGGUCAGUGUAGGCACGCUCCUCGCGUUCACCAUAGUCGCCGUCUCCAUUUUGAUCCUCAGAUAUGUUCCUCCAGAUGAGGUACCCCUGCCAUCCUCUCUGCAAACGUCGUUCCGCUUAAGCCAAGAAUGUGAUGAGGAAAAGGUGGGGAGUCCUCUUGGAGAUGGGAACCAUGAACAGGGGACGUCUGAGAUUAAGGAUGUGAUCGUAGUAGAAUCAAUCAAUGACCCUCUUAUUGAGAAGCAGCUAUAUGCAAGUAAGUCUAGGAAAUUGCAUUUCGAGUUGGUCUAGUCUACAUUUCUGAGCAUGUGCAUUUUACUUAUCAGACCCUUUACUUAUCUAGCUGGCUAACCGGUUUCUCUGUCAAUCCAUCAGACAAAUUGGAUGAGUUAAACCGGCGGAAAACCGCUGCUCGCAGCAUAGCAUCUGUAUGCGUAGGGGUGCUAAUCCUGACGGCUUCAGCUUCUGUAACGUUCCUGCCAUUGUAAGUACGGACCGGGCAUAUCUUGUUCCCACGAUGAACUUUCCUGUGCAAUGAAAUACUGACCUGUCUAACACGCAUCCCUCACCUUUCACGUCAGCCUGGUGAUGUGCUUAUUCUGCGUGUUUGGUGGCCUGCUCCUCCUAGCUGGUCUCGGAAUGCUCUCCUGGAUCGACCAGGACGACGGAAGGCACUCAUUUGGUCACUCUGGAGGUACACUUGCAUCACAGCAUUUUCAUGCUUCUCUCCGUACUAGACUACUGGUAACUUGAUGCCACAGCUCCUUUCUGCCGCUCCCUCUGCAGGAUUCAUCUGCCCGUUUGUUCCGCUGCUGCCGGUGAUGUGCAUUCUCAUAAACACAUACUUGCUCAUAAAUCUAGGGUGAGUACCUCAAAGCUCAAACAAUUAUCUCAGUCGCUGAUAAGUUUACUUUCGCCAACAAAACAUUCAGAAUGGAAGGAUGCGUAUGUAUGUGUCUGAACAUUGCCAACCUCUGUGUAUGUUCUUCAGGGGUGGCACGUGGAUGCGGGUCGGGGUAUGGCUGGUGAUGGGGGUCUUCGUGUACAUUUUCUACGGCCGGACCCACAGCUUGCUGACGGAUGUCGUGUACGUCUCCCUGGCUCAGGCAAACGAGAUAUACGGUUCUUCCUCUUCGUCAGCGUUUGUGGCCUAGAUAGAUACUGUCGCAGAGCAUCCUUGAGAGAUCAUAUAUAUGAUCCGGGAUCCAUCUCACGGAAACCUCGAGCACCACCCUGAUAGGAGGGAUCUUCCCCCACUGUCGCUGCUGCAUCCUGCAUGGCAAGGCAGGGCAUGGGAUCUGAAGAAUUCAACAAAUUCUGAAGCUGUGUACAUUGCAAUUUGUAGAUAUAGCAUCAUCAUAUAUAUGUGGCUCGUUGGAGGAAUGUAAAUAGUAAAUUUGUGCACAUAGAAGUGUAAGACUUGCAAUAUGUGCAAUAUUGCAAGGGGUGAUUCAUUUAAGUGUACGGGAGUUUAUAAAACUUCAGAGAUCUUGGGGUGACAUUGCAGCAGGAACCCAUCCUGAAUCAUCGUCAGUUCUUCAGUUUGCCAUGCAAUAUCUGAUAUUGUGAUUCAGCACCUCCAUUGCAACGGCAAGAGCAAACUUCACAGAUAGAUAGGCCACCAUUUGUAAUCGUACAGUUUCCACUUUAUUUCAGUUAAAGAACACUUGUGCAGCUCCACGUUUGAGUAUACAGCAACCAUCAAACCCAAGCUCUUCACCAGAUCAACUACAUUACGACCGAAUAUCCAGAACCAUCAAACCCAAGCUCUUCACCAGAUUAAACCAAGCUAUUCUAAAAACAGUAGUGCAAUCAAAUCCAAGCCAAUGCCUUAGGAGAGAACAAGUUAUGCACCAGACUAACUACAUCAAAACGCAUUACAGUAUGGAGGCAGUAUCAGUAUAUCCCCUUCUGUUUCCCCAGGUUCUCUGAAAAAAUCAUCUAGGAGUCGUUCUUGCGUAGGUUGUAGAAGAUUGAGCCAUCAAUCGUCUCCAUAGCCAGUUGAUUCAACCGCAUAAGGAUCAACAAGUAGGAUCUUCCUUUGCGCCCUACACGACAAGGGCGUGAAAGGAAACGUCAAUGGGAUUUGUCUAGUGUAAAAGCAUUUCACAUUUCUGCGGGCAGGGAAUGGCAAGUAUAAGAUUAUAACAUACCCAAGCCGAUUGAUGCAACAUCAUCCUGAUUUAAACUUCCCUGAGCCUUAUCACCACCAAAGUAUGCAUUUAGUUUUGAAACGGCGUCAUGCAAUUCCUGAUAAAAAGAGAGGCCGCAAAAAAGGUAAGCAUUGCAGUAGAUUGCUUUGAGGUGGCAUAACUAAGAUAACACUACUAUCGUCAUGAAACCACUGCAAUGCAGAGGCCAAAACAGAAAAGACGUUAAAGAGUUUAUGGCAAGAGGCAAGAAAAGAUAUUGCAUGAUUUCUCCCUUCUACUCCCUCCGUUCCGAAUUACUUGUCGCAGGUAUGGAUGUAUCUAGAUGUAUUUUAGUUCUAGAUACAUCCAUUUCUGUGACGAGUAAUUUGGAACGGAGGGAGUAGUAAUUAAUUCCAGUAACAUGUCUGAAUUACACGGACUGUGCUGUAACUUGUUGCCACUACAAAAUAGACAACGUGCAUAGAGUACUAUGAGAAGCAUUCCCGAUUAGUUUUUUUAAGAAAGAAGUCAGACCUCCCAUGAUGCAAGAGUCUUCAUGUAAGGAGGAAGUUUAUCGUACUCCUCCUUCGACGCCCUUAUCAUUCCUUGGAAAGCAUUGUCUUCACAGAUUCAACAGAGAUGUCAGUCAUAAAAAGCAAGCAUUUAAUAUAUCUUCUAAACAUAAAAGAUACACUCUGCUGACCAUCUUGCUCAUAGGUUUCAAUUUGGGGAGGUGUGGGUUCUUCAGCUUCCUCCAAGAUCUUUUGGUCAUCAUCAACACUGAACGGUAUAAACACAAGGUGAUUUUCAAUGAAGAAAAAACAAGUAAAGAACUGUGGAGAACAACAAAAAAAAGAACAGCCUGAAAAGGACAUUGCAAUAGACAUCUCAUAUAUAUGUCUGUAUUUCGUUGAGUUACCUUCCAAGUUUUCUGUCAGGCAUCUUUGGGCUUGCAGAAAAAUCAAUAUCUGCGACAUCCGAAAGAAAUUAUUAUCUCUAUUCGAUUUAGGACUUGCAGUAAAAAAUACUAAUAUGUAUAAUGCAUCUAAACAGUUGAUUUAGGAAGAUGCAUUGCAAGUGUUCGUGUUCCGUACCUUGAGAGGACAGGGUAGCCAGACAAGCAUCAGAAAUCCCAAAAUUCUUUAGUGACAUGGAAUCCUCAAAUCUUACAUGCAGUCAAGAAAGAACUCAAUACUCUGUAUCUCAAUCACACAGAAACACAAAAGAAUGAUUUGAUGCUGAAUAGUGCAAUGAAGUACAACGGAUCUCCUGGUAUCAGAGUAAUCUGUACCCGACCUACACCAAGCUAACACCCUCUAAAUAAAGAAGGAUUGCCUACUAUAUUUUCAAAAAAACAGAAGCCCAUUAUUAAUUAAAGAUCAAGGUUCAGACUGGUGCAUUCAAAUUGUUAAGCUUAUCCAGUAUAACGAAUCCCCAACAACCCAACCAAUCAUAACCUCCAAUGUUUGCUGGUCCCAAAUGAUGGUAUGACAGCAUGAUAUUAGGGAGAAUUACACAUUUAGCAGGAAAAAUUAGUAGUAAAGGUUAACAGCUAAUAACAGGGGCAGAAUAAGUAUGGUUCAACUCCUAAUGCGUAUAAAUCUUCAAAUUCUGACUUCACUCACGAUGCUGCAAUUGUAAACCCUUACAGCUAGCCAACUAGGCGCAAGAUGAUAUCUCGUAUUUAGAGCCUAUGCAUCUCGAAUUGUUAUGUGCCCGGUCAUAGAUCACACCCAACACAAUCAAAAGUGCAUUUCUCUGAAAAUGCCUUAGUAAUGGAAGGAUACAGUUCAUCGUCGUCGAAGUGCUUCCGGGCAGACCUGAGGACCGAGCUUGACCCUCCCAAGAGCCCAUUCCCGGGGACAUCAAGGUCCCCCAAGUCUGCACCUUCCUCCACCUCGUCCUCCACCUCUGCCCCAACAAGAGAAACCCCAUGACCCUCAGCCAAAAUAUACGAACACUGCACGGGCAGAGCUUCAAAGUGACAUCACCAGGUCGGCGCCCGCCGCCUCCACCCGCCGGUCCAGCCCCUGCAGGAACGCGUUCGUCGCCGACUCUGCGAGGGAACACGCGCACACGUCAUCCGUGAGCAGGAAGGAAGGAAAAGCGCUGGCUGGCGAAACCCUAGCGGGGGAGGGCGGCGAGGUCAGAUGCGGUACCGAGGGGGAUGGCGCGGCGGGAGAGGGCGUCGGAGAGCGCGCGGGAGGAGUCGUCGGCGUCGGUGAGCACCUCGGAGAGGGAGCCGCACAGCGCCGAGAUCGACGCGUCCAUGCCGCGCUGCAUCGCGGCGGCGGCGGCGGCGGGUCGCCGGAGUUGGGGGGCGGCAGGAGGGGGAAUUGGGGACGAUUCCUCUCUUUCUGUGGCGAGUUCGAAUUUUCAGUGCGGACGGCCGGGAAAUGAAAUGGGUGGGCUCGCCGAGGGAUUCACGGCCUGUCCCGAAUGCAAGGCCCAACACUAUAUAGGCCUGUCUAAUUUCUGUCUCAUCCGUUUCAACAUAAAAAUACUUAUUUUCUCCAAAAAAAUGGCAAACAUUUUAUUUUUAGCAAAUUACAUGGUCAAAAGCAUUGCAUGGAAUUGUCCUGGGCAUGACGAUUCUUGCUCACAGAGAUAUCAAUGCAUCACCUCACUGCCCAAUGGGUGCCCAAGAUAUUCCUCGUAUGGGCCUGUUUGUUAAGCUGCAUACAGCCCAACUAGGGUCCGGCGUAAAUUUGUCAUGUUUGGUUGUCUGGACUGCAUUUGAUUCCUGGACCGUACGAACCUCAAAGCAUUGUUGGGUCUAGUUUACUCUAUCGGCUCCUAAGAGAUACAUGUGUCCAUAGAAGUUAACGCCUUCACCCCGAGAGAAGGAGGAUUUUAAUCACUGAACCGAACUUUAACAAGAUGGCCAUAUAAGAUCGCAUUUGAUUGGUAAUCAUGGUAUGCUUGACAUAGUAAAGAAGGUACAGCGCAGUCCACAUUAUUUUUCACCACGGUAGAUAGUUAUAUUAUUCACAUAUUUAAUUGUUUUUCUUUAGGCCUCCAGUGCAGUGGAUAACACCAUCAAAAAGCCUAAAGACAUUUUUGAAUGAGGGAGUGGGUUCGGUUGACCAUUUUUUUAGAGAGAUCAAUCGUGUCCGCUAAUGCUCCGGAUGUUGUGGAUAUAUUUCAAGUCUUCUUGUCGAGAUGUUAGAAAUUUAGAAUCCUAGGUUAGUUUGGUGGCAUCUUUUUCAUUUAUCUUAGGUUUUCAUCAUGUGUUAAUCUAGGCCGUGAAUGCUGGUUUGUAGCAGUCUCUGCACAAAAUCUCAAAUUGGAAUUAUGAUUAGCAUAUAUUUAUUUUAGGCACAAGAUGUGAUGGACAUGAUAACGUGGAGCUAUGCCACGUCAACAUCCAUUGAUGCAUGUGAAAGGGGCCACAUCAACAUGCUACCAUACACAGAAAAAGGCACACCGCAACAUGCAACCAUGGAUGUGAAAGCUAUUACACUUAUAUUUCAUAAAUAUUUUUGAAUUUAUAUAACUAUAUAACAAUCAAAUAUUUAUGUUUCAACUUCAUCAAAAUAUGUAGGAAACAAUUCUGCAACACGUGCGGGUAUUAUCUAUUUCUUACAAACAUCAGGGACCUCACCUGGCCCCCAAUUUAAGACAAGAUAAUUGGUAAGCAAAUGAGUGUUUACCUGUUUACCAAAUAUUUUUUUUACACAAUCAUAUUAAUAUAGACAGGUAAAUCAUGAACUAAACUACUAUAAUAUUUAUGCCUCCGCUCCAACAUACAUGCAAUUAUCUAGUUCAAGACAAAAGAUACAACUCAAAAAAGUGCUUGAUUUUUUCACAAAGAGGCCCUAAAUUGAACAAGAAACCAUUCCGGGCCGUCAAGUACCGCCUCACCAUUGGAUGUCCAAGCCACCACCCCCUGCCACUGAACCAGAUGCCAAAGACAAAGAUUACCCUCUUUACGCAAAAUGGAAAAGUGGUCCUAUAACCAUCAUGUGGAUUAGCCUCUGAUAACCCACAAGUGUAGGGGAUCGCAACAGUUUUCGUGGGUAGAGUAUUCAACCCAAAUUUAUUGAUUCGACACAAGGGGAGCCAAAGAAUAUUCUCAAGUAUUAGCAGUUGAGUUGUCAAUUCAACCACACCUGAAAGACUUAAUAUCUGCAACAAAGUAUUUAGUAGCAAAGUAGUAUGGAAGUAACGGUAACGGUGGCAAAAGUAAUAGUAGCAGUUGUUAUAGCAAUCGUAACAGUGGCAACGGAAAAGUAACUAAGCAAAGAUUAAUAUGUGAAAAGCUCGUAGGCAAUGGAUCAAUGAUGGAUAAUUAUGUCGGAUGCGAUUCCUCAUGCAACAAUUAUAACAUAGGGUGACACAGAACUAGCUCCAAUUCAUCAAUAUAAUGUAGGCAUGUAUUCCGAAUAUAGUCAUAUGUGCUUAUGGAAAAGAAGUUGCAUGUCAUGUUUUGUCCUACCCUCCCGUGGUAGCGGGGUCCUAUUGGAAACUAAGGGAUAUUAAGGCCUCCUUUUUAUAGAGUACCGGACCAAAGCAUUAACACUUAGUGAAUACAUGAACUCCUCAAACUACGGUCCUCACCGGGAGUGGUCCCGAUUAUUGUCACUUCAGGGUUGCCGGAUCAUAACACAGAGUAGGUGACUAUUGACUUGCAAAAUAGGAUCAAGAACUCACAUAUAUUCAUGAAAACAUAAUAGGUCAGAUCUGAAAUCAUGGCACUCGGACCCUAGUGACAAGCAUUAAGCAUAGCAAAGUCAUAGCAACAUCAAUCUUAGAACAUAAUGGAUACUAGGGAUCAAACGCUAACAAAACUAACUCGAUUACAUGGUAAAUCUCAUCCAACCCAUCACCGUCCAGCAAGCCUACGAUGGGAUUACUCACGCACAGCGGUGAGCAUCAUGAAAUUGGUGAUGGAGGAUGGUUGAUGAUGACGAUGGCGACAGAUUCUUCUCUCCGGAGCCCCGAACGGACUCCAAAUCAGCCCUCCCGAGGAAGAUUAGGGCUUGGCGGCGGCUCCGUAUCGUAAAACGUGAUGAAUCCUUCUCCCUGAUUUUUUUUCUUCCCGAAAGUGAAUAUAUGGAGUUGGGGUUGAGGUCGGUGGAGUCCCAGGGGGCCCACGAGGCAGGGGGCGCGCCCCAGGGGGGCACCCUGCACCCUCGUAGACAGGGUGUGGGCCCCCUGAUGCCGAUUCUUUCGCCAAUAUUUUUCAUUAAUUCCAAAACGUGUCUCCGUGGAUUUUCAGGUCAUUCCGAUAACUUUUAUUUCUGCACAAAAAUAACACCAUGGCAGUUCUGCUGAAAAAAGCGUCAGUUCCAUUCAAAUCAUUCAAGUUAGAGUCCAAAACAAGGGCAAAAGUGUUUGGAAAAGUAGAUACGUUGGAGACGUAUCAACUCCCCCAAGCUUAAACCUUUGCUUGUCCUCAAGCAAUUCAAUUGACAAACUGAAAGUGAUAAAGAAAAACUUUUACAAACUCUGUUUGAUCUUGUUGUUGCAAAUAUGUAAAGCCAGCAUUCAAGUUUUCAGCAAAGAUUAUGAACUAACCAUAUUCACAAUAACAUUUAGGUCUCAUGUUUACUCAUAUCAAUGGCAUAACCAACUAGUGAGCAAUAAUAAUAAAUCUUGGAUGACAACAGUUUCUCAAAACAAUCAUAACAUGAUAUAACUGUUGGGGAAUGUAGUAAUUUCAAAAAAAUUCCUACGCACACGGAAGAUCAUGGUGAUGCAUAGCAACGAGAGGGGAGAGUGUAUUCCACGUACCCUCGUAGACCAUAAGCGGAAGCGUUUAUCAACGCGGUUGAUGUGGUCGUACACCUUCACGAUCCGCCCCGAUCAAGUACCGAACGUACGGCACCUCCGCGUUCAGCACACGUUCAGCUCGAUGACGUCCUCGCCUUGUUGAUCCAGCAAGAUGGGCAAAGUAGUAGAUGAGUUCCGGCAGCACAACGGCGUGGUGACGGUGUUGGUGAAGAACAAUCUCCGCAGGGCUUCGCCAAGCACAACGGAAACUAUGACGGAGGAUAAACUAGAGGGGACAGGGUUGCCGGCACACGGCUUGGUGUUUCUUGAUGAUUUGGGUGCUAGCCCUACCCCUCUAUUUAUAUGUUGAGCCUUGGGGUCAAAACUUGGAGUAAAAGCCUCCACAAAGUCAGUUUCACCCGAAAGGCAAGAGUCCUUCUCGGACUCCAGGGCCAGACGCCAGGGAUCCCGGCGUCUGGACCCAGACGCCAGGGAUCCCGGCGUCUGGCCCCUGGACUCUGCAAAACUUCCUUUUGCGCUUUCCAAAAACCUUGUGGGCUUUCCCCUUUGGCCCAAAUAAAGUGUUCUCGUACCCAAACAUUUCGGGAAACAUCCGGAACCCCUUCCGGUGAAUUCUAGAACCCUUCCGGAGACCAAACACUAUUAUCCCAUAUAUCAAUCUUUAUCUCCGGACCAUUCCGAAGUUCCUCGUCAUGUCCGUGAUCUCAUCCGGGACUCCGAACAACAUUUGGUCACCAACAUACAUAACUCAUAUAAUACUAUAUCGUCAACGAACGUUAAGCGUGCGGACCCUACGGGUUCGAGAACUAUGUAGACAUGACCGUGACACCUCUCUGGUCAAUAACCAAUAGCGGAACCUGAAUGCCCAUAUUGGCUCCUACAUAUUCUACGAAGAUCUUUAUCGGUCGAACCGCAUAACAACAUACGUUGUUCCCUUUGUCAUCGGUAUGUUACUUGCCCGAGAUUCGAUCGUCGGUAUCACUAUACCUAGUUCAAUCUCAUUACCGGCAAGUCUCUUUACUCGUUCCGUAAUGCAUCAUCCUGUAACUAACUCAUUAGUUACAUUGCUUGCAAGGCUUAUAGUGAUGUGCAUUACAGAGAGGGCCCGGAGAUACCUCUCCGACAAUCGGAGUGACAAAUCCUAAUCUCGAUCUAUGCCUAAUCAACAAACACCAUCGGAGACACCUGUAGAGCAUCUUUAUAAUCACCCAGUUACGUUGUGACGUUUGAUAGCACACAAAGUGUUCCUUCGGUAUUCGGGAGUUGCAUAAUCUCAUAGUCAUAGGAACAUGUAUAAGUCAUAAAGAAAGCAAUAGCAAUAUACUAAACGAUCAAGUGCUAAGCUAACGGAAUGGGUCAAGUCAAUCACAUCAUUCUUUAAUGAUGUGAUCCCAUUAAUCAAAUGACAACUCAUGUCUAUGGCUAGGAAACUUAACCAUCUUUGAUUCAACGAGCUAGUAAAGUAGAGGCAUACUAGUGACACUCUGUUUGUCUAUGUAUUCACACAUGUACUAAGUUUCCGGUUAAUACAAUUCUAGCAUGAAUAAUAAACAUUUAUCAUGAUAUAAGGAAAUAAAUAAUAACUUUAUUAUUGCUUCUAGGGCAUAUUUCCUUCAGUCUCCCACUUGCACUAGAGUCAAUAAUCUAGUUCACAUCGCCAUGUGAUUUAACACCAAUAGUUCACAUCACCAUGUGAUUAACACCCAUAGUUCACAUCGCCAUGUGACCAACACUCAAAGGGUUUACUAGAGUCAGUAAUCUAGUUCACAUCGCCAUGUGAUUAACACCCAAAGAGUACUAAGGUGUGAUCAUGUUUUGCUUGUGAGAGAAGUUUAGCCAAUGGGUCUGCCACAUUCAGAGCCGUAUGUAUUUGCAAAUCUCUAUGUCUCCCACCUGGACUUGAUCCCGGAUGGAAUUGAAGCGUCUCUUGAUGUGCUUGGUUCUCUUGUGAAAUCUGGAUUCCUUUGCCAAGGCAAUUGCACCAGUAUUGUCACAAAAGAUUUUCAUUGGACCCGAUGCACUAGGUAUGACACCUAGAUCGGAUAUGAACUCCUUCACCCAUACUCCUUCAUUUGCUGCUUCUGAAGCAGCUAUGUACUCCGCUUCACAUGUAGAUCCUGCCACGACGCUUUGUUUAGAACUGCACCAACUGACAGCUCCACCAUUUAAUAUAAAUAUGUAUCCGGUUUGCGAUUUAGAAUCGUCCGGAUCAGUGUCAAAGCUUGCAUCGACGUAACCAUUUACGACGAGCUCUUUGUCACCUCCAUAAACAAGAAACAUAUCCUUAGUCCUUUUCAGGUAUUUCAGGAUGUUCUUGACCGCUGCCCAGUGAUCCACUCCUGGAUUACUUUGGUACCUCCCUGCUAAACUAAUAGCAAGGCACACAUCAGGUCCGGUACACAGCAUUGCAUACAUGAUAGAGCCUAUGGCUGAAGCAUAGGGAACACUUUUCAUUUUCUCUCUAUCUUCUGCAGUGGUUGGGCAUUGAGUCUGACUCAACUUCACACCUUGUAACACAGGCAACAACCCUUUCUUUGCUUGAUCCAUUUUGAACUUUUUCAAAACUUUAUCAAGGUAUGUGCUUUGUGAAAGUCCAAUUAAGCGUCUUGAUCUAUCUCUAUAGAUCUUGAUGCCCAAUAUAUAAGCAGCUUCACCGACGUCUUUCAUUGAAAAACUCUUAUUCAAGUAUCCUUUUAUGCUAUCCAGAAAUUCUAUAUCAUUUCCAAUCAACAAUAUGUCAUCCACAUUAAUAUUAGAAAUGCUACAGAGCUCCCACUCACUUUCUUGUAAAUACAGGCUUCUCCAAAAGUCUGUAUAAAACCAUAUGCUUUGAUCACACUAUCGAAACGUUUAUUCCAACUAUGAGAGGCUUGCACGAGUCCAUAAAUGGAUCGUUGGAGCUUGCACACUUUGUUAGCACCCUUUGGAUCGACAAAACCUUCUGGUUGCAUCAUAUACAACUAUUCUUCCAGAAAUCCAUUCAGGAAUGCAGUUUUGACAUCCAUUUGCCAAAUUUCAUAAUCAUAAAAUGCGGCAAUUGCUAACAUGAUUCGGACAGACUUAAGCAUCGCUACGGGUGAGAAAGUCUCAUCUAGUCAACCCCUUGAACUUGUCGAAAACCUUUCGCAACAAGUCGAGCUUUGUAGACAGUAACAUUACCGUCAGCGUCAGUCUUCUUCUUGAAGAUCCAUUUAUUCUCUAUGGCUUGCCGAUCAUCGGGCAAGUCAACCAAAGUCCACACUUUGUUCUCAUACAUGGAUCCCAUCUCAGAUUUCAUGGCCUCAAGCCAUUUUGCAGAAUCUGGGCUCACCAUCGCUUCUUCAUAGUUCGUAGGUUUGUCAUGGUCAAGUAACAUGACCUCCAGAACAGGAUUACCGUACCACUCUGGUACGGAUCUCACUCUGGUUGACCUACGAGGUUUAGUAGUAACUUGAUCUGAAGUUACAUGAUCAUCAUCAUUAGCUUCCUCACUAAUUGGUGUACGAGUCACAGGAACAGAUUUCUGUGAUGAACUACUUUCCAAUAAGGGAGCAGGUACAAUUACCUCAUCAAGUUCUACUUUCCUCCCACUCACUUCUUUCGAGAGAAACUCGUUCUCUAGAAAGGAUCCAUUCUUAGCAACGAAUGUCUUGCCUUUGGAUCUGUGAUAGAAGGUGUACCCAACUGUCUCCUUUGGGUAUCCUAUGAAGACACAUUUCUAUGAUUUGGGUUUGAGCUUAUCAGGAUGAAACUUUUUCACAUAAGCAUCGCAACCCCAAACUUUAGGAAACGACAACUUUGGUUUCUUGCCAAACCACAGUUCAUAUGGUGUCGUCUCCACGGAUUUAGAUGGUGCCCUAUUUAACGUGAAUGCAAGUGUCUCUAAUGCAUAACCCCAAAAUGAUAGUGGUAAAUCGGUAAGAGGCAUCAUAGAUUGUACCAUAUCUAAUAAAGUACGGUUACGAUGUUUGGAUACACCAUUACGUUGUGGUGUUCCAGGUUGCGUGAGUUGCGAAACUAUUCCGCAUUGUUUCAAAUGAAGACCAAACUCGUAACUCAAAUAUUCUCCUCCACAAUCAAAUUGUAGAAACUUUAUUUUCUUGUUACGAUGAUUUUCCACUUCACUCUGAAAUUAUUUGAACUUUUCAAACGUUUCAGAUUUAUGUUUCAUCAAGUAGAUAUACCCAUAUCUGCUCAAAUCAUCUGUGAAGGUCAGAAAAUAACAAUACCUGCCGUGAGCCUUAACACUCAUUGGACUGCAUACAUCAGUAUGUAUUAUUUCCAAUAAGUUAGUAGCUCGCUCCAUUGUUCCGAAGAACGGAAUCUUAGUCAUCUUGCCCAUGAGGCAUGGUUCGCAAGAAUCAAGUGAUUCAUAAUCAAGUGAUUCCAAAAGCCCAUCAGCAUGGAGUUUUUUCAUGCGCUUUACACCAAUAUUGUUGGGAAUCGUAGCAUAAUUUUAAAAUUUUCCUACGCUCACCAAGAUGCAUCUAUGGAGUAUACUAGCAACGAGGGGAAAGGAGUGCAUCUACAUACCCUUGUAGAUCGCGAGCGGAAGCGUUCCAAUGAACGUGGAUGCGGGGUCGUACUCGUCGUGAUUCAAAUCACCGAUGACCGAGUGCCGAACGGACGGCACCUCCGCGUUCAACACACGUACGGUGCAGCGGUCUCCUCCUUCUUGAUCCAGCAAGGGGGAAGGAGAGGUUGAUGGAGAUCCAGCAGCACGACGGCAUGGCGGUGGAUGUAGCGGGAUGCCGGCAGGGCUUCGCCGAGCUUAUACGAGAGAGAGAGAGGUGUUGCAGGGGAGGAGGGAGGCGCCCAAGGCUGUGUAUUGCUGCCCUCCCUCCCCCCUUUAUAUAGGCCCCCUUGGGAGGGGGGGGGCGCCGGCCAAACCCAUCUAGGGUGGGGGGCGGCGGCCACGGGGGGUGCCUUGCCCCCCAAGGCAAGUGGGAAGCCCCCCACCCUAGGGUUCCCAACCCUAGGCGCAUGGGGGGAGGCCCAUGGGGGGGCGCCCAGCCCACUAGGGGCUGGCUCCCUUUCCACUUCAGCCCACGGGGCCCUCCGGGAUGGGUGGCCCCACCCGGUGGACCCCCGGGACCCUUCCGGUGGUCCCGGUACAAUACCGGUAACCCCCGAAACUUUCCCGGUGGCCGAAACUUGACUUCCUAUAUAUAAUUCUUCACCUCCGGACCAUUCCGGAACUCCUCGUGACGUCCGGGAUCUCAUCCGGGACUCCGAACAACUUUCGGGUUUCCGCAUACACAUAUCUCUACAACCCUAGCGUCACCGAACCUUAAGUGUGUAGACCCUACGGGUUCGGGAGACAUGCAGACAUGACCGAGACGCCUCUCCGGUCAAUAACCAACAGCGGGAUCUGGAUACCCAUGUUGGUUCCCACAUGUUCCACGAUGAUCUCAUCGGAUGAACCACGAUGUCGAGGAUUCAAUCAAUCCCGUAUACAAUUCCCUUUGUCAAACGGUAUGUUACUUGCCCGAGAUUCGAUCGUCGGUAUCCCAAUACCUUGUUCAAUCUCGUUACCGGCAAGUCUCUUUACUUGUACCGCAAUGCAUGAUCCCGUGACUAACGCCUUAGUCACAUUGAGCUCAUUAUGAUGAUGCAUUACCGAGUGGGCCCAGAGAUACCUCUCCGUCACACGGAGUGACAAAUCCCAGUCUCGAUCCGUGCCAACCCAACAGACACUUUCGGAGAUACCCGUAGUGCACCUUUAUAGUCACCCAGUUACGUUGUGACGUUUGGCACACCCAAAGCACUCCUACGGUAUCCGGGAGUUGCACGAUCUCAUGGUCUAAGGAAAAGAUACUUGACAUUGGAAAAGCUCUAGCAAACGAAACUACACGAUCUUUAUGCUAUGCUUAGGAUUGGGUCUUGUCCAUCACAUCAUUCUCCUAAUGAUGUGAUCCCGUUAUCAACGACAUCCAAUGUCCAUAGUCAGGAAACCAUGACUAUCGGUUGAUCAACGAGCUAGUCAACUAGAGGCUUACUAGGGACACGUUGUGGUCUAUGUAUUCACACAUGUAUUACGAUUUCCGGAUAACACAAUUAUAGCAUGAACAAUAGACAAUUACCAUGAACAAAGAAAUAUAAUAAUAACCAUUUAUUAUUGCCUCUAGGGCAUAUUUCCAACAGUCUCCCACUUGCACUAGAGUCAAUAAUCUAGUUACAUUGUGAUGAAUCGAACACCCAUUGCGUCCUGGUGUUGAUCAUGUUUUGCCCUAGGGAGAGGUUUAGUCAACGGAUCUGCUACAUUCAGGUCCGUAUGUACUUUACAAAUAUCUAUGUCUCCAUUUUGAACACUUUCACGAAUGGAGUUGAAGCGACGCUUGAUAUGCCUGGUCUUCCUGUGAAACCUGGGCUCCUUCGCAAGGGCAAUAGCUCCAGUGUUGUCACAGAAGAGAGUCAUCGGGCCCGACGCAUUUGGAAUCACCCCUAGGUCGGUAAUGAAUUCCUUCAUCCAGACUGCUUCCUGUGCUGCCUCCGAGGCCGCCAUGUACUCCGCUUCACAUGUAGAUCCCGCCACGACGCUUUGCUUGCAACUGCACCAGCUUAGUGCUCCUCCAUUCAAAAUAUACACGUAUCCGGUUUGUGACUUCGAGUCAUCCAGAUCUGUGUCGAAGCUAGCGUCGACGUAACCCUUUACGACGAGUUCUUCGUCACCUCCAUAAACGAGAAACAUAUCCUUAGUCCUUUUCAGGUACUUUAGGAUAUUCUUGACCGCUGUCCAGUGUUCCAUGCCGGGAUUACUUUGGUACCUUCCUACCAAACUUAUGGCAAGGUUUACAUCAGGUCUGGUACACAGCAUGGCAUACAUAAUAGACCCUAUGGCCGAGGCAUAGGGGAUGACACUCAUCUUUUCUCUAUCUUCUGCCGUGGUCGGGCAUUGAGCCGUGCUCAAUUGCACACCUUGCAAUACAGGCAAGAACCCCUUCUUGGACUGAUCCAUAUUGAACUUCUUCAAUAUCUUGUCAAGGUAUGUACUUUGUGAAAGACCAAUGAGGCGUCUUGAUCUAUCUCUAUAGAUCUUGAUGCCUAAUAUAUAAGCAGCUUCUCCAAGGUCCAUUGAAAAACACUUAUUCAAAUAGGCCUUAAUACUUUCCAAGAAUUCUAUAUCAUUUCCCAUCAAUAGUAUGUCAUCCACAUAUAAUAUGAGAAAUGCUACAGAGCUCCCACUCACUUUCUUGUAAACACAGGCUUCUCCAUAAGUCUGUGUAAACCCAAACGCUUUGAUCAUCUCAUCAAAGCGAAUGUUCCAACUCCGAGAUGCUUGCACCAGCCCAUAGAUUGAGCGCUGGAGCUUGCAUACUUUGUUAGCAUUCUUAGGAUCGACAAAACCUUCCGGCUGCAUCAUAUACAACUCUUCCUUAAGGAAGCCGUUAAGGAAUGCCGUUUUGACGUCCAUCUGCCAUAUCUCAUAAUCAUAGUAUGCGGCAAUUGCUAACAUGAUUCGGACGGACUUCAGCUUCGCUACGGGUGAGAAAGUCUCAUCGUAGUCAACCCCUUGAACUUGUCGAUAACCCUUAGCGACAAGUCGAGCUUUGUAGAUGGUCACAUUACCAUCCGCGUCCGUCUUCUUCUUAAAGAUCCAUUUGUUUUCUAUGGCUCGCCGAUCAUCGGGCAAGUCAGUCAAAGUCCAUACUUCGUUUUCAUACAUGGAUCCUAUCUCGGAUUUCAUGGCUUCUAGCCAUUUGUCAGAAUCCGGGCCCGCCAUCGCUUCUUCAUAGUUCGAAGGUUCACCGUUGUCUAACAACAUGAUUUCCAGGACAGGGUUGCCGCACCACUCCGGUGCGGAACGUGUCCUUGUGGACCUACGAAGUUCAGUAGUAACUUGAUCCGAAGCUUCAUGAUCAUCAUCAUUAACUUCCUCCCCAGUCGGUGUAGGCACCACAGGAACAUCUUCCCGCGCUGCGCUACUCUCCGGUUUGGAAGGGGUGACUAUCACCUCAUCAAGUUCCACUUUCCUCCCACUCAAUUCUUUCGAGAGAAACUCCUUCUCCAGAAAGGACCCGUUCUUGGCAACGAAGAUCUUGCCUUCGGACUGAGGUAGAAGGUAUACCCAAUAGUUUCCUUAGGGUAUCCUAUGAAGACGCAUUUCUUCGACUUGGGUUCGAGCUUUUCAGGUUGAAGUUUCUUGACAUAAGCAUCGCAUCCCCAAACUUUUAGAAACGACAGCUUAGGUUUCUUCCCAAACCAUAAUUCAUACGGUGUCGUCUCAACAGAUUUCGACGGAGCCCUAUUUAAAGUGAAUGCGGCAGUCUCUAAAGCAUAGCCCCAAAAUGAGUGCGGUAAAUCGGUAAGAGACAUCAUAGAUCGCACAAUAUCCAAUAGAGUGCGAUUACGACGCUCGGACACACCGUUUCUCUGAUGUGUUCCAGGCGGCGUGAGUUGUGAAACUAUUCCACAUUUCCUUAAGUGUGCACCAAAUUCGUGACUUAAAUAUUCUCCACCACGAUCUGAUCGUAAGAAUUUUAUUCUCCUGUCACGUUGAUUCUCAACCUCACUCUGAAAUUCCUUGAACUUUUCAAAGGUUUCAGACUUGUGUUUCGUUAGGUAGACAUACCCAUAUCUACUUAAGUCAUCAGUGAGAGUAAGAACAUAACGAUAUCCUCCUCGAGCCUCGACACUCAUUGGACCGCACACAUCGGUAUGUAUGAUUUCCAAUAAGUUGGUUGCUCGCUCCAUUGUUCCGGAGAACGGAGUCUUGGUCAUCUUACCCAUGAGGCAUGGUUCGCACGUGUCAAAUGAUUCGUAAUCAAGAGACUCCAAAAGUCCAUCUGCAUGGAGCUUCUUCAUACGCUUGACACCAAUGUGACCAAGGCGGCAGUGCCACAAGUAUGUGGGACUAUCGUUAUCAACUUUACAUCUUUUGGUAUUCACACUAUGAAUAUGUGUAACAUCACGUUCGAGAUUCAUCAAGAAUAAACCAUUAACCAGCGGGGCAUGACCAUAAAACAUAUCUCGCAAAUAAAUAGAACAACCAUUAUUCUCGGAUUUAAAUGAGUAGCCAUCUCGAAUUAAACGAGAUCCAGAUACAAUGUUCAUGCUUAAAGCUGGUACUAAAUAACAAUUAUUGAGGUUCAAAACUAAUCCCGUGGGUAGAUGCAGAGGUAGCGUGCCGACGGCGAUCACAUCGACCUUGGAACCAUUCCCGACGCGCAUCGUCACCUCGUCCUUCGCCAGUCUCCGUUUAUUCCGUAGUUCCUGUUUUGAGUUACAAAUAUGAGCAACCGCACCGGUAUCAAAUACCCAAGAGCUACUACGAGUACUGGUAAGGUACACAUCAAUUACAUGUAUAUCACAUAUACCUUUGGUGUUGCCGGCCUUCUUGUCCGCUAAGUAUUUGUGGCAGUUCCGCUUCCAGUGACCACUUCCCUUGCAAUAAAAGCACUCAGUCUCAGGCUUGGGUCCAUUCUUUGACUUCUUCCCGGCAACUGGCUUACCGGGCGCGGCAACUCCCUUGCCGUCCUUCUUGAAGUUCUUCUUACCCUUGCCCUUCUUGAACCUAGUGGUUUUAUUCACCAUCAACACUUGAUGUUCUUUUCUGAUCUCCACCUCCGCUGAUUUCAGCAUUGAAUAUACCUCAGGAAUGGUCUUUUCCAUCCCCUGCAUAUUGAAAUUCAUCACAAAGCUCUUGUAGCUUGGUGGAAGCGACUGGAGGAUUCUGUCAAUGACCGCGUCAUCCGGGAGAUUAACUCCCAACUGGGAUAAGCGGUUGUGUAACCCAGACAUUCUGAGUAUGUGCUCACUAACAGAACUAUUCUCCUCCAUUUUACAGCUGAAGAACUUGUCGGAGACUUCAUAUCUCUCGACCCGGGCAUGAGCUUGGAAAACCAUUUUCAGCUCCUCGAACAUCUCAUAUGCUCCAUGUUUCUCAAAACGCUUUUGGAGACCCGGUUUUAAGCUGUAAAGCAUGCCACACUGAACGAGGGAGUAAUCAUCAGCACGCUGCUGCCAAGCGUUCAUAACGUCUUGGUUCUCUGGGAUUGGUGCUUCACCUAGCGGUGCUUCUAAGACAUAAUCUUUCUUGGCUGCUAUGAGGAUGAUCCUCAGGUUCCGAACCCAGUCCGUAUAGUUGCUGCCAUCAUCUUUCAGCUUGGUUUUCUCUAGGAACGCGUUGAAAUUGAGGACAACGUGGGCCAUUUGAUCUACAAGACAUAGUGUAAAGAUUUUAGACUAAGUUCAUGAUAAUUAAGUUCAUCUAAUCAAAUUACUUAAUGAACUCCCACUCAGAUAGACAUCCCUCUAGUCAUCUAAGUGAAACAUGAUCCGAGUUAACUAGGCCGUGUCCGAUCAUCACGUGAGACGGACUAGUCAAGAUCGGUGAACAUCUCCAUGUUGAUCGUAUCUUCUAUACAACUCAUGCUCGACCUUUCGGUCCUCCGUGUUCCGAGGCCAUGUCUGUACAUGCUAGGCUCGUCAAGUCAACCUAAGUGUAUUGCAUGUGUUCCGAGGCCAUGUCUGUACAUGCUAGGCUCGUCAACACCCGUUGUAUUCGAACGUUAGAAUCUAUCACACCCGAUCAUCACGUGGUGCUCCGAAACAACGAACCUUCGCAACGGUGCACAGUUAGGGGGAACACUUUUCUUGAAAUUACCAUAAGGGAUCAUCUUACUUACUACCGUCGUUCUAAGCAAAUAAGAUGCAAAACAUGAUAAACAUCACAUGCAAUCAAAUAGUGACAUGAUAUGGCCAAUAUCAUUUGCUCCUUUGAUCUCCAUCUUCGGGGCACCAUGAUCAUCUUCGUCACCGGCAUGACACCAUGAUCUCCAUCAUCAUGAUCUCCAUCAUUGUGUCUUCAUGAAGUCGUCACGCCAACGAUUACUUCUACUUCUAUGGCUAACGCGUUUAGCAACAAAGUAAAGUAAUUUACAUGGCGUUAUUCAAUGACACGCAGGUCAUACAAAAUAAUAAAGACAACUCCUAUGGCUCCUGCCGGUUGUCAUACUCAUCGACAUGCAAGUCGUGAUUCCUAUUACAAGAAUAUGAUCAAUCUCAUACAUCACAUAUAUCAUUCAUCACAUCUUCUGGCCAUAUCACAUCACAUAGCACUUGCUGCAAAACAAGUUAGAUGUCCUCUAGUUGUUGUUGCAAGUUUUUUACGUGGUUUGUAGGUUUCUAUCAAGAACGUUUCUUACCUACGUAUGACCACAACGUGAUUUGCCAAUUUCUAUUUACCCUUCAUAAGGACCCUUUUCAUCUAGUCCGUUCCGACUAAAGUAGGAGAGACAGACACCCGCUAGCCACCUUAUGCAACUAGUGCAUGUCAGUCGGUGGAACCUGUCUCACGUAAGCGUACGUGUAAGGUCGGUCCGGGCCGCUUCAUCCUACAAUGCCGCCGAAACAAGACAAGACUAGUAGCGGCAAGAAGAAUUGGCAAACUCAACGCCCACAACUGCUUUGUGUUCUACUCGUGCAUAGUAACUACGCAUAGCCUGGCUCAUGAUGCCACUGUUGGGAAUCGUAGCAUAAUUUUAAAAUUUUCCUACGCUCACCAAGAUGCAUCUAUGGAGUAUACUAGCAACGAGGGGAAAGGAGUGCAUCUACAUACCCUUGUAGAUCGCGAGCGGAAGCGUUCCAAUGAACGUGGAUGACGGAGUCGUACUCGUCGUGAUUCAAAUCACCGAUGACCGAGUGCCGAACGGACAACACCUCCGCGUUCAACACACGUACGGUGCAGCGACGUCUCCUCCUUCUUGAUCCAGCAAGGGGGAAGGAGAGGUUGAUGGAGAUCCAGCAGCACGACGGCGUGGUGGUGGAUGUAGCUGGAUGCCGGCAGGGCUUCGCCGAGCUUAUACGAGAGAGAGAGAGGUGUUGCAGGGGAGGAGGGAGGCGCCCAAGGCUGUGUAUUGCUGCCCUCCCUCCCCCCUUUAUAUAGGCCCCCUUGGCAGGGGGGGGGCGCCGGCCAAACCCAUCUAGGGUGGGGGGCGGCGGCCAAGGGGGGUGCCUUGCCCCCCAAGGCAAGUGGGAAGCCCCCCACCCUAGGGUUCCCAACCCUAGGCGCAUGGGGGGAGGCCCAUGGGGGGGCGCCCAACCCACUAGGGGCUGGCUCCCUUCCCACUUCAGCCCACGGGGCCCUCCGGGAUGGGUGGCCCCACCCGGUGGACCCCCGGGACCCUUCCGGUGGUCCCGGUACAAUACCGGUAACCCCCGAAACUUUCCCGGUGGCCGAAACUUGACUUCCUAUAUAUAAUUCUUCACCUCCGGACCAUUUCGGAACUCCUCGUGACGUCCGGGAUCUCAUCCGGGACUCCGAACAACUUUCGGGUUUCCGCAUACACAUAUCUCUACAACCCUAGCGUCACCGAACCUUAAGUGUGUAGACCCUACGUGUUCGGGAGACAUGCAGACAUGACCGAGACGCCUCUCCGGUCAAUAACCAACAGCGGGAUCUGGAUACCCAUGUUGGUUCCCACAUGUUCCACGAUGAUCUCAUCGGAUGAACCACGAUGUCUUCAAUCAAUCCCGUAUACAAUUCCCUUUGUCAAACGGUAUGUUACUUGCCCGAGAUUCGAUCGUCGGUAUCCCAAUACCUUGUUCAAUCUCGUUCCCUGCAAUUCUCUUUACUCGUACCGCAAUGCAUGAUCCCAUGACUAAUGCCUUAGUCACAUUGAGCUCAUUAUGAUGAUGCAUUACCGAGUGGGCCUAGAGAUACCUCUCCGUCACACGGAGUGACAAAUGCCAGUCUCGAUCCGUGCCAACCCAACAGACACUUUCGGAGAUACCCGUAGUGCACCUUUAUAGUCACCCAGUUACGUUGUGACGUUUGGCACACCCAAAGCACUCCUACGGUAUCCGGGAGUUGCACGAUCUCAUGGUCUAAGGAAAAGAUACUUGACAUUGGAAAAGCUCUAGCAAACGAAACUACACGAUCUUUUAUGCUAUGCUUAGGAUUGGGUCUUGUCCAUCACAUCAUUCUCCUAAUUAUGUGAUCCCGUUAUCAAUGACAUCCAAUGUCCAUAGUCAGGAAACCAUGACUAUCUGUUGAUCAACGAGCUAGUCAACUAGAGGCUUACUAGGGACACGUUGUGCUCUAUGUAUUCACACAUGUAUUACGAUUUUCGGAUAACACAAUUAUAGCAUGAACAAUAGACAAUUACCAUGAACAAAGAAAUAUAAUAAUAACCAUUUAUUAUUGCCUCUAGGGCAUAUUUCCAACAAAUAUGACCUAAACGGAAGUGCCACAAAUAAGUUGGACUAUCAUUAUUAACUUUGCGUGUUUUGGCUUAAAUAUUAUGAAUAUGUGUAUCACUACGAUCGAGAUUCAAUAAACCAUCAUUCUCCUAAUUAUGUGAUCCCGUUAUCAAUGACAUCCAAUGUCCAUGGUCAGGAAACCGUAACCAUCUAUUGAUCAACGAGCUAGUCAACUAGAGGCUCACUAGGGACAUGUUAUGGUCUAUGUGUUCACACAUGUAUUACGAUUUCUGGAUAACACAAUUAUAGCAUGAACAAUAGACAAUUAUCAUGAACAAGGAAUAAUAAUAACCAUUUUAUUAUUGCCUCUAGGGCAUAUUUCCAACAUAUCAAAUAUACCUUUGUUCACUUUGCCAUCCUUCUUAUCCACUAAAUGCUUGGGGCAGUUCUGCUUCCAGUGACCAGUCCCUUUGCAGUAGAAGCACUUAGUAUCAGGCUUAGGUCUAGACUUGGGCUUAUUCACUUGAGCAGCAACUUGCUUGCCGUUAUUCUUGAAGUUCCCCUUCUUCCCUUUGCCCUUUUCUUGAAACUAGUGGUCUUGUCAACCAUCAACACUUGAUGCUUUUCUCGAUUUCUACCUUCGUCGAUUUCAGCAUCACGAAGAGCUCGGGAAUUACUUUCGUCAUCCCUUGCAUAUUAUAGUUCAUCACGAAGUUCUAGUAACUUGGUGAUAGUGACUAGAGAACUCUGUCAAUCACUAUCUUAUCUGGAAGAUUAACUCCCACUUGAUUCAAGUGAUUGUAGCAGUCAGACAUUCCGAGCACAUGCUCACUAGCUGAGCUAUUCUCCUCCAUCUUGUAGGCAAAGUACUUGUCAAAGGUCUCAUACCUUUCGACAUGGGCAUGAGUCUGAAAUACUAAUUUCAACUCUUGGAACAUCUCAUAUGCUCCGUGGCGUUCAAAACGUCUUUGAAGACCCGAUUCUAAGCCAUAAAGCAUGGUGCACUAAACUAUCAAGUAGUCAUCAUAUCGAGCUUGCCAAACAUUCAUAACGUCUGCAUCUGCUCCUGCAAUCGGUCUGUCACCUAGCGGUGCAUCAAGGACAUAAUUCUUCUGUGCAGCAAUGAGGAUAAUCCUCAGAUUACGGAUCCAAUCUGCAUCAUUGCUACUAACAUCUUUCAACUUAGUUUUCUCUAGGAACAUAUAAAAAAUAAAACAGGGGAGCUAAACGUGAGCUAUUGAUCGACAACAUAGAUAUGCAAAUACUAUCAGGAGUAAGUUCAUGAUAAAUUAAAGUUCAAUUAAUCAUAUUACUUAAGAACUCCCACUUAGAUAGACAUCCCUCUAGUCAUCUAAAUGAUCACGUGAUCCAAAUCAACUAAACGAUGUCCGAUCAUCACAUGAGAUGGAGUAGUUUUCAAUGGUGAACAUCACUAUGUUGAUCAUAUCUACUAUAUGAUUCACGCUCGACCUUUCGGUCUCCAGUGUUCUGAGGCCAUAUCUGCAUAUGCUAGGCUGCUCAAGUUUAACCCGAGUAUUCUGCGUGUGCAAAACUGGCUUGCACCCAUUGUAUUUGAACGUAGAGCUUAUCACACCCGAUCAUCACGUGGUGUCUCGGCACGAAGAACUGUCGCAAUGGUGCAUACUCAGGGAGAACACUUAUACCUUGACAUUUUAGUGAGAGAUCAUCUUAUAAUGCUACUGUCGAAUUAAGCAAAAUAAGAUGCAUAAAGGAUAAACAUCGCAUGCAAUCAAUAUUGUUGGGGAACGUAGUAAUUUCAAAAAAUUUCCUACGCACACACAAGAUCAUGGUGAUGCAUAGCAACAAGAGGGGAGAGUGUGUCCACGUACCCUCGUAGACCGAAAGCGGAAGCGUUAUAUCAACACGGUUGAUGUAGUCGUACGUCUUCACGAUCCGACCGAUCCAAGUACCGAAAGCACGGCACCUCCGAGUUCUGCACACGUUCGGCUCGGUGACGUCCUCGCCUUCUCGAUCCAGCAAGAGGGGCGAAGUAGUAGAUGAGUUCCGGCAGCACGACGACGUGGUGACGGUGUUGGUGAAGAACAAUCUUCGCAGGGCUUCGCCUAAGCACUACGAAAACUAUGACGGAGGAUAAACUAGAGGAGACGGGGUUGCCGGCACACGGCUUGGUGUUUGUUGAUGUGUCUUGGGUGCUAGCCCUACCCCUCUAUUUAUAUGUUGAGCCUUGGGGUCGAAACUUGGAGUAAAAGCCUCCACAAAGUCGGUUUCACCCGAAAAGCAAGAGUCCUUCUCGGACUCCAGGGCCAGACGCCAGAGUUCCCGGCGUCUGGACCCAGACGCCAGGGACCCUGUCGUCUGGCCCCUGGACUCCGCAAAACUUCCUGUUGCGCUUUCCAAAAACCUCGUGGGCUUUCCCCUUUGGCCCAGAUAAAGUGUUCUCGUGCCCAAACAUUUCGGGAAACAUCUGGAACCCCUUCCGAUGGAUUCCGGAACCUUUCCGGAGAUCAAACACUACUAUCCACAUAUCAAUCUUUACUUCCGGACCAUUCCGGAGUUCCUCGUCAUAUCCGUGAUCUCAUCCAAAACUCCGAACAACAUUCAGUCACCAACAUACAUAACUCAUAGUACUAUAUCCUAACGAACGUUAAGCGUGCGGACCCUACGGGUUCGAGAACUAUGUAGACAUGACCGAGACACCUCUCUGGUCAAUAACCAAUAGCGGGACCUGGAUGCCCAUAUUGGCUCCUACAUAUUCUACGGAGAUCUUUAUCGGUCAGACCGCAUAACAAGAUACGUUGUUCCCUUUGUCAUCGGUAUGUUACUUGCCCGAGAUUCGAUCGUCGGUAUCUCAAUACCUAGUUCAAUCUCGUUACCGGCAAGUCUCUUUACUCGUUCCGUAAUACAUCAUCCCGCAACUAACUCAUUAGUUACAAUGCUUGCAAGGCUUAUAGUGAUGUGCAUUACCGAGUGGGCCCAGAGAUACCUCUCCGACAAUCGGAGUGACAAAUCCUAAUCUCAAAAUACGCCAACCCAACAAGUACCUUCGGAGACACCUGUAGAGCACCUUUAUAAUCACCCAGUUACGUUGUGACGUUUGGUAGCACACAAAGUGUUCCUCUGGUAAACGGUAGUUGCAUAAUCUCAUAGUCAUAGGAACAUGUAUAAGUCAUGAAGAAAGCAAUAGCAGAAUACUAAAUGAUUAAGUGCUAAGCUAACGGAAUGGGUCAAGUCAAUCACAUCAUUCUCCUAAUGAUGUGAUCCCGUUAAUCAAAUGACAACUCAUGUCUAUGGCUAGGAAACACAACCAUCUUUGAUCAACGAGCUAGUCAAGUAGAGGCAUACUAGUGACACUCUGUUUGUCUAUGUAUUCACACAAGUAUUAUGUUUCCGGUUAAUACAAUUCUAGCAUGAAUAAUAAACAUUUAUCAUGAAAUAAGGAAAUAAAUAAUAACUUUAUUAUUGCCUCUAGGGCAUAUGUCCUUCAGUCUCCCACUUGCACUAGAGUCAAUAAUCUAGUUCACAUCACCAUGUGAUUUAACAUCAAUGGUUCACAUCUUUAUGUGUUUAACACCCAUAGUUCACAUCGACAUGUGACCAACACCCAAAGGGUUUACUAGAGUCAGUAAUGUAGUUCACAUCGCUAUGUGAUUAACACCCAAAGAGUACUAAGGUGUGAUCAUGUUUUGCUUGUGAGAUAAUUUUAGUCAACGGGUCUGUCACAUUCAGAUCCGUAAGUAUUUUGCAAAUUUCUAUGUUUACAAUGCUCUGCACGGAGCUACUUUAGCUAAUUGCUCCCACUUUCAAUAUGUAUCCAGAUGAAGACUUAGAGUCAUCUGGAUCAGUGCCAAAACUUGUAUCGACGUAACCCUUUACGACGAACCUUUUUGUCACCUCCAUAAUCGAGAAACAUAUCGUUAUUCCACUAAGGGUGAUUUUGACCGCUGUCCAGUGAUCUACUCCUAGAUCACUAUUGUACUCCCUUGCCAAAAUCAGGGUAGGGUAUACAAUAGAUUUGGUACACAACAUGGCAUACUUUAUAGAACCUAUGGCCAAGGCAUAGGGAAUGACUUUCAUUCUCUUUCUAUCUUCUGCCGUGGCCGGGCUUUGAGUCUUACUCAAUUUUACACCUUGUAACACAGGCAAGAACUCUUUCUUUGACUGUUCCAUUUUGAACUACUUCAAAAUCUUGUCAAGGUAUGUACUCAUUGAAAAAACUUAUCAAGCGUCUUGAUCUAUCUCUAUAGAUCUUGAUGCUCAAUAUGUAAGCAGCUUCACCGAGGUCUUUCUUUGAAAAAACUCCUUUCAAACACUCCUUUAUGCUUUGCAGAAUAAUUCUACAUUAUUUCCGAUCAACAAUAUGUCAUUCACAUAUACUUAUCAGAAAUGCUGUAGUGCUCCCACUCACUUUCUCGUAAAUACAGGCUUCACCGCAAGUCUGUAUAAAACUAUAUGCUUUGAUCAACUUAUCAAAGCGUAUAUUCCAACUCCGAGAUGCUUGCACCAGUCCAUAGAUGGAUCGCUGGAGCUUGCAUAUUUUGUUAGCACCUUUAGGAUUGAGAAAACCUUCUGGUUGCAUUAUAUACAACUCUUCUUUAAUAAAUCCAUUAAGGAAUGCAGUUUUGUUUAUCCAUUUGCCAGAUUUCAUAAAAUGCGGCAAUUGCUAACAUGAUUCGGACAUACUUUAAGCAUCGAUACGAGUGAGAAAAUCUCAUCAUAGUCAACACCUUGAACUUUGUCAAAAACCUUUUUCGACAAGUCUAGCUUUGUAGAUAGUAACACUACUAUCAGCGUCCGUCUUCCUCUUGAAAAUCCAUUUAUUUUCUAUGGCUUGCCGAUCAUCGGGCAAGUCAACCAAAGUCCAUACUUUGUUCUCAUACAUGGAUCCUAUCUCAGAUUUCAUGGCCUCAAACCAUUUCACAGAAUCUGGGCUCAUCAUCGCUUCCUCAUAGUUCGUAGGUUUGUCAUGGUCUAGUAACACAACCUCCAGAAUAGGAUUACCGUACCACUCUGGUGCGGAUCUUACUCUAGUUGACCUACGAGGUUCAGUAACAACUUGAUCUGAAGUUUCAUGAUCAUCAUCAUUAACUUCCUCACUAAUUGGUAUAGACGUCACAGGAACCGGUUUCUGUGAUGAAUUACUUUCCAAUAAGGGAGCAGGUACGGUUACCUCAUCAAGUUCUACUUUCCUCCCACUCACUUCUUUCGAGAGAAACUCCUUCUCUAGAAAGGAUCCAUUCUUAGCAACGAAUGUCUUGCCUUCGGAUCUGUGAUAGAAGGUGUACCCAACUGUCUCCUUUGGGUAUCCUAUGAAGACACAUUUCUCCAAUUUGGGUUUGAGCUUAUCAGGAUGAAACUUUUUCACAUAAGCAUCGCAACCCCGAACUUUAAGAAACGACAACUUUGGUUUCUUGCCAAACCACAGUUCAUACGGUGUCGUCUGAAACGAAUUUAGAUGGUGCCCUUUUUACGUGAAUGCAGCUGUCUCUAAUGCAUAACCCCAAAACUAUAGUGGUAAAUCAGUAAGAAACAUCAUAGAUUGCACUAUAUCCAAUAAAGUACGGUUAUGACGUUUGGACACACCAUUAUGCUGUGGUGUUCCAGGUGGCGGGAGUUGCGAAACUAUUCCGCAUUGUUUCAAAUGAAGACCAAACUCGUAACUCAAAUAUUCUCCUCCACGAUCAGAUCGUAGAAACUUUAUUUUCUUGUUACGAUGAUUUUCCACUUCACUCUGAAAUUAUUUGAACUUUUCGAAUGUUUCAGAUUUAUGUUUCAUCAAGUAGAUAUACCCAUAUCUGCUCAAAUCAUCUGUGAAGGUCAGAAAAUAACGAUACCCGCCGCGAGCCUCAACAGUUAUCGGACUGCAUACAUCAGUAUGUAUUAUUUCCAACAAGUCGGUUGCUUGCUCCAUUGUUCCGGAGAACGGAGUCUUAGUCAUCUUGCCCAUGAGGCAUGGUUUGCAAGCAUCAACUGAUUCAUAAUCAAGUGAUUCCAAAAGCCCAUCAGCAUGGAUUUUCUUCAUGCGCUUUACACCAAUAUGACCUAAAACGGCAGUGCCACAAAUAAGUUGCACUAUCAUUAUUAACUUUGCAUCUUUUGGCUUCAAUGUUAUGAAUAUGUGUAUCACUACAAUCGAGAUCCAACAAACCAUUUUCAUUGGGUGUAUGACCAUAUAAGGUUUUAUUCAUGUAAACAGAACAACAAUUAUUCUCUAUCUUAAAUGAAUAACCGUAUUGCAAUAAACAUGAUCAAAUCAUAUUCAUGCUCAACGCAAACACCAAAUAACACUUAUUUAGGUUCAACACUAAUCCCGAAAGUAUAGGGAGUGUGCGAUGAUGAUCAUAUCAAUCUUGGAACCACUUCCAACACACAUCGUCACUUCACCCUUAACUAGUCUUUGUUCAUUCUGCAACUCCCAUUUCGAGUUACUAAUCUUAGCAACUGAACUAGUAUCAAAUACUGAGGGGUUGCUAUAAACACUAGUAAAGUACACAUCAAUAACAUGUAUAUCAAAUAUACUUAUGUUCACUUUGCCAUCCUUCUUAUCCGCCAAUCACUUGGGGUAGUUCCGCUUCCAGUGACCAGUCCCUUUGCAGUAGAUGCACUUAGUCUCAUGCUUAGGUCCAGACUUGGGCUUCUUCACUCGAGCAGCAACUUGCUUGCCGUUCUUCUUGAAGUUCCCCUUCUUCCCUUUGCCCCUUUUCUUGAAACUAGUGGUCUUGUUAAUCAUCAACAAUUGAUGCUCUUUCUUGAUUUCUACCUUCAUCGAUUUCAUCAUCAUGAAAAGCUCGGGAAUCGUUUUCGUCAUCCCUUGCAUACUAUAGUUCAUCACGAAGUUCUACUAACUUGGUGAUGGUGACUAGAGAAUUAUGUCAAUCACUAUUUUAUCUGGAAGAUUAACUCCCACUUGAUUCAAGCGAUUGUAGUACCCAGACAAUCUGAGCACAUGCUCACUGCUUGAGCUAUUCUCCUCCAUCUUUUAGCUAUAGAACUUGUUGGAAACUUCAUAUCUCUCAACUCGGGUAUUUUCUUGAAAUAUUAACUUCAACUCCUGGAACAUCUCAUAUGGUCCAUGACGUUUCAAAAACAUCUUUGAAGCCCCGAUUCUAAGCAGUAAAGCAUGGUUCACUAAACUAUCAAGUAGUCAUCAUAUCGAGCUUGCCAAACGUUCAUAACGUCUGCAUUUGCUCCUGCAAUCGGUCUGUCACCUAGCGGUGCAUCAAGGACAUAAUUCUUCUGUGCAGCAAUGAGGAUAAACCUCAGAUCAUGGACCCAGUCCGCAUCAUUGCUACUAUCAUCUUUCAACUUAGUUUUCUCUAGGAACAUAUAUAAAACAUAGAACAACGCGAGCUAUUGAUCUACAACAUAGAUAUGCUAAUACUACCAGGACUAAGUUCAUGAUAAAUUGAAGUUCAAUUAAUCAUAUUACUUAAGAACUCCCACUUAGAUAGACAUCCCUCUAAUCAUCUAAGUGAUCACGUGAUCCAAAUCAACUAAACCAUAACCGAUCAUCACGUGAAAUGGAGUAGUUUUCAAUGGUGAACAUCACUAUGUUGAUCAUAUCUACUAUAUGAUUCACGCUCGACCUUUCGGUCUCAGUGUUCCGAGGCCAUAUCUGCAUAUGCUAGGCUCGUCAAGUUUAACCUGAGUAUUCUGCGUGUGCAAAACUGGCUUGCACCCGUUGUAGAUGGACGUAGAGCUUAUCACACCCGAUCAUCACGUGGUGUCUGGGCACGACGAACUUUGGCAACGGUGCAUACUCAGGGAGAACACUUUUAUCUUGAAAUUUAGUGAGAGAUCAUCUUAUAAUGCUACCGUCAAUCAAAGCAAGAUAAGAUGCAUAAAAGAUAAACAUCACAUGCAAUCAAUAUAAGUGAUAUGAUAUGGCCAUCAUCAUCUUGUGCUUGUGAUCUCCAUAUCCGAAGCACCGUCAUGAUCACCAUCGUCACCGGCGCGACACCUUGAUCUCCAUCGUAGCAUCGUUGUCGUCUCGCCAAUAUUAUGCUUCUACGACUAUCGCUACCGCUUAGUGAUAAAGUAAAGCAUUGCAUUGCAUACAAUAAAGCGACAACCAUAUGGCUCCUGCCAGUUGCUGAUAACUCGGUUACAAAACAUGAUCAUCUCAUACAAUAAAAUAUAGCAUCAUGCCUUGACCAUAUCACAUCACAACAUGCCCUGCAAAAACAAGUUAGACGUCCUCUACUUUGUUGUUGCAAAUUUUACGUGGCUGCUACGGGCUUAGCAAGAACCGUUCUUACCUACGCAUCAAAACCACAAUGAUAGUUUGUCAAGUUGGUGCUGUUUUAACCUUUGCAAGGACCGGGCGUAGCCACACUCGGUUCAACUAAAGUUGGAGAAACUGACACCCGCCAGCCACCUGUGUGCAAAGCACGUCGGUAGAACCAGUCUCGGGUAAGCGUACGCGUAAUGUCGGUCCAGGCCGCUUCAUCCAACGAUACCGCCAAACCAAAGUAUGACAUUCUGGUAAGCAGUAUGACUUAUAUCGCCCACAACUCACUUGUGUUCUACUCGUGCAUAUGACAUCUACGCAUAAAACCUGGCUCUGAUACCACUGUUGGGGAACGUAGUAAUUUCAAAAUUUUCCUACGCACACACAGGAUCAUGGUGAUGCAUAGCAACGAGAGGGGAGAGUGUGUCCACGUACCCUCAUAGACCGAAAGCGGAAGCGUUAUAUCAACGCGGUUGAUGUAGUCGUACGUCUUCACGAUCCGACCGAUCCAAGUACCGAAAGCACGGCACCUCCGAGUUCUGCACACGUUCGGCUCGGUGACGUCCUCGCCUUCUCGAUCCAGCAAGAGGGGCGAAGUAGUAGAUGAGUUCCGGCAGCACGACGGCGUGGUGACGGUGUUGGUGAAGAACAAUCUUCGCAGGGCUUUGCCUAAGCACUACGAAAACUAUGAUGGAGGAUAAACUAGAGGAGACGGUGUUGCCGGCAUAUGACUUGGUGUUUGUUGAUGUGUCUUGGGUGCUAGCCCUACCCCUCUAUUUAUAUGUUGAGCCUUGGGGUCGAAACUUGGAGUAAAAGCCUCCACAAAGUCGGUUUCACCCGAAAAGCAAGAGUCCUUCUCGGACUCCAAGGCCAGAAGCCAGGGUUCCCGGCGUCUGGACCCAGACGCCAGGGACCCUGGCGUCUGGCCCCUGGACUCCGCAAAACUUCCUUUUGCGCUUUCCAAAAACCUCGUGGGCUUUCCCCUUUGGCCCAGAUAAAGUGUUCUCGUGCCCAAACAUUUCGGGAAACAUCUGGAACCCCUUCCGAUGGAUUCCGGAACCUUUCCGGAGAUCAAACACUACUAUCCACAUAUCAAUCUUUACUUCCGGACCAUUCCGGAGUUCCUCGUCAUAUCCGUGAUCUCAUCCAAAACUCCGAACAACAUUCAGUCACCAACAUACAUAACUCAUAGUACUAUAUCCUAACGAACGUUAAGCGUGCGGACCCUACGGGUUCGAGAACUAUGUAGACAUGACCGAGACACCUCUCUGGUCAAUAACCAAUAGCGGGACCUGGAUGCCCAUAUUGGCUCCUACAUAUUCUACGAAGAUCUUUAUCGGUCAGACCGCAUAACAAGAUACGUUGUUCCCUUUGUCAUCGGUAUGUUACUUGCCCGAGAUUCGAUCGUCGGUAUCUCAAUACCUAGUUCAAUCUCGUUACCGGCAAGUCUCUUUACUCGUUCCGUAAUACAUCAUCCCGCAACUAACUCAUUAGUUACAAUGCUUGCAAGGCUUAUAGUGAUGUGCAUUACCGAGUGGGCCCAGAGAUACCUCUCUGACAAUCGGAGUGACAAAUCCUAAUCUCGAAAUACGCCAACCCAACAAGUACCUUCGGAGACACCUGUAGAGCACCUUUAUAAUCACCCAGUUACGUUGUGAAGUUUGGUAGCACACAAAGUGUUCCUCUGGUAAAUGGGAGUUGCAUAAUCUCAUAGUCAUAGGAACAUGUAUAAGUCAUGAAGAAAGCAAUAGCAGAAUACUAAACGAUCAAGUGCUAAGCUAACGGAAUGGGUCAAGUCAAUCACAUCAUUCUCCUAAUGAUGUGAUCCCGUUAAUCAAAUGACAACUCAUGUCUAUGGCUAGGAAACAUAACCAUCUUUGAUCAACGAGCUAGUCAAGUAGAGGCAUACUAGUGACACUCCGUUUGUCUAUGUAUUCACACAAGUAUUAUGUUUCCGGUUAAUACAAUUCUAGCAUGAAUAAUAAACAUUUAUCAUGAAAUAAGGAAAUAAAUAAUAACUUUAUUAUUGCCUCUAGGGCAUAUUUCCUUCAAAUAUAAGUGAUAUGAUAUGGCCAUCAUCAUCUUGUGCCUUCGAUCUCCAUCUCCAAUGCACCGUCAUGACCACCAUCGUCACCGGCGCGACACCUUGAUCUCCAUCGUAGCAUUGUUGUCGCCUCGCCAACUGUUGCUCCUACGACUAUGGCUACCGCUUAGUGAUAAAGUAAAGCAAUUACAUGGCGAUUACAUUUCAUAGAAUAAAGCGACAACCAUAUGGCUCCUGCCAGUUGCCGAUAACUCCGUUACAAAACAUGAUCAUCUCAUACAAUAAAAUUUAGCAUCAUGUCUUGACCAUAUCACAUCACAACAUGCCCUGCAAAAACAAGUUAGACGUCAUCUACUUUGUUGUUUCAAGUUUUACGUGGCUGCUACGGGCUGAGCAAGAACCGUUCUUACCUACGCAUCAAAACCACAAUGAUUUUUCGUCAAGUAUGUGUUGUUUUAACCUUCAACAAGGACCGGGCGUAGCCACACUCGAUUCAACUAAAGUUGGAGAAACUGACACCCGCCAGCCACCUGUGUGCAAAGCACGUCGGUAGAACCAGUCUCGCGUAAGCGUACGCGUAAUGUCGGUCUGGGCCGCUUCAUCCAACAAUACUGCCGAACCAAAGUAUGAUAUGCUGGUAAGCAGUAUGACUUGUAUCGCUGAAAGCACAAGUGCUCCCUGGGUGGUUUUGGUAAUUAAUGUCAACAUAUCUCUUGUUGGACUAACACUUUUACCUAGUAUGUUUCAGAUAAGUUCAACAAUGAAGUGGCAUGGACUAGAGGAUGUGGAACCCCUUCAAGAUGCCAAGGACAAAAGGAUUGGCUCAAGCUCCAAGAACAAGACUCUACAUUUUCUAUUUUAGUGAUCCAAGAUCACAUUGAGUCUAUAGGAAAAGCCAACACUAUCAAGAGGGGAUGAGGUGUUGCUUAAUGGCUUGCUUGCUCAAAGUGCUUAGUGAUAUGCUCCAAAGCCCUCAACUACCUUCUCACAUCCACAUUUGGCCCAAACCAAAAGUCCAGCUCGGCCACAGCAAUUCUUUCUAUCCGGCGCCACCGAGUUCAGAUGUCAUAGCCACUGCCACAAACCCUAGGCAAAUCGGUCUCACCGAUAGGGAUCUCGGUCUCACCGAGAUGGGAUUGUAAUUUCUCUGUGCAUGUCCAUUACCAAAAUCGGUCUCACCGAGUUUGCGUAAUCGGUCCUACCGAGAUUACAAUGUAAACUCUCUGUUUCCUUUUCGUAACAUUUUGGUCUCACCGAGAUGAGCGAAUCGGUCCCACCGAGUUUGCCUGACCAACUCUCUAGUUAGCUUAUUACCGAAAUCGGUCUCACCGAUUUUGAGUAAUCGGUCUCACCGAGAUUACGUUAUGCCCUAACCCUAAUCAUAUCGGUCCCAUCGAAAAUCCUAACGGUCACAUUAUUUGCUAAAUCGGUCUGACCGAGUUUCAUGAUUCGGUCCCACCGAGAUUGGUAAGUUGUGUGUAACGGUUAGAUUUUGUGUGGAGGCUAUAUAUACCCCUCCACCCACUCUUCAUUCGUGGAGAGAGCCAUCAGAACAUGCCUACACUUCCAACAUACAUUUUCUAAGAGAGAACCACCUACACUUGUGUUGAGACCAAGAUAUUCCAUUCCUACCAUAUGAAUCUUGAUCUCUAGCCUUCCCCAAGUUGCUUUCCACUCAAAUCUUCUUUCCACCAAAUCCAAAUCCUGUGAGAGAGAGUUGAGUGUUGGGGAGGCUAUCAUUUGAAGCACAAGAGCAAGGAGUUCAUCAUCAACACACCAUUUGUUACUUCUUGGAGAGUGGUGUCUCCUAGAUUGGCUAGGUGUCACUUGGGAGCCUCCGACAAGAUUGUGGAGUUGAACCAAGGAGUUUGUAAGGGAAAGGAGAUCGCCUACUUCGUGAAGAUCUACCCUAGUGAGGCAAGUCCUUCGUGGGCGACGGCCAUGGUGGGAUAGACAAGGUUGCUUCUUCGUGGACCCUUCGUGGGUGGAGCCCUCAGUGGACUCGCGCAGCCGUUACCCUUUGUGGGUUGAAGUCUCCAUCAACGUGGAUGUACGAUAGCACCACCUAUCGGAACCACGGCUCAAAAAUCUCCGUGUCUCCAAAUUGCGUUUGCACACUCCAAUCCCAUCCCUUUACAUCCUUGCAAAUUGCAUGCUUUACUUUCCGCUGCUCAUAUACUCUUUGCAUGCUUGCUUGAUAUGUAUUGUGAUUGUUAAACUUGUGCCUAAACUCCACUUAAACUUAAAGCAGUUAAAAACUGCACCUUUUCCCACUUAGUGUCUAAUCACCCCCCUCUAGACACCUCUUCUCGAUCCUUUCAAUCGCCCACAACUCACUUGUGUUCUACUCGUGCAUAUAACAUCUACGCAUAAACCUGGCUCGGAUGCCACUGUUGGGGAACAUAGUAAUUUCAAAAAAAUUCCUACGCACACGCAAUAUCAUGGUGAUGCAUAGCAACGAGAGGGGAGAGUUGCUACCUCUUGAGCACAACGUUGGUUUUCCCUUGAAGAGGAAAGGGUGAUGUAGCAAAGUAGCGUAAGUAUUUCCCUCAGUUUUUGAGAACCAAGGUAUCAAUCCAGUAGGAGGACACGCUCAAGUCCCUCGUACGUACAGAAACAAAUAUGAACCUUGCAACCAACGCGAUAAAGGGGUUGUCAAUCCCUUCACGGCCACUUGCAAAAGUGAGAUCUGAUAGAGAUGAUAAGAUAAUAUUUUUAGUAUUUUUAUGAUAAAGACUAAAAGUAAAGAAAGCAAAAUAAACGGUAAUAGAAAUUGCUAGUUGUUGGAAGACUAAUAUGAUGGAAAAUAGACCCGGGGGCCAUAGGUUUCACUAGUGGCUUCUCUCAAGAUAGCAUAAGUAUUACGGUGGGUGAACAAAUUACUGUCGAGCAAUUGAUAGAAUUGAGCAUAGUUAUGAGAAUAUCUAGGCAUGAUCAGGUAUAUAGGCAUCACGUCCGCGACAAGUAGACCGACUCCUGCCUGCAUCUACUACUAUUACUCCACACAUCGACCUCUAUCCAGCAUGCAUCUAGAGUAUUAAGUUCAUAAGAACAGAGUAACGCUUUAAGCAAGAUGACAUGAUGUAGAGGGAUAAACUCAAGCAAUAUGAUAUAAACCCCAUCUUUUUAUCCUCGAUGGCAACAAUACAAUACAUGUCGUUUCCCUUUCUGUCACUGGGAUCGAGCACUGCAAGAUUGAACCCAAAGAUAAGCACUUCUCCCAUUGCAAGAAAGAUCAAUCUAGUAGGCCAAACCAAAUUGAUAAUUCGAAGAGACUUGCAAAGAUAACCAAUCAUACAUAAAAGAAUUCAGAGGAGAUUCAAAUAUUGUUCAUAGAUAAUCUUGAUCAUAAACCCACAAUUCAUCGGAUCUCGACAAACACACCGCAAAAGAAGAUUACAUCAAAUAGAUCUCCAAGAGAAUCAAGGAGAACUUUGUAUUGAGAUCCAAAGAGAGAGAAGAAGCCAUCUAGCUAAUAACUAUGGACCCGAAGGUCUGAGGUAAACAACUCACACAUCAUCGGAGAGGCUAUGGUGUUGAUGUAGAAGCCCUCCGUGAUCAAUGCGCCCUCCGGCGGAGCACCGGAAAAGGCCCCAAGAUGGGAUCAAACGGGUACAGAAGGUUGCGGCGGUGGAAAUAGGGUUUCGUGGUGCUCCUGGAUGUUUUCGGGGUACGUAGGUAUAUAUAGGAGGAAGAAGUAGGUCGGUGGAGCUACGAGGGGCCCACAAGGGUGGGGGGCACGCCCAGGGGGGCAGGCGCGCCUCCCUGCCUCGUGGCCUCCUUGUUGAUUGAUUGACGUCCACUCCAAGUCCUCUGGAUCAUGUUUGUUCCGAAAAUCAUGUUCCCGAAGGUUUCAUUCCAUUUGGACUCCCUUUGAUAUUCCUUUUCUGCGAAACACUGAAAUAGGCAAAAAACAUCAAUUUGGGUUGGGCCUCCGGUUAAUAGGUUAGUCCCAAAAAUAAUAUAAAAGUGUAUAAUAAAGCCCAUUAAACAUCCAAAACAGAUAAUAUAAUAGCAUGGAACAAUAAAAAAUUAUAGAUACGUUGGAGACGUAUCAAGCAUCCCCAAGCUUAAUUCUUGCUCGUCCUCGAGUAGGUACAUGAUAAAAAUAGAAUUUUGAUGUGGAAUGCUACCUAGCAUAUUUCUCAAUGUAAUUUUCUUUAUUGUGGCAUGAAUGUUCAGAUCCAAAAGAUUCAAGAUAAAAGUUUAAUAUUGACAUAAAAAUAAUAAUACUUCAAGCAUACUAACUAAGCAAUUAUGUCUUCUCAAAAUAACAUGGCCAAAGUAAGUUCAUCCCUACAAAAUCAUAUAGCUUGGCUAUGUCCCAUCUUUGUCACACAAAAUAUUCAAAUCAUGCACAACCCCGGUUUCAGCCAAGCAAUUGUUUCAUACUUCAGAAUUUUCAAACUUUUUCAACUUUCACGCAAUACAUGAGCGUGAGCCAUGGACAUAGCACUAUGGGUGGAAUAGAAUAUGAUAAUGGGGGUUAUGUGGAGAAGACAAAAAGGAGAAGAUAGUCUCACAUCAACUAGGCGUAUCAACGGGCUAUGGAGAUGCCCAUCAAUAGAUAUCAAUGUGAGUGAGUAGGGAUUGCCAUGCAACGGAUACACUAGAGCUAUAAAUAUAUGAAAGCUCAACAAAUGAAACUAAGUGGGUGUGCAUCCAACUUGCUUGCUCAUGAAGACCUAGGGCAUUUGAGGAAGCCCAUUGUUGGAAUAUACAAGCCAAGUUAUAUAAUGAAAAAUUCCCACUAGUAUAUGAAAGUGACAAAACAAGAGACUCUCUAUCAUAAAGAUCAUGGUGCUACUUUGAAGCACAAGUGUGGAAAAAGAGAUAGUAGCAUUGUCCCCUUUUUAUUUUCUUUAUUUUUUUGGGCCUUCUUUAUUUUUUUAUUUGGCCUUCCCCCCUUUUUUGGGGACAAUGCUCUAUGAAUGAUGAUCAUCACACUUCUAUUCAUUUACAAAUCAAUGAUUACAACUCGAUACUAGAACAAAAUAUGACUCUAAAUGAAUGCCUCCGGCGGUGUACCGGGAUGGGCAAUGAAUCAAGAGUGACAUGUAUGAAGUUAUGCAUGGUGGCUUUGCCACAAAUACGAUGUCAACUACAUGAUCAUGCAUGGCAAUAUGAUAAUGAUGAAGCGUGUCAUAAUAAAUGAAACGGUGGAAGGUUGCAUGGCAAUAUGUCUUAGAAUGGCUAUGGAAAUGCCAUGAUAGGUAGGUAUGGUGGCUGUUUUGAGGAAGAUAUAAGGAGGUUUAUGUGUGAUAGAGCGCAUCAUAUCACGGGGUUUGGAUGCACCGGCGAAGUUUGCACCAACUCUCAAGGUGAGAAAGGGCAAUGCACGGUACCGAAGAGGCUAGCAAUGAUGGAAGAGUGAGAGUGCGUAUAAUCCAUGGACCCAACAUUAGUCAUAAAGAACUCACAUACUUAUUGCAAAAAUCUACAAGUCAUCAAAACCAAGCACUACACGCAUGCUCCUAGGGGGGAGGUUGGUAGGAGUUAACCAUCGCGCGACCCCGACCUCCACACGAAGGAUGACACUCAAAGAACACUUCAUGUUUCAAAUUUGUUACACAACGGUUACCAUACGUGCAUGCUACGGGACUUGCAAACUUCAACACAAGUAUUUCUCAAUUUCACAAUUACUCAACUAGCACAACUUUAAUAUCACUAUCUCCAUAUCUCAAAACAAUCAUCAAGUAUCAAACUUCUCAUAGUAUUCAAUGCACUUUAUAUGAUAGUUUUUAUUAUACCUAUCUUGGAUGCAUAUUGUAUUAGGACUAAUUUCAACCAAAGAAAAAUACCAUGCUGUUCUAAAAGACUCUCAAAAUAAUAUAAGUGAAGCAUGAGAGAUCAAUAAUUUCUAUAAAAUAAAACCUCCACCGUGCUCUGAAAGAUAUAAGUGAAGCACUAGAGCAAAAACUAUAUAGCUCAAAAGAUAUAAGUGAAGCACAUAGAGUAUUCUAAUAAAUUCCGAAUCAUGUGUGUCUCUCUCAAAAGGUGUGUACAGCAAGGAUGAUUGUGGUAAACUAAAAAGUAAAUACUCAAAUAAUACAAGACGCUCCAAGCAAAACACAUAUCAUGUGGUGAAUAAAAAUAUAGCCCCAAGUAAAGUUACCGAUAGACGAAGACAAAAGAGGGGAUGCCUUCCGGGGCAUCCCCAAGCUUAGGCUUUUGGUUGUCCUUGAAUUUUACCUUGGGGUGCCUUGGGCAUCCCCAAGCUUAGGCUCUUGCCACUCUUUGUUCCAUAAUCCAUCAAAUCUUUACCCAAAACUUGAAAACUUCACAACACAAAACUCAACAGAAAAUCUCAUAAGCUCCGUUAGCGAAAUAAAAUAAACCACCACUUUAAGGUACUGUAUUGAACUCAUUAUUUAUUUAUAUUGGUGUUAAACCUACUGUAUUCCAACUUCUCUAUGGUUUAUAAGCUCUUUUACUAGCCAUAGAUUCAUCAAAAUAAGCAAACAACACAUGAAAAACAGAAUCUGUUAAAAACAGAACAGUCUGUAGUAAUCUCUAUCUAACGCAAACUUCUGGAACCUAAAAACUUCUACCAAAUUAGGAAGUCCUAGAUAAUUUGUUUGUUUAUCUACUGGAAAAAUAAUGAACUGAAAAGCACGUUUCUUUGAUUUAUGAAAACUAAUCUCGUGCACGCAAAGUUUCUGUUUUUUAUAGCAAGACCAAAUAACUAUCACCGUAGGUUAUCCUAAAGGUUUGACUUGGCACAAACACUAAUUAAAACACAAAAACAAAUCUAACUAGAGGCUAGAUGAAUUAUUUAUUACUAACAGAACCAAAAAGAAAGAAACAAAAAUAAAUUUGGGUUGCCUCCCAACAAGCGCUAUCGUUUAACGCCCCUAGCUAGGCAUAAAAACAAGGAUAGAUCAAAGUAUUGCCAUCUUUGGUAGGCAACCCAUAAGUGGCCCUCAUAAUGGAUUCGUAAGGUAAUUUAAUCUUCUUUCUAGGGAAGUGUUCCAUGCCUUUCCUUAACGGAAAUUGGAAUCUAAUAUUCCCUUCCUUCAUAUCAAUAAUUGCACCAAUCGUUCUAAGGAAAGGUCUACCAAGAAUAAUAGGACAUGAAGGAUUGCAAUCUAUAUCAAGAACGAUAAAAUCCAUGGGCACAUAAUUCCUAUUUGCAACAAUAAGAACAUCAUUAAUUCUUCCCAUAGGUUUCUUGAUAGUGGAAUCCGCAAGGUGCAAGUUUAAAGAGCAAUCAUCAAAUUCACGGAAACCUAGCAAAUCACACAAAGUUUUUGGAAUCGUGGAAACACUAGCACCCAAAUCACACAAAGCAUAGCAUUCAUGAUCUUUAAUUUUAAUUUUAAUUGUAGGUUCCCACUCAUCAUAAAGUUUUCUAGGGAUAGAAACUUCCAACUCAAGUUUUUCUUCAUAAGAUUGCAUCAAAGCAUCAACGAUAUGUUUAGUAAAGGCUUUAUUUUGACUAUAAGCAUGAGGAGAAUUUAGCCCGGAUUGCAACAAGGAAAUACAAUCUAUUAAAGAGCAAUUAUCAUAGUUAAAUUCCUUGAAAUCCAAAAUAGUGGGUUCAAUGCUAUCUAAAGUUUUGACCUCUUCAAUCCCACUUUUACCAAUUUUUGCAUCAAGAUCUAAAAACUCUGAAUUAUUGGGAUGGCUUUUAACUAAAGUUGACUCAUCUCCAGUCCCAUCAUUAUCAAGAUUCAUAUUACAAAACAAAGAUUUAAUAGGAGACACAUCAAUAACUUUUAGAUCUUCAUCUUUAUUCUCAUAAAAACUAGAAGAACACGCCUUUACAAAGCAAUCUUUCUUAGGACACAUUCCAGCGGUUCUUUCUUUGCACUCAUCAAUGGAAAUUCUCAUGGCUUUGAGAGACUCAUUGAUAUCAUGCUUAGGUGGAAUAGAUCUAAGCUUCAAUGAAUCAACAUCAAGAGAAAUUCCAUCCACGCUCCUAGCCAAUUCAUCAACCUUUUUCUUCAAGCAAGGUGUUGAAAUUCUUUUGUGAAUUCAUAAACUCUUUAACACUAGUCUCAAAUUCAGAGGGAAACUUAUUAAAAUUUCCAUAAGAAUUGUUGUAGGAAUUACCAUAAUUAUUAGAGGAAUUACUAGGGAACGGCCUAGGAUUAAAGUUUCCUCUAUACGCGUUGUUACCAAAAUUAUUCCUACCAACAAAAUUCACAUCCAUAGAUUCAUUAUUAUUCUCAAUCAAAGUAGACAAAGGCAUAUCAUUAGGGUCAGAAGAAACACUCUUAUUAGCAAACAAUUUCAUAAGUUCAUCCAUAUUUCCACUCAAAACAUUAAUUUCUUCAAUCGCAUGAACCUUUUUACUAGUAGAUCUUUUAGUGUGCCAUUGAGAAUAAUUAACCAUAAUAUUAUCUAGGAGUUUAGUAGCUUCUCCUAAAGUGAUUUCCAUAAAAGUGCCUCCCGCGGCCGAAUCUAAAAGAUUUCUAGAAGCAAAAUUCAACCCGGCAUAAUUUUUUUGUAUAAUCAUCCACAAAUUCAAACCAUGAGUAGGGCAAUUACGUAUCAUUAAUUUCAUCCUCUCCCAAGCUUGUGCAACAUGUUCAUGAUCAAGUUGCUUAAAAUUCAUAAUAUCGUUUCUAAGAUAGAUGAUCUUAGCGGGAGGAAAAUACUUAGAGAUAAAAGCAUCUUUGCACUUAUUCCAAGAAUCAAUACUAUUUUUAGGCAAAGACGAAAACCAAGUUUUAGCACGAUCUCUAAGCGAAAACGGAAAUAACUUCAAUUUAACAAUAUCAUUGUCCACAUCUUUCUUCUUUUGCAUAUCACACAAAUCAACAAAGCUAUUUAGAUGGGUAGCGGCAUCUUCACUAGGAAGGCCGGCGAAUUGAUCUUUCAUGACAAGAUUCAACAAAGCAGCAUUAAUUUCACAAGAUUCAACAUCGGUAAGAGGAGCAAUCGGAGUGCUAAGGAAAUCAUUGUUGUUGGUAUUGGAAAAGUCACACAAUUUAGUAUUGUCUUGAGCCAUCAUGACAAGCAAGAAAUCCAACACACAAGCACAUAAGAAGCGGCGAGAAAAGAGGCGAACGGAAAAGAGGACAAAUAAAACUGCAAGGGUGAAGUGGGGGAGAGGAAAACGAGAGGCAAAUGGCAAAUAAUGUAAUGCGAGGGAUAAGAGUUUGUGAUGGGUACUUGGUAUGUCUUGACUUGUGCGUAGACUCCCCGACAACGGUGCCAGAAAUCCUUCUUGCUACCUCUUGAGCACAUCGUUGGUUUUCCCUUGAAGAGGAAAGGGUGAUGUAGCAAAGUAGCGUAAGUAUUUCCCUCAGUUUUUGAGAACCAAGGUAUCAAUCCAGUAGGAGGCCACACUCAAGUCCCUCGUACCUACACAAACAAAUAAGAACCUUGCAACCAACGCGAUAAAGGGGUUAUCAAUCCCUUCAUGACCACUUGCAAAAGUGAGAUCUGAUAGAGAUGAUAAGAUAAUAUUUUUGGUAUUUUAAUGAUAAAGAUUAAAGGUAAAGAAAGCAAAAUAAACGGUAAUAGAAAUUGCUAGUUGUUGGAAGAUUAAUAUGAUGGAAAGUAGACCCAGGGGCCAUAGGUUUCACUAGUGGCUUCUCUCAAGAUAGCAUAAGUAUUACGGUGGGUGAACAAAUUACUGUCGAGCAAUUGAUAGAAUUGAGCAUAGUUAUGAGAAUAUCUAGGCAUGAUCAUAUAUAUAGGCAUCACGUCCGUGACAAGUAGACCGACUCCUGCCUACAUCUACUACUAUUACUCCACACAUCGACCGCUAUCCAGCAUGCAUCUAGAGUAUUAAGUUCAUAAGAACAGAGUAACGCUUUAAGCAAGAUGACAUGAUGUAGAGGGAUAAACUCAAGCAAUAUGAUAUAAACCCCAUCUUUUUAUCCUCGAUGGCAACAAUACAAUACGUGUCGUUUCCCUUUCUGUCAUUGGGAUCGAGCACCGCAAGAUUGAACCCAAAGCUAAGCACUUCUCCCAUUGCAAGAAAGAUCAAUCUAGUAGGCCAAACCAAACUGAUAAUUCAAAGAGACUUGCAAAGAUAACCAAUCAUACAUAAAAGAAUUCAGAGGAGAUUCAAAUAUUGUUCAUAGAUAAUCUUGAUCAUAAACCCACAAUUCAUCGGAUCUCGACAAACACACUGCAAAAGAAGAUUACAUCAAAUAGAUCUCCAAGAGAAUCGAGGAGAACUUUGUGUUGAGAUCCAAAGAGAGAGAAGAAGCCAUCUAGCUAAUAACUAUGGACCCGAAGGUCUAAGGUAAACUACUCACACAUCAUAGAAGAGGCUAUGGUGUUGAUGUAGAAGCCCUCCGUGAUCAAUGCCCCCUCCGGCGGAGCGCCGGAAAAGGCCCCAAGAUGGGAUCUCACGGGUACAGAAGGUUGCGGCGGUGGAAAUAGGGUUUCGUGGUGCUCCUGGAUGUUUUCGGGGUACGUAGGUAUAUAUAGGAGGAAGAAGUAGGUCGGUGGAGCUACAAGGGCCCCACAAGGGUGGGGGGCGUGCCCAGGGGGGCAGGCGCGCCUCCCUGCCUCGUGGCCUCCUCGUUGAUUGCUUGACAUCCACUCCAAGUCCUCUGGAUCACGUUUGUUCCGAAAAUCACGUUCCCGAAGGUUUCAUUCCGUUAGGACUCUGUUUGAUAUUCCUUUUCUGCGAAACGCUGAAAUAGGCAAAAAAACAGCAAUUUGGGCUGGGCCUCCGGUUAAUAGGUUAGUCCCAAAAAUAAUAUAAAAGUGUAUAGUAAAGCCCAUUAAACAUCUAAAAUAGAUAAUAUAAUAGCAUGGAACAAUCAAAAAUUAUAGAUAUGUUGGAGACGUAUCAAGCAUCCCCAAGCUUAAUUCCUGCUCGUCCUCGAGUAGCUAAAUGAUAAAAACAGAAUUUUUGAUGUGGAAUGCUACCUAGCAUAUUUCUCAAUGUAAUUUUCUUUAUUGUGGCAUGAAUAUUCAGAUCCGAAAGAUUCAAGAUAAAAGUUUAAUAUUGACAUAAAAAUAAUAAUACUUCAAGCAUACUAACUAAGCAAUUAUGUCUUCUCAAAAUAACAUGGACAAAGUAAGUUUAUCCCUACAAAAUCAUAUAGUUUGGCCAUGUCCCAUCUUCGUCACACAAAAUAUUCAAAUCAUGCACAACCCCAGUUUCAGCCAAGCAAUUGUUUCAUACUUAAGGAUUUUCAAACUUUUUCAAUCUUCACGCAAUACAUGAGCGUGAGCCAUGGACAUAGUACUAUGGGUGGAAUAGAAUAUGAUGAUGGGGGUUGUGUGGAAAAGACAAAAAAGAGAAGAUAGUCUCACAUCAACUAGGCGUAUCAACGGGCUAUGGAGAUGACCAUAAUAGAUAUCAAUGUGAGUGAGUAGGGAUUGCCAUGCAACGGAUGCACUAGAGCUAUAAAUGUAUGAAAGCUCAACAUAAGAAACUAAGUGGGUGUACAUCCAACUUGCUUGCUCACGAAGACCUAGGGCAUUUCAGGAAGCCCAUUGUUGGAAUAUACAAGCCAAGUUCUAUAAUGAAAAAUUCCCACUAGUAUAUGAAAGUGACAAAACAAGCGACUCUCUAUCAUAAAGAUCAUGGUGCUACUUUGAAGCACAAGUGUGGAAAAAAGAUAGUAGCAUUGUCCCCUUUUUUAUUUCUCUUUUUUUGGGCCUUCUUUUUUAUUGGCAUUUCUCUUUUUUUGGGACAAUGCUCUAUGAAUGAUGAUCAUCACACUUCUAUUCAUUUACAACUCAAUGAUUACAACUCGAUACUAGAACAAAAUAUGACUCUAUAUGAAUGCCUCCGGUGGUGUACCGGGAUGGGCACUGAAUCAAGAGUGACAUGUAUGAUAAAUUAUGCAUGGUGGCUUUGCCACAAAUACGAUGUCAACUACAUGAUCAUGCAUGGUAAUAUGACAAUGAUGAAGCGUGUCAUAAUAAAUGAAACGGUGGAAAGUUGCAUGGCAAUAUAUCUCAGAAUGGUUAUGGAAAUGCCAUGAUAGGUAGGUAUGGUGGCUGUUUUGAGGAAGAUAUAAGGAGGUUUAUGUGUGAUAGAGCGUAUCGUAUCACGGGGUUUGGAUGCACCGGCGAAGUUUGCACCAACUCUCAAGGUGAGAAAGGGCAAUGCACGGCACCGAAGAGGCUAGAAAUGAUGGAAGGGUGAGAGUGCGUAUAAUCCAUGGACUCAACAUUAGUCAUAGAGAACUCACAUACUUAUUGCAAAAAUCUACAAGUCAUCAAAACCAAGCACUACACGCAUGCUCCUAGGGGGGAGGUUGGUAGGAGUUAACCAUCGCGCCUCCCCGACCUACACACAAAUGAUGACACUCAAAGAACACUUCAUGUUUCAAAAUUGUUACACAACAGUCACCAUACGUGCAUGCUACGGGACUUGCAAACUUCAACACAAGUAUUUAUCAAUUUCACAAUUACUCAACUAGCACAACUUUAAUAUCACUAUCUCCAUAUCUCAAAACAAUCAUCAAGUAUCAAACUUCUCAUAGUAUUCAAUGCACUUUAUAUGAUAGUUUUUAUUAUACCUAUCUUGGAUGCAUAUUGUAUUAGGACUAAUUUCAACCAAAGAAAAAUACCAUGCUGUUCUAAAAGACUCUCAAAAUAAUAUAAGUGAAUCAUGAGAGAUCAAUAAUUUCUAUAAAAUAAAACCUCCACCGUGCUCUGAAAGAUAUAAGUGAAGCACUAGAGCAAAAACGAUAUAGCUCAAAAGAUAUAAGUGAAGCACAUAGAGUAUUCUAAUAAAUUCCGAAUCAUGUGUGUCUCUCUCAAAAGGUGUGUACAGCAAGGAUGAUUGUGGUAAACUAAAAAGCAAAGACUCAAAUCAUACAAGACGCUCCAAGCAAAACACAUAUCAUGUGGUGAAUAAAAAUAUAGUAUCAAGUAAAGUUACCGAUGGACGAAGACGAAAGAGGGGAUGCCUUCCGGGGCAUCCCCAAGCUUAGGAUUUUGGUUGUCCUUGAAUUUUACCUUGGGGUGCCUUGGGCAUCCCCAAGCUUAGGCUCUUGCCACUCUUUGUUCCAUAAUCCAUCAAAUCUUUACCCAAAACUUGAAAACUUCACAACACAAAGCUCAAUAGAAAAUCUCAUAAGCUCCGUUAGCGAAAUAAAACAAACCACCACUUCAAGGUACUGUAAUGAACUCAUUAUUUAUUUAUAUUGGUGUUAAACCUACUGUAUUCAAACUUCUCUAUGGUUCAUAACCUCCGAUACUAGCCAUAGAUUCAUCAAAAUAAGCAAACAACACACGAAAAACAGAAUCUGUCAAAAACAGAACAAUCUGUAGUAAUCUGUAUCAAACGUAAACUUCUGGAACUCAAAAAAUUCUACCAAAUUAGGAAGUCCUAGAUAAUUUGUUUAUUAAUCUAGUUCAAAAAGAAUCAACUGAAAAGCACGUUUCUGUGAUUUAUGAAAACAAAUCUCGUGCGCAAAGUUUCUGUUUCUUACAGCAAGAUCAAAUAACUAUCACCGUAGGUUAUCCUAAAGGUUUUACUUGGCACAAAAACUAAUUAAAACACAAAACCACAUAUAACCAGUGGCUAGAUGAAUUAUUUAUUACUAAACAGAACCAAAAAGCAAGAAACAAAAAUAAAAUUGGGUUGCCUCCCAACAAGCGCUAUCGUUUAACGCCCCUAGCUAGGCAUUGAGAUUUCGAUGAUGUUUACAUGAAAGACAAGAAUUGAAGCGCAAAGAUAGCAUCAUGAAACACGUGACAAACACAUCUAAGUCUAACAUACUUCCUAUGCAUAGGCAUCUUAUAAGAAAACAAAUUAUCAUAGCAAGCAACAACUAGCACAUGCAAGGAAGCGGAAAGAAACAAUAGCAAUCUCUACAUAACGAGAGGUAAUUUAUUAUCAUGAAAACUUCUACAACCAUAUUUUCCUCUAUCAUAAUAAUUACAUGUGGGAUCAUAAGCAAAUUCAACAAAAUAGCUAUCACAUAAAAUAUUUUCAGCACGAUCCACAUGCAUGCAAAGUUGGCACUCUUCCAAAAUAGUGGGAUUAACAUUAACUAAAGUCAUGACCUGUCCAAACCCACUUUUAUCAAAAAUACCAUAAGAUUGAACAUUCUCCAAAUAUGUGGGAUCUAAAGUUGACACUCUUCCAAACCCACUUUCGAUAUUAUUGCAAACACUAUUAUCAAUCUUAGACUCAUCAUGGGGCUUAAAUAAAUUUUCAAGAUCAUAAGAAGAAUCACCCCAAUCAUGAUCAUUGCAACAAGUAGUAGACAUAGUAAAACUAGCAUCCCCAAGCUUUGGGUUUUGCAUAUCAUUAACACAAUUGACAUAAAUAGAAUUUAUGAUAACAUCAUUGCAAUCAUGCUUUUUAUUCAAAGAUCUAUCAUGAAUCACUUCAUAAAGCACUUCAUCACAAUUUUCAGAUUCACGGAUUUCAAGCAAAACCUCAUAAAGACAAUCUAGUGCACUCAAAUCACUAGAAAUUGGUUCAUCAUAACUGGAUCUCUUAAAAAGAUUAGCAAGGGGAUGAGGAUCCAUAAACUUUUAGCAAGCGAAGAUGCAAGCAAAAAGAAGGCACAUGGUAACACAAGAUCAAACGGAAAGAGGGCGAAUAAAACGGCAAAGGUGAAGUGGGGGAGAGGAAAACGAGAGGCAAAUGGAAAAUAAUGUAAUGCGAGGGAUAAGAGUUUGUGAUGGGUACUUGGUAUGUCUUGACUUGUGCAUAAACUCCCCGGCAAUGGCGCCAGAAAUCCUUCUUGCUACCUCUUGAGCACAGCGUUGGUUUUCCCUUAAAGUGGAAAGGGUGAUGCAGCAAAGUAGCGUAAGUAUUUCCCUCAGUUUUUGAGAACCAAGGUAUCAAUCCAGUAGGAGGCCACACGCAAGUCCCUCGUACGUACACAAACAAAUAAGAACCUUGCAACCAACGCGAUAAAGGGGUUGUCAAUCCCUUCACGGCCACUUGCAAAAGUGAGAACUGAUAGAGAUGAUAAUAUAAAUAUUUUUGGUAUUUUUGUUUUAUAGAUUGGAAAGUAAAGAAUGCAAAAUAAGCGGCAACAGAAAUUGGCGAGUUGUUGGGAGAAUAAUAUGCUGGAAAAUAGACCCGGGGGCCAUAGGUUUCACUAGUGGCUUCUCUCAAGAUAGCAUAAGUAUUACGGUGGGUGAACAAAUUACUGUCGAUCAAUUGAUAGAAAAGUGCAUAAUUAUGAGAAUAUCUAGGCAUGAUCAUGUAUAUAGGCAUCACGUCUGUGACAAGUAGACCAACUCCUGCCUGCAUCUACUACUAUUACUCCACACAUCGACCGCUAUCCAGCAUGCAUCUAGAGUAUUAAGUUCAUAAGAACAGAGUAACGCAUUAGGAAAGAUGACAUGUGUAGAGGGAUAAACUCAAGGUUAUGAUAUAAACCCCAUCUUUUUAUCCUCGAUGGCAACAAUACAAUACGUAUCGGUUCCCCUUCUGUCACUGGGAUCGAACACCGCAAGAUUGAACCCAAAGCUAAGCACUUCUCCCAUUGCAAGAAAGAUCAAUCUAGUAGGCCAAACCAAACUGAUAAUUUGAAGAGACUUGCAAAGAUAACCAAUCAUACAUAAAAGAAUUCAGAGGUGAUUCAAAUAUUGUUCAUAGAUAAUCUUGAUCAUAAACCCACAAUUCAUCGGAUCUCGACAAACACACCACAAAAAGAGUUACGUCGAAUAGAUCUCCAAGAAGAUCGAGGAGAACUUUGCAUUGAGAAUCAAAGAGAGAGAAGAAGCCAUCUAGCUAAUAACUAUGGACCCGGAGGUCUGAGGUAAACUACUCACACAUCAUUGGAGAGGCUAUGGUGUUGAUGUAGAAGCCCUCCGUGAUUAAUGCCCCCUCCGGUGGAGCGCCGGAAAAGGCCCCAAGAUGGGAUCUCACGGGUACAGAAGGUUGCGGUGGUGGAAAUAGGGUUUUGUGGAGCUCGUGGAUGGUUUCGGGGUACGUAGGUAUAUAUAGGAGGAAUAAGUAGGUCGGUGGAGCUACGAGGGGCCCAUGAGGGUGGGGGCGCGCCCAGGGGGGCAGGCGCGCCUCCCUGCCUCGUGGCCUCCUCGUUUCUUUCUUGACGUCCACUCCAAGUCCCGUGGAUUGCCUUUGUUCCAAAAAUAACUCUCCCGAAGGUUUCAUUCCGUUUGGAUUCCCUUUGAUAUUCCUUUUCUGCACAACACUGAAAUAGGCAAAAAAAACAUCAAUUUGAGUUGGGCCUCCGGUUAAUAGGUUAGUCCCAAAAAUAAUAUAAAAGUGUAUAGUAAAGCCCAUUAAACAUCCAAAACAGAUAAUAUAAUAGCAUGGAACAAUCAAAAAUUAUAGAUACGUUGGAGACGUAUCAGCUGUAAGAAUUCUUUGUGGAAUAAGUUCAUUCUUGUCAUUAGGAACAACAGUUAUACCUCCUUUCUUAGGGACACAAUGAACAUGACUUACCCAUCUACUAUCACCUAUGGGAUAAAUUAUACCUGCUUCCAGAAGUUUUAAUAUUUCCGUUCUUACCACUUCUUUCAUCUUUGGAUUUAACCGACGUUGGUAAUCAACAACGGGUUUAGCAUCAGGUUCCAUAUUAAUUUUGUGCUGACAUAGAGUGGGACUAAUGCCCUUUAAAUCAUCAAGAGUAUAUCCAAUAGUAGCACGGUGCUUCCUUAGAACUUUCAAUAAUCUUUCUUCUUCAUGUUCUGAAAGGUUAGCACUAAUAAUAACAGGAUAUAUCUUCUUUUCACCAAGAUAAGCAUAUUUCAAAGUGUCUGGCAAUUGUUUUAAUUCAAACACAGGAUCAACUUUAGGUGGAGGAGGACCUCCUAGAGUUUCAAUAGGCAAAUUGUGUUUAAGUAGAGGACGUUGUUCAAAGAAAAAUUUAUCUAUUUCAUUCCUUUCAUGCAUAUGUAAAUCAUUUUCAUGGUCUACCAAAUAUUGUUCUAAAGGAUCAGUAGGUGGUACAACAAUAGAAGCAAGUCCAAUUAAUUCAUCCUUACUAGGAAAUUCUUUUUCAUGAAAAUUUCUACUAAACUUGGAAAAAUUAAACUCAUGAGACUCAUUACCAAAACUAACACCGACAGUUUGUUUCUCACAGUCAAUUCUAGCAUUAACGGUGUUCAAGAAAGGUCUACCAAAGAUAAUAGGACAAAAGUCAUCUUGUGGUGAACCAAGAACAAGAAAAUCAGUAGGGUAUUUUAUUUUCCCGCACAAGACUUCAACAUCUCUAACAAUCCCAAUUGGUGAUAUAGUGUCUCUAUUAGCAAGUUUAAUAGUAACAUCUAUUUCUUCUAUCUCUGCGGGUGCUAUGUCAUUCAUAAUUUCUUGAUAUAAGGUGUAAGGAAUAGCACUCACACUAGCACCUAUGUCACAUAAACCAUGAUAAUAGUGAUCUCCUAUUUUAACUGAGAUGACGGGCAUGCCAACAACAGGUCUAUGUUUAUCUUUUUUAUCACGUUUGGCAAUUCUAACAGCUUCUUCACAGAAGUAAAUAACAUGCCCAUCCAUAUCUUCUUCUAAGAGAUCUUUAACCAUAGAAAUACUAGGUUCUACUUUAAUUUGUUCAUCAGGUUUAGGUGUUCUAAUAUAACUUUUGUUAACCACAGUUGAAACUUUAGCAUGUUCCUUUAUCCUAACAGGGAAAGGCGGUUUCUCUAUAUAAGCAGAAGGAACAACUGGAUCAACAUUAUAAAGUAUAGUUUCUUCUUUAACUGGUACCGGUUCUUUAAUUUCUUCUUUAAUAGGUGGGUGAUAUUUAAAUCACUUCUCUUUAGGGAGUUCAACAUGAGUAGCAAAUGAUUCACAAAGGGAGUCUACUAUCUCAGAGUCAAGUCCAUAUUUAGUGCUAUACUUUUGAAAAGCAUCGGUAUCCAUAAAAGAUUUAACACAAUCAUACUUAAGUUUAAUACCUGACUCUUUACCUUCGUCGAGUUCCCAAUCUUCAGAGUUGCGUUUAAUUCUUUCCAAAAGAUCCCACCGGAAUUCAAUAGUCUUCUUCAUAAAAGAACCAGCACAAGAAGUAUCAUGCAUGGUUUGAUCAUUACGAGAAAGCCGGGCAUAAAAAUUCUGGAUAACAAUUUCUCUUGAGAGCUCAUGAUUGGGGAAUGAAUAUAACAUUGACUUAAGCCUCCCCCAAGCUAGAGCGAUACUUUCUCCUUCACGAGGCCAAAAACUAUAUAUAUAAUUCCGAUCAUGAUGAACUAGAUGCAUAGGAUAAUUUUUUGGUGGAACUCCAAUUUCAGACGAUUCCAAUUCCAAGAUCCAAUAUCAUCGCAUAGCCUAUACCAUGCCAAUGCUUUUCCCUUCAAAGAUAAAGGUAAAACCUUCUUCAUAACUUCAUCCCUGGGUAAACCUGCAAGCUUGAACAAUCCACAAAUUUGUUCUACAUAUAUCAAGUGCAUAUCAGGAUGUUCGGUUCCAUCUCCUGCGUAAGGAUGACCUAGCAGUUGUUCUAUCAUACCCGAAGGAAUUUCAUAUUCAAUAUUUUCAGUAGGUGCAGUAGGUUGAGGGGUAGCUUAUUGUGGUUCCGGACGAGGUGAAGAUACCCCGAACAAAACCCUCAAAGGAUUGUUUUCCAUGGUAACAAGUGACAAUAAAUUUCAGCACACUAUAUAAAUGUUUCCUUACCAAAUUCCACUUACCAAAGGCGCUUCACUCCCCGGCAACGGCACCAGAAAAUAGUCUUGAUGACCCACAAGUAUAGGGGAUCAAUUGUAGCUCUUUUCGAUUAGUAAGAGUGUCGAACCCAACGAGGAGCAAAAGGAAAUGACAAGUGGUUUUAAGCAAGGUAAUGUCUGCAAGUGCUGAAAUUGUAAGUAGCGGAGAAGUUUGAUAGCAAGAUAAUUUGUAACGAGCAAGUAACGGUAGUAGUAACAAAAGUGCAGCAAGGUAGCCCAAUCCUUUUGAGGCAAAGGACGGGCCAAAACGGUCUCAUAUGAUAAGCAAGCGUUCUUGAGGGUACGCAGGAAUUUCAUCUAGUCACUUUCAUCAUGUUGGUUUAAUUCGUGUUCGGUACUUUGAUAGUUUGAUAUGUGGGUGGACCGGUGCUUAGGUGCUAUUCUUACUUGAACAAACCUCCUACUUAUGAUUAACCCUCCCGCAAGCAUCUGCAACUACGAGAAAAGUAUUAAGAAUAAAUUCUAACCAUAGCAUUCAACUUUUGGAUCCAAUCGGUCCCUUAUGGAAUAGCGCAUAAACUGGGGUUUAAGCUUCUGUCACUCUCGCAACCCAUCAUCUAAUUUCUACUCCACAAUGCAUUCCCUCAGGCCCAAAUAUGGUGAAGUGUCAUGUAGUCGACGUUCACAUGACACCACUAAGGGAAUCACAACAUACAUACUAUCAAAAUAUCAAACACAUAUCAAAUUCACAUGAUUACUUACAACAUGAUUUCUGCCGUGGCCUCAAGAACAAAGGUAACUACUCACAAAUGAUAAACAUGCUCAUGAUCAGAGGAGUAUUAAUUAGCAUAAUGGAUCUGAACAUAUAAUCUUCCACCAAAUAAACCAUAUAGUAAUCAACUACAAGAUGUAAUCAACACUACUAGUCACCCACAAGCACCAAUCUAUAGUUCCGGUAACAAGAUUGAACAUAAGAGAUGAACUAGGGUUUGAGAUGAGAUGGUGCUGUUGAAGAUGUUGAUGGAGAUUGCUUUCCCCAAGAUGGGAGAGUUGUUGGUGAUGAUGAUGACGAUGAUCCCCCCCGGGAGGGAAGUUCCCCCGGCGGAAUCGCUCCGCCGGAGGGCAACUGUGCUCCUGCCCAAGUUCUGCCUCGAGACGGCAGCGCUCCGUCCCGAAAGCCCUCUCCUUAUUUUUUCUAGGUCAAAAUGACCUAUAUACCAGAAGAUGGGCACUGGAGGUGGGCCUGGGUGAGCACAACCCACCAGGGCGCGCCUGGUCUCGCUGGCGCGCCCAGGUGGGUUGUGCCCACCUGGUGGGCCCCCUCUAGUAGUUAGUUGCUCCAAUAAUUCUUAAAUAUUCCAUAAAAAAUCUCCGUGAAGUUUCAGCUUGUUUGGAGUUGUGCAGAAUAGGUAGCCUGACAUAGCUUUUCCAGGUCCAGAUUUCCAGCUGCCAGAAUUCUCCCUCUUGGUGUGUACCUUGCAAAUUAUGAGAGAAAAGGCAUCAGAAUUACUCCAAAAAGCAUUAUUAUGGAUAAAAACAUUAUAAAUAACAGUAAGAAAACAUGAUGCAAAAUGGACGUAUCAAUGCCUAUAUAAUGAUCAUUGCCUGGAUAUCGUCAUGAUUAUUUGAAGUUCUAUCAAUUGUCCAACAGUAAUUUGUUCACCCACCGUUUGCUAUUUUUCUCGAGAGAAGCCACUAGUGAAACCUACGGCCCCCGGGUCUCUUUCUCAUAUAUUUGCCUUUGCGAUCUACUUUUCCUUUGCCUUUAUUUUCAGAUCUAUUAAACAAAAAAUACAAAAAUACCUUGCUGCGUUUUAUUCUUAUUUAUUUUAUUUGGCGUUCGAUCUAUCAAUCUACUACAAUUUUAUCUCACGUCCUGUCGGGGACAUACCCCGCGGUAUGACCCGGCCGGAGGUAUGACCCGGCUGGGACUUGGCGUUUCAUUGGUAAACCGCCCGGAGCUUGGCGACUCAUGGGUGACCCACCCAGAGCUUGGCUACUUACUGGUCAUGGCGACUCACUGAUGACCUUGGCGGCGGGUCAGGCCCAAGGACCAGAAGGCCGGUUCGUGUUAUGAUGGGCCGGCUUAAGAGGAAAGGCAUGAAGAAUAUUUCCCUUACAAGGAAUCAAGAUCCGGACUUGUACCCGGUUUGUAAUAGAGAAUAGACUAGUCCUAAUCCUACUAGGACUCUACAUGUAAGCCGCCCCUUCAACUUAUAUAAGGAGGGGCAAGGCUACCCAAGAGGGACAAGUAAGAAGUAAGAAGCUCAAUAAUCUCUAGGGCUAGACACAACUAAAGGAGAGCCGGCUUAUACAGCGACUCCCUCAUGAUCAUAAUGAGAUCUAGCCACAAACAGCAUGUAGGGCUAUUACCGGAUGAUGUUUCCCGGGGUCCGAAGCUGUCUAAAAUCCCGCGUCUCUCGUCCCACUCAACCCCUCUCAAGCGACUACAUAGAUGCGUUGGCCUCACGACUAAGUCCUCACACUAGGACAUCUGGCCAUGACAAAUUCACGACAGUUGGCGCCCACCGUGGGGCUUGCACACGGUGGUGUUGAGUUCUUGGAAGGAUCCUUCACAGGGUUUCGAGGAGUUCGUGAUUUUCAAGUAAAGAAGAGCCGGAUUGCAUCUGUGUGCACCGUCACACGCAACCAGGCGAUCCGUCGUGGCCGGAUCGCUUUCCCCUGCACCGCCGCGAGAUGCCAAGGGCAGAGGGGGUUCUAUUGGCACGGAUCAAAAUCAUCAAAUUACGGUUGUUUCUGUCUGAUUCGCUGAGUCGCCGCCGCCGCAUACAGGAGUCGCCGACACCGUCACCUGAAGCCAGAUCGGUUUUUGUCAAAUCUGGUUGCUAUAUGCAUACAAGGAAUCUACCAGGAAGUUAAUUCAAGAAUUAAGAAAGGAAAAGCUAUUACGGGGCUUUAGCGCGUGAAUACCAAGGAAGAAGAGAUCCAGUGACCAGCCUCGGACACGGAUAGUUCGCGACCCGGAUUCGCUGUCGCCGAGUCAGUGGGUUUGACUCAGAGUCGCUGCCAUGACCCGCCGAGCUGCGGGCAUCCUCACCGACCGCUGCGUCGAGCAGCCAUAGGAAUCCAUAGGCAUCAUCUCGCCCCUGGGGCACUGGGAUGGUCUGCCACCGCACUGCACCGUCCGUCUUGACCCGCGACUGCCUUGAGUCGCCAACGGCGCAGGCCGCCGCUAAGCCGCCACCUUCACCUCACCUUUGGGCCACCGGCGCCUCUCCGCUGUCACGACUGCACCGCCUUGAGCCGCCCUCCUUGAAGCGCCAAGCCACUCCUGCCUUGGCCUUGCAUCUCCUCACCCACGGCCGUGACGAGCCGCUGGGGCUGAGCCGCUCGGGCUUACCUGUUCUGAACCAUCCGCCCGUCGGUUGUCUUUGAUUUCGCCGCUCAAGCCGCCGCGCCCGUGAGCCACCUCCACCUUGAGAUGCCCCGUGCGGCCGCUCCCACUGCUUCUUCUGCCGUGAGCCCGUGACUCGUCUCCGCUUUGCCAAGGCGUCCCCUACUGAUGUCGUCUUGUCUCGCCAGUACAUAACAAAAGAAAAUUGGGGGUUCAGCCGGAGGAUAAUGGAGCAGUGCAUGCAUGCAUGAUGAUUCGAAGACUAGUCUGCCGACAAUAAUGGAGCAGGAAUCUCAGUGGACAAAUACUAUUAUUAAGUUUACAGAAGGUCGAUGGCAGUCAAGAUGUUGGAUUAAAUCCCAAAGACACAAAGCAAAGUACACUAGUACUAGAUCAAUUAUGUCAAGGCUGAUUUGAUUACUUAUUGGUGGACUACUACCCACGUGGAGGCCUGGAACAGUACUACAAGUACUAUGACAUUUGCAGAGCAGUAUUUCAUCUAUUUUCUGUCCACACCGUCCAGCAUUAUGCAUUGGCAGCGUCUGCGCUCAUUCGACAAAAUCACCAGGUGCUAUCUUUUUCAGUAUUUUAUCAGCACAUAUAAAUUAUUUGAGAACAAUUACUUGGUCUGUGGUAUUUUUUCGCAGGACCAUUAUUCAUUACAAAAGGUGUCACAAAGGGGGCCGGCAUUAUUUUUGCGCUAGCGCUUGUCAGUGUCGUGAUGCUUGACGGAUACGUGCGCAAGUCGCCGCUCCCGCUACAUCAACACAACGCAAUUAACUCGCCCGUCCGCACCGGCUUACAACACCGCGGUUGUCUCAUCUGUCCAUGCCCGCGGCCCACUCGCCCGCGUUCGUGCUGUCUCUGAUGCCGCGGUCGUCUUUACUGUCCGCCCUGUGUUCCUGUCUAUUCCAACAAUUCUGGUGGCAAAUUAUCAUAUAUUGUCAGGCGCUGUCUGUACUGGAUGACUCAAUGGGCAGGCGCACAAGUCGCCGCCACUACAGUUUGGUUAACUCAAACAGCCAGUUGGGAUGAACCUUUGACCGAGUUGCCGACACGGCUCAUACGGGAUCAUUUAUAACACGCCGCAGUCACCUCAACCUUCUAUGGAUUCACAUCGCAUUAUCAACGCCAAUGAUAUACAUCGUAUGCUAUGGUCAAAUAUGGAGAAUCUCAAGCCAACUCCUCGAGUCGUCUUGAGACUCGGGGGCUACAAUGACAUGACACGGUAGAAUUGGCCGGUGUCGGUGAAUUCAAGAACUCCGAGUCAUUGGAGGGAAAAAUAACCCGGCCCCGGAGGCUAUUGCUGCAUUGAUGAAAAUUUAAAGGCCGUCAGAAAACUUCUGGCUUAAGAAGGUGCCUGGCAAACAAAAAUUUCCGGCUUAAAAUGAAGGAUUCCGGUUUAAAAUCCGGCUCAAGGGAAAUCUGUCUCUCACAAAGCUUUGAAGCUCUCAAUAUCCGGUUUAAAAUUUUGGUUCAUAAAGAAUCCAUCUCUCGCAAGUUUGAGUUCUCAGGAAAAAUUAAAGGUUGCCAAAGAGAACUUGCUACCAUGAUGCGUGGUUCAAACAUGGGUAUCCUGCCUUAUUGGCUUAUCUUAUUGGUCACUUGGGGGCUUCCUGCUCAAUGAGCAUAGCUGUACCUACCCUCUUGAUCUGGCUUACACGCUGUCGGUGUCAAAACCGGCGGAUCUCGGGUAGGGGGUCCCGAACUGUGCGUCUAAGGCUAAUGGUAACAGGAGGUGGGGGACACAAUGUUACCCAGGUUCGGCCCCUUUCGAUGGAGGUAAUACCCUACUUCCUGCUUGAUUGAUCUUGAUGAUAUGAGUAUUACAAGAGUUGAUCUACCACGAGAUUGUAGAGGCUAAACCCUAGAAGCUAGCCCUAUGAUUAUGAUUGUUGUAUAUGAUUGAUCGACUAGCCUGGCCUCGGUUUAUAUAAUGCACCAGAGGCCUAGGAUGACAAGAGUCCUAGCCGAAUACGCCGGUGGGGAGGAGUCCUUGUCUUGAUCACCAAGUCUUGUGGAAUCUUCCUUGUAUGCGGCAGCUGUCCGGACUGGCCCAUGAGUAUAUGGCCACGGGGGUCCUCGGCCCAAUCUAACUGAUCGAGGGACGAUGUGGUGAGUACCCCCUAGUCCAGGACACCGUCACAUGCCUUAUUACAAAUCACUUGGGGGCUUCCUGCCCAAAUUAAAGGAUUACCAAAGAGAACUUGCUGCACUACGCAGUUCAAACAUAGGUAUCCUACCUUGAGGCUCAUUAUAUGUCAUUUGGGAGCUUCCUGUUCAAACAUAGGCGUAUUCACCAAAGAGAACAUAGUGUUACUACCCUCUUGAUUGGCUUGGAACGUUAGGUGUAUUCACCAAAAUUUCCGGGUUAUCCUGCCUGUAUGUCAUUGGUACUCCGCCCAGGUAAUCCUGGAAUGACCCGCCGUGUUUUCAGCAAGUCAAUCUUUUAAAAUAAGACCCUGAACUUGUUAAAGUUAGACCGGCGGUUUGUCAUGUGAGGACCGGCUUACGGAUAGCGAGGAGAAACCCAGGCUAUUAAGCCGCCUUCAUUGAAACUUGGUUAAACCUGCCUGUUUGCAAGAUGCUACUCCGAACCCCGUGUACUCUUGAUAAGUCAAUCCACAUGGAACCUGAACUUAUCCAUGUUAAAACAUCGAUUGGGUCAUGUGAGAGCCUACUUACAGAAAGCGAGGAUAAACCAGUGGCUAUCAUGCUAGUUUCAUUGAAGUGAGGUUCAAGCUUCAAAAGAUGACAUUUUUUACUCUGUUAUCGUACACAUACAUCAUCAUCAUACUUUGCAUCAUCAUUGCAUUACCAUAGCAUGCAUCAUAUAUGUAUGGAUAUACUGGUUUAUAUUGCAGGAGCCGGUUUCCAAACCGGGUUAUAUUAUUCAAAUCUUUAAUAGCCAACAUGGCUGGAUUUUUAUUAUGGUUAUCAAUAACCAGUAUUAUGAUUGAGGUUUACAAAGCCGCUUUAGAGUAAUGGCUAUUAUUCCCUCAUCCAAGAAUACGAGCUCGCAACAAGGAGUAUGGUUCAAUAUUGAUAUGCAAGGCAUUCAGCAAUAUCAUACAGACAGUGGAUAUGAUUUAUUUACAAUAGAAGGGAUAGUCCCAAGUCGCUGCAGGCUUACAACCCCGCACUUGGGGGCUACAUUAUUCAAAUCAUGAUUAUAUCAAAUAUGGAAGUCCCAUGUCGCUGCAAGCAUGCACCAUGACACUUGGGGGCUAAUGCAAAGUCAUUUUUUAAUCGCCUUAUUGAAGACCUGACUCAUCACAUCGUAAUGAGCCGGCCCUUGGGGGAUACCAAUUCCUCCUGUCAAAAAAUUCAAAGUACACAAGCCUUAAUCCAUUAUAUCGAAGGGUCCACUGCUCAGUUGGUAGAGUACAAUGUUGGGAAUCGUAGCAUAAUUUUAAAAUUUUCCUACGUUCACCAAGAUGCAUCUAUGGAGUAUACUAGCAACGAGGGGAAGGGAGUGCAUCUACAUACCCUUGUAGAUCGCGAGCGGAAGCGUUCCAAUGAACGUGGAUGACGGAGUCGUACUCGCCGUGAUCCAAAUCACCGAUGACCGAGUGCCGAACGGACGGCACCUCUGCGUUCAACACACGUACGGUGCAGCGAUGUCUCCUCCUUCUUGAUCCAGCAAGGGGAAGGAGAGGUUGAUGGAGAUCUAGCAGCACGACGGCGUGGUGGUGGAUGUAGCGGGUCUCGGCAGGGCUUCGGUAAGCUUCUGAGAGAGAGAGAGAGGUGUUGCAGGGGAGGAGGGAGGCGCCCAAGGCUGUUCUCUGCUGCCCUCCCCCCUUUAUAUAGGCCCCCUGGGGGGGCGCCGGCCCCAAGAGAUGGGAUCUCAAGGGGGGGCGGCGGCCACAAGGGGGAAGGGGUUGCCUUGCCCCCAAGGCAAGGGGGAACUCCCCCCUAGGGUUCCCAACCCUAGGCGCAUGGGGGAGGCCCAAGGGGGGCGCCCCAGCCCACUAAGGGCUGGUUCCCUUCCACUUUCAGCCCACGGGGCCCUCCGGGAUAGGUGGCCCCACCCGGUGGACCCCCGGGACCCUUCCGGUGGUCCCAGUACAAUACCGGUAACCCCCGAAACUUUCCCGGUGGCCGAAACUGGACUUCCUAUAUAUAAUUCUUCACCUCCGGACCAUUCCGGAACCUCUCGUGACGUCCGGGAUCUCAUCCGGGACUCCGAACAACUUUCGGGUUUCCGCAUACAUAUAUCUCUACAACUCUAGCGUCACCGAACCUUAAGUGUGUAGACCCUACGGGUUCGGGAGACAUGCAGACAUGACCGAGACGCCUCUCCGGUCAAUAACCAACAGCGGGAUCUGGAUACCCAUGUUGGCUCCCACAUGCUCCACGAUGAUCUCAUCGGAUGAACCACGGUGUCGAGGAUUCAAUCAAUCUGUAUACAAUUCCCUUUGUCAAUCGGUAUGUUACUUGCCCGAGAUUCGAUCGUCGGUAUCCCAAUACCUUGUUCAAUCUCGUUACCGGCAAGUCUCUUUACUCGUACCGCAAUGCAUGAUCCCGUGACUAACGCCUUAGUCACAUUGAGCUCAUUAUGAUGAUGCAUUACCGAGUGGGCCCAGAGAUACCUCUCCGUCACACGGAGUGACAAAUCCCAGUCUCGAUCCGUGCCAACCCAACAAACACUUUCGGAGAUACCCGUAGUGCACCUUUAUAGUCACCCAGUUACGUUGUGACGUUUGGCACAUCCAAAGCACUCCUACGGUAUCCGGGAGUUGCAUGAUCUCAUGGUCUAAGGAAAAGAUACUUGACAUUGGAAAAGCUCUAGCAAACGAAACUACACGAUCUUUUAUGCUAUGCUUAGGAUUGGGUCUUGUCCAUCACAUCAUUCUCCUAAUGAUGUGAUCCCGUUAUCAAUGACAGCCAAUGUCCAUAGUCAGGAAACCAUGACUAUCUGUUGAUCAACGAGCUAGUCAACUAGAGGCUUACUAGGGACACGUUGUGGUCUAUGUAUUCACACAUGUAUUACGAUUUCCGGACAAUACAAUUAUAGCAUGAAUAAUAGACAAUUAUCAUGAACAAAGAAAUAUAAUAAUAACCAUUUAUUAUUGCCUCUAGGGCAUAUUUCCAACAGUCUCCCACUUGCACUAGAGUCAAUAAUCUAGUUACAUUGUGAUGAAUCGAACACCCAUUGCGUCCUGGUGUUGAUCAUGUUUUGCCCUCGGGAGAGGUUUAGUCUAGGGAUCUGCUACAUUCAGGUCCGUAUGUACUUUACAAAUAUCUAUGUCUCCAUUUUGAACACUUUCACGAAUGGAGUUGAAGCGACGCUUGAUAUGUCUGGUCUUCCUGUGAAACCUGGGCUACUUCGCAAGGGCAAUAGCUCCAGUGUUGUCACAGAAGAGAGUCAUCGGGCCCGACGCAUUGGGAAUCACCCCUAGGUCGGUAAUGAACUCCUUCAUCCAGACUGCUUCCUGUGCUGCCUCCGAGGCUGCCAUGUACUCCGCUUCACAUGUAGAUCCCGCCACGACGCUUUGCUUGCAACUGCACCAGCUUACUGCUCCUCCAUUCAAAAUAUACACGUAUCCGGUCUGUGACUUCGAGUCAUCUAGAUCUGUGUCGAAGCUAGCGUCGACGUAACCCUUUACGACGAGCUCUUCGUCACCUCCAUAAACGAGAAACAUAUCCUUAGUCCUCUUCAGGUACUUCAGGAUAUUCUUGACCGCUGUCCAGUGUUCCUUGCCGGGAUUACUUUGGUACCUUCCUACCAAACUUACGGCAAGGUUUACAUCAGGUCUGGUACACAGCAUGGCAUACAUAAUAGACCCUAUGGCCGAGGCAUAGGGGAUGACACUCAUCUCUUCUAUAUCUUCUGCCGUGGUCGGACAUUGAGCCGUGCUCAAUUGCACACCUUGCAAUACAGGCAAGAACCCCUUCUUGGACUAAUCCAUAUUGAACUUCUUCAAUAUCUUGUCAAGGUAUGUACUCUGUGAAAGACCAAUGAGGCGUCUUGAUCUAUCUCUAUAGAUCUUGAUGCCUAAUAUAUAAGCAGCUUCUCCAAGGUCCUUCAUUGAAAAACACUUAUUCAAAUAGGCCUUUAUACUCUCCAAGAAUUCUAUAUCAUUUCCCAUCAAUAAUAUGUCAUCCACAUAUAAUAUGAGAAAUGCUACAGAGCUCCCACUCACUUUCUUGUAAACACAGGCUUCUCCAUAAGUCUGUGUGAACCCAAACGCUUUGAUCAUCUCAUCAAAGCGAAUGUUCCAACUCCGAGAUGCUUGCACCAUCCCAUAGAUUGAGCGUUGGAGCUUGCAUACUUUUUUAGCAUUCUUAGGAUCGACAAAACCUUCCGGCUGCAUCAUAUACAACUCUUCCUUAAGGAAGCCGUUAAGGAAUGCCGUUUUGACGUCCAUCUGCCAUAUCUCAUAAUCAUAGUAUGCGGCAAUUGCUAACAUGUUUCGGACGGACUUCAGCUUCGCUACGGGCGAGAAAGUCUCAUCGUAGUCAACCCCUUGAACUUGUCGAUAACCCUUAGCGACAAGUCAAGCUUUGUAGAUGGUCACAUUACCAUCUGCGUCCGUCUUCUUCUUAAAGAUCCAUUUGUUUUCUAUGGCUCGCCGCUCAUCGGGCAAGUCAGUCAAAGUCCAUACUUUGUUUUCAUACAUGGAUUCUAUCUCGGAUUUCAUGGCUUCUAGCCAUUUGUCGGAAUCCGGGCCCGCCAUCGCUUCUUCAUAGUUCGAAGGUUCACCGUUGUCUAACAACAUGAUUUCCAUGACAGGGUUGCCGUACCACUCUGGUGCGGAACGUGUCCUUGUGGACCUACGAAGUUCAGUAACUUGAUCUGAAGUUUCAUGAUCAUCAUCAUUAACUUCCUCCCCAGUCGGUGUAGGCACCACAGGAACAUUUUCCCGCGCUGCGCUACUUUCCGGUUCGGAAGGGGUGACUAUCACCUCAUCAAGUUCCACUUUCCUCCCACUCAAUUCUUUCGAGAGAAACUCCUUCUCUAGAAAGGACCUGUUCUUGGCAACGAAGAUCUUGCCUUCGGAUCUGAGGUAGAAGGUAUACCCAAUAGUUUCCUUAGGGUAUCCUAUGAAGACGCAUUUUUCCGAUUUGGGUUCGAGCUUUUCAGGUUGAAGUUUCUUGACAUAAGCAUCGCAUCCCCAAACUUUUAGAAACGACAGCUUAGGUUUCUUCCCAAACCAUAAUUCAUACGGUGUCGUCUCAACGGAUUUAGACGGUGCCCUAUUUAAAGUGAAUGCGGCAGUCUCUAAAGCAUAACCCCAAAAUGAGAGCGGUAAAUCGGUAAGAGACAUCAUAGAUCGCACCAUAUCCAAUAGAGUGUGAUUACGACGUUCGGACACACCAUUUCUCUGAGGUGUUCCAGGCAGCGUGAGUUGUGAAACUAUUCCACAUUUCCUUAAGUGUGUACCAAAUUCAUGACUUAAAUAUUCUCCACCACGAUCUGAUCGUAAGAAUUUUAUUUUCCUGUCACGUUGAUUCUCGACUUCACUCUGAAAUUCCUUGAACUUUUCAAAGGUUUCAGACUUGUGUUUCAUUAGGUAGACAUACCCAUAUCUACUUAAAUCAUCAGUGAGAGUGAGAACAUAACGAUAUCCUCCGCGAGCCUCAACACUCAUUGGACCGCACACAUUGGUAUGUAUGAUUUCCAAUAAGUUGGUUGCUCGCUCCAUUGUUCCGGAGAACGGAGUCUUGGUCAUCUUACCCAUGAGGCAUGGUUCGCACGUGUCAAAUGAUUCGUAAUCAAGAGACUCCAAAAGUCCAUCUGCAUGGAGCUUCUUCAUGCGCUUGACACCAUUGUGACCAAGGCGGCAGUGCCACAAGUAUGUGGGACUAUCGUUAUCAACUUUACAUCUUUUGGUAUUCACACUAUGAAUAUGUAUAACAUCACGUUCGAGAUUCAUGAAAAAUAAACCAUUGACCAGCGGGGCAUGACCAUAAAACAUAUCUCUCAAAUAAAUAGAACAACCAUUAUUCUCAGAUUUAAAUGAGUAGCCAUCUCGAAUUAAACGAGAUCCAGAUACAAUGUUCAUGCUCAAAGCUGGCACUAAAUAACAAUUACUGAGGUUUGAAACUAAUCCCGUGGGUAGAUGCAGAGCUAGCGUGCCAACGGCGAUCACAUCGACCUUGGAACCAUUCCCGACGCGCAUCGUCACCUCGUCCUUUGCCAGUCUUCGUUUAUUCCGUAGUUCCUGCUUUGAGUUACAAAUAUGAGCAACCGCAUCGGUAUCAAAUACCCAGGAGCUACUACGAGUACUAGUAAGGUACACAUUAAUUACUUGUAUAUCACAUAUACCUUGGGUGUUGCCGGCCUUCUUCUUGUCCGCUAAAUAUUUGGGGCAGUUCCGCUUCCAGUGACCACUUCCCUUGCAAUAAAAGCACUCAGUCUCGGGCUUGGGUCCAUUCUUUGACUUCUUCCCGGUAACUGGCUUACCGGGCGCGGCAACUCCCUUGCCGUCCUUCUUGAAGUUCUUCUUACCCUUGCCCUUCUUGAACUUAGUGGUUUUAUUCACCAUCAACACUUGAUGUUCUUUUCUGAUCUCUACCUCAGCUGAUUUCAGCAUUGAAUAUACCUCGGGAAUGGUCUUUUCCAUCCCCUGCAUAUUGUAGUUCAUCACAAAGCUCUUGUAGCUUGGUGGAAGCGACUGGAGGAUUCUGUCAAUGACCGCGUCAUCCGGGAGAUUAACUCCCAGCUGAGACAAGCGGUUGUGCAACCCAGACAUUCUGAGUAUGUGCUCACUAACAGAACUGUUCUCCUCCAUUUUACAGAUGAAGAACUUGUCGGAGACAUCAUAUCUCUCGACCCGGGCAUGAGCUUGAAAAACCAGUUUCAGCUCCUCGAACAUCUCAUGUGCUCCAUGUUUCUCAAAACGCUUUUGGAGACCCGGUUCUAAGCUGUAAAGCAUGCCGCACCGAACGAGGGAGUAAUCAUCAGCACGCUGCUGCCAAGCGUUCAUAACGUCUUGGUUCUCAGGGAUUGGUGCUUCACCUAGCGUUGCUUCUAAGACAUAAUCUUUCUUGGCUGCUAUGAGGAUGAUCCUCAGGUUCCGGACCCAGUCCGUAUAGUUGCUGCCAUCAUCUUUCAGCUUGGUUUUCUCUAGGAACGCGUUGAAAUUGAGGACAACGUGGGCCAUUUGAUCUACAAUACAUAGUGUAAAGAUUUUAGACUAAGUUCAUGAUAAUUAAGUUCAUAUAAUCAAAUUAUUUAAUGAACUCCCACUCAGACAGACAUCCCUCUAGUCAUCUAAGUGAAACAUGAUCCGAAUUCAACUAGGCCGUGUCCGAUCAUCACGUGAGACGGACUAGUCAAGAUCGGUGAACAUCUCCAUGUUGAUCGUAUCUUCUAUACGACUCAUGCUCGACCUUUCGGUCCUCCGUGUUCCAAGGCCAUGUCUGUACAUGCUAGGCUCGUCAAGUCAACCUAAGUGUAUUGCGUGUGUUCCGAGGCCAUGUCUGUACAUGCUAGGCUCGUCAACACCCGUUGUAUUCGAACGUUAGAAUCUAUCACACCCGAUCAUCACGUGGUGCUUCGAAACAACGAACCUUCGCAACGGUGCACAGUUAGGGUGAACACUUUCUUGAAAUUAUUAUAAGGGAUCAUCUUACUUACUACCGUCGUUCUAAGCAAAUAAGAUGCAAAAACAUGAUAAACAUCACAUGCAAUCAAAUAGUGACAUGAUAUGGCCAAUAUCAUUGUGCUCCUUUGAUCUCCAUCUUCGGGGCACCAUGAUCAUCUUUGUCACCGGCAUGACACGAUGAUCUCCAUCAUCAUGAUCUCCAUCAUCAUGAUCUCCAUCAUUGUGUCUUCAUGAAGUCGUCACGCCAACGAUUACUUCUACUUCUAUGGCUAACGCGUUUAGCAACAAAGUAAAGUAAUUUACAUGGCGUUAUUCAAUGACACACAGGUCAUACAAAAUAAUAAAGACAACUCCUAUGGCUCCUGCCGGUUGUCAUACUCAUCGACAAGCAAGUCGUGAUUCCUAUUACAAGAAUAUGAUCAAUCUCAUACAUCACAUAUAUCAUUCAUCACAUCUUCUGGCCAUAUCACAUCACAUAGCACUUGCUGCAAAAACAAGUUAGACGACCUCUAAUUGUUGUUGCAAGUUUUACGUGGUUUGUAGGUUUCUAGCAAGAACGUUUCUUACCUACGUAUGACCACAACGUGAUUUGCCAAUUUCUAUUUACCCUUCAUAAGGACCCUUUUCAUCGAAUCCGUUCCGACUAAAGUAGGAGAGACAGACACCCGCUAGCCACCUUAUGCAACUAGUGCAUGUCAGUCGGUGGAACCAGUCUCACGUAAGCGUACGUGUAAGGUCGGUCCGGGCCGCUUCAUCCUACAAUGCCGCCGAAACAAGAAACGACUAGUAGCGGCAAGAAGAAUUGGCAAACUCAACGCCCACAACUGCUUUGUGUUCUACUCGUGCAUAGUAACUACGCAUAGACCUGGCUCAUGAUGCCACUGUUGGGAAUCGUAGCAUAAUUUUCAAAUUUUAUUACGUUCACCAAGAUGCAUCUAUGGAGUAUACUAGCAACGAGGGGAAGGGAGUGCAUCUACAUACCCUUGUAGAUCGCGAGCGGAAGCGUUCCAAUGAACGUGGAUGACGGAGGCGUACUGGCCGUGAUCCAAAUCACCGAUGACCGAGUGCCAAACGGACGGCACCUCCGCGUUCAACACACGUACGGUGCAGCGACGUCUCCUCCUUUUUGAUCCAGCAAGGGGAAGGAGAGGUUGAUGGAGAUCCAGCAGCACGACGGCGUGGUGGUGGAUGUAGCGGGUCUCGGCAGGGCUUCGGUAAGCUUCUGCGAGAGAGAGAGAGAGAGGUGUUGCAGGGGAGGAGGGAGGCGCCCAAGGCUGUUCUCUGCUGCCCUCNNNNNNNNNNNNNNNNNNNNNNNNNNNNNNNNNNNNNNNNNNNNNNNNNNNNNNNNNNNNNNNNNNNNNNNNNNNNNNNNNNNNNNNNNNNNNNNNNNNNNNNNNNNNNNNNNNNNNNNNNNNNNNNNNNNNNNNNNNNNNNNNNNNNNNNNNNNNNNNNNNNNNNNNNNNNNNNNNNNNNNNNNNNNNNNNNNNNNNNNNNNNNNNNNNNNNNNNNNNNNNNNNNNNNNNNNNNNNNNNNNNNNNAAGGGGUUGCCUUGCCCCCCAAGGCAAGGGGGAACUCCCCCCUAGGGUUCCCAACCCUAGGCGCAUGGGGGGAGGCCCAAGGGGGGCGCCCCAGCCCACUAAGGGCUGGUUCCCUUCCACUUUCAGCCCACGGGGCCCUCCGGGAUAGGUGGCCCCACCCGGUGGACCCCCGGGACCCUUCCGGUGGUCCCGGUACAAUACCGGUAACCCCCGAAACUUUCCCGGUGGCCGAAACUUGACUUCCUAUAUAUAAUUCUUCACCUCCGGACCAUUCCGGAACCUCUCGUGACGUCCGGGAUCUCAUCCGGGACUCCGAACAACUUUCGGGUUUCCGCAUACAUAUAUCUCUACAGCCCUAGCGUCACCGAACCUUAAGUGUGUAGACCCUACGGGUUCGGGAGACAUGCAGACAUGACCGAGACGCCUCUCCGGUCAAUAACCAACAGCGGGAUCUGGAUACCCAUGUUGGCUCCCACAUGCUCCACGAUGAUCUCAUCGGAUGAACCACGGUGUUGAGGAUUCAAUCAAUCCGUAUACAAUUCCCUUUGUCAAUCGGUAUGUUACUUGCCCGAGAUUCGAUCGUCGGAUCCCAAUACCUUGUUCAAUCUCGUUACCGGCAAGUCUCUUUACUCGUACCGCAAUGCAUGAUCCCGUGACUAACGCCUUAGUCACAUUGAGCUCAUUAUGAUGAUGCAUUACCGAGUGGGCCCAGAGAUACCUCUCCGUCACACGGAGUGACAAAUCCCAGUCUCGAUCCGUGCCAACCCAACAGACACUUUCGGAGAUACCCGUAGUGCACCUUUAUAGUCACCCAGUUACGUUGUGACGUUUGGCACACCCAAAGCACUCCUACGGUAUCCGGGAGUUGCACGAUCUCAUGGUCUAAGGAAAAGAUACUUGACAUUGGAAAAGCUCUAGCAAACGAAACUACACGAUCUUUUAUGCUAUGCUUAGGAUUGGGUCUUGUCCAUCACAUCAUUCUCCUAAUGAUGUGAUCCCGUUAUCAAUGACAUCCAAUGUCCAUAGUCAGGAAACCAUGACUAUCUAUUGAUCAACGAGCUAGUCAACUAGAGGCUUACUAGGGACACAUUGUGGUCUAUGUAUUCACACAUGUAUUACGAUUUCCGGACAAUACAAUUAUAGCAUGAAUAAUAGACAAUUAUCAUGAACAAAGAAAUAUAAUAAUAACCAUUUAUUAUUGCCUCUAGGGCAUAUUUCCAACAUACAAGACUCUUAACCUUAUGGUCGUGGGUUCAAGCCCCACGGCAGGGGCUACAUCAUAUGAUGUUAUUUUCAAUGAAGAAUAUAUAAAGUCCCAGCUCAGUAUUAUGUUACUGAGCCGGCCCUUGGGGGCUACACAUGGCUGCCCAAGUCUACAUGAUCAUAUUUACAAAGUCCCUGCUCAUUAUGGCAUAAUGACCCGGCACUUGGGGGCUACACAUGGGAAGCUCAAAAUGUGAAGUUUAUGAUUGGCGGUUUACAUGAACAACCCGGAUUUCUCCAAGUUGCAGCAUUUAUAUUAAAGCAAGUCUUAAGCUAUCACUAUGUUCUCCUCUUAAGACUUGGGGGCUACAGGUAAUAUGCAUAUAAAGGAGGAACGUCUUCAAAUUCUCAGUUUUGAGCAAAUCAGGAAGAUCAAUUGUGUGACCCAGCGGUGGCAACAAUCAUGACCCGGUGUCUAUAACAGUCAUAACCCGGAAUCAUCAGUUUUUAUAACCUGGCAAUUUUAGCAAUGAUAAAUCGGCAAGUUCUACAUCUUCAAGCCGGCUGAAAAUCAGAUGAGUAUUUCAAGACCAAUAUUUUUGUUAAGCAUUGGGUGCUGAAUCAAAUGAAUUAGUCUUCACAAUAUUUUUCUGUGAGAAACCAAUAUCAGCAAAUUGAUUAUGAAGCUGGCCUAUUCACCCAGACUUUUCAGAAGAAGUACCUGGAUUCUUUGCAUUGGCAAAGUUUAAACAUAUCUGCUAAAGAAGAUUUGCUAUGAGAUCAUGGACAUGUAUAUAUCAAAAAGGAAAUGACAAGGACUUAACGAUGAUCAGGUGCCGGCUCAGAAGAACCUUCGACCCGACGCAUAAUCUAUCAAAGUGUCUUGUUUUGCAGGAUAAGUUUACCAUGGAUAAAGCCAAGCUAAACUGGGGGCUAAUGUCGGGGAUAUACCCCGCAGUAUGACCCGGCUGGGACUUGGCGUUUCAUUGGUAAACCGCUCGGAGCUUGGCGACUCACGGAUAACCCGCCCAGAGCUUGGCUACUUACUGGUUGUGGCGACUCACUGAUGACCUUGGCGGCGGGUCAGGCCCAAGGACCAGAAGGACAAUUCAUGUUAUGGUGGGCCGGCUUAAGAGGAAAGGUAUGAAGAAUAUUUCCCUUACAAGGAAUCAAGACCCGGACUUGUACCCGGUUUGUAAUAGAGAAUAGACUAGUCCUAAUCCUACUAGGACUCUACAUGUAAGCCGCCCCUUCAACUUAUAUAAGGAGGGGCAAGGCUACCCAAGAGGAACAAGUAAGAAGUAAGAAGCUCAAUAAUCUCUAGGGCUAGAUACAACUAAAGGAGAGCUGGCUUAUACGGCGACUCCCUCAUGAUCAUAAUGAGACCUAGCCACAAACAGCAUGUAGGGCUAUUACCGGAUGAUGUUUCCCAGGGUCCGAAGCUGUCUAAAAUCCCGUGUCUCUCGUCCCACUCAACCCCUCUCAAUCUACUACAUAGAUGCGUUGGCCUCACGACUAAGUCCUCACACUAGGACAUCUGGCCGUGAUAAAUCCUAGACACGUCCGUUUGCCUAUCUUAAGGCGCCGUACCCGGAAGGGAUUGACAACCCCUUUAACACGUCGGGUUGCGAGGAUUUGUUAUCUGCGUGCAGGGACUGUUUACGUUGUGUUGCUUGGUUCUCCUACUGGUUCGAUAACCUUGGCUUCAUAUCUGAGGGAAAUACCUACCGCCGCUGUGCUGCAUCAUCCCUUCCUCUUUGGGGAAAUACCGACGUAGCUUCAAGCGACAUCAUGCCCCUUUUGAAUGCCCUGAAGUUGCGCUGGAAGAAAUGCUUGCUUAGGCCACUCAGUGUGAUACCUGCAGUAUUGUCGAAUACAGGUUUUAGUGUACGUAGUUGGCAUUUUCAUAACAUCUUUGACAUGUUGUAGUCACUUGUUUCACUUUUUAUUAACUAUCAAAUUGUAAUUGCUUCACUAGGUAUGUGUCUAAAAAGAAAAAUAGAGCUAUAAAUAAAGGAAUAUGUUUGUGCAAGUAGACGGUCGAUCGCUGUCUCACCUGGAAGUUUCUAGGGAUGGGUGUAGCAUAUGCCGUGCUCGCUGUCGAUGGUUGGUAUGAACAAAUCGAUGAGAGGGUGAGAUCUCGCGCUGUCAGCACUCACUUUGGCCUCAAGGUGCUCGAUCAGCUCCUGAUCCGUGGGAUCGAACUUGACGCCAGCCGGCAGCACCCGCCAAUCCUUCUUGGACUUGCAUCAGUUAAUUCCAGUUAUAUUGUACUCAAUGUACGAUCAAUCGACUGUUUUAAGUGAAUGAUGAAAGAUUUCGACAGAUAAGUGGUACUCCAAAUCUGAAGUCCACAAUACCCGAACACGCCGCCGGGACUCUUGUAUCACCUCACGCGCAGCGUGUUGUCACGUCAAUUCAAUGUGAGGACAUGAUUAAUAAUUUGACCAACGUAUACUAGUAUAAGGUACUACUUACUAGUUGUAUUUAGUGUCACAUUUUAACCAUAGGUUUAACUAACAAAAUGUCAAUGCAUGUCACCGAAAAUUAUACCAUUGGAAACUAUGUUCAAAUAUGAAUCAAACGACAUAUUUUUUUGUGACAUGCAUUAACAUUUAGUUAGUGAAAUUUAUUGUCAAAAUUUGACACAAAUUACGAAGGGGACCAAUAAACAAGGAGGGAUCGGAGGUAGUAGUACGAGUAGCGCAAUAUACGGUAUAGAGGACUAGUACAAAUUUAGAAAUGGAGUAAGAAGUUACAAGGCUGUGCGGCAGACUUUCUAAGCUACAUGAGUAAUACAAAAUAUAAUUCCCAUUGCACAACACUUUCACCAACAAGUACGCACUUGAAGCCUAAUUGAUAUAUAUAUAUAUAUAUAUAUAUAUAUAUAUAUAUAUAUAUAUAUAUAUAUAUAUAUAUAUAUAGACACACACACACACAUAUAUAUACACACACACACAUAUAUAUAUGGCUUCUGCACAGCAUCUCCAUCAUCAUUAUCAGUACAUCCUACGCAGGUGAGUUAGGAUGCACUUGAUCCCAGAAAGGUAUCUAUCCUUCAAACUAGAGGAGUGCUUCAAACUAACAACAAUACAUAAUAUCCAACAAAAGAGGGUCAUGCUACAGCAGCAGGAUACAUGGCUCAGUCUAUAUAUCAGUAUGAAUCAAGUUGUGCAUAUUUGUUGUUGGCAUGAACCACAUCGCCGCAUGUCGGCUUUGAAAAAGCCAUCCAUCGCAUGGAAGCUUGAUGCCUUUCACACACUGAAGAUUAUCUGGCAUCAAGCUGUAUCGACGAAUCUCUGGAUAUGGCGAUUCAUGAAACCCAUGGCAUGAUGUGUAAACACAGUUCCCCCUGGCGAAUGGAAGUUGCAUAGCACGGUAAUCAUCGCCGGUGAUAUGAUCGAUGAUUGGUUGGAUGAUCGGACAAUUGAGCCCGAGGAACAUGGAGUGGUUGGCGAGGCUGUAAACCCGCCUCCAGUCGAAUACGCCUGGCCCAAUGGAGCUGGGAUCUUUCUCGAACACAGAGCAGCCAUAGCCAUCACAGUCACGAACGCCCCAGGCAUUGUACUACAUGUGGUUUGAUGAAAUGGUUUGGUCAAUUCGGUACGUGUGAAUGAGCAUCAAAUGACCGCCAUCAGCUGAAUGAGCGAUAAACCACCACCCAUUGACUAGUAUGAUUCCAGGUCCUGGAAUUAUGAAGGCCAGCGCAUUUGCGUCAGUUGCAACAAAUCAAAUUGGAGACCAAAAGGACAAAAAUAUACAAUCAUGUUCAGAGUAUGUGUGGAAUUAAGAUUAUUAUAACAGUGGCACAUAUCAUAGAUAGAGAAUUGCAAUGACGUGGUCAGAAUCAUACCCCCAAGUUAAAAAAAUAAGCCAAUGGCUUUAAUAUUCUAGCAAUAUGUCAUGGUUCAAACAUCAUGUAACAAUGAGAGGAAAACAGCUAUGACAGGGCCUACUCAUAUUCUACCAUAGAACUUACUACUGUUCUCAUAUCAACUCUAAGCAAUAACAUGCGUUGUUAUAAAAAACUUGGAAAUGAGAGUAACAUAUAGCAAUCAUGAGUUUAUACUCAUAAUAUCUAUUCUAACAAUCAUUAGAUGCCAAUUGUUCUCAUAUCAACUCUAACAAUAACUUGUGUGGUCAUAAAAAUCUAGGAAUAAAUGAGAGGAACAUAUAGCAAUGAGGUGGUUAUAGACAUACUAUCUAUUCUAAAUUUAUAACAAUCAAUAGGCAGUCAUAUUCAUAAGGUAAAGAUGAGAUGAGAUAGAACAAUUACAUGACGAUAGAUUCCACCAGUAUAGGCAGCCAAUCUGUGCGUCGACCACGUAAACGAUGGCAUCAUGCACUAUGGCAUCAGACAGAAAUGGAGGCUCAACAGGAUUGACGAUGAGCCAUAACCAUGUAUGGCGACCGGAUUCCAGAUAGACUAAUCCCAUGUUGAACAAGUCAAUGAGCUUGUAAUCCAUGUAGUCUUCUGAUGGUGUGGACACUUCGCAGAUUACAACCUUCAGCAAAUAGAGGUCCAGCCAAAAGCUCGACGCGUCUCGUGCGUAGUAGUAAGGAGUGUCCGGCGGGCUGCGAGGCUCGUUGGUGGCGGUAUCCAACGAUUGAAGGGUGAUCUCUUGCUGGGUGUAGAUAUCCACGAGAUGCCACGAACUACCAGAUUGGUGGAUGGGGACGAUCCAGUUGGCCUUCAUGCCCGCCCAGUAGUGGCCGCGCAUGAAGGACAGGUGGAUUGGUAGUGGUAGCAUGUCGAGGGGCACCACGACAACCUCUAUAGGAUUGUCAAGUCGGUGUCUGGGCCACCUACGAGGAUCAGGCAUCAGCAAGUAGGGUGUCUUGAAAAGGGUCGGCCCGUUGCAUACGAGUAGACACCGAGCAUGCGGCCAGACGGACGGUGCUGAGCAGGUCAAUACGAUUAUAGAUCUGCUCCAAGAGGGAAUUCCAAUCGCGGCUCUGCGUGUCAGUCGGUUCUGCCAUAGGUUUUUUUAGGGCGCUGAGUGAUUGGGGUUUUCGGGGCCUGCGAGCCUACGGGGAAGUGGAUUCGGGCGGGCGAGCGAAGAAGAUGGCGUGUGUGGCCGAGCAGUGAGUGGGGGGAUAUGGUACGCGCGAGCUACCAAGGAAGAUGACGCGGGCGGGCGAGCAGUGGGCGGGGGGAAAUGGUGUGCGGCCGACGAUGGGGAAGAGAGGAGGAAGAAGAAGAGAGGAGGAAGAAGAGUGAAAGAUGGGGAGCAAGUGCAUUAAAUCUCAAUUAUACUAGUACUACUACUAGGAUAUACCAUCCUUCAGAGUGUAAAUAGUUACACCGAUGACAUGUGGGUCUACCUCAAGAGGGCCCAUAUGUCAGUUAAUGGAGGAGAGAGGUGCGUAGGCGUAUUUGCGGAAGCGUGCUCCACUGGCAAACAUGAUGGCAGUACUGGGUAAGGCUGAUUUAGUAACACCAACACGUUGGUUCAGCUUAUUAAUUAAGUGUCCCAUCUGCUGCAGCGUGUAUUGUCACUUCACUGUGAAGACUAGUUGAAUAGUUCUCUCUGACCGAGAUGGGGAAUAAUGGAUCGCUAAGACUUCCUAUCUACAGUAUCCCUAUGCCUCUAUGCUCAUCCUGUCCAACAAGAUGAAACAUUGGCCAAGGCACCCGGUGCCAAUAAUGUAGUAUUUUGUGUCAAACUUUGACCAUCUAGUCCCUCCGUCCAGGUGAAUAAGUCAUCUUUGGUUGUGCACCGUGACCAAGAAGGAGGGAAAAACAAGAUAACUUAAUGUUUAUUUCCUAAUUAAUAGCAUUGCAUGCAAUGAACUAACCACUGCAUGUCGUGUUUGGUAGUCUUGAGUCAUUGAAAACAUGCACGCCCACAUCUCUUAUUGGUUGAUAUGUCAAGAAACCAGAAACGAGGUGGGAGUUAAUGCAGCGUAAGUGUUUUGGUAUUAUUUGGUUUUUGUAAAGUGACUUAUACACCUAGACGGAGGAAGUAUUUAACUAAUAAAAUGUUAAUGCAUUUCACCAAAAAUCAUAUAACUGGAUUUGUAUUUGAACAUAGUUUUUAAUGGUAUAGUUUUAUAUGACAUGCAUUGACACUUUGUUUGUUAAAUUUACGGUCAAAAUUUUACACUAAUUAUGAAGGGGACCAUUAAACCAGGACGGAGGUUUAUAAACAGGUCAAUAAAAAAAUCAUCAACCAAUGUUGUAGUAAAUGAUGAGUGCCCGAAGAUUUUUUUUCGAAAGUACUCAAUAAUGGGCUCGUUUUUCUCAAGAAAAUUGUGUUUAUGAAUGUAUUAAUUGGAAUGCAUGCAUGAGGAACAAAUGACCAGAACUUUUACACGCAUUGGUGAGUUAUCUCUUGAUUCUUGCAUGCAACGUUUUAAUGAAGCUUGGAAUAUGAACAUGUCAAUGGGAGGGAGUAAAAGCCUCAUGCAUGCAUGCAACAUGCAACACUCACACGUACACAUGCACGCACGCAACACUCACGCAUCCAUGCGGCACACAACACACGACGCAACACACACGCUCACGCUCAAGUGCUCAACCUACUCCCUACGUCUGUGAAAGACGGUACAUAUACAGAUUUACACAUUGACCAGGAGGAACCGGAACUUCAUGGCAUAAUUAACGCCCAAAAGUAGCAGACUUAUGUGUGCAUGCGACCAUUGAGAGAAGAAGAUUAAAUGAAGGUUGUUGCAUGCUGUAAUUAAGGAUAGACAUGUAGCCUAUAGCUAGAGCACAAGUUGGUGCAUUAGUCAAUCAAUAUCGAUUGGAUUAAAGGCUAAAUGCAUUGGAAGUGUAGAUGUACACUCUUUGUUUUUGAGCCGAUGUACACUCUUUGUUGGAAGCCCGAGGGAGUACACGUGCAUGCACUCACAUACACAGUCAGGGUGGUUCAUGCGCAAGGGUUGGAAUCCUGUCGCUCCUGCGUAAAGUUUUGUUUAACUGAUUUCUUUGCUCUGCCAACUGACAGGUGGGACCCAUAAACCGGGUGUCAAUUUAACCAGUCAACAAAGUGCCACGUCGACUAUGUGGCCGGUCAGUAGGGUGCAAUACGGCGCUCUACGAUGAGCUAGUGAUCGUAUAAUCACCGCAAAACUAUAUAGUGACUGUAAAGAGCGUAUUGUUACAUACGUUGACCGCCAGUGUAUUUUUCUCAUUUCAAAUUAAGCCAUAUUAACCGGAAAGGACGCAGUAUGGACUAGUACUAGUACUGCUUUGAUGUGUCCCGUCAACUCGCCGGACGAGGAGAAGCUUGCUUACUACGCCCUCUCCCUCGCCCACGCGCGUGGUGGCUCGCAGGACGUGGAGAGGGUUUUGACUACAGUGCCCUCUCCCUCUCCCUCUCCCUCGCCCUCGCGGUGGAUGUGCAGCAGUUCAAUCGGUGUCAGAUUGCCAGAAGCAUAUUGUAUUGUAGUAUCAUCAUUGUUGGACCUUCCAAAGAGGCGAAGAGCCAAGUGCAAGGUUCACACGAGUACGAACUGUUGAACCUCCCGAAGAGGCAAAGAGACAAGCGCAAGGUUUUAUAAUAGGAGUUGUCAUCCUAGUAGGAGUACUACAACUAUAGCGAACAAUGCUACUGUAUGAUGCCACCACGUCACCUAUAUCCAAAGCUGUGCCACAUUUUUUCUCAAAGAGCGUGUUGGAGCCCGUGCAACAACCACACAAGUUGCACGUACACAUAACACAUUUACUAGUAAUAAAUUCUAAAGGACAAAUGCCAGUAUGCCACACAAGUUCAUCUCCACUUCAUGUGAUAAAUUUGUGCACGACUAGUCUACAUAUAUUCACAGCGCUACCGUUCACAAUUUACCAUACUCCUCUUACACGUUAUAGAUGGGCUACAUGUCCUCCUCCAGGUUCCAGCCCGAGGUGUUCUUCAUGGAUGGCACGAUCCAUAGCGGUGGGCAACGGGAAUCAUUGUCGUAUCUUUCUAGUCCGGUUCCACACGAUGGAGACUCAUCCAAGCUGAAGCGGCAUAAAUCAGGGAUAGCGUGUCCCAGCAUGCCGUUCAUCCGGCGGUGCGCACUGAAGACACAACCAUGCUUCAUGAACGGCAGGCCUUCGGUGUCGUGCACGGAAGGUGGCAUCCACUUCACAGUGGGGUAGCUGUCCCUAAUGAAAGGCGAGUACUCUCCAAGAGUGUUCCUCGGCACCCACGUAGCAUCACGGGGGUCGAACUCGGCGUUGUUCAUCUGGUACACGCGGCAUUUCAGAUCUGGACACAUGGUGACGUACAUAGUCAAGGUCCAUGCAUAAUAAUGUUGUGCUCAAAUAUAGUGGUCAGUAAUGCUGUGCAGCAAAUAGUACUACUCCGGUAUAGAGGAAGUAAAAUAACCGGCUUAUUAUAUAUAGCCACUCUUGGCUAGAUGGAUGAGAUAGUAAGACAUGGAAAAACAAAAAUGGUGGGAGCUAGUGGGUUCAAGUCUUCAAGGGCCUAGCUAGCUAUACGCGUCCUCCAAGGUAAAAAGUACUCCUACUAGUACUAGUUAGUACAACAAUGAAAGAGAAGGCGAGAGGGUGAAAAAAUAUAAUACUAAAUUGUACUACUAGUACAGUAAACAUGUCCCAGUCAAGAAAAGAAAAUAACUAACAAGUAUUACUACUCUAACACACAGCAAUGAGAAAAUGGAAUACCUAGGUAGAUGGUGACGGUCCGAUCGUGGUAGAUUGUGUGACCAUGUUGCACAUCAGUGGUACCAUGGGUAAUGACUGCUAAGAUAGUUGAUCCCAAUAUGCCAAAGUCAGCUACAAGGUUCCAGGUUAGACCGAAUCGCGGAUGCAAAUGCACAUCAGGAUCGGCGAUCUUAUUUUGAUCGGGCGAUGACUGGUCCCUGCAAAAUAAUGGAGUACCGUUAGGGAUGCAAAUGAUGGUUUGUGCAUUCCGUUUGUAAUCUCCUGUACCUUAGGAUGGCAACCAGAUGAAACAAGUCCCCUGGCUUGUCUCCGUGAAGAUGCGGCCUAGAUGGCGCACGACAUCUUCGAACGUGUAGGGGGUACAAAUCUACCGCGACCAACAUGUGCCAGCCUCUGCCGUUACUGCCUCUUGCAUUGAUGGCAAUCCUUAUGUCAAACACCGCGAUGAGAUAGUAAUCGUCAUAGCCGCGUCAAUUUGUCGGCGGGUCCACAAUUGCUAUCUUCUUCAAUCUCAUGUAGGCAUCAUCAUACGUAUUCAAGCCCAGCUAGUCCAAAAGUCCGAUCCCAAUGGUGGAGAAGGGGUCUACGGGAAAUGGCUGCACUGUUGUGGAUGUUGUGCAAAAUGAUGGUGGUAUCCUGCCGGAGGUAUGCAAGCCAAUCUUCGUUGCCACUGACCCAGACCUAUAUAUAAGAUAAUGGGCAGCGGAGAAAUUACGGGAUGGAAAUGGAAUAACUAAGUAGUACAUGAUCAAAUUCCAUGACUGACCUGCUCAUCGGACAAAAUCCGACUACCUCUCAACGUCGGCAACUCUAGCGGAGUCAACGUGCAACCAUGGCCAGGGAGCGAUGGACUGUUCGAAGGAUUGUCCCAUAGAAGAACCUUCUCCUCGAGGACGCAUGGAAGACCAACAAGCAUGGCCUUUCCCCAAGCAUGUUUAAGCAUCAUCAUAAAAAAGUUGGUGUAGGAAGCACCGAGUCUUGCGGUGGUGAGGACGUCGUAGCGGCGUGCGAUUUCUCCCAGAGGAUCGUCGUCCAAGGUCUCCCAGCCCCGACAAGGAGGAGAACCGCCUAGUGAAUCCAUGGGAGCAGCGACGAACUGCCUUUUCUUCGGGGGAGGGGAACUGGCGAGGAGGAGAUAAGAGCGUAUUAACCGCAGGGCCUCGUCCCUUCGCUAAGGAAAUUAUGCGGGCACGCAUAGUGGUAGUGCCUCGUGCCCCGCAAUGGUGAGGCUAUUAUUUACUACGUACUCAUACUGUAGCAGUACUAGUACUACUUUCUCAACUAGUAGUGUGAUGUGCUGUACUUCUAGUAUAGUGCACCAGUUUUGAACUCUUGAAUCUCAGGGCCAAGGAGCUACAGUUGGAAGUGGAGGGUAAUACUGUUCUCUAGAACCAUCCACUGGUACGCGUCGGUCCUAUACAAACGGUUUUUAACCCCUUUCCGCGACGGCAUUUGGAACCUUCGCCUAGUGAGUGUGGGAGAUAGGGGGGUCCUUCCCACAUGGCCCAGAAACCAUCGGGGAUAUGCCCUCCUGGCACACACGCUCGGCAAAAUGAGGUCGUGUGCGACCGACAAGCGCUCAAAUAUGGAAAUACGUAUAGCAGAGCUAAAAAAUACAAUUAUACAGCGAAAUUGUUUCCGGUCGCAAGUACAUCCCACACAGUCAGUCCAUGCUAAACGUUUCCGUUCACAUGUACAUCCCACACAGUUGCUCCAAGGAAAACGUUUCCGUUCACAGGUACAUCACACACAAUUUUUUCCGUUAAAUCGUUUGCGUUAUUGAAUGUAUCACAGAUGGUCCGUAGAAGAAACUGUGUGGCAGAGGCUGUCCAUCACACACAGUUUUUAUGUGGUAAACGUUUGUGUAAGGUGGCCUAACGCAAACAGUUUUCAAGAGAAAGUCGUGUGUGAUUGUUCAUUGAUCCAACACGUUUUAUUCCUAGAAACUUUGUGCGUUGCCUGAGGUUAUCGCCCAUGGUAUUUUUUUAACAACCGUUUGCAAUAGCAAAACCCAAUUAGCAGGCUAAUUCGCCAUUAGCAGGCUAAUUACCCUAUUAUUAAUAAUCCAUUUAUUAAUCUGAUUGACAUUCAUAUUAAGCACAUAAUAGAUUUCAUUUCCAUAUUAAGGAAGCAGAAUUUCAUAAUUGAAACAUCAGAGUACAACAUGAUAUAGCUUCAGCACUCAGCUACCGCAUUACACAACUGCACCAGCACCAAGUUUCACAUGCAACAUGUAGAACCUUUCGAAAUUACCAUCAUAGACGGUAUAUAGACAGAUGCAUCUCAUCUGGAAAACUGCUGAAGCGGAAGGCGAAUAUUGAGCUUUCAUUCAUGUUAAAGGUCUUUGCAACUUUAGGCCAAUGCCUGUGGAUGAUUGACCGUCCGUCCUUCGUCCUCUUCAGGAACACUUCAAUAUUGAACUGUGGGUGUUGUAUGAAAACCUUCCUUGCCACCUGACCAUAGAGGUGGGUUGAGAGGUAAUCAUCAGUGAACUGCUUUAGAAAGGCCUGAAAACAAGGAUGUGCACAAAUAUCUUCUCUAUAUUGGAAAUGGGCAAAGGAAUAAAAAAAGGCAAGGUAUAAUUGUUAGUACCAUCUUGUAGUGAACUGAUGUCUUCUUCAUUGUACAAGGUAUAAUUUCUUUAUCCUAACAAUCUUUCUUAGUUUCUUGAUUUGAUUGAUAUUCAUGGACAACUCAUUUCCCCAUAUGCAAAAAGGGUCGAACAGUGGGUCAAAACCUUUGACAGCAGGACCUACAUGUGCAAGACCAAAUUGUUAAAAACCAAAAUAUUAGAAUGGUUCUUGUAAUUGCAAAAUAAUGUGCUAUUAGACAACGGACCAUGCACGUGCUAACCUCGAUUGUAAACCUCAGUGCUUCCCAUUGUUUCCCUGCAACACAUAUAAGGUAGUUAGUCAUCAGAUUAAGUAAGGGUUCGCAUGCUAUCAGUAAAAUAUGUUGAUGAAAAAUAAGCACAUUGCAGAUUCGUCAGAUUAAUUCAAGCCACAUGGAAAACCCAUUUAUCCAAACCAAGCAUGAUUAAGAACUAGGUAAUAUAGCACUUGUAUAUGUUUCUCAUGUGUUAAGUGCAGCCAAAUUCGAUUUAUUCCUCACAUGGUAUACAAUAACAGAAUGCAGCCACAACAAUUGAACAUCGCAUUGCAGAAUUGAACCAAGCAGUUAACUAAACACCACAACAAAUGAACCAAACGUUAAUUGAGCACCACAUUGCAUAAUAUAACAUACUCCUAAUAGAAGAUCAGACAGUUAACCAAACCAAGCAUGCUUAACAAGUUGGAAGUAUACCAAUUGUAUUUGUUUCUCAUGUAUUUAGUACAGCCAAAUUUGAUUUAUUCCUCACAUGGUAUACAAUAACUGAAUGCAGCCACAACAAUUGAACAUCGCAUUGCAGAAUUGAACCAAGCAGUUAACUAAACACCACAACAAAUGAACCAAACGUUAACUGAGCACCACAUUGCACAAUAUAACAUACUCAUAAUAGAAGAUCAGACAGUUAACCAAACCAAGCAUGCUUAACAACUUGGAAAUAUUGCACCCUGAAGAAUUGAACAUCACAUUUGCAGAAUUGAACCAAGCAGUUAACUGAACACCACAUUGCACGACAUAUAUAACAUAUACACUAUAGCAGAAGAUUGCAUGGUAAAAGUAGAUAGCACAAUUCACUAGAAUUUGUUAAGGAAAGGCACUAGCUAGCAAACUCAACAUGGGUCCUUAUAGUGAGAUAAUAAGACAAGCUACUCCUCAUUGUCGGAGAUAUCGAUGACGAUUGGCUCCUUGGACAUGGAAGAGGGCGAGGCCUCUGCAUCGUGGGUUCCCUCGUUGUAGUGGUGAGAUGCCUGAGCCGCUCCGGGCACCAACCUGCUGGCUCUCGAGAUGAGGUAAGCACGUGCAUGCUGAGAAAACACCUCGUAGUCUUUGUCGAAGGCACCGACGGUGGCCUCGAGAAAAUGCCACGAACUGUCGUUUAAAGCAGCCAACCUCGUCACGCAUCGGCGUGCGAGGCGUCAACAGUGCCCUCGAUGGCGAGGUGCUCCUCCAAGAUCUAGGGGUCGGCACGAAUGGUAGCCAUCGCGACCUCAUCCGCGCGUGUGGCCGCGAUUUGCUUCUCCGCUGCCAAAUGUUCCUUGAGAUCCUGGCUAUACUGCGUGCACCAUGGCUUAGGGCUUCACUUAUUUGGUGGAGGGGUCGGUGAUUUGGGUGGAAGGUGUCGCGCUCGCGCCGGCGGUCGGGGCAUGUGGGAUGUGAAGGAGGAGGAGGAUGGGGGUCGGGUGUGGAUUACCUGCCUGGAUAGGCGAGGCCGAGCAGCGUGAAGGAGGGUCGCAGACAAGGAGGCGGCGCUGCAAGAAAGGAGUGAAGGUUUCAACUUGGAAAGGAAGGCAGAAACAGGGGAAAUGUGGCUUUUGGUAAGGGGGAGGGGCGGGGAGGUAGAUAUUUCCGCGGAAGCCGAAAAUUUGGAAUCGCUUCAGCGAAAAAACUGGCGCGCAUAGUGUCAUCAGACACGAUCCCUUAUUCAGAACUGUGUACGAUAUGUGAACAUCACAAACAAUUCAGAUAGCUUAACUCGUGUGUGAUGAGUUUGAACGUCAAAAAUUUGGUUCGAAUUUCCAUGGUUACAGUGGUCAUCCACGUCAUUGCAUAAUUUGGGCACACCCACACUUCUUAAUCAAGCAAGUUCAACAAUUAAACAGAGCUAGCUGACCUAAACAUUACUCUAACAAAUUAAAGACCAGCGCCCUUAAUUAAACAAAACAAAGAGUACUACUACGGCUGGUGCUCGUCGAUCUCCGCCGCCGCCUCCAUGUCCAACUCGCGCCCGACGGUCUCCUGGGGAAGGGGCUCCAUGGCAUCCAUCGCACCAUACUCGGCAAGCAUCUCGCCAUCCGCGUCCGCCAUCUCUUUGGAAAAGGCCGCCACGAGCUAGGCGUGGGCGGACGUGAUCUGGGCUUGGACGGGCUCCGUCGUCGCAAGGUAUGCGGCGGAGGAACGGACGGCUGCUCAAACGCUCUUGGCGAUUGCCAGCUCUUCGGCCGCGGGUUGCCGACCGUUGUCGGAGAAGCUUCGUUCGAUUUGUGCGGUGACCACCAGGAGCUGGGCGUGGGCGGCCUAGACAUGGUCGUGGGCGGCCUCCAUCGGGGCUAAGGCCGCCGCUGCAGAACGAACAGCUACCGUGCCGCUCUCGCCAGUUGUUAUCCCUGAGCCAGAUGUUGCUGCCGCCACCUGAGAAGCAACAACGGCCGUUUGGGCUGCCAUGGCCGCCGGUCGCAGAUUGCGGCCGCGCUCAUGCACCUUGUAAGCAUGUGCAUGGUUGCUGCAGCCGCGCUCUCGCCGGAGUGGGCCAUCAAAGUUUCCCUCACGACAUGGGUCCACGUGCCCAUCUUUCACCGACGAUGAUUGAACAGUGAAAUGAUAUUUGGGGAGCGAGCUAGUGUGCUUGAGACACCGACUGUGGACUGUAGCCAACGCACCUUCUCGCGUAAGCCAUAGGCGUACUAUACACCGACGGUGCUCCAGGAUAUUUUGUGCCGCAUCUCACACGGUUGGUGAUAAUAAACUAUGUGCGAUCUACUUGAUUUUUCAUCUUGAUUUGAAUUACAUAAUGGGGUCACAGCGGCAAUGGACGGUGUUUGAAUUGCUAGACCUUUUACAUGGAGUGAACAUGCAACUAUAUGUGUGUCAUAAAAGAAUUGGAAUUAUUCAGGGUUCGUUUGAACAUUUUAUACAUUAAAUUGGUUUUCUAGCCAUUUCAGGUGCACAAUUCAAAAUUAAACUACAUGCACAUGCUCCGGUGCACCAACAUGGGUUGUAGAAUCAUAUAUGUGUCCAUGGGUUUAUGCUUAUCUCCCAUGCAAGAAAUGGGGAUGAAAUUCGAAAACCGCGGCACCGUGGCUCUCCGGCAAACGUCGACGUACUUGCUUUUGUAGUUCUAGUAAAUCCAAAAUUCAUCCAAAAUUCAUGAAACUUGGCAUGCUAUCAUGGAGAGGCAUCAACAUGCCAUGGUAAAUUUUUUGUCCCAUUUGGGGCAGGUUUGGGUAUAUGCUUCUCAUAAACCAGAGCUUCUCACAACAAACAUGAUGGUUUCGGUAGGGAACAUCCCACCUUUGGGGACGAAACGAUAUCCAUUGCCUCUUAUUGCUUUCAAUUUUUCUCUCGUGUCAACAUAGAACAACAUGAGUGUUGUGUCAAUUUUUGCGAUUUUUUGGGGUUCGUUUGGACAUUUUUAUGCAUUGACUGAGUUUUCAAUGCAUUUAUGUGCAUAAUUCAAAUUUGAACUACAUGCACAUGCUCCAGUGCAUAUAAAUUGGUUGAAAAAUCAAAUAUGUGUCCUUAUGUGCAUGCUUAGGUCCCAUGCAAGAAAUGGGAAUGAAUUUCAAACACCAGGGCACUGUUGAUUGCCGGCAAAACAUUGAGAUGCCUAGUUUUUAAAUUCUAGUAAAUCCAAAACUCGCCCGGUAUGCAGGUUCACCGAGAAGCGUGCAAGAUGUUCAACGCAUGAUUUGUGCAUCUCUUCAACGCAAAAAGUUCAGUGAAGCAGUAAAGCGGCUGAUACGUCUCCGCCGUAUCUAUAAUUUUUGAUUGUUCCAUGCCAAUAUUAUACAACUUUCAUAUACUUUUGGCAACUUUUUAUACUAUUUUUGUGACUAACAUAUUGAUCCAGUGCCCAGUGCCAGUUCCUGUUUGUUGCAUGUUUUUUGUUUUGCAGAAAAUCCAUAUCAGAAGGAGUCCAAACGGGAUGAAAACUUACGGAGAUUUUUUCCGAAUAUAUGUGAUUUUUGGGAAGAAGAAUCAGCGCGAGACGAUGCUGGGGGGGGGGCACGAGGCAGGGGGCGCCUCUGACCCUCGUGGCCACCCUGUAAGGCAGUUGGUGCCCUUCUUUUGCCACAAGAAAGCCAAUAUCCGGAUAAAAAUCGUGUUAAAAUUUCAGCCCAAUCGGAGUUACGGAUCUCCGGGAAUAUAAGAAACGGUGAAAGGCCAGAAUCUGAAACACACAAACAGAGAGAGACAGAGAGACAGAUCCAAUCUCAGAGGGGCUCUCGCCCCUCCGCCGCCAUGGAAGCCAUGGACCAGGUGGUAAACCCUUCUCCCAUCUAGGGGGAAGGUCAAGGAAGAAGAAGAAGGAGGGGCCCCUCUCCCCCUCUCUCCCGGUGGCGCCGGAACGCCGCCGGGGCCAUCAUCGUGUGACGGUGAUCUACACCAAAACCUCCGUCAUCUUCACCAACAUCUUCAUCACCUUCCCCCAUCUAUCUACAGCGGCUCACUCUCCCGCAACCCGUUGUACCCUCUACUUGAACAUGGUGCUUUAUGCUUCAUAUUAUUAUCCAAUGAUGUGUUGCCAUCCUAUGAUGUCUGAGUAGAUUUUCGUUGUCCUAUCGGUAAUUGGCGAAUUUCUAUGAUUGUUUUAAUUUGCUUGUGGUUAUGUUGCUGUCCUUUGGUGCCCAUAAUAUGUGCGCGCGCGUGGAUCACACCACAGGGUUAGUUGUAUGUUGAUAGGACUAUGUAUUGGAGGGCAAGAGUGACAGAAGCUUCAACCUAGCAUAGAAAUUGAUGCAUACGGGAUUGAAGGGGGACCAAUAUAUCUUAAUGCUAUGGUUGGGUUUUACCUUAAUGAACGUUAGUAGUUGCGCAUGCUUGCUGCAUAGAAUUCCAAGUCAGGGAUGACAUGCUAGCAGUGGCCUCUCCCACAUAAACUUGCUAUCGGUCUAGUAAAGUAGUCAAUUGCUUAGGGACAAUUUCGCAACUCCUACCACCACUUUUCCACACUCGCUAUACUAACUUUAUUUCUUCUUUACCUAAAACAGCCCCUGGUUUUUAUUUACGUGCUCUUUAUAUUCCUGCAAACCUAUCCCGUUACACCUACAAAGUACUUUUAGUUUUAUACUUGUUCUAGGUAAAGCGAACGUCAAGCAUGCGUAGAGUUGUAUCGGUGGUCGAUAAAACUUGAGGGAAUAUUUGUUCUACCUUUAGCUCCUCAUUGGGUUUGACACUCUUACUUAUCAAAAGAGGCUACAAUUGAUCCCCUAUACUUGUGGGUUAUCAAGACCUUUUUCUGGCACCGUUGCCGGGGAGUUAUAGCGUGGGGUGAAUAUUCUCGUGUGUGCUUGUUUGCUUUAUCACUAAGUAGUUUUUAUUUCCUGUUCUAAGUUGUUCUCUAUCUUUAGUUAUGGAUAUGGAACACGAAAUACCAAAAACAUUAGGCGUACUUGCUACUCAUGGAGAUGGGGAACCUCCUAAAACCCUCGAUGCUCAUUAUGUGAAGAUAUUAUGUACUACUUUGAUAAUCCUGAGAAAUCCCCAUUCAACAUUAUAAUGGGAGUAACGUUGGAUCAAUGUGAAUACUUUAGGGAUUAUUGCUUGAAUCAAAAAGGGAAACUAUUAUGGGAUCAAAUUCAUAUAUUGCAGUGGUAUGCUUGGGAUCUAUGCUCUAGAUAUGAUUAUACUUCUUACUCUAGGAUGAAUGCUCCACAUCUUCCCUUUUCAUGCAAAUUUAAUGAUAAUGAAACCUUAGCUUCUUAUGCUAAUGGUAUAUAUGACUAUUAUGAUGUGGAACGAAUAGAAGAAUUUGUUGCUUUUAAGGGUGCUUAUGAAAUUGAAUGUCUGUUUCUAGAGUAUGAAGAUUGUGAUGAUGAUGUUUAUAGAUCUCAAAAUUUUGCUAUAUUUGAAUAUUGCUAUGAGAACUAUGAAAAUAAUGCUGAUAUUGAUGCAUUUCUUGAGAAAGUCUCCGCUGCCCAAGAAGAGACUAAUAUUUUGCAGGAGUCUAUGGAAGAAGAAAUUAAUGACAUUGUGAGCUCAUUGGAUGAAAAAGAUGAGGAGGAGAGCGAAGAACAAAAGGAGGAAGAGCGGAUUAGCUACCCGUGCCCACCUUCUAAUGAGAGUAACUCUUCAACUCAUACAUUGUUUAAUUUCCCUUCGUGCUUACGGAAGGAUGAUUGCUAUGAUCCCUUUGAUUCUUUUGAAAUGCCCCUUUUUGAUGAACUUGAUGUUUGCUAUGCUUGUGGCCAUGAUGCCAAUAUGAAUGAUGCUUAUGGAGAUGAACUUGCUAUAGUUCCUUAUGUUAAGAAUGAAAUUGUUUCUAUUGCACCCACGCAUGAUAGUCCUAUUAUCUUUUUGAAUUCUCCAAAGUACACUAUAUUGAUGGGUUGCCUUUUAUCGUUGCACAUGGUAAUUCUGAUGAAUAUAAUAUGCAUGUGCUUGCUGCUCCUACUUGCAAUUAUUAUGAGAGAGGAACUACAUCUCCGCCUCUUUAUGUUUCCAACACGAUAAAAUUGCAAGAAACCUCUUAUGCUAUGCAUUGGCCUUUACUUGAUGUGCAUGAAUUGUUCUUGUAUGACAUGCCGAUGCAUAGGAAGAGAGUUAGGCUUCGUCAUUGCUUGAUAUAUGUUACUUUGUUCUCACUACUAAAUCACAAAUCAUUGUUAAUUAAAAUUGGCUUUGAUAUACCUUGGGAUCUGGGUGGGUCCAUUACUUGAGCACUAUAUGCCUAGCUUAAUGGCUUUAAAGAAAGCGCUGCCAGGGAGACAACACGGAAGUUUUAGAGAGUCAUUUAUUUCUGUUGAGUACUUUUAUAGAGUUUAAAAACAAAAAAUAAAUAAAGAGGGGAACCCACAACUUUUCAAAAAGGAAAGUGAAAGUGAGAGAGACAAGCAUUGUUGAAGUGGGGGAGCUCCUUGAACUUUGUUCAUGCUCACGGAAACUUUGUGAAUCUUGAUUACCGAAACUUUUCAACAAAAAUAAUUAUCCCCUUGUACAAUUCCAUUGUAUUAUAAAAAUAAUGUGCCAAGAUUUGCCUUUAGGAUGAUUAGAUUGCUUGUUGGUUUGUGCGGUGCAGAAACAGAAACUUUGGCUGUAGCGCGUGAAUUUUCAUUUUUUUACUGGAAUGUCAAACGUUUCUGAAACUUUUUGCACAGUCUUGCCAUACAAAUUGUUUACGUUGUCCUAAUUUUUCAGAAUUUUUGGAGUACCAGAAGUAUGGUAGUGUUCAGAUUACUACAGACUGUCCUAUUUAAGACAGAUUCUGUUUUUGAUGCAUUAUGUUGCUUGUUUUGAUGAAACUAUCGAUCCUAUUAGUGGAUUAAGCCAUGGAAAAGUUAUAUUACAGUAGCUACAAUGCAAGACAAAAUAUGAAUUGGUUUGCAACAGUACUUAGAGUAGUGAUUUGCUUUAUUAUACUAACAGAUCUUACCGAGCUUUCUGUUGAGUUUUGUGUGGAUGAAGUGGUCAAAGAUCGAGGAGGUCUCGAUAUGAGGAGAAGGAUGAGAGGCAAGAGCUCAAGCUUGGGGAUGCCCAAGGCAUCCCAAGUAAAUAUUCAAGGAGAGUCAAGCGUCUAAGCUUGGGGAUGCCCAGGAAGGCAUCCCAUCUUUCUUCAACAAGUAUCGGUAUGUUUUCAUCUUCGUUUUGUUCAUGUGAUAUGUGCAAAUCUUGGAGCGUCUUUUGCAUUUAGUUUUCACUUUUCUUUUAUGCAUCAUGCUGGUAUGAGAUAGUACUUGGUUGAUUUAUAGAAUGCUCAUUGCACUUCCCUUAUAUCUUUUGAGUAUGGCUUUAUAGAAUGCUUCAUGUGCUUCACUUAUAUCAUUUGAAGUUUGGAUUACCUGUUUCCCUACACAUAGAAAACAACCAUUUGUAGAAUGCUCUUUUGCUUCACUUAUAUUUGUUAGAGCGUGGGCAUAUCUUUUGUAGAAAGAAUUAAACUCUCUUGCUUCACUUAUAUCUAUUUAGAGAGAUGACAUGAAUUGGUCAUUCACAUGGUUAGUUAUAAAAUCCUACAUAAACUUGUAGAUCGCUGAAUAUGAUAUGUUUCAUUCCUUGCAAUAGUUUUGCGAUAUAGAGAUGCUAAUAUGUGGGAGGUACUAGUGAAUGAUUGUGGUUUAGUAAAAAGAUUGGUGCUAAGGUUUGUGAUUCCCGAAGCAUGCACGUAUGGUCUCCUAACUAUGUAACCAAAUUGGCGCCCAUUGUAUUUUGAUUGUUUAUCUUUGCGUGAAGGUCGGGGGCGUGCGAUGGUUAACUCCUACCAACCUCCCCCCUAGGUGUUGGGGAACAUAGUAAUAAUUCAAAAUUUUCCUACGUGUCACCAAGAUCAAUCCAGGAGAUGCUAGCAACGAGAGAGAGGAAGUGCAUCUUCAUACCCUUGAAGAUCGCUAAGCGGAAGCGUUACAAGAACAAGGUUGAUGGAGUCGUACUCGCGACGAUUCAAAUCGCGGAAGAUCCGACCAAGCACCAAACGGACAGCGCCUCCGCGUUCAACACACGUAUAGCCCGGGGACAUCUCCUCCUUCUUGAUCCAGCAAGGGGAGAGGAGAAGUUGAGGGAGAACUCCAGCAGCACGACGGCAUGGUAGGGAUGGAGCUCGUGGUUCUCCAGCAGAGCUUCGCUAAGCACUACGGAGGAGGAGGAGCAGUUGGAAGAGGAGAGGGCUGCGUCAGGGAAGGGGUGCGGCUGCCCUCUCUCUCCCUCACUAUAUAUAGGGGGAAGGGGGGAGAAGGAGGCGCCCUAGGGUUUCCCUAGGGGAGGGGCGGCGGCCACAAGAGAAACCCUAGAUGGGUUUGGGCGCCCCCACCCCUAGGAAACUUGCCCCCCAAGCCGGGAGGGGUGGCUGCCCUAGGGGAGGUGCCCCACCUCUCCACGUUAUGUGAGAUGGGGUGGGAGGGGCGCACAACCCCUUAGUGGGCUGAUGUGCCCCCUCCCCUUGGCCCAUAAGGCCCCCAACGCUUGUCGGGGCCUCCGAAACCCCUUUCGGACACGCUAGUCGUCACCCGGUACCCCCGGAACAAUUCCGGACUCCAAUACCCUUUGUCCAAUAUAUCAAUCUUCACCUCCGGACCAUUACGGAGUUCCUCGUCACGUCCGGGAUCUCAUCCGGGACUCCGAACAACCUUCAGUAACCACAUACUAUUUCCCAUAACAACUCUAGCGUCACCGAACCUUAAGUGUGUAGACCCUACGGGUUCGGGAACCAUGCAGACAUGACCGAGACGUUCUCCGGCCAAUAACCAACAGCGGGAUCUGGAUACCCAUGUUGGCUCCCACAUGUUCCACGAUGAUCUCAUUGGAUGAACCACGAUGUCGGGGAUUCAAUCAAUCCCGUAUUCAAUUCCCUUUGUCCAUAGGUAUGUUACUUGCCCGAGAUUCGAUCGUCGGUAUCCCCAUACCUCGUUCAAUCUCGUUACCAGCAAGUCUCUUUACUCGUUCCGUAACGCAUGAUCCCGUGGCUAACUCCUUAGUCACAUUGAGCUCAUUAUGAUGAUGCAUUACCGAGUGGGCCCAGAGAUACCUCUCCAUCAUACGGAGUGACAAAUCCCAGUCUCGAUUCGUGCCAACCCAACAGACACUUUCGGAGAUACCUGUAGUGCACCUUUAUAGCCACCCAGUUACGUUGUGACGUUUGAUACACCCAAAGCACUCCUACGGUAUCCGGGAGUUGCACAAUCUCAUGGUCUAAGGAAAUGAUACUUGACAUUAGAAGAGCUCUAGCAAACGAACUACACGAUCUUGUGUUAUGCUUAGGAUUGGGUCUUGUCCAUCACAUCAUUCUCCCAAUGAUGUGAUCCCGUUAUCAACGACAUCCAAUGUCCAUGGCCAGGAACCCGUGACCAUCUAUUGAUCAACGAGCAAGUCAACUAGAGGCUUACUAGGGACAUGUUGUGGUCUAUGUAUUCACACAUGUAUUACGGUUUCCGGUCAAUACAAUUAUAGCAUGAACAAUAGACAAUUAUCAUGAACAAGGGAAUAUAAUAAUAACCAUUUUAUUAUUGCCUCUAGGCAUAUUUCCAACAGUCUCCUACUUGCACUAGAGUCAAUAAUCUAGUUCACGUCGCCAUGUGAUCAACACUCAUAGUUCACAUCGUCAUGUGACUAACACCCAAGAGUUUACUAGAGUCAAUAAUCUAGUUCACAUCGCCAUGUGAUUAACACUCAAUGAGUUCUAGGGUUUGAUCAUGUUAUGCUUACGAGAGAGGUUUUAGUCAACGGGUCUGCAACAUUCAGAUCCGUGCGUUCUUCGCAAAUCUCUAUUUCAUAUUGUAGAUGUUGCUACUAUGCUCCACUUGGUGCUAUUCCAAAUGGUUGCUCCACUAUACGUAUCCGGUUUGCUACUCAGAGUCAUCCGGAUAGGUGUUAAAGCUUGCAUCAACGUAACCCUUUAGGCCGAACUCUUCAUCACCUCCAUAAUCGAGAAAACAUUUUCUUAUUCCCAAGGACAAUUUUGACCGCUGUCCAAUGAUCCACUCCUGGAUCAUUCUUAUACCCCCUUGCCAGACACGUGGCAAGGAACAUCACGGCACAUAGCAUGGCAUAUCAUAUAGAGCCUAUGGCUAAGGCAUAGGGGACGACUUUCGUCCUUUCUCUUUCUUCUGCCGUGGUCGAGCUUCAAGUCUUAACUUCACACCUUACAACUCAGGCAAGAACUCCUUCUUUGACUGAUCCAUCUUGAACUCCUUCAAGAUCAUGUCAAGGUAUGUGCUCUAUGAAAGUCUUAUCAGGCAUCUUGAUCUAUCUCUAUAGAUCUUGAUACCCAACAUGUAAGCAGUUUUACACAGGUCUUCCUUUGAAAAACUCCAUUCAAACAACCCUUUAUGCUUUCCAGAAAUUCUACAUCAUUUCUGAUCAACAAUAUGUCAUCCACAUAUAUUCAUCAAAAUGUUGAUAGUGCUCCCACUCACUUUCUUGCAAAUACAAGUUUCUUGCAAACUUUGUAUAAACCCAAAUGCUUUGAUCACCUCAUCAAAGCAUAUGUUCCAACUCCGAGAUGCUUGCUCCAGUCCAUAGAAGGACCGCUGGAGUUUGCAUACCUUUUAGCAUCCUUAGGAUCGACAGAACUUUCUGGUUGUAUCACAUACAACCUUUCCUCAUGGAAACCGUCAAGGAAACUUUGUUUUGACAUCCAUCUGCCAGAUGUCGUAAAUGAAAAUGCUGCAACUGCUAACAUAAUUCUAACAGACUUUAGCAUCGCUAUGAUUGAGAAAGUCUCAUCACAGUCAACUCCUUGAACUUGUCGGAAACUUCUUUGAGACAAGUCGAGCUUCAUAAAUGGUGUCAUUACCAUCAGCGUCUGUCUUCUUCUUAAAGAUCCAUUUAUUCUCAAUGGCUUGUCGAUCAUCGGGCAAGUCCACCAAAGUCCAUACUUUGUUCUCAUACAUGGAUCCUAUCUCGGAUUUCAUGGCUUCCAGCAAUUUGUUGGAAUCUAGGCCCACCAUCGCUUCUCCAUAGCUCAUAGGUUCAUCGUUGUCCAACAACAUGACCUUUAAGACAGGGUUACCACUCAGAAGUUGUACACACCCUUGUCAACCUAUGAGGUUUGAUAGUAACUUGAUCUGAAGCUCCAUGAUCAUCAUCAUUAGCUUUCUCUUCAACUAAGGUAGGUGCCACAGAAACAUUUUUCUGUGUUGCGCUACUCUCUGGUUGAAGUAAAGGUUCAACAACCUCAUCAAGUUCUAUCUUCCUCCCACUCAAUUCUUUCGAGAUAACUCUUUCUCAAGAAAGGACCUGUUCCUAGCGACAAACACUUUGCCCUCAGAUCUGAGAUAGAAGGUAUACCCAAUCGUCUUGUUUGGGUAUUCUAUGAAGACACAAUUUUCCGCUUUGGGUUCGAGCUUUUCUGGCCGAAGCCUAUCGACAUAAGCAUCGUAGUCCCAAACCUUAAGAAACAACAACUUAGGUUUCUUGCCAAACCAUAGUUCAUACGGUGUCGUAUCCACGGACUUAGAUGGUGCCCUAUUUAAAGUGAAUGUAAUUGUCUCUAAUGCAUAACCCCAAAAUGAUAGCGGUAGAUCAGUAAGAGACAUCAUAGAUCGCACCAUAUCCAAUAAGGUUCGAUUACGACGUUUGGACACACCAUUACGCUAGGUGUUCGAGGCGGCGUCAACUUGAAACGAUUCCACCUUGUCUUUAGUGAUUGCCAAACUCAUAACUUAGAUACUCUCCCCUUGAUCAAAUCGUAGGAACUUGAUCUUCUUGUUACGAUGAUCUCAACUUCACUCCGAAAUUGCUUGAACUUUUCAAACGUUUCAGACUUAUGCUUCAUUAAGUAAAUAUACCCAUAUCUACUCAAUUCAUCGGUGAAGGUGAGAAAAUAACGAUAUCCACCACGCGCAUCAACACUCAUCAGACCGCACACAUCAGCAUGUAUGAUUUCCAACAAGUCACUUGCCCAUUCCAUUGUUACAAAGAAAAUGGGGUUUUAGUCAUCUUGCCAAUGAGGCAUGGUUCGCACGUGUCAAGUGAUUCAAAAUCAAGUGACUUGAAAAGUCCAUCGACAUGGAGUUUCUUCAUGCGCUUUACACCAAUAUGACCUAAGCGGCAGUGCCACAAGAAAGUGGUACUAUCAUUAUCAACUCUACAUCUUUUGGCAUCAAUGUUAUGAACAUGUGUAACACUACGACCAAGAUUCAAUAAACCAUUCACAUUGGGUGCAUGACCAUAGAAGGUAUUAUUCAUGUAAAUAGAAUAACCAUUAUUCUCUGUCUUAAAUGAAUAACUGUAUUGCAAUAAACAUGAUCUAAUCAUGUUCAUACUCAAUGCAGACACCAAUGCAAACAACAUUUAUCUGGGUUCAACAUUAAUCCCGAAGGUAGAGCGAGCGUGCGAUGGUGAUCAUAUCAUCCUUGGAAACACUUCCAACACAUAUCGUCACCUCGCCCUUAGCUAGUCUCCGUUUAUUCCGUAGCUUUUGUUUCAAGUUACCAAUAUUAGCAACUGAACCGGUAUCUAAUACCCAUGUGCUACUAGGAGUACUAGUAAGGUACAAAUCAAUAACACAUAUAUCAAAUAUACUUUUGUUGAAGUUGCCAGUCUUCUUAUCUACCCAGUAUUUGAGGCAGUUCCGCUACCAGUGACCGUUCCCCUAAUAGAAGCACUUCGUCUCGGGUUUGGGUUCUUGGGUUUCUUCACUAGAGCAGCAACUGGCUUGCCAUUCAUGAAGUUUCCCUUCUUGCCCUUGCCCUUCUUUGAAACUAGUGGUCUUGUUAACCAUCAACACUUGAUGCUCCUUCUUGACUUCUACCUUUACGGCCUUAAGCAUGAUGAUCAGCUCCGGGAUCAACUUCCCUUGCAUGUUAUAGUUCAUCACGAAGCUCUAGUUAGCUUGGUGAUAGUGACUGGAGAACUCCAUCAAUCACUUCUCUUAUCUGGAAGAUUAACUCCCACUUGAUUCAAGCGAUUGAAGUACCCAGACAUUCUGAGCUCAUGCUCACUGGCUGAGCUAUUCUCCUCCAUCUUGUAGGCAAAGAUCUUGUCAGAGGUCUCAAACCUCUCAACACGGGCAUGAGCCUGAAAUACCAAUUUCAGCUCUUGGAACAUCUCAUAUGUUCCAUGGCGUUCAAAACGCUUUUGGAGCCCCGACUUUAAGCCGCAAAGCAUGGCACACUAAACUAUGAGGUAGUCAUCAGAACGUGUCUGCCAGAUGUUCACAACAUCCACAGACGACGCCAGAGGGGUUGGGACACUGAGCGGUGCAUCAAGGAUAGAAGCCUUCUGUGUAGCAGUGAGGACAAUCCUCAGACUACGGCCCUAGUCCGCAUAAUUGCUUACAAUAUCUUUCAACUUAGUCUUUCUCUAGGAACGUAUUAAAACAGGGAGCUAAAGCGUGAGCUAUUAAUCUACAACAUAUUUGCAAAGACAAUUUAGACUAGGUUCAUGAUAAUUAAGUUCAUCUAAUCAAAUUAUUCAAUGAACUCCCACUCAGAUAGACAUCCCUCUAGUCAUUUAAGUGAUACAUGAUCCGAAUCGACUAGGCCGUGUCCGAUCAUCACGUGAGACGAACUAGUAAUCAACGGUGAACAUCUCCAUGUUGAUCGUAUCUACUAUACGACUCAUGUUCGACCUUUCGGUCUCUUAUGUUCCGAGGCCAUGUCUGUACAUGCUAGGCUCGUCAAGUCAACCUAAGUGUUUCGCAUGUGUAAAUCUGGCUUACAACCGUUGUAUGCGAACGUUAUAAUCUAUCACACCCGAUCAUCACGUGGUGCUUCGAAACAAUGAACCUUCGCAACGGUGCACAGUUAGGGGGAACACUUUCUUGAAAUUUUGUGAGGGAUCAUCUUAUUUAUGCUACCGUCGUUCUAAGCAAAUAAGAUGCAAACAUGAUAAACAUCACAUGCAAUUCAUAAAGUGACAUGAUAUGGCCAAUAUCAUCUUGCGCCUUUGAUCUCCAUCUUCGAGGCGCGGCAUGAUCACCAUCGUCACCGGCAUGACACCAUGAUCUCCAUCAUCAUGAUCUCCAUCAUCGUGUCUUCAUGAAGUUGUCUCGCCAACUAUUACUUCUACUACUAUGGCUAACGGUUAGCAAUAAAGUAAAGUAAUUUCAUGGCGUUUACAUUGAUUCGCAUGUCAUAAAAUAAAUUAAGACAACUCCUAUGGCUCCUGCCAGUUGUCAUACUCAUCGAGAUGCAAGUCGUGAUUCCUAUUACAAGAACAUGAUCAAUCUCAUACAUCACACAUAUCAUUCAUCACAUCCUUUUGGCCAUAUCACAUCACAUAGCAUACCCUGCAAAAACAAGUUAGAUGUCCUCUGAUUGUUGUUGCAUGUUUUACGUGGCUGCUAUGGGUUUCUAGCAAGAACGUUUCUUACCUACGCAAAAACCACAACGGUGAUAUGCCAAUUGCUAUUUACCCUUCAUAAGGACCCUUUUCAUCGAAUCCGAUCCGACUAAAGUGGGAGAGACAGACACCCGCUAGCCACCUUAUGCUUCAAGUGCAUGUCAGUCGGCGGAACCUGUCUCACGUAAGAGUACGUGUAAGGUCGGUCCGGGCCGCUUCAUCCCACAAUGCCGCCGAAUCAAGAUAAGCCUAGUAACGGUAAGCAAAUUGAACAAAUCAUCGCCCACAACUACAUUGUGUUCUACUCGUGCAUAGAAUCUACGCAUAGACCUAGCACAUGAUGCCACUAUUGGGGAACGUAGUAAUAAUUCAAAAAUUUCCUACGUGUCACCAAGAUCAAUCUAGGAGAUGCUAGAAACGAGAGAGAGGAAGUGCAUCUUCAUACCCUUGAAGAUCGCUAAGCGGAAGCGUUACAAGAACGCGGUUGAUGGAGUCGUACUCGCGGCGAUUCAAAUCACGGAAGAUCCGUUCUAGCGCCGAACGGACGGCGCCUCCGCGUUCAACACACCUACAGCCCGGGGACGUCUCCUCCUUCUUGAUCCAGCAAGGGGAGAGGAGAAGUUGAGGGAGAACUCCCGCAGCACGACGACAUGGUAGCGAUGGAGCUCGUGGUUCUCUGGCAGAGCUUCGCUAAGCACGACGGAGGAGGAGGAGCAGUUGGAGGAGGAGAGGGCUGCGCCAGGGAAGGGGUGCAGCUGCCCUCUCUCUCCCUCACUAUAUAUACGGGGGGAGGAGGAGGCGCCCUAGGGUUUCCCUAGGGGAGGGGCGGCGACCACAAGGGAAACCCUAGAUGGGUUUGGGCGCCCCCACCUCUAGGAAACUUGCCCCCCAAGCCGGGAGGGGUGGCUGCCCUAGGGGAGGUGCCCCACCUCUCCACGUUAUGUGAGAUGGGGUGGGAGGGGCGCACAACCACUUAAUGGGCUGAUGUGUCCCCUCCCCUUGGCCCAUAAGCCCCCCAACGCUUGUCGGGGCCUCCGAAACCCCUUUCGGACACGCUAGUCAUCACCCGGUACCCCCGGAACAAUUCCGGACUCCAAUACCCUUCGUCCAAUAUAUCAAUAUUCACCUUCGGACCAUUCCGGAGUUCCUCGUCAUGUUCGGGAUCUCAUUCGGGACUCCGAACAACCUUCGGUAACCACAUACUAUUUCCCAUAACAACUCUAGCGUCACCGAACCUUAAGUGUGUAGACCCUACGGGUUCGGGAACCAUGCAGACAUGACCGAGGCGUUCUCCGACCAAUAACCAACAGUGGGAUCUGGAUACCCAUGUUGGCUCUCACAUGUUCCACGAUGAUCUCAUCGGACGGACCACAAUGUCGGGGAUUCAAUCAAUCCCGUAUUCAAUUCCCUUUGUCCAUCGGUAUGUUACUUGCCCGAGAUUUGAUCGUCGGUAUCCCCAUACUUCGCUCAAUCUCGUUGCUGGAAAGUCUCUUUACUCAUUCCGUAACGCAUGAUCCCAUGGCUAACUCCUUAGUCACAUGAGCUCAUUAUGAUGAUGCAUUACCGAGUGGGCCCAGAGAUACCUCUCCAUCAUACGGAGUGACAAAUCCGAGUCUCGAUUCGUGCCAACCCAACCGACACUUUCGGAGAUACCUGUAGUGCACCUUUAUAGCCACCCAGUUACGUUGUGACGUUUGAUACACCCAAAGCACUCCUACAGUAUCCGGGAGUUGCACAAUCUCAUGGUCUAAGGAAAUGAUACUUGACAUUAGAAAAGCUCUAGCAAACGAACUACACGAUCUUGUGCUAUGCUUAGGAUUGGGUCUUGUCCAUCACAUCAUUCUCCCAAUGAUGUGAUCCCGUUAUCAACGACAUCCAAUGUCCAUGGCCAGGAAACCAUGACCAUCUAUUGAUCAACGAGCUAGUCAACUAGAGGCUUACUAGGGACAUGUUGUGGUCUAUGUAUUCACACAUGUAUUACAGUUUCCGGUCAAUACAAUUAUAGCAUGAACAAUAGACAAUUAUCAUGAACAAGGAAAUAUAAUAAUAACCAUUUUAUUAUUGCCUCUAGGGCAUAUUUCCAACACUAGGAGCAUGCGUCGUAGUAUUUUGCUUCGAGGGCUAAUAGUUUUUUCACAAUAAGUAUGUGAGUUCUUUAUGACUAAUGUUGAGUCCAUGGAUUAUACGCACUCUCAACCUUCCACCUUGCUAGCCACUCUAGUACCGCGCAACUUUCGCCGGUGCAUCCAACCACCUUAUAUCCUUCCUCAAAACAGCCACCAUACCUACCUAUUAUGGUAUUUCCAUAGCCAUUCCGAGAUAUAUUGCCAUGUAACUCCACCGUUCCGUUUGUUAUGACACACACCAUCAUUGUCAUAUUGCUUUGCAUGAUCGUAAGACAGCUAGGCAUGAUGUUUUCAUGGCUUGUCCGUUUUUUGAUGUCAUUGCUAUGCUAGAUCACUACACAUCCCGGUACACCGCCGGAGGCAUUCAUAUAGUCAUAUUUUUGUUCUAGUAUCGAGUUGUAAAUAAAUAAAAGUGUGAUGAUUAUCAUUAUUAGAGCAUUGCCCCAUGUGAGGAAAUAAAAGAGAGAGAGAGGCCAAAGAAGCCUAAAUAAAAAAUUGAUGGACAUUGAUAUCAAUUGAUGGAUAGCUCUAGUGCAUCCGUUAAUUCGCAUCCCUUACAUGGCAAUCCCUACUCACUCACAUUGAUAUCAAUUGAUGGACAUCUCCAUAGUCCGUUAAUUUGCCUAGUCGAUGUGAGACUUUCUCCCUACUUUUGUCUUUCACCACCUUCUAUUCCACCCAUAGUGCUAUGUCCAUGGCUCACGCUCAUGUAUUGCGUGAAGAGUUGAAAAGGUUCAAAAAAGUAAAGUAUGAAAACAAUUGCUUCGCUGACACUGGGAUGGGCAUGAGGGGUACCUUGUGUUAGGAAAAGGGAGCAUAAAAGACUAUAUGAUUUUGUGGGGAUAACGUUCUUUAGCAUUGAUAUUUUGAAAGACAUGAUUUUUUUUUGGGAUGCCCGAGUAUUAAAUUCUUUUAUGUCAAAUGAUAGACUAUUGCUUUGAAUCACUCGUGUCUUAGUAUUCAUGUCAUGAUUAGAUUACAUGAUCAAGAUUAUGCUAGGUAGCAUUCCACAUCAAAAAUUAUCUUUUUUAUCAUUUACCUACUCGAGGAUGAGCAGGAAUUAAGCUUGGGGAUGCUGAUACGUCUCCGUCGUAUCUAUAAUUUUUGAUUGUUCCAUGCCAAUAUUAUACAACUUUCAUAUACUUUUGGCAACUGUUUAUACUAUUUUUGGGACUAACAUAUUGAUCCAGUGCCUAGUGCCAGUUCCUGUUUGUUGCAUGUUUUUUGUUUCGCAGAAAAUCCAUAUCAAACGGAGUCCAAACGGGAUAAAAACUUACGGAGAGUUUUUUUGGAAUAUAUGUGAUUUUUGGGAAGAAGAAUCAACGCGAGACGAUGCCCGAGGGGGCCACAAGGCAGGGGGCGCGCCCCUGACCCUCGUGGCCACCCCGUAAGGAGGUUGGUGCCCUUCUUUUGCCGCAAGAAAGCCAAUAUCCGGAUACAAGUCGUGUUAAAAUUUCAGCCCAACCGGAGUUAUGGAUUUCCCGGAAUAUAAGAAAGGGUGAAAGGCCAGAAUCUGAAACGCAGAAACAGAGAGAGACAGUGAGACAUAUCCAAUCUCGGAGGGGCUCUCGCCCCUCCGCCGCCAUGGAAGCCACGGACCAGGGAGUAAACCCUUCUCCCAUCUAGGGGGAAGGUCAAGGAAGAAGAAGGAGGGGGGCCCUCUCCCCCUCUCUCCCGGUGGCGCCGGAACGCCGCUGGGGCCAUCAUCGUGUGACGGCGAUCUACACCAACACCUGCGUCAUCUUCACCAACAUCUUCAUCACCUUCCCCCAUCUAUCUACAUCGGUCCACUCUCCCGCAACCCGCUGUACCCUCUACUUGAACAUGGUGCUUUAUGCUUCAUAUUAUUAUCCAAUGAUGUGUUGCCAUCGUAUGAUGUCUGAGUAGAUUUUCGUUGUCCUAUUGGUAAUUGGUGAAUUGCUAUGAUUGGUUUAAUUUGCUUGUGGUUAUGUUGCUGUCCUUUGGUGCCCAUCAUAUGAGCGCGUGCGUGGAUCACACCAUAGGGUUAGUUGUAUGUUGAUAGGACUAUGUAUUGGAGGGCAAGAGUGACAGAAGCUUCAACCUAGCAUAGAAAUUGAUGCAUACAGGAUUGAAGGGGGACCAAUAUAUCUUAAUGCUAUGGUUGGGUUUUACCUUAAUGAACUUUUGUAGUUGCGGAUGCUUGCUAAUAGUUCCAAUCAUAAGUGCAUAGAAUUCCAAGUCAGGGAUGACAUGCUAGCAGUGGCCUCUCCCACAUAAAACUUGCUAUCGGUCUAGUAAAGUAGUCAAUUGCUUAGGGAUAAUUUCGUAACUCCUACCACCACUUUUCCACACUCGCUAUACUAACUUUAUUGCUUCUUUACCUAAAACAGCCCCUAGUUUUUAUUUACGUGCUCUUUAUAUUCCUGCAAACCUAUCCCGUUACACCUACAAAGUACUUCCAGUUUUAUACUUGUUCUAGGUAAAGCGAACGUCAAGCGUGCGUAGAGUUGUAUUGGUGGUCGAUAAAACUUGAGGGAAUAUUUGUUCUACCUUUAGCUCCUCGUUGGGUUCAACACACUUAGUUAUCGAAAGAGGCUACUAUUGAUCCCCUAUACUUGUGGGUUAUCUGCAGUAGAAAAUAAACCAAAAAAUAUAUGUGCUUCCACACGCCCCGUGUGCCGUGCGAGCAGGCGUGAGUUGACAGGACGCAUGCGAGCAGUCCGCUACGCGGGCAUACCGGGAGGCGUGCAUGUAGGUGUGUGUAUUGGCGGGGAGGCGUGCGAGUAGCUGUGUGAAAUGAUGGUAGGAAUGACAGACGUUCGCCGCGCAGGCUCACCGGGUGGCGAGACAACUUUUGACCGUAGCCUGCCUCGCUCCCACUGGUCUGUUUUAAUUGCGCGCCCGAGCCGCCGGCCAUAAUAGGUGGCCGCACCCCCGGUCCACAGUGGUCACCGACGUCUGGACUCCGGAGUGUAUGACGAUGCCGCCGAAGUGCACCAUCGGAGGGAGUGGCGACGCAGGAGCUGGUGAAGCUGGCCACAUAGGUUUCCGUCACCGCCGACGAGGUCUCGCGCGGGCAGCAGCACGACCUUGAAUUCGUCAGCGCCGUCGUGCCCCCCCAGCCGGAGCCGGAGGUCAACAGCAACUCCGACAACAAUUGCAACUCUGACAACAAUUGCAACUCCGAUGGAAAACCAGUUAGUCAUCUGUAUACCCAUUUGUGCGGCAAACAUAUCAAGUGUUUUCUCUGGUUAAUCCCCCCCACCCCGCCCCUCUAUAAUUUUAAUGGAAUAUAAAUCCUAUGGUUAUGUUCUCUCAGUCCAUGAAAUCAGAGUAAUUAAGAUCUGUUAGAUGCACAUAGUGUAUUGAUUGUUUCAAUGUUAUCCGUAUAGAGUUAGUGAUUAAUUGUUUGUUCUGUACAAAUGAUUUUUGCUAAUAAUCGGACAAGGGUUUGCUUGCGUGCUAAUAAUUCGUGGCCAGAUCUUGAGAAUUGAUUUUAAAUGUCCUACAUAUAUGUUUGUGCCUUUUUUCUUCCUGAUCUUGAGAACUGAUUUCGACUGUCCUACAUGUUAUGCCUUUUUUUUCUUUCAGAUUGGUAUGUACGCAGAUGAGGCUCCGACCAGCGCCGCCGCCGGAUGUAGAUCUUGGACCUGGCCGUGCGGCCAGAAGCGCCCCCCUGGACCUGAGGAACCAGUAGAAUCUCCGGCGGACCGCAUCAGCGAUCUCCCGGACGGAAUCCUUGGGGAGAUCAUCUCCCUUCUCCCCACCAAGGAUGGCUGCCGCACACAAGUCCUCGCGUGUCGGUGGCGCAAUCUGUGGUGCAACGCGCCUCUUAAUCUCGACUAUCGUCAGCUAUCUAUCGAUGAUGAUUAUGAACUCCCCGGAGCCAUCGUCUCCUCCCAUGAGGGCUCUAUUCAACGCAUCUGCAUCCCGGCAUGCUACCUGCUGGACAUACCCUACACGGUAGCCGCCUGGCUGACAUCCCGUCAAUUCGAUAAACUCCAGCAGCUUGAGUUCUACCAUUACUACAGCGAUAGGUUACCACCAAGAUCUGCAACUGUGCCCUCACCACUGAUGCCCAUCUCAUGGUUUUCCUCCUCUCUCCACACCGCCACCUUGACCCGGUGCCAUCUAGCAGACUAUCUGGUACAAAUGCUUCGACUGCCAGUGCUGAAAAAACUUGCGCUUGUGUUGGUUGAUCUGUCGAUGGCGUCAGUUCACAGCAUCAUCCACUCUAGCUACCCUGCACUGCAGCGUUUGGUGCUUGUUUUUGGACUAGGAAUCCAUAUCCCUUGUCUCAGAAUAAAGUCAUCUCACCUUGUAAGCAUUGGAAUUCAUUUUGAAGGACAGGAGCGCAUCAUCGAAGAUGCCCCUUCACUUCAAAGGUUGCUCAUUAAUUGUUGUUAUAAACCUUCACAGAUAACUGUGGUCUCUGCGCCUAAAAUGGAGACCUUGGGUGCAAUUAGUGAUCCAUUUGAAUGGUUUGAGAUGGUGUUUGCCUCCACACCUAUUGAGGUACUGUAUAUUAUUCACGUACACUUUGUAAUUUGCAUUUCUCAUUUGUGCGCAUAAGUUAAGUAUCAUCUUGGAGUACACUUUCAGUGCUAAUAUUAUGUUCUAUGCUCAAUGAAGCACUUGUCCAUCCUAUCAGUGGUGGUGGAUUCUGUCAAGAUCUUAUAUCACUAUGUGGUGUUUUGAUCUCAACAUCAUUAUUGCCUUGCUGCAAUGCUUUCCAUGACUGGAGAAUUUGUAUGUGAAGGUGAUGAUUUCACGCACAUUCAAAGCCCAUAUAUAAUGUACUAUAAUUAAUCAUUCAGCUAUCACUCUUUCAACAUAAUCUUUUUUAGACAUUAACUGUUUUCAAUCUUCAUCUCUAUUUAGGCACUAACACAUGGAGAAAAAGGUAUAACCAAUCGAUGGUUCAAGAAGCACCGGGAUUUUCUCAGAUCUCACGACAUUCGUUUGAAGACAGUAACACUGGAAGGAUAUGCAUCCAACAAUGCAAACACUAGCUUUGUCACAUUCUUCAUGUUGAAUUCGAGGGCACUAUUGUCCGUGAGGAUUAAGUUUUUCAACAACAAAUUUCUUACGGCUGCAGGUGUUGAACAACAUAAAAAGAAGUUUCAUGUGGACCUAAGGGCUUCUGAUCGUGCUCGGCUUCUAUUUACAACAGCUUGUCAUCAUGGACCAGUAGAAUUUCUGGUCGGGGAUCUUGAUUUUAUGGAUCAGACCGAUCCAUUUGAUUGUGACUGCCGAAAACUUUGGUUGAGUUAGAUGUCAUUGUCCUAUUCAAUCCGGAUUUUGUCUAAACCUAAUGAGCAAUUAAUCCUCGUGCUUUUGUACUGUUUGUUAGCUGGUGUUAGAUAUUGUUGCCCUUUUCAACUCGGCUUUGACCCAUAUUUUCUUUCAUACUGGACCAAUGGCUUGCCAUUUCUUUAAUUAAGACAUAAAUAUUAUAAGCAUUCACAACAUAGGCAAAUAACAUCACUCUCACGGGAUCCUUGAGAUCUUUGUUCAUUACAGAACCGCAAGUUUUUAGUGCCCACUGAGGGAGUCCUGGAUUAGGGGGUCCUUGGACAGCCGGACUAUAUACCUUGGCCGAACUGUUGGACUAUGAAGAUACAAGAUUGAAGACUUCGUCCCGUGUCCGGGUGGGACUCUCCUUUGCGUGGAAGGCAAGCUAUGUGAUUCGGAUAUGUAGAUCUCCUUCUCUGUAACCAACUCUGUGUAACCCUAGCCCCCUCCGGUGUCUAUAUAAACCAGAGGAUUUAGUCCAUAGGACAGGAACAACAAUCAUAAUCAUAGGCUAGCUUCUAGGGUUUAGCCUCUACGAUCUCGUGGUAGAUCAACUCUUGUAAUACUCAUAUCAUCAAGAUCAAUCAAGCAGGAAGUAGGGUAUUACCUCCAUCGAGAGGGCCCGAACCUGGGUAAAAAUUGUGUCCCCCGCCUCCUGUUACCAUUAGCCUUAGACGCACAGUUCGGGACCCCCUACCCAAGAUCCGCCGGUUUGGACACCGACAUUGGUGCUUUCAUUGAGAGUUCCAUUGUGUCGUCAUGAUAAGGCUUGAUGGCUCCUUCAAUCAUCUGCAAUGAUGCGAUCCAGGGUGAGGUUUUUCCCCCGGACAGAUCUUCGUAUUCGGUGGCUUCGCACUGCGGGCCAACUCGCUUGGCCAUCUGGAGCAGAUCGAUAGCUACGCCCCUGGUCAUCAGGUCAGGUUUGGAAGCCUGAACUACACCGCCGACAUCCGCGGAGACUUGAUAUUCGACGGAUUCGAGCCCGUGAUAGGUGUGCCGAACAGUCACGAGGAGCAUGACUUAGAUCUGCCAUCGGACGGCGUUCGGGAGAUCAUGCCUACGGUUGCCCCGGCUCUUAAUCCGGAGCACAUCGUGCCAUCCGAGGACGGGUGGAUGGACCCCGCCAUGGAGGCCGCACACUCAGCGGCGAUAGAGCCGAACACAGACUUCGCCUCCAAAGAGGUCUGUGUCAUCGGACCCUCGGACUCGUCUCCGGCCAUAGGCUCUGAACCGCGUGCAUCCGUGCCUAUAGAAUCUGAUUGGGCACCGAUCAUGGAGUUUACCUCCGCGGAAUCUUUCAGCACUCACCCUUGGGCGAUGUGCUAAAUUCGUUAAAAUCUCUCUCUCUGUCAGGAGACUCUUGGCCGAACAAUGUCCGGCUCGAGUGGGAAGCGGACAACAAAGAAAUUCGUUCCCCACCCAGCACCCACUUAAUAGCCACUGUCGACGAUUUAACCGACACGCUUGACUUCGACUCCGAAGACAUCGACGAUAUGGACGAUGAUGCCGGAGAAGAACAGGAACCACCGCCCACAGGGCGCUGGACAGCCACCUCAUCAUAUGACAUAUAUAUGGUGGACACACCCAAAGAAAGCAAUGGCGAUGAGGAAACAGAGGAUAACCCCCCCAGAGAAGCAUUCUAAGCACCGGCGUCAUGGGCGGCGCUCUAAAUUCCACCAUAGCAAAAAUAGCGAUACUGGCACAGGAGACAACAACACUCCGGAUAAUGCCGAAGAAAAAAACAAUCCCACCCAGCCAGACUUCGAGCAGGCCGAACGGGAGGAUGGGCAAGCUAGCCCCGAUGAACAUGCAAUGGAUGGAGACUUGGAGGACGACAAUUACAUGCCCCGCUCCGAGGACGAGGUGAGCCUCAGCAACAACAAAUUCAUCAUGCCUGAGGAUCCCAUCGAGCAGGAGCGCUUCAAACGCCGGCUUAUAGCCACUGAAAAAAGCCUGAAGAAAAAGCAGCAGCAGCUUCAAGCUGAUCAAGAUCUACUAACUGAUAGAUGGACUGAGGUCCUGGCAGCCGAGGAAUAUGGACUCGAGCACCCAACCAAAAAUUACCCAAAGCGCAAGUUGUUACCUCAAUUUGAGGAGGAGGCACUAGAGCCUACACUACCAGCGCAGGAAUCGGCUGACCGGCCACCACGUGGCCGGGACAAAGCAUAUCAAUCCGAACACCAGCCCGCACCCCGUCGCCAGUCAAACAAAAACACGAAUGCCCGGGGCUACACGCAGGACCUGCGAGAUGUGUUGGAAAACAAAGCAGGGCAGUCAAGAUCGAUCUAUGGAUCACGGGGGCGCGCCCCAACGCGUGUCGCCGAUCACCACGCCGGAUACACCAAAUAUAAAUCCAGCUGGGCCGAACACAACCGACCAAGACUCACUUGAACUCCGUCGUGAUAUAGCCUGGCAUAGAGGCGCCGCACACCCCCUAUGCUUCACUGACGAAGUAAUGGACCAUGAGUUCCCAGAAGGGUUUAAGCCCGUGAACAUCGAAUCAUAUGAUGGGACAACAGAUCCCGUGGUAUGGAUUGAAGACUUCUUUCUCCACAUUCACAUGGCCCGCGGGCAUGAUCUACACGCCAUCAAGUACCUCCCACUAAAACUCAAGGGACCAGCUCGGCAUUGGCUGAAUAGUUUGCCGGCAAAUUCCAUUGGAAGUUGGGAGAACCUGGCAGACGCAUUCCUGGAUAACUUUCGGGGCACUUAUGUGCGACCACCGGAUGCUGAUGACUUAAGUCACAUAACCCAACAGCCCGGAGAGUCAGCCAGGAAAUUCUGGACUCGGUUCCUAACUAAAAAGAACCAAAUUGUCGACUGUCCGUAUGCCGAAGCCCUAGCGGCCUUUAAGCAUAAUAUCCGCGACGAGUGGCUUGCCCGACAUCUCGGCCAAUAAAAGCCGAAGUCCAUGGCAGCGCUCAAGACACUCAUGACCCGCUUUUGUGCGGGCGAGGAUAGCUGGUUGGCUCGUAGCAACAACACAACAAGCAAUCCUGGCACAUCAGAGGCCAGAGAUAGCAACGGCAAGCCCCGACGCAACAGACACAAGCGUCGCAACAAUGGCGAUAAUGCCGAAGACACGGCCGUCAAUGCUGGAUUCAGUGGCUCUAAGUCCGGUCAGUGAAAGAAGCCAUUCAAAAGAAAUAAUCCAGGCCCAUCCAGUCUGGACUGCAUACUCGAUCGCUCGUGUCAAAUUCACGGCACCCCUGAUAAACCAGCCAACCACACCAAUAGAGAAUGAUGGGUGUUCAAACAGGCCGACAAGUUGAAUGCCAAAAACAAGGAAAAGGGGCCGCAUAGUGAUGACGACGAGGGGCCCCGGCUGCCGAACACAGGAGGACAGAAGAAAUUUCCUCCCCAAGUGGAAACGGUAAACAUGAUAUACGCCACCCAUAUUCCUAAACGGGAGCGGAAGCGCGCACUAAGGGACGUCUACGCGAUGGAGCCAGUCGCCCCAAAGUUUAAUCCAUGGUCUUCUUGUCCGAUCACGUUUGAUCGCAGGGACCAUCCUACCAGUAUUCGUCAUGGCGGUUCGGCCGCAUUGGUCCUUGCCCUAUCAUUGACGGAUUCCACCUAACACGAGUCCUCAUGGACGGUGGCAGCAACCUGAACCUGCUCGCAAAAUGGGCAUCGAUCCCUCCAGGAUCAAACCCACCAAAACCACCUUUAAAGGUGUCAUACCAGGUGUAGAGGCUCGCUGCACGGGCUCAAUCACACUAGAAGUAGUCUUCGGAUAUCCGAACAACUUCCGAAGCAAGGAGUUAAUAUUCGAUAUCGUCCCCUUCCGCAGUGGCUAUCAUGCACUGCUCGGACGAACCGCAUUUGCCAGAUUCAAUGCGGUACCGCAUUAUGCAUACCUCAAACUCAAGAUGCCAGGUCCUCGCGGGGUUAUAAUAGUCAAUGGAAACACAAAGCGCUCCCUCCGUACAGAGGAGCACACUGCGGCCCUCGUAGCAGAAGUACAGAGCAGCCUUCUUAGGCAGACCUCUAGUUCGGCCAUAAAGCCCCCGGACGCCGCUAAGCGAGUCCGGAGUACUUUGCAACAGGACCGGUCAGCAUGUCCUGAUCUCGCCUAGAAAUUCGGCCUCCGUCCUAGUCCCAGUCAAGCAGCGAAAUUCGUGCCGCGCGUACAUAAUUACGCACUUAAAAUACCAUGGGCACAGGCGGAGGCACAGCUACAAUAUGGCCCACAAUGCGGCUCAACCGCCCCAGGACCCGUAUACCUUCACCCCUUUUUCUUUCUUUCAGGUCCCUCUUUUCUGAAGGCUCUUCCGAUAACCUGAUUACUGGACCCAUCAUGGGACGGAAACGCCAAGGAGGCAAGAGGCUUUGACGUACAAGGGAAUUACCAGGUGGUCUCUGAUAACAAUCGCUAUGCCUGUUUUACGUACCCGCACGCAGCUCACUCUUGGCUAGGACAUGUCAAAUAGUCCUAUUUUUCUUAAUCGUACUACUCGUAUACAUACGCCUUGACGUACUAUUCAAAUAACAAUGGGAAAAUAAUGUACAGCGUCAGCUUAUUAUUACAUUUCUUUAUUUCUUUCCUUGGUUGUUUAUUUAUUAAAAUCUACACCCGUACAUUUUGGUACGAUCAGUUCGCCAGGGGCUUCAGUGUACCCCAUAACACGGCAAGAAAGUCCAAACACUUUCGACAGUGCGGCACCCCGAACUUAUAGCAUUAUAUGCAUCAGCUCCGGAUCAUGUCUUGGGUCAAUAGUUGGGUUUCCCCGGCUCCCAUGUUUUGGUGCCUUACGUUCCGCUAUAUCGGCUAAGGUAGCACAGGGAGAACUACUGUGAUUGUGUCCCGGUUCUUCCGGACGAGCACCUCAGUAGAGAAAGCCGAAAACUGACUGUCAUGAUGCGGCGAGAGCUAGUCGCUGUUCGAGAGGUCUCAAAUCCUUAAAUAUUUUUCCGCUUUGGGCGAGGAACCGGCCUUGUCCGAUUUAGGCGUGUAUAGCGCCCCAAGUUCGGCCUUCUGAAUACCAGGGCUACGCCAAAAUUUAAAAUUACAGACUUCUAUGGCUAAGUGAGAAUGAUAAAGUUGUAUAGUCCGAUUGCCUGGUUCGUUGCGCUAAACACCUCCUUAAAGGACCAAAAAUUUGGAUAAAGAGUGUUUAUAUUUAUCCCGAACACCCUGGUACUAGUUACAUGGGGGCAGAAGCUCACGACUGGCCAACUCUCAGAUUUUAUAAACGGCCGCACAGAAGGUAAUAUUUUAAAUCAACAAGCGUUAUAUAGCGCAAAUGAACUUGUUUUCAUAUUACAGGAUCAAAUGAGUACAUUCAUUCAAAUAUUACAUCCUUAGCACAUUCCUCCGCCACGAGGCGGGCGCCCUUCAGGACACUGUCAUAAUAUUUUUCGGAGUGGUGGUGCUCCUUGCCCUUCGAUGGCCCCUCCGUCACCAGCUUCUCGGCAUCCAUCUUCACCCAGUGCACUUUCGCGCGGGCGAAGGCCCUGCGCGCACCUUCAACGCAGACUGACCGCUUUAUGACUUCGAGCCGCGGGCAGGUAGACACAAGCCGCUUCACCAGGCCGAAGUAGCUGCUGGGCAGUAGCUCGGCUGGCCACAUCCGGACUAUGAGGUCCUUCAUGGCCAGUUCAGCCGCCUUGUGAAGUUCGACCAGUUGCUUCAGCUGGUCGCUCAAGGUCAUCGGAUGUUCGGCCCCAAUAUACUAGGACCAGAACAACUUCUCCGUCGAGCUCCCUUCUUCAGCUCGGUAGAACUCUGCGGCAUCAGAUAUGCUGCGCGGCAGAUCUGCGAAUGCUCCUGGAGAGCUCCAAAUUCGGGUAAGUAAAAGGAAAGUCUCCUUCACAUGCUUGCUUUGCAUAUUGAAUGCCUUACCCGCCGCAAUCUUCUUGGCCACCUCAAUCUCCUGGAGGGCCUUUUGGGCUUCGGCCUUGGCGUCUCAUACGCUUUGGAGGGCCUUCGCAAGCUCGGACUCUUGCGUCUUAGAGUCACGCUCCAAGGACUCAUAUUUUUUGACAAAAUCCUGGAGCUCUUGUUGGACCUCGCCGACUCGGGCCUUUUGCUUCUCGUGCUCGGCGCGCUCAUUGGCUGCUUUGUCUUCGGCCUCAGUCAGCACCUUUUUAAGGGCCGCCACUUCAGUCGUGGCCCCUAUUAAAGUUCAUAACGCUUCUAUUAACUGAAACCAUUCCUUCUUUAUCAAUAUACAAACGGGGUAUUAUGUACCUUUGUUCUCCUCGAGCUGCCUCUUCACGAGGCCGAGCUCUCCUUCGGUCCGCUCCAGGUCCCGCUUCAGUCCGGAGACCUCCGCAGUACGGGCGGCAGCGGCUAGCAGCGACGCCUGCUUAUUCACAUAGACAUAUUAUGUUAGACUCCUGCGGAUGUUAUUUGAUCCUCUGUUCGGCCAUUCUUUCCGAACACUAAACAGAGCAUCAGGGGCUACUGUCUAUACCGUGAUAUUUUCUUAUAAUUUUAUUACUUACCUUGAAGCCGGUUAGGAGGCUGACGCAGGCUUCGGUCAAUCCACUUUUGGCGGACCGGACCUUCUCAAUCACCGCACUCAUGAUGGUGCGGUGCUCUUCGUUAAUGGAAGCACCCCGAAACGCUUCCAGCAAGUUGUCUGAUGCCUCUGGAUGGACAGAGGUCAUCAGCACAGGUGGCUUGCCCUCCUUAGUGAGGGGCUGCCUGCCUGAAUCCGGAGCCGUUGGAGGUUCGGGCGUAGUAUCCGGCUGGGGGCCAAACUUACUGCGGCCCCCGUCAUCAGAAUCCAUGGGGGUCUUCCCCCCAUGUGCCCGGCGUCUGGGAUUUCGCCUUGGGGCAUCUCCAGAACAGUCUCCCCCUGGUCUAGUAUCCUCUGGGACAGCACCUCGAUGUCGUCCGCGGGCCGGGGGGAGGUGGCCGUCGGCAGUGAAUCGCUGUUCAUCGCCGACUGACUCAAAGACCCAUCCGAGGAGGAUACGUUGAUGUGGGAUUUGGCCGGACUGCACGAUCAUAUUUUACAUGAUAAGAAUCAAUAAGGCAAUACAUACCGGAAGUAUUAUAGUGUCUGGAUACUUACGACUUCGCCAGGGGCUUGUCCCUGGGCAACCACUCCACGUCGCUGUAGGCGGCUGUGGUGGAGUGGUCCGGAGGGAGGGUCUUUCCCCUCUUGGACCCUUCGGCCGCCCCAGACGGGGCGACCUUCCUUUUCUUCUCCCCCCGGUCACCGGGGGAGGCAUUUCUGCUACUUCUUCAUCCUCUUUGUUAGAGGAGCGCGCCUUGAUGUCUUCGGACGAUGAGUUCGAUACAACCUUGCGCCGGAGACCUUUCCUGGUUCCUGCGGUCUUCUUCUUGACCUUCUUCUCCGGCGCCUCAUAGGGCGCCGGAAACAACAUCUCUGUUAAGAGAGCCGAUGCUGGGUCUUCAGGUAGAGGAGCUACGCAGUCAAUCUGCUCUGCUAACGCUACCCAGUCCUGAUGAAUUGGCAUGGAAGUUUAGAUUCCUCCCGCGGAUGUGCUGGUAAAAGGCACGUCUUGCAGAAUAUAAAAACUCACCGGAUUGGCGGGGCGCCUUGCGCUGAGUCCGCGAUCUUUGGCUAUGGGUGGUGGUACCUCAGUAGCCUUGAACAACACCUUCCAGACAUCUUCGUGCAUUGUGUCGAAGAGCUCUCACAGCGUCUGGUGUUCGGCUGGGUCGAACUCCCACAUAUUGAAAGCCCGUCUUUGACACGGAAGGAUCUGGCGGAAGAGCAUGACCUGGACCACGUUGACAAGCUUGAUUUUCUUGCUUAUCAUAUUUUUGAUACAGGUCUGGAGUCCGGUCAGCUCCACCGAUGAGCCCUAGGCUAAACCCUUCUUUUUCCAGGAAGUGAGCCGCAUGGCGAUGCCGGAUCGAAAUUUGGGGGCCGCCGCCCAGUUGGUGUCGCGCGGCUCGGUGAUGUAGAACCACCCCGAUUGCCACCCCUUCACGGUCUCCACAGAAGAGUCUUCGGGCCAAGUGACAUUGGGCAUCUUGCCCACCAUGGCGCCUCCGCACUCUGCUUGCUGGCCGACCACCACCUUCGGCUUCACGUUGAAAUUCUUCAGCCAUAGGCCGAAGUGGGGCGAAAUGCGGAGGAAGGCCUCGCACACGACGAUAAAUGCCGAGAUGUUGAGGAUGAAAUUGGGGGCCAGAUCAUGGAAGUCCAGCCUGUAGUAAAACAUGAGCCCGCGGACAAAUGGGUGGAGGGGGAAUCCCAGUCCGCGGAUAAAGUGAGGGAGAAACACUACCCUCUCCUGAGGCUCCGGGUAGGGAUGAUCUGCCCUUCGGUAGGAAGCUGGUGUGUGAUGUCUGCGGCCAGGUAUCCAGCCUCCCGAAGCCUCGUGAUAUCCUCCUCCUUAACGGAUGAGGCCAUCCACUUGCCUCCUGCUCCGGACAUGCUUGGAAUGACUUUGCGGAGAAGGAGAAAGCCUGGGCGCUAGAGCUCGAGCGAGGGAAAAUGAAUGAGCAGAGGAAGAAUAAGGCGUGGGUGGAGAAAAGGUGAAUCCUCAUCUCUUUAUAAAGGCGGUAGAAACUAUGCGCCUCCCCACUUGCCCCGUAAAGCUCGCUCAUUCCCCAAGCGUCGUGUUGACGGCGCGGUUGGGUUACCCACACCCGUAUUGAUGAGAAUCCCGUGAUAAGGGGACACGAUCUCUACUUCGACAAGACAUGCCAAUGAAACCGCCUCGCAAUAUGUGCAGCAGCUGGUUGAGAAAAACAGUUCAAAUAAUGACCGGGCCGCAGCGUGAUGUCACGCUAUGAAAAGUUGUCAGCAGAUUAGAUUUGUGGAAUAUUGUACUCUCUAUGGUGGUAUGUGGAAUUUGUUUUGCAGAGCCGGACACGAUCCUCGUGUUAAAGAUCUUCUAUGGAGUAUUCAGAGAAGGAACCCGCCUUGCAAUGCCGAAGACAAUCUGCGCGCCGGACUCAUCGUCAUUGAAGCCUGGUUCAGGAGCUACUGAGGGAGUCCUGGAUUAGGGGGUCCUCAGACAGCCGGACUAUAUACCUUGGCCGGACUGUUGGACUAUGAAGAUACAAGAUUGAAGACUUUGUCCCGUGUCCGGGUGGGACUCUCCUUUGCGUGGAAGGCAAGCUUGGCGAUUCGGACAUGUAGAUCUCCUUCUCUGUAACCGACUCUGUGUAACCCUAGCCCCCUCCGGUGUCUAUAUAAACCGGAGGGUUUAGUCUGUAGGACAGGAACAACAAUCAUAAUCAUAGGCUAGCUUCUUGGGUUUAGCCUCUACGAUCUUGUGGUAGAUCAACUCUUGUAAUACUCAUAUCAUCAAGAUCAAUCAAGCAGGAAGUAGGGUAUUACCUCCACCGAGAGGGCCCGAACCUGGGUAAACAUUGUGUCCCCCGCCUCCUGUUACCAUUAGCCUUAGACGCACAGUUCGGGACCCCCUACUCGAGAUCCGCCGGUUUUGACACCAACACCCACCAGCACCCAUAAACUUAUUUUUAGCUUGCACACCAAGGGUUGUAAUUCUUAAUAAGAAAAGCUGCAUGGUAGUCACAGAUUUGGAUUUAUCAUUUGGGACCCACGAGGAAAAAGCCUAUCCAGGGCAGUGCCGACUCGACAGUAAACAUUGAGAAACCUGGUUUUAAAAUUACUGUAAAUCCAAAACUCGCCUCAAAAUCAUGAAACUUGGCAUGGUGUUAUGUCAUAGCACCAACAUGUUGUGGUAAAAAUAUUAGUCCAAUUUGGGACAAGUUUUGGUACAAUAUUCUUACAAACCGAAGCUUCUCUCAAAAAGGCUCAUGGUUCCGAGAGGGACCUUGUCACCUAUGUGUGCGAAACAACAUACGAUGUCUCUUCCCGCCUUGAUUUAUUUUAUAGAGGCAACAUGCAACUAUAUAUAGUAGCGUCAUCCUAAAAAUAUGAAAUUAAUCACGGUUCGUUUUGCCUUUUUAUACAUUAUUUGAGUUUCAUAGGCAUUUUGGAACGUACUUUCGUGUGUGCAAAGGUCAUGUGUGUACUAGCCACAUAUGUAAUUCGAUGUUCAAUUUGUUUAUGGAAUCAAGUCCUUAUACAUGUUAUUCUUCUGUAGUCAGAGCAAAUCACAUGGCUUAUUAGCAGCAAUCAUCUAUGUUAUUAUUGGUCUUUGCACAUAUUUCUGAUUACGAACCUGUUUGCCGCGUAUCACACACAUCUUGUUCAGUUGAACCGUUUCCAUUGUGUUGCCUGAUCACACACAGUUCAUCCUAGUGAACCAUAUGCUGUAUAUCGCACACACCUUCGUCUGGCUACCCGUUUCUUUUGUUCCUCAUCAUCGCAAACAGUUAAUUGAACUGAACCGUAUGCCCUGUAUCGCACACACAACUAAAAUCUGAACCGUGUUUGAUGCAUCCUCCAUCGCAAAUGUUUUGCACCUUUUUUGAUGGUUUUUUACACCACCGUUUGCGAUUAUUGCAUCGCACACAGUUUCGUCGAAGGGUCUCUGAUCGUAGUGUCGCAUUAGCAGCAUCCUGCAGUAGUGAUCGCUGUACUAUCAAUGCAGGGAAAGUACACCUGCGUAGUGGGUACUCUCGGUGCUCUAUUCAAGCGCGUAGCAGGCCUACUCAGCCACUCCUCUCAUGCACACACUAGCAACCUAUUUAUCAGCUACGGUUACUGCAGGGGCAGAACAUUUGAGUUAUUUGAUACAGUGAAACUAGGCUUUUCGCUUCCAUUUGUGGAGGUGUAAUGGAUCUCGUCGAACUUUGUUAGUAGUUCCUUCUUGAUGAAUGAGAUGAGGCAAAGCUUUUUCCUCCGUUUCAAAACAAAAACAAAUCACGUCAAGAGGAAUUUCUUUUAUAGAGACGAUAAUGGAGUGAAUUCCAUGCGUGCAACGCCACAAGCUACACAGUACUGGCACUUUGCGUACAGAGGCAUAUUGCACAGUUCCCAAUGCCGCGUCAGGCUUUUCCGGCUCCUCGGGCUUAAUUGGGAGGCGCUAGUUUAAAUAUGCUAGCUGAUGAGGAAGCUGCAAGCGAGGUGCAGCUAGGGAGAACACGUAGGCGAUAAACUUUGCAUGGUGUGAAUUAAUAUAUUGGAGUACUACUCUAGUACGCGAGCCAUGAGAUGAUGGGAGGGAAAACUUGUUCACGUGGCUGGGCUAUCCAGUGCACCCAGAUUGUGGUGCGACACGUCCGUUCGACUUCAAAAGUCAAACUACCAGUGUACAAUAUUGGCUCGCAGCGAAGUUACUAUGUAAAAAAAGGCCGCCGUGCGUUCCGCCGGGAUCGAACCCACAAAACGAGCUAUACACUCCCGCGACCACUAGUAGUACUCGUUGGAGUACAACGCAACCUAGAAUCGCCUUUUGUCGCUAGUACAUUGUUCCUUACAAGAAAACACUAAUAAUGCCAAGAUACCACUAAUAAUGCCAAGAAACUACUACCACUUGCAUACGUGGGAGACUUAAGAUAAGACUACCUUAUCAACCAUUGUACAUGCCCUUACCAACCAGCCCUACCAAGAAACGACUACUCUACAAAGUGUCGUUAUAGGCACGUUUCAACCCAUGUUGCCCCUUAAGUCAACGCCUUCUAUUCGACCGGCAAGUUAGGCGUUAUGACUUGUGGGACCUACAUGUCAGUCUGGACAAAAAUCCCCAAGUGACCUCCUACCUCCGGUCCGUCCACGUAAUCAUCCUCGGCCAUGGGACGCAGCUACCGCCGCCGGCAGAAGGCGAGGUCAAACCUGCCGGCGGUGCGGAGUCCAUCUUGCGGCAGCCCGGAUGCCAGCUCUGUUCGGCGCUCGCGGCCGCUAGCUAGCCAAGAUAGCACAGACCCUGCUGGAUGCAUCCAGCUGCUUGUCUGCAAGGUUUGCCAGCUAGGUUGGCACGGCGGUGCGGUGGCUUGCUCGCGCGCGCCGCGCUAAGGCCAGCCAUCUCGCUCGAGAGGAGGCCAGCGCGACGGCUUGCUCGCGCGUGAGUCACGCUCGGGCCAGCCAGCCAACCCGUGCGGUGGCCAGCGCGGCGUUCGGCCCGUCCGGCGGAGCGGCGGCCAACUCGAUCAUCAUCGGCGCCACCGACGAAUGCGCUUCCGUACUGUUUGAAGUAAUGUUUAGGAAAAAUAAUGACUUGAGGAGGCAUAACAGGAUAGAAGGUCAGAUGUGGGUCCCUCGUGUCAAUGGUCAAACAAAAUGUGUUGGUUUAAGCUGUCUCGUCGGCAUGGACGUGUGGGCCAACCCUGUCAUAAACGGGUUUAAACGAGCCUAAUCGGCACUAGGUAGUAAUUUUUUGGCGCGGAUUAAGAAAUUUUGGGUAUGCUUUUGCUAUUUUUGUACAAUAGUUUCUUCCUAGGGCUGGUUGAAAGUGGUAGUUUUUUGUUAACUACUCUACAUACUGUAAGUAGGCGUGGAUGUUAAGCUUUGGAAGCCAAUAAGCAAGGCUAGUUACAUAGUGCCUAUGUGUACGUGAUUGAAACUAAAUAUCAACCAUGAGUGACUAAUAUCUUGAUGGAAAACUCGAAACUAUGGAAAUACUAGCAUUUUUUGCAUGGUUGGAAAUACUAGCAAUGUUCACGUGCGUUGCAACGGAUCAUAAUUAGAAUAAUACUUAUUCACAAACUUGAUAGAAAACACUCUAAUUUUGAUAUACAUAUAUCACUAGAGAUAUAUUAUGUUUCAAUCAGAAUAUAUUCCUUGGGCUGUUUUGGUGAGGUGAGGGAGGGAUGUGGUUGGUUUUAAGAUACCAAUUAUGGGUUUUUCUGCAAAUUUGUAGAGAAGUGGGAUGUUGGUGAGAAAAGGCAACAACUUACCUCACAGUCGUUAGAUGUAGAUCUAAUGGUCAGAAAUGACGGAUGGCAGACACACCAUCAACACCAACUAAGUCUUCUGUAGGAGUACUAGCAAGAUGUCCGUGCAUUACACGGAACAUCAAGAUGCAAUUUUUUAUAAAACACCUGUUGUGAUUGACCCAUGCGGGAGUAAUCACAUGUGUAACAACUAAUGAUAUCUCGAGAAAGAGGAGAUAAGGUGAAGAGGAGUGGGGCGUGGUGGUGAUUCGUGGUCGGACUGAGCGGAGGCAUGGGGAUGGACGACGCCGGCAGCGCCCACCAUGCCAGAUUGUUCCAGAGGCUUCCUUUUUUAAUUGCUCAAUAAUGAGGUUGUUGGAGAUAAGGAUGAACGAGGGAGGGCCUUGUCUGCAAAUGUGGAUAGAGGUGCGGGUAUCUUUUAGUUUAAUUUCUAUCCGUUAGAUAUAGAUCGGACGGUCUAUAUUGCAAGAUGGCACGCGUACCAUCAUCACCAACUUAGAUUUUUUAUAAGAGAAGAAAUAUAAGUAUGGAGAUACAAACAUAUUAUCGAUACUUGUUUCUGUAAACUUGGAUCUACAUUCUAUUCAACGGCUCAGCAUGUGGGGCCUUAGCACAAUGACUUCUCGAUUGUGUAAAACAAAGGUUUUCCCGUCGUCGAUAAGGAGGGGAUGACGGCGGAGCGCUUUCGGCUUGCUCUAGUCCUAGUAGUCAUACUAAGUGGUCUGCUCACAUGUAGAUUUAUUCUUUUUCACGUCUCGUGUUCACCGUGCUGCCACGACUGUUGAUGAAUAGAUGGUACGUUAUCCACGGGAAAACCUUUGUUGAGCGUGUGUGCGAGAGAGAGAGUGUGCAUGUGUGAUAUGUGUAGGGACUGAGGCAAUGAUAAGAGAUUCUUUGUGUCUCUGUGUGUGGAGGAUAGAGAGAGACAUGUACAUGGGGCUUUGUGUUGUGUAACGUGGAGACACAUAGACAUAAUCAGAGAGUGAGUGUGUGAGAUACACAUGCAGACAUGGGGAGAGAUGUGUGAGUUAGAGAGAUGGAGAAUUUUGGUGUGCAUCCGAGCUAGAGAGGGGGGAUAUAUACAUACCUAGAGCUGGAGAGAAUAUGCAAGGGUGUGUGUCUUAAAAGAAGGAUCAAGAUAGAUGGGUAUUUGUGUGUGUCUUUGUGUGUUUGUGCGCGCGUUUGUGUGUGAGAGGGAGUGUGUGUAUGUGGAGUAGAGAGACCACUAAUGGUGUAAACCUAGUAUAGGGAAGGGGGCAUGGUGUGACAUGUGUGUCAAAGAGAGACAAAGGCAUGUGUAGUAGCGGGCUAGCAUGGGUGCGGGCGGAGAGCAGACUAUUUGGAAGAGACAUCGAGUUUGUGUGGGAGAGGGGUGUGAGAGCGAGAGAGAGAGCUAGCAACGGAUGGAGAGAGAGAGGAAGAGAGGGGGAGAGAGAGGGGUCGUUUGUGUGCAGAAGUGGCAUAUAGAUAGGGAGACAAUGUUGAUGUUGUUCGAAAGUGGCAUAUGUACGGAGACGCAAGGGAAGCGAGUCAUCGUGUGUGUGAUAGGGACUUCAUGAGAGAUCUAGAAUAGACGGUGUAGAGAACAACGUGUGAGAUUGAGAACGAUGAUACAUUAGGGAGCUAUGGAAAGAGUCACGGCAUAUAUGUAUACAGGGAAGGAGCUGGGGCGGGUCCGCAUGUGGGAGAGAUAGAAAGAGGAGAGUGGUGCACAAGGAGACAAAGUGUGCUUGUUUGCAGUGGGGGUGGUGUGUGAGGGGAGUGUGCGAGAACCACAUAACGCGGUGAUGUUUUGUGUGUAUGGGAAAGAUACACUCUACAUAGUGCGUGUGCUUGGGAAAGAGAGAUGCCGGGAGACCUAGAGAGUGGGGGAAGAGAUGUGUGCAUGCCCGAGAGACAAAGUGAUAGAGACCUAUAUUGGGGUCCAGACUUUAGAAGAGAGGGGGGUGUUNNNNNNNNNNNNNNNNNNNNNNNNNNNNNNNNNNNNNNNNNNNNNNNNNNNNNNNNNNNNNNNNNNNNNNNNNNNNNNNNNNNNNNNNNNNNNNNNNNNNNNNNNNNNNNNNNNNNNNNNNNNNNNNNNNNNNNNNNNNNNNNNNNNNNNNNNNNNNNNNNNNNNNNNNNNNNNNNNNNNNNNNNNNNNNNNNNNNNNNNNNNNNNNNNNNNNNNNNNNNNNNNNNNNNNNNNNNNNNNNNNNNNNNNNNNNNNNNNNNNNNNNNNNNNNNNNNNNNNNNNNNNNNNNNNNNNNNNNNNNNNNNNNNNNNNNNNNNNNNNNNNNNNNNNNNNNGCAUAAUCGAGAUAUAUAUGGUCAAUAGUGUGUGCACUCAUGGUUGAUCAAUUUGUUUCAUAGUUUGGACUAUGAGAUAACGAUACUUUUUAACAUGCGUGAUAUACCUUGAAGUACCAGAAUUACAAACCUAAGAUUGGAAUUUUGGAAUUCGACUCCAUCAUUAGCUUUUGUAAUUCAUUUAAACGGAGGUACAUUUUUAAGCCGGGAUUCAUGAUUUCAAAUUCAUAUAUCAAACCUAGAGAUAUACACAUACGGGCAUGUUCAAACUUUAUAAUCGUCCACUUUAUUUAUACACAUACACAUUUUUGCUUUUGUCAUCAUAUUUAGCAUAAACACAUUUGGAACUUCAUUUGAGUUGGACCGUAUGAUGGUAUUUGCUUGUACUAGCUCAAUGAUCCAUAUUUGAAUUGAAUGGACAAUCUAAGUUUCGAGUUGGAGACAUUGAUUUUCAAAACUUGCACUUUUUUGUGUGCGCAAAACAAAUAAAUUCUCGGCCAUGAUAUGCUUAAUCAGUGCCCUCGUCCACCACAAUGUAGGCCCUCUACUGACUCCCUCGUCCGCCCCAUCGCUGGCCCUUCAUACAAGCCCUCGUCCGCCGAAACAGACCCGCCUCACCGAAAGCACUGUACACCAUGCUCGCAGAUGCCUUCGUCCACUGCACCGGACCCGCUCCACGGACGCCAUAUUCAACUCCAUCGGCCCUGCUUUACUGAUGUCGCAGCCUCAUCAGGUUAUUUUGAUUUGUACUCCUUCGGUUUUUCUUUUCUUUGUCAUGGAACUAUUCACUUACCACCGAUGAUCUUUCUUGUAUGUCGACAGGCGCCGCAACCGAAGCGCCGGAGCCGCUUCAGCAACGGCGAAAGCCGGCCCAAACUCAACCGCAACACGAGCACCAUCAACGAUCCUUAGCUAUCAAGUAUGACAAGGAUACCCAUACGCCGCCGAGAAUCAGGUACUAUUAUCCAAUGGCCGGCGCCUACGUUCACUUUCUUAGAAUAAGCAUCGCACCCUCGAAUUUCUUCAGGGCAUCAUCCAAUUUUUCAUGGGACACGUUAUUCUGCUUGCACCUGUAGGGCCAUACUUCUGGCAGUGAACAUGUUACAUGUGCUAAAUUACAAACCAGUGCACAUAUAGUUACAAUGCUUUAGUUUUGUCCUAAGUAUUACUGUACUUCCUAGAUAUCACUGCCUACUAUUUUACUUCUUGCAUGCUAUAUUUAUGAUAAUGGUGUUGUUCUGAUGCCACCUGUUGGUUCCAUCAGACUGCUUCAUGUUCUCUAUGCUUAAUUACACAUCAGCAAACUAUCAUGUGGUUCCGCUGCUUUUUGUUUGUUUUACCCUACAUUUUCUGAUGCUAGCUAUUACAUCACUGCUCCGAGCCUCUGUUCAUUACUUUUUUGUGCGUUCUUGAUCUUCCCAAGUUGCAUGACUAAUUUGAUGCUUCUAUUAAUUAUGGAGCUGCCAACCCCAUCAAGCAAAAUAUUUGUUCUUUUGGGGCAGGCACCUCGAACAAGCAUAAAAAUAGAGUGAAGCACAUAUAUUGUCGUGUAAGCACACACCCUUCUUUCAUUAGUUUAGAUGAACCAUUGAUGGUCAAUUCGAACCAGUGCAUGUGAUUAAAAUUAAUUUUACCUAAAUAGAGGGUGCAGAAUAAACUACAACAACUAGAUUUGCAACCACGGGAUGCUGACGAUAUCUUCAAAGAACAUUGCAACAACAGCGAGGCUUCACAACAACAUAUGGUAAGCCAGUGUGUUUUAGUACAUGUGAAAUGUAAUGCAUGUGGGCUGCUUUCUUGGCUUGUGCCCUCAACCUGUAAUCCUACAGAAUUACAAAUAGUUCAGUUGUCUACUUUGCUAUAUUGCUUGAUUCGAAUGCUUGUUUGUUACUUGUCAGGCUAUACCUCAGUUGGCCAAUAUGUCAGUAGUGCUUGAUGUACUAUCGUAAAGAAAUGCAUGCCUAAUUCAUUUGAGUCCUUAACUUUUCCUAUGAACUUCAUCACAAGACUGUCUUCGUAGUUUAUAUGAGGCCACACUGUUAAGUGCGUUCUCAGAUUAUUUCAACUGCUUAGAUGCCUUGGCAACUUAAAUAUAGCAGUGGUACACUCCCUUUCAACUAGGGAUGUCAACUGGGUCCCGUUUAAUCCUGAUUAAAGUCCACUAGUGGUAUGAUAGUUCAAAAGAGUUUUUGUUUUUUGAGGAAAAUGAACUAGGGAGCUAGCAAAAACUAACUAGAUGGGACUGGCGGAUGUCACUUAUUUGCCACUUACAUCCCUAGUUUCAUCUUACCUUUUUAAUUUCUUUUCGGAUGAUGCUGCUUCAAACCAUUUAAAUAUAGCUUGCCAUGCUCGGCAAUAAUUCGUAUGUCGUUUACCAUGUAAGCUUACUGCCUGGAUCAUGCGAUAACUAUCUCUUACUUAUGUCCAGUGGAAACCUUUCAGGACACCGUUCACACUAGGACACAAUGUACAACCCAGGAAUCUAUUUGUGGAAGCAGUGCGCCAUCCAUGUUACCAGAUGGUAGAAGUUCAGAUGCAACACCGCCGGAGAGCAGUCUGAGCACAGAUAUUAUAGUUCUUGAGGCUCUACUAGAGGCAGAAAGAGAUGGUGUGGUUGCCAUGAAUGAGGUAAUCUUGAUCUUGAGGCUGGAAAUUAUGCAAUUAGCUGCACGCAUUAUGCAAGCAACCGAAUAAUUGGUGGAAGUAAGAAUGUUGCAUUUGAAGACGGAGGAGGUCCUGCUAUUUCUGCUAUCUGAAGCCCAGGGUAAUCCCAGUUCUUCUUUAGAUACCAGUUGAAAUUGUCAUUAGAUUAUUAUACUUGCAUGUUGUGUCAUGUCUCUGAAUGGAUUAUGUUGUAAGACCUUCUAUGUUGUCCAUGUGUUGUAAUGAUCCAAAUUUUUUAGACGAGGUAAUCCUUAGUACUUGUAUGAUUGACAUAAGGUGAACUGUUUUUCGUGUGAGCAUAUUGUAUUGGAUGAAAUAACUGUUUGACUCAAAGUGUAUCCAACCUACUGAAUUCGAAGAUCACGGCAUUUCUAAAUCACAAUCAUAUAUAAAGGUGGAAUAAAUCUUUGUCGUGGUUUUGAAGAAAUAAAUAACAAAAUGUAGAAUUAUCUAUGGAUAUUCGUAAUCGAAUACAAAUUGGAUUUGAAUUUAGUUGCCAGGGCCCAGGGUAAACGUGAAUGCUAAUUCUCCCAAGUUUUGCACGAAGCGGCUAAACACCCACUAUCAUUUGUGGGAUGCCCGAAGCAAGUGUUUGCGAGAUGGAAAUUACUGUCUACCCCUUAAACUUGACAUCCUAAUCGACCAGAUUUACACUGUUGUCGAUAGGGGUAGACUAGUAACUUCAAUCAGACGUGACACGACCGCCUCUGAGCCCAUUCAGACACGGUGGGCGCCAAAUGUGGGCGGCAAAACACAUUUGAUUCAAGCUCGUCCGAAAGACAUGUGUCUCUCCCUCCAUUUCCCAUUCAUACACGGUGGGCGGCAAGACAAACUCUCCUCGUCCGAAAUCAAUGUAGGCAAAUAUUUUAAAUAGGGGCAGAUGUGUAACUUCCCUUAGACGUGACACAACCGCCCUACCUGUCAGCCCUGUUCAUACACCGUGGGCGCCAAAACACCCUCUCCUCGCCCGAAAUCGCUACCGGCAAAUAUUUGGGAGAUACGAGUUUACCGUCCUAUCCCCAACUAGCGUGAUGUCCGAAAUUUUAAACGGGGAUAAGUUCGUAACUUUCCCACAUUUCAGACAAGCGCAUCCCAAAGUUUGAGAUCCCCCUCGCCCUCCAUUUCCCCAUUCAUACACCAUCGGCGCCACAACAACCUCCCCACUGCGGCCAGCCUCCUCCGUCCGCCACCCAUCCUCCACCUUGCCGGAGCCGCUACCCCUACCCCAUCGUCCACUGCAAGAGAUGGAUGUCUCUCAUCCACGGCACCGGACCAGGAUCCUUUCAUCGCGUCCUCUCGCUUCAUCGGUGCCGUCGUCCACCUUGUCGUUGCUGCUCCUAUGACCGCCUCGUCCAUGACAACAGGACUUAUCCCCCGACCCGGCCGUCUGCCGUCGUCCACCACAAUGUAGGCCCUUUACUGACUCCCUCGUCCGCCCCAUCGCUGGCCCUUCAUACAAGCCCUCGUCCGCCGAAACAGACCCGCCUCACCGAAAGCACUGUACACCAUGCUCGCAGAUGCCUUCGUCCACUGCACCGGACCCGCUCCGUGGACGCCAUAUUCAACUCCAUCGGCCCUGCUUUACUGAUGCCGCAGCCUCAUCAGGUUAUUUUGAUUUGUACUCCAUCGGUUUUUCUCUUCUUUGUCAUGGAACUAUUCACUUACCACCGAUGAUCUUUCUUGUAUGUCAACAGGCGCCGCAACCGAAGCGCCGGAGCCGCUUCAGCAACGGCGAAAGCCGGCCCAAACUCAACCGCAACACGAGCACCAUCAACGAUCCUUAGCUAUCAAGUAUGACAAGGAUACCCAUACGCCGCCGAGAAUCAGGUACUAUUAUCCAAUGGCCGGCGCCUACGUUCACUUUCUUAGCAUAAGCAUCGCACCCUCGAAUUUCUUCAGGGCAUCAUCCAAUUUUUCAUGGGACACGUUAUUCUGCUUGCACUUGUAGGGCCAUACUUCUGGCAGUGAACAUGUUACAUGUGCUAAAUUACAAACCAGUGCACAUAUAGUUACAAUGCUUUAGUUUUGUCCUAAGUAUUACUGUACUUCCUAGAUAUCACUGCCUACUAUUUUACUUCUUGCAUGCUAUAUUUGAGAACAGACAAACAGGCAAUUGUAACAUUAUGUGGGCAAGUCCAACACGGAACUAGAUUACGGGUCAAGAUCAAAGGAACAUCACUCCUCUCUUUUAAAAAUUGUAAGGUGCAAUGAUACACUAAGACAAUUGUGUAUAAAAUUUAAAAGAGUAAUAGACAUUGGCUGCAAACCAUGCAGUUCAAGGCACAAGUCAGAGUAAGUAGUAGUUAAAAGGCAUGAGGAUUAAGGACUUACAACAGCGGCUUUGACUGGUGUAGUCAUGCCCUUCUUCUUGCUGGUGUGACAGUCCUUGAAGAUUUCCACAGCAUUUGGUUCAGGUACUUUUUGGUCCUUGCGGGCUUUCCUCUGCAUUUCGAACAAGUCAAUAUAGAUCUGAUAAUAUGGUACAGCGAAAAGAGUGAAACAGCAACUAAUUGCAAGAGCCUUGCAGUGUGCAAUAUAGCUACGAGAUCCUGUCGUCUGUUGGAAUUUCACUUUCGUACGGUUGGCCUUGUUCUUUGAACAGUUCACCUACAAGAAGAUAGAUUUGUGUGGCACAUGUGUAAAUAGGACUUCAACAUGUGAUCUGAUCACAUAUAUAUAAUGUACCUGAUACUUCGGAUCAGACCAGUGUUUAACAAGGCCCCUCCAGUCUUCAUCUGAUAUAUUUUCCACUAGAGAUGUUUGGGAAGUUCACUGUUAGCCUUGCCUUCAAAGUGAGUUUUCCUCAAGUUAUGCCGAUACUGUCGCAGAGCAGACUUGAAAACAUGGGUGCAAGCUUGUCUGGUUGCAUCAUCUUGGCUAUCCAACUUGAACCUCAUCUGUUGAAAAUUAUGGGAGUCUUAUUAUCAGCAACCUAGAAAGUAUGGGACAGAGCAAGACGAUAUUACUGGUUUCCAUACAUAACCAUACUUACAGAUAAAUGGUCGAGGAAGGUGUUGAACUGGGUUUCGUGUUUGUCAUUCCUGUACUGAAUCCAUGUUGGGAGGAUACAUACAUGACACCUAACGGCAACCGCUGCCUCUGAUACUAACUUGGUUGACUCUGUAGCAUCACGUGGCCUUUUUAAACCUGCCUCAAAACGGAUCUCCAUUCUUCCUCCUCUAGAUUUAGUUAACCUAUCGAGCAUUAUCCCUGAUGUUUGUUUCCUCUUGCGCCUAGGUGCUAGUCCAACAACGAACAUAGGAAGUGUUAGUGUACAUCAAACUGUGAGACUACAUAUAAAGAAGCAUGCAACUGUAACUUGACUCCAGCGACUACCUUCUUGCUGUUGAAGCUCACAAGGUUCAUCUGAUAUUGCCAACUCGUCUUGUAUUAAGAGUGCUUGGGAAGUAGUGUCAGGUGGCAAGGGAGCUUGGGAACGUGCUGCUAGCUCAGUUGACACACGAGUAAGUCAUGCAGCUGGUAGUACUGUGGUAGGUGUUGCAAGAAAUAGAGCUGUCUCUGCUUGUUUGGUGGCAGCUAUUUGUUUCUGUUUGGCUUUUUUUGCAGCUCGUGUAGCAUGGGAUGCCGUGUUUGUAGAAUUUUCCGCUAGACUUUGACCUUCUAUUGCACCAUCAGUACCAGCAGAAUCUGCAGGAUUCAUCCGCUUCUCAUUCCCUACCAUUCUGUGUUUCUUCCUCUUUCUCUGUGCCAUGUUAAGUCAAGCCGACAAGAAAACGAAUAAUAAUUUAGUUCUUCAGAACAAAUUGAUGCGUGAUGCAGACGAACUGAACUUUGAUGUUAGACAACCACAUGAUAGGAGGAUGUAAUAUGUAUGAAAAACAGGACGGAAGAGAUAACCAGAACUAUGAUGUGUAAACUAAGAAGAAGACAUUUCACCAAAUUAUAAGCAAUGCAAUGGAAGGUAGACACCAUAUGAAAGAUGCUACAAAUAUCGCUCUGCCAAGUUAACAGUGUCUCAUCAUAAAUGGCGUUUAAACAAAUGUGAAGCAGUACAAGAAAUAAAUCAUAUGCAAGAUGCAAACAACAUCACACUACCAUGUUAGAGGUCUCUCGUCAUUAGUGCCAUUGCAUAUUCACAGCAUUGCAUAUUCACAGCUUAUGAUGUGUAAACUAAGGAGAAGGCAUUUCAACAAAUUAGAAGCAAUGAAAGCUAGACACCAUAUGAAAGAUGGAACGAAUAUCACUCUGCCAAGUUAAAACUGUCUCGUCAUAAGUACCAUUUCAACAAAUUAGUAGUACAAGCUAGAAAAGAAUGCGAGAUGUAACCUAUAUCACACUCCGAAGUCAAACGUGUGUUAUGAUAAGUGAUUGUUGCAGGUUACACAACAGUAGUAAUUUGAUGUAAGAACAUGGUGUCAUAGACAGAUAUUGUAUGUUCUAGAAACAGGAACACGUGUCUUAUUCAAGUAUAAUGUGUAAAGUAAGCAGAUGGAAUUCAACAAAAUUAGAAGCAAUACAAGCUAGACAUCACACAUAACAUGCAACCACAUAUAACAGUGCCAAGUUAGAGGGAGCACCGGUGAUGGUGCACUAGGGGAGACGUGCUCAUCAUAAACACAGCUUUGUUGAGUGUCUAUGCAUGUGUUGUCUUGGAAAUCAUCUUGGGGGUGUGGAGGAGUAGAAGCUAUAGAGGCCCUCCGUUCAGAAGGAGCACCUUUAUCCGCUGCCUUGCUAACUUCCUUCCGCUUUAUUGGUUUUGAAUUGUCAAGUAAAACCGACAAGAAAAGGCAAUAAAAUUCUCUCUUCAGAACUCAUUCAUGCAUGAUACUGACAAUCACUACUUUGAUGUAAGGCAAACACAUGAUACUAGGAUGGAAUAUGUACGAAAAACAGGACGGCAUGGCAUGUUCACAACUGUUUGUGUAAACUAAGCAGAAACCAUUCCAACAAAUAAGAAGCAAUGCAAGCUAGACACCACAUGAAAGAUGCAACCAAUAUGACUCUGCCAAGUUAAAAGCGUCCCAUCAUAAAUGGAAUUUCAACAAAUUAGAAGCAGCGCAUGCUAUAAAUCAUAUGAAAGAUGCAACUAAUAUCGCACUGCAUAUACUAAAGGUGUCUCGUCAUAUUGAUUGAUGCGGGAUACUAAAAAAAAUAGUUUUAUGUAAGGACAUGCUUAAUAGACAGAUGUACUAUGUACUAAAUACAGGAUGGCAUGUCACAUUAACAUGUAUAAUGUACAAGCUAAGAAGACUAGCACAUGCAGUUUAACCAGAUUGGAAGAAUUACAAUCUAGACACCAUAUGCAACAUGCAACCACAUAUCACGCUGCCAAGUUAGAGCAAGCACCUGCGAUGCUAGUGUAGGGGAAAUGCUGUAAUCAACUACAGAGCUAUGUUCACUAUCUUCAUCUAGCAUUUCUGUUUCUUGAGAAUCAUGUCGGGAGGCUGACGCUGCAUUCUUUAAAUGAGGAGUAGUCCCCUUGCAUGCCUGCCUCAUCAUAAGUGAUUGAUGAGGGAUACACAAGAACAUUAGUUUGAUGUAAGAACAUGGUUAAUACACAGAUGUACUAGUAUGUACCAAAAACAGAAAGGCAUGUCAUAUUCAAAGGUAUAAUGUGUAAGCUAAGCAGAUGCAAUUUAACCAAAUUGGAAGCAAUACAAGCUAGACAUCCGGCUGGAGUGGUGAGCAUGAUCAUCUAGGACCUGAGAGCCUGGUGGGAGGCGGGCUGCUUCGCCACCAUAAGUCCUUUUUAGUUGGCUUCCAAGUGAUGCCUCUCUUUGCUGGGCUUGUCACUGGCUCGGCCAGUGCCCUGACUAGCUAUUUGUCUUCUGGUGCUCACGGGAUGGUGGUUCAUGUAAAAAAUAUCUUUCCUUAUCUUAAUAAAGACCUACUUCGGUCUUUCGAAUACAAGCUAGACACCAUAUGGAACAUGCAACCACAUAUGACACCAUCAAGUUAAAGCAAGCACCUGGGAUGGUGGUUCAUGGCGAGAGAGAUCAUCAACUCCAGAGCUACGUUCCCCGUCUCCAUCUGCUGACAGUACACCCUUUAAAGUCUUGAAACGUGUCUGGCUUAGCCGCGUACCACGCUGGAGCGACUUCUCUCUUAUGUUUUGUGCUUCUGUCAAGGCAGGGUCUGAAAUACCCUUGCGUAAAAACACAAUAGUGAGAGUAUGGGUGAAGUGUGUGUAGAACUAGUGCACUGUAAAAGUAGGAGAUAGCAGGUGGCUGAAAAAUAAAUGACAGGAGACAUAUGAUAGCUCUACAACAUUGCAUGGCAAACAAAAUUAGAUUCUACUCCGUAUGAUUUUGUAAUAUAUGAGCACAGGAAAUGCAGGUACUCCUCCAGCACACCAUCACAUGUGGUCAUAUUUAAGAUAACAGUCGACUGAAAAUAAAUAGGUCAGUCGAUUUUUUUAAUGAACCAUCCGAUCUAUAAGGAACGGGCAGAUGGCCUUCGUCUACCUCCCGUCAGUCACUGUUGACGAUCUUUCUCGAACCGCCAGCGACCACCGGCCCAGACCCCUGCCUCCGCCGCCCCGCCCUCCCCUCGACCUCACACCACCGUCGUGCUUGGCAGCGCCCCUAGUCCAUCCCUUUAAUCCCAGCUGACCUCCAGAUCGGGCGCCAGUAGAUCUAGGCCGCACACGCCCCUAAGAUAAACACCAAGGCGCUGCUUCCCCGGCGUAAUAGGCGUACUAGCGCCUGUUACACCGGGGAAUGCUUCCGUUAAUUGGGAAUCAACUGGCCAGAAAUUGAAAUUCAGGGGGGCGACGGACCUCUAUCUAAGGUGAAAUAGUAUAUGAGGAGAAACCUUGUGCAUCGCGAGUUACUAGGAACAUCUAGUAUUAAGAAGAAGCGGUCAACUAGUGUCUUUUGUGGGAUGAAUACCGUGCAAGCAGAGACGUAAGAUUUGCACGAAUAAGGGAAGAGGAGUACCAUUUUCGGUUGCCGGUGUGGUCACCUCCACAUGUCAUGCUGAUCUUCUUCUUUUUACCGGGGAAACCGAUGUUCUGGAGGGUGCAGGCUUGGACGAACCGAUGGCCAAAUUGUUGACUGUGUUGCCGUGGCCGUAUGUCGGCGGAGGGGAAGCAGAUCCGAGGCGGCGAAGGACGGCGUAGCAGGAACAGCUCCGGUGCGGUGGAGGGGGCGAAGUUGGAGCGGCAGUGGUGAGGCGCAGGACGGCGUGGUUGAACUGGCUCGGGUACGGACGGCUCAGCCUCGGCUUCAACUACUAGCCGUGGAGGGCGUUGCGGUUGAGGUAGCGGUGGACGGCGACGUCGGGGUAUCAGCUCCGGCAUGAUGGAGGAGGGCGGCGGUUGAUGGGUGGGAUGGGGUGGCGGACGGAGGACGCCGGGGUUUCGCGGCUGGUGGAGAGGUAGUUUUGGCGCCCACGGAGUACGAAUGGGGAAUCAGACGGGUGGGGGGGAACCAUGUUUCGGUCUGGGACGCGCUUGUUUUUGGCUUUUUUGAAUAGAAGAUGGGACGCGCUUGUUUGAAAUUUGGGGAAAGUACAAACUUUGCCCCCCUCUUAAAUUUCGGACCUACUGCGGGUCGGGGGUAGGAUGGUAAUCCCAGGUGUCCCAAAUAGUGGGCGGGAGCGAUUUCGGCCGCACGCAUGUGUGCUUAGGCGGCCAUUGUGUAUGAAUGUUUUUCGAAGGCGGUUGCGUGCCGUCUAGAUGAAGCUACAAACCUGCCCCGGUUUAGACGGACGUUGCUUAGGUGCCUUAAGGCACCGAAGCAUAGUCCGGUUUAGACCUUUGGACGUCGGGCCGGUAGGUUUCACGGGUGAGAGUUAUUAGAAAAGUAAUUUCCUUGUACUACCAAACAUUGGUCUCACACGGUUUCGGGCGAGUAGAGGCUCUUUUGGCGCUUCGUUCGAAAUUUUGAAACACAAGCAUUCACGUUUAGNNNNNNNNNNNNNNNNNNNNNNNNNNNNNNNNNNNNNNNNNNNNNNNNNNNNNNNNNNNNNNNNNNNNNNNNNNNNNNNNNNNNNNNNNNNNNNNNNNNNNNNNNNNNNNNNNNNNNNNNNCUUAGGCGGCCAUUGUGUAUGAAUGUUUUUCGAAGGCGGUUGCGUGCCGUCUAGAUGAAGCUACAAACCUGCCCCGGUUUAGACGGACGUUGCUUAGGUGCCUUAAAGGCACCUGCCUUUGGGUCACUGACAUGUUGGCCAGCCACCUGUUGGGCCCACAUGUCAUGGACACAAAGGCAGGUGCCUUAAGGCACCGAAGCAUAGUCCGGUUUAGACCUUUGGACGUCGGGCCGGUAGGUUUCACGGGUGAGAGUUAUUAGAAAAGUAAUUUCCUUGUACUACCAAACAUUGGUCUCACACGGUUUCGGGCGAGUAGAGGCUCUUUUGGCGCUUCGUUCGAAAUUUUGAAACACAAGCAUUCACGUUUAGAGUACUCUUGAACUAUGAGGAUUGACCUAAAUAGACAAUGUUAUAUUUGACCUUGUAUGUUUGAAAACCUCAUUAAAUUAUCCGCUUCUUUUUGAAAUUUUGACACUUGAAAAUCCUAUAACUACGAUUAUUUUGGAAUGGAGGAGCUAAAUUUGAAUCUAUUUUGUACACGACUACAUAUGCUAUUAUGUACAAAAUCAGAGCAAAGAUUGGUGCCCCCAUAAUUUAGGUAUGGUUUACAAAUGCCAUGAUAUCAAAUUCAAAUAAUUGAAUGGACUUCAUGUUGAAUUCGAUUUUUUUUAAACCACCUUAAGUUGAAUUCAAAUGUAUGCUAGUUCAUAGGUAGCUGUUUAUAAUGUUCAUUGUGUAACUUUCGUAUGUAUAAUGUGCUUUACACACACAACAUGAACUAUACUCACGUUUAUAUUCGAUUGCUAAAGCGAUGCAUUGUCUGGAGUUCAAAAUACUAACUAUGUGGAUCAAUUGUGUCGAAUAAUAACAUAGACAUGCUCAAAUUCAAUAGAAUCUAGAUGUCUGAUGGAUCAAUGACCGCUCCUUACGCGAAUUGCAAAUAUCAUGAUCCCAUCCUAAUAUUUGGAUACAAUUUAUAUCUUUAAUCAAUGUGUUCAUCAGUCUUCUACGUGUAGUUUCACUCUCCAUCGGUGGUCUCUCACACAUGCUCACACACUCUCUCCCGAGGUGUCUUUCUCGCACACAUGCUCUAGCUAUAACCCUCCCUCCCUCUCGUAACCAUUUACAACUGUUUUCACUAACCUUUAUCACAAGCACUCUUCCUCUCGCAAACAUACACACGCACAAUCCCCAUCGACCCUUUCUAUAUACAUGGACCUGCCUACGUGUCUCAUGUACGCACAUUAUCUUUAGGCCUGUCUCUCACGCAUUGUCUCACACCUCUCUUCCUAAUCGACGAGUAUGAUUCUAGCAGAGCAUUCUGUAGGAUGCCCCUUAAAGUUAGGUUGGAUGAAUAGUAAUAUCAGAGAUAAAGGGGUUACCUUAGUCCGAGAACCUAAGGUUACAAAUCCUAGCCGGCUUUGUCAGUGGACACAGAGUCCUUCACAAUUCUGCUAUCUUUGUCUUGUACGACUAGUCAUCCAUGGGUCUUCCUAAAUGUGUCACGGGCCGACCAAUGUGGCGCAGGAUAGAACCGAACGAAGGGCCUCACCUCGACCCAUCGGACCUCACGCGGUGACACACCCUCUGCCCCCACGUCUCAUUAUCUUCUCACACCCAGACAUACCAACACAAACACCACACACACAAAAAAUUUCUCCUGGUGCUUCUAUUCCCUCCCCCUUUGCAUAUACACACUCAAGGGAAUGGAAUCUCUCGUUGUGACGUCAUAUUCGUCUCUCUCUAGACCACUCUCAUUUCUCGUGCUAUCUCUCCCACGCCCCCCGUCAGCCCCUAUAUCCAUGCCUCUCUCGAAUACGUAAUACACACACAUACCUCUCUAGGCCCCGCCAAAUGCAUCAACUACACAUUCACACACGUUACAUCACGUACCCCAUUGAUCUAAAAAGCCCUCUCUUCACGUUUAUUUCGCAUACAACAUUCCUUUUGAAUAAAGUGUGGCCAAAAAAUUAUUUUAGAGUUUCUACAUAUAUACAACAUUACAAAGUUAUAUGGAGGAGUACGAACGCUAAAUUGCAUUGCAUGGUGCCCACAAUGAUAUUUAUUCCGCACUGUGAAUUUGUAUAUUUUUAUACUAUAUACAAAGUUAGUCAUUAUAAAGAGAAACGAAGAGCAUCUCUCUCUCUCCAUCGCAUACCCCCCCCCUGUACGCCCCUUUCACGUAUGCACACAAAACUAUCUCCAGGUCCUCUAAAAGUAAGCCCCCAGAAAAUUCACGCAUGUUUCAUCUUUCUCUCGCGAUAUAUGCAAUGACGAUCAUUGUAUUUGAAGCGAAAGCACGAUACGUACAUUGGACUUCAGAAUCCACUCAUUACGGUCACCAUUUACGUUUAGUGGUUAUUAUACAGUCACGGGCUCACCGUACAACUCUGUAUUUGCUCAUGACAUGACUAGUUGACCAGUUAAACGCUCCACGUGGCACCUCUAGUGUUGCAUCACAUUAUCUCACUGCCAUCAUGCCCACCUGUCGACUUGUAUCUACUCUACAUCUACACUCCUAUAAAAUACAUAAAAUACACUCUUAUAAAAAACAGAGUUGGUGAUGAUGGUGUGCCUGCCAUCCUGCAAUACAGGCCGUCCGAUUUAUAUCUGACGGAUAGGAAAGAAACUAUGGCAAUUUUGCAAAAAGGUACGCACACACCUCUCCACAUUUGCAAAUAAGGCCUUCCCUCGUUCAUCCUUUUCUCUCACAAGAUAAACUAGUCAUACAAAUGCAUCUUGAUGUUACGUGCAACGCACGGGCAUCUUGCUAGUAAGAAUGAAAACAAACGACAAAAAAAUAUUUGGACGGUGGUUCGAAGUCAUGACCGCGGGCACAGCGGACAAGGUGGCCUUGUAUUGGUAUGCUGAGCCGUCUGUUUUAACACACACGAGCUGGUGUGGUGAUUAUACACACACGCACGCAUGCACACGAACUGCAUCCACGCAACACUCACACAAACACAUGCACCCACGCACGCACGCAACACUCACACGUACACACGCAGCCACGCACGGACGCAACACGCACACGCACACACGCACGCAUGCAUGCACACACCAGUACACCACAUGACCAAGACACACUCUCACGCUCAAGUGCUCAACCUACACGGGCAUGCGCACACAUCACGCCCUGACAGACACAUACACAACCAGGUGAUUCCCGCGCACGGGUUGGACUCUUGUCGCGCCUGCGUAAAUUUGUGUUUGUCUGACCUUUUCCCUAUGCGAACUGACAGGUGGGACCCACAAGGAACAUGGUCAAUUUAACUAGUCAACAUGGCGCCACGCAGACUAUUUGGCCGGUCAACAAGUGCAAUCCGAUGCUGAACCGUGAGCAAGUGACUAUAUAAUCACCGCAAAAUGUAUAUAGUGACUGUAAUCAGCUUAUUCUGAAGUUCGGUGACCGUAUUACGCUUUUCUCUCUGUAGGCCCUCCAAAACUACAUAUCUACACGUUCUCGCAUGUUACAUCUAACAACUAUGCAAUACAGCACUACUACUACACUCUAACACAAUAAAUCAUAUGUGUUUUUAGUUUUACUAGAUAUCAUAUUGUUAAUUAUAAUUAUUCAAUUUGCAUACAUUAAAAUUGCCUUUGAAAUGUAUGGCCAGUAUCAUCUACCGUGCAGGAAAAAUCCCGCCCUUUCCUGUUUAAUCGGGUUUGUAUCGAUGGAUCGUGCGAAACAGCAAAACUAUAGUACUAUACAGUACAAGUGACAGUUCACUGGGCCGUCGUGUCGUGUACUCCUCCGUCAUAAGAGUGGAGCGCUCGCUUUCAUAAAUCUUCUAGUCCCUUUCGCCGACAUGUGGGACAUCAAGCUACCGGGUCCACGUGCCAUACCGGAAUACAGUGCAGAGCAGCCGGGGUGAAGCACCCCAGUCAUGGCGCCGGCGUAGUAAUGAUCAAUGAGGCGUCAAAUCACAAAGCUGCACCUUUCCCGCAGUUAAGUUGGAGGGACGAAGUAAUAAUGCUAAAAAAGGAAGUUGGAGGGACGAAGCAACCAUCAUUUCACUCGUUGCUGAAUCCGCUUCUCCCUCAUCUUCUUCAACUUAACCACGUGUUGCUUCUGCCGUUGUUCUGCCUCAUGUGGGAUGCGGAUCGGCUUGGUAAAGCACUGGCACGUGGGACCACAUGUUAGCAAACCCCCAAGACAACGUCCUCUGAAAAUAAGAAUCCUCCCUGCCAUCCGCGUGGCAAAAUCACCUCCUUUUUACUUAAUCUUGAUUCAAUAAUUUUUUAGAUCAAUAUAAUUGAGAUUUGUAUAGAUAGCACACAGGAGCAAAACCAAGUGGUACGGUUAAGGGCAUCCACAAUGUGUAGCCAAAUGUGAAAAUAGCUUUUGACAUGGUGGGAACCAUUGUGGACGGUGUUGCCAAAGCCAAAAAGAUGGAACCGAAGCUCCCUGAUUGAUUGAUUGAAGGAACAGAAAAAUGCAACGUCUCUCCUCUUUCUCCUAUGCUUGGACGCAUGUAGUACAGUAUAGAGCACAGAGUCUACUCCCCUGUCCCUUCUAUCACAAAUCACAAAGCAGUGAGGCGUCAAAUCAAAAAAGCACGGGCGAAGCAACCAUCAUUUCACUCUUCGCUGACUCCGCUUCUCCAUCGUCUUCUUCGAGAAACCAUCUCACCGCACUAAGCUGGACGGACGACGCUAUUGUGUACUCCUAGUAGUACUAGUCCUUUGGUUCAACGGACUUCCUGGAUGCAAAUAAGGCGGUUGUCUCGGCUUGCAGGCGGCACUUGCGAACGACUUACUGUGGUCUCCCUCAAUGGUGUUCUCCGUCGAACGCACUUCGCCAAACCACAAAAAAAAGAUAUCGUCGACGUCACUGCAAUGGGGAAGGAAGUCAAAUAUAGUUACUACCUCCAUUUUUUGUACACAAGGCCAGUAUAUCAAAAUUACAAUUUGCAAAGGGCCACUAACACUAAUCGAGGCAAAAUUGAUGGGGUUUGCCACUACUAGCAACCAAGGACAUUAAUAUCCCCUGCAUGCAUGCGGAAGUGAGAAGCUUGGUUUGCAUGGCGCUGCAUUAAUCAAGCGAUGAGGAGUGAGAUGGUUAGCUCUUUGGUCUUUGGAGAAACAAAUACGCAUUAAUUGACACGUGAAACGAGGAUUUGUAUCGAUUAAAUCCCGCAAGAAAACCCAGCCUUUCUUUUUUAACACUAGUACUCCUAGUACGUACGUACUUAUCCUGUUUGGGUCUAGGCCUUGCAUUGCCAAACUUCGCCACACAUUUUUGCCAAGCUUGCCUAAAGUUUUCAAAAUGAGAAGGAGGUACACUUGCGCACUGCUGUCGUGGUCGCACCGCACCCUCACACGGUCGCUCCUGCACGCCGCGGUCGCACCGCACCCUCACACAAUCGUUCCUGCACGCCGCAAACCCAACCAAGGGAACACACCCUCACUAACACGUGCUGUCGCAUGUGAACAAACCAAACUCAGCCAUCCUAUCGCUGACACAUAAUUUUCGUUCAUAGAGUAUGUUUAUCCAACCGCAUGUUGGGGAGUAUCCGUACGGCUCGUGCGGUGGUCUGUUGGGGAAGAAGAAGAGGUGAGGAAGAAGGAAAGAAGGGUUAGGAGACGUAGGAUAUUCAUCCAACCGCCUGAAAUGGUAGACUGACCCAAGUCAGGCGACUUGCAUAACAAAUAUAUGUUUUUACACAGCAAAAGAUCCAUAAAAACAACAACAUAAAGAAAAAUUAUCACUGCUCGCGGAAAGAGACGGCCUCGUCGUCUUUCGCUGCCGGCGCGAACCAGCCGUAGCUGUGGACGUGUGUCUCCGCACCGUGGUUGUCCUCGGCCUCCAGCUACUCAUUCAAGCGGAGCGUGCGGGCGCUUUGCACGGACGAGAGCAUAGCCCGGUUCAAGUCAAGGACGUCCGGUUCCGCCUGCAGGAGGGCCUCAAUGGCAGCGGCAUCCACGCGCUCCGCGUAGAGUCGAGCCUCCGCCGCCCGGUUCAAGCCUAGGACGUCCGGUUCCGCCUGGAGGAGGGCGUCGAUGAGAGCGGCAUCCACGCGCUCUGCGUCGAGUCGAGCCCCUGCCACCCGGUUCAAGUCCAGGACGUCUGGUUCCGCCUGCAGGAGGGCCUCGAUGGCAGCGGCAUCCGCGCGCUCCGCCUCAAGUUGAGCCUCCGCCGCCCGGUUCACAUCCACGACAUCCGGUUCCGCCUGCAGGAGAGCCUCGAUGGCAGCGGCAUGCACGCGCUCCGCGUAGAGUUGAGCCUCUGCCUCCCGGUCCUCCUUUAGUAUUGCCAUGUUGAACCGCUGGUCCGCCUGCACCACGGGGGACUCGGACGCUGGCACGAAGUCGACGUCCAUCGUCUCAUACCCAUCGGGGGCCUUCUGCACCGCGACCUCCGCCAUGAACAUUGGAUCGGCUUCCUCCUCCUCGUAGCUUGGCUCCAGAGAACUCGGGGAUUGGCCCGCCGCAAAGCGAGCUUGGGAACGGAGGUCUGUGGCGCCGACCGCCGCUGCGAUUUCUGCACGGCGCUCCGGCGUCAGCAUCUUGUAGUAAGUGAUCUUGCGGCACACCAUGGCUUUCCGGCGAACUAGGGGACGCUUGAUGCGGGCUAGGGGAUCAAAAGGUGGGGGAAUGGGCUGGAGAUUAGGUGUGGUUUUAGGGCAGUGGCUGGCGUAGGCCGAGCAGCGAAGGUUCUGGUGUGAAUAGUGGUUCCGGUGACGACCGGUCAAUCGGUUUUGACUGUACAUCGCUCAUGUCGCGUUCGCGUUGCAGCCCGACACGCUGGACCCUCCACGUCGCUCGCCGAAUGGAACGCGCUUCGUCUUGCGUUUUCGCUCACUUGUGGGACUGCAGUUGAGAGCAAACCGACGUCCCUCCCCCUCCCCCGCCGGCGUCAUUUAUUAUACUACCACUCCCUCCGUUUUAUGCGGAGUAAAUAAAAACAGAGGGAGUAUACUACGGAUGAGGAUCCCCUGACGUGGCCGAACUCAUUGAGUAACUGACAUGCGUGGCCUAGAAAGCAUGGGGUCCGCCAGUAAGUGACCAAAAGGGAGGGUAAGGCAGGGAUACCUACGUCAGAGGAUCCACUUUCACUACUACUCCCUCCUUCCAUUUACUACUACUAUACAGGGCCUAAUGCGUUUUUCGAGGCUAACUUUGACCAAAUGUUAGAGUAAUAAUAUAUGACAUGCAACUUACACAAAGCAUACGGUCAAAUUCGUAUGUGAAAGGAGUUUCCAAUGAUAUAAUUUUCACAUUAUACAUCUCAUGUACUAUUAAUCUUGUCAAUAGUCAAAUGCGAUUUUAAAAACGCAUUAGAGCAUGGUUAAUAAUAUAGCUAGUCGAUGGCUAUGAUGGACUGCCAUGUCAUCUAUAGCCAUCAUCUAUUAUAUGCACUCAUACGGUAGUGUGGGCUAUAAGGUUGGCUAUUUCCCGCAAAAAAAAUAUAAGGUUGGCUAUUGUAUUAGUACUUUUUCCAUCUCCUCUCUACUCCCUCCUUUCCGGUUUAUAGUGCUCAAUUCAAAAAUCUCACCAAUCAAGGUAGAUGGCGAGUGGUGGAAUACUUUUUGUAGUUUUGCAAAAGCACCUAAUUAAUGCUCUUGUUAUCCUAAAAAAAAUAUGUUUAUCAAUGCAUUAAUUGCAACGCAUGCAUGCAUAAAGUACAUGCAUUGGUCAAUUUUCUCUUAAUACUUGCAUGCAAUGAUUUAAUGCACCUUGGAAUCUAAACAUGUGAUGGAAAACAACCAAAUUGAGCCUUAUAAAAUGGAAAAACUAAAAUUUGAGAUAAGCCCUAUAAACCGGAAAGGAGGGAGUAUCUCUUUCUUCAUAUUUAUUGUACUAGUAUUUAACUAGGAAUGCGUAUAUAGCUAGGGCUCUUGCAUGAGAGCUCACUCCCCUUACUUUUUCACAUCUCUCUCCUCCACAUAGGCCCUAUAUAAAUGGAAGGAGGGAGUACAGAUGUUGUCAGUACUCCACGUGUACUAUUGGACAGGGAGCUUAAAAAAGUUACUAUUGGACUGGCUAUACGUGGCGAAAUCCUAGUAGGAAGAGCAUGCGUGAGAACAAGCACAUUCACGUGGUUGAAAACAAAUUGGAAACCAUCUCGAGUACAAGUCUAGGAGUACGUACGAAUCUAACAAUAUUGAUUGGGCGUGUUGUUGAAUGUUGAUACCUUUUUGAUCAAAGUAGAGAUACUUUGACUACACAUAAAACUUAUAUGUAAACUAGAAAGGAUAGGAGGGAGUAUAUUGUACGUUCAAAAGCGAAAUGAAUUGAAUACCCUUUAUAUAUGAUUUGCGGAUGCUAUGAUCUCCGGUUAAAAAUUUUGAAUCCGCCUUAGGUAUCACGUGCCCCCACUCGUUCUCUCUCGAUUUCAUCUCGGGGUCCGGAGAUCGAUUAAAAGAGGACUAGGGUGGGUACAUGCGAAUGAUACUCGGCGGAAUGUUCAAAUGAGGCAUGCGGGAGGAUGGACUCAACUGGAGGGCGACAUGAUUGAUGGAGAAGAGGGUUAGAGAGGAAUGAGAAAUAAGAAAAUGCCACAUGAUUAUACUUGAACGGCUCAAAUAAACAAUAAGUUGUCUCGCUUGGCCUACAUAGUGAAAAGCCUAAUGGGCAACGCGGAGCACUGAUGCUCGAAUAUGGCCGGGAAAACAGGGAAACCGACAUGUGGGGCACACCCGUCGGGAUGACGUAGCGCAGACUAGUCCAAUGGAGGAGCUGGCCCACGACCUCCUCGCCACCGACAACCGUUCAUGUGGGUCGUUGGGGCCAACAACGGGGCGCAGCUCCAGCACUGCCUCUGGACACGGCGACCGCGGUGAGCAACACGCUCAUAUCGUCGCUAGACACGGUCGGUUUCAGUGUGCCGAGGGUGGCGUUAGUGCUGUGGCACGACCAACAAUAUGUUUGGUUUGUGCCCAAGGUUGCCCCAUCAAAGCAUUGGGUAGCCAAAAUUUUGGUUGAGGUAUUGGUUGCCCAUGAUUUGGCCGACAUUGGCAAGAAAAAUGAACUAGAGUUGGCUAGAGUUCAUUGGCAUGGCAAAAAAAUGGCAACCAUCCAAACAUAGACCAAUCUUUGGGUCAUGACCAAAAUUUUGGUAAGGUGCACUUUGGCCACAAUCCAAACACACCCCAACACCCGGCUCGUCGAGGAUGCACGGGGCGUCGCGACGCGUCCACGGAGUGGUGUAGCGCGGCCAACUGCAUCCUCAGGACCUAAGACCAUGCCGGGUCGUCUCGCUUUUUCAAUGACAUGCGGGGAUCGCAUGUGAGCAAAGGUUGCCACGACCGCAGCUGACUACCCUGGCACACCAAAACCCUCGUUCCUCAUGCCGUCGCGCGGUGUGUUCCCAGCCGGCGCCAGCUGCCUGCAUUCAUGCCGUCCGUUCGUAUGUCGUCGUUAAGAGGCUUGGUGCCUGAGGAACCAACUCCGGCGACUUAAUGACGCACCCGGAUGCUUGGCCUCACCGGAAUGCGCUACUUAAAGCAGCAACACCCAACUAACCUCCACACCAUAGCGCAUCGUCCUCCUACCUGGCACCACAUCCGCCAUGACCGCAAGUGCGAACGCUCUGCGAGAGAGCUUGUCUUCGGGGAUGAAGCUCGAGGUCGCCGCCCUCGCUCAAGUCGCCUCUCGCGACGCAAUAGCAGCGUAGCCAGACGCGGACGCGACCGCACAAGCGGUGGCCACGCUGGCGGCCGACAACGGGAGCACCGUCAGCCACGCGUCCUACUUGCCGCCGUCCAACGUCCGGCACCGCCGAGGUCGGGGACUCCUUCGAGGAUGAGUAGGGCAUGGGAGGCGGCAGGGCAUGGUGUGCCAACUGGCCGGUCCGUAUCCCAUGUUCUACUCUUCCUCGCCGGAGACCGCACCUUCACUUCACGGGUCUUGAACCCCGCCCCUGUACAUAGAGAUCACAGAUGGAGGACGUCGGUCACCGCUGUAGAAUAGGUUUAGGGUCGGGUUUCUUUUAUUUUUCUGUCCUAUAAAAGUUCGAAAUGUAAUGAAAAUCUGCCGUGUUUGCAUUAAUCUCGGCCGGUGUAUAUGAACUUUCACAAUAAUAUACAUAUUGUAGGAGUACUAGCAAGAUGCCCAUGUGUUGCACGGAAGAUCAAGAUCUUGUCGGAGAAAAGGAUGAACGAGGGAAAGCCUUAUCUGCAAAUGUGGAGAGGAGUGCGGGUAAAUUGUCAUAGUUUCCUUCCUAUCCGUUAGAUAUAGAUCGGACGACCUAUAUUGCAGGAUGACAGGCACACCAUCAUCACCAACUCUGCUUUUUAUUGAACCGAGACAAAUCUAACAUGCGAAGUAAAAUAAACACAUAGGGUCUAUACAUACACAAUUUAUCUUAGGCACUCCAAUAGUACGUCCACAACACAAUCACGCAUUUCACAUCUUUCUACAUCUACGGGAACCUACGAAAGGGUCAACGUAAAUUGCCUCUCUCUCUCUCCUCCCCUGAUUUUCAUGGUGGGCGGCCCCUCCCUCCCCCCAAUCUACAAUCAACAGCUCACACAUUUCACAUUACGUUAAUUACGUAACUGGGAUUACGUAGGUGUAGCAUUACUCGUCCUAAAAAACCCAACUAAGCCAACCUCCCAGCAUAUCGCGCGGGAAAAGACGCGGCCGCGCCGUUUUAGUCGGGAUUACCGGAUUACUAGUAAGUAGUAUCGAUGGACCGCGUGAAGCAACAAUUUUUUUUUGAGGGGGCGAAGCACCUAGUUUAAAAGGAAAAAAGGCGGUACACUCACAACACUCCUGUCACGGUCACAUUGCACCCCACACACGUUCGGUCCUGCACACAGCUCACGCAAACGGAACGCGCUUCGGCUUGCCUCUUCACUGACACGUGGGACUGCACUUGGAGAAACCGACCAUGCGCCAAACUCCCCCCACCCACCGCACGAAAAUNNNNNNNNNNNNNNNNNNNNNNNNNNNNNNNNNNNNNNNNNNNNNNNNNNNNNNNNNNNNNNNNNNNNNNNNNNNNNNNNNNNNNNNNNNNNNNNNNNNNNNNNNNNNNNNNNNNNNNNNNNNNNNNNNNNNNNNNNNNNNNNNNNNNNNNNNNNNNNNNNNNNNNNNNNNNNNNNNNNNNNNNNNNNNNNNNNNNNNNNNNNNNNNNNNNNNNNNNNNNNNNNNNNNNNNNNNNNNNNNNNNNNNNNNNNNNNNNNNNNNNNNNNNNNNNNNNNNNNNNNNNNNNNNNNNNNNNNNNCCCCUCCCCCCCGUCCCCCUCCACUCCAUUCACUCCGCCAAAGCCGCCCUCCCCGCCGCGCCGAUACGUCAGCGUCGCGGUUCGUCGAGGGGACGCACGAUGAUCCUCUCGCUCCCACGGUACGCUCUCGUAGACUACCGUCCUCUAGCCACGCCGCCACCUCUGGCUACGUUCUUGUGGAGGCGCACGGCGGUCAGCGCCACCACCGCUGGCGCGUUCGUGUGGAGACGCCCGGCGGUCAGCUUCUCCCAUAGUACGCGCAUUCUAGACUGAGGCCCCGUUCAUGUCGGUGUAGCGCUGAAUGUUAGCUGAUAGACGCUCUUAAUCUCACUGUUUGCCGAAGUAGUUUACUGUCAAUAUGCUCUGCUUAAGAAGCUUCCUUGCCCUGUUCUGCACUCAAUCUGCUUAGCUGAGAUGGCAUGCCAAGGCCGAUUAGUUGCUAAAAUAUCUUGCCAUAUAUUUAUUGUGACGUAGAUUGCCAUGGUCUAGUAGCCAAUCUGUUAGGUGAAAUAGCUCUACACCGUUUUAAUCUUUGUUGCUGCGAUGGCCUUCGAUAGUUCGAUGGCUCUGUGCUCGGCCUCAUUGACUGCUGAAACAGCCUGCCAUAAUUUAGCACUCAAAUCUGUUUGCUGAAUUAGCUUUACAUAUAUUUCGUUACUUAGAUCUGCUCAUCCAAAUAUCUUGCCAUAGCUUUAGACAUCAUAAUUUAGCACUCAAAUCUAAUUUUUUUUUUCUGGACUUCAUAAAAAAGCUUAUAUGUUUUUCCUGUAAUAUCUAGUAGAAGAACUAAUUUGUAUGUCUAACAGAUGGACAGGACUUGGAUAACUUCUGCUCGAACAUUCUCCGCUGCAUAUGUCGAGGGGGUUGAAAACUUCAUGAACUUUAUCAGAGCUGAGUACGGUGGUCCGAAAUCAGAUGUGCUCUGCCCGUGUAGCAGUUGUAUGAAUUUAGUUACAAGACCCCAGUCAACUGUGCAAAAUCAUCUACACUUGUAUGGGAUGUCGGUCACAUAUACUAGGUGGGUUCAUCAUGGUGAAACUGUCAACGUCAAUGUUAUUGACUACGUGGAAGCAGCAGAUCACCAUCUUGAUCUGCCUGAUGCUCAGGUGGAAGAGGAGGAGGAGGUGGUGGUGGCAGAGCCAGUGAGUUUGACCAACAUUGAAACAAUGCUACGAAAUGCUCGUGCAUUCCAUGAACUUUCACCUGCAGAAGAAAAACUGUGGGCCCGCAUGUUGGAACAAUGCAACGUGGCUGUCACCCCAGGAAAUAAGAUGUCAGUAUUCUCAGCUAUGGUCACCUUUCUUUAGGUGAAGACAUCUGAGCGGAUGACCAACAAAUCAUUCGAUGCGAUGUUGGCUACUUUCCGCAAAUCUUUCCCAGAUGUGUCUGAGCUGCCACACACCUACAGUAAAAUGAAGAAUUUCCUUCAUGCAGUUGGAAUUGGAUAUGAUAUGAUCCAUGUUUGUAAGAAUAAUUGUGUUCUGUUCCGGAAGGAUUAUGCCAACUUAAGUGAAUGCCCGAAAUGCAAAUCAUCAAGAUGGAAAGAUGGCGAUGCUGUGAAGAGGAUUCCUCAUAAUGUUCUGAGACAUUUUCCAAUUACACCAAGAUUGCAGAGGUUAUUUCAUGAUGCUGAAACAAGAGAGGAUGUACUAUGGCAUUCUAGGAACCGGGAGUACAGAGAUCAGAAUGUAAUGAGCCAUCCAUCUCAUGGUAGUGAGUGGAAAAGCUUCAAUGAUAAACACAAAACUUUGCUGUUGACCCGAGAAACAUUAGACUUGGCUUAGCUUCAGAUGGAUUUAACCCAUUUGGCCACCAGAGCGCCACAUAUAGCAUGUGGCCAGUGCUUGUUAUCCCUUACAACAUGCCUCCAAAUGUCUGCACCAAAGAAUCAAACUACAUGGUGGCCUUGCUCAUCCCAGGUCCAAAAAGUCCUGGAAAGGAUUUUGAUUUGUUCAUGGAGCCUCUUGUGGAGGAACUUCAACAGCUAUGGAGGGUGUUCUCACUCGAGUCCGAUAUAGCAGCCCACCAGCUGAUUUCUUUCUGCGUGCUGUUAUAAUUUGGUGCAUCCAUGAUUAUCCGGCUUUGGGCACUAUGUCAGGGCGAACGACACAUGGUUACAAUGCAUGUGUUCGCUGUGACGGGAAUCCGCUGUCAUACGCAAUACUUAGCAAGAUCUGUUACAUUCGACACCCCCGUUUCCUUGCCAAGGACAAGACGCAUCCUAGAAAAUACCGAAGACAUGUGUUCAAUGCAAAGCAUGAAAACCGUGAUGCGCCAAAGAGGCUCACCGCCGAUGAGUUGCAAGUGGAAUUAGAGAAGGUCAGGCAUAUUACACCAGGAAACCAUCCUGGUAAUGGUAGCGGGAAAAGGAAGCGUGGCAGGGCAGAAGAGAGAUUAUUGUUUACCCGCAGGUCCACUUUGUGGGACUUGGAGUAUUGGAAAGAUUUGGAUCUGCGGCAUAAUCUUGAUGUGAUGCACAUCGAGAAAAAUAUAUGUGACAGCAUUAUCGGCACACUUCUUAAUAUUGAAGGCAAGACGAAAGAUACCUUAAAAUCUAGGAUUGAUUUGACACACCUGGGUAUCAGAAAGGAUUUGCAGGUGCAAGAUGAAGGUAAACCACAGGAUAUGGCACCAGCUGUGUACGUCUUGGACAAGGUAAAAAGAAAAGAAUUCUGCGAGGUCCUGUCAUGUGUGAGAUUCCCACAUGGAUUUGCUUCCAACCCUGAAAGGAGAGUCAGUGCAGAUGGAAACAAGGUACAAGGGUUGAAAACACAUGACUGCCACGUCCUACUUCAAAGGGUUUUACCUGUUAUCCUUAGAGGAUUGGGCCGCCCUGACUUAUACAGAGCAGUUGCAGAGUUGGGACAAUUCUUCAGGGAACUCUAUAGUAGAAAUAUCAGGAUAGAUGCUUUGGAGCGUCUUAGAGACAAGAUACCAACUAUCCUAUGCGACCUUGAGGAGAUAUAUCCUCCAGCCUUCUUUGAUGUGAUGGUGCAUUUGGAUGUUCAUCUACCUGAUCAGGCACUACUUAGAGGUCCAAUACAGUAUGGCUGGAUGUACCCUAUGGAAAGGCAGCUAGGCACUUUCAAGGGCUAGUUAGGAAUAGAGCUAGACCCGAGGGUUCCAUUGCAGAGGCCUACAUUGCUACAGAAGCGUUGACAUUCUGCUCAAAAUACAUUGAAACAGCUGAUCAGCUUAGCAAAGAGGUGGGUGAAGACAAUCCCGGGCUCAAUGUUUUCGAUUAUUCUGUUCGAGUUACAGGGAAGAGUCGACAAGAGGACAAACCUAAAUAUUUGGACAAAAUGGUUUGGUAUGUGUUGAAUAACUGUCCUGAGAUACUACCUUAUAUCAAGUAAGUGCAGUACUGCAGCUUAUACAUCGUAAUCUACUAAACUUGCAGCACAUUCUUAUAUAUUUAGAUGUUUGACGUGAUCACUAUAUUGCGCAGCAUCUACAAAAAGGAGUUACUGCCGCAAAAUCGAAGAAACAUUGACAAACUGGUUAUGGCAGGAUUUGCAAAAUGGUUCAAGAACCAUGUAAGCUUUUGAAUUGCACUGUCCGUUUUUAAUAUAUUGAGUACAUAAGAUGAUCAGCUUGUCUAUUUUCUAACCAUAGGUUAAGAAGAUGCGGGAGGAUGGGCAGGCAGUUGAUGAUGCCCUUUACUCACUAGCAAUGGGUCCUGAUACUCGGGUAAGACAUUAUGAAUCUUGUGUUGUUCGAGAUGUGCGCUACAACACCCUUGCACGAGACGAAGGCAGGAAGACACAAAACAGUGCCAUCAUGAGCACAGAUACGUAUGACAAAGAGACAACUGAAAUGUAUGCUAACAUAACAGACAUUGUUCAGUUGCAGUAUAUCUCCAGUUUCGAGGAUCAUCGGUGUGUGGUUCCGUUGUGCUGUCGUUGGUAUAACGUGUUUUCCAGGAUCGCAAAACCCAGAGCUGAUGAUUAUUUCAAAUCCAUCAAUGUCAAGGCGGCGUACCAGACCAACGAGCUUUUUAUUUUGGCAAAUCAAGCAACACAGAUAUUUUUCUUGGAAGACACAUUUGCACGUAGCGAUGACUGGAGAGUAUUGCAAAGGUUUGAGCAGAGGAAUUCGUUUAAUGAAGUUGCACAACAAGAUGAUGCUUACACUGCUCCUGAUGUACAAGAUAACACAGAUGUUCCUAAUAUCUUUGAGAACCAUCAUGUCAAUGACACCGGCGAAAAGAUUGCCUGUCGUGCUGUGGACACACAAGAGUUGAUCAAGAAGUCGUGCUGUGGACGUUGAGGACGAAGAAGAAGAUGACACCGUGGGGAAUUACGAUUCAGACUGAUACACAUGGCGAAGAUGUUGAUGCUGCUGCUACGGAUGAUGAUUACAUUGCUUUUGUCGUAUUUGCCUGUCAGAAGACGUUUUUUUAUCUACUAUGUGAAAUUGUGUUUGGUAUGACAACUGAAACCUGAUGAACAUGUUGUUUAGUAUUUUGCUGUGAGAACAUCACUUGUUAUGUAUGCUGAUUUGUGUUUGGUGAUUGUAUGACAACUAAAACAUGAUGACAUUGUUGUUUAGUUGUACUCAUAUUUGGCUGUGAAACUUGAAUUUGAUUACAUAGUUUGCUGUUGGACUGCAAUUUGCUCGACGUCUUCGAAUGAGAACAAACCUGACCCGACAAGGCCUCUGCUAUUUAUUUAUUUAUGAGCAAAAGGGGAUACCCCCUGAUUUCCGUUAAUAGAAAUCAUUAGAUGUUCACAACACUACGCCUAGCCUGCUACACAGGUUUCAUUCAUUACUAGUUUCGGCAAAGUGCUCAUGUCAUAGCCACUGAAUACAUCACGAGUUGUCGGUGGAAAACGACACCUAUGGGACCAACGAGGAUCCCUACUAUGGUUGCGGGGUGCUGGAAGUAGUGAGGAGAGCAGGAUCAACAGUCAAUGCAAACACGCAGGUCGUUUACCCACGUUCGGGCCGCAAGGUGCGUAAUACCCUAGUCCUGCUUGGAUGUGUAUAUCUAUGUUCUUGAGGAGCUCAAACUAGCUACAAAGAGUGUAACUUGUCCAAGAGUCCGAAUCCUUCUCCUGGAUGCCUUGGGUAUCCUUUUAUAGGCAAAGGGAUCGCCACAGUGGCACCAGGAGGUGGCAUCGGGGUACUGUGGAUGUGCUUAUCGCUAGUCAUUACGGGACAAAACGCAUUAAAUGCGCCCCCGACGUGUCCCCAUCACUUUACCGCCGCUUCGCCUCGUCCUGACACGCGCUUGGGCCAGCGAGGUGGUGGCGCCAUGUAGACAGGCAAGCAGCUCAGGUGGUGCGGUGGUGGAGCCUUCAGGGAGGUUUGCAUGCCACCACGUAGGCACGUGCUGAGUUGGUGGAGAAACCACGCGUUAACACGCAGGUGCCUGCCCGGCUGGUGGGCUGGCAGCUGCAUGGGAUUGGCAGUGCAAAGCUCGGCGGGUGCGGGCCUAGCUGUGGCCUCGCGGACGUCCUCGGCAAGGGCCUUGCCGGGGCCCCCGGCAAGGGUCUUGUCACGGCGUAUGGUCGUCCCCGGCAAGGAUCUUGCCGGGGGCCUUGUGGAUUCCCUCGGCAAGGAUUUUGCCGAGGCUCGUCGUCUCUCACUCCUCUGAUUAAGAGUGUUGUUCCUUGUCUUCACAAAGAUCUGCAUACCACCAUGGAGGUGCCUCCCGAGCCCUGGUCCAACGCAGAUGAUGGCAUUGGAAGCCGUGGGCUCAAGGGUGGCUCGCUCCGUUGGUGUUGGGAUGAGCUGCCCCGGCAAGAGUCUUGUCGGGGCCGCAUAGGCCGCCCCGGCAAGGAUCUUGCCGGGGGAACCUGCUUCAUCCCUCUGCUCUUUGUGGUCUUGGUCUUGGUGUUGCAUUGCUUUGUCUUGAAUUUACCUUGGUUCACCUCCCCUGCCUUGCCAAGCGUGGCCGUGGCGCGUGGCCUCGACUGCCCGUGCACAAGUAAAGGGGACAAAAGGAGAGCCCCUACUUUUGUACACCGACACAGGAGCCCCCGGGCCUGGGCCAUACAUAAGCGCAACACGUUAUUGGGUCAGGCCCAAAAAAUGGUGCACGAGCAGGCGGGGCGGUUUUUACCGCGGUGAUCUUUCGUCCGCCACGCUCCCCCACGACCCGCGUUGAUUGCGUGACGUGGGGGGUCGUGCGCGCGGGUGACCGAAGCAUGUUGACGUCAUCCAUGGUGAAUAGUAAAGAGGCGGCCUACUGUCUCUUCGAGACCGUAGGGUCGCUGCUCAUUUACUCUCCGCGCUUGGGGAACCGCCGCUCCACGCGUCCCAUUACGCCUGUUUCUUGCGCCACGUUUGCUGCAUGCAGAAGUGAAUGGCAGGUGUGUGGGAUAUGGGGAGUCGUGUGUGCGUGGGCCGUUUCCCACGCGCCUUCAAUUGGGCGGAGAGGGCGGUCGAUGGCCCCGUCCGCUGUCACUUUAAUGAGCCGGAUUGGCCGAGGGGCGGCCGAGCCCCGCCUCCGCUUCUCUAUAAAGACGGGAGUUGGAGGAACGACACCUCCCAAUAUUUCGCCAUCUGCUUCUCUCCAUUACUGCUUCCUCUUUCUUCCUCUCCUCCGCCAUGGAAAAGGGGAACCCCGGUCCUUCGACGGUGGCGGCGAGGGUCGCCGCUCGACAGCGCGUCCCUCCUCCCCAAGAGCCCGUGGUGGUGGAGCCAGCCGUGAGGGGGAGGGGGCGAGGCCGUGGUCGUCGUGGUACUCGGGGAGGAGGAGGACGGGGCGGCGCGUCGGCCUUGCCUCCGCCAGCGGCUCUUCCUGCGGUGGAGGGCCAUGUCGGGGACAAACCCCGUGAGUUCUUCGUUAGGCUGCGCCAUUCGCCUCGCCGUCGUCUUCGCCUUCCGACCCCAUUUGCACAGGAGAUGGAGCUGAAUCCGCCGCAGGCGCUGUGGCUGCGCAUGAGGGGCUGCGGGAACAGCGGUACGUGGGCAAACGUCGAGUUCCCCGCCCCUCACAUCAUGUAUCUUCGUCGAGGGUGGAAGACCUUUGCUCGCAUCCACAGCCUGACGGAGGGUCUCACCCUCCAAUUUAAGUUAAUGGAGGGUGGCCUCCUCUCUGUCAAGGCCUUUGGGCACUUCGGGACUCGCGUAAGGUGCUGCGUGGAGAGCUCCUCCGAUGGCGAAGACUCUUCCUCGAGCGAGAGCGACGAGGAGGACAGCGGCAGAGACGACGAGGGUAGCGGGCGACAGGAUGACGGUUCCGACUAGGCGUCUGGCACGCCGCGUCCGGGUGGGUGCGGCAGCAGCAGCAUCUGCACCUGGCCGCUCCUCCGGCGGAGUUUGCCGGGGGAGGGGCCAGCUCCUUGAACUUCUCGGGGCCGUCUCCUUGGGCGGCUGGCGCUGGGAGGCUGCGGAAGAGGAAGAGGGCGGGCGGCAAGGCCGUCAAGUCAGAGUACGCGGGCACCGACGCCUUCGUCGCGUAUUGGCGACCUGCCGCAUCGUCUUCCAGCUCUUCCUCCGGCGCCGCCAUCACCAGCCGGCCUUUGGACGGCUGCCGAGAUGUUCUCUUGGUGUCUUCUGCCACCCGUAGCUCGCCGAGGUGCUCCUUUUGCCCCUUUUCGCUUCCUUGACCUGCCUCCUGAGGAGAGGGACAAGAAAGGGAUUAUGGGCAUCUUAUCUUUUUUUAACUUGUAAGCCUGCGGACAUUAGUAGAAUUUAAAGCUUGUAAUCCCCCUUGCUCAUGUUUUUCAUUCCGUAUGAACUGUACCUCUAUGGGAUGUUUUUAAUGAAAAAGGGAUGUUUGCCGGGUUUUUCGUUCGCGGGUAAAACCCAUGGCAAGGAGCAAAUCCUUGUUACUAUUUAAGAUAAACAUUUUUCGCCCGGCAACAGGCCUUGCCGUCCCUCCACUUCGCUCGACCAUUCUCGCGCUCUUGGCGGAGGCAGGGAUGAAGUGGGUUUAGGCUCCUCGUUCCAUUUCCUGGCUGCUGCGGCUACAACCAAAUCCGAACCCAGGAGAUAACCUUGGGUAUAGAAAAAAGGGAGCACGGUAGUCUAGAAAUAAAAUGAGGCUUCAUAUAUCCCAGUUCCAUACCAAAAUGCAUGAUAGAGGAUAAAGGACUUAUCUGGAUCUGCAGCCCCCGGCAACCUUUGGCUUGCCGUGGUUGGAUCCUUGCACUUGCAGCCCCCGGCAACUUCGACUUGCCGGGGCCAGGACGCCGGUCCGUUCUCCUCCUUCCAAAUAGCUCGGCAGAAGUGUUCAUGUGCCCUGCAAACCAAAGAGGACAGGAAAGAACAGAGAGACGCGCACUCAACCUCUAGGCUUGGGGUUAGCCGCUGCUAAGCACUAUCAACCCUAACCGAGGGAGGGACUCGACCUAGCAUGCAUGCUAUAACUUAGGGCGCCAGCGCUUCAUUUAUUUAGGCUCAGGGUCUGCGCCUGGCUUUGUACAAAGGGUUACAUGCCUUGCCGGCAAGGCUUGUACAAAAGGGUGGCUUGCCGGGAGGCCCGGCAAGCCGCGCCUUACGGGUAAAACUUACGAAGAUGCUCGAUGUUCCAGGAGUUGCUCACUGGAAUGGCAUCUUCGGUCUCCAGGCGGACUGCGCCGGGCCUGGUGACUCGUGUUACCCGAUAAGGGCCUUCCCACUUCGGCGUCAACUUGUUGGAAUUCUUGGCCGACUGAACAUGCCGAAGAACAAGGUCGCCUUCCUCAAAGCUCCGGGCAUGAACCUUGCGGCUAUGGUAGUGGCGCAAGGCUUGCUGGUAGCGUGCUGCUCUCAUAGCCGCCCGGAGACGAUCUUCCUCAAGGAAUGUUGCGUCAUCUUGCCGCAAUCGCUCUUGCUCAAGCUCAUCAUAAGCGAGCACUCGAGGUGACCCGUACAUGAAUUCCGUGGGGAGAACUGCUUCUGCCCCGUAGACUAGGACAAAAGGUGUCUGGCCGGUGGCUCGAUUUGGCAUCGUUCUGAUUGACCAAAGAACCGCCGGCAAUUCGUCAAUCCAGCGCCUUCCACUUUUGCGCAGUCUGUCAAAAGUCUUCGUCCUUAAGCCUCGCAGAACUUCAGCAUUUGCUCUCUCUGCUUGGCCGUUGCUCCGUGGGUGUGCCACGGAAGCAAAACAGACCUUGCUGCCGAGAUCCUCAAUGUAGUGCAUGAAGGCGUGGCUUGUGAACUGUGUGCCGUUGUCGGUGAUAAUCCUGUUGGGCACACCAAAACGGCAAACUAGUCCUUUGAAGAACUUGAUGGUUGACUGCGCUGUCACCUUUCUCACUGCUUCCACUUCUGGCCACUUUGUGAAAUUGUCGAUUGCAACGUACAAGUAUGUGGGAGCCACAUAUACCUCCAUGUAUCUCCACCUUGCCGGAAAGCUUUGCCGGCAAGGGCCCUCGACCCUAUGUGGGAGCCACAUAUACCUCCAUGUAUCUCCGCCAAUAGCCCUAGUCCUUCCUCUCGGGAGAUGCACUUCAAUUUCACCCCAUUCGGCCUCUUUCUGUACAAGACGUCGUCGACGAAUUGGUACUGAGCAGACCGGCGGGCUACUCUUUUUGCUUCUUCCUGUUCUUCAGGAAGUUCUCCUGUCUGGAGAAAUCGGACAGUGUGCUGCACCCAUGCCGGAGCCUGUGGCUCGACGGCAAGGACUAAAGGCAUCUCUUCUGCCACGGGAGCGACUGUCUCUACGGCCAUGGCCUGGGGCCCUGCCGGAGUCGGUUGCCCCGCGGCAGGAUCGGCAUCCACGGCAACAUCUUCGCCAGCGGCUCCAGGGAGCUCGGUGGGAAAGUACUUGCCGGGGCCUAGCUUCCUCUGCUUGUUCAGCCCAGUUGAUGGUUCGAUAGAUGGUUAACUAAAGCACAAAAGUACUUGGUUCCACAGGUAGCUUGAGGGCAGCACGCUUUGACAGGUAGUCGGCAAUGUCGUUCUCUGCCCGAGGGACAUGCUCUGCUUGGAUACCGUCAAAGCGCUCCUCCAGUUUCCUCACUUCAUCCACGUAAGCCUCCAUCAAUGGGCUUUGGUAAUCUUUGUUGUUCUGCCUGACGACGAGCUGCGAAUCGCCCCUAACGAUGAGCUUUCUGACCCCGAGGUCUGCCGCGAUCCUGAGACCGGCAAGCCCUCGUACUCAACGGUGUUGUUAGUUGACAUCUCCCGGAGAAAGUGCAUUUGGAUGACAUACUUGAGGUGCUCUCCGAUGGGCGCAACAAGCAGUACGCCAGCACCGGCGCCUUGCAGCAAAAAGGCCCCGUCAAAGUACAUGAUCCAGUUGCGGCUCGUUUCCUUGCCGGGGAGAGUGGUCUCCUUUACCUCUUCGUCGGGCGUCGAGGUCCAUUCUGCAACGAACUCCUCCAAGACCCUGCUCUGAAUCGUUGAGGUGCUUUCGAACUUCAAACCGAAACUUGACAGCUCCAGGGCCCAUUCCACGAUCCUCCCCGUUGCGUCUGGGUUAUGCAGUAUCCGCUGCAACGGGAGGCGGGUGACCACGGUGAUCUCGUGUGUGCUUGGAAGUAAUGGCGCAGCUUCCUCGAGGCCAUAAGGAGGCCGAAGAGCAGCUUCUGCACACCUGAGCACCUCGACCUAGCCCCCUGCAAGAGGGAGCUGACGAAGUAAACUGGGUGCUGCACCAUUUUCUUCUUCUGCGCCACUUUACCCGAUCGCGCGGGCCCUGCUGUAUUGGCGUCAGCCUCUGCCGGGGACUCGGUCUUGUCGGGACCGAGCCCUGCCGGGAAGGGUUCUGGUUUGCUAUCCGUUGACUCUGCCGCUGCCGCUGCCUCUUUGUCGACCUCCCUCUGUGCCACUAGUGCGGCACUAACCACUUGAUUUGUCGCUGCUAGGUACAGCAACAACGGUUCUUGUGGUUUGGGCGCAACCAACACUGGGGUACAGGAGAGGUACUUCUUCAAAUCUUGCAGCACUGCCUCGGCCUCCGGGGUCCACUCCAUUGGGCCCGCCUUCUUUAAGAUCUUAAAAAAGGGAAGGGCACGCUCCACGGACUUGGAGAUGACUCUGCUCAUGGCGGCAACGCAGCCAGCGAGCCGACGCACGUCUUUGAUCCGCUUGGGUGCCUCAAUCUGCUCAAUGGCCUUUAUCUUAUCUGGGUUUGCUUCAAUCCCGCGCUGCGACACAAAGAACCCGAGAAGUUUGCCGGAAGGGACGCCGAAGACACACUUCUCAGGGUUCAGCUUGAGGUUGAUCUUGCGCAGGUUGGCAAAUGUUUCCUCCAGAUCUUGCACGAGCGUUGCUUUGUCCUUGGUUUUGACCACUAUGUCAUCCAUAUAAGCUUCCAUAUUUCUAUGUAGCUGGGGUUCAAAACCAAUUUGGACUGCUCUCGCAAAGGUGGAGCCAGCACUCUUCAACCCGAAAGGCAUCCGUAAAAAGCAAUACGUACCACAUGGGGUGAUGAAUGUUGUCUUCUCUUCGUCUUCUUUCGUCAUGAAGAUCUGGUGAUACCCUGAGUAGGCAUCGAGGAACGAUAGCAAGUCACACCCGGCCGUGGAGUCAACAAUCUAGUCGAUGCGCGGCAAUGGGAAGGGGUCCUUGGGACAAGCCUUAUUGAUAUCUGUGUAAUCAAUACACAGCCUCCACUUCCCAUUUGCCUUGCGCACCACUAUCGGAUUGGCCAACCACGUCGGAUGGAGCACUCCUCUCACCAGUCCCGCUGCUUCUAACUUUCUGAUAUCUUCUGUGAUGAAUUCUUGCCUCUCUAGAUCUUGCUUCCUGACCUUCUGCUUGACGGGCCGUGCAUGAGGGUAGACAACAAGAUGGUGCUCAAUCACUUCCCUGGGAACGCCGGGGAUGUCGGAGGCUUGCCAUGCAAACACAUCGACAUUCGCCCACAGGAAGGUGACGAGCUCGCUUUCCUAUUUGCUGUUGAGGGUGGAGGUUAUGGUGAAAGCCCCUCCCGUGCCAUCCUCCUUGACGGGCACCUUCUUGGCCUCUGGCGGCGCGGCUCUGGAUUUCUUGCUCUUGCCGGUGGAGCUCUCUGGCAUGUCCUCGACAGUAGCACAACACUCCGAAGAGGUACGCUUGCCGGAGUGGGUGUAAGAGGUCUGGCCGGUCUUCUUCUUUCCUCCUGGGGCUCCAGCGGCAGGAGCAAGUGCCCUGGCGGCAGCCGCUGCGACUGCUUCCCGGUACAGUAGGUCGGCACAGAUCAGCGUGUCUUUCUUGUCGGAGGGGAUGGUGAUGAUGUUCAUCGGCCCGGGCAUCUGCAGCGUGUUGUAGGCGUAGUGAGAAGCCGCCAUGAACUUGGCAAGUGCCGGGCGGCCGAGGAUCCCAUUGUAGGGCAAGGGUAUCUCGGCUACAUCAAAGACAAUCCUCUUCGUCCUGUAGUUCAGCUCACUUCCAAACGUCACAGGCAACGUGACUUUUCCCUUCGGCUGGCUCCUUCCCGGGUUGACCCCUUGAAAUGUGCCCGUUUCCUCGAGGUCUCCAUCAGAAAUUUGCAGCUUUUUGAUCACGACAGGUGAGAUCAAGUUCAGACCGGCCCCACCGUCAACCAGCAUCUUGUUCACCUUGAGGUUGCGUAUCGUUGGUGAGACCAACAACGGAAAACACCUGACCGCGGUUGUGCGGUCAGGGUGAUCCUUGGCGUCAAAGAUGAGGGGCGUGCUGGACCAUUUCAGGGGCUUCUGGGCGUCGAACGUGGGCUCUGCCGCUGUAAUCUCACGCGCCCACUGUUUGAGCUAGCGGUGAGAAGUAUGCAGUGAGGCGCCACCGUCAACGCACAUGGCCUCUGUAGCCUUUUGGAACUCUUGCUGGCCGGACUCGUCAUCCUCGUCAUGAUCAUCAUCUUCUUGCUUCUUGUCGCGGCCCCGUGCGGGCCUCUCUUGUUGGUUAUCCUUGCCGCGGCGACCUCCUGGGCCGCCACGCUUCCUGUCGGAUCCUCCGGCACCAUCCUGACCCUUCUCCUUGUCCCGCCUAUCAUACUCAGCCUUCUUCUUCUCAGCAAGCAGCUCGACUUGUCGGCAGUUCUGGAGAUCGUGGCCCUUGGUGCGGUGGAUCUUGCAAUACUGCUUGUCGGAGCCCCCUGGCUUAUCGGCAGCCGCCAAGCCCCGGCAGGCGGUGCACCCAGCAAUCUCUUUGCCGGAGUCGUCUGCCUUGGCCUUCUUGGCGGCGCCGGUAUCGCCGGAUUCCUCAAUGGCAAGCACGGCUUUUCCCUUAUGUUUUCUGUUACGGCGCCGGCUCUUCUUCGCCGGGGUGGUGGUAUCAUCUGUGGAGUCGGUUUCCACGCCGGCAUCCUCGCCGGGGUACUUCCUUCCCUCUUCAGCUUGAGCGCACCAAUCGGCCAGGACAUCAAGUUCGGCCACAUCCUUGACCUUGUUCAUCGCCAGCUCCUCACGCAUCUUGCGGUUGCGCACGUUCUGGUAGAACACACUGAUCACGGCGGCGGGAUGAACAUCGGGGAUGUUGUAUUGCACUCGGCUGAACCUCUGGAUGUACUUGCGCAGGGUUUCUCCAUCCUUCUGGGGAAUGAUAUGCAAAUCACUCGCCUGGCCGUGAGCUUGGUGGCCUCCAGUGAAGGCACCAACGAACUCAUGACACAGGUCCGACCAAGAAGAAAUGGAAUCCACCGGCAAGUGCAUCAACCAAGACAUGACGUUGGGCUUCAGCGCCAGCGGGAAGUAGUUGGCGAGCACCUUGUCGUCGCGAGCUCCAGCAGCUUGCAUCGAAAUGGUGUAGAUGCUGAGGAACUCCGACAUAUGGGUCUUGGCAUUGUACUUCUCGUUGACGUCGGGCUUGAACGUGCGGUGGGACGGCCAUUGGAACCGCCACAGCUCACGGGUAAAGGCCGGGCAACCUACCUCGUAAGGCAGGCCGCCGGAGCCUCCCGGAAUCGGUUGUUCCACAGCAGGCCUGCCCGCUUGUCCGACUGGUGGCGUGUAUCGCCCCGGCGCUCGAUGGUGGUCCGAGCGUCUUCGUGAGCUCGCUCCCGAAGAACUUGGCGUUGGUCAUGGCGGGUCUGCGGGUCGAACGACGCUAUGGAGAUAUCAUCGCAAGCGUCGUCACGACGGGCUGACGCUCACGGUGGUCAGCGUGGAGGAGAGUGCACCGUAGCCGCAGCACCCCCGGUUCUUCCCCCGCUGGCAUGUGGUGGCUCGAUGGAGUGCCGACCCGAGGGCCCCAUUGGUCGCGGAUCGUCUCUGUUGGCGAUGGCGACGAGGCUUCGGAUGGUGGCUCUCCACUCGUCGAGCUUCUCCACAGCAGGAGGGAAGUCGAGGAGCAGCUGUGCGCGCGCCAGAGCUUCCACUGGCGUGGGUGGCGGCGAAAGCUGCGUGGACCACGGCACGCUUCGACUUCUAACCACGUUAGAAGGAGCUGCGUCUUGGCCCAGCGGCUGCAUGCCACUUUCGCCAGCGCUUCGGCGGGCAUGUAGGCCCCCUUCGUCUCGCGGAUGAAGCACAUGGCUCUUCCCACGACGGCGCCCAGGGUCACCAGCGUGGUGAUGCUGCUCGUCGUGCACACCAUGGGAAGAGCGCGUUGUGGGCGCCGGGAUAGGCGUCUUGGAGGUCGCUGCGCCGCCUGCGGGUGGCACAGCAACGUUUUUGGAGGGCCCUGCGCCGCCUGCGUGGGGCCCGUCUCCGUCUUGGGAUCUAGCAGCGCGCGGCUCGCCAUUCGGCGUAUGAACGACGCCGCUCGCCAGGCUAUGACCGCCAGAGCCACGUUGACGCUCACGGGCUGCGGCCCGAGUUCUGUCCGCGACCGGUCCGCUGCUCGCUCGCACCGGAUCAGUCCGCUUGGCUCCUGAUGAGCCGAUCGCCAUGGUCGCCUUCUUCUUGGGAGCCAUGGCGAUGAAGAAUUAUGCUACUGGCUGUAGAACCAGAUGCUCACUACUGCAACACCCUACCUGGCGCGCCAAAGAUGUCGGUGGAAAAUGACACCUAUGGGACCAACGAGGAUCCCUACUACGGUUGCAGGGUGCUGGAAGUGGUGAGGAGAGCAGGAUCAAUAGUCAGUGCAAACACACGGGUCGUUUACCUAGGUUCGGGCCGCAAGGUGCGUAAUACCCUAGUCCUGCUUGGAUGUGUAUAUCUGUGUUCUUGAGGAGCUCAAACUAGCUACAGAGAGCGUAACUUGUCCAAGAGUCUGAAUCCUUCUCCUUGAUGCCUUGGGUCUCCUUUUAUAGGCAAAGGGAUCGCCACAGUGGCACCAGGAGGUGGCAUCGGGGUACUGUGGCUGUGCUUAUCGCUAGUCAUUACAGGACAAAACGCAUUAAAUGCACCCCAGACAUGUCCCCCUCACUUUACCGCUGCUUCGCCUCGUCUUGACACGCGCCUGGGCUAGAGAGGUGGUGGCUCCAUGUAGACAGGCAAGCAGCUGAGAUGGCGCAGUGGUGGAGCCUUCAGGGAGGUUUGCAUGCCACCACGUAGGCACGUGCUGAGUUGGUGGAGAAACCCCGCGUUAACACGCAGGUGCCUGCCCGGCUGGUGGGCUGGCAGCUGCAUGGGAUUGGCAGUGCAAAGCUUGGUGGGUGCGGGCCUAGCUGUGGCCUCGCGGACGUCCUCGGCAAGGGCCUUGCCGGGGCCCCCGGCAAGGGUCUUGUCACGGCGUAUGGUCGUCCCCGGCAAGGAUCUUGCCUGGGGCCUUGUGGAUUCCCUCGGCAAGGAUUUUGCCGAGGCUCGUCGUCUCUCACUCCUCUGAUUAAGAGUGUUGUUCCUUGUCUUCACAAAGAUCUACAUACCACCAUGGAGGUGCCUCCCGAGCCCUGGUCCAAUGCAGCUGAUGGCGUUGGAAGCCGUGGGCUCAAGGGUGGCUCGCUCCGUUGGUGUAGGGGCGAGCUGCCCCAGCAAGAGUCUUACCGGGGCCGCAGAGGCCGCCCCGGCAAGGAUCUUGCCGGGGGAACCUGCUUCGUCCCUCUGCUCUCUGUGGUCUUGGUCUUGGUGUUGCCUUGCUUUGUCUUGAAUUUACCUUGGUUCACCUCCCCUGCCUUGCCAAGCGUGGCCAUGGCGCGUGGCCUCGACUGCCCGUGCACAAGUAAAGGGGACAAAAGGAGAGCCCCUACUUUUGCACACCGACACGAGUGCUACAUACACUGCAAAUAAAGAGACAAUCGUCCUACAGAGCACAUCGAUUUUGCCCAUUAUCUUCACAAGCUCUUUCAUCUCCUCAUUGCUGUCAAGGCCAUUCAGCAGCUGUUUCUUGGCCAUGAUCAGAGGAACUACAUCUUUAACCUUCUGCUUUGCAUCUUCCUCUUCUGCCGUUCCUUCAGUUACUUGUCCAACACCCCAACCUGUUGGUAUUGGGAUUCCUCGGCUAACCAAAUAAUCAACGUAGUUGCAUUCCCCUACAUCAGCAACUUCCCAGAAAUACAAAUCACACAAAUCUUCCCUUUUCUGCAUGAAUCAAAUUGGAAGAUCAUCAACCAAACUAUUAAAAAAUCAGCAACUGAAAGCAACAGAACAACACUUAAACAUAUUAUUACCCCAUGAUUCGGGCUUUUGUAGAAGACUUGGCCAAGGUUGAGGAUUGUGGUUGAGACGCGACGGAUGACUCUGCGUGAUUUGCAGCAGUGGCACCACACCAACGGCAGUGGGUUACGAUGAGAAAUCGGCUACGGUGCGCGUGCUGGCGGGGGUGUGAUGAGACCCACAGGCGAUGGUACGGGUGGCGACUUGCUGCAUAUCUGGUUGUUGCCUGCUGAAGAGCAGGUGGACGAGCAGCCAGCGAACAUGGUUGCUUCGGCCAGAGCUUCUGAUGCUAGGAAGAGUAAGUAGAGAAGAGGAGAAGCGAACGUUGGAUAUGUCAGUUUCAUUACUUACAGUUUAGCAUAGCACCAUAUAUAGUCAAAGUCUAGGUUUGGAUUCGAACCAGCUACAGGAGCACGUCUCUCUUUUUUCUAAAACUCGGCAACGUCUCUUUACUGGUACACUAGCUUGUUCUGUACGCCUUCCCAAGUCUUUGAUUUUCUUUCCUUUUUUUGCGAGGAAGGAGGACAAAAUUGAGAGUUCUUGGGACUCGAACCCAUGACCUCUCGGUUGAAAACCAAGGGUGCUAGUCGCUUAUGUGGCGAACAUUCCCUGUGAGGAGGACGGCAGACGAACGCAUUUUCCUCGCAGUUUUCUUCCUAUAUAUAAAAAAGUAUGCUACUUGGUGUCCGCUUAGUCAACAAAUGAUUGUGCCAACCUUGACCGUUGGAUUGACAUUCAACGUCUGUCACGUUUCUUCAGUCUCUUCUUCCUCGAGCCGCCAAAGCCAAACCAGUGCCGGCGGGACCGCCUGCUCCCGCCUCCCACGGCUGGCUGUGCUGCCGCGCACGCAUCGUGGCCACAUCGCACCCUAAAACUCUGUGCAUCUUCCCUGGCUCCUGUUCGUUCCCGUCCGAGGCCUCACCAUCAUCCUCCGCCUUGGUUUGCUCGCCGCGGCGCCGCCCUCCGGUGUUGUCAACAUGGUCAACAACCGAGAGGAAUAAGGAGAUGACUGUACAUGGUGAGGAUGACACUAGGGACCCAGCAGCGUGCGUAGUAAUUUUGUUUUUUCGGGACGGAGAAGGGUAUCAACUGGGUUGUGCGGGACCCGUGGCCCGUCUAGCCCAGGCUUUUAUUUCAUAUGUGUAGCACAUGACCAGCCCAGUUUGUUUUUUUCCUUUCUGAAAAUGGCUAGCCAGCUAUUUUGUUUUUUGCAGAAUAACCAACAUAGGCCUACUUGCUUUUCUACACCCUGCUGGGCCAAAAAUCUUUCAAGACGAGGAGGGAUGCAUUUUGCCCAGAAAAUGGGCUAUAAGUAAUAAGAAAUGGGCUAUAAGUAAUAAGAAAUGGGCUAUAAGUAAUAAUAAAUGGGCUGUAAAAUGAAAAAAUACAACAAACAGGCAAUUAGUUCCAAAAUACUGUUUUCUUUCGGAUUUUGAUAUUUUAAAUUUCAUUGUUUUUAUGCGGGUAAAAUUUCAUUGAAUUUAAAUUAGGGUAUAUUUAGAUUUAAAAUUAAUUUGAAUCUGGCUAGAAAUUUCGGGUUGUAUGUUGUUUGGGACAGAUUUGGAGGCUGACUUGUGGGUCUACUAGGUUGACGUGUACUUUGGCUUUGUCAACUUAGUCCACAAACGAUUCUAGCAGCAGUGACCGUUGGAUGUUAAUCCAACGGCCGUGUUGCUUCUUCAAUAUCUGAUCUUCUUGCUCCAGCCGCCCAAAACAGCUCCGGUGGGACUGCCUGCUCCCGCCUCCCGUGGCCGGCUGUGCUGCCGCACAGGCCGCACCGCCCCACCCUACUUCAUUGCUGGCCAGGCCAUUCCUCUACUCACCCACACCUCCUGUUAUUUUCCGGCGACGGCAGCUGGACCAGUAAACCCUCGUACUCCCCAUCGCGUGGGCAACCAUUGCCGAGUCUUCCCCGGCUCCGUGUCGUUCCCUUCCUAGGCCUCGCCGUCGUCCACCGCCAUGGUGCUCUCGGCGUGGCCUGGUCAGCGUGGUCAACGAACGACAUCCAUCGGACGUGGACUGUACGUUGAGAGGCUGACAGCUGGGUCCACGGCCGCACACAAGGAAAUGCCUCCUUAUUACGCGCAAAAUAAUGAUUCCUCCACCUGACAGCUGCGAUCCACCGGAAGGGCCUCUGUAUUUCACGAAAGAACGUUCCCCCCGCUGACAUGUCGGACCCACCAUCUAUAUCUUCGCACGCAAGGAAGUGCCUCCUUAUUACGCACAAAAAAAUGAAUACCCCCCUGCUAGCUGGGACCCACCAUAGUGGAGGAUGACUAGUGGGCCAACUAAGUUGACGGGGACGGAGGGCUUUGUCAACUUAGUCAAUAUGAACGACUCUAGCUCCAGUGACCAUACGAUGUCCAUCCAACGGCCGUAGUGCUUCUUCAACCUCUGGUCUUCUUGCUCCAACCGCCCAAAGCAGCGCCGGUCGUGCCGCAUGGUCCUGCCUCCCAUGGCCGGCUGUGCUGCCGCGGAGGCCUCACCGCCCUACUAUUCCCACCGCUGGCCAGGCCCUGCAGUGACGGCAGCCUCACACCGCAGCCGAACUAGUGAACCCUCGUACUCCUCUCCGUGCGGGCUUCCACUGCCGCGUCUUCCCUGGCUCCGCGUCGUCCCCUUCCUAGGCCUCACCGUCGUCCACCGCCGUGGUGCUCUCGGCGCGGCGUGGUCAACAUGGUCAAGGAACAACUUCCAUCGUACGUGGACUGUACGAGGAGAGGCUGACAGCUGGGUCCACGGCCGCAGCAAGGAAGUGCCUCCUUAUUACGCGGAAAAUAAUGAUUCCUCCACCUGACAGCUGGGACCCACCGGACGGGCCACUGUAUUUUGCAAAAAAACGUUUCCCCUUGACUGUUGGGACCCACCAGCUACAUCUUCGCACGCAAGGAAGUGUGUCCGGGCAAAAAAAAUGAUUCACCCCCUGACUGCUGGGACCCACCAGCUACACCUUCGCACGCAAGGAAGUGCGUCCGGGCAAAAAAACGAUUCCCCCCUGACUGCUGGGACCCACCAGCUACAUCUUCGCACGCAAGGAAGUGCGUUCGAAAAAAAAUGAUUCGCCCCCCUGACUGCUGGGACCCACCAGCUACAUCUUCGCACGCAAGGAAGUGCCCCCUGACUGCUGGGACCCACCAACUACAUUUUCGCACGCAAGGAAGUGCCUGACAGUCGGGACCCACCUGGUCGAAGCGUACGUAGCAUUGUCAUUCUGGUCGCGAACGUGUACAUACUUACUGGUGGAUGUAGAGGCGCGCACGUGUCGUAGUAGAGGCACGCACGUGUCGUAGUAGAGGCGCGCAUGUAGCAUGUACACGUACGUACAACGGCCAGGGUGCAAGAAAGAAAACACGGCCACGUACAUACAUACGGGCGGGGUCUCGAACGUCUACUCGCGCAUACGUACGGCCAGGGCUCGUGUACAUGGCUGGGUCGGAACGGAGAAACAUCGUCAUCGUUGUGUUCAUGGGGAGCCAACCGGCUGGGUCGGAACGGAAUGCGUCGUCGUGUUCAUCGGGAGGGCUUGGACGGAACAGGCGAUGGAAACGAGGCCUGGCAUACCGCAGAACGGAGGAAACGGCCUUGUGUUCGACCGGCCAUGUUCGAAACGGGAUCCUGUUCAUCGGGAGGGGUCUGGCGUACCACAAAACAAAGGAAACGGACCUCCUACGGUCGAAACGGGGGUCCUGUUGAUCGGGAGGGGUGUGCCGUACCGCAAAACGGACGAAACAGACUUGUGUUGGAGCGCUACGGUCGAAACGGGGGUCCUGUUGAUCGGGAGGGGUGUGGCGUACCGCAAAACGGACGAAACGGACUUGUGUUGGAGCGCUNNNNNNNNNNNNNNNNNNNNNNNNNNNNNNNNNNNNNNNNNNNNNNNNNNNNNNNNNNNNNNNNNNNNNNNNNNNNNNNNNNNNNNNNNNNNNNNNNNNNNNNNNNNNNNNNNNNNNNNNNNNNNNNNNNNNNNNNNNNNNNNNNNNNNNNNNNNNNNNNNNNNNNNNNNNNNNNNNNNNNNNNNNNNNNNNNNNNNNNNNNNNNNNNNNNNNNNNNNNNNNNNNNNNNNNNNNNNNNNNNNNNNNNNNNNNNNNNNNNNNNNNNNNNNNNNNNNNNNNNNNNNNNNNNNNNNNNNNNNNNNNNNNNNNNNNNNNNNNNNNNNNNNNNNNNNNNNNNNNNNNNNNNNNNNNNNNNNNNNNNNNNNNNNNNNNNNNNNNNNNNNNNNNNNNNNNNNNNNNNNNNNNNNNNNNNNNNNNNNNNNNNNNNNNNNNNNNNNNNNNNNNNNNNNNNNNNNNNNNNNNNNNNNNNNNNNNNNNNNNNNNNNNNNNNNNNNNNNNNNNNNNNNNNNNNNNNNNNNNNNNNNNNNNNNNNNNNNNNNNNNNNNNNNNNNNNNNNNNNNNNNNNNNNNNNNNNNNNGAAACGGGGGUCCUGUUGAUCGGGAGGGGUGUGGCGUACCGCAAAACGGAGGAAACAGACCUCCUACAGUCGAAACGGGGAUCCUGUUGAUCGGGAGGGGUGUGCUGUACCACAAAAUGGAAGAAACGGACCCCCUACGGUCAAAACGGGGGUCCUGUUGAUCGGGAGGGGUGUGGCGUACCGCAAAACGGACGAAACGGACCUCCUACGGUCGAAACGGGGGUCCUCUUCAUCGGGAGGGGUGUGGCAUACCGCAAAACGGGACUCCACGGGAUACUGUUCGUCUCCACCGUCGACCUCCUCCAGCCUCCACGGGCUACCGUCGACCUCCUCCAGCCUCCAUGGGCUACCGUUCAUCCAGCCUCCACCACGCGCUACUCCACCGGCUACUGUUCAACCACCCCUCCACGGGCAUCCCUCCACCGUCUACUGUUCAUCUAGCCCUCCACACCACGGGGUCCUGUUCAACCACCCCUCCACGGGCACCCCUCCACCGUCUACUGUUCAUCCAGCCCUCNNNNNNNNNNNNNNNNNNNNNNNNNNNNNNNNNNNNNNNNNNNNNNNNNNNNNNNNNNNNNNNNNNNNNNNNNNNNNNNNNNNNNNNNNNNNNNNNNNNNNNNNNNNNNNNNNNNNNNNNNNNNNNNNNNNNNNNNNNNNNNNNNNNNNNNNNNNNNNNNNNNNNNNNNNNNNNNNNNNNNNNNNNNNNNNNNNNNNNNNNNNNNNNNNNNNNNNNNNNNNNNNNNNNNNNNNNNNNNNNNNNNNNNNNNNNNNNNNNNNNNNNNNNNNNNNNNNNNNNNNNNNNNNNNNNNNNNNNNNNNNNNNNNNNNNNNNNNNNNNNNNNNNNNNNNNNNNNNNNNNNNNNNNNNNNNNNNNNNNNNNNNNNNNNNNNNNNNNNNNNNNNNNNNNNNNNNNNNNNNNNNNNNNNNNNNNNNNNNNNNNNNNNNNNNNNNNNNNNNNNNNNNNNNNNNNNNNNNNNNNNNNNNNNNNNNNNNNNNNNNNNNNNNNNNNNNNNNNNNNNNNNNNNNNNNNNNNNNNNNNNNNNNNNNNNNNNNNNNNNNNNNNNNNNNNNNNNNNNNNNNNNNNNNNNNNNNNNNNNNNNNNNNNNNNNNNNNNNNNNNNNNNNNNNNNNNNNNNNNNNNNNNNNNNNNNNNNNNNNNNNNNNNNNNNNNNNNNNNNNNNNNNNNNNNNNNNNNNNNNNNNNNNNNNNNNNNNNNNNNNNNNNNNNNNNNNNNNNNNNNNNNNNNNNNNNNNNNNNNNNNNNNNNNNNNNNNNNNNNNNNNNNNNNNNNNNNNNNNNNNNNNNNNNNNNNNNNNNNNNNNNNNNNNNNNNNNNNNNNNNNNNNNNNNNNNNNNNNNNNNNNNNNNNNNNNNNNNNNNNNNNAUCCAUCGGCUUCAGUUAGCAGCAGUAGUGAAGGAAUCGCUCGCUCAGGUUCAGUAAUGCGUAGCCUGCAAUGCAAUCACUCGGGUUCAGUUAGAGCCCAACGCCUCGCUCGGGUUCAGUUAGAGCCAACGCAUCGCACACACGCGCGUACGUGUACGAGAGAAACACGCAUCGCUUCGCCCCAGACCUCCCACCGUAACCGGGAACUCGCCGAAAUUUUCCUCGCCCUCGCUUCUACCAUGGUUUUUUCCGUCAUGGACGGCCCAAAGAAUGUCAUGCAGCUGCAUCUCCGGCCCGCCCAGGACGAAAAGCCCAUUUUUCUGUCAUGAUUUUUUGUCAUAGAAGUAGGAGCCCACCACAUCUAUGAUGAUACCGGGUUUUGUCACAAUUAUCGUCAUAGAAGUGUCAUAAAUAUGACAGGAAAAAAAAUUGGUUCGGCCCAAAAUAUCACGGAUGUGUCUUUUUUUGUAGUGCAAUUAGCUGACACGUGCAUUAUCCGGUGAAUGAGAAUUUUACACGUGGAAGAUCCCCAUUGGUCGGGGCUAUUAACGGGUUAUUGGAUCCAAACCGGAACCCGAGAGCUUAACGGCGACCCAUUACGGUGGAUGCCACGUUUCGGUCACCCUUGACAAAAGCACUUCUAUGACGCACGAUUUAUCGUCAUGGAAGUGGACACUUCCAUGAUGAUAAUUUUGGUAAUGUCAUGGAAAACUUCUACGACAGCACAGGUAUGACUAUCUUGAUUCUAUCAUAAAAUCAUCAUGGAUAUACAUGCAUGAUAGAAAACGUGAACUACUGUGACAAACACGUAUCAUCACAGAAGUGUAGUUUUUUGUAGUGAAAUAUGUUGCACUAUCAUUAUCAACUUUGCAUAUUUUGGCAUCAGUAUUAUGAAAAUGUGUAUCACCACAAUCGAGAUUCAACAAAAAUGGACCACUUUUCAAGGGUGCAUGACCAUAAAAGAUAUUACUCAUAUAAAUAGAACAACCAUUAUUCUCUAGUUUAAAUGAAUAACCGUCUCGCACUAAACAAGAUCCACAUAUAAUGUUCAUGCUCAACGCUAGCACCAAAUAACAAUUAUUCAGGUCUAAAACUAAUCUCGAAGGUAGAUGUAGAGGUAGCGUGCCGACGGCGAUCACAUCAACCUUGGAACCAUUUCCGACGCACAUCGUCACCUCAUCCUUAGCCAAUCUUCAUUUAAUCCGUAGCCCUGAUUCGAGUUACAAAUAUGAGCAACCGAACCAGUAUCAAAUACACAGGCGCUACUACGAGCAUUAGUAAGGUACACAUCAAUAACACGUAUAUCGAAUAUACCUUUGUUCACUUUGCCAUCCUUCUUAUCCACCAAGUAUUUGGGGCAGUUCUGCUUCCAAUAACCAUUUCCUUUGCAGUACAAGCACUCAGUUUCAGGCUUGGGUCUAGCUUUGGGUUUCUUCAUGGGAGCGGCAACUUGUUUGCCAUUCUUCUUGAAGUUCCCUUUCUUUCCCUUUUGCUCUUUUUCUUGAAACUAUUGGUCUUGUUUAACCAUCAACAUUUGAUGCUCUUUCUUGAUUUCUAACCUUCGUCGAUUUUAGCAUCGCGAAGAGCCCGAGCAUCGUUUUCGUUAUCCCUUGCAUAUUAUAGGUCAUCAUGAAGUUCUAGAAGCUUGGUGAUAGUGACUAGAGAAUUCUGUCAAUCAACAAGCGAUUGUAGUACCCAGACAUUCUGAGUACAUGCUCACUGGCUGAGUUGUUCUCCUCCAUCUUGUAGGUAAAGUACUUUUCAGAGGUGUCAUACCUCUCAACACGGGCAUGAGUCUGAAAUACCAAUUUCAGCUCUUGGAACAUCUCAUAUGCUUCGUGGCGUUCAAAACGUUUUUGAAGUCCUGGCUCUAAGCCGUAAAGCUGUUGGGGAACGCAGUAAUUUCAAAAAAAUUCCUACGAGCACGCAAGAUCAUGGUGAUGCAUAGCAACAAGAGGGGAGAGUGUAGUCCAUGUACCCUCGUAGACCAUAAGUGGAACCGUUAUGACAACGCGGUUGAUGUAGUUGUACGUCUUCACGAUCCGACCGAUCCUAGUACCGAAAGUACGACACCUCCGCGAUCUGCACACGUUCAGCUCGGUGACGUCCCAUGAACUCUCGAUCCAGCUGAGUGUCGAGGGAGAGCUUCUUCAGCACGACGGCGUGAUGACGGUGAUGAUGAAGCUACCGGUGCAGGGCUUCGCCUAAGCACUGCAACGAUAUGACCGAGGUGGAUUAUGGUGGAGGGGGGCACCGCACACGGCUAAGAGAUCAAUGAUCAAGUUGUGUUCUAGGGUGCCCCUGCCCCCGUAUAUAAAGGAGCAAAGGGGGAGGUCGGCCAGCCCUAGGGCACGCCAAGGAGGGGGGAAUCCUCCUCCUAGUAGGAGUAGGAUUCCUCCUUUCCUAGUCCUACUAGGAGGGGGAAGGAAGGAGAGGGGAAGGGAGAGGGAAAGAGGGUUCGCGUCCCCCUCCCCUAGUCCAAUUCGGACUCCCUUGGGGCGGCGCCACCUGAUGCUGCCCUCUCUCUCCCCUAAAGCCCACUAAGGGCCCAAUAACUUCCCGGGGGGGGGGGGGUCCGGUAACCCUCCGCACUCCGGUUUUCUCCGAAAUCACCCGGAACACUUCCGGUGUCCGAAUAUAGCCGUCCAAUAUAUCGAUAUUUAUGUCUCGGCCAUUUUGAGACUCGUCCUCAUGUCCGUGAUCAUAUCCGGGACUCCGAACUACUUUCGGUACAUCAAAACACAUAAGCUCAUAAUACCGAUCGUCACCGAACGUUAAGCGUGCGGACCCUAUAGGUUCGAGAACUAUGUAGACAUGACCGAGACACGUUCCGGUCAAUAAUCAAUAGUGGAACCUGGAUGCCCAUAUUGGCUCCCACAUAUUCUACGAAGAUCUUUAUCGGUCAAACCGCAUAACAACAUACAUUGUUCCCUUUGUCAUUGGUAUGUUACUUGCCCGAGAUUCGAUCGUCGGUAUCUCAAUACCUAGUUCAAUCUCGUUACCGACAAGUCUCUUUACUCAUUACAUAAUGAAUCAUCCCGCAACUAUCUCAUUAGUCACAUUGCUUGCAAGGCUUAUAGUGAUGUGCAUUACCGAGAGGACCCAGAGAUACCUCUCCGACAAUCGGAGUGACAAAUCCUAAUCUCGAUCUAUGCCAACUCAACAAACGCCAUCGGAGACACCUGUAGAGCACCUUUAUAAUCACCCAGUUACGUUGUGACGUUUGGUAGCACACAAAGUGAUCCUCCGGUAUUCGGGAUUUGCAUAAUCUCAUAGUUAUAGGAACAUGUAUAAGUCAUGAAGAAAGCAAUAGCAAUAAACUAAACGAUCAUAGUGCUAAGCUAACGGAUGGGUCUUGUCCAUCACAUCAUUCUCCUAAUGAUGUGAUCCCGUUCAUCAAAUGACAACACAUGUCUAUGGUUAGGAAACAUAACCAUCUUUGAUAAACGAGCUAGUCAAGUAGAAGCGUACUAGGGACACUUAUGUUUUGUCUAUGUACUCACACAUGUACUAAGUUUCCGGUUAAAUGUACUAAGUUUCCGGUUAAUACAAUUCUAGCAUGAAUAAUAAACAUUUAUCAUGAAAUAAGGAAAUAAAUAAUAACUUUAUUAUUGCCUCUAGGGCAUAUUUCCUUCAGUCUCCCACUUGCACUAGAGUCAAUAAUCCAGAUCACAUCACCAUGUGAUUAAACAUCAAUAGUUCACAUCACCAUGUGAUUAACACCCAAAGGGUUUACAUAGAGUCAAUAAUCUAGUUCACAUCGCUAUGUGAUUAACACUCAAAGAGUACUUAGGUGUGAUCAUGUUUUGCUUGUGAGAGAAGUUUAGUCAGUGGGUCUGUCACAUUCAGAUCUGUAUGUAUUUUGCAAAUUUUCUAUGUCUACAAUGCUCUGCAUGGAGCUACUCUAGCUAAUCGCUCCCACUAUCACUAUGUAUCCAGAUUGUGACUUAGAGUCAUCCGAAUCGGUGUAAAAGCUUGCAUCGAUGUAACUCUUUAUGACGAACUCUUUAUCACCUCCAUAACCAAGAAAUAUUUUCUUAGUCCUCUUAGGUAACUAAAGAUAAAUUUUGAGCGCUGUCCAGUGAUCUACUCCUGGAUGACUAUUGCACUCCCUUGCCAAACUCAGGGCAGGGUAUACAAUAGGUAUGGUACAUAGCAUAGCAUACUUUAUAGAACCUAUGGCUAAGGCAUAGGGAAUGACUUUCAUUCUCUCUCUAUCUUCUGUCAUGGUCGGGCUUUGAGUCUUACUCAACUUCACACCUUGCAACACAGGCAAGAACUCCUUCUUUGACUGUUCUAUUUUGAACUACUUCAAAAACUUGUCAAGGUAUGUAUUCAUUGAAAAAACUUAUCAAGCAUCUUGAUCUAUCUAUAUAGAUCUUGAUGCUCAAUAUGUAAGCAGCUUUACUGAGGUCUUUCUUUGAAAAACUCCUUUCAAACAGUCCUCUACGCUUUCCAGAAAAUUCUACAUCAUUUCUGAUCAACAAUAUGUCACUCACCUAUACUUAUCAGAAAGGCUGUAGUGCUCCCACUCACUUUCUUGUAAAUACAGGCUUUACCGCAAGUCUGUAUAAAACUAUAUGCUUUGAUCAACUCAUCAAAGCGUAUAUUCCAACUCCGAGAUGCUUGCACCAGUCCAUAGAUGGAUUGCUGGUGUUUGCACAUUUAGCAUCUUUAGGAUUGACAAAACCUUCUUGUUGCAUCAUAUACAACUCUUCUUUAAGAAAUCCAUUAAGGAAUGCAGUUUUUGACUUCCAUUUGCUAGAUUUCAUAAAAUGUGGCAAUUGCUAACAUGAUUCGGACAGAUUUAAGCAUCGAUACGAGUGAGAAAAUCUCAUCAUAGUCAACACCUUGAACUUGUCGAAAACCUUUUGCAAUAAUUCGAGCUUUGUAGAUAGUAACACUACUAUCAACGUCCGUCUUCCUCUUGAAGAUCCAUUUAUUCUCAAAUGGUCUACUGAUCAUCGAGCAAGUCAACCAAAGUCCAUAAUUUGUUUCUCAUACAUGGAUCCCAUCUCAGAUUUCAUGGCCUCAAGCCAUUUUGCGGAAUCUGGGCUCAUCAUCGCUUCCUCAUAGUUUGUACGUUCAUCAUGGUCUAGUAACAUGACUUCUAGAACAGGAUUAUCGUACCACUUUGGUGCGGAACAUGCUCUGGUUAACCUACGAGGUUCGGUAGCAACUUGAUCUGAAGUUUCAUGAUCAUCAUCAUUAACUUCCUCACUAAUUGGUGUAGGCAUCACUGGAACUGAUUUUUGUGAUGAACUACUUUCCAAUUUGGGAGAAGGUACAAUUACCUCAUCAAGUUCUACUUUCCUCCCACUCACUUCUUUCGAGAGAAACUCGUUCUCUAGAAAGGAUCCAUUCUUAGCAAUGAAUAUCUUGCCUUCGGAUCUGUGGUAGAAGGUGUACCCAACAGUCUCCUUUGGAUAUCCUUUGAAGACACAUUUCUCCGAUUUGGGUUCGAUCUUAUCAGGUUGAAGCUUUUUCACAUAAGCAUCGCAGCCCCAAACUUUAAGAAACGACAGCUUAUGUUUAUUGCUAUACCACAGUUCAUAUGGUGUCGUCUCAACGAUUUAGAUGGUGCCCUAUUUAACGUGAAUGCAGCUGUCUACAAUGCAUAAUCCCAAAACAAUAGUGGUAAAUCCGUAAGAGACAUCAUAGAUCGCACCAUAUCCAAUAAAGUACGGUUAUGACGUUCGGACACACCAUUACGCUGUGGUGUUCCAGGUGGCGUGAGUUGUGAAACUAUUCCACAUUGUUUUAAAUGAAGGCCAAACUCGUAACUAAAAUAUUUGCCUCCAUGAUCAGAUCGUAGAAACUUUAUUUUCUUGUUACGAUGAUUCUCCACUUCACUCUGAAAUUCUUUGAACUUUUCAACUGUUUCAGAUUUGUGUUUCAUUAAGUAGAUAUACCCAUAUCUGCUCAAAUCAUCUGUGAAGGUCAGAAAAUAACGAUACCCGCCGCAAGCCCUAACACUCAUCGGAUCGCAUACAUCGGUAUGUAUUAUUUCCAAUAAGUCAGUAGCUCGCUCCAUUGUUCCGGAGAAUGGAGUUUUAGUCAUCUUGCCCAUGAGGCAUGGUUCGCAAGCAUCAAAUGAUUCAUAGCCAAGUGAUUCCAAAAGCCCAUCAGCAUGGAGUUUCUUCAUGCAUUUUACACCAAUAUGACCUAAACAGUAGUGCCACAAAUAAGUUGCACUAUCAUUAUUAACUUUGCAUCUUUUGGCUUCAAUAUUAUGAAUAUGUGUAUCACUAUGAUCGAGAUCCAACAAACUAUUUUCAUUGGGUGUAUGACCAUCGAAGGUUUUAUUCAUGUAAACAGAACAACAAUUAUUCUCUGACUUUAAAUGAAUAAAUGUAUUUCAAUAAACAUGAUCAAAUCAUAUUCAUGCUCAACGCAAACACCAAAUAACAUUUAUUUAGGUUCAACACUAAUCCCGAAAGUAUAGGGAGUGUGCGAUGAUGAUCAUAUCAAUCUUGGAACCACUUCCAACACACAUCGUCACUUCACCCUUAACUAGUCUCUGCUCAUUCUGCAACUCCCAUUUCGAGUUCUCUUAGAAACUGAACCAGCAUCAAAUACCGAGGGGUUGCUAUAAACACUAGUAAAGUACACAUAAAUAACAUGUAUAUCACAUAUACCUUUGUUCAUUCUGCCAUCCUUCUUAUCCGCCAAGUAUCUAGGGCAGUUCCACUUCCAGUGACCAUUUCCUUUGUAGUAGAAGCACUCAGUUUCAUGCUUGGGUCUAGCUUUGGGCUUCUUCAUGGGAGUGGCAACUUGCUUUCCAUCCUUCUUGAAGUUCCCUUUCUUUCCCUUGCCCUUUUACUUGAAACUAGUGGUCUUGUCAACCAUCAACACUUGAUACUUUUUCUUGAUUUCUACCUUCGCUGAUUUCAGCAUCGCGAAGAGCUUUCGCAAUCGUUUCCGUUAUCCCUUGCAUAUUAUAGUUCAUCACGAAGUUCUAGUAACUUGGUGAUAGUGACUAGAGAACUCUGUCAAUCACUAUCUUAUCAGGAAGAUUAACUCCCACUUGAUUCAAGUGAUUGUAGUACUCACACAUUCUGAGCACAUGCUCACUCGUUGAGCUAUUCUCCUCCAUCUUGUAGGCAAAGUACUGUCAAAGGUCUCAUACCUCUUGACACGGGCAUGAGUAUGAGAUACCAAUUUCAACUCUUGGAACAUCUUAUAUGCUCCAUGGCGUUCAAAACAUUUUUGAAGCCCCGGUUCUAAGCUGUAAAGCAUGGUGCACUAAACUAUCAAGUAGUCAUCAUACCGAGCUUGUCAAAGUUCAUAACGUCUGCAUCUGCUCCUGCAAUAGGUCUGUCACCUAGCGGUGCAUCAAGGACGUAAUUCUUCUGUGCAGCAAUGAGGAUAAUCCUCAGAUCACGGACCUAGUCUGCAUCAUUUCUACUAUCAUCUUUCAACAUAGUUUUUCUCUAGGAACAUAUCAAAAAUAAACGGGGAGCUACAUCGCGAGCUAUUGAUCUACAACAUAGUUAUGCAAAUACUAUCAGGACUAAGUUCACGAUAAACUAAAGUUCAAUUAAUCAUAUUACUUAAGAACUCCCACUUAGAUAGACAUCCCUCUAGUCAUCUAAAUGAUCACGUGAUCCAAAUCAACUAAACCAUGUCCGAUCAUCACGUGAGAUGGAGUAGUUUUCAAUGGUGAACAUCAGUAUGUUGAUCAUAUCUACUAUAUGAUUCACACUCGACCUUUUGGUCUUCAGUGUUCCGAGGCCAUAUCUGCAUAUGCUAGGCUUGUCAAGUUUGACCCGAGUAUUCCGCGUGUGCAAAGCUGGAUUGCACCCUUUGUAUGUGAACGUAGAGCUUAUCACACCCGAUCAUCACGUGGUGUCUCGGCACGACGAACUGUCACAACGGUGCAUACUCAGGGAGAACACUUAUACCUUGAAAUUUAGUGAGAGAUCAUCUUAUAAUGCUACCGCCGAACUAAGCAAAAUAAGAUGCAUAAAGGAUAAACAUCACAUGCAAUCAAUAUAAGUUAUAUGAUAUGGCCAUCAUCAUCUUGUGCCUUUGAUCUCCAUCUCCAAAGCACCGUCAUGAUCACCAUCGUCACCGACGCGACACCUUGAUCUCCAUCGAAGCAUCUUUUUUUCUCGCCAACUAUUGUUUCUCUGACUAUCGCUACCGCUUAGUGAUAAAGUAAAAACAAUUACAGGGCGAUUGCAUUGCAUACAAUAAAGCGACAACCAUAUGGCUCCUGCCAGUUGCCGAUAACUCUGUUACAAAACAUGAUCAUCUCAUACAAUAAAAUUUAGCAUCAUGUCUUGACCAUAUCACAUCACAACAUGCCCUGCAAAAACAAGUUAGACGUCCUCUACUUUGUUGUUGCAAGUUUUACGUGGCUGCUACGGGCUGAGCAAGAACCGUUCUUACCUAUGCAUCAAAACCACAACGAUUUUUCGUCAAGUAUGUGCUAUUUUAACCUUCAACAAGGACCGGGCGUAGCGACACUCGAUUCAACUAAAGUUGGAGAAACUGACACCCGCCAGCCACCUGUGUGCGAAGCACGUCAGUAGAACCAGUCUCGCGUAAGCGUACGCGUAAUGUGGGUCCGGGCCGCUUCAUCCAACAAUACUGCCGAAUCAAAGUAUGACAUGCUGGUAAGCAGUAUGACUAUUAUCGCCCACAACUCAUUUGUGUUCUACUCGUGCAUAUAACAUCAACGCAUAAACCUGGCUCGGAUGCCACUGUUGAGGAACGCAGUAAUUUCAAAAAAAUUCCUACAAGCACGCAAGAUCAUGGUGAUGCAUAGCAACAAGAGGGGAGAGUGUAGUCCAUGUACCCUCGUAGACAGUAUGUCUUCACGAUCCGACCGAACCUACAAGCGGAAGCGUUAUGAUAACGCGGUUGAUGUAGUCGUAUGUCUUCAUGAUCCGACCGAUCCUAGUACUGAAAGUAUGGCAGCUCCGCGAUCUGCACACGUUCAGCUCGAUGACGUCCCACGAACUCUCGAUCCAGCUGAGUGUCGAGGGAGAGCUUCGUCAGCACGACGGCGUGAUAUGAAGGUACCGGUGCAGGGCUUCGCCUAAGCACUGCAACGAUAUGACCGAGGUGGAUUAUGGUGGAGGGGGCACCGCACAUUGCUAAGAGAUCAAUGAUCAACUUGUGUUUUAGGGUGCCCCCUGCCCCCAUAUAUAAAGGAGCAAGGGGGGAGGUCGGUCGGCCCUAGGGCGCGCCAAGGAGGGGAGGAAUCCUCCUCCUAGUAGGAGUAGGAUUCCUCCUUUCCUAGUCCUACUAGGAGGGGGAAGGAAGGAGAGGGGGAGGGAGAGGGAAAGAGGGGCCGCGCCCCCCUCCCCUAGUCCAAUUCGNNNNNNNNNNNNNNNNNNNNNNNNNNNNNNNNNNNNNNNNNNNNNNNNNNNNNNNNNNNNNNNNNNNNNNNNNNNNNNNNNNNNNNNNNNNNNNNNNNNNNNNNNNNNNNNNNNNNNNNNNNNNNNNNNNNNNNNNNNNNNNNNNNNNNNNNNNNNNNNNNNNNNNNNNNNNNNNNNNNNNNNNNNNNNNNNNNNNNNNNNNNNNNNNNNNNNNNNNNNNNNNNNNNNNNNGCGCCACCUCUUGGCAGCUGCCCUUUCUCUCCACUAAAGCCCACUAGGGGCCCAAUAACUUCCCGGGGGGGGGGGGGGUCCGGUAACCCUCCGGCACUCCGGUUUUCUCCCAAAUCACCUGGAACAUUUCCGGUGUCCGAAUAUAGCCGUCCAAUAUAUCGAUCUUUAUGUAUCGACCAUUUCGAGACUCCUCGUCAUGUCCGUGAUCAUAUCCGGGACUCCGAACUACCUUCGGUACAUCAAAACACAUAAGCUCAUAAUACCGAUCGUCACCGAACGUUAAGCGUGCGGACCCUACGGGUUCGGGAACUAUGUAGACAUGACCGAGACACGUCUCCGGUCAAUAACCAAUAGCAGAACCUGGAUGCUUAUAUUGGCUCCCACAUAUUCUACGAAGAUCUUUAUCGGUCAAACCGUAUAACAACAUACGUUGUUCCCUUUGUCAUCGGUAUGUUACUUGCCCGAGAUUCGAUCCUCGGUAUCUCAAUACCUAGUUCAAUCUCGUUACCGGCAAGUCUCUUUACUCGUUCCGUAAUGCAUCAUCCCACAACUAACUCAUUAGUCACAUUGCUUGCAAGGCUUAUAGUGAUGUGCAUUACCGAGAGGGCCCAGAGAUACCUCUCCGACAAUCGGACUGGCAAAUCCUAAUCUCGAUCUAUGCCAACUCAACAAACACCAUCAUAGACACCUGUAGAGCACCUUUAUAAUCACCCAGUUAUGUUGUGACAUUUGGUAGCACACAAAGUGCUCCUCCGGUAUUCGGGAGUUGCAUAAUCUCAUAGUUAUAGGAACAUGUAUAAGUCAUGAAGAAAGCAAUAGCAAUAAACUAAACGAUCAUAGUGCUAAGCUAACGGAUGGGUCUUGUCAAUCACAUCAUUCUCCUAAUGAUGUGAUCCCGUUCAUCAAAUGACAACACAUGUCUAUGGUUAGGAAACAUAACCAUCUUUUAUAAACGAGCUAGUCAAGUAGAAGCAUACUAGGGACACUUAUGUUUUGUCUAUGUAUUCACACAUGUACUAAGUUUCCGGUUAAUACAAUUCUAGCAUGAAUAAUAAACAUUUAUCAUGAAAUAAGGAAAUAAAUUAUAACUUUAUUAUUGCUUCUAGGGCAUAUUUUCUUCAAAAGCAUGGUGCACUAAACUAUUAAGUAGUCAUCAUAUCGAGCUUGCCAAACGUUCAUAACGUCUGCAUCUACUCCUGUAAUAGGUCUGUCACCUGGCGGUGCAUCAAGGACAUAAUUCUUCUGUGCAGCAAUGAGGAUAAUCCUCAGAUCGCGGACCCAGUCCACAUCAUUGCUACUAUCAUCUUUCAAUUUAGUUUUCUCUAGGAACAUAUAAAAAAAUAUAGGAGCUAUAUCGCGAGCUAUUGAUCUACAACAUAGAUAUGGAAAUACUAUCAGGACUAACUUCAUGAUAAAUUAAGUUCAAUUAAUCAAAUUACUUAAGAACUCCCACUUAGAUAGACAUCCCUCAACUCAUCUAAAUGAUACGUGAUCCAAAUCAACUAAACCAUGUCCGAUCAUCACAUGAGAUGGAGUAGUCAUCAAUGGUGAACAUCUCUAUGUUGAUCAUAUCUAAUAUAUGAUUCACGUUCGACCUUUCGGUCUCCAGUGUUCCAAGGACAUGUUUGUACAUGUCGGGCUCGUCAAGUUUAACCCAAGUAUUCCGCAUGUGCAAAACUGUCUUGCACCCGUUGAUGUGAACGUUGAGUCUAUCACACCCGAACAUCACGUGGUGUCUCAACACGAUGAACUGUCGCAACGGUGCAUACUCGGGGAGAACACUUAUACCUUGAAAUUUAGUAAAGGGAUCAUAUUAUAAUGCUACCGUCGUACUAAGCAAAAUAAGAUGCAUAAAAGAUAAACAUUACAUGCAAUCAAAAUAUGUCACAUGAUAUGGCCACCAUCAUCUUGUGCUUUUGAUCUCCAUCUCCAAAGCAUCAUCAUGAUCUCCAUCGUUACUGGCUUGACACCUUGAUCUCCAUCGUAGCGUGUGGUCAUCUCGCCAACUAUUGCUUCUACAACUAUCGCUAACGCAUAGUGAUAAAGUAAAACAAUUACAUGGCGUUUGCAUUUCAUACAAUAAAGAGACAACCAUAAGGCUCCUGCCGGUUGCGAGUAACUUUUACAAAACAUGAUCAUCUCAUACAAUAACAUAUAUCACAUGAUGUCUUGACCAUAUCACAUCACAACAUGCCCUGCAAAAACAAGUUAGACGUUCUCUACUUUGUUGUUGCAAGUUUUACGUGGCUGCUAUGGUCUUCUAGUAAGAACCGUUCUUACCUACGCAUCAAAACCACAACGGUGAUUUAUCAAGUUUGCUAUUUUAACCUUCAACAAUGACCGGCCGCAGUCAAAUUUGAUUCAACUAAAGUUGGAGAAACAGACACCCGCCAGCCACCUUUAUGCAAAACUAGUUGCAUGUCCGUCGGUGGAACCAGUCUCAUGAACGUGGUCAUGUAAGGUACGGUUGGCCCGGGCCGCUUCAUCCAACAAUACCGCCGAAUCAAAAUAAGACAUUUGUGGUAAGCAGUAUGACGAUUACCGCACACAACUCUUUGUGUUCUACUCGUGCAUAUCAUCUACGCAUAGACCUGGCUCAGAUGCCACUGUUGGGAAACGUAGCAUGCAAUUUCAAAAAAAUCCUAUGCUCACGCAAGAUCUAUCUAGGAGAUGCAUAGCAACGAGAGGGGGAGAGUGUGUCUACAUACCCUCGUAGACCAAAAGCGGAAGCGUUUGACAAUGCCUUUGAUGUAGUCGAACUUCUUCUUGUUCCGACCGAUCAAGCACCGAAUGUACGACACCUUCGAGUUCUGCACAUGUUCAGCUCGAUGACGUCCCUCGAACUCUUGAUCCAGCAAAGUGUCGAAGAAGUAUAUGAGUUCCGUCAGCACGACGGCGUGGUGACGGUGAUGGUGAAGUGAUCCGCGUAGGGCUUCGCCUAAGCACUACGAGAAUAUGACUGAGGGUGUAAUUUGUGGAGGGAGGCGCCGCACACGGCUAACACAUGUUUAUGUGUGUUCUAGGCGCCUCCCCCUCAUAUAUAUAGGUGGGAGGGAGAGGGAGCAGCCAAGGGGGGCGCCCCAAGUAGGCCGAAUCCUACUUGGGGUUCCUCCCCAUUUCGGCCCCCCUUUCCUUUUUCACCGGAGGGGGAAGGAAAGAGGAGGGAGGAGGGAAGGAAGGGGGAGGCCGAAUCCCUCCUGUCGUCGUUUUGUCACGGCAGAUGUCCUAGUGUGAGGACUUAGUCGUGGAGCCAUCCCAACGAGGUUAGCUUAAAGGGGUUAAACCGGACAAAGGACACGGGAUUUUAUACUGGUUCGGCCCCUUGCGGUGAAGGUAAAAGCCUACGAUCCAGUUGUGGUGGAAUUGAUGGGGUCUCGAUGAUCAGGGAGCGAAAUCGCUUUACCUGGCUCUCGAGCUGUUGUUUCUUGUCCUUGAAUCGCCGUCGGGCCGUCCCUUUAUAUACACAGGUUGACGCCCGUCGGCUUACAGAAUCCCGACGCCGGCUCAUACACGUGUCCGGCUCGAUUUCUACUUUCUCAUACCUUGCAACACAAGUUAUGUAAUACAUGGCGGUUUAUAUCUAUAGGCCCUAAUCUGCCUUUGGUCCUUGGGCCUUUAAGUCUCUGUAGUAAAGCACCAUACUCCUCUUCUUCAUGGGCUUCAAUGUGGAUGAUUCCUUAUGAGUAUAACCCGGCCCCUCUUGGGCGGUUUAUACUCAAUAGUUAUAUCCCCAACAUUAGGCCCCAAAUUGAUUUGAACCUGUUAAUAUUCAACACUUAUGAAAGUUUCUUCUUGAACAUCUUUAUGUAAACCGCCAUGCCGUCAUCUUUCUGUGAAUCUGAUAAACCGUCGUGACGUCAUCUUUCCGUGAAUCUGAUAAAUCGUCGUGACGUCAUCUUCCAAGAUUGUAAUAAAUCGCCAUGACGUCACCUGCUUAUUAAAACUGUAUAUCCUUCCCUUUUAUUAAUAAACCUCCAAGAAACGAGGCGACGGCUCCAUUUUUCGGGCUCUAUCGUGGAUUUGUCACGGCAGAUGUCCUAGCAAAAGGGCUUAGUCGUGGAGCCAUCGCAACGGGUUAGCUUAAAGGGGUUAAACCGGACAAAGACAAGGGAGAGUUUAUACUGGUUUGGACCCUUGUUGUGAAGGUAAAAGCCUACGAUCCAGUUGUGGUGGAAUUGAUGUGGUCUCGAUGAUCAGGGAGCGGAAUCGCUUUACCUAGAUCUCGAGUUGUUUCUUGUCCUUGAACCGCCGCCGGGUCGUGCCUUUAUCUACACAGGUCGACGCCCGGCGGUCUAUAGAAUCCCGAGGCCGGCUCAUACAUGUGUUCGCCUCGGUCUCUACUUUCCCCUAUCUUACAACACAAGUAAUAUGUUACAUGGCGGUUUACGUCUAUGGGCCAUAACCCACCUCUGGGCCUUGGGCCUCAAAUAUGAAUAACUCAUCAUGGGGAUAAGCCGACCUCUCUUGGCCGGUUUACACCCAGUAGUAAUAUCCCCAACAUUAGGCCCCAGAUUGAUUUGAGCUGGUUCAUGUCAAUCUUCAGACUUGAGAAAAAUUCUUCUUUCAGCAUCUUCACAUAAAUCUUGUAAACCGCCAUGACGUCACCAUCCAGUAUCAUGAUAAACCAUCAUGACGUCACCUGUUAUUUAAAAUGGUAUAUACCUCACCUUCAUUAAUGAUCCUCCGACAAUCGAGGCGACAACUGUCACAUAUCCAACCUUUUAGGCUCCUCGAUUCUCACGUCUGGCACUUAUCCUUUCACCUUUAUAAUUAAGGCCGAGGGUCCUUUCCAUUUCCCCCCCUUGUCUCUUCAACUCUUCUUCUUCCUCGCGACACCUCAGAGCCCGAGCUCCGUUGCCGCCGUCGACCUUCGCGUCUGCACCAACCAAGGCCGCUGCAUCAACCUAUUUUGACCAGAGAACUGCGACACACCUCCGCUGUUCAGCAGCACCAGUAAGUAUUCUUCUUCUCGAAUGUCAGAUCUGCAUUAGGGUUUCCACUGUUCAUUGAUGUUCUUCACUGUUUGUCUUUUUUCUUUCCUAGAUCGCAUAAUUUGAUCCGAAUCUGAUAGCAAAGGCGAGCCACAGUAGUUUAGCACCCCUUUUAAACCUCAGAAAGUACCCUUUCCUGCAUGAGAUCCCAUCCGAGCAUAUGUGUUCUUCUACUGUCGCAACUUUAGGUUUACCAUUCAUCUUCCUUUUAUAACCGCGUCAGAUCCAAAAUUAUAACACCAAUCUGUGAAAUCUGUUUGCGCCACACUUAGGAGUUUUUCCAGAUCUGUAGCUUCCAUACGAUUGUAGACGGAUUACCUUUUUAGAAAAUGAUAACCCGCCAGGUACCAUUAGCCCUCUUUUAAACCGCCAACCGGCUUUAAAUAUCAGGAUCCAGUUUAGUAUAUAUAAGCAUUUCAAUGUUAUCUUCUUCCAUCAUUGCUCCGGUUUAUAACUACCAACCAUUAAUUUGUAAACCGGUUAUUGAUUCUCCAGAUUUCCACCGAAAUGGCCAAACAGUUCUACUCUUGCAAUUGGGUUCCUUCCCAGGUUACAGAGGCACAACUGACUAGGUGUGUUGCGACUGGCGCUUUAGCAAGCAAAGAUACCAUUCAUUGGCGAGUCCCCGGUCCAGAGAAUCCUCAUGAGCCCCAGGAUGGAGAAGUUAUUGUAUUUGUUGAUCAUCUAAGUCGAGGGUUUACCCCUCCCAGAUCAAAAUUCUUUCAUGACGUGCUUGCUAGCUUUCAGAUCCGGCCUCAAGACAUCGGACCUAACUCAUUGUCCAAUAUUUGCAACUAGCAAGUAUUUUGUGAAGUGUAUCUGCAAGAAGAACCUACCGUCGAGUUUUUCCGGGACUUCUUUUACUUAAACCGCCGUACUGAAUUUACGGACGGCCCCAACACUGAGCUGGGUGGUGUUUCAAUUUAGAAGAGGAAAGAUGUUGACUUCCCUCAAGCCAAGCUUCACAAUCAUCCCAUGGACUGGAAUCAGACUUGGUUUUAUUACCGAAACACAGCUCCGGUAAAUGAAAAUCCUUUGUCGGGUUAUCGCCCACACCGGCUUACAAAAACUCAUCCCCUUCCACAACAACUCACUGCCAAGGAAAACGUGCAAAAUAUGCCCAUCAGCUAGCGAAACUCAGAGCCUUUGUUGCAAACGGACUGACAGGCAUCGACUUUGUUCGAUGCUGGGUCUCUUGGAGUGUUCUGCCCUUAAGCCGGCGCCCCGGUUUAAUGUGUGAAUACACAGGAGAUUUGAAAGACCCUCAGCGUCAUAUCGACAUCCAACUCACUGACGAUGAAGUUACCGAAGCUGUGAAGAAAAUGCUUGAUGAACCGGUGGAGCAAUGCAGCAAAACGGGACUCAUUCCUUUCUAUGCUGCCAACAAACCGCCAAAGGUAAGAAUUCCCGCUUUAUUGUCUUAAUCCAUCCCUUGUCAAAUAACCUUUCAUAACUGUGCCGUUCAUUUAUGCAGGGCGAUGAUCCAUUCUGGAAGAGGAAAACACAAGAUAAACCGGCAAGGGCUCCCCGUAUCAAGUCCAAAGUCACAAAGAAGCCUACAAAAAGGAGAACCGCUGAACCGUUUGAACCAGUCAUUGAUGAGGAUCUGGAUAAUCGGGAUUCAGAGGUAGAACUUGACUCUCUUGGUUCAUUUUUUAUACACCUUAUUGACAAUGAUCAUUAUCAGGAUGAUGCGGAGGCUAGCCAUGCUGACGAGGUAACCAUUCUUUCUUCUGAUUCAAAUCCUGUGCCAAUGCCAAAAAUCCGUCGAGCCAUCCAGAAAGUAAAAUUUUCAUGCCCUCUUUCUUAUUUGGAUCCGCACUUUCUUUUGAAGACACAGCAGCAUGAAAGUCGCCGCACAACCCGGCAUAGCGGCCAAGUGGUGACCUCAUCCGGUUUACCGAACUCUCCGGUUCGCAAACGCCGCCAAGAGGUUUCUUAUAUUCCUGACACACUUUAUCCUAAGGCGGGUUACUUUCGAUAUCCUCUUAAUCCGUCUGACUCAAAUUAUCAGGGAACUUCCCAUUCAUCAUCCGGCGAGUCAUCAGCCACACAGCUUCCUCCCCUUAAAACUGUCCCUGGGUAAGCAUAACAUACUUUAACCUUUGUAGUCUUGUAUUAUUUUAUCAUACUGAUUUUGUGCCUGUUCUUUCCAGAGCCAAAGCUAGAACAAGCAAGAAGGCUAAGUUGAGUAAGCCGUCUGGGGAUGAACCGGCUACUGAACCGGAUAAAAUCCCAGAGGUUGUUGAUCUGGAUGCUGACACGGUCCUUGAUGAUCCGAUGUUUUAACUUUGAUGGUAUAGCCCCCAUGGACCGGUUUAUACCUUUAGGAUAAACCGGUACAUCUUCUGAUAUACUGUGUCCAGAACUCAUGAUCAUUUUAAUCCGUCUGAACUUUGAGCAAAUAUGCAUUAGCCCCCAAGUGUCAUGUAGAUAACUUGUUAUGUGCUUGAGACUUUAAAUUGACACCUAAUAAAAAGCAAUCCGCAUUAGCCCCCAAGUGCCAAGUGUAUAACUUGUUAUGGGCUUGGGACUUCAAAGAUAUAUUACUAACCUAUUAAUUGUCUCUUUCAGGCUGAGCUGACCAAAAAAGACUCCCAAAUCACCGAUCUUCAGGCAAAUAUCAAAUCCCAGCAAGAUGAGACUUGCAAGGUUAAAGGCAAGCUAACCACCGCUUUAACAACCAUGGAACAACUGAAGGAGUACUUUAAGGGUGAACGGGCAGACUGGGAAGUUGAAAAAUCCACUUUGUUAAAGCGGGCAGAAGAUACUAAAAACGCCCUUAAAUCGGUGACAGAAGAACUGAGCAGCUUGAAGCAGCAGAUCAAUGCCAUGACCUCUGCCAUCUUUGGUAAUAACCUCUUCACAAAAUUUUAACAAGUGCCAGUUAUGAACCUUCUGGUUUAACAAUAGUUUGAUCCUUUUGCAGGUAGCCGUGUUACUCAUCUUGGAGCAGAUAUGCGCAAAAAAUUGAAGGCUGCCUAUACAUUGGCAGAGCAAUUUUAUACCGGCGCUCAACGAGCCAUCUGCACAGCUUCCAAUAACAAACCGCCCCCAACGCUGAUCAAGGAAACACUGGAAAGGUUAUCCAUGCUGCCUGCCCGGAUUGAAGAAUUGAAGAAGUCAGCUGCUAGGGCCGGUGCUCUUACUGCCUUGACUCGGGCCAAAGCCUGGAUAUCUGACCUCGAUCCGGAAGACAUUGGGAAUGGUUAUCCAAGCCAGAAAGAGGACAGGUCAGAAUUUGAUAAUGAUGACCUCAGGGCUAUCAAUCAAGAAAUGCGUCCACUGGCAAGCAACUUGGCUGAAGACACUGAUUUGUCGUUUUAUCAGAACUCUUAUGAUGCCAGCGACAAACGGAUGAAUGCACCAACUUAUGACGUGGAAAAUCUGAUCCCGCCAAUUCGUAAGCAUACUUACGCUCCUGAUGUUGAACCGUCUGACCUUAUAAACGAUGAAGCUGUCUUCCAAGCCUUAACAGGAAUUGAUUGGACAACUAUUGACUUACAGCCACUGGGCGGAGAGAAGGAGGGUGAACCGGCGCAGGAAGAUCCGCAACCUUCGCAUCAACCUAAGGCAGAGUCAUAAUCCAGAAGUCGGUUUAUCAUUUGCACAAUAUCAUCCUUGUGAAAGACAAUUAUUCUUUUGGGCAGUCAAAACGCCUUGUAAUAGGCUAGCUUGAAUACUUGGUCUAUUAUGCCAUCGUGCAAAUUUAUUUUGCAUAAUACUGCUAAUCCAUCAUGCUGUGUUUGCUUAUGAUCCUUAACAGUUUUGUACAGUCCUGUUUCUGCAUAAAAUAGACUGAAAAUUGUCCUGGCAGUUUAUCGCCGGACGGGUCAUAAUGGCCAAUAUAAAGCCAGGGUUUAUAACCAAAGCUGUAAAGAUAACGAAAUAUGAAACAUAUCAUAGCUGUGAUAUUGAAUCACCAUGUUGGAUUACCAACGUUCUUGUAAUAAGGGUGAUGACCCAAAUCUUGAAUGCUAAUAACUCACACCAUGCUAUGCUGGUAUAUAAUAAGUCAUGGCGGGUUAUGAUAAGCACCAGAUGAUCACCCUGGCGACUUAUAGUUAACGCCAGGCCGAGUUAAUAAACACCGGUUUAUAUUGAUGACUUAUAGUCAGGCCGGGUCAUUGGACGCCGGUUUAACUCAAAACCUUUAUCAAAGGAGAAAAUUUUUGACAAAUAAAAGCAAAGGAAAACUUGUAGUCGAGGCUUUUUUAGGGCUGCCAGGCCCAAAUCCGAGGCUUUUCAUGGGCUGCCAAGCCACUGAGUUAAACCGUUUUACAAAGCCUUUUAAGAUGGUCCUCACAUUAACCAAUCGUCAUUUUAACUCUGACAAGUUCAGGGUCUUUAUAAGAGUAACUGUCAAACGUUCGACGGGUCAUACCAGGAUUACCUGGACGCAGUGACUUACUUUAUGAAGGCAGGUCAACCCGGGGUUUUAGGUGUAUACACCAGGCUUCCAAGCCGUGGCUUGAUAGCCUAUUGCAAGGUGUAGAUUCUUUGUUCCUGUGGAAGCAAAGAUCCCCCAUGCAACAUUUUGAGAUGUGCUCAGUGGGUGCCUAUGUUUGAGUUUGUGACACCCUGAAAAAUUUUACCUUGUUUUAUAAUUAAAAUUUUGCCAGGAAAUAAAACUUUUCCAUUUGUCUUGAUUUACCCUUUUGGGUAUUAUGGGUUUUUACCUCAAGUGGAAACUUUCCAAAAGUUUUAUUGGACUUAUAUGCUCUCUCUAUAAAACAAUUCUUUAUCUGAGGAUUUAAUUGCAUAAUUGCUUUCUCUUGAACUUUAUUCCUUUAAAAUGAUUUUUCAUAAAUUUGGAGCCUGUUUUGCACUGCGACCAUUUGCCAGAUGCAUUUAAAAAUUUCACCAAAAUUUGGGGAUGUCAUGUGAGGUUUCCACAUCACUUUUAUACAAAAAUAUCUUUAGGUUAUUGGAGAUUUUGAGCUCUACAUCAACUUUUCAAAUCUGGUCCAGUAGGCAUUUUUGCACUACAACCUAUUUAAAUAAUUCUUUAAAAAUUCUUCCAAGUGUUUGGAGAUGUCAGUAGAUGCAUACAAUUCAACUUCAUGCAAAAACCCAGUGAUGAUCUUUGUAAAAUUUGAGUGAAUCAACCUCUUUUUCAUUCUGGUCCAGUUUGGUGAUUUGUACUGCAACUCUAUUUUAUUUUGCUCAAGUGCCCAUGAGCUUUUUCCUACUUAUAGUCCCCCCUACCAAACUCUUAAGUCCAGGAGAAUGGACCCAUUGGAGGAUUUUAAGUGCAUGCAAUGAGACCUUUUUCUUUCUGUCCAAAACAGGAGUUUUGCAAAACUUGCACUAACAAGUUUCAGGUUUUGCCCAAAUGAUCUUGCCAUCAUCUCCUACAACUAGAGAGACCAUGAUCUGGAGAUUUUGAUCACUCCAAGAGUUGCCUAAGUGCACUUGGCAUUCUGUCGAACACUUGGUGUGCAUAGUCAGUUUUGGGCAUGUUUCCUAGUUUGCACUAUGAUCUUGCUCCAAUGACCCAGCAACCUUGUCCAAUAAACUCCUAACCAUCUCUAUCCUAGUCCUGUUAAUUGCCAGCCUCCUCCUCGCACUCUAGACUGCCCUGGCAUUUCGUCGAGCAGGUCUCGUGCGUGCUCUGGGCGCGCCCAGAGCGCAUGUUUUGCACGCGCGCGCACUGAGCCGCCGCGUCGCACUGCCGCCCUCGUCGCGUCCCGUCCCUGGCCCCUGCUCCACUGCUGAACCGCGCACUACGCUCGCUCACUCCCCACGCCACCCCUGGCGCCCUACAGCGCCGCUGGCAGAGCUCUUCGCGGCACGCCGGCGUCGGCAGCGAGCCUCUGCCAUGGACGGCGCCGCCCAAACCACACCAGCGCGCCAGCUGCCCCUAUGAACAGCUCGGUCUUAUCUCAAAGCCCGUCGGCACGCGCUCGUCGCCACCACAUCGCCCUGCAGCUACAGCAUGGCUGUCGCCGGCGAUCUUAUCCUCAGCCGCCGCGGCCCAACCCCGAGCGCCUAUUUAAGGGAUCCCCGAGCUCGUGCAAGACCUCAGGCGACCUCAGACUUCUCCCCUAGUUCUCCCCUAGCAGUGGAUUGGCCGGGAGAGGCCAGCUUCCCCAACUCCGGCCGGUUCGGCCGCCGCCGAGCUCCGGUGCAAUACGUCGCAGCCAGCCACUCCCCCGCCCAUCCAGCGCCACCACUAGCUUCCUCUUGUCCUUGCGGAGCCGCCCAGCGCCUCAGCCUCGAUCGGAGACCACCAGAACCCAAAACUCACUUACCUCCCGUAGCCCUCUCCGCCGCAGAGCUCGCCGCCGGCGACUCCUCCCAUCACCGUUGACCCGACGACCACUGAGAGGGCCGCCCCAGUCUGGCGGGCCCAUCCCUGCCCUCAGAUACCCUCGAGGAGCCGCCCUUCGUCGCCGGCGAUCGCCGGAGUCUCGCUCCCGUCGGGCAAAGAAGAGGAGGGAAGGGGAAGAACGGUCAAACCUGACCAGUGGGCCCUCUGGACCCACUGUCAGCGACCCGCGCGCCCGUCUUCUCUGAUUAAGCGAUAGCGCAAAGUCCCAAGUACGUCUCGUCUGCUGCGAAAGCGUAUUCUCUCCCGAACGUUUUCUUUUUCUGGUUUUUUUUAAAAACAGAGAUUUGACCAGACUUUGACCAGCUAUAUCUUUUAAAAUAAAACCCCAAAUGAGUUGAUUCUUUUUCCUACCUCUCUCAAAUUUCGUCUAGUUUAUUUUAAGAUUUAUGUCAAAAAUAUUUGAGACAACUUUUUGUACUGUGUUUGAAAUAUUUGUUAUUCGAAUAUUUUUUUAAAAAAAUAGGAAAUGGAGAGGGGAGAAAGCUUUCAAAAAGUGCAUCCUUUGCAUACUCUUAAAGGCAAGCAUUUCUGAACUCUGGCAUAAUAUUUCGGGUGGUGUUCUGAUGCGGUUACAACACCACUUGACGUGGAGCAUACGUUAUUCUUAUGCAACGACAUAGUCACAUUGCAUGAUUGCAUAUUGGAGAUUUUUCCUUGCUGUUAUAAAUGGAUAUGCUGUGAUAGUGAUCAUCCUCGUGGACUUUUCAUGCAUACCGGCAGGAAGCCGGGAAAGUCGUGGUCUUGGGUAGACACGAGCUUGUCCCUAGUUCCUCGUCGGGACGAGUGUGUCCGGUAUGGCAUGAUGAGUUUUGAUGAGCGGUGAUUCUGUCUGUUAAUGGUAAUAUUAUGGUUAUGCUAUCAUUCGGAGAAUACUUGGACCACCUGAGUCGGUCGUAAGUCGAGUCCUAUUCGGUGACUUUCCCUACUUGUUUUGUACUACCACUUGUCCCUGCCUCGGGUAGGGUAUGGUUCAGUAAGUUGUCAACCCCUUACCAAGGCACACACCGUACAGAGAGGCCAUGGUGGAAGAUACCGGGUGCAUCCGGUAGGCAUGCCACCUGGUCCGGGGGCAUGGGUGUGUCCGGUUGGGACCGAGAGGGGGGCACCCCUUAGAGCGCGCGAAUAUAAAUUUGAUCCCAUGCUACGUCAAGGUUGUAGCCUCCCCACUUAGAGUUUUGCUUGACGGGUGUCAUGGGUGAUUCCAGACACCGGUAAGUUAAGCUGGUGUGUGCAGGUCAGGCAUGUUUUCAAUUAAAAGUCCGUAGACGGAAUUAGUGCUGAUGGGCUCAGUAAAUCCGUUACUCGUGGGUAAAUAGUACACCCUCUGAAGAGGAUAUAUCCACUCGGAUAGCCAUGUUCAUGAGUAAGGAAUUCAGUCUGAGAUGGGUCUAGUAACGGUAUUCGGAUGGAGACACGGUUAAACUAGAUCAUAGUAACGGUAUUCGGAUGGAGACACGGUUAAACUAGAUCAUAGUAACGGUAUUUGGAUGGAGACACGGUUAAACUAGAUCAUAGUAACGGUAUUCGGAUGGAGACACAGUUAAACUAGAGCACAAUGACGGUCUUCGGAUGGAGAAACGGAUAUACCAGAACUUUGUUUCUGACCUCUGUCAUAUGAGGGUUAUUAUUAUUAUUAUUGUGGACUAACCGGUUACUUUACUUGCAUUAUUGAGUAUCCUUGGGACGGUUCUACCUCCUGGAUGCUCACUGUGAUUAUUCUUAUAUAAGCCCUUUAUGUGGCGUCGCUCAGACACCCGACUGCGGCAUGUAUGAUAUUUAUUUAUCCUUUAUAAGCCCUUUAUGUGGUGUCGCUCAGACGCCCGACUGUGGCCUGUUUGUUAUUUAACUUUGCUUUAUAAGCCCUUUAUGUGGUGUCGCUCAGACGCCCGACUGUGGCAAGUUUGUUAUUUAACUUUGCUUUAUAAGCCCUUUAUGUGGUGUCGCUCAGACGCCCGACUGUGGCAUGUUUGUUAUUUAACUUUGCUUUAUAAGCCAUUUAUGUGGUGUCGCUCAGACGCCCGACUGCGGCAUUGUUAAUUUAUUUGCAACCUUUCGAGGAGUCAUUUCAGACACUCUGUCAGUGCAUUCUAUUUUUUACUCCCGUAUUACAUGUUCAUAUUCUACCUGCAUGCGUGCAUCUCGGAUUUUCGUUCAUUUCGGAACAGACGUUAUGAUCAUAAAAAAAUUCGGAGUUUGAUUACCUCUUGUUAUAUAUUUACCCGUGUUCUUAAUGUUUGCGAGUACAUUCAAACAUACUCACUGGCUUGUCCCUGGCUAUUGUCUUGGCCAGAUUUCUCGCACGGAGACAGCAUUGCGACGACAGCCCCGGAACCUGCGUGUUGACGAUAGCAGCCUCGCGAAGAUAGGAGUUAUCCUGGUCAGCUGUCCUUGUGGGAAAUGGAGUCCCAUAGACGCAGAUGUACCACAAACCGCUUCCGCCAUCAACCUUUAGAAACCAAAUGUUGUACUCCUAGGCCACAAUGGUCUUGUACUACAUAUUUUGUACCUUGCUUGGAAUCCUUGUAUCAAGUUGGUGCCUCAUCAACUAACAGUAAUCCUGGGGCUGGUGAGCACAAAGGCCGUUUUCUGGGAAAUUAAUAUCCCGAAAAUCCGGUCGUGACAGAGUUGUUCUUGUGUAACACUCUCUUUGGCCCCUAAGUAAUUUUCUUUUUGGCUUUGAGCCUAUCAAGAGGUGUAGCGAUGGUUCGGAUAUGACCAAGCCCCCAAGUGAUGUAUAUAGACAGAAUUGUAUAAGCUGAAUCAAGGGGUAAACCAGAGGCCGCUUUGCAAACAGAAGCCCCCAUGUAACCACUCAUGAUAGGAGAAAAUAACAGAUACCCCGCUUUAGCUAGGGCUCCGGUUUAUUAUAUUGAUCAUAAUAUAUACAUCGCCAAAAAUAUGUAUAUGAUACGAGCCUAUGGCUCAGGUGUAGUAAGGUCUAGAUGAGCUAUAUUCCACGGCCGGAUCGAUUCCUCCUCCGACUUGCGUGAGUCUUUGUGCUCUCGAACAUCGAUGAGGUAGUAUGAUCCGUUGUUCAGAUUAUUGCUGACCACAAAGGGCCCUUCCCAAGGUGGGGAUAAUUUGUGCACAUCGGUCUGAUCUUGGAUAAGCCGGAGCACUAAGUCACCUUCUUGCAAAGUUCUGGUUUUAACCCGGCGGCUGUGAUAACGCCGCAGGUCUUGCUGAUAAAUCGCCGAGAAAGCCGCCGCUAUGUCCUGUUUCUCAUCUAACAGGUCCAAUGCCUCUUGGCAUGCUCUUUCAUUGUCCGCUUCAACAUAAGCUGCCACUCGAGGCGAGUCAUGGCGAAUAUCACUUGGGAGAACUGCUUCCGCUCCAUAAACCAUGAAGAAGGGUGUAUAACCCGUAGAUCUAUUGGGGGUGGUGUUAAUGCUCCAUAAAACGGAAGGCAACUCUUCCACCCAACAACCCGGCAUUCUCUGCAAAGGGACCAUAAGCCGGGGCUUGAUACCCUUCAGGAUUUCUUGAUUAGCUCUCUCUGCUUGACCAUUAGACUGGGGGUGGGCCACUAAGACACAUCAAGCCAGAUGUGCUCUCGUUGACAGAACUCCUCCAUAGCACCCUUGGAAAGAUUCGUGCCAUUAUCUGUUAUAAUGUUGUGUGGAAAACCAAAGUGGAAUAUCACCUUCUUCAUGAAUUGAACCGCCGUGUCUGCGUCACACUUGCUAACUGGCUCUGCCUCCACCCACUUGGUAAACUUAUCAACCGCCACCAGGAGGUGGGUCUUCUUGUCCUUGGACCUCUUGAAAGGCCCAACCAUAUCAAGCCCCCAGGUUGCAAAUGGCCAGGUGAUUGGAAUCAUCCUCAACUCCUGGGCCGGAACAUGAGCUCGCCGUGAAAACUUCUGACAACCGUCACACUUUUUGACCAAGUCCUCAGCAUCAGCAUGAGCCUUCAGCCAAUAGAAACCGUGACGAAAAGCCUUAGCCACCAGGGAUUUUGAACCGGCAUGAUGACCACAAUCCCCUUUGUAGAUUUCACGCAAAAUCUCACAACCUUCUUUAGGAGAGACGCAACGCUGAAAAGCCCCCGAGACACUACAAUGAUGUAACUCGCCAUUGAUAAUAGUCAUGGACUUGGACCGCCGGAUUAUCUGUCUGGCCAAAACUUCAUCCUCUGGUAACUCGCCCCGGUUCAUAUACGCCAAAUAUGGGACCGUCCAAUCCGGGAUAACGUGAAGCGCCGCCACCAACUGAGCCUCCGGAUCAGGAACAGCCAAAUCUUCCUCUGUGGGGAGCUUGACCAACGGGUUAUGCAAAACGUCAAGAAAAACAUUGGGCGGCACCGUUUUGCGCUGGGAGCCCAAUCGGCUUAAAGCGUCCGCCGCUUCAUUCUUUCGCCGGUCCACAUGAUCAACCUGAUAACCCUUGAAGUGACCUGCAACAAUAUCCACCUCUCGACGAUAUGCUGCCAUGAGCGGGUCCUUGGAAUCCCAAGUGCCAGACACUUGUUGAGCCACCAGGUCCGAGUCACCAAAGCAUUUAACCCGGCUCAAAUUCAUCUCCUUAGCCAUUCGAAGACCGUGGAGUAGGGCCUCGUACUCAGCUGCAUUGUUAGUACAAGGAAACAUCAACCGGAGAACAUAACAAAAUUUGUCACCUCGAGGGGAAGUAAGAACCACUCCAGCCCCCGAGCCCUCCAAUUGCCUGGAUCCGUCGAAUUGAAUCGUCCAGUAUGUGUUAUCCGGUUUAUCCUCCGGCGCCUGCAACUCUGUCCAGUCAUUAAUGAAAUCCACGAGCGCUUGAAACUUGAUGGUCGUGCGAGGCAUAUAUUUCAAUCCGUGAGGACCAAGCUCAAUAGCCCACAUAGCAACCCGGCCAGUCGCUUCCCUGUUCUGGAUGAUGUCCCCCAAAGGAGCAGAACUGACCACAAUAAUGGGGUGGCCUUGAAACUAUUUCUUAAGCUUCCGGCUCGCCAUGAAAACCCCAUAUACAAGCUUCUGCCAAUGUGGGUAUCUCUGCUUUGACUCAAUGAGCACCUCACUGGUGUAAUAAACCGGCCACUGAACCGGAUAUUCCUUUCCUGCCUCCUUGUGCUCCACCACAAUAGCCACGCUGACAGCCCGGGCGUUAGCAGCCACAUAUAACAGCAAUGGUUCCUUAUCAAUGGGGGCAGCAAGAACAGGCGGUUCAGCGAGCUGCCGUUUUAGGGCCUCGAACGCUUCAUUAGCCGCAUCACUCCAGACGAAGUCGUCUGUUUUCUUCAGCAUUUGGUACAAAGGAAUUGCCUUCUCCCCAAGACGGCUGAUAAACCGGCUUAAAGCAGCAAUCCGGCCUGCUAAUCGUUGAACAUCAUUGAUACACUUCGGUUUAGCCAGCGAAGUAAUCGCCUUGAUCUUCUCCGGAUUAGCCUCAAUGCCCCUGUUAGACACUGGGAAACCCAAGAGCUUGCCUGCCGGUACACCAAAAACACACUUGGCCGGGUUAAGCAUCAUCUUGUAAACCCGGAGGUUAUCAAAGGUCUCCUUCAAGUCAUCUAUCAGUGUCUCCUCCUUCCUGGACUUUACCACAAUAUCAUCCACAUAAGCAUGAACGUUGCGCCUAAUCUGAUUAUGAAGGCAAUUCUGAACACAACGCUGAUAAGUCGCCUGGGCACUCUUGAGCCCAAAAGGCAUAGACACAUAGCAGAAGGCUCCAAAGGGAGUUAUAAACGUUGUCUUCUCCUGGUCCUUAACUGCCAUUUUGAUCUAAUGAUAACCCGAAUAAGCAUCCAGAAAGCUCAGACGCUCACAACCCGCCGUAGCAUCAAUGAUUUGAUCAAUACGAGGGAGAGCAAAAGGAUCAGCUGGACACGCCUUGUUCAAAUCUGUGUAAUCCAUGCACAUACGCCAAGUGCCGUUCUUCUUAAGUACCAGCACCGGAUUAGCCAACCACUCUGGAUGAAAAACUUGAACGAUGAACCCUGCUGCCAAAAGCCGGGCUACCUCCUCACCAAUGGCCUUGCGCCUCUCUUCAUUGAACCGGUGAAGAAACUGUCGGACCGGUUUAAACUUGGGAUCAAUAUUAAGUGUGUGCUCAGCGAGUUCCCUCGGUACACCUGGCAUGUCAGAAGGCUUCCAUGCAAAGAUAUCCCGAUUCUCACGGAUGAACUCGAUGAGCGCGCUUUCCUAUUUUGGAUCCAGAUUUGCGUUGAUGAUGAACUGUUUGGAUGAAUCGCCAGGCACAAAAUCAACCGUCUUAGUCUCAUCAGCCGAUUUAAACUUCAAGGCCGGAUCAUGCUCCGUAGUGGGUUUCUUCAACGAAGUCAUAUCAGUCGGAUCAACAUUGUCCUUAUAGAACUUCAGCUCCUCUAUCGCACAAACCGACUCAGCAUAGGCUGCAUCACCUUCCUCACAUUCCAAAGAGAUCUUAUGACUUCCAUGCACUGUGAUGGUCCCCUUAUGACCCGGCAUCUUGAGCUGCAGAUAAACAUAACAGGGUCGUGCCAUGAACUUAGCAUAAGCCGGCCGUCCAAAUAGGGCAUGAUACGGACUUUGGAUUUUCACCACUUCAAAAGUUAACGUCUCUGAUCUCGAGUCAUGAUCAUCUCCAAAAGCAACCUCCAGGGCUAUCUUACCAACCGGAUAAGCUGACUUGCCAGGUACCACACCAUGAAAAACGGUGUUUGAUGGUUUAAGAUUCUUAUCCAUUAACCCCAUACAACGGAAGGUAUCGUAAUACAAGAUGCUGAUACUGCUCCCUCCAUCCAUGAGCACCUUAGUGAACUUAUAACCUCCGACCUGAGGUGCCACCACCAACGCCAGAUGACCCGGAUUGUCAACCCGGGGCGGGUGAUCCUCUCGACUCCACACAAUAGGCUGUUCAGACCAGCGCAAAUAACGGGGCACUGCCGGUUCAACUGAGUUCACCGCCCUUUUAUGAAGCUUCUGAUCGCGCUUGCAUAGGCUAGUGGUGAAGACGUGAUAUUUUCCACUGUUCAACUGCUUGGGGUGACUUUGGUAACCUGACUGCUGCUGCUGCUGAUUUCCCUGCUGGUUAUAACCACCUUGGUUGCCAUGAUUACCUUGAUUGCUCUGUCCACCUUGAUUACCUUGGAACCCUGAACCGGAAUUACCUCCGCCAUAACCCGGCCCGUAGGACCCAGGUCCUGAACCGCCAGACGGUCCAUGAUCUUAUCGAAAGAGCUCUGAAUUUUUGAAAUCCCACAUAAUGUUACAAUCCCGCAACCGUAGCUGGCUUCUCUUUCGUUCCGUGCCUCGGGCAGGGCUGAUUCAUCACACGCUCAAGAUUGCUACCUGAUCCUCCACUUCGUGGGGGCGAUCUACCCUUACGACGCUGGCCAUUGUCCUGCGCACUGGUGUUAGCCACAAAAUCUGAAUUGUUGUCUGCUUUACGCUUACCAUUGUUAUUCUUGCCCGCCGAAUUAUGCUGCUGCCCCUUGGUGUUGCCGUUCUUCUUUCCCUUCCCUGGCUUUUCAUCGUCAGACUCGGGGUCCUUGGUACUAUCGGAAUCAGCAUACUUAAGCAGAGCAUCCAUGAGCGUUCCCAUGUCAUUGCAGUGACGCUUGAGCCGUCCCAGCUUCAAUUUCAAAGGCUUAAACCGGCAAUUACCCUCAAAUGUUAGAAUGGCCGAGUCAGCAUUGAUGCGAUCCGAUGAAUGCAAAAUCACUGAGACCCAGUGCACCCAACGGGUUGUUGACUCGCCUUCUCCCUGGACGCAGGCAGCUAAAUCCACAAUUGAUAUGGGUUGCUUACACAUGUCCUUGAAGUUUGCUACAAACCGGGCUUUUAACUCGGCCCAUGACCCGAUGGAGUUAACUGGUAAGCUUUUCAGCCAAGUGCGAGCCGUUCCGUCCAACAUCAAAGUGAAGUACUUCACACAUGCCGCUUCAUCCACAUCCAGCAUCUCCAUUGCCAUCUCAUAACUCUCAGCCCAUGAUUCGGGGGGUAAAUCGGCGGUGUAAUUAGGCACCUUACGUGGACCCUUGAAAUCCUUGGGCAGCCGCACAUUACGUAAAGCCGGGGUGAGAUAGGGCACUCCCCAAGAACUGAAAGUAAGACCUCGUUCCACGGAAGUUGUUGGACGAACCGGAGUGAGUUGUCGGUCCUGUGCUGCUAACUCGUCUUCUCGACGUGCUCUAACGUUAUCCACCACAUCCUGAGCAUUUGCCCCACCGCGCGCCGGAUUAGGACCUCGAGGGGCAUCACGGUUUCGCGCACUGCUUGACACAGCCGGUUCAUCGAUGUGUCGGCUGUAACUCCGGCUCGAGCGCGGGGUUGAAUGAAGUCUGUCUCGACUAUAUGAAUAAGCCUGCUGCUGCACCAUAGCCGUCUGAAGAAGAUCCCUGGCGCGCCGCGUCUCAACCGCCGCUGGGGACUCGCCUUCCAUUGGAAUAGCUGCCAAUCGUGACGCCACAGUGGUCAUGUUAUCCAAAGGGGUGGAGAAGUGACCCGGCGGCGCCGGUAUAUACUGCGGCGGGUCAUGGGUCCGUCGAGGCGGGUCAGUCACCCAUGGCUAAUCCGGUGCUCCUGUCCUUGGCGCUUCCAUCCGGUUUACCACCGCAGGAUUACUGGUUCCGCUCCUGGUGUGCCGAAGAGAUUCAUUGCUUCAUAAACCGGUGGCAGUCGAGACCGAUGCCUCCUCCUCAACACAUCAUUUGAAGCGUUCUGAUCCAACAUGAGCCGGUAAUUUUCUGCCUGAAUCCGCUGUGCUUGUGCUUCUAAAGCGGCCCGCUCCUUAGCCAUCCUGUUUUCCUCAGCCGCUAAGUCCUCCUUGGCCUGAGUUAUCUGAUCCUACAGCUUAGCAACCUCCGCAUUAUUCUGAUCUUGGGUGUCCGGGGUAACCUGUGCGGUCAGUAAUGUCGAUUCCCGCGCCUGUCGCUGUAACACCCUGAGAAUCAUGCUACAGUAACCCCCUGUGAUUAAGCUAAUCAUGUGCUAAACAGGGCUUGAUCACAUUUGGAUCACCUUCCUUUUCAAACUCCUAGUUCAAACUUCAAAUAUAAUUAAAGUGGAAAAUAAAAGUUAUCAAAAAUUCAAACAAAAAUGUUCAGUGGGUGCUAAAUAAUACACUGGUAAUUAUGGUGGAGAAAGCACCUUUUUAUAAAAUGCCUAAAUACUUUAAAUGAAAUAAAACAGAAAAGGAAAUAAAACAAAUAAAAGAGAAAACAGAAAACAAAACAGAAAAAGAAAGCAAAGGGNNNNNNNNNNNNNNNNNNNNNNNNNNNNNNNNNNNNNNNNNNNNNNNNNNNNNNNNNNNNNNNNNNNNNNNNNNNNNNNNNNNNNNNNNNNNNNNNNNNNNNNNNNNNNNNNNNNNNNNNNNNNNNNNNNNNNNNNNNNNNNNNNNNNNNNNNNNNNNNNNNNNNNNNNNNNNNNNNNNNNNNNNNNNNNNNNNNNNNNNNNNNNNNNNNNNNNNNNNNNNNNNNNNNNNNNNNNNNNNNNNNNNNNNNNNNNNNNNNNNNNNNNNNNNNNNNNNNNNNNNNNNNNNNNNNNNNNNNNNNNNNNNNNNNNNNNNNNNNNNNNNNNNNNNNNNNNNNNNNNNNNNNNNNNNNNNNNNNNNNNNNNNNNNNNNNNNNNNNNNNNNNNNNNNNNNNNNNNNNNNNNNNNNNNNNNNNNNNNNNNNNNNNNNNNNNNNNNNNNNNNNNNNNNNNNNNNNNNNNNNNNNNNNNCCCCUCGCCGGCGGUGAACCCCGCGAGAGGAUAAGGGCGCCAGCGGCCCCCGCUCCCUCGGGCCUCUCUCCUACUCACCCCGCUCACUCCCUCGGCCUCUGCGCCUCUCCCCCGGAUCCGCGCCGCUCCCCUCUUCCCCACGCCCGACGCGCUCGCCGCCGUUCACCGUCGUUCACACGGCCACCGUACCCAACUCGCCGCCCCAAGGUGUCUCCAAGGACCGCCGUCGCCCGCUGCAUCGUCUGGUGCAUCCCGUUGGAGACCGGAGCCCCUACAACGAGCACACCGAGCUCGUCUUCCCCGCACGGCCGCCGUCGAUCGCCGCCCCGUUUCGCCUCCGACGAGCCUCCCCAAGCACGCUGCCGUCCCCCUACAGCCGCGCGGUGAGCUCCUCUACCUCCUCCCCCUCUCCGCUAGCUCGCCCGCGCUCCGUAGCUGCCCCCCCACGCGCGCCCGAACGCCGCGCCGCGAGGCUCGCCGCCGGCGGGUCUCCGGUGACCAAAUGGUCAAGGGGUCAAGCCCGUUGCACUCCCCGCCGUAUGUAGAUGCCCCCCAGCCCCUCCGCUUUUUCGAUAGCUCGCCGUAGCCAUGUCCCCGUCGAGCACCCGUGCGCGCCGCCGCCUCCGCCGCUCGCCGGCGCUGAUUCCGGCCAAGUCCGGCGAAGCCCCGGCCACCACUGGAUGCGGCGCUGCGAGUUCUUUCGAAUGGGCCUAGCCCCGUUCCUCCCCGAGCCCCGUAGCGCGAUUCCGGCCAACUCCGGCGAGGGACCGCCGCGGUUUUGGUCGCCGGAGUUGCGCCGGCGCCGGCCGCCGACGUGGCUGGCCAGGCCCCACCCCCAGUGCCCCUGCCAGUGGCCCCACGGGCCCUAGUUGACUGGGUUGACCCAGUCAACUGCUGACUGGGCAGGCCCAGUCACUGACAUGCGGGCCCCGCCGCAAAAGUUAAAAAAAAGAAAAGGAAAGGAAAAUGUUUUAUAAAUAAAAAUAAUUAGUUUAAUUAAUCUCUCACUGACAGGUGGGCCCAGUAGUUAAUUAACUAAAAACUAAUUAGUUUAAUCCUCUGUUAACCCACUGUCUAUGACAGGUGGGUCCCCCUUGUCAGUUUGACCAGUCAACCCGGACUGUUGACCGCUGAUGUCACUCCUACGUCAUGCUGACGUCAUAUCCCUUUUUCUGUUAAUUAAAUAAUUCCAGAAAUUCAAAUAAACUUUGAAAAUUCAUAUCUUUUAAACCGUAACUCGGAUGAAAAUGUUUUCUAUAUGAAAGUUGCUCAGAACGACGAGACGAAUCGGAAUACGCAGUCCGUUCAUCCACCACACCUCCCUAACCUAUCGAACUAGCAACUUUUCCCCUCCGGUCCGUCUGUCCGAAUACGCGAAACAUCGGGAAUACCUCCCGGAUGUUCCCCCCCUUCACCGGUACCACCUACUGUCGCGUUAGGACACCCCUAGCACCGCUCAUUGUCAGGUCACGCAUCGUCAUGCUUAUGUUUGCAUUGUAUUUACUGUUUCUUCCCCCUCUUGUCUCCGGUAGACUACGAGACCGACCCUGCUGCUGCCCAGUUCGACUACGGAGUCGACGACCCCUCCUACUUGCCAGAGCAACCAGGAAAGCCCCCCUUUGAUCACCAGAUAUCGCCUACUCUACUCUCUACUACUUGCAUUAGAGUAGUGUAGCUUGUUACUGCUUUUCGAUAUCCUAUUCUGAUGCAUAGCCUAUCCUUGCUACUACUGUUGAUACCUUUACCUGCAAUCCUACAUGCUUAGUAUAGGAUGCUAGAUUUCCAUCAGUGGCCCUACAUUCUUGUCCGUCUGCUGUGCUAUACUAUCAGGCCGUGAUCACCUGGGCGGUGAUCAUGGGUAUAUACUUAUAUACUAUAUACAUGACACAUGUGAUGAUUAAAGUCGGGUCGGCUCGUAGGAGUACCCGCAAGUGGAUCUUUGUGGCGGAGCGACAGGGCAGGUUGAGACCGCCUAGGUGAGAGGUGGGCCUGGCCCUGGUCGGCGUUCGCGGUUACUUAACACGCUUAACGAGAUCUUGGUAUUUGAUCUGAGUCUAGCCAUUUGGUCUAUACGCACUAACCAUCUACAUGGGAGUAGUUAUGGGUAUCCCGACGUCGUGGUAUCAGCCGAAGCUCUUUUGACGUCAGCGACUGAGUGGCGCGCGCCGGAUUGGACUGGAACGCCACUAGGCUAGGUCUGCUUCCGGCCGCGUACGCAACGUGCAGGUGUGCAUAGGGCGAUGGGCCCAGACCCCUGCGCGCAUAGGUUUAGACCGGCGUGUUGGCCUCUCUGUUGAGCCUAGGUGGGGCUGCGACGUGUUGAUCUUACGAGGCCGGGCAUGACCCAGAAAAGUGUGUCCGGCCAAUUGGGAUCGAGCGUGUUGGGUUAUGUGGUGCACCCCUGCAGGGAAGUUUAUCUAUUCGAAUAGCCGUGUCCCUCGGUAAAAGGACGACCCGGAGUUGUACCUUGAGCUUAUGACAACUAGAACUGGAUACUGAAUAAAAUACACCCUUCCAAGUGCCAGAUACAACCCGGUGAUCGCUCUCUAACAGGGUGACGAGGAGGGGAUUGCCGGGUAGGAUUAUGCUAUGCGAUGCUACUUGGAGGACUUCAAUCUACUCUCUUCUAUAUGCUGCAAGAUGGAGAUGUCCAGAAGCGUAGUCUUCGACAGGCCUAGCUAUCCCCCUCUUAUUCUGGCAUUCUGCAGUUCAGUCCACUGAUAUGCCCCUUUACACAUAUACCCAUGCAUAUGUAGUGUAGCUCCUUGCUUGCGAGUACUUUGGAUGAGUACUCACGGUUGCUUUUCUCUCUCUUUUCCCCUUUCUAUACCGGAUCGUCGCAAUCAGAUGUUGGAGUCCAGGAGCCAGACGCCACCGUCGACGACGACACCUACGACACUGGAGGUGCCUACUACUACGUGCAGGCCGCUGACGACGACCAGGAGUAGUUAGGAGGUCCCAGGCAGGAGGCCUUGCCUUUUCGAUCGUUGCUACUUUUGUGCUAGCCUUCUUAAGGCAAACUUGUUUAACUUAUGUCUGUACUCAGAUAUUGUUGCUUCCGCUGACUCGUCUAUGAUCGAGCACUUGUAUUCGAGCCCUCGAGGCCCCUGGCUUGUAUUAUAAUGCUUGUAUGACUUAUUUAUGUUGUAGAGUUGUGUUGUGAUAUCUUCCCGUGAGUCCCUGAUCGUGAUCGUACACAUUUGCGUGCAUGAUUAGUGUACGGUCAAAUCGGGGGCGUCACAAGUUGGUAUCAGAGCCGACUGCCUGUAGGAACCCCCCUUCCACACUCCUUGGCCGAAGUCGAGUCUAGUCAUUGCAAAACUUUUACUAACAUGGCUGUGCGGCUUACGGGCCCACGUCGCCAUUGGGUGGUACUAGGAUCUUUUACUCCUCGACCUUUAUUCUAGGACUCUGAACUCUCUCCUACUCGGGUUAAACAAAUUUACUAACUCAAACACUAGGAUCCCGUGACCGCGUUCACCCCUAAGAUGGAUAAGCCAUAGUUGUUUCUUAGAAUAGUAUUUUGAACAAUUCACACACUGUCAUUUGACUCCUUUGAAACGUCUUUGCUUUCAGAUGGAACCCACGAGGCAGGUUGUUCGCCACAUGAUGGCCAUUGGUGCCUCGGGAUCACCUGCGGUGCUAGCUGAGAUGAUGACCUAUCUGGGUUAUCGCUGGCACCCUGAGUUCACCGUCUACGAGGAGUACCAGGACUUUAACCAGGAGCAGUACCGUGCCAUCGUCCACCUCUACUCUCGGGAGUACGACUCCACUACUGUGCUGCACACCGCACAUGGUGUUGGUGUGACCAUCGAUAUGGCUGUCCACGAUGCAGCCUAUGCUGCUCUGACACGUCUUCGUGGAGAGUAUCGGGAGUUGGACACCUCCCCCUUCAGGCACAUUGCUAUCGCCUCUGAUGUUGGUGCGGAGGGAUACUACACUGCUGCCUACUCCACUGUCACCCGGGAGCCCUUCUACCAUCAGCACCUGGUUCUGCAUGCUGAUGGGCUGGAUCGAGCUAACCGAGCUCUUCGCCACGAGAUGUACACCACCCGUCAGCACCUUUACCGUGCUCUGACGCUGCUGCACCCCUUUGUCCGAUCUGGACAGGUACCGCGUGCUGCGAUCUACCCAGCCAGGACCGUGAUGCCCCACGGUGUUGGUUGGCCAGAGGUGGGAGGCUACUCUCCCGCACUUGGUUCUCUUCUGCCACCUGAGCGUCGGACUCUACACCUGAGUAUCCGCGGGCCCCAGUUUGCUGACGUGGAGAGCUAUCCGUUGCCUCAAUACCAGCUGUCGGGCUACGAUUACCUCCACAGUACCUCUUGGGACUGAUGUAGACUUGCUUGUAGUAUUAGUUUCAGUCGCCGCGAGCCUGUGUGCCGCCUAUGAUGCUUUAGUCUAUGUACCGAACUCUGUGUACUGAACUCUAUGCAUGACCCCCUUUUGUAAGCUAUGCCGACUACUAUGUAGUAGCCAUCGUGCUCCUUUCAAUUAUGCAUGUUUCAUCAUAAAUGAUUCUUAUCAUUGCAAAUUUUCUCAAUGCUGAACCACCCCUGUUAUAUAUUAGCAGGAUGGUUAGACCAGGUGGUCGUGGUCGUGGUGGCGAUGCCCCACCACCACCUGAGUACAUGACUGGUAUGAUCCAACAGCUUGAACUGAACCGCCAGUUCAUGGAGAAUAUGAUGGCUCAAUUCCCUCGCCCCAAUAUGAACCAGCAGCCAGCCCAAGUGACUCUUCAAGAUUUCAUACGCCUCAACCCAACCAUCUACCGCAGCUCAACUCAGCCUCUGGAUGCUGAUGACUGGCUCCGUGACAUCACCUAUGAGUUGGAGUCUGCUGAUGUAGCCCCUGCCAGCUAUGUCAAUUUUGCUUCCUUCUUCUUGAAGGGACCCGCAGCUCAAUGGUGGGACAGCCACAGGCGUACUCUGCCAGCUGGAACAAUCAUCACCUGGCCAGACUUCCAAGCUGCUUUCCGUGCCCGCUUCAUUCCUCAGGGAGUCAUGGACCGGAAGAAGCGUGAGUUCCGCAACCUCACCCAAGGCAACAAAUCUGUCGAAGCUUAUCAGCGGGAGUUUCUGGACUUGUCCCGCUAUGCUGAAGAAGACAUUGCAACUGAUGCACGCAGACAGGAGAAGUUCCGUGAUGGCCUUCAAGCUGACAUCAAGCUCGCACUUCUAGUGCAUGACUUUGCUGAUUUCGCCACCUUGGUGAACAAGGCCAUCAAUGUCGAAACUGGUCUGCAGGAAUACCAGAGCUCUCACAGGCGCAACCGUGACACGGGCUCAUCUUCGGGCCCGCCCUCACAGAAGCGUAAGAUAUGGAUCCCGAACAGCAUGUAUCGUCCAAAUGCUUCUGCCCCAAGGCAGACCUAUGCUGCCCCUCGUCUGCCUACACCACCGUCCAGGCAGUCAAGACUUCCAGCUCCACCAUCCCAAGCUCCUGUUCCCACUCCGAAUAAUGGCUUGUGCUUCAGGUGUGGUCAACCAGGGCACCGUGCUAAAGAAUGCAACCAGAACCAGAAUCAACUGGCCCUUCCAGCAACUGGCCGUGGUAACAAUCAGCCCCGCAACAACAAUGCUAAGUCUUAUGGUCGUGCUCAUGCCAACCACGUUGAUCUCAACGAAGCUCAAGACCAGCCUGCUACUGUGAUGGGUACACUCCUCGUAAAUUCAGUACCAGCAUCCGUUUUAUUUGAUACAGGUGCAUCGCAUUCAUUCAUGUCAGAAGAUUUUGCAUACAAGCACGACGUUAAAUGUGAGGAGAUGAACACCUCUGUAUUGGUCAAAACCCCCGUGGGACAGUGUCAAACCUCCUUGGUUGGCAUCGAUGUCCCCGUGGAAAUCAAAGGGCUGGAAUUCUAUGCCUCUCCCAUUAUCCUGAAGACGUCUAACAUCGACCUCAUCUUGGGUAUGGAUUGGUUGAGAGCGCAUACUGCUUCUAUAGUUUGCGCCACUAAGACCGUCCAUCUGCUACACCCUUCAGAUGAAAUAGUUGCUUACCAAGCUCAUCUGGUGCAAAAUGUCGAUGCAAGGCUCUAUGCAUUGAAUGGAUUGAACGCUGCACCACUCGAGGGCAUUGAAAAUAUUCCCGUCGUGCGAGAAUUCCUCGACGUCUUCCCUGAAGAACUUCCAGGGAUUCCCCCUGCUAGAGCUGUCGAAUUCAUCAUCGACUUGAAACCAGGCACCACUCCUAUAGCCAAGCGACCCUACAAAAUGCCGCCGCAUGAACUUCUUGAGCUUAAGGAGGAAAUCGACAAGUCUCUUCGCAAAGGAUUCAUUCGCCCAAGUUGCUCUCCUUAGGGAGCACCUUCUCUCUUUGUCAAGAAGAAGGAUGGGACAAACCGGCUAGUUCAAGACUACCGACCUAUAAACCAAGCUACCAUUCAGAAUAAAUACCCUCUUCCUCGGAUCAAUGAUCUGUAUGAUCAACUGGCGGGUUCGUCAGUGUUUUCUAAGCUCGACUUGAGGUUGGGCUACCACCAGAUCCGUGUUCGCGAAGAGGAUAUCCCAAAGACCGCCUUCGUGACUCGCUAUGGUUCAUACGAGUACACCGUCAUGUCUUUCGGUUUAACCAAUGCUCCAGCCACCUUCUCUCGUCUGAUGAACUACAUAUUCAUGGAUUACCUCGACAAGUUCGUCGUGGUUUAUCUGGAUGAUAUCCUGAUAUUUUCCAAGAACGAAGAAGAACAUGCUGAACAUCUUCGUCUUGUGCUGGAAAAGCUACGAGAACAUCAACUUUAUGCCAAGUUCUCCAAAUGUGAAUUCUGGCUACCGGAAGUAACCUAUCUGGGGCAUGUCAUCUCUACGGAUGGUAUUGCCGUCAACCCCGAGCGAGUUCAGGCUAUUCUUGAUUGGACUCCUCCCAAGAACGUUAAGCAAGUCAGAAGUUUUCUCGGUCUCGCCAGCUAUUGCCGUCGAUUUGUCGAGAACUUCUCCAAGAUCGCCAGGCCUCUGACUAACCUGUUGCAUAAGGGCGUCAAGUUCCAAUGGACAGACAAAUGUCAGGAAAGUUUCCAGGCACUCAAAGACAAGUUGACUUCUGCCCCCGUUCUAGCUCCACCUGAUACUAAGAAGGACUUCGUCAUCUAUUGCGACGCUUCCCGUCAAGGAUUAGGCUGUGUCCUAAUGCAAGACCGCAAAGUGAUUGCUUAUGCCUCUCAACAAUUGCGCCCUCGCGAAGAGAACUACCCAGUUCACGACCUCGAACUUGCUGCCGUCAUUCAUGCGCUGAAGCAGUGGCGACAUUACCUUCUCGGUAAUCGUUGCGAGAUCUUCACUGACCACCAAAGUCUGAAGUAUCUGUUUACUCAACCAGAUCUGAACCUCCGUCAGCAGAGAUGGAUGGAGCUCGUUGCAGACUUUGACUUGGGUAUUUCCUAUACUCCAGGCAAGGCUAAUGUAAUGGCUGAUGCCUUGAGCCGCAAGUCUUACUGCAACCACCUCCAGGUUCAUAAAGUCCAGCCCUCACUUGUUGAAGAAUUCAGGAAGCUGAACCUCCAUAUUGUUCCUCCGGGUGCACUCGCUCCCCCUCCUAAGGAAUUUGGCAAGGUGAACCUCCACGUUGUUACCCAGGGUUCCCUCAAUACCCUAGUUGCUAAACCAGAUCUCGAGGACAGCAUCAAAAGGCUACAGAGGUAUGACUCUGAAGCCCACAAGAUUAAGCGCUACCUCGCAGAAGGAAAGCCCUCAUUCUUCACCACUGCUGAAGAUGGCACCCUAUACUUCAAGGGCCGCCUAGUGGUGCCAUGUGCGGAGAAAAACCUGGAUAUGACACAGGAAGUUAUGAAAGAAGCUCAUGAUACGCCUCUAUGUAUCCAUCCUGGUAGUACAAAGAUGUACCAAGAUAUCCGUCAGAGAUUCUGGUGGACUAAUAUGCAGCAAGACAUUGCUCGUUAUGUUGCUGAGUGUGACGUUUGCCGUCGUAUCAAAGCAGAACAUCAAAGGCCUGCUGGAACUCUGCAACCUAUCUCUAUCCCUGAAUGGAAAUGGGACCAUGUUGAGAUGGACUUCAUCACUGGAUUUCCCAAAUCGCAGAAAGGUAAUGAUGCUAUUCUUGUCGUCAUUGACCGGCUUUCCAAAGUUGCACAUUUCCUGGCAGUCAAAGAAACGAUCACUGCUAGCCAGUUGGCAACGCUCUAUAUGUCCAGGAUUGUUUCACUCCACGGUAUUCCAUUGGUUAUCAGUUCAGACCGUGGUAGCUUAUUCACUUCAAGAUUCUGGGCACGUUUCCAAGAAGCAAUGGGAACUCAUCUGUCAUUCAGUACUGCGUUUCAUCCUCAAGCGCAAGGACAAGUUGAACGCGUCAAUCAAGUUCUCGAAGACAUGCUUCGAGCUUGCGUUAUUUCCUUCGGCAAGAAAUGGGAGGAAUCUCUCCCGUAUGCUGAGUUCUCCUAUAAUAAUAGCUAUCAAGCUAGUCUGAAGAUGGCCCCCUUCGAAGUGUUAUAUGGACGAAAGUGCCGAACCCCUCUGAACUGGUCAGAAACUGGGGAACGUCCACUCUUCGGUCCGGAUAUUAUCCAAGAUGCCGAAGAACAAGUCCGCAUUAUUCGCGAGAAUCUCAAGACUGCUCAGUCACGUCAGAAGAGUCAGUAUGACCUUCAUCAUAAAGACAUGGUCUAUCAACCUGGCGAAAAGGCUUAUCUUCGAGUCACACCUAUGAAGGGUGCUCACCGCUUCGGGAUCAAGGGCAAACUAGCUCCUCGCUAUAUUGGCCCAUUCACUAUUCUCGAAAGGCGUGGAAAAGUGGCAUACCAACUGGAACUACCGCCGAACCUUUCUCAGGUUCACGAUGUGUUCCAUGUUUCACAGCUCCGCCGUUGCUUCAAGGAUCCAAUCCGAGCUGUGGAUCACGAAGUGCUUGAAUUGCAGCAAGACCUCUCCUAUAAGGAGCAUCCGGUCCGCAUUCUCGACCAAGCUGAACGCCGCACACGUCAGAAGGCGAUCAAGUUUCUCAAAGUCCAGUGGUCGCACCAUUCUGAAGAUGAGGCCACUUGGGAACGAGAGGAUCGUCUGCGCGAAGAAUACCCCGCACUGUUUCCUUCUACCUCCUAAAUCUCGGGACGAGAUUUCUUGUAGUGGAGGAGAUUUGUAACACCCUGAGAAUCAUGCUACAGUAACCCCCUGUGAUUAAGCUAAUCAUGUGCUAAACAGGGCUUGAUCACAUUUGGAUCACCUUCCUUUUCAAACUCCUAGUUCAAACUUCAAAUAUAAUUAAAGAGGAAAAUAAAAGUUAUCAAAAAUUCAAACAAAAAUGUUCAGUGGGUGCUAAAUAAUACACUGGUAAUUAUGGUGGAGAAAGCACCUUUUUAUAAAAUGCCUAAAUACUUUAAAUGAAAUAAAACAGAAAAGGAAAUAAAACAAAUAAAAGAGAAAACAGAAAACAAAACAGAAAAAGAAAGCAAAGGGAAAAAGGCCCGCUCCCNNNNNNNNNNNNNNNNNNNNNNNNNNNNNNNNNNNNNNNNNNNNNNNNNNNNNNNNNNNNNNNNNNNNNNNNNNNNNNNNNNNNNNNNNNNNNNNNNNNNNNNNNNNNNNNNNNNNNNNNNNNNNNNNNNNNNNNNNNNNNNNNNNNNNNNNNNNNNNNNNNNNNNNNNNNNNNNNNNNNNNNNNNNNNNNNNNNNNNNNNNNNNNNNNNNNNNNNNNNNNNNNNNNNNNNNNNNNNNNNNNNNNNNNNNNNNNNNNNNNNNNNNNNNNNNNNNNNNNNNNNNNNNNNNNNNNNNNNNNNNNNNNNNNNNNNNNNNNNNNNNNNNNNNNNNNNNNNNNNNNNNNNNNNNNNNNNNNNNNNNNNNNNNNNNNNNNNNNNNNNNNNNNNNNNNNNNNNNNNNNNNNNNNNNNNNNNNNNNNNNNNNNNNNNNNNNNNNNNNNNNNNNNNNNNNNNNNNNNNNNNNNNNNNNNNNNNNNNNNNNNNNNNNNNNNNNNNNNNNNNNNNNNNNNNNNNNNNNNNNNNNNNNNNNNNNNNNNNNNNNNNNNNNNNNNNNNNNNNNNNNNNNNNNNNNNNNNNNNNNNNNNNNNNNNNNNNNNNNNNNNNNNNNNNNNNNNNNNNNNNNNNNNNNNNNNNNNNNNNNNNNNNNNNNNNNNNNNNNNNNNNNNNNNNNNNNNNNNNNNNNNNNNNNNNNNNNNNNNNNNNNNNNNNNNNNNNNNNNNNNNNNNNNNNNNNNNNNNNNNNNNNNNNNNNNNNNNNNNNNNNNNNNNNNNNNNNNNNNNNNNNNNNNNNCUGGAUGCGGCGCUGCGAGUUCUUUCGAAUGGGCCUAGCCCCGUUCCUCCCCGAGCCCCGUAGCGCGAUUCCGGCCAACUCCGGCGAGGGACCGCCGCGGUUUUGGUCGCCGGAGUUGCGCCGGCGCCGGCCGCCGACGUGGCUGGCCAGGCCCCACCCCCAGUGCCCCUGCCAGUGGCCCCACGGGCCCCAGUUGACUGGGUUGACCCAGUCAACUGCUGACUGGGCAGCCCAGUCACUGACAUGCGGGCCCCGCCGUAAAAGUUAAAAAAAAAGAAAAGAAAAGGAAAAUGUUUUAUAAAUAAAAAUAAUUAGUUUAAUUAAUCUCUCACUGACAGGUGGGCCCAGUAGUUAAUUAACUAAAAACUAAUUAGUUUAAUCCUCUGUUAACCCAAUGUCUAUGACAGGUGGGUCCCCCUUGUCAGUUUGACCAGUCAACCCGGACUGUUGACCGCUGAUGUCACUCCUACGUCAUGCUGACGUCAUAUCCCUUUUUCUGUUAAUUAAAUAAUUCCAGAAAUUCAAAUAAACUUUGAACAUUCAUAUCUUUUAAACCGUAACUCGGAUGAAAAUGUUUUCUAUAUGAAAGUUGCUCAGAACGACGAGACGAAUCCGAAUACGCAGUCCGUUCAUCCACCACACCUCCCUAACCUAUCGAACUAGCAACUUUCCCCCUCCGGUCCGUCUGUCCGAAUACGCGAAACAUCGGGAUUACCUCCCGGAUGUUCCCCCCCUUCACCGGUACCACCUACUGUCGCGUUAGGACACCCCUAGCACCGCUCAUUGUCAGGUCACGCAUCGUCAUGCUUAUGUUUGCAUUGUAUUUACUGUUUCUUCCCCCUCUUCUCUCCGGUAGACUACGAGACCGACCCUGCUGCUGCCCAGUUCGACUACGGAGUCGACGACCCCUCCUACUUGCCAGAGCAACCAGGCAAGCCCCCCCUUUGAUCACCAGAUAUCGCCUACUCUACUCUCUACUACUUGCAUUAGAGUAGUGUAGCUUGUUACUGCUUUUCGAUAUCCUAUUCUGAUGCAUAGCCUAUCCUUGCUACUACUGUUGAUACCUUUACCUGCAAUCCUACAUGCUUAGUAUAGGAUGCUAGAUUUCCAUCAGUGGCCCUACAUUCUUGUCCGUCUGCUGUGCUAUACUAUCGGGCCGUGAUCACCUGGGCGGUGAUCACGGGUAUAUACUUAUAUACUAUAUACAUGACACAUGUGAUGAUUAAAGUCGGGUCGGCUCGUAGGAGUACCCGCAAGUGGAUCUUUGUGGCGGAGCGACAGGGCAGGUUGAGACCGCCUAGGUGAGAGGUGGGCCUGGCCCUGGUCGGCGUUCGCGGUUACUUAACACGCUUAACGAGAUCUUGGUAUUUGAUCUGAGUCUGGCCAUUUGGUCUAUACGCACUAACCAUCUACGUGGGAGUAGUUAUGGGUAUCCCGACGUCGUGGUAUCAGCCGAAGCUCUUUUGACGUCAGCGACUGAGUGGCGCGCGCCGGAUUGGACUGGAACGCCACUAGGCUAGGGCUACUUCCGGCCGCGUACGCAACGUGCAGGUGUGCAUAGGGCGAUGGGCCCAGACCCCUGCGCGCAUAGGUUUAGACCGGCGUGCUGGCCUCUCUGUUGAGCCUAGGUGGGGCUGCGACGUGUUGAUCUUACGAGGCCGGGCAUGACCCAGAAAAGUGUGUCCGGCCAAUUGGGAUCGAGCGUGUUGGGUUAUGUGGUGCACCCCUGCAGGGAAGUUUAUCUAUUCGAAUAGCCGUGUCCCUCGGUAAAAGGACGACCCGGAGUUGUACCUUGAGCUUAUGACAACUAGAACUGGAUACUGAAUAAAAUACACCCUUCCAAGUGCCAGAUACAACCCGGUGAUCGCUCUCUAACUGGGUGACGAGGAGGGGAUUGCCGGGUAGGAUUAUGCUAUGUGAUGCUACUUGGAGGACUUCAAUCUACUCUCUUCUAUAUGCUGCAAGAUGGAGAUGUCCAGAAGCGUAGUCUUCGACAGGCCUAGCUAUCCCCCUCUUAUUCUGGCAUUCUGCAGUUCAGUCCACUGAUAUGCCCCUUUACACAUAUACCCAUGCAUAUGUAGUGUAGCUCCUUGCUUGCGAGUACUUUGGAUGAGUACUCACGGUUGCUUUUCUCUCUCUUUUCCACUUUCUAUACCGGAUCGUCGCAAUCAGAUGUUGAAGUCCAGGAGCCAGACGCCACCGUCGACGACGACACCUACGACACUGGAGGUGCCUACUACUACGUGCAGGCCACUGACGACGACCAGGAGUAGUUAGGAGGUCCCAGGCAGGAGGCCUUGCCUUUUCGAUCGUUGCUACUUUUGUGCUAGCCUUCUUAAGGCAAACUUGUUUAACUUAUGUCUGUACUCAGAUAUUGUUGCUUCCGCUGACUCGUCUAUGAUCGAGCACUUGUAUUCGAGCCCUCGAGGCCCCUGGCUUGUAUUAUAAUGCUUGUAUGACUUAUUUAUGUUGUAGAGUUGUGUUGUGAUAUCUUCCCGUGAGUCCCUGAUCGUGAUCGUACACAUUUGCGUGCAUGAUUAGUGUACGGUCAAAUCGGGGGCGUCAUAGUCGCUUAUCCCUUUCGUCUUAUAAAUAGGCCCAAGGGUCCCUUUCCUUUUCCCCUUGCCUCUUCAUCUUUUCUUCCAUCUCGCGUCGCCUCAGAAUUCGAGCACCGCCGCCGCUGUCGACCUUCGCCUCUGCUGCAACAAAGGCCGCUGCAUCAACCUGACUUGACCAGAGAACUACGACGCACCUCCGCUGUUCAGUAGCGUCAGUAAGUACCCCUCUUCUCGUAUACCAGAUCUGCAUUAGGGUUUCCGUUGUUCAUCGGUGUUCUUCACCAUUCCUCAUUUUUCUCUCUUAGAUCGCGUAGUUUGAUCUGAACCUGAUCGUGCAUUAGGGUCUCCUUUCAAUCACAGAAGAUACCUUUUCUGCAUAAGAUCCCAUCCGAGCAUAUGUGUUCUUCUGCUACCGCGACUCUAGGUUUAAAAUUUAUUUCCUCUUUAGAACUGCGGUAGAUCCAAAAUUAUGAUACCAACCUGUGAAACCUGUUUGUGCAACACUUAGGAAUUUUUCAGAUCUGUAACUUCCACACCAUUGUAGGCGGUUUAACCUUUAAAAAUGAUAACCCGCCAGGUACCAUUAGCCCUCUUUUAAACCGCCAAUAUGCUUUAAAUAUCAGAAUCCAUUUUAAUAUAUACAGACGUUUCAAUGUCAUCUUCUUCCAUCAUUGCACCGGUUUAUACGUGCCAGUCAUGAAUUUUAAACCGGUCAUUAAUCCUUUUUUCCAUCUUUUCACCGAAAUGGCCAAACAGUUCUAUGCUUGCAAUUGGGUCCCUUCCCGGGUUAUGGAAGCACAACUGAACGGGUGUGUUGCGACUGGCGCUUUAGCAAGCAAAGAUACCAUCCAUUGGCGAGUCCCCAGUCCAGAAAAUCCUCCUGAACCCAAGGAUGGGGAAGUUAUUGUGUUUGUUGAUCAUUUGAGUCGAGGGUUUAGCCCUCCCGGAUCAAAAAAAUUCGUGAUGUGCUUGCUAGCUUCCAGAUCCGCCCUCAAGAUAUUGGACCAAAUUCUGUGUCCAAUAUUUGCAACUGGCAAGUAUUUUGUGAAGUUUAUCUGCAAGAAGAACCCACUGUGGAACUAUUCCGGGAUUUCUUUUACCUAAACCGCCGUACUGAAUUUACGGACGGGCCCAACACUGAACUUGGCGGUGUUUCAAUUCAAAAGAGAAAGGAUGUUGACUUCCCUCACGCCAAACAUCAUAGUCACCCCAAGGACUGGAAUCAGACUUGGUUUUACUGCCAAAACACAGCUCCGGAUGAUGAAAAUCCUCUGCCGGUUAUCGUCCACACCGGCUUACCAAAACUCAUCCAGUUCCUCAACGACUGACCACCAAGGAACGAUCAAAAUAUGCCCCUCAGCUAUCAAAACUCAGAGCGUUUGUUGCAAACGGACUGACAGGCAUUGAUUUUGUUCAGUGUUGGGUUUCUUGGAGCAUUCUGCCUUUAAGCCGGCGCCCCGGUUUAAUGUGUGAAUACACAGGGGAUCUGAAUGACCCUCAACAUCAUAUUGACAUCCAGCUUACUGAUGAUGAAGUCACCGAAGCUGUCAAGAAAAUGCUUGAUGAACCGGUGGCUGAGUGCAGCAAGACAGGGCUCAGUCCUUUUUAUGCUUCCAACAAACCGCCAAAGGUAAAAAUUGCCUCAUUCUUGUCUUAUCCAUCCUUCGUCAAAUAUUCCUUCAUAACUUUGUUAUUCAUUUAUGCAGAGUGAUGACCCGUUCUGGAAGAAGAAAACACAAGAUAAACCGGUGAAGGCACCUCGUAUCAAGACGAACGCCACCAAGAGGCCUGCCAAAAAGAGAACUGCUGAACCGUCUGAGCCAAACAUUGAUGAUGAUCUAGAUAAUCCGGAUUCAGAGGUAGAACUUGACUCUCUUAGUUCAUUUUUCAUGCACCUUAUUGACAAUGAUAAUUAUCAGGAUGAUGCGGAAGCUAGCCAUGCUGACAAGGUAACCAUUCUUUCUUCUGAUUCAAAUCCUGUGCCAAUACCAAAAAUCCGUCGAGCAGUCCGGAAAGUAAAAUUUUCAUGCCCUCUUUCUUAUUUGGAUCCACACUUUCUUUUGAAGACACAGCAGCAUGAAACUCGCCGCACAACUCGGCAUAGUGGCCAAGUGGUGACCUCCUCCGGUUUAUCGAACUCUCCGAUUCGCAAACACCGCCCAGAGGUUUCUUAUACUCCUGACACACUUUAUCCUAAGGCGGGUUACUUCCGAUAUCCUCUUAAUCCGUCUGACUCAAAUUAUCAGGGAACUUCCCAUUCAUCAUCCGGCAAGUCAUCGGCCACACAACUUCCUCCUGUCAAAACUGUUCCUGGGUAAGCAUAUUGCACUUAACCUUUUAUGCCUUUCAUUAUUUGUUAUUAUACUGACUUUGUGCCUGUUUCUUCCAGUGCCAAAGCCAGACCUAGCAAGAAAGCCAAGUUGAACAAACCGACCGACGAUGAACCGGUCACUGAACCGGAGAAAAUCCCAGAGGCUGUUGAUCCGAAUGCUGACAUUGUCCUUGAUGAUCCGGCACCUCAGGCUCCGGACACUUUUGUUGAACCGGUGGAGACAAACCCGACGAGCCAGCCUGCUGAUCCGCCAAGUCCAUCUGUUAAUCCACCAAGCCCAGUAAGAACAUCUGAUAAACCGCCAAGCCCAGCCAAAAACCACUGAUGACGAUGUUGUUGUUACUGGCACGGGUUUCACCUCCCCUGGCCAUCCUGUCGCUUUGUCGAAGAUACUGCCAAAGAAGAAUUUGCUGCUAUGGACAAGGGCAAGUGGAAAUCUGAUUUAUCAAGCUAUGCCCACCUCAACGCCCAAGACCUUCACUCUGGCUUUUUGAACCGCCUGUACACAAGCCGCAACUAUGAAGCCGGUUUAGUGGGCCUGAUGAAGGAACGAUAUGAGGUAAAUAUCAAUCCCUUUUGCAUAAAUAUUUGUUCCUUAUAACUGGUUUAGACUAGUCAACUCCAGUAGCCCCCAAGGGCCAGUUCAUAAUUUUCAUGUGAACCGGUUCUUGUAAUAGAAUUGAUGUUUGAAUUUUGCUGGUGUAGCCCACAUGGACCGGUUUAUAACUUUAGGAUGAACCGGUACAACUUCUGUCAUAUUGCUUCCAAAAUUUGUGAUCAUGGUAAUCCGUCUGAAUAAGAAAAAUCCGUAAUCUGAACUUGAGCAAAUAUGCAUUAGCCCCCAAGUGCCAAGUAGAUAACUUGUUAUGUGCUUGGGACUUAAAUUGUCAGUUGAUAAAAAGUGAUCUGCAUUAGCCCCCAAGUGCCAAGUGUAUAACUUGUUAUAUGCUUGGGACUUUACAGAUGUAUUACCAAAUUAUUAACUGUCUCUUUCAGGCUGAGCUGACCAAAAAGGACUCUCGAAUCGCCGAUCUUCAAGAAAAUAUCAAGUCCCAGCAAAUAGAGACUUGCAAAGCUAAAGAGGAGCUGACUGCCGCUUUAAAAGUCAUGGAACAACUAAAGGAUGGCUUCAAAAGCGAACGGGCAGAUUGGGAAGCUGACAAAACAACUUUGCUAAAGCGGGCGGAGGACGCUGAAGCCGCCCUUAAUCCUGUAACAGAAGAACUGACCAGCUUGAAGCGGCAGAUCAACGCCAUGACCUUUGCUAUCUUUGGUAAAAACCUCUGCAUAAGUUUUUAAUAAAUGCCAGUCAUGAAAACUUCCAGUUUAAUAAUAUUUUGAUCUUUGCAUGUAGCCGUGUUACUCAUCUUGGCGCAGAUAUGCACAAAAAAUUGAAGGCUGCCUAUACAUUUAUAGAGCAGCUAUACACCGGCGCUCAACGAGCCAUCUGCACAGCUUCACAUAAUAAACUUCCCCCAACUUUAAUCAAGGAAACGCUGGAGAAGUUAUCCAUGAUGCCUGCCCGUAUUGAGGAAUUGAAGAGAUCAGCUGCUAGGGCCGGUGCUCUGACUGCAUUGACUCGGGCCAUGGCCUGGAUAUCUGACCUUGAUUCGGAAGACAUUGGGAAUGGUUAUCGAAGCCAGAAGGAGGACGGGUCAGAAUUUGAUAAUGACAACCUCAGGGCUAUCACAAGAGAAAUGCGUCCACUGGCAAGCAAGUUGGCUGAAGACACUGACUUGUCGUUUUACCAGAACACUUAUGAUGCCAACCACAAACGGAUUACCGCACCAACUUAUGAUGUAGAAAAUCUGAUUCCGCCAAUCCGUAAGCAUACUUAUGCCCCUGAUGUUGAACCGUCCAACAUUAUAAACGAUGAAGCUGUCUUUCAAGCCUUAACUGGGAUUAACUGGACAACUAUUGACUUCCAGCUGAAGGAAAUAUGCCCUAGAGGCAAUAAUAAAGUUAUUAUUUAUUUCCUUAUUUCAUGAUAAAUGUUUAUUAUUCAUGCUAGAAUUGUAUUAACCGGAAACAUAAAUACAUGUGUGAAUACAUAGACAAACAAAGUGUCACUAGUAUGCCUCUACUUGACUAGCUCGUUAAUCAAAGAUGGUUAAUUUUCCUACCAUUGACAUGAGUUGUCAUUUGAUUAACGGGAUCAGAUCAUUAGGAGAAUGAUGUGAUUGAAUUGACCCAUUCCGUUAGCUUAGCACUCGAUCGUUUAGUAUGUUGCUAUUGCUUUCUUCAUGACUUAUACAUGUUCCUAUGACUAUGAGAUUAUGCAACUCCCGUUUACCGGAGGAACACUUUGUGUGCUACCAAACGUCACAACGUAACUGGGUGAUUAUAAAGGUGCUCUACAGGUGUCUCCAAAGGUACUUGUUGGGUUGGCGUAUUUCGAGAUUAGGAUUUGUCACUCCGAUUGUCGGAGAGGUAUCUCUGGGCCCACUCAGUAAUGCACAUCACUAUAAGCCUUGCAAGCAUUGCAACUAAUGAGUUAGUUGCGGGAUGAUGUAUUGCGGAACGAGUAAAGAGACUUGCCGGUAAUGAGAUUGAACUAGGUAUUGAGAUACCUACGAUCGAAUCUCGGGUAAGUAACAUACCGAUGACAAAGGGAACAAUGUAUGUUGUUAUGCGGUCUGACCGAUAAAGAUCUUCGUAGAAUAUGUAGGAGCCAAUAUGGGCAUCCAUGUCCCGUUAUUGGUUAUUGACAAGAGAGGUGUCUCGGUCAUGUCUACAUAGUUCUCGAACCCGUAGGGUCCGCACGCUUAACGUUCGUUGACGAUAUAGUACUAUGAGUUAUGUAUGUUGGUGACCGAAUGUUGUUCGGAGUUUUGGAUGAGAUCACGGAUAUGACAAGGAACUCCGGAAUGGUCCGGAAGUAAAGAUUGAUAUGUGGAUAGUAGUGUUUGAUCUCUGGAAAGGUUCCGGAAUCCAUCGGAAGGGUUCCGGAUGUUUCCCGAAAUGUUUGGGCACGAGAACACUUUAUCUGGGCCAAAGGGGAAAGCCCACGAGGUUUUUGGAAAGCGCAAAAGGAAGUUUUGCGGAGUCCAGGGGCCAGACGCCAGGGUCCCUGGCGUCUGGGUCCAGACGCCGGGAACCCUGGCGUCUGGCCCUGGAGUCCGAGAAGGACUCUUGCCUUUCGGGUGAAACCGACUUUGUGGAGGCUUUUACUCCAAGUUUCGACCCGAAGGAUCAACAUAUAAAUAGAGGGGUAGGGCUAGCACCCAAGACACAUCAAGAAACACCAAGCCGUGUGUCGGCAACCCCGUCUCCUCUAGUUUAUCCUCCGUCAUAGUUUUCGUAUUGCUUAGGCGAAGCCCUGCGAAGAUUGUUCUUCACCAACACCGUCACCAUGCCGUCGUGCUGCCGGAACUCAUCUACUACUUCGCCCCUCUUGCUGGAUCGAGAAGGCGAGGACGUCACUGAGCCGAAUGUGUGCAGAACGCGGAGGUGCUGUCGGAGUAAAUGACCACGGGUAGCCUAACCGACUCCCCGUGGUUCUUCAAGAAUUAUCGGGCCGAUCGAGCCUUCAAGCACCCCAAGCACAGGGCUGCCUCCCCCUGGCCGGCUGUCUCACAGGCCGACUACUGGAAGGCGACCCGGCCCUAAAAACCCUCCCGAAGAGAGCCACAGUAAGGCCGACUCCAAGAAGCCGGCCACAAGAAGACCGGCUCCAUGAUGCCGGUCACAAGAAGACCGGCUCCACGAUGCCGGCCACAAGAAGACCGACUCUCGGCAAGCGGCCAAGAGUGCCCCCUCAAGGACUACACCCACAUAACGGUGACAAGACGGGGCGUGGCUACAGUAAAGCCUGCCACCCCCGAAUCCCGGAGCACGCAUGGCCACAGUAUACCAUACGGGCCGGCCAUCCCCCGUCCGGCACGGCACUGUUGCCAUGUUGACCAUGACGCCACCCACGACAGGCUGUCAGUACGGCCCAUGGGCGGCGGGCCCCUUCGGCCAGAGAGAUGCUCGAAGACAGCCAUGCCUCCCCUAGUCGGCCUGGGGUGCAGCCGGCUCCCAAUAGCCGGCUACCUUACUCCCUCGAAGUAUGUGCAUCAUAAAGGAGACAAGACGAGGUAAGGCUACAGUGAGAGUCCGCCAGGCGGCGGCACUGUAGCCAUGCUUACCUCAGCGAAGCCCUCGUCAUCAGGGGCGAGGCUACAUUAACCAGCCGCCGGCGGGACCCACCAGUCGGCGGGCCCCGGCGGCCGGAGGAGAAGUCGGCGAAUACGGACACUGACGGCUAGGACCCGCGUCCAGCCGGAUUACCAUUGUACCCCUGGGGGGUAGGCCUAUAUAAACCCCCCGGGGCACCCAUGCAAAGGGUUGAUCUCUUAGAGUUUCGGACACCACAUAGAGAGAAGAGAAGAGCUAGCCUUGCCCUUCUUCUUCCUCUGGCCAAACAGCUCAAGGAGCCACUUGUAGCCACUUGUGUUGAUCUAGUGAUCAUGCGGAGACCCCGCAAAGCAGGACUAGGGGUGUUAUCUCCACGGAGAGCCCCGAACCUAGGUAAUAUUCGUCGGCGUGCAUGUCUUCGCCUUAUCCCAUUUCCAGGCACCGGCGACGUCUUACUGGCUCCCACAAUGAUAAGCCACCCGUUGGCAUAUGUCGCACCUACCACCCGACAUUUGGCGCCCACCGUGGGGCCAGGUGCACCGUCGUCCGGAGACCUGUUCUGGACGGCAACCCUUUUCCUUCCCAGCAAGCGUAGCCAGCCCGGCACGCCCGAUGGCGCUUGCCCCGACGCGCUGCGAGACGUCGAUGACGCCUGCGCGGCGAGCUGCCUCGCCGAUCUUCUUGGCGAGGCUCGCAUCUCCAACGAGUCUGCGUCUGACGCGGGCACAGACUGCCCCGAGAGCCACCUCGUCAGCCUCCACGACCAGCUUCACGUCUCUAGCGAGCCUGCUGCGGAUUUGGAGUCGGUUGGCUCCAUCGACCCGAUGAUCGUCGACUCCGACACGGCAUCGCUGGACGCCCUCCCCACCAACGUGGUGAUCAUCGACGACCCUCUUCCUUGAGCCGACAGUGGCGGCAGCACCGUCACUGAGGUGCUAGUCAUCAGCCACGACGCCGCCUCUGGCGAGAACGCCCACGACGCCCUACAAGCGGCGCUACACGAUCUGUCCGCCCCCAUCCCGACCGACGCCGAUGCCGAGACACUGGAGGCACGCCGCCUCUCCCUCAUCGUGGAGGGCCAGAAGAUAGCAUCCAUGAGACGCCUCACUGAGGCUCACCAGCGCGAAGUCGACCGCGCCGCCUUUGGUACGCCGCCUCCUGGCGGGCCGAGCUGAGCCAGCAUCGUCAAGAAGCACGGCGCAGCCAUCGCCAGCAUGCUGGGAGCAGACCGCCCAGUCUACGCCACGCCACUCGAGAACCUGCGUGCCGCUCAGGCGGCCGUAGAUGAGCUGAACGGGCUGGGGGCCGACGAGCUCCCCUACAUGACUAGACGCAUCCAGCAGCUGAUCGACGUGGCCGCAGAGCGGCAUGAAGCAAGCGGCCGCGCUGAAAGUCCUCCCCCAUGCCGAGAGCACGGCGCGACAUCCCGGACACCGACAGCAGACGGCGCCCGCGCGAGAAAAGACAAGGAGCCGGGUGCUAGCCACAGUCGGACUCGGCUCACCAUCAAGCGCGACGCAGAAGGCCGCCCCCGAGCUGUGGAACGACAAGGCGAUCCACCUCCUCCCCCGCCUCGUGGAGAGAUAUCCCACCCUGCCGCCUGUCACGCAUCCGACUCUCGGCGGCCGACUAGGCCACCGCGAAGGAGUCGGCGAGAAUGACGCCCGCCACCGGAUCGACCGCCUAGCGCGAUCCCUGGCGCUAGAAGAAGAAGAUGAUGUCGGCCCGCCUUGCUUUGGCCCCCGCAUCCGCGAUGAACCCUUCCCCAAAGGGUUCUCACUCCCAAGAGACACGCCGAAAUACAACGGCUCUGUGAAGCCGGAAGACUGGUUGAUUGAUUACUCCACCGCAGUCCGCAUAGCGAACGGCAACAGGCGCAUUGCCGUGAAGUACGUCCCUCUCAUGCUUCAAGGCACGGCACACACUUGGUUGAACAGCCUCAACAGCUGGCUAGACUUCACGGAAGUCUUCAUCCACAAUUUCACCAGCAUGUACAAGCGGCCUCCCAAGCCCCGCCAGCUCUCCUUGUGCGUCAAAGGGCCCAGCGAAUCAACUCGCGACUACCUCACGCGUUGGGCCGAGCUCCGCAAUUCCUGCGAUGGGGUGCACGAGGUUCAAGCCAUAGAGUACUUCACCGCCGGGUGCUGAGAGGGCACACUCCUCAAGCACCGGCUCCUCUGCGACGAGCCGACUACCCUCGACGAGCUGCUGAUCAUAGCAGACAAGUACGCCACGGCCGACUCUUCAAUGAAGACCGAGCUUCGAGUGGAUGCCUCUGGAAAGGUGCUCGCUCCGGUUCCCAAGACGCUGGCUGGUGACUCCAAUCGACGCCCUUACCAGAACGACAACAAACGCAAGGCCCCUACGCCGCCUUCCACCAGUCGGCAAGUAGCCACAGUCGAAGACGAACAACCUGAAGGGCGGCCCAUGCCCAAGAAGCAGAAGGGCGGCAGGCCGGCUUGGCAGCCGGCAUUCUCCUACGCGCAAACCCUUGAUGCCCCCUGCAAGUUCCACAACGGCGCGAAGCCGUCCAACCCCACAACUCGGAAGUGUCAUUGGCUCACGCGGAUCUCCAAAGGCGAAGGGCUGGUGCCGCCUCCACCUGCUGGCCAGCCACCUCCAGCCCCUCAGCAGCCGGCUGCUCGACCAGCAGUCGGAGCCAUUCAAGAUGAGUUCCCAGACGAGCACGCCGCCUACGUCAUCUUUACAAGCCAAACUGAAGAAAGGCGCAGUCGGCGCCGACAACACCAAGAAGUCAACGCGGCCGCCUCUAACAACCCAGAGUUUAUGCAUUGGUCUGAGAAGCCUAUCAGCUGGAGCUGGGCCGAUCACCCAGAGGUGAUGCCGUCUCCCGACUCUUAUGCAUUGGUGUUAGACGCCACCCUCGCGACAGAAAGACGAGCUACCCGUUUCUCCUGUGUACUGAUUGACGGUGGGAGCAGCAUCAACAUACUGUACCACGACACCAUGGAGAAGCUGAACAUCAAGACGAAGCAUCUCAUGCCAAGCCGAACUGUGUUCCAUGGCAUCGUACCCGGCCUGUCCUGUUCACCAAUAGGCAAGAUCAAGAUGGACGUUCUCUUCGGAGACAAGGAUCACUUCCGCCGAGAAGCAGUCUAGUUUGAAGUGGUGGAUCUAGAGAGCCCUUACCACGCGUUGCUUGGUCGACCUGCCCUGGCCAAGUUCAUGGCCGUGCCCCACUACGCCUACCUCAAGAUGAAGAUGCCGAGUUCAAAGGGGAUCAUCACCAUAGCCGGAGACUACCAGAAAUCCUCUGAGUGUGCUGCAGCCAGCAGCCGGCUGGCCGAGUCCCUCGUGAUUGCUGAAGAAAAAAAGAUGCUGGACCGAGUCGUGGCCAUGGCUGGCAAGCAGUCGGCCCUGUCCCCUGACCCCAAGGAAUAUGAUGCUCAAGGCUCCUUCCAGCCGGCCAAGGAAACAAAGAAGAUACCUCUGGACCCAGAGAACCCGGAGAGGUUUGCCGUCAUUGGGGCAAACUUGGACAGCAAAUAGGAAGGCGAGCUCGUCGAUUUCCUCCGUGAGAAUUGGGACAUCUUUGCAUGGUCCCCAAAGGACAUGCCGGGUGUUCCGAAGGAUUUCGCCGAGCACAAGCUACAUGUCCGAGCAAACGCAAAACUAGUCAAGCAACCUCUCCGCCGACUGUCAGAGGAAAAGAGAAGGAUCGUAGGAGAAGAGAUAGCCCGGCUUCUGGCAGCCGGCUUCAUUAUGGAGGUGUUUUUUCCAGAGUGGCUUGCCAACCCGGUCCUUGUAUUGAAGAAAAACAAUAAAUGGCGCAUGUGUAUAGAUUAUACCAGCCUCAACAAAGCCUGCCCCAAAGAUCCGUUUGCCUUACCUCGAAUCGAUCAAGUGAUAGACUCCACAGCCGGAUGCGAGCUGUUGAGUUUCUUGGAUGCUUACUCAGGCUACCAUCAGAUCAAGUUGGAUCCAGCCGACCGCCUGAAGACCACCUUCAUCACACCAUUUGGAGCUUUCUGCUACCUGACUAUGACAUUCGGCUUAAGAAACGCAGGUGCCACUUUUCAACGUUGCAUGCAGAAAUGCCUCCUGAAGCAACUCGGCAGAAAUGCCCACGUCUAUGUAGACGAUAUUGUGGUGAAGACGGAGAAGCACGACACCCUGCUGGAAGACCUCAGAGAGACAUUUGACAACUUGCGCCAGUUUCAGAUCAAGCUCAACCCUGAGAAAUGCGUGUUCGGAGUACCAGCCGGCCAGCUUCUAGGCUUCUUGGUCUCCGAACGCGGCAUCGAGUGCAACCCAGUGAAGAUCAAGCCUAUAAAGAGAAUGGAGAUUCCUACCAAGCUGCGAGACGUCCAAAGUUCACCGGGUGCCUGGCCUCCCUGAACCGCUUCAUCAGCCGGCUAGGAGAGAAGGCUCUCCCCCUGUAUCGACUCAUGAAAAAGUCCACCCACUUCGAGUGGAACGACCAAGCAGACCAAGCUUUUCACGAGUUGAAGAAGAUGCUGACCACGCCACCUGUCUUGGCGGCACCGACUGAGAAAGAGCCCAUGCUCUUUUACAUUGCCGCGACCAGCCGAGUGGUCAGCACAGUUAUUGGGGUCCAACGCCCAGAAGAAGGCCGGGUUCAGUUAGUCCAGAGGCCGGUGUAUUAUUUGAGCGAAGUACUGUCCACCUCGAAGCAAAAUUACCCGCACUACCCGGCCCGGGGACUGCAGCAGUCGACCCGGGGACUGCAACGACACAACAGGCGGUGGCCGACUUCAACUCUUCACCACCCAACCCACCCACCCUGGUCACAGUAGCCGCAUUGGCAAUAGAAGAAGUCACAGCUCCAUCAUGGACCCAACCCAUCCUCAACUUCCUGGUAAACAGAGAGCUGCCGACUGACGAGAUCUCGGCAAGACAAGUUCAAUGCCGAGCCAGAGCAUACACAAUAAUAAACAGAGAACUCGUUAGGCGCAGCGUCACUGGAGUCUUCCAGCGCUGCGUCGAGCCAGAGAAGGGCAUAGCAAUCCUCAAGGACGUCCACCAAGGCGAAUGCGGCCACCGCGCGGCCUCAAGAUCCCUUGUUGCCAAAGCUUUCCGCCAUGGGUUCUUCUGGCCGUCUGCUUUGGAAGACACCAAGGAAUUAGUCAAAUGCUGCAAAGGGUGCCAAGUCUUCAGCUCCAAGCAACACCUGCCAGCUUCUGCACUCAAGACCAUCCCCCUCACCUGGCCCUUUGCCGUCUGGGGAUUGGACAUGGUGGGCCCAUUCAAAACGGCGCGCGGCGGCAUGACACAUCUGCUUGUCGCCGUGGACAAAUUCACCAUGUGGAUUUAAGCGAAGCCAAUCAAGAAGCUGAACGGGCCGACAUCCAUGACAUUCAUCGCAGAUAUCACCACCCGGUAUGGCGUACCACACAGCAUCAUCACUGAAAAUGGCAUGAAUUUUUCCAAAGGAGCACUGGCGCAUUUCUGUACGACACUGGGCAUCUGACUGGACUUAGCGUCCGUUGCCCACCCGCAGUCAAACGGCCAAGUCGAGCGAGCAAACGGCCUCAUCCUCUCCGGCAUCAAGCCCCGACUGGUCAUACCACUGGAGCGUUCGGUCGGCUGUUGGCUCGACGAGCUGCCGGCCGUCCUCUGGAGUCUACGUACUACCCCGAACAAGUCAACCGGCUUCACCCCUUUCUUCCUUGUAUAUGGUGCCGAGGCUGUCAUCCCAACUGACAUUGAGUUCGACUCACCUCGGGUCACCAUGUACACGGAGGCGGAGGCCAAAGAAGCGCGCGAAGACGGUGUUGACCUGCUGGAAGAAGGCCGGCUGUUAUCACUCAGCCGGUCUGCCAUCUACCAGCAGGGGUUGCGCCGUUACCACAACCGGAAGGUCAAGCCAAGAUCCUUCCAAGAAGGCGAUCUUGUGCUCCGGCUGAUCCAGCGAACAGCUGGCCAGCACAAGCUCUCAGCCCCUUGGGAAGGCCCCUUCGUCAUCAGCAAGGCCCUAGGCAACGACCCCUACUACCUGAUCUACGCACAGAAGCCGAAGGCACGCAAGAGAGAUGAUUCCGGCAAGGAGUUGGAACGACCAUGGAACGCCAAUCUCCUCCGAAGAUUUUACAGUUAAAAGCAGUAUGUACCACGCUACCUUUUGUAUUAAGUACAAGAAAACGGGCCCCCCGAGGAGCACUCGGGGACUACCAUCUUUUAUCUAUGUAUGACGAGUGUCAUACCUAUGAAUGCAUUACUACAUUUGUUUUCUGUCCGGCACCGGGUUUGAUCAGUCGGCCUGGGGACUUGCCGCCUUGAGUUAUAUUAAAGUUCUACCUGCAGUCAGACAAGUAGUGUGUCGGCACCCAAGCCCUCUCUUGUUGAAAGUCGCAGCUCAAAGAAUCGACUGUCCGACUGGCAAGAGUCAAAGGCAGGAAAGGAUGCCCACACAAAAAAGGCUAAGGACUAACGAACUUAUAUAACACAAGCCGGCCUCCCACCCCACCAUCCGGCUGUCAGAACAGCCGGCUGGCCGGCUUCCCGUUCACCUUGCUACAAUCUAAGAAAGCUAGAGUACUUGCCCUCCCAAAUGGCCAAGCCCUUCCCCAGCCACAGACUGCAGAGUAGCUGUUCGGCUGGGAAGGCGGCGACCAAGGGAGGGCGGCAAAGGAAACAGCCAAAAGGAUGAAAAGCAAAUACAAUCGGAAGCCAAGCACAUGCAUGCUUAUAUUUAUACAAAAGGCCUUCGAAAGGCCGUCAUUCAACAUAGUUUGAAUACACCCCCAGUGGGUGGAACUGCGCAAACUUAACAAAUACUGUUCAAAGAGUAAUAAACAGGAAAGCAAAGGUGGCGGAUCAGGCUAAAGGUGCAAUAGGCGAGCCAGGCAGGUCAGUGGAGACGGCAGUGCUGGCUGGAGGAGUGGCCUGCUGGCAGGUCUCGGCUUGAUCAUCACCGGCUGCAGGCGGCGCGCUCGCAUAUGAGCACGCUGAUAUAAUACAUAAGGGCGGAUAUGACACAAGGAGUAUGGUGGCAUAACUACUGACUCGUAAUAAAAGUGGUGGUGGAUAUGUCACAGUGAAGUGGGUGACAUGACUCCUAAAUCUUACAACUCAUCGAGCGCCAGAGUGAGGCUCGAUGACUUUUAUUCUGGGUAGCGGAAGCGUAUAUAAUACAAGUGACCAAUUCCAGGUUCGCACGGGACUGACUGGGACUCCUCUAGGCGUCGGACUCGCUAUCAAACUCUUCAUCCAUAAGAUCGCCUUCGUCAACAUCUGGACAAAUCAACAAGCCAGGUGAGUACUUUGAAAGUACUCGCAAGACAGUUUGGACAUAAGAUAUAACAAAUGCAAACAUGAUGCACAUGAGCAGAUUAGUAAUGUGCACUCAGAUAAUAAAAUUUGCACUGCAUGAUAAAUAAAAAGGAAGUCAAGCGUUACUCCUCCCGAAAUCCCAAUGAAAUAACUGAAGACCGAUCGGGUGUCUGAAGCGACGCCUCGAAAGGUAAAAAUAAAUUAACAAUGCCGCAGUCGGGCGUCAGGGCGACACCACAUAACGGGCUCAUAUUGGAAUAUAAACGACAGUGCGUGCCACAGUCGGACGUCUGAGCGACAUCACAUAAAGGGCUUAUAUCAAAAGUAAAUAACAAGAGUGCCACAGUCGGACGUCUGAGCGACAUCACAUAAAGGGCUUAUAUCAAAAGUAAAUAACAAGAGUGCCNNNNNNNNNNNNNNNNNNNNNNNNNNNNNNNNNNNNNNNNNNNNNNNNNNNNNNNNNNNNNNNNNNNNNNNNNNNNNNNNNNNNNNNNNNNNNNNNNNNNNNNNNNNNNNNNNNNNNNNNNNNNNNNNNNNNNNNNNNNNNNNNNNNNNNNNNNNNNNNNNNNNNNNNNNNNNNNNNNNNNNNNNNNNNNNNNNNNNNNNNNNNNNNNNNNNNNNNNNNNNNNNNNNNNNNNNNNNNNNNNNNNNNNNNNNNNNNNNNNNNNNNNNNNNNNNNNNNNGACGCCUCGAAAGGUAAAAAUAAAUUAACAAUGCCGCAGUCGGGCGUCAGGGCGACACCACAUAACGGGCUCAUAUUGGAAUAUAAACGACAGUGCGUGCCACAGUCGGACGUCUGAGCGACAUCACAUAAAGGGCUUAUAUCAAAAGUAAAUAACAAGAGUGCCACAGUCGGACGUCUGAGCGACAUCACUUAAAGGGCUUAUAUCAAAAGUAAAUAACAAGAGUGCCACAGUCGGACGUCUGAGUGACAUCACUUAAAGGGCUUAUAUCAAAAGUAAAUAACAAGAGUGCCGCAGUCGGACGUCUGAGCGACAUCACAUAAAGGGCUUAUAUUUCAUUAUUCGAAUUCAAGUAGCUCAUGAAUUUAAAUCAUCUCAAGGAAAUACUCAUGUACGUAAUAAUAAACUGGUUAGUCCAUCCACAGAAAUAACAUUCAACCUGGUUUACCACUCAUGUUUGUUCACCGGGCAUUUUCACUGAGACUGCCACAGAGACUGACGCUGAGACGGACGUUGAGACCGAUACUGAUACUGAUAUGGAUAUGUUGACCAAGAUCCUUGACCAUGGACACGGUUACUCGGAUGGGUUUUGACUCUGCAGAGUUUGUACUUUUUAACCACAGCCAACGGAUUUCAGUAGUCACAAAGGACUAGUUCCGUUUACGGUAUUUUAGGAGAAACACAUCUAACCAGUACACACCCAUUCCACAUUCCGCUGCCAGGAAUCACCCUAGGCAACAUUCAAGAAAAACCUUAAGACAGGGAGGCUACAACCUCGUGUAGCAUGGGAUCAAAUUUAUAUCGCGCGCUCUAAGGGGUGCCCCCCUCUUGGUCCCAACCGGAAACACCCAUGCCCCCUGACCGGAUGACGGGCUUUAAUCCAGGGCCAUGGAACCCUCAUCACGGUCCCUCUAUUUGGUGUGUACGAGGAAAGAGGUUUGCAACUUACUAAACCGUAUUCUUUGCAGAAAACAUGUGGCAGCACGAAAAGGGGACGGACGGUAACGUGGCUUGAUCCACGUUAACACUGGAGUUUAACGGUUGACAUAAGACUGGCAUGCUUCAACAAUACCAUCUUACCACCUUUCAUGUCACCACAUGAUCAUGUUAUCUCCCAUCAAAUGAUCACAUCAAGUUUCGAAGCAUACUGGUAGUUGCCUUGCAUGCAAUAUAACACUCACUGAUGUUCAUAUAAACAUGCCAUGCACUAACUAUUCAAGCAAACAUGCAAAACACUCAUCAUAUCAAAGGUUCAAACAUGCUUGCCUGGUUCGGAGUAGUCAGAGUCUAGCCCGGCGAAGUUCGCGGUUCCGUCACCUCCUCCGGUAUCUACGGUAUAAAGAAAUCGCAUACUAACGUAAAUACCGAGUGUGCAUAAAAGUUGUACCAAAUAUUUUUCAAAUAAAUAUUAUAAAAAACUAGACAGAAAAACAAAGAUGACAGAAAAAGAAUCAACUCAAAAUCAUCUUUUGUUUAAAAGAUAUAAAGGUUUUAGUCCAGAGACUAAUCUGUGAUGAAACAGAAAAGACCCAGGGGCUAGUUUGAAAAAGCAGAAAACGUUUCGGUUGGAAAUACACCAGCCCAGAAGGAAAACGUACUUUGCCCGAAGGCGCUUUCAGAAAACAUUUCAAAAUACAAGAGAAAAGGCUGACGAGGGGGUCCCACCCGUCAGGUUCAAACUUUGAAACAGAGCUCGCCGGUGCCGAGGCUCGCGGUGGUCGCCGGCGUUGAUCCACGGCGAGGUAGGGGAAUCGGAGGGUACCUACGGAUUCACGGUGUCCUUCCGCGUCUGUGGGUGGUGGAGUUGGUCGUCGACGAGCACCACGUCGACGGCGGCCUCCACUCCGGCGGACGCUGGUUCAGGCGGUGGUGGAUCUCGCCGGGGAGGGCUGCAAUCGUCAAAUUGAGGCUCGGGUUAGAGGAGUGGGUGUACUAGGAGGCGACUGGCAAGGUUUGGGAGGGGGGUGCCCUCACCGGAGAGAAUCGUGUCGGAGCCCGAAGCGGAUCGGGGCGGCCGGAGUCGGGGAAGAAGGCCUCCUCGAGGUCCUCCUAGUGGCUGGGCGCGGCUCUGGUGAGGUGUAGGGGUGGUGCUGGGUCGAAGGCGAGCUCGGGUCGCUAUUUAUAGCCGGCCCGAGGCGGUUGCCGAGAACGGGAUAACUCCGGCGGGCGAUUACGGCGAGGCAGUGGUCGGGCUGGAGGUUUAGGUGAUUGGGCAUCAUCGUGAUGGUCCACUGGUUCCGUUCAAGGGCUAAAUUUGGUAUGACUUGGGUGAUACUCCAAGCUCUCGACGGAACGGCCUCACGGGCACGUCGGCGGCAGGGAGCGCGCUCUGUGCUUCCCAGGCCACGACGAUGGCUCUGCAACAUGCACAGGGGAGGGGACGGCCACGCGGAGGCUUCUGGUGGUUUGGGCGGUGCUGGACGGCGCCAUCCCUCGCUGCGCCUCUCUGGCAGCCGCAGCAAGUGUUGCUGUCACGGCGAUGCACCUCUGCCAGCUCACCGCCGACGCUCACAACCGUCCAGGCGACCGUGCGGCGCGGUGGAUAAGAAGGGGGAACAGGGAGCAAGGCGCCACUGCAGUUACUGGCGAGAUCGACGUGAGGCUCUGAAGAAAACGACACUGACGACUGAAACUGAUCACUGAAACUCUGAAUUCGACAGGAACAGUGCACGCCAGCUGUUCGACGAAAUGUUUUUGGCACGAGGAAAAAUGUUCUGGAGCUGGGACUUGGUGAGGUGACCUCUUGAUGCAUCUAGAGGCUGCCUGAUUUUUCUCAAAUUUUUAGGAAAAGAAAACAAAUGAAUUUCACCAAAAAUGGCAAAUAUGGUCCAAACUUGCAGCAAGCACAUUUUGAAAAUUUUGAAUUGUGGACCAGUGGAUCUUGAUGGAUCUAGGUUGAGGGUACUAAGGACUAGUCAGAGGAGUUUGUUUGGAAUCAAAACUCAAAAGGGAUCUGGUGGUUCCUUUGUAAAUCACCAAGGUUCAAAAUAAAUGACAGAAAUUGUUUUGAGGAUAAAAUAAAUAGGAAUAAAAUCAAAAAUGGGUUGAACUUGCUGGGAUUGGAUAUUUGACUUGACCCCAAAGUGGAGGGAGGGGUUUUGAAAGAAAUUUUUCAACCUAGGUCAUGGCAAGAAAAAUUUUGAAUGAGGAAGAAUCAAUCCAUAAGUCAUAGGGUUAUUUUUAAAAGAAGGAUUUCAAAAACUUUCCCAAGGAAAAUAUUUGUGUUGAGUCAACACAAGAUGUAAAACCCUCAAGACCACAAAUCAAUAUUGAGAAGGGCCCUUUUAAAGAAAAUAUUUGUCAUAAAAAAAUUGAUAAUGAGAGUCCCUCUUUUCGAAAAAUUCAAAUAACCUCCUUUAAAUCAAAUAAAGAAAAAGCCAAAUCAAAAUAUAUUUUUGGAGAGUUACAACACCUACCCCCUUAGGAAAAAUCUCAUCCCCGAGAUUUCAGCCGAUCCUCAAAUAGGUGUGGGUACACUGCCUGAAGAAAAUCCUCUCUUUCCCAUGUUGCUUCAUCCUCGGUGUGAUUGCUCCACUGAACCUUGGAAAAUUUAAUUGUUUUCUGACGGGUCCUCCUUUCAGACUCCUCUAAUAUUUUUAUUGGACGUUCCCUGUAGGUGAGGUCUGGUUGCACGUCAAUGCUCUUAUGAGAUACAUGUUUUUCCAGGUUGCUUACACAUUUCCUUAACUGUGAGACGUGGAACACGUCGUGGACGUCUGACAGCUCUUUGGGUAGGUCUAGCUGGUAGGCUACUGUGCCUCUUCGUGCAACUACAUAGAAGGGUCCAAUAAAUCUUGGGGCUAGCUUUCCUUUAACUUUGAACUGUUGCAGGCCCCUCAUAGGAGAUACUCGUAGAUACACAUAUUCACCGGGUUCAAAGCUGACUUCACGAUGCUUUCGAUCGUAAUAACUCUUUUGUCGGCUUUGAGCUGUCUUGAGUCGGUCCCUGAUUAGUCUAACUUUCUCCUUGGCUUCCUUGAGCAUGUUUGGGCCGAAGAUACGACUGUCUCCUAUUUCUGACCAAUUUAAUGGAGUACGACAUCUCCGCCCGUACAAGGCUUCAAAAGGUGCCAUUUGUAGACUGGCUUGGUAACUGUUGUUGUAUGCGAACUCGACAUAUGGCAAGCUUUCUUCCCAACUGGUUCCAUAGGUGAGAACACAUGCUCUCAGCAUGUCCUCUAGGAUUUGGUUCACGCGUUCAGUUUGUCCAUCAGUCUGGGGGUGGUAUGUUGUACUGAAUGCUAGUUGAGUUCCCAGAGCUUGUUGUAAAUGAUCCCAAAAUCUAGAGACGAAUUGAGUGCCUCUGUUAGAUAUUAUAGUCUUUGGAACUCCAUGCAGGCAAACUAUAUGGGAGAGGUAAAGCUUGGCAAGUUUCUGAGUGGUGUAGGUUGUCUUUACGGGAAUGAAAUGUGCUACCUUGGUUAAUCUAUCUGUGAUGACCCAUAUGGCAUCAUUUCCGUGUUGUGACCGAGGUAGUCCGACAAUAAAAUCCAUUCCAAUUUCGUCCCAUUUCCACUCAGGUAUCCUGUUUGGAUGUAGUAGCCCUGCUGGUUUUUGGUGCUCGGCUUUAAUGCGUUGACAUGAAUCACAACAUGCAAUGAAUGUGGCUAUAUCCCUCUUCAUACCGUGCCACCAAAAAAAUUCCUGGAUGUCCUUGUACAUUUUGGUUCCUCCAGGGUGGAUUGAAUAUGGAGCAGUGUGGCCUUCGGUUAGAAUUUGCUGUUUGAGGUCCUCAAUGUUUGGUAUGCAAAGUCUGUCCCCGUACCAUAAUACUCCCUCAUCGUCUACGACGAAUUCUGAAGCCUUGCCAAGACUCACUUUUCUCUUUAUACCUUCGAUGCUGGGAUGUCCAUGCUGAGCCUUCUUAAUCUGUCCCAUUAGGGUGGGUUGUAUUUCCAAAUUUGACACGUUGCCCUCAGUGACCAUUACCAAGUUGAGUUUGGCGAACUCCUGCUGAAAUUCAGGCCUCAAGUUCUGUAGACUGUCGUUGCCCGAGCUGGGGUUUCGACUAAGAGCGUCUGCCACUACAUUCGCUUUUCCUGGAUGGUAGUGAAUGCCAACAUCAUAAUCAUUGACUAAUUCCAACCAGCGUCGUUGCCGUAAAUUGAGUUCUGGUUGUGUGAAAAUAUAUUUGAGGCUUUUAUGAUCCGUAUAUAUUUCACAACGAUUCCCAAGCAAAAAGUGCCUCCACUCUUUGAGUGCAUGGAUGACUGCUGCCAACUCCAAGUCAUGAGUAGGAUAAUUUUCUUCAUGCUUUCGUAGUUGCCUGGAAGCAUAUGCGACAACUUUGCCGUCUUGCAUCAAUACGCACCCGAGGCCCUACCGGGACGCGUCACAAUACACUUCAAAACUUUUGUGUAUGUCUGGCACAACCAAUACCGGUGCUGUUGUUAAUUUCCUUUUGAGUUCUUGGAAACUUUUCUCGCAUGCUUCAAUCCAUACAAAUUUCUUAUCCUUCUUGAGUAACUGGGUCAUUGGUUUUGCUAUGGUGGAGAAUCCCUCAAUAAACCUUCGGUAAUAUCCAGCCAUUCCUAGGAAACUUCGUACAUCUGUCACGUUGGCUGGUGGUUUCCAGCCAAGUACGGCCUUGACUUUUUCUAGGUCUACGGCAACACCUUCUUGGGUCAAUACAUGGCCUAGAAAACCAACCUGUCUUAACCAAAAUUCACAUUUGCUGAAUUUGGCGUAUAAUUGAUGUUUCCUUAAUUCUCCCAGUACAAUUCUGAGAUGUUCAGCAUGUUCUUCCGGUGUUUUAGAGUAUACCAGAAUAUCGUCAAUGAACACCACAACAAAUUUGUCCAUAAAUUUCAUAAACACUUUGUUCAUGAGGUGGACAAAAUAUGCGGGGGCGUUUGUCAGUCCAAACGGCAUUACUGUGAACUCAUAUAAUCCGUAUCUGGAGGUGAAUGUUGUCUUAGGGAUAUCUUCUGUCCGUACCUUUAAUUGAUGAUACCCCGAUCUUAAAUCAAUUUUCGAGAAAACCUUGGCUUGUGCGAGCUGGUCAAAUAAAUCAUUUAUCCGUGGCAUCGGAUAUUUGUUUUUGAUGGUUACCAUGUUGAGUGCUCGAUAGUCUAUACAUAAUCUCAGUGGCCCAUCCUUUUUCUUUGCAAAUAAUACUGGUGAACCCCAAGGUGAGGAGCUGGCUUGUAUAAAUCCUUUGUCCAGUAAUUCUUUUAUUUGCUUCUUUAAUUCUACCAACUCGGAGGGUGCCAUUCUAUAGGGUUUCUUGUAAAUGGGGGUGGUUCCAGAUGCUAGUUCAAUGCUGAACUCUAUUUCCCGGUCUGGUGGCAUGCCCGGUAGUUCUUCAGGAAAUACGUCAGGGAACUCACACACCACUGGAACUUUUCUUAACUCUAAAAUGUCCACCUUGUUCAACUUUGGUUGUCGUGACACUGGUCUUUCUUGAGCUGCAACUUUUAUUGUCUGGCCGUGAUGAUGAGUGAUAAUUAUGGUCUGAUUGAAGCAGUCGAUAAAUCCCUUGUUGGUGGUUAACCAGUCCAUUCCUAGGAUAACAUCCAGUCCUUUAUUUUCCAAAACGAUGAGAUUUGCCUGAAACUUUAAUCCCUUAACCUCAAUAACCACACCUUGGCAGUAACUCUGAGUGAUUUGCUUAUUCCUAGGGGACUUGAUGAUCAUGGAUUUUUCCAAGGGAAGCAUCGAAAAAUCAUGUCGCAAAACAAAACUCUUUGAAAUGAACGAGUGAGAAGCUCCAGAAUCAAACAAAACCGUGGCAGGUAUUGUGUUGACAGGGAACGUACCGAGUACGAUAUCCGGGGCAUUCUGUGCUUCCUCCUUGGUCACAUGGUUCAAGUGACCCUUCUUGUGAUUGUUAUUGGGGUUGAAGUUGAUACGCUUGGGAGCUGGAUUAUUUCCACCGUUGUUCGGCUUGGGGGCCGAGUUCCUUGGUUUUGGGCACUGUUUGGCAUAGUGUCCUUCCUCCCCACAAGCAUAGCAAGUAACACCUGGGCGAUACGUAAAGUCCUUGUCUCUUGCAUGAAAAUGUUUGGUUGGGCUUGGAACAUUGGUCGUGGAUUCGUUCGCUCCAUUUUUCUGAAAAUCAGUCUUGUUCCGGUUGUUGCGAGCAUGAGUAGUCCUGUCCCUUUUGCGCUUGCGAAUAUCCUCCAAGCUGCAGCGCUCAUUUUCCAAUGUAAUAGCCUUUUCCACAUGUGUUUUGAAAUCUGGAAAGGUGUGUACGACCAGCUGGCAUUUAAGUGCUGGUGCCAGACCGUCCAAAAAUUUCUCCAUCUUUUUGUUUUCAGUCAUAUGCUCUUCGUUGGCAUAACGAGAUAAUUGAGUAAACUGACUAUUGUACUCAGUCACUGUCAUGCUUCUCUGCUUGAGGUCAUCAAACUCCCUUCUCUUGAUCUUCAUAAUGCUUCUGGGAAUGUGCGCCCCAUGAAAACCUUCCUUAAAUUCUUCCCAGGUGAUGUUGUUUUCAUUGGGGUGCAUGUGUAGAAAAUUUUCCCACCAUGAUGCAGCUGCUCCAGUGAGGUAGUGAGGUGCAUAAAGUACCUUCUCACGGUCCGAACAUUGUGAAAUAAUUAAUUUCCUUUCAAUGUCUCGAAGCCAAUCAUCGGCCUCAAGCGGUCUAUCAGUGUGAGCGAACGUUGGGGGACGUGUAUUUUGUAGUUCAGACAAUUUGGAAUGCUGCUGGUAUGAUUCACGGUGAUUUCCCAUAUUGAUAACAUGGUUCAUCAUUUCUUGAUGCUGCUGCUGGCUUUGCUCAUAAAGGCGGCAUACUUGAGAAAAUGCUGCUUCACUGCCUUGCUGACUUGACUGCCCCUGUGUGAAGUUGUUCGUUGUCUGGGUACCAUAAUUUUCUUCCGGCGGACUUGGCAUGGAACGAGUCCAGGGACGAGGCAUUUUCCACUCUGGGGUAUUUUUGCAAAGCUCAUGAAAAAACCGAGUGGCAAAAAGAAUAAUUUUGCAAAGGCGGAAUUUUUAAAGACUCCAAGAUUUUUCAAGAAAAUACUUGAUUGCGCAUGGAGAAGGACUGCUCAGUACAUAUCUUACACGUGAGUCGUAAUUAUACAAUGCAUCACUCAGGAUGUGCGUACACAUUCCUGACAUGUUAUUUAGGCUAGUGCACUUCUCCGAGUUCCUACAUGAUGCGCACACAAACUACUUCUCACCAAACCUAUAUACAUAUAAACAUAUCAUACAAGCUGGCACAUCGCACGGCUGCUAGGCGCACUCAGUCGGAGAUGGUGAAAACUUCCCUCAGCCUGCCGAGGGUAAGACCCAGUGGUGCAGGAGACUCAACCUCCUCCUCACUAAUAGGCUCCAGGCGCGAAGUACUGCGUUGAGGAGUUGGUGCGGGUGCGGCAGGUGGUGCAGCUCUGAUUGGAGUAGGAGCAAUGACUUGUUCAAACUCCUCAGUGGUAGGCAGGCGGCGAGUGGUGGCUAAGAUGGCAGGUGCAUAGGAUGCUAAGGACGAGACGUAAGUCAGUGGUGGUGCUGUGUGGAGAAGCUCCCUCCUGUUGGCGGAACAGCCCUGAACUGAGUCCAUACGGGCAGCCACAAGGUCGUCCAUGAGGUUAUCAAAAGCUGCCUCAAGAGCUUUGAGGUACUCAACAAGCAUCUCAAUAGCCUCAUCUCUCUCUCCCCUAGGGCAAGCAAAUGCAUAGUGACAAGUAUAUGGCACAUGGCAUGGGAGGUAGCGGUAGCGACGAGUCUUCAUCGUAGGAAGAGCAUCCCGGAGACGAGCUAUCGCCUCACGGGCAGCCAUCUGCAUGGCAUGCCUCUCCGUAGGCAUGGCCCUUCCCACAAAACGGAAGUGGCGAGACGUAGAACGUCCUCCCUUGAAUUGCACCGUGGCCUGGUGCAUAGACACGUUGUCGCUGAUCUUGUGCUGGUAGAGUGUGAACUCUGGACGAGUCGAUGGCCCGAUCGCGAGCUUGGUGAUGGAGACGAGAAGCUUGAUAAACCCCUCAGGUACAUUGGCGAACACCUGAGAUUCGCAGUCGCUGCCAGCCAUCUACAAAGGUAGACAAAAAUUCCGAAUAGUCAAAUCAAAAAUUUAUGAUGACCAACAGAAAAUUGCUACAUUUGCAAAAUGCUGAAAAAGCACUGAAGACGCUAAUACCGAUUAGCGAUCGCACCUAGUGGCUUCCUACAGUCAGCCUGGCUCUGAUACCAAGGUUGUCAGGACCGGUUUUCCAAUAAAACAUUUAUUGAGAAACCGACCCUUUUAUCGGACCUGUAUAGAAGAAUCCUUCUUACUGGUAGACAAAUCCUUGAUACAGAAAUCCAGAAGUACUAAAUAUUAUACAGGGUUGAGCUGAGGCUGCUCAACCAUUUAUUACAAGCACGCCGAUAUAAUACAUAAGGGCGGAUAUGACACAAGGAGUAUGGUGGCAUAACUACUGACUCGUAAUAAAAGUGGUGGUGGAUAUGUCACAGUGAAGUGGGUGACAUGACUCCUAAAUCUUACAACUCAUCGAGCGCCGGAGUGAGGCUCGAUGACUUUUAUUCUGGGUAGCGGAAGCGUAUAUAAUACAAGUGACCAAUUCCAGGUUCGCACGGGACUGACUGGGACUCCUCUAGGCGUCGGGCUCGCUAUCGAACUCUUCAUCCAUAAGAUCGCCUUCGUCAACAUCUGGCCAAAUCAACAAGCCAGGUGAGUACUUUGAAAGUACUCGCAAGACAGUUUGGACAUAAGAUAUAACAAAUGCCAACAUGAUGCACAUGAGCAGAUUAGUAAUGCGCACUCAGAUAAUAAAAUUUGCACUGCAUGAUAAAUAAAAAGGAAGUCAGGCGGUAGUCCUCCCGAAAUCCCAAUGAAAUAACUGAAGACCGAUCGGGUGUCUGAAGCGACGCCUCGAAAGGUAAAAAUAAAUUAACAAUGCCGCAGUCGGGCGUCAGGGCGACACCACAUAAAGGGCUCAUAUUGGAAUAUAAACGACAGUGCGUGCCACAGUCGGACAUCUGAGCGACAUCACAUAAAGGGCUUAUAUCAAAAGUAAAUAAAAAGGGUGCCAUAGUCGGACGUCUGAGCGACAUCACAUAAAGGGCUUAUAUCAAAAGUAAAUAACAAGAGUGCCACAGUCCGACGUCUGAGCGACAUCACAUAAAGGGCUUAUAUCAAAAGUAAAUAACAAGAGUGCCACAGUCGGACGUCUGAGCGACAUCACAUAAAGGGCUUAUAUCAAAAGUAAAUAACAAGAGUGCCACAGUCGGACGUCUGAGCGACAUCACAUGAAGGGCUUAUAUCAAAAGUACAUAAGAAGAGUGCCACAGUCGAACGUCUGAGCGACAUCACUUAAAGGGCUUAUAUCAAAAGUAAAUAACAAGAGUGCCGCAGUCGGACGUCUGAGCGACAUCACAUAAAGGGCUUAUAUUUCAUUAUUCGAAUUCAAGUAGCUCAUGAAUUUAAAUCAUCUCAAGGAAAUACUCAUGUACGUAAUAAUAAACUGGUUAGUCCAUCCACAGAAAUAACAUUCAACCUGGUUUACCACUCAUGUUUGUUCACCGGGCAUUUUCACUGAGACUGACACAGAGACUGACGCUGAGACGGACGUUGAGACCGAUACUGAUACUGAUAUGGAUAUGUUGACCAAGAUCCUUGACCAUGGACACGGUUACUCGGAUGGUUUUUGACUCUAUAGAGUUUGUACUUUUUAACCACAGCCAACGGAUUUCAGUAGUCACAAAGGACUAGUUCCGUUUACGGUAUUUUAGGAGAAACACAUCUAACCAGUACACACCCAUUCCACAUUCCGCUGCCAGGAAUCACCCUAGGCAACAUUCAAGAAAAACCUUAAGACGGGGAGGCUACAACCUCGUGUAGCAUGGGAUCAAAUUUAUAUCGCGCGCUCUAAGGGGUGCCCCCCUCUUGGUCCCAACCGGAAACACCCAUGCCCCCUGACCGGAUGACGGGCUUUAAUCCAGGGCCAUGGAACCCUCAUCACGGUCCCUCUAUUUGGUGUGUACGAGGAAAGAGGUUUGCAACUUACUAAACCGUAUUCUUUGUAGAAAACAUGUGGCAGCACGAAAAGGGGACGGACGGUAACGUGGCUUGAUCCACGUUAACACUGGAGUUUAACGGUUGACAUAAGACUGGCAUGCUUCAACAAUACCAUCUUACCACCUUUCAUGUCACCACAUGAUCAUGUUAUCUCCCAUCAAAUGAUCACAUCAAGUUUCGAAGCAUACUGGUAGUUGCCUUGCAUGCAAUAUAACACUCACUGAUGUUCAUAUAAACAUGCCAUGCACUAACUAUUCAAGCAAACAUGCAAAACACUCAUCAUAUCAAAGGUUCAAACAUGCUUUCCUGGUUCGGAGUAGUCGGAGUCUAGCUCGGCGAAGUUCGCGGUUCCGUCACCUCCUCCGGUAUCUAUGGUAUAAAGAAAUCGCAUACUAACGUAAAUACCAAGUGUGCAUAAAAGUUGUUCCAAAUAUUUUUCAAAUAAAUAUUAUAAAAAACUAGACAGAAAAAAAAAGAUGACAGAAAAAGAAUCAACUCAAAAUCAUCUUUUGUUUAAAAGAUAUAAAGGUUUUAGUCCAGAGACUAAUCUGUGAUGAAACAGAAAAGACCCAGGGGCUAGUUUGAAAAAGCAGAAAACGUUUCGGUUGGAAAUACACCAGCCCAGAAGGAAAACGUACUUUGCCCGAAGGUGCUUUCAGAAAACGUUUCAAAAUAGAAGAGAAGAGGCUGACGAGGGGGUCCCCCCCGUCAGGUUCAAACUUUGAAACAAAGCUCGCCGGCGCCGAGGCUCGCGGUGGUCGCCAGCGUUGAUCCAUGGCGAGGUAGGGGAAUCGGAGGGUACCUACGGAUUCACGGUGUCCUUCCGCGUCUGUGGGUGGUGGAGUUGGUCGUCGACGAGCACCACGUCGACGGCGGCCUCCACUCCGGCGGACGGUGAUUCGGGCGGUGGUGGAUCUCGCCGGGGAGGGCUGCAAUCAUCAAAUUGAGGCUCGGGUUAGAGGAGUGGGUGUACUAGGAGGCGACUGGCAAGGUUUGGGAGGCGGAGGUGCCCUCACCGGAGAGAAUCGUGCCGGAGCCCGAAGCCGAUCGGGGCGGCCGGAGUCGGGGAAGAAGGCCUCCUCGAGGUCCUCCUAGUGGCUGGGCGUGGCUCUGGUGAGGUGUAGGGGUGGUGUUGGGUCGAAGGCGAGCUCGGGAUCGCUAUUUAUAGCCGGCUCGAGGCGGUUGCCGAGAACGGGAUAACUCCGGCGGGCGAUUACGGCGAGGCAGUGGUCGGGCUGGAGGUUUAGGUGAUUGGGCAUCAUCGUGAUGGUCCACUGGUUCCGUUCAAGGGCUAAAUUUGGUAUGACUUGGGUGAUACUCCAAGCUCUCGACGGAACGGCCUCACGGGCACGUCGGCGGCAAGGAGCGCGCUCUGUGCUUCCCAGGCCACGACGAUGGCUCUACAGCACGCAUAGGGGAGGGGACGGCCACGCGGAGGCUUCUGGUGGUUUGGGCGGUGCUGGACGGCGCCGUCCCUCGCUGCGCCUCUCUGGCAGCCGCAGCAAGUGCUGCUGUCGCCGCUCACGGGGCGAUGCACCUCUGCCAGCUCACCGCCGACGCUCACAACUGUCCAGGCGACCGUGCGGCGCGGUGGAUAAGAGGGGGGAACAGGGAGGAAGGCGCCACUGCAGUUACUGGCGAGAUUGACGUGAGGCUCUGAAGAAAACGACACUGACGACUGAAACUGAUCACUGAAACUCUGAAUUCGACAGGAACAGUGCACGCCAGCUGUUCGACGAAAUGUUUUGGGCACGAGGAAAAAUUUUCUGGAGCUGGGACUUGGUGAGGUGACCUCUUGAUGCAUCUAGAGGCUGCCUGAUUUUUCUAAGAUUUUUAGGAAAAGAAAACAAAUGAAUUUCACCAAAAAUGGCAAAUAUGGUCCAAACUUGCAGCAAGCACAUUUUGAAAAAUUUGAAUUGCGGACCAGUGGAUCUUGAUGGAUCUAGGUUGAGGGUACUAAGGACUAGUUAGAGGAGUUUGUUUGGAAUCAAAACUCAAAAGGGAUCUGGUGGUUCCUUUGUAAAUCACCAAGGUUCAAAAUAAAUGACAGAAAUUGUUUUGAGGAUAAAAUAAAUAGGAAUAAAAUCAAAAAUGGGUUGAACUUGCUGGGAUUGGAUAUUUGACUUGACCCCAAAGUGGAGGGAGGGGUUUUGGAAGAAAUUUUUCAACCUAGGUCAUGGCAAGAAAAAUUUUGAAUGAGGAAGAAUCAAUCCAUAAGUCACAGGGUUAUUUUUAAAAGAGUGAUUUCAAAAACUUUCCCAAGGAAAAUAUUUGUGUUGAGUCAACACAAGAUGUAAAACCCUCAAGACCACAAAUCAAUAUUGAGAAGGGCCCUUUUAAAGAAAAUAUUUGUCAUAAAAAAAUUUUGAGAAUGAGAGUCCCUCUUUUAGAAAAAUUCAAAUAACCUCCUUUAAAUCAAAUAAAGAAAAAGCCAAAUCAAUAAAAAUUGGAGUGUUACACCAGCCGGUCGGCAGUCCGACUGGGGGUGCGGGGAACCACCUCGCCGGGCCAGAGGGCGGCCAGCACUUGUGCCCCAACGCGCUGAAGACGGCGGAGCAUGCGGUGAGCCAGCUGGAGGCGGGCUUGGAUCGCCAGAAGCUGCUCCUCAAGCGACCAGCAAGCAUCCGGUGCGAUCUUAGCUCCAGCUUGCCUUUGCGCCUCACGGUGGGCCUCGAUGACUCGGCUGGCGGCAACAGAGUAACCAGGGAAGUACUCUGCACAAGUAAGAAAGGAAGAGAAAAAACACAAAGUCAGAAAAUUGACCAAAUGGCAGGCGGCAAGCAAAGGAACGAAGAAGAAGGCGGCCUACCAUCAACCAAAUCUUCGAUCUAGUCGUAGCCAUCGCUCAGCGGUUGGCUUGCCUCAGCCCAGCUCGCUGCCUCGGUCUCGUAUUAAGCUUGGAGGGCGGCCUCACUGUCUUGCGCCGCCUUCAGGGCCGCCUUAUGGCUCUCCUCCUGGUCGGCCAGCUUCAUGACCAAGCGGUCACGCUCCUGAGCCAAGGCAUUGCACUCGGCUUCCUUGGCGCAAAGGGCGGUCUGGGCCCCACCCAACUGCUCCCUCAGGUCGGCAUUGGCCUCUGCAGAUAUGGCAAAGAAGAAAAAGCAAUAAGAAAGAAUUUGCCAGGAAAGAUUCGGCCCGACUGCUCAGCAGUCGGCCCGAAUCUCGGGGACUACAACCAGUGGGUGCGCUGACGCGCCCCCACGUGAGGUAAAAGAUGAAGUACUUACUCCGGCUCUCAGUCAGAUCAACGGUCUUCUGGUUCAGCUCCCGGGCCUGGGAGUUGACGGUAGCCGGGCGGAGGUUGUGAUAGUCCUACAAACAGGACAGAGGAGCGAAUAAGAGCAAGAUAGCAAUCGAAGUCUACUAAGAAGUUCCAAGCUGCCUGCUCAGCAGCCGACUCGGAACUCGGGGACUACACCUAGUGGGUGCGCUGACGCGCCCCCACGGAAGAAAUUAAGAAACAAAAAAGCGGGAAGACUUACCCGAAUGGCCGUCCGUGUCGCGAGGAACUCUGAGUAUACUGCGUCAGCACGGUGGCCUGGGAUUGAAGCCGGUUCCGGACUUGUUGCGCCGCUACGUUCAGCACGGCCAUCCCACCACCUGGCGUCCACCCCGAGCUGGCGCUGGCCGCCUCCAGAUCCUGGGCCGAUGAGCUAGAGCCGGCGACCUUCUGCGGGUCCGGCGCCGAAGUCGCCUUCCCCGUGCGCUCGCGCGAUGGCGACCGGACCACAAGGUCUGCCCUCGCGGCCGGCUCGCCCCCAGCCGGUUGCUUGGGCGGCGCGCUAGGCCGGCUGCCUUGGUCCGCCCCAGUCGGUGAUGGCGGUGCCGCCUCCCUCUCCUAGACGACGAUGUUGUCCUCCUCCCUCUCCAUCCCCUGUUGGCCGCCACCGGCUUCCUUCGGCGGGGGCUCCGGGAUCUCGGGUGCCAUAGCGCGCAGGGGGACAACAAGUUGCGGAGGCCAAUUACACAGGGCCUCCACCGCCCUUUCUGCGGCUACAGCCUCCGCCUGGGCCUUGGCCGCAGCGCCGGCUUGCGCCUCGGCCGACUCCUCCGCCAUCUCUUGCGUCGCCCUGGCAGCGGCCGCCCUCAGCUCCUCCGCCUCCCGCUCCUCCCGCGCCUCCCGCGUGUUCUGCUCCGUCGCUGCUUGAAGCUCGGCACGGGGGUCCAUGCGGUGGGCGUUUGCAGAUCCUCCCGCCGCUCCAACUACGAAGGCAGUAGCGGUCCAGUCAAGAGAAAGCGGAGCCCUGUUUGAUAAGACAAGACAAGGACUCAGAAGAAUAUCAACAAAAAAGAAGAAGGAAUACGCGAGAGAAUUGACACUUACGCCGAAACCACUUGUGGCUGCUUCACCACCUUGUGGAAGCGGGCAGCCUUCGCAGCUGCCUCGUCCUGCUUGGUCGCUGCCGCCGCGCUCUUGGGCUUCUUCGUCCGACUGCCGAAUAGGCUCGGCGCGGCCCGGCGCUUCUGCGCGCUGCCUCGGACAGCCGGCGCGGCAGACGAACCCGCGCCAUGAUCGGACGCCGGCUGGCGGCGUGGGAUGAAUUCCGCCUUGUCAUCAUCCGGCCAGUCGUCGAAGCUGGCUCCAAGCCCGGAGCCGCCUGCCUCGCCGCCUCCCCCCACGGUGUCGUCGUCCAGGGCGGCCGCCCCCAAGUCGGGGCCGUCCAAGUCGUGCGUCGUCCGGUCGGGAAGAUAUUGGCGCUCCAUCCCCGCUGCCCCGGCUGCCGGUCGAAGGAGGGGGGUCUGUCAAGACAAACCGACUGGUCAGAGCCGGCCAAGAGAAACUUGGUGACAAAAGUAAAGAAGAGAAGAAAAAGAAAGCUUACCAUAGGCUGAGGAUUGGCACGGGAGUACGGGUCCUUGCAAAACUGCCACUCGUCGGUGAGCUUGCAGUUCGCAAGGUAGUUCACGAUGUGAGCUACCUCUGCAUGAGGCAUCUCCUUGGUACACAGCCGACUCGGAUCGAGUUGGCCGCUCAUUUGACAAAUCAUAUGAGGGCGGCCUUGGAGCGGGAGCACCCGGCGCGCCACGAAGGCGGCCAGCUGGUCGGGCCGGUCAGGCCCUCCGACUGGACCAUUACCCGGAGUCGCGCGACAGCGGCGGCUCUAGCAGGCAAUAGCGUUCUGGCCCGAUAAGACCAUUGGGGCCGCCUCCCAGCCGGCGGGCCGGCUACAUAAGCCGGCAAGUUGACGAAGUCGCCUUGCGGAGCGACGUUCCUCACAUAGAAGUAGGAUUUCUGCCAGAGCUUCACCGACUGGAUCAGCGUGAUGGGAGGAAAAGGGUUGUCGGAUACCGGCCUCUGCACCGCGAUGAAGACACCGCUCUGAGCCGGCACGCCCCUCAUGGCGGUACCGAGCUUGGUCUGGAAGAAUUCCCCCCAGAGCUCGAGGGUGGGGAGGACGCUGAGGAAGCCCUCGCACAAAGUGACGAAGGCAGACAGCAGCACCACCGUGUUUGGAGUAAGGUGGUGCGGCUGGAGCUGGUAGAACUCGAGGAAGGAGCGGAAGAAGCCGCUCGCAGGCAGGCCCAGGCAGUGCGAGCGGAAGAUUACCCGCUCGCCUUCCUCCGGCGCCGGCGAAAUCUCCCUCUCCGGCGCGAGACGGACCCGCACAUAAUCCCUGCCGGGCAGCCGCCGUGUCUUGCGAAGGAAGUCGAUGUGGUCCGCAUGGACGUUGGAGCCAUCCCAGUCUCCGCCGCGUGACAUGAGGGCAAGAAGCCGAGGAAAAAGGCGCGGCAAUGGCGAAACCACGGCCCCGCGGCGGCGAAGCUGCGGGGUAGUGCGACGACUAGAGGGACGGCGCGGCGGCGGGGGGCUGCAGCGACGGAGAAGAAGAAGAAGAUGGCGGAGUGAGGGCGAGCGUCUGCCGCUCCCCCUCCUCCCAUUAUUUUUAGCCUCGUGCGGCGAAGCCAAGGAGGCGAGGCGUAGGGGAGGACGUGGGAUUAACUGCGCCCACUCCCCCACGUCCCGCGAUUAUUGCGCCCUAACGGCAUGUGGAAACUGCCAUUGGAAGGCGAACGGCCCGUCUUGGGCCACAGAAGAUCUACACCUAGGCCUAGGCGUAGAAGUGGCGGGCCCAGGCCUGCGGCGGCGUCCCGUCACGCGCGUGGGCUGGCAGGCUAUCCCAGCCGGAGGGCGCCAUGUGGCGUGUGGGCAGCAAGCGGCCGGCCCGCAACCUGGCGUGCGCGCUGGCUGGUCCCCGCCUCCACACCUCGAAGCCUUACCAAGACGGCACACCUGAUCAAGGUCGGCUCCUAGCUGCUGGCUCUUCAAGAUAGGAAUCUGAUUGGGCUUCUCGUCCUCCUUUCAGCCAUAAAGCCCAACCAGCUUCGGGGACUACUGUCGGAGUAAAUGACCACAGGUAGCCUAACCGACUCCCCUGGCUCUUCAAGAAUUAUCGGGCCGAUCGAGCCUUCAAGCACCCCAAGCACAAGGCCGCCUCCCCCUGGCCGGCUGUCUCACAGGCCGACUACUGGAAGGCGACCCGGCCCUAAAAACCCUCGCGAAGAGAGCCACAGGAAGGCCGACUCCAAGAAGCCGGCCACUAGAAGACCGGCUCCACGAUGCCGGCCACAAGAAGACCGGCUCCACAAUGCCAGCCACAAGAAGACCGGCUCCCAGCAAGCGGCCAAGAGUGCCCCCUCAAGGACUGCACCCACAUAACGGUAACAAGACGGGGCGUGGCUACAGUAAAGCCUGCCGCCCCUGAAUCCCGGAGCACGCAUGGCCACAGUAUACCGUACGGGCCGGCCAUCCCCCGUCCGGCACGGCACUGUUGACAUGUUGACCAUGACGCCACCCACGACAGGCUGUCAGUAUGGCCCGCGGGCGGCAGGCCCCUUCGGCCAGAGAGAUGCUCGAAGACGGCCAUGCCUCCCCUAGUCGGCCUGGGGUGCAGCCGGCUCUCAAUAGCCGGCUACCUUACUCCCUCGAAGUAUGUGCGUCAUAAAGGAGAUAAGACGAGGUAAGGCUACAGUGAGAGUCCGCCAGGCGGUGGCACUAUAGCCAUGCUUACCUCGGUGAAGCCCUCGUCAUCAGGGGCGAGGCUACGGUAACCAGCCGCCGGCAGGACCCACCAUUCGGCGGGCCCCGGCGGCCGGCGGAGAAGCCGGCGAAUACGGACACUGACGGCUAGGACCCGCGUCCAGCCGGAUUACCAUUGUACCCCUGGGGGUAGGCCUAUAUAAACACCCCGGGGCACCCAUGCAAAGGGUUGAUCUCUUAGAGUUUCGGACACCACAUACAGAGAAGAGAAGAGCUAGCCUUGCCCUUCUUCUUCCUCUGGCCAAACAGCUCAAGGAGCCACUUGUAGCCACUUGUGUUGAUCUAGUGAUCAUGCGGAGACCCCGCAAAGCAGGACUAGGGGUGUUAUCUCCACGGAGAGCCCCGAACCUGGGUAAGAUUCACCGGCGUGCAUUUCUUCGCCUUAUCCCGUUUCCAGGCACCGGCGACGUCUUACUGGCUCCCACAAUGAUAAGCCACCCGUUGGCAUAUGUCGCACCUACCACCCGACAGGUGCCGUGCUUUCGGUACUUGGAUCGGUCGGAUCGUGAAGACGUACGACUACAUAAACCGCAUUGAUAUAAUGCUUCCACUUACGGUCUAUGAGGGUACGUAGACAACACUCUCCCCUCUCGUUGCUAUGCAUCACCAUGAUCUUGCGUGUGCGUAGGAAAUUUUUUAAAUUACUACGUUCCCCAACAGUGGCAUCCGAGCCAGGUUUUAUGCGUAGAUGUCAUAUGCACGAGUAGAACACAAGUGAGUUGUGGGUGCUAUAAGUCAUACUGCUUACCAGCAUGGCAUACUUUGGUUCGGCGGUAUUGUCUGAUGAAGCGGCCCGGACCGACAUUACGCGUACGCUUACGCGAGACUGGUUCUACCGACGUGCUUUGCACACAGGUGGCUGGCGGGUGUCAGUUUCUCCAACUUUAGUUGAACCGAGUGUGGCUAUGCCCGGUCCUUGAGAAGGUUAGAACAGCACUAACUUGACGAACUAUCAUUGUGGUUUUGAUGCGUAGGUAAGAACAGUUCUUGCUAAGCCCGUAGUGGCCACGUAAAACUUGCAACAACAAAGUAGAGGCCGUCUAGCUUGUUUUUGCAGGGCAUGUUGUGAUGUGAUAUGGUCAAGGCAUGAUGCUAUAUUUUAUUGUAUGAGAUGAUCAUGUUUUGUAACCAAGUUAUCGGCAACUGGCAGGAGCCAUAUGGUUGUCGCUUUAUUGUAUGCAAUGCAAUCGCCCUGUAAUUGCUUUACUUUAUCACUAAGCGGGAGCGAUAGUUGUAGAAGCAAUAGUUGGCGAGACGACAACGAUGCUACGAUGGAGAUCAAGGUGUCGCGCCGGUGACGAUGGUGAUCAUGACGGUGCUUCGGAGAUGGAGAUCACAAGCACAAGAUGAUGAUGGCCAUAUCAUAUCACUUAUAUUGAUUGCAUGUGAUGUUUAUCUUUUAUGCAUCUUAUCUUGCUUUGAUUGACGGUAGCAUUAUAAGAUGAUCUCUCACUAAAUUUCAAGAUAAAAGUGUUCUCCCUGAGUAUGCACCAUUGCCAAAGUUCGUCGUGCCCAGACACCACGUGAUGAUCGGGUGUGAUAAGCUCUACGUCCAUCUAAAACGGGUGCAAGCCAGUUUUGCACACGCAGAAUACUCAGGUUAAACUUGACGAGCCUAGCAUAUGCAGAUAUGGCCUCGGAACACUGAGACCGAAAGGUCGAGCGUGAAUCGUAUAGUAGAUAUGAUCAACAUAGAGAUGUUCACCAUUGAAAACUACUCCAUUUCACGUGAUGAUCGGUUAUGGUUUAGUUGAUUUGGAUCACGUGAUCACUUAGAUGAUUAGAGGGAUGUCUAUCUAAGUGGGAGUUCUUAAGUAAUAUGAUUAAUUGAACUUUAAUUUAUCAUGAACUUAGUCCUGGUAGUAUUAGCAUAUCUAUGUUGUAGAUCAAUAGCUCGCGUUUAGCUCCCAUGUUUUAUUUUUGAUAUGAUCCUAGAGAAAACUAAGUUGAAAGAUGUUAGUAGCAAUGAUACGGAUUGGAUCCGUGAUCUGAGGAUUUUCCUCAUUGCUGCACAGAAGUAUAAUGUACUUGAUGCACCACUAGGUGACAGACCUAUUGCAGGAGCAGAUGCAGACGUUAUGAACGUUUGACAAAAGCUCAGUAUGAUGACUACUUGAUAGUUUAGUGCACCAUGCUUUACGGCUUAUAAUCGGGACUUUAAAAAAUGUUUUGAACGCCAUAGAGCAUAUAAGAUGUUCUAAGAGUUGAAAUUGGUAUUUCAUACUCAUGCCCGUGUCGAGAGGUAUGAGACCUCUGACAGUACUUUGCCUACAAGAUGGAGGAGAAUUGCUCAGGUAGUGAGCAUAUGCUCAGAAUGUCUGAGUACUACAAUCACUUGAAUCAAGUGGGAGUUAAUCUUCCAGAUAAGAUAGUGAUUGACAGAGUUCUCUAGUCACUAUCACCAAGUUACUAGAACUUCGUGAUGUACUAUAAUAUGCAAGGGAUGAAGAAAACAAUUCCCAAGCUCUUCGCGAUGUUAAAAGCGGCAAAGGUAGAAAUCAAGAAAAACAUCAAGUGUUGAUGGUUGACAAGACCACUAGUUUCAAGAGAAAGGCAAAGGGAAGAAGGGGAACUUCAAGAAGAACGGCAAGCGAGUUGCUGCUCAAGUGAAGAAUCCCAAGUCUGGACCUAAGCCUGAGACUGAGUGCUUCUACUGCAAAGGAACUGAUCACUGGAAGCGGAACUGCCCCAAGUAUUUGGCGGAUAAGAAGGAUGGCAAGGUGAACAAAGGUAUAUGUGAUAUACAUGUUAUUGAUGUGUACCUUACCAGAGCUCGCAGUAGCACCUGGGUAUUUGAUAUUGGUUCUGUUGCUAAUAUUUGCAACUCAAAACAGGGACUACGGAUUAAGCGAACACUGGCCAAGGACGAGGUGACGAUGCGCGUGGGAAACGGUUCCAAAGUCGAUGUGAUUGCCGUCGGCAUGCUACCUCUACAUCUACCUUCGGGAUUAGUAUUAGACCUAAAUAAUUGUUAUUUGGUGCCAGCGUUGAGCAUGAACAUUAUAUCUGGAUCUUGUUUGAUGCGAGACAGUUAUUCAUUUAAAUCAGAGAAUAAUGGUUGUUCUAUUUAUAUGAGUAAUAUCUUUUAUGGUCAUGCACCCUUGAAGAGUGGUCUAUUUUUUAUGAAUCUCGAUAGUAGUGAUACACAUAUUCAUAAUGUUGAAACCAAAAGAUGCAGAGUUAAUAAUGAUAGUGCAACUUAUUUGUGGCACUGCCGUUUGGGUCAUAUUGGUGUAAAGCGCAUGAAGAAACUCCAUACUGAUGGACUUUUGGAAUCACUUGAUUAUGAAUCACUUGGUACUUGCGAACCAUGCCUCAUGGGCAAGAUGACUAAAACGCCAUUCUCCGGAACUAUGGAGCGAGCAAAAGAUUUGUUGGAAAUCAUAAAUACAUAUGUAUGUGGUCCGAUGAAUGUUGAUGCUCGCGGCGGAUAUCGUUAUUUUCUCACCUUCACAGAUGAUUUAAGCAGAUAUGGGUAUAUCUACUUAAUGAAACAUAAGUCUGAAACAUUUGAAAAGUUCAAAGACUUUUAGAGUGAAGUUGAAAGUCAUCGUAACAAGAAAAUAAAGUUUCUACGAUCUGAUCGUGGAGGAGAAUAUUUGAGUUACGAGUUUGGUCUACAUUUGAAGCAAUGCGGAAUAGUUUCGCAACUCAUGCCACCCGGAACACCACGGCGUAAUGGUGUGUCCGAACGUCGUAAUCGUACUUUACUAGAUAUGCUGCGAUGCUUAUGUGAAAAGGCUUCAACCUGAUAAGCCCGAACCCAAAUCGAAGAAAUGUGUCUUCAUAGGAUACCCAAAGGAGACUGUUGGGUACACCUUCUAUCACAGAUCCGAAGGCAAAACAUACGUUGCUAAGAAUGGAUCCUUUCUAGAGAAGGAGUUUCUCUCGAAAGAAGUGAGUGGGAGGAAAGUAGAACUUGAUGAGGUAACCGUACCUGCUCCCUUAUUUGAAAGUAGUUCAUCAUAGAAACCGGUUCCUGUGAUGUCUAUACCAAUUAGUGAGGAAGUUAAUGAUGAUGAUCAUGAAACUUCAGAUCAAGUUGUUACUGAACCUCGUAGGUCAACCAGAGUAAGAUCCGCACCAGAGUGGUACGGUAAUCCUGUUCUGGAGGUUAUGUUACUAGACCAUGACGAACCUACGAACUAUGAAGAAGCGAUGGUGAGCCCAGAUUCCGCAAAAUGGCUUGAGGCCAUGAAAUCUGAGAUGGGAUCCAUGUAUGAGAACAAAGUGUGGACUUUGGUUGACUUGCCCGAUGAUCGGCAAGCCAUUGAGAAUAAAUGGAUCUUCAAGAAUAAUAUUGACGCUGACGGUAAUGUUAGUGUAUAUAAAGCUCGACUUGUUGCGAAAGGUUUUCAACAAGUUCAAGGGGUUGACUACGAUGAGACCUUCUCACCCGUAGCGAUGUUUAAGUCUGUCCGAAUCAUGUUAGCAAUUGCCGCAUUUUAUGAUUAUGAAAUUUGGCAAAUGGAUGUAAAAACUGCAUUCCUGAAUGGAUUUCUAGAAGAAGAGUUGUAUAUGAUGCAACCGGAAGGUUUUGUCGAUCCAAAGGGAGCUAACAAAGCGUGCAAGCUCCAGCGAUCCAUUUAUGGACUGGUGCAAGCCUCUCGGAGUUGGAAUAAACGCUUUGAUAGUGUGAUCAAAGCAUUUGGUUUUGUAUAGACUUUUGGAGAAGCCUGUAUUUACAAGAAAGUGAGUGGGAGCACUACACCAUUUCUGAUAAGUAUAUGUGAAUGACAUAUUGUUGAUCGGAAAUAAUGUAGAAUUAUUCUGCAAAGCAUAAAGGAGUGUUUGAAAGGAGUUUUUCAAAGAAAGACCUCGGUGAAGCUGCUUACAUAUUGAGCAUCAAGAUCUAUAGAGAUAGAUCAAGACGCUUGAUAAGUUUUUUCAAUGAGUACAUACCUUGACAAGAUUUUGAAGUAAGUUCAAAAUGGAACAGUCAAAGAAAGAGUUCUUACCUGUGUUACAAGGUGUGAAAUUGAGUAAGACUCAAAGCCCGACCACGGCAGAAGAUAGAAAGAGAAUGAAAAUAAUUCCCUAUGCCUCAACCAUAGGUUCUAUAAAGUAUGCCAUGCUAUGUACCAGAUCUAUUGUAUACCCUACACUGAUUUUGUCAAGGGAGUGCAAUAGUGAUCUAGGAGUAGAUCACUGGACAGCGGUCAAAAUUAUCCUUAGUGGAAUAAGGAUAUGUUUCUUGAUUAUGGAGGUGACAAAAGGUUCGUCGUAAAGGGUUACGUCGAUACAAGUUUUGGCACUGAUCCAGAUGACUCUAAGUCUUCAUCUGGAUACCUAUUGAAAGUGGGGGCAAUUAGCUAAAGUAGCUCCAUGCAGAGCAUUGUAGACAUAGAAAUUUGCAAAAUACAUAUGGAUCUGAAUAUGGCAGACCCGUUGACUAAGCUUCUCUCACAAGCAAAACAUGAUCACACCUUAGUACUCUUUGGGUAUUAAUCACAUAGCGAUGUGAACUAGAUUAUUGACUCUAGUAAACCCUGUGGGUGUUGGUCACAUGACGAUGUGAACUAUGGGUGUUAAUCACAUGGUGAUGUGAACUAUUGAUGUUAAACCACAUGGCGACGUGAUCUAGAUUAUUGACUCUAGUGCAAGUGGGAGACUGAAGGAAAUAUGCCCUAGAGGCAAUAAUAAAGUUAUUAUUUAUUUCCUUAUUUCAUGAUAAAUGUUUAUUAUUCAUGCUAGAAUUGUAUUAACCGGAAACAUAAUACAUGUGUGAAUACAUAGACAAACAAAGUGUCACUAGUAUGCCUCUACUUGACUAGCUCGUUAAUCAAAGAUGGUUAAGUUUCCUAGCCAUUGACAUGAGUUGUCAUUUGAUUAAUGGGAUCACAUCAUUAGGAGAAUGAUGUGAUUGACUUGACCCAUUCCGUUAGCUUAGCACUCGAUCGUUUAGUAUGUUGCUAUUGCUUUCUUCAUGACUUAUACAUGUUCCUAUGACUAUGAGAUUAUGCAACUCCCGUUUACCGGAGGAACACUUUGUGUGCUACCAAACGUCACAAUGUAACUGGGUGAUUAUAAAGGUGCUCUACAGGUGUCUCCAAAGGUACUUGUUGGGUUGGCGUAUUUCGAGAUUAGGAUUUGUCAGUCCGAUUGUCGGAGAGGUAUCUCUGGGCCCACUCGGUAAUGCACAUCACUAUAAGCCUUGCAAGCAUUGCAACUAAUGAGUUAGUUGCGGGAUGAUGUAUUACGGAAUGAGUAAAGAGACUUGCCGGUAACGAGAUUGAACUAGGUAUUGAGAUACCUACGAUCGAAUCUCGGGCAAGUAACAUACCGAUGACAAAGGGAACAACGUAUGCUGUUAUGCGGUCUGACUGAUAAAGAUCUUCGUAGAAUAUGUAGGAGCCAAUAUGGGCAUCCAGGUCCCGCUAUUGGUUAUUGACAAGAGAGGUGUCUCGGUCAUGUCUACAUAGUUCUCGAACCCGUAGGGUCUGCAUGCUUAACGUUCGUUGACGAUAUAGUACUAUGAGUUAUGUAUGUUGGUGACCGAAUGUUGUUCGGAGUUUUGGAUGAGAUCACGGAUAUGACGAGGAACUCCGGAAUGGUUCGGAAGUAAAGAUUGAUAUGUGGAUAGUAGUGUCUGAUCUCCGGAAAGGUUCCGGAAUACAUCGGAAGGGGUUCCGGAUGUUUCCCGAAAUGUUUGGGCACGAGAACACUUUAUCUAGGCCAAAGGGGAAAGCCCACGGGGUUUUUGUAAAGCGCAAAAGGAAGUUUUGCGGAGUCCAGGGGCCGGACGCUAGGGUCCCUGGCGUCUGGGUCCAGACGCCGGGAACCCUGGCGUCUGGCCCUGGAGUCCGAGAAGGACUCUUGCCUUUCGGGUGAAACCGACUUUGUGGAGGCUUUUAAUCCAAGUUUCGACCUCAAGGCUCAACAUAUAAAUAGAGGGGUAGGGCUAGCACCCAAGACACAUCAAGAAACACCAAGUCGUGUGCCCGCAACCCCGUCUCCUCUAGUUUAUCCUCCGUCAUAGUUUUAUAGUGCUUAGGUGAAGCCCUGCGAAGAUUGUUCUUCACCAACACCGUCACCACGCCGUCGUGCUGCCGGAACUCAUCUACUACUUCGCCCCUCUUGCUGGAUCGAGAAGGCGACGACGUCACCGAGCCGAACGUGUGCAGAACUCGGAGGUGCGGUGCUUUCGGUACUUGGAUCGGUCGCAUCAUGAAGACGUACGACUACAUCAACCGCGUUGAUAUAACGCUUUCGCUUACGGUCUACGAGGGUACGUAGACAACACUCUCCCCUCUCAUUGCUAUGCAUCACCAUGAUCUUGCGUGUGCGUAGGAAAUUUUUGAAAUUACUACGUUCCCCAACACCAGCCACUGGGUGGAGAGAGGGAGGCUGAACCGGUGCAAGAUGAUCCACAACCUUCAGGUCAGCCCGAGGAAGAAUCAUGAUCCGGAGGCCGGUUAUCUUCUGCACACUUUCAUCUGUGUGAUAAAACAGUUAUUCUUUUGGGCCGUCAAAGCGCCUUGUAAUAGGCUAGUUGAAACACUUGGUCUGCUAUGCCAUCAUGCAUAUUCAUGAUAACCCACAAGUGUAGGGGAUCGCAACAGCUUUCGAGGGUAGAGUAUUCAACCCAAAUUUAUUGAUUCGACACAAGGGGAGACAAAGAAUAUUCUCAAGUAUUAGCAGUUGAGUUGUCAAUUCAACCACACCUGGAUAACUUAGUAUCUGCAGCAAGGUAUUUAGUAGCAAAGUAGUAUGAUAGUAAUGGUAACAGUAGCAAAAGUAAUAUUUUUGGGUUUUGUAGUGAUUGUAACAAUAGUAGCGGAAAAGUAAAUAAGCGAAGAACAAUAUAUGAAAAGUUCGUAGGCAUUGGACCAAUGAUGGAUAAUUAUGUUGGAUGCGAUUCCUCAUGCAAUAGUUAUAACCUAGGGUGACACAGAACUAGCUCCAGUUCAUCAAUGUAAUGUAGGUAUGUAUUCUGAAUAUAGUCAUAUGUGCUUAUGGAAAAGAACUUGCAUGACAUCUUUUGUCCUACCCUCCCGUGGCAGCGGGGUCCUAGUGGAAACUAAGGGAUAUUAAGCCCUCCUUUUAAUAGAGUACCGAACCAACGCAUUAGCACUUAGUGAAUACAUGAACUCCUCAAACUACGGUCAUCACCGAGAAGUAUCCCGAUUAUUGUCACUUCAGGGUUGUCGGAUCAUAACACAUAAUAGGUGACUAUAGACUUGCAAGAUAGGAUCAAGAACUCACAUAUAUUCAUGAAAACAUAAUAGGUUCAGAUCUGAAAUCAUGGCACUCGGGCCCUAGUGACAAGCAUUAAGCAUAGCAAAGUCAUAGCAACAUCAAUCUCAGAACAUAGUGGAUACUAGGGAUCAAACCCUAACAAAACUAACUUGAUUACAUGAUAAAUCUCAUCCAACCCAUCACCGUCCAGCAAGCCUACGAUGGAAUUACUCACGCACGGCAGUGAGCAUCAUGAAAUUGCUGAUGGAGGAUGGUUGAUGAUGACGACGGCGACGAAUCCCCCUCUCCGGAGCCCCGAACGGACUCCAAAUCAGCCCUCCUGAGAGAGAUUAGGGCUUGGCGGCGGCUCCGAAUCGUAAAACGCGAUGAAACUUUAUCUCUGAUUUUUUUCUCCGCGAAACAGAAUAUAUAGCGUUGGAGUUGAGGUCGGUGGAGCUCCAGGGGGCCCAGGAGGGUGGGGGCGCGCCCCCACCCUCCUAGACAGGGUGUGGGCCCCCUGAUGCCGAUUCUUUCGCCAGUAUUUUUCCAAAAAUAAUCUCCGUGGAUUUCCAGGUCAUUCCGAGAACUUUUGUUUUCUGCACAAAGAUAACAUCAUGGAAAUUCUGCUGAAAACAGCGUCAGUCCGGGGUAGUUCCAUUCAAAUCAUGCAAGUUAGAGUCCAAAACAAGGGCAAAAGUGUUUGGAAAAGUAGAUACGUUGGAUAUGUAUCAACUCCCCCAAGCUUAAACCUUUGCUUGUCCUCAAGCAAUUCAGUUGACAAACUGAAAGUGAUAAAGAAAAACUUUUACAAACUCUGUUUGCUCUUGUUGUUGUAAAUAUGUCAAGCCAACAUUCAAGUUUUCAGCAAAGAUUAUGAACUAACCAUAUUCACAAUAACACUUAGGUCUCAUGUUUACUCAUAUCAAUGGCAUAAUCAACUAGCGAGCAAUAAUAAUAAAACUCGGAUGACAACACUUUCUCAAAACAAUCAUAAUAUGAUAUAAAAAGAUGGUAGCUCGCUAGCCCUUUCUGAGACCGCAAAACAUAAAUGCAGAGCACCUCUAAAGAUCAAGGACUGACUAAACAUUGUAAUUCAUGGUAAAAGAGAUCCAGUCAAGUCAUACCCAAUAUAAACUAAUAGUAAUGCAUGCAAAUGACAGCGGUGCUCUCCAGCGGGUGCUUUUUAAUAAGAAGGUGAUGACUCAACAUAAAAGUAAAUAGAUAGGCCCUUCGCAGAGGGAAGCAGGGAUUUGUAGAGGCGCCAGAGCUCAGUUUUUGAAAUUGAGAUAAAUAAUAUUUUGAGCGGCAUACUUUCACUGCCAACGCAACAACCAAGAGAUGGCAAUAUCUUCCAUGCUACAUACAUUAUAGGCGGUUCCCAAACAGAAUGGUAAAGUUUAUACUCCCCCUCCACCAACAAGCAUCAAUCCAUGGCUUGCUCGAAACAACGAGUGCCUCCAACUAACAAGAGUCCCGGGGGAGUUUUGUUUGCAAUAAUUUUGAUUUGAUUUGCUUAAAGCAUGGGACUGGGCAUCCCGGUUACCAGCCAUUUUCUCGUGAAUGAGGAGCGGAGUCCACUCCUCUUGAGAAUAACCCACCUAGCAUGGAAGAUACAGAUAGCCCGGGUUGAUACAUGAGCUAUUCGAGUAUACAAAACAGAAUUUCAUUUGAAGGUUUGGAGUUUGGCACAUACAAAUUUACUUGGAACUGCAGGUAAAUACCGCAUAUAGGAAGGUAUGGUGGACUCAUAUGGAAUAACUUUGGGGUUUAUGGAAUUUGGAUGCACAAGCAGUAUUCCCGCUUAGUACAGGCUAGCAAAAGACUAGGAAGCGACCAACUGAGAGAGCGACAACAGUCAUGAACAUGCAUUAAAAUUAAUCAACACUGAGUGCAAGCAUGAGUAGGAUACAAUCCACCAUGAACAUAAAUAUCAUGAAGGCUAUGUUGAUUUGUUUCAACUACAUGCGUGAACAUGUGCCAAGUCAAGUCACUCAAUUCAUUCAAAGGAGGAUACCAUCCCAUCAUACCACAUCACAACUAUUUUAAUAGCAUGUUGGCACGCGGGGUAAACCAUUAUAACUCAUAGCUAAUUAAGCAUGGCAUAAGCAACUAUAAUCUCUAAAUGUUAUUGCAAACAUGUUUAUUCAUAAUAGGCUGAAUCAGGAACGAUGAACUCAUCAUAUUAAAAAAAACAAAAGAGGUCGAGUUCAUACCAGCUUCUCUCAUCUCGAUCAGUCCAUCAUACAUUGUCAUUAUUGCCUUUCACUUGCACGACCGAACGGCGUGUAUAAUGAUAAUAGUGCACGUGCAUUGGACUAAGCUGGAAUCUGCAAGCAUUCAAUUCAAGAGAGGAGACAAAAUAAUAUGGGCUCUAAGUUAAAUCAACAAUCAUGCAUAUGAGAGCCACUAAACAUUUUCAUUAAGGUCUUCUCCUCUCAACCCCCAAAAGAAAGAAAAUAAAUAAAACUAUUUACACGGGAAAGCUCCCAACAAGUAAAAGAAGAACGAGAAUUUUUUUUGGGUUUUCAUUUUAAUUUUACAAGCAUUGAAAUUAAACUAACUAAUUUUUUUGGUUUUUCUAAAGUUUAUCAAACACACAAGAAGAAAGCUAGAAAAAGAAAUUAAACUAGCAUGGAUAGUACAAUGAAAAAGUAUGAGCACCGACAACUAGAAUAGUGUGUGAACAUGAAUGUACAGUCGGUGAGAAAUACGUACUCCCCCAAGCUUAGGCUUUUGGCCUAAGUUGGUCUAUUGCCAAGGGUAGCCUGGCUGAUAUCCAAAGUUAUAACUGGGGUCGUACUGAGAUGCAGCAUCCAAUGCCUCCUGAGCUGCGGCAUGCUGGCGAGCUGCCUCCGCUCUCCUCUCGCAUUCGGUUGCCUCCUCCCUGGUUACAACAUAUCUUCGUUUUGCCUGGUAAUCAAAAAGGGAAGGAGCAGGGAGAGUAACAUGGACAGAGCGACGUCUGUCAAAGAUUAGUCGAUAUUGGAGGAAUUGUUCAUUCCCCACAAGAAAAUGAUGACUGACCAUAGCGUCAUAAUCUACAUAAGCGGAAGGUAACUGCACGUCACCCUCACGUGGAGGUAUACCAAGAUAAUUAGCAACACGAGUAUCAUAAAUCCCUCCAAAUAAAUCUCCAGAUAAACCAUUAUUAUGCAGCCUACGUGCAACUAUUGCCCCCAAGUUCUAAUCUUUAUUACCUAAAACAGCACUCUUGAGGACACAGAGAUCAGGGACACACAUGUGACAUGCUUCAUCUUUACCAUUAAUACAUCUACCAAUGAAGAGAGCAAAAUAAUGUAUAGCAGGAAAAUGAAUGCUCCCUAUGGUAGCUUGUGCUAUGUCCCUAGAUUCUCCCACAGUUAUACUAGCAAGAAAGUCCUUAUAUUCAGAUUACGGGGUUCAUUAACAUUACCCCACUGUGGGAGUUUGCAAGCAGUAGUGAAAUCUUCUAAGUCCAUGGUAUAGGAUUGAUCAUAUAUAUCAAACAAGACCGUUUGAGAGUUACGCAAAGAUGAAAAUUUAAACCUUCUCACGAAUGAAUCAGUCAAAUAAUAGUACAGAGGACACUUAUCUUGCAUGAAGUCCUCAAGAUCGGCGUUACGCACAUAUGCGUCGAAUUCAUUCUUAAUUCCUGCAUUGACCAUAAAUUCUUCUGACGGCCAUUCACAAGGCCGCACGUCAGCUUCCCUUGGUGGUUCAUCGUCUUGCUCACGCAUAGCACGUCUAGAUGCUUGCUUUCUUGAAGAACCACCUUGAGACAUUUUCCUAGACAUAUUUCUUCCUCUGAAAAAUUUCUGAAAUUUUUAGUAACUUCAAAAUAAAAGUGAAUCAAACUAAACAAGAUUGAUAGCAACUACUCCUACAAGUGCCUAGAGCCUAUAUCAUGCAUUAGAAUUACUUGGGACCUCAUAAAUUUGACAUGCAAGCUCAAGAACAGGGUCACCUAUGCAGCAAAAAUUUGCAAUGAAUAAAGCAAUAGAACAAAAACUAAUUGGACCAAUGGAGUAGUCACAUACGAAGCAACAAUCUCCCAAAGCAGUUUUGUGAAUGGAGCUUUGAGAAAGGAGAUCAAAAAUCACAGCAAAAUGAGCUAGAACUCAUGCUUGAGCUGGAUGGGGGUUUUUUUGGGAGGAAGAUGGAGUGUGUGGGUGCAGGAAUAAGUGGGGGGGCCACCGUGGGCCCACGAGACAGGGGGUGCGCCCUGGACCCUUAUGGCCAGGUGCUUGCCCCCCUGCUAUGUUCCCAGUGCCUAAAAUUCUCAAAUAUUCUAGAAAAAAUCAUACUAAAUUGGCAGGGCAUUUGGAGCACUUUUAUUUUCGGGAUAUUUUUUAUUGCAUGGAUAAUUCAGAAAACAGACAGAUAAUACUAUUUUUGCUUUAUUUAUUCUAAAUAACAGAAAGUAAAAAGAGGGUACAGAAGGUUGUGCCUUCUAAUUUCAUCCAUCUCAUGAUCAUCAAAAGGAAUCCACUAACAAGGUUGAUCAAGUCUUGUUAACAAACUCAUUCCGAAUAACAUGGAACCGGAGAAAUUUCGAAUAACACUAAGUAACCUAACAAGGAUAUGAACAUCCCCAACAAUAAGAAUAUCAUUUUUUUUUCUUGACAGUAGGAAGAGGAAAUUCAAAACCUCCAAUAAUAGUAGUUGGACUUUUUCCAAUAGAAUUGAUGCUAUGAACUUGAGGUUGUUUCCUCGGAAAGUUUACCGUAUGCUCAUUACCAUUAACAUGAAAAGUGACAUUGCCUUUGUUGCAAUCAAUAACAGCCCCUGCAGUAUUCAAAAAAGGUCUGCCAAGGAUAAUCGACAUACUAUCAUCCUCGGGAAUAUCAAGAAUAACACGGAAUCAGCUAUAGGAAUCAGCUAUUUUGCCGUCUGCCACGGCGGACGGCAAAGGCACAAACGGCGGACGGCAAAGGCCUUUGCCGUCAGCCGCGGACGGCAAAAGGCUCCGGCAAAGUAGGCUACGGUAAACAGCUACUUUGCCGUCUGCUUCCUGGCGGCUGACGGCAAAGGCCCUUUGCCGUCUGCCGCGGACGGCAAAGAGGGCGGACGGCAAUAAUUGUGCUCUCAGUCCGUUAAGUGGCUAACGGCAGGCCUUUGCCGUCCGCCGCGGACGGCAAACUUUCUAGUGCCUUUGCUGUCGGCCAGCGGACGGCAAACUUUCUAGUGUCUUUGUCGUCCGCCAUAUGAUGUCAUCUACACGUCACUACAUGGCAGGCCUUUGCCGUCCGCCGCUGACGGCAAACUCUUUGCCGUCUGCCACUGUAGGCAAACUGACCAAAUGGGUCAGCUCCCAGGAAGCACAGCUGGAUGCCAUGUGGCUUCUUUGCCGUCCGCGGCAGACGGCAAAGGGCCCGUUGCCGUCGGUGGCGGACGGCAAAGAGCCUGCAUAUUUGGUCUUUUUUCUGUUUUUUAUUAAAUCCAACAAUUUUCACAAAAAAUAUAUAUGGCAUAUAUAGAUAUAUUUCGCAAGGCAAAGUUCCAUCACAUAAGAUAUAUAUGACAACAAUUUUCACAGCAAACAUAUAUAUAAGAUAUCCAACAUGCAUAGUUCCAUCAUACAUAGUUCCAUCACAUAACUUCAUCACAUAUGUUCCAUCCAACUACCAAGCUCCAUCAUACAUAGCAUAGUUCACCCAACUACCAAGAUACAUGCAUAGUUCAACGAUACAAAAGAAACAGAGAAAGGGAUAAGGAGCACUCCAUCUAUGCAAGCUUUCGUCAAGUGAAUGAAAUCUGCAAAAUGAAAAAUAAGAAAGUUAGAAAUAGGUGACUAGAACAAGAAGAAGACUAGAACAAGAAGAGUAUGUCAUUUAUGGGCUAACUUACGUGAAAUGGAUCAUAUAUGAGCUAACUAAGUUGAAAUGGGUCGUUUAUGAGCUAACUAAGGUCAAAUGGAUCGUUUUUGAGGUAACUAAGGUGAAAUGGAUCGUUUUUUAGCUCACUUAGGUCAAAUGGAUCAUUUAUGAGCUAACUUAGUUGAAAUGGAUCGUUUUUUAGCUAACUUUGUUGAAAUGGAUCAUUUAUGAGCUAAUUUAGUUGAAAUGGAUCUUUUUGAGCUAACUUUGUUGAAAUGGAUCAUUUAUGAGCUAAUUUAGUUGAAAUGGAUCUUUUUGAGCUAACUUAGGUGAAAUGGAUCAUUUAAGAGCUAAUUUAGGUGAAAUGGAUCGUUUUUUAGCUCACUUAGGUCAAAUGGAUCAUUUAUGAGCUAAAUUAGUUGAAAUGGAUCGUUUAUGAGAUAACCUAGGUAAGAUGGGUUAUUUUGGAGUUAACCUAGGUGAAAUGGGCCAUUUUAAAGCUAACGUAGGUAAAAUGGAUCAUUUAGGAGCUAAUCUAGGUAAAAUGGGUCGUUUUUUAGCUAACUUGGAUGAACUGCAUCAUUUAUAAGCUAACCUAGGUAAAAUGGGUCAUUUUGGAGGAAAAGAAGCUAACUCUAGGUCAUUAUGGUAAGCAUAUUGGAGGAAAUAAAGCUAAAUCUAGGUCUUUAUGCAUUUGUUAAGCAAAACACUAGAGAAACUUACCGUGAUCAGGGAGGUGUAGGAGCGGGGUGGCUAGUGCCGCUACCUGGAGAAGGAUCGUGUGAUGCGUUUCUGGAGUUAAGCUGCACCAAAGAUCAUUUCCAAUGUCUCGUUAGCAUUAUGACACUCAAAUGUUAAGACUAGCAAGUAAUGUCCAUUCAAAUUAAACUCACCGUGCUCCCAGGAGCAAUCACUGGCAUCGGCGGAGCGGGCUGACCGGACUUCUCGCACACAGACUGCACAUUUGGUUUUCACAACAGAGUCAUACUAGUUAGUAAUGAGACUCAAAUGUUAAGACUAGCAAGUAAUCUGCAGAAGAAACUUACCACAAGGAGCUCGUACAUGGCCCUUGCCUGCAUGUCAUUCCGUGCCCUCUCCUCCUCCAUCAUCUUUCUCGUCCUCUCCUCCAUCUCCCGCUGCCUCUCCGCCGCCUCCGCCAGAAGUUUCUCCGUUCUAUCUCUCUCAGUCUGUAUAGCAGCCUGCAACACCACUCACAUGACCAUUUGUAAUCAUUGAUGGAAGCGCACACAAUGUAAUGGAGAAAGAUAACUGAGUAUGUAUCACUAACCUUGAUGGCGAGUUGCACUGGCCAUUCACGAGGCCUUAUCUCAGGAGCGGAGCUCGACUGGCGCGCCUUGAUCUCCGAGAGAGUGCUAGGACAACGGAUAAGUCCAUCUCCAAUGGCUAUGGAGCCAUGGGACCUCCCGCCACCAGAUAUCAUCACCAGCUCUGGAUCAAUGGGACCCUGGCUCAGGUUAAAGUCCUCCCCUUUCCUCGCCUUCCCCUCAUCUCUAUAUCUCACGAGCUUGUUGUGGGAGGAGAUGUUGGUGAAGUUGUUUGCAUCAUCGAGGUCAGACUGAGAGAAAGCCUUGGCUUUCUUGAAAGAGGCAGUGUGGGCCAUGGCAUACAGGUCGUACACCUCUGGCACCUUAUCCGCCUUAUUGUGGCGUGCCUGAAAGAGAGAAACAAUGAAAAUUAGUAAUUAAAGGGCUCAAGCUAGCAUGAUGAAUGAAUUGCAUGAAUCAUGAAGCAAACCACAUACCCAGUUGCGCCCGAACUGAUAUAAGUUGGAGCUGCCUUGAUGGUGUGGCACACCUUCCAUUUGGGCACGUUUGUCCUUGGCCUCAUUGUGGAGGGCUAGCCAUUCUUUUGAGCACCACUCAAUAGAAACUUGAGCGCUACGGCUAAGAAUUACUAAAUGAAGGAACUUAAGUAGAAGGCAUUAAGAAUUACCUUCAUGUACUGCUCCUUACUCAGGAACUUAUCGCGGCACGCCGGCUUGGUCUUCUUGAUACCACGCAAGGCGUAGUAGUCUCGAACAGCCUGCACCCGAGCCUCGUGCCGUAAGUUCUGGAGUAGGCGCUUGCAGACAUUCUCGAUAACAUGUGCCGCGUCCUCCUCGUAUCCCUCCUCACACAUGUAGAAUGUCUGCAAUCAAAUGAGACAAUAUUGAUUAGUACAAUUAAUAACUAGCUAGUUGAAGAUUUUUAAAUGUGUAAAGGAGAAAUUACCCAGAACUUUCUGAUCACCAGGUCUGCCCUCGUGUCGCACACGACACCAUCGAUAAUCUCAUCCGGCGGGGCCGGGGCAGCCACGUAGUGCUCCCAGCUCAAUCCAAGCUCUGGAAGCCUACCCUCACCAGGCAACGUGACAAACCCCGGGAAGUUUUGCCGGCAAAGAACUCCAAGGACGGAGUUGGGCCGGCGGACACUAUGAUGGUGGUCCCAACCCCUGCAGCAUGACAAGGCCAACGCAUUAGUUAUUUGAAGAAACGUGAAUGCAGAAGGUACAAAAAUAUUAAAUGCACUUACGUACCUCUCCCCAUCAGGGAAAAUCAACCACCUCUACUCGCGGGUCGCCGGCACGGACGGGACCCGUGUAGCACCACGCUGGUAGACGGUGCCCCCCUCCUCCUCAAGAUCAGUUGGCUCCCCGCCAUCAUCAGCAUGGCCACUCGGCUCCUCGGGCUGAUCCGGCCAGGUACCCCAUCCGGACGUGUGCUCCUCCGGGGUCUCGUGGGCCGAACUCUCGUGGGCCGAAGGCCAAUCGACCCGAGGCUCGUGGGCCCAAGACCCGUGGACCGAAGGCUCGUGGACCGGAGUCCGUGUAGCCUCCUCCUCGGACGAGUCCACCCUAGCAGUCACGCGCUCGGGUGAAACAGCUGGGGGUGGCGGCGAGGAAGGCGUCGUAGCAGUCACCCUACCUCCUCUCCCGCGACCACGUGCCCCACCUCCUCUCUUCCUACCUCGUCCCCUGCUGGGCACCGCGGUCGACGAAGAAGGGCCCGGCGGUGUGGCCAUACUGUCCAGCAACGCUCGGCGGAGAGGUGCGUCUGGAAUGGAAGACCUCAGACCACGCGCCGACGAAGAAGGGGCCUUGGCGCGCUCCCGACCAGCGCCCACCAUCUUUCAACACCUGCCAUGACAAACAGUAAACGAAAUUAGUACAACAUAAAAAAAAGACCGACAUGAAUAAUAAUAUGUGUAUCACUUAAGUGUAUCAUCAUCAAGUACAACAUUAAAAAAUUUAAUACCUGACACUACUAAUAAUCUCGAUCAGUAUCAUCAAUAAAUGCAUAAUCAUCAUCAUCACUAUAAUCAAUGACGGGCUCAUAGGGUUCAGUGGCAUCAACAUGUGGAAGGCCACCUUGACGUAAUCGGUCAAGCAAUGAUAGGUCAUCCGCAGCAGUAACCUCUUCUUGUUCUGGCUCUUCUUGUUCCUCCUCUGGGGUGAUGUCGGAUUCACUGUCGCUGUCUACUUCAAUGUUUUGGGGUGAAGUAUAGCGGUUCUUGAAACGCUUUUUGGAAAGACGUGUCUCUUGGAAGAAUUCUCCUUCAUAUGUGUCUGGGUUAAUGUGAGGUUCAUAAUCCUCUUCCUUUGGGGGAGAUAGUCUAGCACAUGGCGGCACUUCAUAAACGACAUCCCAACCUUUCAGAUUUGGAUUAGUUUGGCAGGCCCACGGUAGAUAGAAUACUUGGGUCGCCUGUUGAGCCGUAAUAUAGACAUCAGGAACAUCUAAAUGGGUGCUUUGGUUGAUUUCAACUAGCCCUAUAUGUUCAUGAGUCCUUCUAGUCUCCUUCGGCUGAAACCAAUAACAUUUGAAGACUACGACAUUCGGUGGGUUUUCACCAUAGAAUAGAAGUUCAUAAAUUGCUUCAACUCUCCCAUAAUACUCGGUACCUCCUUCGCCGAUAGCAGAUACACAACAAUUUUUAGACUUUCGGUCGGCCAUAGAUAGCUCUUUGCCAUAGGUAUGAAAGCGAUACCCGUUGAUGUCGUAUUUGUCAAAUGAACGGACCUUAUAGUCAAAACCAUUAGCGGCUUGUCUCAAUUCGGCGUCCAUAGACUCUGAAUUAGCCUACAAGUUUAAUAUGAAAGGAUUGUUGCAUUACGCACAAAUUAGAGACUGAAACCGGGAUAGCCGCCUACAAAUUAGCCUACAAGUCUAAUAGAAAUUACCGUUUGUUUGAACCAAGAGAUGAAACCGGGAUAGCCGCCUCCUUGCUUUGCGAGAAGCUCAUACUCUUCGACAGAAUCCUUUUGGAUCACCGCUCCAUACGAGAAUAAGGCGACGUAUCGACUGUAUGAAAUAUCCAGGAAUAAGAUCAGUUCAAAGGAAAUAGAAGUUGCGAAACUAUGUACCGAGAACUUACUCGAUGUACGGCCGCACUUCUAUCAGGUUGUUGAAGAUAUACAACGAAAUGGUCCGCCAUUGUUCGUUAUCCAAAGAUACUGGAUUUGAAACACUGGCUGGUGCGAGAUUCCCUUUGAAUAGGCUGAGGUUGGAUCCACCCUCUUUAGGGUCGUCAGCAUUGUACCGAGGCUUCGGAUUAUGCAAAUGACGAUUUUUGGCUUCGUAGUGUGCUGUCACGAAGUUUGCCGCCUCCUCAGUGAUGAAUGCCUCAGCCAUCGAUGCUUCAAUUCUACGUUUAUUUUUACAUUUUUGUCGAAGCGUCUUCUGCAUCCUCUCAGUUGGGUAGCACCAACAAUUUUGCACGGGCCCCCCCCCCAAUCUUGCCUCGGUCGGGAGAUGCAAAAUCAAAUGUUGCAUUGGAUUAAAGAAGCACGGUGGAAAGAUCUUCUCUAACUUGCAGAUCAACUCUGGCGCCAACUCUUCCAUUUCUUCUAGCACGCCAGGAGAUAGUUCUUUCGCAUAAAGAACACGGAAGAAAUAGCUGAGUUCUGCCAGUACUAGCCAUUCAUCCUCAGGGAUGAAGCCACGCAACAUCACCGGCAUUACCCGCUCAAUCCAUAUGUGCCAAUCAUGACUCUUGAGACCAAAUAUCUUCAAUUUAUCAAGACUGGCUCCCCUCUGUAGAUUCGCUGCAUACCCAUCGGGGAACAUCAACUGCAUUUUCACCCACAAGAUAAUUUCCCUCAUAGCUGGCCUUCCAAGAUUGAACCAUGCCUUUGGCUUCGUCCAGUUCUGCUUUCCUUUCGGUUAUUUCAUGUUUUGUAACGGCCUAUCACAUAGCGCCUCCAGAUCGACUCUAGCCUUAGUAUUAUCCUUUGACUUCCCAUCUAUGCCGAACAAUGUACCAAAAAGUGCCUCGGCGAUAUUCUUCUCAGUGUGCAUCACGUCGAUGUUGUGUGGGCAAAGGAGGUCUUUGAAGUAAGGCAGAUCCCAUAAGCAUGUUUUGUGAGUCCAGGCGUGCUUAGAAUUAUACCCCUUGAAGUACCCUGGACGCUCUGGAUCUGGCUCGAGAGCGUUUAACUGAUCCAGGGUCUGUUGGCCUGUCAAUGCAUGUGGUGCAGAGUUUUUGACAACUCUACCUCUGAUGAAGUUCUUCUUGUCUUUCCUGAACUUAUGGCGAGGAUUCAGGAACUGUCUAUGCAUGUCGAAGCAAGAAAACUUGCGACCGGCCUGAAGCCAACGAAACUCAAGAGCUCCCUUGCAUGUGGGGCACGGGAACCUUCCAUGCACACACCAGCCAACGAAUAGCGCAUACACCGGCAAGUCAUGCGUCGAGUACAUGUACCAGACACGCAUUAUGAAGUUCCGUUUGCUAUAGGCAUCGUAUGUCUUGAACCCAUUAUCCCAGGCUUCUUGCAAUUCGUCCUUAAGCGGUUGCAUGUACACAUUCAUAUUUUUCCCCAGAUAGUUGGGCCCUGGAAUUAUCAACGUCAGGAAAAUGUUCUUUCUUUGCAUAAUCUGUCCGGGGGGGAGAUUGAGUGGAAAGACAAAUACGGGCCAAACAACUGUAUUGGGCUGCCGUCAUACCAAACACACUGAACCCAUCCGUGCUGAUGCCGACUCGAGGAUGCCUCGGAUCUGCCGCUUUGUCACCAUGUAAUUCAUCAAACUUUUUCCACGCAACACCAUCCGAUGUGUGUACAAUCAUCAGAUUCCCAUCUGCAUCUAGUUCGGUUUUUUUGCCCGUUUUGUGCCAUGUCAUCUGUCUGGCCGUCUCUUCGACCAUGAAAAGACGUUGAAGUCUUGGUACGAUUGGCAUAUACCGAAGAACACUAACGGGGAUUUUGGUCUGUGUCUUCUCACCCAUACCGUUGUCUACCACAACAUACCUGGAAGACUUGCAAAUGGGACAAUAGUUCAAGUCCGCAUAGUCAAGCCUAAACAAGACACAUCCUUUCUCACAGGCAUGUAUCUUAUCAUAGGGCAUCUUCAGUGCACGGAGGAUUUUGUCCGACUGGUACAGGUUUGCAGGCAUUACAUGGCCUUUGGGUAGAAAGCGUCCAAAUACUGUCAUCAUUGCAUCGUAGCAUUCUCUGCCCAAGUUGAACUGAGCCUUCAAAGCCAUUACUUGUGAGAUGGCAUCCAACUGACAAAGCUCAGUGUGCUCAUGGAGCGGACGUUUUGAAGACUCCAACAUUUCAUUGAAGGCCUUUGCAGAUUCCUCCAUCUCCUCGUUCGAAUCCCGAGCAUCAUCGAAGUCUUGCACCAUGUUUUCCAUCCCGGUACCAUGCUCGUCGGUGCGACGACGAUCCACCUCAGCUCGGUCACGUUGGGCAGACUCACCAUGAAAUGUCCACACCGUAUAAUCGGGCGUAAAACCACUCUUCUGCAGGUGUUUGCCCAUUUCAGCCUCUGUCCUCUUUUCCCAAUUGCCGCACCAUAAACAGGGGCACCAGGUUUCCUCUGGCCGUUUGCAAAUGCGGCUCGCACAAACCCCUUGGUUUUUGUGAACCAUUCAGUGCUCCAUUUGUUCUGACCAGUGUGACCGGUGUACAUCCACGCACGAUCACUCAUCUUGACUUUCAGAGCUACUAGACACACAACAAAUAUAUAUAUAUAAUUCACCAUGUAUAUAUUCAUCAGUUUAUCUACUUUGUCAAUUUUAUUACGUCCAUGCAACCUACACUCUAAUAGGUAAUGAUAGGUCCUAAUCCCACCCGAGUAUGUUUAGAUUGGGUUCAUUUUCCCAUGCUAUGCUCCGGAUCCUACGCAAAAUUUCGGCAGCACCUCCCCGCUGUUCUCCUGAUACACGUCUCUGCAAUAAACAGAGAGGAUGUGUACCCGGAGAACAACAGGGGAGGCACUGACAAAAUUUAUGCGUCGGAUCCGGAGCAAAGCAUAUGGGAAAACGAACCAAAUCUAAACAUACUCGGGCUGUCCAUGGAUAGCGUUGGACAAUUCGAAAGAAUCAAGGUUAUAAAUAUGCAAAUGCAUGCAUAUUUAUAACUAUGACGCUUUCGAACGGGAGACACAUAUUGGUUACGCAUAUUGAUGAUUCAAGACACAUAUAUAGCUAGCUAUCAAGUUUCAUCGGAAUAGAUCAAAUAAUUAAUGGGGGAGGAGGACAUGUCAUUUGUGCUCACCCACGAACGAAGGGGCAGAGCUCGUCAAACGCACGGCGAGGUCGUCUAACACCAAACCUCGCAGCGAUGAAACAACUGCACAUUUAAAACUACCCGAUCAACACAAUUAUAUAUGAUGUUUUUCAUAACAAAAUCGAAAGAUAUAUGACCUAACUAAUAAUUCACAAAUAUAUGACCCCGUCGGCUUCUGGAAGGCCAAAGAACACCUUUUCGGGAGGUGUCGGGGGUCGGGGUGUCGUGUCGGUCUCGGGGUGCCGUGUCGGGGUCGGGGUCGGGGUCUCGGGGUCGGGGUGUCGGGUCGGGGUGNNNNNNNNNNNNNNNNNNNNNNNNNNNNNNNNNNNNNNNNNNNNNNNNNNNNNNNNNNNNNNNNNNNNNNNNNNNNNNNNNNNNNNNNNNNNNNNNNNNNNNNNNNNNNNNNNNNNNNNNNNNNNNNNNNNNNNNNNNNNNNNNNNNNNNNNNNNNNNNNNNNNNNNNNNNNNNNNNNNNNNNNNNNNNNNNNNNNNNNNNNNNNNNNNNNNNNNNNNNNNNNNNNNNNNNNNNNNNNNNNNNNNNNNNNNNNNNNNNNNNNNNNNNNNNNNNNNNNNNNNNNNNNNNNNNNNNNNNNNNNNNNNNNNNNNNNNNNNNNNNNNNNNNNNNNNNNNNNNNNNNNNNNNNNNNNNNNNNNNNNNNNNNNNNNNNNNNNNNNNNNNNNNNNNNNNNNNNNNNNNNNNNNNNNNNNNNNNNNNNNNNNNNNNNNNNNNNNNNNNNNNNNNNNNNNNNNNNNNNNNNNNNNNNNNNNNNNNNNNNNNNNNNNNNNNNNNNNNNNNNNNNNNNNNNNNNNNNNNNNNNNNNNNNNNNNNNNNNNNNNNNNNNNNNNNNNNNNNNNNNNNNNNNNNNNNNNNNNNNNNNNNNNNNNNNNNNNNNNNNNNNNNNNNNNNNNNNNNNNNNNNNNNNNNNNNNNNNNNNNNNNNNNNNNNNNNNNNNNNNNNNNNNNNNNNNNNNNNNNNNNNNNNNNNNNNNNNNNNNNNNNNNNNNNNNNNNNNNNNNNNNNNNNNNNNNNNNNNNNNNNNNNNNNNNNNNNNNNNNNNNNNNNNNNNNNNNNNNNNNNNNNNNNNNNNNNNNNNNNNNNNNNNNNNNNNNNNNNNNNNNNNNNNNNNNNNNNNNNNNNNNNNNNNNNNNNNNNNNNNNNNNNNNNNNNNNNNNNNNNNNNNNNNNNNNNNNNNNNNNNNNNNNNNNNNNNNNNNNNNNNNNNNNNNNNNNNNNNNNNNNNNNNNNNNNNNNNNNNNNNNNNNNNNNNNNNNNNNNNNNNNNNNNNNNNNNNNNNNNNNNNNNNNNNNNNNNNNNNNNNNNNNNNNNNNNNNNNNNNNNNNNNNNNNNNNNNNNNNNNNNNNNNNNNNNNNNNNNNNNNNNNNNNNNNNNNNNNNNNNNNNNNNNNNNNNNNNNNNNNNNNNNNNNNNNNNNNNNNNNNNNNNNNNNNNNNNNNNNNNNNNNNNNNNNNNNNNNNNNNNNNNNNNNNNNNNNNNNNNNNNNNNNNNNNNNNNNNNNNNNNNNNNNNNNNNNNNNNNNNNNNNNNNNNNNNNNNNNNNNNNNNNNNNNNNNNNNNNNNNNNNNNNNNNNNNNNNNNNAGGAGAGAACGGCGAGGAGAGAACAGAGUAACGGGCGGGGGGUACGGGCCGUUAGGUAGUGCCCUCUUUGCCGUCCGCCUCUCUUUGCCGUCCGCCCUUUUGCCUCUUUGCCGUCUGCUGGCAGACGGCAAAGAGGUGGGUCGUUAAGUUUUUCCCAAACGGGCGGGGGGUGGGGCCACCUCUCUCUUUGCCGUCUGCCAGCGGACAGCAAAGAUUCUUUGCCGUCUGCUGGCGGACGGCAAAGAGCUCGCAGAUGGCAAAGAGCUUCUUUGCCGUCUGCCAUUUCUUUGUCGUCUGCUUUUGGGUAGCUGAUGGCAAAGAGCUUCUUUGCCGUCAGCUAGCAGACGGCAAAGAGCUGGCAGAUGGCAAAUUAGCUGAUUCCAGUAGACAGGGGGUGCACCCUGGACCCUUAUGGCCAGGUGCUUGCCCCCCUGCUAUGUUCCCAGUGCCUAAAAUCCUCAAAUAUUCCAGACAAAAUCAAACUAAAUUGGCAGGGCAUUUGGAGCACUUUUAUUUUCGGGAUAUUUUUUAUUGCAUGGAUAAUUCAGAAAACAGACAGAUAAUACUAUUUUUGCUUUAUUUAUUCUAAAUAACAGAAAGUAAAAAGAGGGUACAGAAGGUUGUGCCUUCUAAUUUCAUCCAUCUCAUGAUCAUCAAAAGGAAUCCACUAACAAGGUUGAUCAAGUCUUGUUAACAAACUCAUUCCGAAUAACAUGGAAUCGGAGAAAUUUCGAAUAACACUAAGUUACCUCAACAGGGAUAUGAACAUCCCCAACAAUAAGAAUAUCAUAUUUUUUCUUGACAGUAGGAAGAGGAAAUUCAAAACCUCCAAUAAUAAUAGUUGGACUUUUUCCAAUAGAAUUGAUGCUAUGAACUUGAGGUUGUUUCCUCGGAAAGUGUACCGUAUGCUCAUUUCCAUUAACAUGAAAAGUGACAUUGCCUUUGUUGCAAUCAAUAACAGCCCCUGCAGUAUUCAAAAAAGGUCUGCCAAGGAUAAUCGACAUACUAUCGUCCUCGGGAAUAUCAAGAAUAACAAAGUCCGUUAAGAUAGUGACAUUUGCAACUACAACAGGCACAUCCUCACAAAUACCGACAAGUAUAGUAGUUGAUUUAUCAGCCAUUUGCAAAGAUAUUUCAGUAGGUAUCAACUUACUCAAUUCAAGUCUACGAUAUAAAGAGAGAGGCAUAACACUAACACCGGCUCCAAGAUCACAUAAAGCAGUUUUAACAUAAUUUCUUUUAAUGGAGCAUGGUAUAGUUGGUAACCCUGGAUCUCCAAGUUUCUUUGGUAUUCCACCCUUAAAAGUGUAAUUAGCAAGCAUGGUGGAAAUUUCAGCUUCCGGUAUCUUUCUUUUAUUUGUAAUGAUAUCCUUCAUAUACUUAGCAUAAGGAUUUACUUUAAGCAUAUCAGUUAAGCGCAUACGUAAGAAAAUAGGUCUAAUCAUUUCAGCAAAGCGCUCAAAAUCCUCAUCAUCCUUUGUCUUGGAUGGUUUAGGAGGAAAAGGCAUGGGUUUCUGAACCCAUGGUUCUCCUUCUUUACCAUGCUUCCUAGCAACGAAGUCUCUCUUAUCAUAACGUUGAUUCUUUGAUUGUGGGUUAUCAAGAUCAACAGCAGGUUCAAUCUCUACAUCAUUAUUAUUGCUAGGUUGAGCAUCAACAUGCACAUCAUCAUUAGCAUUAUCACUAGGUUCAUGUUCAUCACCUGAUUGUGUUUCAGCAUCAGAAAUAGAAAUAUUAUUAGGAUUCUCGGGUGUGUCUACAACAGGUUCACUAGAAGCAUGCAAAGCCCUAUCGUUUUCUUUUUCUUCUUUUUAGAAGGACUAGGUGCAUCUAAAUUAUUUCUCUGAGAAUCUUGCUCAAUUCUCUUAGGGUGGCCUUUAGGAUACAAAGGUUCCUGAGUCAUUCUACCAGUUCUAGUAGCCACUCUAACAGCAUAGUCAUUAUUCUUACUAUUCAAUUCAUUAAGCAAAUCAUUUUGAGCUUUAAGUAUUUAUUCAGCUUGAGUGGUAACCAUAGAAGCAUGUUGUCGGAGUAAAUGACCACGGGUAGCCAAACCAACUCCCCCUGGCUCUUUGAAAAAUUAUCGGGCCGAUCGAGCCUUCAAGCACCCAAAGCACAGGGCCGCCUUCCCCUGGCUGGCUGUCUCACGGACCGACUACUGGAAGACGGCCGGGCCCUAAAAACCCUCCCGAAGAGAGCCACAAGAAGGCCGACUCCAAGAAGCCGGCCACAAGAGGACCGACUCCCAGAAGCCGGCCACAAGAGGACCGACUCCCAGAAGCCGGCCACAAGAAGACUGGCUCCCGGCAAGCGGCCAAGAUUGCACCCUCAAGGGCUGCACCCACAUAACAGUGACGAGACGGGGCAUGGCUACAGUACAGCCUGCCACCCCCGAAUCCCGGAGCACGCCUGGCCACAGUGCACCGUACGGCACGGCACUGUUGCCAUGUUGACCAUGACGCCACCCAUGACAGGCUGUUAGUACGGCCCGCGGGCGGCGGGCCCCUUCAGCCAGAGAUAUGCUCGAAGACGGCCAAGCCUCCCCCAGUCGGCCUGGGGUGUAGCCGGCUCCCAAUAGCCGGCUACCUCCCUCCCUCGAAGUAUGUGCCUCAUUAAGGAGACAAGACGAGGUAAGGCUACAGUGAGAGCCCGCCAGACGGCGGCACUGUAGCCAUGCUUACCUCGGCAAAGCCCUCGUCAUCAGGGGCGAGGCUACAGUAACCAGCCGCUGGCAAGACCCCCAGGCGGUGGGGCCGGCCUGUCGGCCAAGAGGCCGGCAGCCGGUGGGACCCACCAGUCGGCGGGCCCCAGCGGCCGGCGGAGAAGCAGGCAAAUACAGACACUGACGGCUAGGACCCGCGUCCGGCCAGAUUACCAUUGUAACCCUAGGGGUAGGCCUAUAUAAACCCCCCGGGGCACCCAUGCAAAGGGUUGAUCUCUUAGAGUUUUAGACACCACAUAGAGAGAAGAGGAGAGCUAGCCUUGCCCUUCUUCUUCCUCUAGCCAAACAGAUCAAGGAGCCACUUGUAGCCACUUGUGUUGAUCUAGUGAUCAUGCGGAGACCCCGCAGAGCAGGACUAGGGGAGUUAUCUCCACGGAGAGCCCCGAACCUGGGUAAGAUUCGCCGGCGUGCAUGUCUUCGCCUUAUCCCGUUUCCAGGCACCGGCGAUGUCUUACUGGCUCCCACAAUGAUAAGCCACCCGUUGGCAGAUGUCGCACCUACCACCCGACAUUUGGCACCCACCAUGGGGCCAGGUGCACCGUCGUCCGGAGACCUAUUCUGGACGGGAACCCUUUUCCUUCCCAGCGAGCGUAGCCAGCCCGGCACGCCCGAUGGCGCUUGCCCCGACACGCUGCAAGGCGUCGAUGACGCCUGCGCGGCGAGCUGCCUCGCCGAUCUUCUUGGCGAGGCUCGCAUCUCCGACGAGCCUGCGUCCGACGCGGGCACAGACUGCCCCAAGAGCCGCCUCGUCAACCACCUCGACCAGCUUCACGUCUCCAGCGAGCCUGCUGCGGACUUGGAGUCGGUCGGCUCCACCGACCCGAUGCUUGUCGACUCCGACACGGCAUCGCUUGACGCCUUCCCCACCAACGUGGUGAUCAUCGACGACCCUCUUCCUCGAGCCGACAGUGGUAGCGGCGCUGUCACUGAGGUGCUGGUCAUCAGCCACGGCGCCACCUCAGGCGAGAACGCCCACGACGCCCUACAAACGGCGCUACACGACUUGUCCGCCCCCAUCUCGGCCGAUGCCGACGCCGAGACACUGGAGGCACGCCGCCUCGCCCUCAUCGCGGAGGGCCAGAAGAUAGCAUCCAUGAGACACCUCACUGAGGCUCAUCAGCGUGAAGUCGACCGCGCCGCCUUUGGUACGCCGCCUCCUGGCGGGCCGAGCCGAGCCGGCAUCGUCAAGAAGCGCGGUGCGGCCAUCGCUAGCAUGCUGGGAGCAGACCACCCAGUCUACGCCACGCCACUCGAGAACCUACGUGCCGCUCAGGCGGCCGUAGACGAGCUAAAUGGGCUGGGGGCCGACGAGCUCCCCUACAUGACUAGACGCAUCCAGCAGCUGAUCGACGUGGCCGCAGAGUGGCAUGAAGCCAGCGCCCGCGCUGAAAGUCCUCCCCCACGCCGAGAGCACGGCGCGACAUCCCGGACGCCGACUGCAGACGUUGCCCGCGCAAGAAAAGACAAGGAGCCGGCUGCUAGCCGCAGUCGGACUCGGCUCACCAUCGAGCGCGACGCAGAAGGCCGCCCCCGAGCUGUGGAACGACGAGACGAUCCGCCUCCUCCCCCGCCUCGUGGGGAGAGAUAUCCCACCCCGCCGCCUGUUACGCAUCCGACUCUCGGCGGCCGACUAGGCCACCGCGAAGGAGUCGGCGAGAAUGACGCCCGCCACCGGAUUGACCGCCUAGCGCGAUCCAUGGCGCUAGAAGAAGAAGAUGAUGUUGGCCCGCCUUGCUUUGGCCCCCGCAUCCGCGACGAACCCUUCCCCAAAGGGUUCUCACUCCCAAGAGACACGCCAAAAUACAACGGCUCCCUGAAGCCGGAAGACUGGUUGACCGAUUACUCCACCGCAGUCCGCAUAGCGAACAGCAACAGGCGCAUUGCCGUGAAGUACGUCCCGCUCAUGCUUCAAGGCACGGCACGCACUUGGUUGAACAACCUCAAGCCCUACAGCAUCAACAGCUGGCUAGACUACACGGAAGUCUUCAUCCGCAAUUUCACCAGCACGUACAAGCGGCCUCCCAAGCCCUGCCAGCUCUCCUUGUGCAUCCAAGGGCCCAGCGAAUCAACUCGCGACUACCUCACGCAUUGGGCCGAGCUCCGCAACUCCUGCGAAGGGGUGCACAAGGUUCAAGCCAUAGAGUACUUCACCGCCGGGUGCCAAGAGGGCGCCCUCCUCAAGCACCGGCUCCUCUGCGACGAGCCGACUACCCUCGACGAGCUGCUGAUCAUAGCAGACAAGUACGCCAUGGCCGACUCUUCAAUGAAGACCGAGCUUCGAGUGGAUGCCUCUGGAAAGAUGCUCGCUCCAAAUCCCAAGACGCCGGCUGGUGACUCCAAUCGACGCCCUUACCAGAACGACAACAAGCACAAGGCCCCUAUGCCGCCUUCCACCAGUCGGCAACUAGCCACAGUCGAAGGCGAACAACCUGAAGGGCGGCCCAUGCCCAAGAAGCAGAAGGGCAGCAGGCCGGCCUGGCAGUCGGCUUUCUCCUACGAGCAAACCCUUGAUGCCCCCUGCAAGUUCCACAGCGGCGCAAAGCCGUCCAAUCACACGACCCGGAAGUGCCAUUGGCUCACGCGGAUCUCCAAAGGCGAAGGGCUGGUGCCGCCUCCACCUGCUGGCCAGCCACCUCCAGCCCCUCAGCAGCCGGCUGCUCGACCAGCAGUCGGAGCCAUUCAAGACGAGUUCCCGGAAGAGCACGCCGCCUAUGUCGUCUUUACAAGCCAAACUGAAGACAGGCGCAGUCGGCACCGACAACACCAAGAAGUCAACGCGGUCGCCUCUAACAACCCAGAGUUUAUGCAUUGGUCUGAGAAGCCUAUCAGCUGGAGCCGGGCCGAUCACCCAGAGGUGCUGCCGUCUCCCAGCUCUUAUGCGUUGGUGUUAGACGCCACCCUCGCGACAGAAAGGCGAGCUGCCCGUUUCUCCCGUGUACUGAUUGACGGCGGGAGCAGCAUCAACAUACUGUACCGCGAUACCAUGGAGAAGCUGAACAUAAAGACGAAGCAACUCAUGCCAAGCCGGACUGUGUUCCAUGGCAUCGUACCCGGCCUGUCCUGUUCACCAAUAGGCAAGAUCAAGAUAGAUGUCCUCUUCGGAGACAAGGAUCACUUCCGCCAAGAAGCAGUCUGGUUCGAAGUGGUGGAUCUAGAGAGCCCUUACCACACGUUGCUUGGUCGAGCUACCCUGACCAAGUUCAUGGCUGUGCCCCACUACGCCUACCUCAAGAUGAAGAUGCCAAGUUCGAAGGGGAUCAUCACCAUAGCCGGAGACUACAAGAAAUCCUCUGAGUGUGCUGCAGCCAGCAGCCGGCUGGCCGAGUCCCUCGUGAUUGCUAAAGAAAAAAAGAUGCUGGAACGAGUCAUGGCCAUGGCCGGCAAGCAGCCGGCCCUAUCCCCUGACCCCAAGGAAUAUGAUGCUCAAGGCUCCUUCCAGCCGGCCAAGGAAACAAAGAAGAUACCUCUGGACCCAGAGAACCCGGAGAGGUUUGCCGUCAUUGGAGCAAACCUGGACAGCAAAUAGGAAGGCGAGCUCGUCGAUUUCCUCCGUGAGAAUCGGGACAUCUUUGCAUGGUCCCCAAAGGACAUGCCGGGUGUUCCUAAGGAUUUCGCCGAGCACAAGCUACACGUCCAAGCAGACGCAAAACCAGUGAAACAACCUCUCCGCGACUGUCGGAGGAAAAGAGAAGGAUCGUAGGAGAAGAGAUAGCCCGGCUUCUGGCAGCCGGCUUCAUUAUGGAGGUGUUUUUUCCAGAGUGGCUUGCCAACCCGGUCCUUGUAUUGAAGAAAAACAAUAAAUGGCGCAUGUGUAUAGAUUAUACCAGCCUCAACAAAGCCUGCCCCAAAGAUCCGUUUGCCUUACCUCGAAUCGAUCAAGUGAUAGACUCCACAGCCGGAUGCGAGCUGUUGAGUUUCUUGGAUGCUUACUCAGGCUACCAUCAGAUCAAGUUGGAUCCAGCCGACCGCCUGAAGACCGCCUUCAUCACACCAUUCGGAGCUUUCUGCUACCUGACUAUGACAUUUGGCUUAAGAAACGUCGGUGCCACUUUUCAGCGUUGCAUGCAGAAAUGCCUCCUCAAGCAACUCGGCAGAAAUGCCCACGUCUAUGUAGACGAUAUUGUGGUGAAGACGGAGAAGCACGGCACCCUGCUGGAAGACCUCAGAGAGACAUUUGACAACUUGCGCCAGUUUCAGAUCAAGCUCAACCCUGAGAAAUGCGUGUUCGGAGUACCAGCCGGCCAGCUUCUAGGCUUCUUGGUCUCCGAACGCGGCAUCGAGUGCAACCCAGUGAAGAUCAACGCUAUAAAGAGAAUGGAGAUUCCUACCAAGCUGCGAGACGUCCAAAAGUUCACCGGGUGCCUGGCCUCCCUGAACCGCUUCAUCAGCCGGCUAGGAGAGAAGGCUCUCCCCCUGUAUCGACUCAUGAAAAAGUCCACCCACUUCGAGUAUAACGACCAAGCAGACCAAGCUUUUCACGAGUUGAAGAAGAUGCUGACCACGCCACCUGUCUUGGCGGCACCGACUGAGAAAGAGCCCAUGCUCUUUUACAUUGCCGCGACCAGCCGAGUGGUCAGCACAGUUAUUGUGGUCCAACGCCCAGAAGAAGGCCGGGCUCAGUUAGUCCAGAGGCCGGUGUAUUAUUUGAGCGAAGUACUGUCCACCUCGAAGCAAAACUACCCGCACUACCAGAAGAUGUGCUAUGGAGUAUACUUUGCCGCCAAGAAGCUGAAGCCCUACUUUCAAGAGCAUCCCAUCACGGUCGUAUGUACUGCCCCGCUUGCCGAGAUCAUAGGCAGUCGGGAUGCAUCCGGCCGGGUGGCCAAGUGGGCCAUUGCGCUGGCUCCUUACACGAUCUUCUACCAGCCUCGCACCGCCAUCAAGUCCCAAGCAUUGGCCGACUUUCUUGUCGACUGGGCCGAGACCCAGUACCUACCGCCGGCUCCCGACUCCACUCAUUGGUGGAUGCACUUCGAUGGAUCCAAGAUGCGCACCGCCUUGGGAGCCGGCAUCGUCCUCACCUCUCCCAAGGGCGACAAACUCAGAUACACAUUGCAAAUUUAUUUUGCUUCCUCCAACAACGUGGCCGAGUACGAGGCGCUCAUACAUGGGCUCCGGGUAGCCAAAGAGCUCGGCAUCCGCCGGAUCCUGUGCUAUGGCGACUCGGAUUUGGUAGUCCAACAAUCAUCCGGCGACUGGGACGCCAAGGACGCAAACAUGGCGAGCUACCGAUUCCUUGUUCAGCAAAUCAGCGGAUACUUUGAAGGAUGCGAGUUCCUCCAUGUGCCUCGGGCCGACAACGAGCUAGCAGAUGCCCUGGCACGAAUCGGCUCCACCCGACAAGCUAUACCAACCGGUGUCUCUCUCCAACGCCUCCUCAAACCGUCUGUCAAGCCGUCUCCAGAAUCAGACUCCAUCUUCGUACCGCCUGACCCUGAUGCAGUCGGAUCCGACUUGGGGAACCCAGCAGGCGGCUCGGGGACUUUGACAGGCGGCCCGGGGACUACCGUAGUCGCAUCCGGCUCGGGGACUUCAGAACCCGGCCCGGGGACUGCAGCAGUCGGCCCGGGGACUGCAACGACACAACAGGCGGUGGCCGAGUCCAACUCUUCACCACCCAACCCACCCACCCUGGUCGCAGUAGCCGUAUUGACAAUAGAAGAAGUCACAGCUCCAUCAUGGGCCCAACCCAUCCUCAACUUCCUGGUAAACAGAGAGCUGCCGACUGACGAGAUCUCGGCAAGACAAGUUCAACGCCAAGCCGGAGCAUACACAAUAAUAAACAGAGAACUCGUUAGGCGUAGUGUCACUGGAGUCAUCCAGCGCUGCGUCGAGCCAGAGAAGGGCAUAGCAAUCCUCAAGGACAUCCACCAAGGCGAAUGCGGCCACCAUGCGGCCUCAAGAUCACUUGUCGCCAAAGCUUUCCGCCAUGGGUUCUUCUGGCCGACUGCUUUGGAAGACGCCAAGGAAUUAGUCAAAUGCUGCAAAGGGUGCCAAGUCUUCAGCUCCAAGCAACACCUUCCGGCUUCUGCACUCAAGACCAUCCCCCUCACCUGGCCCUUUGCCGUCUGGGGAUUGGACAUGGUGGGCCCAUUCAAGACGGCGCGCAGCAGCAUGACACAUCUGCUUGUCGCCGUGGACAAGUUCACCAAGUGGAUUGAAGCGAAGCCAAUCAAGAAGCUGAACGGGCCGACUCCCGUGACAUUCAUCGCAGAUAUCACCACCUGGUAUGGCGUACCACACAGCAUCAUCAUCGACAAUGGCACGAAUUUUGCCAAAGGAGCACUGGCACGUUUCUGUGCGAUACAGGGCAUCCGACUGGACUUAGCGUCCGUUGCCCACCCGCAGUCAAACAGCCAAGUCGAGCAAGCAAACGGCCUCAUCGUCUCCAGCAUCAAGCCCCGACUGGUCGUACCACUGGAGCGUUCGGCCGGCUGCUGGCUCGACAAGCUGCCGGCCGUCCUCUGGAUUCUGCGUACUACCCCGAACAAGUCAACCGGCUUCACCCCUUUCUUCCUUGUAUAUGGUGUCGAGGCUGUCAUCCCAACUUACAUUGAGUUCGACUCACCUCGGGUCACCAUGUACACGGAGGCGGAGGCCAAGGAAGCGCGCGAAGACGGUGUUGACCUGCUGGAAGAGGGCCGGCUGUUAGCACUCAGCCGGUCCGCCAUCUACCAGCAGGGUUUGCGCUGUUACCACAACCGGAAGGUCAAGCCAAGAUCCUUCCAAGAAGGCGAUCUUGUGCUCCGGCUGAUCCAGCGAACAGCCGGCCAGCACAAGCUCUCGGCCCCUUGGGAAGGCCCCUUCGUCAUCAGCAAGGCCCUAGGCAACGACUCCUACUAUCUGAUCGACGCUCAGAAGCCGAAGGCACGCAAGAGAGAUGAUUCCGGCAAGGAGUCGGNNNNNNNNNNNNNNNNNNNNNNNNNNNNNNNNNNNNNNNNNNNNNNNNNNNNNNNNNNNNNNNNNNNNNNNNNNNNNNNNNNNNNNNNNNNNNNNNNNNNNNNNNNNNNNNNNNNNNNNNNNNNNNNNNNNNNNNNNNNNNNNNNNNNNNNNNNNNNNNNNNNNNNNNNNNNNNNNNNNNNNNNNNNNNNNNNNNNNNNNNNNNNNNNNNNNNNNNNNNNNNNNNNNNNNNNNNNNNNNNNNNNNNNNNNNNNNNNNNNNNNNNNNNNNNNNNNNNNNNNNNNNNNNNNNNNNNNNNNNNNNNNNNNNNNNNNNNNNNNNNNNNNNNNNNNNNNNNNNNNNNNNNNNNNNNNNNNNNNNNNNNNNNNNNNNNNNNNNNNNNNNNNNNNNNNNNNNNAGGAGCACUCGGGGACUACCAUCUUUUAUCUAUGUAUGACGAGCGUCAUACCUAUGAAUGUAUUACUACAUUUGUUUUUCUGUCCGGCACCGGGUUCGAUCAGUCGGCCCGGGGACUUGCCGCCUUGAGUUAUAUUAAAGUUCUACCUAUAGUCAGACAAGUAGUGUGCCGGCACCCAAGCCCUCUCUUGUUGAAAGUCGUAGCUCGAAGAAUCGACUGUCCAACUGGCAAGAGUCAAAGGCAGGAAAGGACACCCACAUGAAAAACGGCUAAGGACUAACGAACUUAUAUAACACAAGCUGGCCUCUCACCCCGCCAACCGGCUGUCAGAACAGCCGGCUGGCCGGUUUCCCAUUCACCUUGCUACAAUCUAAGAAAGCUAGAGUACUUGCCCUCCCAAAUGGCCAAGCCCUUCCCUAGCCACAGACUGCAGAGCAGCUGUCCGACUGGGAAGGCGGCGACCAAGGGAGGGCGGAAAAGGAAACAGCCAAAACGAUGAAAAGCAAAUACAAUCGGAAGCCAAGCACAUGCAUGAUUAUAUUUACACAAAAGGCCUUCGAAAGGCCGGCAUUCAACAUAGUUUGAAUACACCCCCAGUGUGUGGAACUGCGUAAACUUAACAAAUAAUGUUCAAAGAGUAAUAAACAGGAAAGCAAAGGUGGCGGAUCAGGCUAAAGGUGCAACAGGCGAGCCAGGCAGGUCAGUGGAGACGGCAGUGCUGGCUGGAGGAGUGGCCGGCUGGCGAGUCUCGGCUUGAUCAUCACUGGCUGCAGGCGGCGCGCUCGCACGCGCCUCGUUGCUGGAGGCACGAUUAAGCUGAGGCUGGCCGGUUGCUCCACCGUCUGGCACGGUGUCUUAACCAUCCUCUCCCUCCUCCUCUUCGCCCUCAUCGCUGGAGUCGAUCUCCUCCGCCGAGUCCUCACUAUCCGCUGGGUUCAGCCCAAACCACUCCUCCGGCUGAGCAACGCCGUCAUCAUCCACCUCAGGGGCAAAGGCACUGGUGUCGGUGUAGUCAGCGAUCGCCGAGGCACGCUGGAUGAUAGCCGGCCGCACCGCUUCCAGCUCCUCGUCGGCCUCCUGUCGCCAGGUGGCCAGCUGGUCCAAAUUCAGCUCAGGAUACCAAGCUCGGACGAACUCCAGCGCCCGCCUGGCGCCUGACCGAGCUGCAGAAGCUUUCCAGGCCUCAAAGCGGCCAACCGCUACCUCCAGCCAGUCGACAGUCCGACUGGGGGUACGGGGAACCACCUCACCGGGCCAGAGGGCAGCCAGCACUUGCGCCCCAACGCGCUGAAGACGGCGGAGCAUGCGGUGAGCCGGCUGGAGGCGGGCUUGGAUCGCCAGAAGCUGCUCCUCAAGCGACCGGCGAGCAUCCGACGCGAUCUCAGCUCCAGCCUGCCUUUGCGCCUUGCGGUGGGCCUCGAUGACUUGCCUGGCGGCAACGGAGUAACCAGGGAAGUACUCUGGACAAGUAAGAAAGGAAGAGAAAAAACACAAAGUCAGAAAAUGGACCAAAUGGCAGGCGGCAAGCAGAGGAACGAAGAAGAAGGUGGCCUACCGUCAACCAAAUCUUCGAUCUGUCCGUAGCCGUCGCUCAGCGAUUGCCUUGCCUCAGCCCAGCUCGCCGCCUCGGUCUCGUAUUCGGCUUGGAGGGCGGCCUCGCUGUCCUGCGCCGCCUUCAGGGCCGCCUUAUGGCUCUCCUCCUGGUCGGCCAGCUUCUUGACCAAGCGGUCAUGCUCCUGAGCCAAGGCGUUGCACUCGGCUUCCUUGGCGCCAAGGGCGGUCUGGGCCCCACCCAACUGCUCCCUCAGGUCGGCGUUGGCCUCUGCAGAUAUGGCAAAGAAGAAAAAAGCAAUAAGAAAGAAGUCGCGAGGAAAGAUCCGGCCCGACUGCUCAGCAGUCGGCCCGAAUCUCGGGGACUACACCCAGUGGGUGCGCUGACGCGUCCCCACGUGAGAUAAAAGAUGAAGCACUUACUCCGGCUCUUAGUCAGAUCAGUGGUCUUCUGGUUCGGCUCCUGGGCCUAGGAGUUGAAGGUAGCCGCGCGGAGGUUGUGAUAGUCCUGCAAAUAGGGCAGAGGAGCGGAUAAGAACAAGAUAGCAAUCGAAGUCUACUAAGAAGUUUCAAGCCGCCUGCUCAGCAGCCGACUCGGAACUCGGGGACUACACCUAGUGGGUGCGCUGACGCGCCCCCACGGAAGAAAUCAAGAACAAGAAACAAAAAAAGGGCGGGAAGACUCACCCGAAUGGCCGUCCGCGUCGCGAGGAACUCUUGAGUAUAUUGUUUCAGCGCGGUGGCCUGGGAUUGAAGCUGGUUCCGGACUUCUUGCGCCGCCACGUUCAGCACGGCCGUUCCACCACCCGGCGUCCACCCCGAGCUAGCGCUGGCCAUCUCCAGAUCCUGGGCCGACGAGCUAGAGCCCGCGGCCUUCUGCGGGUCCGGCGCCGAAGUCGCCUUCCCCGUGCGCUGGCGCGAUGGCGACCGGACCACAAGGUCUGCCCUCGCAGUCGGCUCGCCCCCAGCCGGUUGCACGAGCGGCACGCUAGGCCGGCUGCCUUGGUCUGCCCCAGUCGGCGAUGGUGGUGCCACCUCCCUGUCCCGGACGACGACGUCGUCCUCCUCCCUCCCCAUCCCUGGCUGGUCGCCACCGGCUUCCUCCGGCGGCGGCUCCGGGAUCUCGGGCGCCACCGCGCGCACGGGGACGACAAGCUGCGGAGGCCGGUUACAAAGGGCCUCCGCCGCCCUCUCUGCGGCUGCAGCCUCCGCCUGUGCCUUGGCCGCUGCGUCGGCUUGUGCCUCCGCUGACUCCUCCGCCGCCUUGGCAGCGGCCGCCCUUAGCUCCUCCGCCUCCUGCUACUCCCGCACCUCCCGCGCAUUCCGCUCCAUCACUACUUGAAGCUCGGCACGAGGUCCACGCGGCGGGCGCUUGCAGAACCUCCCGCCGCUCCAACCACGGAGGCAGCAGUGGUCCGCUCAAGAGAAAGCGGAGCCCUGUUUGAUAAGUCAAGACAAGGACUCAGAAGAAUAUCAACAAAAAAGAAGAAGGAAUACGCGAGAGAAUUGACACCUACGCCGAAACCAUUUAUGGCUGCUUCACCACCUUGCGGAAGCGAGCAGCCUUCACGGCUGCCUCGUCCUGCUUGGUCGCUGCCGCCGCGCUCUUGGGCUUCUUCGGCCGACUGCCGAAUAGGCUCGGCACGGCCCGGCGCUUCUGCACACCGCCUCGGGCAGUCGGCGCGGCAGAUGAACCCGCGCCAUGAUCGGACGCCGGCUGGCGGCGCGGGACGACUUCCGCCUCGUCAUCAUCCGGCCAGUCGUCGAAGAUGGCUCCAAGCCCGGAGCCGCCUGCCUCGCCGCCUCCCCCCACGGUCUCGUCGUCCAGAGCAGCCGCCCCCAAGUCGGGGUCGUCCAAGUCAUGCGUCGUUCAGUCGGGAAGAUAUUGGCGCUCCACCCCCGCUGCCCCGGCUGCCGGUCGAAGGAGGGGGCUCUGUCAAAACAAACCGACUGGUCAGAGUCGGCCAAGAGAAACUUGGUGACAAAGUAAAGAAGAGAAGAAAAAUAAAGCUUACCAUAGGCGGGGGAUUGGCACGGGAGUACGGCUCCUUGCCAAACUGCCACUCAUCGGUGAGCUUGCAGUUCGCAAGGUAGUUCAGCAUGUGAGCCACCUCUGCAUGAGGCAUCUCCUUGGUACACAGCCGACUCGGAUCGAGUUGGCCGCUCAUUUGACAAAUCAUAUGCGGGCGGCCUUGGAGCGGGAGCACCCGGUGUGCCACGAAGGCGGUCAGCAGGUCGGGCCCGGUCAGGCCCUCCGACUGGACCAUUAUCUGGAGUCAUGCGACGACGGCGGCUCCAGCGGGCGAUAGUGUUCUGGCCCGAUAGGACCAUUGGGGCCGCCUCCCAGCCGGCGGGCCGGCUACAUAAGCCGGCAAGUUGACGAAGUCGCCUUGCGGAGCGACGUUCUUCACAUAGAAGUAGGAUCUCUGCCAGAGCUUCACCGACUGGAUCAGCAUGAUGGGAGGAAAAGGGUUGUCGGCUACCGGCCUCCACACCGCGAUGAAGGCGCCGCUCUGAGCCGACACGCCCCUCAUGGCGGUACCGAGCUUGGACUGGAAGAAUUCCCCUCAGAGAUCGAGGGUGGGAAGGACGCCGAGGAAGCCCUCGCACAAAGUGACGAAGGCAGACAGCAGCACCACCGUGUUUGGAGUGAGGUGGUGCGGCUGGAGCUGGUAGAACUCGAGGAAGGAGCGGAAGAAGCCGCUCGCAGGCAGGCCGAGGGCGCGCAGGCAGUGCGAGCGGAAGAUUACCCGCUCGCCCUCCUCCGGCGCCGGCGAAAUCUCCCUCUCCGGCGCGAGACGGACCCGCACAUGAUCCCUGCUAGGCAACCGCCGCGUCUUGUGGAGGAAGUCGAUGUGGUCCGCGUGGACGUUGGAGCCAUCCCAGUCUCCGCCACGCGACAUGAGGGCGAGAAGCCGAGGAAAAGGGCACGGCGAUGGCGAAACCACGGCCCCGCGGCGGCGAAGCUGCGGGGUAGUGCGAUGACUAGAGGGCGGCGCGGCGGCGAGGGGCUGCAGCGACAGAGAGGAAGAAGAAGAAGAUGGCGGAGCGAGGGCGAGCGUGCGAGCGUCUGCCGCUCCUCCUCCUCCCCCUAUUUGUAGCCUCGUGCGGCAAAGCCGGGGAGGUGAGGCGUAGAGGGGACGUGGGAUUAACUACGCCCACUCCCCCACGUCCCAUGAUUAUUGCGCCCUAACGGCGUGCGGAAACUGCCGUUGGAAGGCGAAUGGCCCGUUUUGGGCCGCAGAAGAUCCACACCUAGGCCUAGGCGUGGAAGUGGUGGGCCCCGGCCUGCGGCGGCGUCCCGUCAUGCGCGUGGGCUGGCAGGCUCUUCCAGUCGGAGGGUGCCACGUGGCGCGCGGGCGGCAAGCGGCCGGCCCGCAACCCGGCAUGCGCGCCAGCUGGCUCCCGCCUUCAGACUUCAAAACCUCACCAAGACGGCGCACCUGAUCAAAGUCGGCUCCUAGCUGCUGGCUCUUCAAGAUAGGAAGCUGAUUGAGCUUCUCGUCCUCCUUUCAGCCUUGAAGCCCAACCAGCUUCGGGGACUACUGUCGGAGUAAAUGACCAUGGGUAGCCAAACCGACUCCCCUGGCUCUUUGAAAAAUUAUCGGGCCGAUCGAGCCUUUAAGCACCCAAAGCAUAGGGUCGCCUUCCCAUGGCCGGCUGUCUCACGGACCGACUACUGGAAGACGGCCCAGCCCUAAAAACCCUCCCGAAGAGAGCCACAAGAAGGCCGACUCCAAGAAGCCGGCCACAAGAGGACCGACUCCCAGAAGCCGGCCACAAGAAGACCGGCUCCCGGCAAGCGGCCAAGAUUGCACCCUCAAGGGAUGCACCCACAUAACGGUGACGAGACGGGGCGUGGCUACAGUACAGCCUGCCACCCCCGAAUCCCAGAGCACGCGUGGCCACAGUGCGCCGUACGGGUCGGCCAUCCCCCGUCCGGCACGGCACUGUUGCCAUGUUGACCAUGACGCCACCCACGACAGGCUGUCAGUACGGCCCGCGGGCGGCGGGCCCCUUCAGCCAGAGAGAUGCUCGAAGACGGCCAAGCCUCCCCUAGUCGGCCUGGGGUGUAGCCGGCUCCCAAUAGCCAGCUACCUCCCUCCCUCGAAGUAUGUGCCUCAUUAAGGAGACAAGACGAGGUAAUGCUACAGUGAGAGCCCGCCAGACGGCGGCACUGUAGCCAUGCUUACCUUGGCAAAGCCCUCGUCAUCACGGGCGAGGCUACAGUAACCAGCCGCCGGCAAGACCCCUAGGCGGUGGGGCCGGCCUAUCGGCCAAGAGGCCGGUAGCCGGUGGGACCCAACAGUCGGCGGGCCCCAGCGGCCGGCGGAGAAGCCGGCAAAUACAGACACUGAUGGCUAGGACCCGCGUCCGACCAGAUUACCAUUGUACCCCUGGGCGUAGGCCUAUAUAAACCCCCCGGGGAACCCAUGCAAAGGGUUGAUCUCUUAGAGUUUUAGACACCACAUAGAGAUAAGAGGAGAGCUAGCCUUGCCCUUCUUCUUCCUCUAGUCAAACAGCUCAAGGAGCCACUUGUAGCCACUUGUGUUGAUCUAGUGAUCAUGCGGAGACCCCGUAGAGCAGGACUAGGGGUGUUAUCCCCAUGGAGAGCCCCGAACCUGGGUAAGAUUCGCCGGCGUGCAUGUCUUCGCCUUAUCCCGUUUCCAGGCACCGGCGAUGUCUUACUGGCUCCCACAAUGAUAAGCCACCCGUUGGCAUAUGUCGCACCUACCACCCGACACAUGUUUACUAAAGUUUAAGUUCACCUUUAACUCUAGACAUAUAAUCACUCAAGUGUCCAAUCAUGUAAGCAUUACUCUUUAAUUCUCUACCAACAUAAGCAUUAAAACUUUCUUGCCUAGCCAUAAAGUCAUCAAAUUCAUCUAAACAUUGGCUAGGAAAUUUAAUAGACGGGAUUUCAACUUUAUCAUAUCUAUAGAGGGAAUUUACCUUUACUACCUCUGUCGGGUUAUCAAGAACAUGUGUUUCUUCUACAAGCGGUAUAUUAAGACCAUGUAUUUCUUCAAUAGGAGGUAAAUUCUUAACAUCUUCGGCUUUAAUACCUUUUUCUUUCAUUGAUUUCUUUGCCUCUUGCAUAUCUUCAGGACUGAGAAAUAGAACACCUCUCUUCUUCGGAGUUGGUUUAGGAAUAGGCUCAAUUGGAUCAGGAAUUGGCUCAGGAAUUGGUUCAGGAAGAGUCCAAUUAUUUUCAUUAGUCAACAUAUUAUUCAAUAGCAAUUCAGCUUGGUCGACCGUUCUUUCCCUGAAAACACAACCAGCACAACUAUCCAAGUGGUCCUUGGAAGCUUCGGUUAGUCCAUUAUAAAAGAUAUCAAGUAUUUCAUUUUUCUUAAGAGGAUGAUCAGGCAAAGCAUUAAGUAAUCGGAGAAGCCUCCCCCAAGCUUGUGGGAGACUCUCUUCUUCGAUUUGCACAAAAUUAUAUAUUUCUUGCAAGGCAGCUUGUUUCUUAUGAGCAGGGAAAUAUUUAGCAGAGAAGUAAUAAAUCAUAUCCUGGGGACUACGCACACAACCAGGAUCAAGAGAAUUAAACCAAGUUUUAGCAUCACCCUUUAAUGAGAAUGGAAAUAUCUUAAGGAUAUAAUAGUAGCGGGAUUUCUCAUCAUUAGUAAAUAAGGUGGCUAUAUCAUUCAACUUGGUAAGAUGUGCCACAACAGUUUCAGAUUCAACCAAAGUAAUUAUCUCAGGAUCAACAGAGAAUUCAUAAUCCUUAUCAGUAACAAAGAUAGGUGAAGUAGCAAAAGCAGGGUCAUGUUUCAUUCUAGCAUUUAGAGUUUUCUGUUUAAGUUUAGCUAGUAAUUUCUUAAGAUCAUAUCUAUCCUUGCAAGCAAGAAGAUCUCUAGCAGUUUCUUCAUCCAUAACAUGACCCUCAGGAACAACAGGCAAUUCAUAAUUAGGGGGAGAACCUUCAUCAUCAAUAUCAUCAAUAAUAUCAUCAUUAAUAAUUUCAUUCUCUCUAGCCCUAGCAAGUUGUUCAUCAAGAAAUUCACCAAGUGGCACAGUAGUAUCAGGCAUAGAAGUAGUUUCAUCGUAAGUAUCAUGCAUAGCAGAAGUGGCAUCAUCAAUAACAUGCGACAUAUCAGCAUUCAUAGCAGUAGCAGGUUUAGGUGUCGCAAGCUUACUCAAAACAGAAGGAGAAUCUAGUGCAGAGCUAGAUGGCAGUUCCUUACCUCCCCUCGUAGUUGAGGGAUAAAUUUUAGUUUUGUUGUCUUUCAGGUUCUUCAUAGUGACCAGCAGAUAUAAAUCCCAAGUGACUCAAAGAAUAGAGCUAUGGUCCCCGGCAACGGUGCCAGAAAUUUGUCUUGAUAACCCACAAGUGUAGGGGAUCGCAACAGCUUUCGAGGGUAGAGUAUUCAACCCAAAUUUAUUGAUUCGACACAAGGGGAGCCAAAGAAUAUUCUCAAGUAUUAGCAGUUGAGUUGUCAAUUCAACCACACCUGGAUAACUUAGUAUCUGCAGCAAGGUAUUUAGUAGCAAAGUAGUAUGAUAGUAAUGGUGACAGUAGCAAAAGUAAUAUUUUGGGGUUUUGUAGUGAUUGUAACAAUAGCAACAGAAAAGUAAAUAAGCGAAGAACAAUAUAUGAAAAGUUCGUAGGCAUUGGAUCAAUGAUGGAUAAUUAUGUCGGAUGCGAUUCCUCAUGCAAUAGUUAUAACCUAGGGUGACACAGAACUAGCUCCAGUUCAUCAAUGUAAUGUAGGUAUGUAUUCCGAAUAUAGUCAUACGUGCUUAUGGAAAAGAACUUGCAUGACAUAUUUUGUCCUACCCUCCCAUGGCAGCGGGGUCCUAGUGGAAACUAAGGGAUAUUAAGGCCUCCUUUUAAUAGAGUACCGGACCAAAGCAUUAGCACUUAGUGAAUACAUGAACUCCUCAAACUACGGUCAUCACCGAGAAGUAUCCCGAUUAUUGUCACUUCGGGGUUGUCGGAUCAUAACACAUAAUAGGUGACUAUAGACUUGCAAGAUAGGAUCAAGAACUCACAAAUAUUCAUGAAAACAUAAUAGGUUCAGAUCUGAAAUCAUGGCACUCGGGCCCUAGUGACAAGCAUUAAGCAUAGCAAAGUCAUAGCAACAUCAAUCUCAGAACAUAGUGGAUACUAGGGAUCAAACCCUAACAAAACUAACUUGAUUACAUGAUAAAUCUCAUCCAACCCAUCACCGUCUAGCAAGCCUACGAUGGAAUUACUCACGCACGGCGGUGAGCAUCAUGAAAUUGGUGAUGGAUGAUGGUUGAUGAUGAAGAUGGCGACGAAUCCCCCUCUCCAGAGCCCCGAACGGACUCCAGAUCAGCCCUCCUGAGAGAGAUUAGGGCUUGGCGGCAGCUCCGAAUCGUAAAACGCGAUGAAACUUUCUCUCUGAUUUUUUUCUCCAUGAAACGGAAUAUAUAGCGUUGGAGUUGAGGUCGGUGGAGCUCCAGGGGGCCCAGGAGACAGAGGGCACGCCCCCACCCUCCUGGACAGGGUGUGGGCCCCCUGGCCUUGAUUCUUUCGCUAGUAUUUUUCUUAUUUUCCAAAAAUAAUCUCCGUGGAUUUCCAGGUCAUUCCGAGAACUUUUGUUUUCUGCACAAAGAUAACAUCAUGGCAAUUCUGCUGAAAACAGCGUCAGUCCGGGUUAGUUCCAUUCAAAUCAUGCAAGUUAGAGUCCAAAAUAAGGGAAAAAGUGUUUGGAAAAGUAGAUACGUUGGAGACGUAUCAACUCCCCCAAGCUUAAACCUUUGCUUGUCCUCAAGCAAUUCAGUUGACAAACUGAAAGUGAUAAAGAAAAACUUUUACAAACUCUGUUUGCUCUUGUUGUUGGAAAUAUGCCCUAGAGGCAAUAAUAAAGUUAUUAUUUAUUUCCUUAUUUCAUGAUAAAUGUUUAUUAUUCAUGCUAGAAUUGUAUUAACCGGAAACAUAAUACAUGUGUGAAUACAUAGACAAACAAAGUGUCACUAGUAUGCCUCUACUUGACUAGCUCGUUAAUCAAAGAUGGUUAAGUUUCCUAGCCAUUGACAUGAGUUGUCAUUUGAUUAACGAGAUCACAUCAUUAGGAGAAUGAUGUGAUUGACUUGACCCAUUCCGUUAGCUUAGCACUCGAUCGUUUAGUAUGUUGCUAUUGCUUUCUUCAUGACUUAUACAUGUUCCUACGACUAUGAGAUUAUGCAACUCCCGUUUACCGGAGGAACACUUUGUGUGCUACCAAACGUCACAACGUAACUGGGUGAUUAUAAAGGUGCUCUACAGGUGUCUCCAAAGGUACUUGUUGGGUUGGCGUAUUUCGAGAUUAGGAUUUGUCACUCCGAUUGUCGGAGAGGUAUCUCUGGGCCCACUCGGUAAUGCACAUCACUAUAAGCCUUGCAAGCAUUGCAACUAAUGAGUUAGUUGCGGGAUGAUGUAUUACGGAACGAGUAAAGAGACUUGCCGGUAACGAGAUUGAACUAGGUAUUGAGAUACCUACAAUCGAAUCUCGGGCAAGUAACAUACCGAUGACAAAGGGAACAACGUAUGUUGUUAUGCGGUCUGACUGAUAAAGAUCUUCGUAGAAUAUGUAGGAGCCAAUAUGGGCAUCCAGGUCCCGCUAUUGGUUAUUGACAAGAGAGGUGUCUCGGUCAUGUCUACAUAGUUCUUGAACCCGUAGGGUCCGCACACUUAACGUUCGUUGACGAUAUAGUACUAUGAGUUAUGUAUGUUGGUGACUGAAUGUUGUUCGGAGUUUUGGAUGAGAUCAAGGAUAAGACGAGGAACUCCGGAAUGGUUCGGAAGUAAAGAUUGAUAUGUGGAUAGUAGUGUUUGAUCUCCGGAAAGGUUCCGGAAUAUAUCGGAAGGGGUUCCGGAUGUUUCUCGAAAUGUUUGGGCACGAGAACACUUUAUCUGGGCCAAAGGGGAAAGCCCACGAGGUUUUUGGAAAGCACAAAAGGAAGUUUUGCGGAGUCCAGGGGCCAGACGCUAGGGUCCCUGGCGUCUGGGUCCAGACGCCGGGAACCCUGGCGUCUGGCCCUGGAGUCCGAGAAGGACUCUUGCCUUUCAGGUUAAACCGACUUUGUGGAGGCUUUUACUCCAAGUUUCGACCCCAAGGCUCAACAUAUAAAUAGAGGGGUAGGGCUAGCACCCAAGACACAUCAAGAAACACCAAGACGUGUGCCGGCAACCCCGUCUCCUCUAGUUUAUCCUCCGUCAUAGUUUUCGUAGUGCUUAGGCGAAGCCCUGCGAAGAUUGUUCUUCACCAACACCGUCACCACGCCGUCGUGCUGCCGGAACUCAUCUACUACUUCGCCCCUCUUGCUGGAUUGAGAAGGCGAUGACGUCACCGAGCCGAACGUGUGCAGAACUCGGAGGUGAUGUGCUUUCGGUACUUGGAUCGGUCGCAUCGUGAAGACGUACGACUACAUCAACCGCGUUGAUAUAACGCUUCUGCUUACGGUCUACGAGCGUACAUAGACAACACUCUCCCCUCCCGUUGCUAUGCAUCACCAUGAUCUUGCGUGUGCAUAGGAAAUUUUUGAAAUUACUAUGUUCCCCAACACCAGCCACUGGGUGGAGAGAGGGAGGCUGAACCGGCGCAAGAUGAUCCACAACCUUCAGGUCAACCCGAGGAAGAAUCAUGAUCCGGAGGCCGGUUAUCUUCUGCACACUUUCAUCUGUGUGAUAAAACAGUUAUUCUUUUGGGCCGUCAAAGCGCCUUGUAAUAGGCUAGUUGAAACACUUGGUCUGCUAUGCCAUCGUGCAUAUUCAUGAUAACCCACAAGUGUAGGGGAUCACAACAGCUUUCGAGGGUAGAGUAUUCAACCCAAAUUUAUUGAUUCGACACAAGGGGAGACAAAGAAUAUUCUCAAGUAUUAGCAGUUGAGUUGUCAAUUCAACCACACCUGGAUAACUUAGUAUCUGCAGCAGGGUAUUUAGUAGCAAAGUAGUAUGAUAGUAAUGGUAACAGUAGCAAAAGUUAUAUUUUUGGGUUUUGUAGUGAUUGUAACAAUAGCAACGGAAAAGUAAAUAAGCGAAGAACAAUAUAUGAAAAGUUCGUAGGCAUUGGAUCAAUGAUGGAUAAUUAUAUCGGAUGCGAUUCCUCAUGCAAUAGUUAUAACCUAGGGUGACAAAGAACUAGCUCCAGUUCAUCAAUGUAAUGUAGGUAUGUAUUCCGAAUAUAGUCAUACGUGCUUAUGGAAAAGAACUUGCAUGACAUCUUUUGUCCUACCCUCCCCGUGGCAGCAGGGUCCUAGUGGAAACUAAGGGAUAUUAAGGCCUCCUUUAGAGUACCGGACCAAAGCAUUAGCACUUAGUGAAUACAUGAACUCCUCAAACUACGGUCAUCACCAAGAAGUAUCCCGAUUAUUGUCACUUCGGGGUUGUCGGAUCAUAACACAUAAUAGGUGACUAUAGACUUGCAAGAUAGGAUCAAGAACUCACAUAUAUUCAUGAAAACAUAAUAGGUUCAGAUCUGAAAUCAUGGCACUCGGGCCCUAGUGACAAGCAUUAAGCAUAGCAAAGUCAUAGCAACAUCAAUCUCAGAACAUAGUGGAUACUAGGGAUCAAACCCUAACAAAACUAACUUGAUUACAUGAUAAAUCUCAUCCAACCCAUCACCGUCGAACAAGCCUACGAUGGAAUUACUCACGCACGGCGGUGAGCAUCAUGAAAUUGGUGAUGGAGGAUGGUUGAUGAUGACGACGGCGACGAAUCCCCCUCUCCGGAGCCCCGAACGGACUCCAGAUCAGCCCUCCCGAGAGAUAUUAGGGCGGCGGCUCCGUAUCGUAAAACGCGAUGAAACUUUCUCUCUGAUUUUUUUCUCCGUGAAACGGAAUAUAUAGCAUUGGAGUUGAGGUCGGUGGAGCUCCAGGGGGCCCAGGAGACAGGGGCGCGCCCAGGGGGAGAGGGCGCGCCCCCACCCUCCUGGACAGGGUGUGGGCCCCUGGCCUUGAUUCUUUCGCCAGUAUUUUUCUUAUUUUCCAAAAAUAAUCUCCGUGGAUUUCCAGGUCAUUCUGAGAACUUUUGUUUUCUGCACAAAGAUAACAUCAUGGCAAUUCUGCUGAAAACAGCGUCAGUCCGGGUUAGUUCCAUUCAAAUCAUGCAAGUUAGAGUCCAAAACAAGGGCAAAAGUGUUUGGAAAAGUAGAUACGUUGGAGAUGUAUCAAUUCACUUUGCCUAAUACCGUUAAUCCGUCAUGAUAAUGUCAUAGCUCCUUAUGAUCCUUAACAGCUUUAUGCAAUCCUGCUUCUGCAUAUAACAAACUUAAAAUUGUCCUGGCGGUUCAUCGCCGGACGGGUCAUGAUACCCAAAUAUAUGGCCAGGGAUUAUAACCAAGGCUGUAAAAAGAUGAUCAAAUAUGAAAAUAAAUGAUACCUGUGAGGGUGAUAACCUCCAUUUUGAGUAAUGACAACUUCUUUCAUAUUGUGCCGGUUCAUGAUAAAACCGUACCGGGUUGUGAUAAACACCGGAUCAACCAUACAUAAUACUGGCGACUUGUAUUGGAAACCAGACCAGGUUAAGAAACACUGGAUUAUAAGCGAUUAUGUACUGACAACUUGUAGUUGAAAGUCGAGCCGGGUUAAUGAAUGUCAGUUUACCAAAAACCUCAUAAAUCUCAUCAAAGGAGAACAAACUUGGCAAAUAAAAACAUAUGAAAACUUGUAGUCGAGGCUUUUCACGGGCUGCCAGGCCCCAAAUUCGAGGCUUUUCAUGGGCUGCCAGGCCGCUGUGUUAAACCAUUUUACAAAGCCUUUUAAGAUGGUCCUCAAUCCUUAACCAAUCGUCGUUUUAACUUUGACAAGUUCAGGGUCUUAUGAGAUUGACUUGUCGAAGUUCGGCGGGUCAUACCAGGUUUACCUGGACGGAGUGACUUACUUAAAAAAGGCAGGCUAACCCAGGGUUUUCGGUGUAUACACCAGGCUUCCAAGCCGUGGCUUGAUAGCCUAUUGCAAGUGUAGAUUCUUUGUUCAUUGCGAUAGCAAAGAAUCUCCAAGCAAUAUUUUGAGAUGUGCUCAGUAGGUGCCUAUGUUUGAGUUGUUCUUUUGCAACACUCUCUUUGGCCCCUAAGUAAUUUUCUUUUUGGCUCUGAGCCGAUCAAGAGGUGUAGCUAUGGUUCGAAUACGACCAAGCCCCCAAGUGAUUUAUAUAUAGCUUUAUAAGCUGAAUCAAGGGGUAAAUCGGACGCCGCUUUUCAAACAGAAGCCCCCAUGUAACCACACAUGAUGUUAGAAAAACAACAGAUACCCCGCUUUAGCCGGGGCUCCGGUUUAUUAUAUUGAUCAUAAUAUAUACAUUGCCAAAAAUAUGUACAUGAUAGGAGCCUGUGGCUCAGGUGUAGUAAGGUCAUAGAUGAGCAAUAUUCCACGGCCGGCGGGUCUCCUCCUUCGACUUGCGUGAGUCUUUGUGCACUCGAACAUCUAUAAGGUAGUAUGAUCCGUUGUUCAGAUUCUUGCUGGCCACAAAGGGCCCUUCCCAAGGUGGGGAUAACUUGUGCAUAUCGGUCUGAUCUUGGAUAAGCCGGAGCACUAAGUUGCCUUCUUGGAAAGUUCUGGUUUUAACCCGGCGGCUAUGAUAACGCCGCGGGUCUUGCUGAUAAGUCGCCGAACGAGCUGUCGCUAUGUCCCUUUUUUCAUCUAACAGGUCUAAUGCAUCUUGGCGUGCACUUUCAUUGUCCGCUUCAACAUAAUCUGCCACUUGAGGCGAGUCAUGGCGGAUGUCACUUGGGAGAACUGCUUCUGCCCCAUAAACCAUGAAGAAGGGUGUAUAACCCGUAGAUCUAUUGGGGGUGGUAUUAAUGCUCCAUAUACGGAUGGCAAUUCUACCACCCAACAACCCAGCGUCCUCUGCAAAGGGACCAUAAGCCGGGGCUUGAUACCUUUCAGAAUUUCUUGAUUAGCCCUCUCAGCUUGACCAUUAUACUAGGGGUGAGCCACCGAUGACACAUCAAGCCGGAUGUGCUCACGUUGACAGAACUCUUCCAUGGCACCUUUGGAGAGAUUCGUUCCAUUAUGUGUUCUGAUGCUAUGUGGAAAACCAAAGCGGAAAAUCACCUUCUUCAUGAAUUGAACCGUCGUGGCUGCGUCACACUUGCUGACUGGUUCUGCUUCCACCCACUUGGUGAAUUUAUCAACCGCCACCAAAAGGUGGGUCUUCUUAUCCUUGGACCUCUUAAAGGGCCCAACCAUAUCAAGCCCCCAAGUUGCAAACGGCCAGGUGAUUGGACUCAUCCUCAAUUCCUAGGCCGGAACAUGGGCUCGGCGUGAAAACUUCUGACAACCAUCACACUUUUUGACCAAGUUUUCAGCAUCAGCAUGAGCCGUCAGCCAAUAGAAACCGUGAUGAAAAGACUUAGCCACAAGGGAUUUUGAACCGGCAUGAUGACACAAUCCCCUUCAUGGAUUUCAUGCAAAAUCUCACAGCCUUCUUCAGGAGAGACGCAGCGCUGAAAAGCCCCUGAGACACUGCAGUGAUGUAACUCGCCAUUGAUAAUAGUCAUGGACUUAGACCGCCAGAUUAUCUGUCUGGCUAAAACCUCAUCCUCUGGUGACUCGCCCCGGUUCAUAUACUCCAAAUAUGGGACCGUCCAAUCCGGGAUGAUGUGAAGCGCCGCCACCAACUGAGCCUCCGGAUCAGGAACAGCCAAAUCCUCCUCCGUGGGGAGCUUGACCGACGGGUUAUGUAAGACGUCAAGAAAAACAUUGGGCGGCACCAGUUUACGCUGGGAGCCCAAACGUCUUAAAGCAUCCGCCGCCUCAUUCUUUCGCCGGUCCACAUGAUCAACCUGAUAGCCCUUGAAGUGACCUGCAACAAUAUCCACCUCUCGACGAUAUGCUGCCAUGAGCAGGUCCUUGGAAUCCCAAGUACCAGACACUUGUUGAGCCACCAAGUCCGAGUCACCGAAGCAUUUAACCCGGCUCAAAUUCAUCUCCUUAGCCAUUCGAAGACCAUGGAGCAGGGCCUCGUACUCAGCUGCAUUGUUAGUACAAGGAAACAUCAAGCGGAGAACAUAACAAAAUUUGUCACCUCGAGGGGAAGUAAGAACCACUCCAGCCCCCGAGCCCUCCAAUUGCCUGGACCCGUCGAAGUGAAUAGUCCAGUAUGUGUUAUCCGGUUUAUCCUCUGGCGCCUGUAACUCUGUCCAGUCAUUGAUAAAAUCCACGAGCGCUUGGGACUUAAUGGCCGUACGAGGCAUAUACUUUAACCCAUGAGGACCAAGCUCAAUAGCCCACUUAGCAACCCGGACAGUCGCUUCCCUGUUCUGGAUGAUGUCUCCCAAAGGAGCAGAACUGACCACAGUGAUGGGAUGGCCCUGAAAGUAUUGCUUAAGCUUCCGGAUCGCCAUAAAAACUCCAUACACCAGCUUCUGCCAAUGUGGGUAUCUCUGUUUGGACUCAAUAAGCACCUCGUUGAUAUAAUAAACCGGCCGCUGAACCGGAUAUUCCUUUCCUGCUUCCUUGCGCUCCACCACAAUAGCCACGCUGACAGCCCGGGCGUUAGCUGCCACAUAUAACAGCAAUGGUUCCUUAUCAAUGGGGGCAACAAGAACAGGCAGUUCGGCGAGCUGCCGUUUUAGAGCCUCAAACGCUUCGUUAGCAGCAUCACUCCAGACGAAGUCAUCUGUUUUCUUCAACAUUUGAUACAAAGGGAUGGCCUUCUCCCCAAGGCGACUGAUAAACCGGCUUAAGGCUGCAAUCCGGCCCGCCAAGCAUUGAACAUCAUUGACACACUUUGGUUUAGCCAGUGAAGUAAUAGCCUUGAUCUUCUCCGGAUUAGCUUCAAUGCCCCUGUUAGACACUAGGAAACCCAAGAGCUUGCCUGCCGGUACACCAAAAACACACUUGGCCGGGUUAAGCAUCAUCUUAUAAACCCGGAGGUUAUCAAAGGUCUCCUUCAAGUCAUCUAGCAAUGUCUCCUCCUUCCUGGACUUCACCACAAUAUCAUCCACAUAAGCAUGAACGUUGCAUCCGAUCUGACUAUGAAGACAAUUCUGCACACAACGCUGGUAAGUCGCCUGGGCACUCUUGAGCCCAAAAGGCAUAGACACAUAGCAGAAGGCUCCAAAGGGAGUUAUAAACGUUGUCUUCUCCUGGUCCUUAACUGCCAUCUUGAUCUGAUGAUAACCCAAAUAAGCAUCCAGAAAACUCAAACGCUCACAACCCGCCGUAGCAUCAAUGAUUUGAUCAAUACGAGGGAGAGCAAAAGGAUCAGCUCGACACGCCUUGUUCAAAUUUGUGUAGUCCACACACAUACAUCAAGUGUCGUUCUUCUUAAGUACCAGCACCGGAUUAGCCAACCAUUCCGGAUGAAAAACUUCAACAAUAAACCCAGCCGCCAAGAGCCGGGCGACCUCCUCACCAAUGGCUUUGCGCCUUUCUUCAUUGAACCGGCGAAGAAACUGUCUGACCGGUUUAAACUUGGGAUCAACAUUAAGGGUGUGCUCAGUGAGUUCCCUCGGUACACCUGGCAUGUCAGAAGGCUUCCAUGCAAAGAUAUCCCUAUUCUCACGGAUGAACUCGAUGAGCGCGCUUUCCUAUUUCGGAUCCAGAUUUGCGCUGAUGAUGAACUGUUUGGAUGAAUCGCCAGGCAGAAAAUCAACCGUCUUAGUCUCAUCAGCCGAUUUAAACUUCAAGGCCGGAUCAUGCUCCAUAGUGGGUUUCUUCAACGAAGUCAUAUCAGCCGAAUCAACAUUGUCCUUAUAGAACUUCAGCUCCUCUGUCGCACAAACCGACUCAGCAUAGGCCGCAUCACCUUCCUCACAUUCCAAAGCGAUCUUACGGCUUCCAUGCACUGUGAUGGUCCCCUUAUGACCCGACAUCUUGAGCUGCACAUACACAUAACAGGGCCUUGCCAUGAACUUAGCAUAAGCCGGCCGUCCAAACAGGGCAUGGUACGGGCUUUUGAUUUUCACCACUUCAAAAGUCAACGUCUCUGAUCUCGAGUCAUGAUCAUCUCCAAAAGCAACCUCCAGGGCUAUCUUACCAACCGGAUAAGCUGAUUUACCAGGCACCACACCAUGGAAAACGGUGUUUGACGGUUUAAGAUUCUUAUCUGUUAACCCCAUACGACGGAAGAUUUCAUAAUACAAGAUGUUGAUACUGCUCCCUCCAUCCAUGAGCACCUUGGUGAACUUAUAACCUCCAACCUAAGGUGCCACCACCAAUGCCAGAUGACCCGAAUUAUCAACUCGGGGCGGGUGAUCCUCUCGACUCCACACAAUAGGCUGUUCAGACCAGCGCAAGUAACGGGGCACCGCCGGUUCAACGGAGUUCACUGCCCUUUUAUGAAGCUUCUGGUUGCGCUUGCACGGCCUAGUGGUGAAGACAUGAUACUGCCCACUAUUCAACUGCUUCAGGUGACUCUGGUAACCUGACUGUUGCUGCCGCUGAUUUCCCUACUGAUUAUAACCACCCUGGUUGCUCUGAUUGCCUUGAUUGCCAUGUCCACCCUGAUUACCUUGGAAUCUUGAGCCGGAAUUACCUCCACCAUAACCCGGCCCGUAAGACCCGGGUCCUGAACCGCCGGACGAUCCAUGAUCAUUCCAGAAAAAAAUCUGAAUUUUUGAAUUCUCGCAUGAUAUAACAAUCCUUCCAGAGGUGCAUGGCCGGCUUGUCCCGCGAUCUGUGCUUUGGGCAGGGCUGGUUCAACAGGUAAUUCAGGCGCUCCGGAUUGGGACUUGGUUCUCCUCCCCGCGGGGGCGACUUACCCUUACGACGCUGACCAUUACCCUGCGUAUUGAUACUAGCCACAAAAUCUGAAUUACUAUCCGCUUUACGCUUACCAUUGUUACUGUGGCCCGCCUGGUUAUGCUGCUGCCCCUUAGUGUUGCCGUUCUUCUUUCCCUUUCCCAGUUUUUCAUCAUCAGAUUCGGGGUCCUUGGUACUAUCAGAAUCGGCAGACUUAACCAGAGCAACCAUAAGUGUUCCCAUGUCAUUGCAGUGACGCUUGAGCCGUCCCAACUUCAGUUUCAAAGGCUUAAACCGGCAAUUACCCUCCAAUGUUAUAACUGCCAAGUCAGCAUUGAUGCGGUCCGAUGAAUGCAAGAUCUCUGAAACCCGGCGCACCCAAUGGGUUGUCGACUCGCCUGCCUCCUGGACGCAGGUAGCUAAAUCCACAAUUGACAUGGGUUGCUUGCGCGUGUCCUUGAAGUUUGCUAUAAACCGGGCCUUUAACUCGGCCCAUGAUCCAAUGGAGUUAGCUGGUAAACUUUUCAGCCAAGUGUGAGUCGUUCCGUCCAACAUCAUGGUGAAAUACUUCACGCAUGCCGCUUCAUCCACAUCCAGCAUCUCCAUUGCCAUCUCAUAACUUUCAACCCAUGACUCAGGAGGCAAAUCAGCGGUGUAAUUAGGCACCUUACGUGGACCCUUGAAAUCCUUGGGCAGCCUCACAUUACGCAAAGCCGGGGUAAGACAGGGCACCCCCCAAGAGCUGAAAGUAAGACCUCGUUCCACGGAAGUCGUCGGAUUAACCGGAGUGAGCUGACGGUCCUGUGCCACUAACUCGGCUUCUCGACGCGCUCUACCGUUAUCCACCACAUCCUGAGCAUUUGCCCCACCGCGCGCCGGAUUAGGCCCUCGAGGGGCGUCACGGUUUCGCACACUGCUUGACACGGCCGGUUCAUCGAUGUGUCUACUGUAACUCCGGCUCGGGCGUGGGGUUGAAUGAAGUCUGUCUCGGCUAUAUGAAUAGGCCUGCUGCUGCACCACAGCCGUUUGAAGAAGAUCCCUGGCGUGUCAUGUUUCAACCGCCGCUAGGGACUCGCCCUCCAUUGGAAUAGCUGCCAAUCGCGACGCCGCAGCGAUUAUGUUAUCCAAAGGGGUGGAGAAGUGACCAGGUGGUGCCGGCAUAUACUGUGGCGGGCCAUUGGUCCAUCGAGGCGGGUCCGUCACCCAUGGCUGAUCCGGUGCUCAUGUCCCUGGCGCUUCAAUCCGGUUUACCGCUGCCGGAUUACUAGUUCCCGCUCCUAGGGUGUUGAAGAGAUUCAUUGCUUCAUAAACCGGUGGCAGUCGAGACCGAUGCCUUCUCGGCAAUACGUCGUUUGAAGCGUUCUGAUCCAACAUGAGCCGGUAAUUUUCUGCCUGAAUCCGCUGUGCCUGCGCAUCUAAAGCGGCCCGUUCCUCAGCCAUCCUGGUUUCCUCGGCCACCAAGUCCUCCUUAGCCUGAGCUAUCUGAUCCCGCAGCUUAGCAACCUCCGCGUUAUGCUCAUCUUCAGUAUCUGGGGUAACCUCUGCGGUUAGUAAUGUCGUCCAGGCGUCUAAUAAACCGGACAAGACUUGGGCCGGCCGGCGCGUGGGGCCUCCUGCCCCAGUUGCCGAUCCGGAAAUUAUCGCUGCCGCAGCUGAAGAUUGCAACGUGGGCUGCAUACCGGCCAUGAAGAUCGCAACCCGGUUCAGCGGUUCAAGGGGGUCCGGAAUACUAUCGCCAUCGGAACAACCCCCAAACCGGCCAUCUUGCAGUUGGUACAGUGACUUGGUUUCACUGGUGGAUGAUUCGCCAUCUGAAUAAACGAAUGUCUCACCAUCAGACACCGGUUCAAGCUCCGCACCAUUGAUGAAUCCUACGAACGCAUGCUUCAUGGCAGGCUGAACCCGGGCAGGACUUGCACGCUGAGCCGUCUCGACGAGGUCGGUGCAGAUGUCCGGCUCAGGGCCCGGUUCGCCGAUCUUGCCGAUGAAGACGUGAAUUCCUCCAAAGGGGACCCGGUACCCAUACUCGAUUGAGCCAGCGUCGGGGCCCCAGCCUGCAUCGUCGAUGUAGAGCUUGUCGCGACGACUCUUGGUCAUCCGGCCCACUGCGUAUCCCUUGAGUCCUUCGAAGUUUCCCUUUAAGAACUCGAAACCAUCAUGCGCUGGCCCCAUGGUGGGCGCCAGCUGUCGUGGUUUUGUCACGGCAGAUGUCCUAGUGUGAGGACUUAGUCGUGGAGCCAUCGCGACGAGGUUAGCUUAAAGGGGUUAAACCGGACAAAGGACACGGGAUUUUAUACUGGUUCGGCCCCUUGCGGUGAAGGUAAAAGCCUACGAUCCAGUUGUGGUGGAAUUGAUGGGGUCUCGAUGAUCAGGGAGCGAAAUCACUUUACCUGGCUCUCGAGCUGUUGUUUCUUGUCCCUGAAUCGCCGCUGCGCCAUCCCUUUAUAUACAUAGGUUGACGCCCGUCGGCUUACAGAAUCCCGACGCCGGCUCAUACACGUGUCCGGCUCGGUUUCUACUUUCUCAUACCUUGCAACACAAGUUAUAUAAUACAUGGUGGUUUAUAUCUAUAGGCCCUAAUUUGCCUUUGGGCCUUGGGCCCUUAAGUCUCUGUAGUAAAGCGCCAUACUCCUUGUCUUCAUGGGCUUCAAUGCGGAUGAUUCCUUAUGAGUAUAAUCCGGCCCCUCCUGGGCGGUUUAUACUCAAUAGUUAUAUCCCCAACACCUCCCCUUCAUUCUCUCUUCCCCUCUUUCCUUACUCCUCUGGUGCGGCCCAUAUGGGGGGUGCAGCAGCCCCUGCUGGCUGCUGUGUUUCCCCUCUUGGCCCAUUAGGCCCAUAUCUUUGCUGGGGGGGUGCCCGGAACCCCUUCCGGUGACACUCCGGAACACUUCCGGUGUCCGAGUACUAUCGUCCUAUAUAUCAAUCUUUACCUCUCAACCAUUUAGAGACUCCUCAUCAUGUCUGUGAUCUCAUACAGGACUCCGAACAACAUUCGGUCACCAAAUCACAUAACUCAUAUAAUACAAAAUCGUCAUCGAACGUUAAGCGUGCGAAACCUACGUGUUCGAGAACUAUGUAGACAUGACCGAGACACCUCUCCGGUCAAUAACCAAUAGUGGAACCUGGAUGCUCAUAUUGGUUCCUACAUAUUCUAUGAAGAUCUUUAUUGGUCCAACUGUAAUGACAACAUACGUUAUUCCCUUUGUCAUCGGUAUGUUACUUGCCCGAAAUUCGAUUGUCGGUAUCUUCAUACCUAGUUCAAUCUCAUUACCGGCAAGUCUCUUUACUCGUUCCGUAAUACAUCAUCCCGCAACUAACUCAUUGGUCAAUUUUCUUGCAAGGCUUCUUAUGAUGUGCAUUACCGAGGGCCCAGAGAUACCUCUCCGAUACUCGGAGUGGCAAAUCCUAAUCUCGAUCUAUGCCAACCCAAAAAACACCUUGAGAGAUACCUGUAGAGAAUCUUUAUAAUCACUCAGUUACAUUGUGACGUUUGAUAGCACACUAGGUAUUCCUCCGGUAUUCGGGAGUUGCAUAAUCUCGUAGUCGAAGGAAUAUGUAUUUGACAUGAAGAAAGCAAUAGCAAUAAAACUGAACGAUCAAUAUGAUAAGCUAACGGAUGGGUCUUUUCCAUCACAUCAUUCUCCUAAUGAUGUGAUCCCGUUCAUCAAAUGACAACACAUGUCUAUGGUUAGGAAACUUAACCAUCUUUGAUUAAUGAGCUAGUCUAGUAGAGGCUUACUAGGGACACGGUGUUUUGUCUAUGUAUCCACACAUGUAUCAAGUUUCCGGUUAAUACAAUUCUAGCAUGAAUAAUAAAAAUUUAUCAUGAUAUAAGGAAAUAUAAAAUAACAACUUUAUUAUUGCCUCUAAGGCAUAUUUCCUUCAUAACUAACAUGUGGAUUACCCUCUUUUGCUUGCUGGUGUUAUGUGCAAACUUGGGUGUCCAAUGUAGUCCUUGAUAUCCCACGUACACACCGUCAUAUAACUUGUUGACUCGUGCAAAAGAAUUAACUGAGAGUUUGUUGUGUUCUGCAAGAAACAUUAAUUAGGAGAGUCCACCGUCCAUUAUUUCAAUGAUGGUUAAAUGUAUACUACUAGAGUUGAUUGUGGGACUAAUCUGCAGGGUAUAAUCAAGGUUGGACAGAUCGCUUCGAGGCACAAUCUAUAUUUCACAGCAUGUGUAACCUUGCAGGAUGUGUUUUAUUUUCUUUGAAUACAUCCAACCCUGCUUGCAAUUAAAUUCACUUUUGGUAGGACUGAACUUCACUAAUGAAAAAUAUCAGAGUCAUUCAUCGUGUCUCCUUAAAAGAAGAGGAAAAUGUCAGAAUCUUUGUUAUGAGUGCACAUCCUUUUGCUCUUGGUGCAUGGGCUAUAGGAUUGUAUCAAAUUAUUUGUUCAACAUGAGUCACUGAAAACACUGAAGCUUAAAGAUAUUGUUUUUAUGAAUAUAAUACAAUGACUGAUGUGGAUGCAUUUAUAUACAUCUUUGGUGGGAUUUAACUAUUCUCUUUGCCAUAGACAUGGAAAGCCAUCAAUUAGUUUUUGUAGUUUGGUAGCCUUCACAUGUCCAUAGUACAAUUUAUGUUAGCCUUUGCAUUUUUCUGAUGACAUUGUCAUGAGCUGAACCUAUACUGGGAGAAUAAUUGACAUUUUCUAAGAUAUCAAUAUACCAAGUUUUUGUUUGGUGAGCAUUUUGACAACAUCAUAUGCAUAUGCUUUUGUACUGUAAGCUACCAUACGAGGAGCCAAACAUUGUACGUGCUUCGACAAGCAAAACCUGCAAUGCGGUGGCAGGGGGUGGGGGUCAACGGGAGACUGUGUCGUGUGAGUUGGUCAAGUUUGGGGCCGUGAGUUGAUACAUCUAUAGCCGUCAACUGCAUCUUCAACCUCCAGACAAUUAGUUAUAUUUGGUUGUGUUAAGAGGAUUAGCGAUAGAGAGAAAUUAUUAGGAUAAUAAAAAGUGUUAGGCUAUUUUUCUUUGUAUAUGUGAUUAUAUUGCUGAGGUAUGAGGGUUUGUGUGUGUGGAACUAUCAGCUCUCACGCAAUGCUAAAAUAAGAAAAAUGAGAGGACUAUAACAUUGCAAAAUUGUUUGCGGAAAUUGCUGAAUUUGUCAAAACUUUGAGGAUGGAGUGGAUGACGAAUGCAUCUAAGUUGGGGAUGAUAGGAAUGCCUAUGGCAAUUUGGCAAACUUGGAGAAAAGAUUUGCAAAUUUGGAGUUCGGUGUCAAUGUAGAUCUGAAGCCAAGUAGCUUGUGACAUACUCCCUCUUUCUCGGUUUAAAGGACCCACCAUAAUAUACUUUUUUGUUUUUUCGGUUUAAAGGUUAUGUUUAGAUUCCGAAGAAUAUUAAAUCUCUGCGUGCAAGGAUUAAAAAAUAACACACCAAUGCAUGGCUCAUUUAGUGGCCACAAAUGCAUAUGUCAUAGUUAAUGCAAAUUAAUGCAUAUGUUUAAUUGGGUUAGUAUUGUAAACUACAAAAACCAUUCCACCACUCACCAUUUGCCUUGUUUAAGGAGAUUUUUGAAUUGGGCCUUUUAAAUCGGAGGGAGGGAGUAUUCAAUUCAUAGUAUGUGGAUUAGGGAUGAUCAGACUGACUACACCAAUUUGGCAGACUAAGAGAAAGCACUAUACAGAUUUGAAGCGGGGUGACAACUUAGCGAAGCAAUAACGCAAUGACCGAAGUGCUGAAGUUGAGGGCCUCAUGAUAGAUCCAUGUGUUGGCCUGUGGCAAUGCACAUGAAUUUUUAUUUUAUUUUAUGCUUUGAUGGAACGAUAAAGAAUUGGUUCGUCCGGCUUCCACAGAUAGUAUUCUUUGUUAAACAUUUUCAGAGAAUUGAUGUGAAUUAUUUAUGCUAAUUACAUAUAUUGCUUGUGUAGAAUGGGUAUGAGUUGAGAUAGAAUUAUUUUUAUUAUACUUGCUCAAAUAUCGUGCAAAUGAAGUAAAAGGCAACAUUCCUAACAUUGUGCGAGACUUUGUUAAGUGCAUCAAGUAGAUCUUAAUUUGUUAACAGACUUUUAGUUGGAUAGUCGCUCUAUAUGUAUACGUCAUCAAAAUGUCUUUUUGUUAUUAAUUUACAUUGCAAGUUAAGUGGACUUCAAAUAUUACUCAAUUGUGUCCGUGCUAUCUAUUCUCUACAUGAGAAAUUUAACAUGCAUUAUGUAUAUAUAACUUCAGCAACAUAUUUCAAAAAAAGGUGGCAACGCACGGGCAUUCUACUGCUAUAUAUUAUUAAUCUUAUCAAUAGUCAACGGCAACCUCGAAAAAUAUGUUGUCUCCAUGACUGAGCCACUCCAGACGUGCUCCUUGACGCCACAAUAUCUCUUCCCGACAGGGGCGGAGCCAGGAAUUUUGUGAAGUCUGGGCAAGUUUAAAUCUAAGUGUCUAAUUUGAGAAUUGAAAUCAGGUGUUCGGGUCAAAUUUUUUUUUCUUGCUACCGGUUUUCCCGGUAGGGGUUGCAAGAACCGGUUUUCGAAUUUUUUUGGAGUUUUUACCUAAAAGUAUUUAAAUGGGGUUUGAGUUGUCCCUAAACCAUUGCGGCCAUAUUUUUAAAAACGCUAACAACGUUAAAAUCAAAAUCAAGCUGGCAAGAUUGGUAGUUGAUCCCAUGACCUCGAAAGCGCUUUCACCGAGCUAGGCGUUAUGUUGUGUUACAAUAUGCAUAUGGGUUCUAUUUGACACUACCUGAACGUGUGUAGCAAACAAAAAUUAUGGUCGGAGGAAAUAUUCGGUAAUAAGUCGGUUUCCAAAAAUUUCUACCAGUAAAAAUAUGUUGGUUCAGAUACACAACAUAUAAAACAGCACUGAAAUCAUUUAUCACAAAUCUACAUUAAUAAUAAUGAAGUAAAAUAAUGAACAUGAUAGUCAUACAAAUGUAAUUUCAAAGUGAACUACUCGAUCCGUAGAUAAAUGUAAGAUAUUUUAGAUCUCUAAUUCACAUUGUUUACAGAGUAAUAUAUAACCUGAUGACCAAGACCCCAUGCUCUAACAUCAAAAUUUAAGCCCUAAUAAGUCAUUUAAACUUCAAAUUAGUUAGCAAUCUCACCUAAUCACCGAGGAGUGAACAAGUAGCCGCCGGUCGAUGAUGCAAGUCAAUCCUGGGAUGGAUCAGCUCCGGCUCAGUACAUCACCGGCCAUGCGCCCAACCAAGGUGAGCCUUCACUCGCCGCCGCCCGCCAGUCUAUCUCCGAUCGACCUAGGGUGUCGCUGUCUGGAAUAGCUGAACAGCUACAUCGUGGGGUUUUCUCAAAAAAACUAAAAGAAAAGCUACACCGUGGGGAGAUGGAGCGAUCCAGUGAUCGUGUGGUUCUUCUCGUCUGGGAGGCAACAACCGAAUAGACUGCUUGCUAGGCCAGUAGGCCAGUACCCAGUAGGCCUAGUUCUCAUUUGACUUGAGUAAUCCAACGCCAGGGAAGACUUGUCUCACCGAACUUUAAAGAAGCCCAUUAGCUAAUUAACCAGCGAUAACCGGCCCAGCUACCUGGGUAAAACAUGAUGCGGUGAUGAUUUUUUCCGCUGUAAUGGGGCCAUCGUAGCUGGUGCUUAGCUAGCGAGCCCGAUCGACUUUGCGCCGUUCCCUCGAGUUAGGGUUUUAUUUCUCUCGAGGUGAUCUGAUCGCCGUCGUUGAGAUCGUUCUCUUCCCUACCUCUGUUGUGCCCUCCGGCCCCCUCCCUUCGAGCGGGCGUGCGGUGGCGACCCUGGUCUAGGCGGGACUGGGGUGGGAGGGGUUCUAGGGUUAUCCUCAAGGCCCGGUGUUCCAAUCGGGUUAGGGUUUGAAGUUUUCCAUGGCGUCGGACGGAGCUUCGGGAUCGCGCUCUGCAGGUCCCUCCGAGACGGAUGACGUAACAGCAUUGAUGAAGGAGCUAGGUCUUCGAGAGGAGGACCUUGACGAUGUGGUGUUCGAUGAAGAUGAGGCGUUGCCGGCGGCGGCACGCUGGAUCGCGCUGGUCCGGGUGCACACACCCAAAUCAUACAGCGAAUUUUGGUUUUUUAAGAAUAUGAGGGCGGCGUGGGAUCAAGCUCAGGAGGUCCAGUUCAAACCGCUUGAAGACAAUCUGUACACAGCCCAGUUCUCAUGUUUGGGUGAUUGGGAGAGAGUAACACGCAAUGGUCCAUGGAACUUUAUGACGGAUUGGCAAAACCGUCAACAGUUCAACUUGAUACUAUCGAGAUCUGGCUGCAGAUUCAUGAUGUCCCGCCAUUGUAUGCUCAUCUGGUGCCAUCUCUAGCUCAAAAAGCUGGAGAAGUCUUAUAUGCAGAACCCAAAUCACAUGACUUUGUGGGGAAUUUCCAUCGGGUUUGGGUCCGGAUUGAUGUCAACAAGCCUUUAAAGAAUGCAGUUUCUAUGAUAAGGGAUGGAAAGCGCCAAAUUUACAGGGUUAAAUAUGAGAAGCUUCCAAACUGGUGUGCGGUCUGUGGUAAGCUGGGCCACCUUUUCAAAGAACAUGGCAAUGGAAUCCACCCUCCUACAGCAUUGGUUUUCAAAGACCUUCGAGCCUCCUGGUCUAUGUGCACUGGACAGGGUCCCGGUGGGGGCCGUGGCCGGAGGGGAGGCAGAAGAGGAGGCAGGGGUGCUCGGGGAAACGAUAACUUUUCUCAUGAAGAUGUGGGCAGUGAAAGGAAGGAUAACUAUACCUCAAAAGUUGAUACAGAUAUGAGAGAGGCGGACUAUGUCAGGAAGAGGACGCAGAUGCAACAUGUGCCGCAAUCAAGUCAUAAUGCGCUUGUUACAGGAGGCCAGGGGGCGACCCUUGCGCUGCCAUCUCCCCCCACUGAUCCUUUGAGUCCGAGCAGCAAACAGGACCUGAAGAGGGCUAAAAUAGAUGCAGUAGCUGAUGAUUUGCAGAAGAGUGGCGAUCUUGGCAAGAUUGUCUCAUCGUUGGCAGGCUCCUUCGAGGAGCGCCGUCGGGCCCAAUGAAUAUAUUUUGCUGGAACUGUCGUGGUACGGGUAAAGCUGCGACAGUCCAUGAACUUCGCGAUUUCGUGAGGCAAUUUACCCCUACCCUGAUGUGCAUCGUUGAAACUCAAAUUGAGGGUGCUAGGGUAGAAGCUUUGGCUGGAACAUUGGGUUUUGAUAACUCUUAUGCUGUAAGUAGUCAAGGUAGGAGUGGUGGAAUAGGCUUGUUUUGGAAUAAUUCAAUAAAGGUUGAAAUUCUUGGUUACUCAGUUUAUCAUCUCGAUGUGUCUGUUGAGGAACAAGAUGCAGAGAAGUGGAGGAUGACUUGCGUCUAUGGUGAGGCACAAACUCAUAUGAGGCAUCACACCUGGACAACCUUGAAAAAUAUUAGCACUUUGAGCGAUCUUCCAUGGCUUUGCUUAGGUGAUUUUAACGAGGUUUUACGUCCAGAUGAACAUUAAGGAGUUGGUCAGCGUAGCAACGCUCAGAUCCAAGCCUUCAGAGAAGUUCUUGACGUUUGCAUGUUGUUUGAUUUGGGAUACAAAGGCAAUUUUUGGACUUUUGAGAAGAAGGUAACAGGUGGGAGCUAUACGAGGUGUAGACUUGACAGAGCUCUCGCUAACGCGUCAUGGAUGGCCAAGUUCCCACUGGCUGCGGUCACACACUUGACGGGGGUAACUUUAGAUCAUGCGCCCCUAUUGCUAGAGCUGGAUGCUGGUACGCAUGAGCGGGUACAAAGACUGUUCAGGUAUGAGCUAAUGUGGGAGUCAUACGGAAACUUCCAUGACACUAUAAUUUCUGGUUGGGGGUCGGACCCCCAUGCACUUCCGUGGCAGAGCUAGGCUAGAAGAUGAAGGAUCUUGCGAAUGAUUUACAGAGGUGGAGCCGGGAUACUUUUGGUAGUGUAAGGAAAGAGAUAAAAAACUCAAACUCAUGCUUGAGGAACUUAAUAAUGACCCAGCAAGAACUGGUCCUUCCCAUGUUGAGCUCAAAAUCAAUGAAAAGCUGGUAGAGAUGUACUACAGGGAGGAGAUUAUGUGGAGGCAGAGAGCGAGGGUUGAAUGGUUGUCGUCAGGGGACAAAAACAUGAAGUUUUUUCACCUUCGAGCUAGUCUUCGUCGCAAGAAGAAUAUGAUCAAAGCACUUUAGAACUCGCUAGGAGUGGAGAUCUCCGACCCAGCAGAGUUAAAGGCACUACUAGGAAAAGGCCUGCUAGUGGCGCACCAGUUUUGCCUACUAAUGGCGCAUAACUGGUGUGCCACUAGCACCACGCCAUUAGAAUUAAAUACUAAUGGCGCACACGCAGUGCGCCAUUAGUAUAGUCCAUCGUGCGCCAUUAGUAUGCCUCCCAGGGGCCAUAUUUACCCAUGUGCCUUGGCAUACUAAUGGCGCACUGGGGGGUGAUGCGCCAUUAGUGUCCUUUCUGCAGUGCGUCGUUAGUGUGCUGAGUGGUGCGCCAUUAGUAUGAAUAUUAGGGAUUAUUUUUUUUCUUUUCUGAUAUUUGCACAGGUUACAAAACGUAUUACUGCACAUAAUAUAGAGAGCACAACAUAUAAACAGCAGAUUUAUCGAAUACAAUAGAAGAUUAGUCUCCGAAUACAAUUCAUCAUAUUAGUCUCCGAAUUUCAAAUACCGAACAAAGUUAUAACAUUACAAGUCUCGAAACCGCGAGUAGCGAGUUUGUCUUCACAUUACAAGUCGAUAUCGAUCAUCUAAACUACCAUCACAUAGAAGAGAGCUGCGGUCAUCAAGAUUAGCAUCAUCGCAAUGAAACUGGUCUUCAUCCGGUUCCUCCUCCGCUCCCUCCUCUCUCCCGCUAGAUAGCGCCCGUAUCUAGCUUCCGCCUCCGCCCUAGUGGUGUACCCUUUGUAACUGUUACCACUGAAAUGGUGAACCUGUCUCCGACACUCCUCCCAGUCGUCGUAGACUCCGGGAACCUUACCCUUGUACACGACAUACGAUGGCAUCUCUAUGCAUUAGCCAAACAAAGCGUUAGUAGCAAUUCACAGACAAUACAUAAGCAAUAUAUAAGUAUGCAACAAAAGGAUCGAAAGAGAAAAGCAACACAUUAAUAGCACGAUUCAUGGUCCUACUAAUAAAUAGCAUCGAUUACAUAUAAGUUGAACGACUGUCCAAACCAAAGAGAGAUACAAGUUCAUUAAAGUUUAAUAUUACAACAUGAGCCAAUCGACAUUUCAGAACUACAUAGCAUCACUACUUUCGACUCGACUCAGGGACCGGAGCGUGGAUGAAGCCGCCGUCUUUCGUGAUGGUCAUGAAAUCAUGGGCGUUGUCAGCCUGCAUUUGUAGCGUUGUUUCUAUCUCACUGUUGGACGGUUGAUGUCUGAGAUAGAACUGCCUCGAGGUACGAAGGGCAUCUUGAUGGAUGAUUUCGGCAAACUCCGACUGGAUGCGAAAGAAUUCUUGUCUGAUGUCCGCAUCCUGGAUUGCCGACAAGCGUGCGGCCCAAUCUUUGAGAUUAUUUGGUAGCAGAAGGAGAUUAUGGUCCCGUACGAUCGCCCGCAUGUGAUGGAGGGCGUAGUAGGCAUCCUUCUGACCGCCAGGCGGCUGCUUGACGCAGGGGAACAUCGUAUUGUGGCUAAAGAUGUGCUUGUCGUACCUACGAACUGGCCUGCUGAAGGUGCCUCCAGAUCUGGCGUAGCCGGGGAGAACAUCAUCAAGAACUUUCUUGAUAUUUGUGUAGUCUUUCUUCGACUGACGGUCCGGGUCGAAAUAUGUGGCCAUGGAAUAUUUCAGGCUUAAGAGGAUGAGUGUGCAAUGUGUGUCACUGCACAAAACAUGGAAUGUUAAAAAAAGAACGAUCGAAAUCUAAGAAAUCAUAUGUUACCGGGCGGUGAGGGGAUGACUUACUCGGGAAAGUAAGGCACGAGGAAGUUAUCCUUAUCUGGGUUUGCCAGAAUGACGCCUUCGAGGUAUGAACUCGCGACUUGCCGGUCCCCAGCGCUUCCCAAGAUCUUGGCACGCAUGUAGAAGGGGUCGACUAUCACGAUGUCCGGGGUCUUGUCUCUAAUGAUCUGCAUCUCCAUACUCAGCGAAAAUAGCCGAACGAAGGUGUAGUGCAGCGGAUGAAGGUUAAACAUAGCGAAGAUGUCAUCAAACCGCAGGACGAUCGUACCCCCGAUGGCGCUAUCCACAAAGCCCUUGCCCUCUGGCACCUUGGCCAUGAAAACCGGGUAUGCCACAUCAUUCUCGGAGAGACGCCGCUUCUCCAAAGAAAGAACACGGUCAUGCAGACUCCGCAUAGCACCGGUUGCAGCAUUGAGCAGAUUAGUCGGUAGCAUCGGCCUACCCGCCACAUGCACCCUCUUCGAGAUAUCCUUAGGUGAAGGUGGUCCGUCCUGAGCACGGAUCGUACUCGGUGCCGGCUGGCUCGCACCGCCCUUGUUAUUCUUUCGUUUCCGUCCCUUCUUCCUCAUCUCCUGUAAUGGGAUCGAGUUCUGCUCAGAGACCGCCUUCUUGAGUGUGUUGGGGCUGAUAAUAUUCCGCACCUCGGCUAUCUGAGGCUCGGUGAAGUCGGCAGCUGGAGGCGUCUCCUGAGAACUGAACGCCAGACGAUGCCUGUUGCAAUUGGGUUUCUCCGCGGUACCAGCUCGAUCGUGGUCGUCUUUUUCAGGGUUGGGUUCUUGAGAAGGAGGCCCGAAGAAUUCGUCACCGUACCCAUGUUCGGCAAAGUACUUAUCGACAUUGGUAAAUGUACCAUCGUCGUUGUCGUCGUCGUCCGGAUCCUGUGCCAUAUGCAUGUCCGGAUCCUGUGCCAUAGGGAUGUCCGGCAUGUCCGGUAGCGUUGCGGCGGUCUUGCCAUGGCUUGGCACCAGCACGACUGGCGGUGUUGUCUGUGGGGUGGUGUCCCCCGCCCCCAAAUGAAUCUGGCUCUUCGGCCAAAGCAGGGGCCAGCUUACGCAGGCGCUGAGGGUCAUCACAUCAUCUUCGUCGGCCCCAGCGGGUCGAAUCGGAGGUAACAACUCAUCGCAGCCUGGCAGCACCCGAACCAGUUCACCCCUAUACACGGUGGGUGGCAUCAGAUUACCGUGGAACACGGGGUUGCCCGGUUGAACGAUUCUUCCCUUGGCGACAUCGAUCAACUCGCCGCCCAUGAAGUGCAGGAGAGUGCAUGGAACAUCGGCGGCGCCCUGCGAAAACAUGUAGGGCGUCAGGGAUGCCCAGUCAAAGGCAAGGAGAUGAAGUCAUCGGCCGAGAGGCUCAGUUACCAUGAUGGCGUCGAGCUCGGCUAAUGUCGAGGCACCGCCAACGGCAGGCGUGCAACUGACGGAGGGGCCGCUUGCUGCCGAGGUGCCGGCCGGCGUACACCCGGGUGCAUUAAGCUCCAAUGCCUGUGCCAGCGCCGGAGACACCAAUACCACCUCCGCGGGAGACACCAAUGGCCCCGCCUGCGCGUUGUGCGAGUUGCUGGCCUGAAGCUGGGAACCGGGGGGCGGCCCCUGUUGGCCGCCCGCAAUCCACGCCUGCAGCCCCUCAAUCAAGCUAGGCACAAUGGCGGUGAGCGUCGUUCUCAGUUGUUGUUGCACUUGCUCUUGGACAAUCUCCGGAAUCCGCGCCACUUGUGCCUUGAGUUCUUGAACCUCGCACGACUGGCUUUCCGAGCUGGUCUUCUUCUCCUUUAUUCGCCCACCAACGUUAUAGUAUGACGACCAUUUUGUGGACAAGCCUUUGCCGGCCACACGACCAGCUGACGACGGCUUACUGAGCUUAUCCUUGUUUUUCAUUAUGUUCAACGCCCUAUUUAAAGGGGUGUCCCAAGCUGGGGAGCUUUGAGACGACCCCGCGCUACUGCUUUCAGUCUCCUGCGGAAGGAAUGUGAACCAUUUAGAAAUUUGGCUUCAUUAAUUAGAAUGCAACCAUAUGGAGCUAAUUACGCGGGGGUGUAUUCCUUACCAGAACACUCUCAAGCGCCUUGGUCUUCGAAUCCGUGGUAAGCUCCUUUGUUACCGGGUCCUCCUUGUACCGGGCCCUGACAUAGUUCCUGGUCUGCUUCUCACGGUAUUUCUCGAAGCGGGGCGGUAGGCCUUGCUCGGCACGCUCCGCGUCCUCCUUGUCCCAUAUAGGUUCCGCCACUCUGUAACCGACGGGACUAAGUUUGUGGACCCCUAAGUUCAAGUCCUGCAUCUCUUUCCCCCACUGACUUGAUUCCUCGGAUGCGCUGCUCUCGCACUUGAUCUUGAACUCCUCGUAGUCAUCUUCGCUGAUCGAAGGAUUUUUCGCCUUGAUCUUCUCAUAACUAUCACCUUUGUUAAUCAUUCUCUUCACUGCGCUUCUCCAAGUAGACAGGGCCGUGCUCAUCUUCUUGAGGGCGGCACUGUUCACUUUAUUCCCUGAGAGGCGUGUGUUUGCAAACUCAGCGGGGAACUUGUAUCAUUCGUGCAGCUUCGUGAAGAGGAGGUUGCGCAAAUUCCCUCGGUCCUUAUGCCUUAGGUUCUUGGUGUUGAUCGAGACGGUGCUCUAGAGAAUGCACCCGAGCUGAACCGAGUACCCCUUGACUAAUUCUUUGGGCGCCGUUGGAUCCUCGUCGCAGUUCACUUCAGUAAAUUCCUCCUUGACGGUGCCGAGCACAUUCGGGCGCCGGUCCUUCCGUUGCCUCUUCGGUUCGCCGCCAUCUGUGCAUGCGCUGCCAUCAUCAGUGGUGGCAUCCUCGGCGGCACCAUCAGUGGUGUCAUCCCCGACGCCACUAGGGGUUGUGUAGUCGGGAUCGGUGUCUUCCGCGGCGUCCUCAUAGCGGUGAGGUUCUUCCUCCAUCUCCUGGGACAGCUCCCAGAAUGCCUUGCCCGAACCACCAGCCUCAUCGUUGUGGGCCAUGUUCGCUCUAAAUAGGAAAAAAGUUUGGUCAAAAAGUUGGUUAUUGUCAAGGAACAAGAUCUCUAAGUUGACCAAAUAACCUAAUUCUCGAGGAAUGUCGCCAAAAAGUUGGUUAUUGUCAAGGAACAAUUGAGAGAUGUUUGUGAUAUUGCCUAGGUGUUUUGGGAUGGAACCUGUUAGUGUGUUGUUGCUAAGGUCCAAGUCCACGUUCUCAAGGUCUAAGAUAAUUUAAUCAGGGCAGUGGCAGUGGAUUUGUGCACAAGCUAAGCUAGCUAAGACAGUAGCUUCCUUGCAACCCACAAAAGACAAAGGAAAAGGGGUGAAAAGGGGGAGAUGGUUAGCUUUGAUGACCAAGCAGCAUCUUCCUAACCCCCUUCUUCUUGUCUCCUCUCACUAUCUCUCUCACACACAUGGCAAGCAAGGGUGUCUGAGUGUGUGAAAAAAUACUAAACUAAUCCAACCACUAAAGCGUGAUUUUUUUUUGUUUCGGUUGAGAAUCGGGCACCUUCUAGGUCAAGAAAAUUGGGCAUGACCUUUGCUAAUUUUCUUGACCUAGGAGUGCCCCAUUCUCAACCGAAACGGAAAUUAAUCAACAUUUCAGGAGAAAGGGGUCAUUUCAGAAGAUCACAAGUAGCAGCAGCAUCACUUGACAAAAUCACAAGUAGCACAGCAGCAGCAUCAUCACAAGUAGUACAGCAGCAGCAGUGAAUACAGUGAGUACAUCAGCAGCAUCAUCAUCACAAGCAUUGUGAUGCCCCUUCAAACAACAUCAUCACAAGCAUCAUCACAAGUACAGUAGCAGCAGCAGUGAAUACAGUGAGUACAGCAGCAGCAUAAUCAUCUCAAGAAGGAACAAACAAGAGCUACUACAAUAUUAUGGUGGGUCUGGAUGGUGUAACUAAGGGAGGGGGAGGUGGCCUGGACACGGGACUAUCUUGUUCUAAGCACUGCUAUUUAAGAAGGUUUGAAGCAUAAAAACUUUAGCGUUUUUGCGAAAACAGAGGCUGUGUUCUACUGGUGGUGUGGGGGGUUCAGUUUUGCAAAGUGACCAAGCUUCCCUCUCAAGCACCAAAGAUUCUUGGCAACGGGGGCAAGAGCUCCUUUCCCUUUUUUUGGCAGAAGUGACUUUAGUCAUGUUAGUACUCCUACUACUAUUACUACAUUGUUUGGUUUUGAUGCCCACUUUCUUUUUCCCCUCUCACUGUAUCAGUUUCAGAACCACACAGUAAGUUCUGGCACAGAGGAAACAAACAAGAGGUCAGCAAACAAGGACCAAUACACAAUCUGUAGGUUCUCACCUAAUAAAGUAACCCAGCUCAGUAGAGAGGCUUUUGCCAGUUCCCCAUCUUGCUUUGCCUAGCCUAUUGUACAAGUCCACUUUUUCCCUCCAAAAUUUCAGAAUUUAUGCUAAUUUGAACUUACUUUAAACACACAGAGUAACACAUUUGCAUCCAACAUGGCACCAAAGAACAAUAAGCAAUUUUCCAAAAUGAAACCAAAAAAGAAGCAAGUGGAAAUUAAAGCAGUGGCAAAGAGAAAGCAGAGGAACACUAGCAAGCCUGCCAAGCAAAGCAGCAAGCAAUGCUUUUGCUCCUCCCCACCACCCUUCGGAUUCGUCUCUUUAACUUCUUUUCUUGUAGCUUAGUAGUAGCUUUGAACAGCUAAAGCUAGAGAGAAUUGGGGAAACAAAGGUGAACCUCUCUCUUCUUGCACUCCUUGUAGUUGUCGAACUGCUGCUGGCACUUGCUCUUGUCCUGGUUGGUCUCCAGACCUGGAGACACGACACAUCAUCAGAGAUUUCAUCAAAUACACACGAAACAAUAGACAGCUCGUUCUCUGAUCACUAACAAAGGUAGCAUACUUCCAAUCAACAUGAAAAGUGAAAUACCAAGAUGAUCGAAGUUGUAGUCCUGAGCACUUGCAGAUUCUUCAGCAGUUAAGCCACGGUAAAAUGAAUCCUACAAAAUUAAAGGCCAUACUGAAAAUACUGACGAAACUGAACUAACUGACGCAAAUACUGACGAAACUGAACUAACUGACAAAAAUACUGACGAAACUGAACUAACUGAAAAUACUGUAAAACGAUGACUAGGACUAACAGGGCUGUGCAAAAUUGUGGCCAUGUUCAAUUCAAUGGGGUCAAGAGGGGGUGAAUAAGCAUUUUCAUCAACCUAGAAUUGCAUUUUCAUCCAGUAGUUCUUGUGCUCAUCCAGUAGCAACAUCUUUCAUACAUGAUCAGUAGUCAUGUACCAAAUUUUUAUUUAAACUGAAUUUGCAAAUCACCAAGAGCUCUACUAGUUUCAGACUAGAUUUACACUAAAUACACUAGAGUAUUUGACCAGUAGUCAUGUGAACUCUUUGAAUUUGUAAACACUUCCAGACUUGAGCAUUGAGAAUUCAGUUACCACUGUUGCCUUGUUGAUCUGCUGUACUUCUUUGAUCUAUUGUUGCUAUUUCCCCCGCUGUUAAUCUGCUUCUUCACUCUCUAGUUGCUAUAGUUCUUGAUCUGCUGCGGAGGAACACAGGCAGGGCAGUGAGAGGAGCAACACAGGCAGAGGAACAAGGUACUGGAUCCAACUCAGGCAGAGGAGAAACACAGGCAGGGCAGUGGGAAGGCCGGCGUCGCCACGGUCGAGGGGGGGAAUGGGGAGGAAGGGUGGAGAGGGAGGAAGGAGGAGAGGCGCCGAAUACCUGUGCGGGCGCGGCCGGUCGCCGGAGGGGUCGGGUCGGGGUCGGCGGCGGCAGGAUGGUUGCGGGUCGGCGGCGGUCGUCGUCCUGCACCCCGUGCAGUCGUCGGUGGUGGGAUGGUUGCGGGUCGGCGGCGGGAUGGUUGGGGGCCACGGCGGCUUGCUGUCCGGUGGGCGGCGGAGGAGCUGCAGUGGUGGGGGCGCGGGGGCGCGGGAAGGGAAGUGGAUUGGCGAGGGAGGGACGAAGGGAUCGGGCGAAUUAGCUAGCUAGGGGGAAGAUUACUAAUGGCACACCCCCUAGCGGUGCGCCAUUAGUAUGUUUUUUUAUAGCAAUGGCGCACCACCGAGCGGUGCGCCAUUAGAAAUCUUUUUUUUAGAUAGCAAUGGCGCACCACCCAGCGGUGCGCCAUAAGUAACCUUUUUUUUGCACAGCAAUGGCGCACCAGCCAGUGGUGCGCCAUAAGUAAUUUUAUUAUUAAUUUUUUUGUUGCAUCUAAUAGUUUUUUAGAAAAUGAAAAUGAAUAUGAAACAGUAAUAAAUUUUUUUUAAAUAUCAUCAAAUUUGUUAUUUGAAAAUAUUUAUGAAUAUGAAAAAAUAUCAUCAAAUUUGUUAUUUGAAAAUAUCAUCAAAUUNNNNNNNNNNNNNNNNNNNNNNNNNNNNNNNNNNNNNNNNNNNNNNNNNNNNNNNNNNNNNNNNNNNNNNNNNNNNNNNNNNNNNNNNNNNNNNNNNNNNNNNNNNNNNNNNNNNNNNNNNNNNNNNNNNNNNNNNNNNNNNNNNNNNNNNNNNNNNNNNNNNNNNNNNNNNNNNNNNNNNNNNNNNNNNNNNNNNNNNNNNNNNNUUUGUUAUUUGAAAAUAUAAUCAAAUUUGUUUUUUUUGGAUUUUUAGUUGCAUUCAUUUGUGAAUUGGUAAAACAUUACUGGGGAGGGUGCGGGGGGUCGGCGGCGGCGGUGGAGCGGGGGGUGCUCGGCGGCGGUGGAGCGGGCCGGGGAGGGUGCGGGGGGUGCUCGGCGGCGGUGGAGCGGGCCGGGGAGGGUGCCCAUGAAAUUUAAAAAUAUUCAUGAGUUCAAAAAGUGCCCAUGAAAUACAAUCGAGAAAUGAAGGCUACAAUUUAAAUACAAUCGAUCUUAGCUAGCUAUCUGUUCACAAUCUUCUUGCCCUUAUUUUUCAUAAAUGGAGUUCUUCUCUUGAACGGACGUCCUUUAGGUAGGGUGGUACUGCUUCUUCUUGUGGUGUAUGCUGGUACUUCAUCGUCGUCGUCAUGUUCCAUCUUCGGGUCGCCGUACUUGUCGAAGUCUUGCUCAUUGGCGACUCCAUCCAUUCCGAUGAUCUUCCUUUUGCCUCUCCUCACGACAUAACGACUGGGCUUUGACGGGUCGGUAAUGAAGAAGCAUUAGUCCACUUGGGAAGCCAGUACCCAUGGCUCAUUUUUCGCGGUGACGUUUGCGCCCGCGGUCUUGGAUUUGGCUUCGGGUAUAACCAUGGUGGUGAAAUACCGGUCUUCUUUUAGGACGCUCUUGGCCCAUCUGACACGGAAGAUCGGGACCUUCUCUCCAGCGUAGCUCAACUCCUAGAUCUCCUCGAUCCUUCCAUAGUAUUUGUCCUUGUCGUUACCGGUGUAGGAUUCCAUCGUUACCCCGGAGUUCUGAUAACCAUCGCUCUUCAUGUCCUUUCCCUCGGUGUAGAAUGUGUAGCCGUUGAUAUCGUACGCCUCAUACAUCAUCAGGUUGUGCUCGGCGCCCUGUGACAAGGCGAAUAUGAGUUUUUCUUCCGCGGAAGAAUCCUCAUGUAAAGGGUACGACAGAAGCUUCUCCUUGAAUCAACGCGUGAAACAUGAGUUGUGCUCUUUGAUUAUAUCUCCGUCCGUCCUCUGUUUGCCUCGGUCAUUGUACGUCUUCUCAAUAAAGGUUUUGUUGGAAAUAUGCCCUAGAGGCAAUAAUAAAUUGGUUAUUAUUAUAUUUCCUUGUUCAUGAUAAUCGUUUAUUAUCCAUGCUAGAAUUGUAUUGAUAGGAAACUCAGAUACAUGUGUGGAUACACAGACAACACCAUGUCCCUAGUAAGCCUCUAGUUGACUAGCUCGUUGAUCAAUAGAUGGUUACGGUUUCCUGACCAUGGACAUUGGAUGUCGUUGAUAACGGGAUCACAUCAUUAGGAGAAUGAUGUGAUGGACAAGACCCAAUCCUAAGCCUAGCACAAGAUCGUGUAGUUCGUUUGCUCAGAGCUUUUCUAAUGUCAAGUAUCAUUUCCUUAGACCAUGAGAUUGUGCAACUCCCGGAUACCGUAGGAAUGCUUUGGGUGUACCAAACGUCACAACGUAACUGGGUGGCUAUAAAGGUGCACUACAGGUAUCUCCGAAAGUGUCUGUUGGGUUGGCACGAAUCGAGACUGGGAUUUGUCACUCCGUGUAAACGGAGAGGUAUCUCUGGGCCCACUCGGGAGGACAUCAUCAUAAUGUGCACAAUGUGACCAAGGAGUUGAUCACGGGAUGAUGUGAGUUACGGAACGAGUAAAGAGACUUGCCGGUAACGAGAUUGAACAAGGUAUAGGGAUACCGAUGAUCGAAUCUCGGGCAAGUAACAUACCGAUAGACAAAGGGAAUUGUAUACGGGAUUGAUUGAAUCCUCAACAUCGUGGUUCAUCCGAUGAGAUCAUCGAGGAGCAUGUGGGAGCCAACAUGGGUAUCCAGAUUCCGCUGUUGGUUAUUGACCGGAGAGUCGUCUCGGUCAUGUCUGCAUGUCUCCCGAACCCGUAGGGUCUACACACUUAAGGUUCGGUGACGCUAGGGUUGUAGAGAUAUUAGUAUGCGGUAACCCGAAAGUUGUUCGGAGUCCCGGAUGAGAUCCCGGACGUCACGAGGAGUUCCGGAAUGGUCCGGAGGUAAAGAUUUAUAUAUGGGAAGUCUUAUUUUGGUCGCCGGAAAAGUUUCGCACUUUAUCGGUAUUGUACCGGGAGUGCCGAAAGGGGUCCGGGGGUCCACCAGCCCCGGGGGGCCCACAUGGGCUGUGGGGGGUGCGCCUUGGCCUAUAUGGGCCAAGGGAACCAGCCCCAAGAGGCCCAUGCGCCAAGAGAUAAGAUAAACGGAGAGUCCUAAAGGGGGAAGGCACCUCCGAGGUGCCUUCGGGGGGGAAGGACUCCCCCCUGGCCGCACCCUUCCUUGGAGGAAGGGCCAAGGCUGCGCCCCCCCUCUCCCUUGGCCCUAUAUAUAGUGGGGGGGAGGGAGGGCAGCAGCAAUCCAAGCCCUGGCGCCUCCCUCUCCCUCCCGUGACACCUCUUCCCUCCCGUUAGUGCUUGGCGAAGCCCUACCGGGAUCCCCGCUACUUCCACCACCACGCCGUCGUGCUGCUGGAUCUCCAUCAACCUCUCCUCCCCCCCUUGCUGGAUCAAGAAGGAGGAGACGUCGCUGCUCCGUACGUGUGUUGAACGCGGAGGUGCCGUCCGUUCGGCGCUAGGAUCAUCGGUGAUUUGGAUCACGACGAGUACGACUCCAUCAACCCCGUUCUCUUGAACGCUUCCGCUCGCGAUCUGCAAGGGUAUGUAGAUGCACUCCUUCCCUCUUGUUGCUAGUAAACUCCAUAGAUUGAUCUUGGUGAUGCGUAGAAAAUUUUGAAUUUCGGCUACAUUCCCCAACAGUGGCAUCAUGAGCUAGGUCUAUGUGUAGUUUCUAUGCACGAGUAGAACACAAAGUAGUUGUGGGCGUCGAUGUUGUCAAUUCUUUUUGCCGCUACUAGUCUUAUCUUGUUUCGGCGGCAUUGUGGGAUGAAGCGGCCUGGACCGACCUUACACGUACGCUUACGUGAGACAGGUUCCACCGACUGACAUGCACUAGUUGCAUAAGGUGGCUAGCGGGUGUCUGUCUCUCCCACUUUAGUCGGAACGGAUUCGAUGAAAAGGGUCCUUAUGAAGGGUAAAUAGAAAUUGGCAUAUCACGUUGUGGUUUUACGUAGGUAAGAAACGUUCUUGCUAGAAACCUAUACAAGCCACGUAAAAACUUGCAACAACAAUUACAGGACGUCUAACUUGUUUUUGCAGCAUGUGCUAUGUGAUGUGAUAUGGCCAGAAGAUGUGAUGAAUGAUAUAUGUGAUGUAUGAGAUUGAUCAUAUUCUUAUAAUAGGAAUCACGACUUGCAUGUCGAUGAGUAUGACAACCGGCAGGAGCCAUAGGAGUUGUCUUUAUUUUUGUAUGACCUGCGUGUCAUUGAAUAACGCCAUGUAAAUUACUUUACUUUAUUGGUAAGCGCGUUAGCCAUAGAAGUAGAAGUAAUCGUUGGCGUGACAACUUCGUGAAGACACAAUGAUGGAGAUCAUGAUGAUGGAGAUCAUGGUGUCAUGCCGGUGACGAAGAUGAUCAUGGUGCCCCGAAGAUGGAGAUCAAAGGAGCAAAAUGAUAUUGGCCAUAUCAUGUCACUAUUUGAUUGCAUGUGAUGUUUAUCAUGUUAUGCAUCUUAUUUGCUUAGAACGACGGUAGUAAGUAAGAUGAUCCCUCACUAAAAUUUCAAGAGAAGUGUUCCCCCUAACUGUGCACCGUUGCGAAGGUUCGUUGUUUCGAAGCACCACGUGAUGAUCGGGUGUGAUAGAUUCUAACGUUCGAAUACAACGGGUGUUGACGAGCCUAGCAUGUACAGACAUGGCCUUGGAACACAUGCGAAACACUUAGGUUGACUUGACGAGCCUAGCAUGUACAGACAUGGCCUCGGAACACAAGAGACCGAAAGGUCGAACAUGAGCCGUAUAGUAGAUGCGAUCAACAUGGAGAUGUUCACCGAUGAUGACUAGUCCGUCUCACGUGAUGAUCGGACACGGCCUAGUUUGACUUGGAUCAUGUAUCACUUAGAUGACUAGAGGGAUGUCUAUCUGAGUGGGAGUUCAAUAAUCAGAUGAACUUCAUUAUCAUGAACAUAGUCAAAAUGUCUUUGCAAAUUAUGUCAUACGCUUUAGUUCUACUGUUUAAGAUAUGUUCCUAGAGAAAAUUUAGUUGAAAGUUGGUAGUAGCAAUUAUGCGGACUGGGUCCGUAAACUGAGGAUUGUCCUCAUUGCUGCACAGAAGGCUUAUGUCCUUAAUGCACCGCUCGGUGUGCUGAACCUCAGCGUCGUCUGUAGAUGUUGCGAAACAUCUGACAUACAUGUUUUUGAUGACUACGUGAUAGUUCAGUGCGUAAUGCUAACGGUUUAGAAUUGUGGCACCAAAGACGGUUUUUGAAACGUCGCAGAACAUAUGAGAUGUUCCGAAGACUCAAAUUGGGAUUUCAGACUAGUGCCCACGUCAAGAGGUAUGAGACCUCUGACAAGUUUCUUAAGCCUGCAAACUAAGGGAGAAAAGCUCAAUCGUUGAGCAUGUGCUCAGAUUGUCUGAGUACUACAAUCACUUGAAUCGAGUGGGAGUUAAUCUUCCAGAUAAGAUAGUGAUGGUUCUCCAUAAGUCACUGCCACCAAGCUAGUAGAGCUUCGUGAUGAACUAUAAAAUAUCAGGGAUAGAUGAUGAUCCUUGAGCAACUCGCGAUGUUUGACACCGCGAAAGUAGAAAUCAAGAAGGAGCAUCAAUUGUUGAUGGUUAGUAAAACCACUAGUUUCUAGAAGGGCAAGGGCAAGAAGGGAUACUUCAUGAAACGGCAAAUCAGUUGCUGCUCUAGUGAGGAAACCCAAGGUUGAACCCAAACCCGAGACUAAGUGCUUCUGUAAUGAGAGGAACGGUCACUGAAGCAGUACUACCCUAGAUACUCGGUAGAUGAGAAGGCGGGCAAGGUCGACAGAAGUAUAUUGGAUAUACAUUAUAUGAGUGUGUACUUUACUAGUACUCCUAGCAGCACCAGGGUAUUAGAUACCGGUUCGGUUGCUAAGUGUUAGUAACUCGAAAUAAAAGCUGCGGAAUAAACGGAGACUAGCUAAAGGUGAGAUGACGAUAUGUGUUGGAAGUGUUUCCAAGGUUGAUGUGAUCAAGCAUCGCAUGCUCCCUCUACCAUCGAGAUUUGGUGUUCGCAAUACGGUUAUUCAUUUAAGGAGAAUAAUGGUUACUCUGUUUAUUUGAAUAAUACCUUCAAUGGUCUUGCACCUAAAAUGAAUCUCGAUCGUAGUGAUACACAUGUUCAUGCCAAAAGUAAUGAUAGUACCACAUACUUGUGGCACUGCCAUUUGAGUCAUAUUGGUAUAGAACGCAUGAAGAAGCUCCAUGUAGAUGGAUCUUUGGACUCACUCGUUUUUGAAAAGAUUGAGACAUGCGAACCAUGUCUAUUGGUAUAUAUGCAUGAAGAAACUCCAUGCAGAUGGAUCAUUUGGACUCACUUGAUUUUGAAUCACUUGAGACAUGCAAAUCAUACCACAUGGGCAAGAUGACUAAAAGUCCUCGUUUUCAGUAAGAUGGAACAAGAGAGCAACUUAUUGGAAGUAAUACAUUUUGAUGUAUGCAAUCCAAUGAGUGCUGAGGCAUGCAGUGGAUAUCGUUAUGUUCUUACUUCACAGAUGAUUUGAGUAGAUGCUGAGUGUAUUUACUUGAUGAAACACAAGUCUGAAUUAUUGAAAGGUUCAAGUAAUUUCAGAGUGAAGUUGAAGAUCGUCAUGACAAGAGGAUAAAAUGUCUGUGAUAUGAUCAUAGAGAUGAGUAUCUGAGUUACGAGUUUGGCACACAAUUAAGACAUUGUGGAAAGUGUUUCACAAUUAAUACCGCCUGGAACACCAUAGUGUGAUGGUGUGUCCGAACAUCAUAAAUGCACCCUAUUGGAUAUGGUACAUACCAUGAUGUCUCUUAUCGAAUUACCACUAUCGUUUAUGGGUUAGGCACUAGAGACAACCGCAUUCACUUUAAAAAGGGGCACCACGCAAUUCCGUUGAGACGACACCGUUUAGAGAAACCUAAGUUGUCGUUUCUUAAAAGUUUGGGGCUGCGAUGCUUGUGUGAAAAAGUUUCAGGCUGAUAAGCUCGAACCCAAAGCGGAUAUAUGCAUCUUCAUAGAAUACCCAAAUCAGUUGGGUGUACCUCCUAUUUCAGAUCUGGAAGCAAAAGUAAUUGCUUCUAGAAACGAGUCCUUUCUCGAGGAAAAGUUUCUCUCGAAAGAAUUGAGUGGGAGGAUGGUGGCGACUUGAUAAGGUUAUUGAACCGUCACUUCAACUAGUGUGUAGCAGGGUACAGGAAGUUGUUCCUGUGGCACCUACACCAAUUGAAGUGGAAGCUUAUGAUAGUGAUCAUGAAACUUCGGAUCAAGUCACUACCAAACCUCGUAGGACGACGAGGAUGCGUGCUACUUCAGAGUGGUACGUGAUCCUGUCUGAGAUAUCAUGUUGUUGGACAAUACUGAACCUACGAGCUAUGGAGAAGCGAUGGUGGGCCCAUAUUCCGACAAAUGGUUAGAAGCCAUGAAAUCCGAGAUAAAUGGAUCUUUAAGAAGAAGACGGACAUGGACGGUAAUGUUACCGUCUAUGAAGCUUGACUUGUGGAAAAGAGUAUUUUCACAAGUUCAAGGAGUUGACUACGAUGAGAUUUUCUCAUCCGUAGCGAUGCUUAAGUCCGUCGGAAUCAUGUUAGCAUUAGCUGCAUUUAUGAAAUCUGGCAGAUGGAUGUCAAAACAAGUUUCCUUACCAGUUUUUCGAAAGGAAAGGUUGUAUGUGGUACGAUCAGAAAGGUUUUGUCGAUCCUAAGGAUGCUAAAAGGUAUGCUAGCUCCAGCGAUCCCUCCAUGGACUAGAGCAAGCAUCUCGGAGUCAGAAUAUACGCUUUGAUGGAGUGAUCAAAGUUUUUGGGUUUAUACAAAGUUUGUUAGAAACUUGUAUUUACAAUAAAGUGAGUGGGAGCGCUACAACAUUUCUGAUAAGUAUAUGUGAAUGACAUAUUGUUGAUCCGAAAUGAUGUAGAAUUUCUGGAAAGCAUAAAGGGUUGUUUGAAAGGAGUUUUUCAAAGGAAGACCUGGAUAAAGCUGCUUACAUAUUGGGCAUCAAGAUCUAUAGAGAUAGAUCAAGAUGCCUGAUGAUACUUUCAAAGAACGCACACCUUGACAUGAUUUUGAAAGAGUUCAAAAUAGAUCAGCAAAGAAAGAGUUCUUGGCUGUGUUACAAGGUGUGAGUAUUGAGUAAGACUCAAGACCUGACCACAGCAGAAGAGAGAGAAAGGACGAAGGUCGUCCCCUAUGCUUUAGACGUAGGCUCUACAGUAUGCUAUGUUGUGUACCGCACAUGAAGUGUGCCUUGCCAUGAGUUGGUCAAGGGGUACAAUAGUGAUCCGGGAAUGGAUCACAUGACAGCGGUCGAACUUAUCCUUAGUAUCUAGUGGACUAAGGAAUUUUCUCGAUUAUGGAGGUGAAAAGGAGUUCGUCGUAAAGGGUUACGUCGAUGCGAACUUUGACACUAAUCCGGAUGACUCUGAGUAGUAAACCGGAUUCGUAUAGUAGAGCAAUUAUUUGAAAUGGCUCCAAAUAGCGCGUGGUAGCAUCCACAAGAUGACAUAGAUAUUCGUAAAGCACACACGGAUCUGAAAGGUUCACACCCGUUGACUAAAUAACCUCUCUCACAAGCAUAACAUGAUCAAACCAGAACUCAUUGAGUGUUAAUCACAUAGAGAUGUGAACUAGAUUGUUGACUCUAGUAAACUCUUUGGAUGUUGGUCACAUGGUGAUGUGACCUAUGAGUGUUAAUGACAUGGUGAUGUGGACUAGAUUAUUGACUCUAGUGCAAGUGGGAGACUGUUGGAAAUAUGCUCUAGAGGCAAUAAUAAAUUGGUUAUUAUUAUAUUUCCUUGUUCAUGAUAAUCGUUUAUUAUCCAUGCUAGAAUUGUAUUGAUAGGAAACUCAGAUACAUGUGUGGAUACAUAGACAACACCAUGUCCCUAGUAAGCCUCUAGUUGACUAGCUCGUUGAUCAAUAGAUGGUUACGGUUUCCUGACCAUGGACAUUGGAUGUCGUUGAUAACGGGAUCACAUCAUUAGGAGAAUGAUGUGAUGGACAAGAUCCAAUCCUAAGCCUAGCACAAGAUCGUGUAGUUCGUUUGCUCAGAGCUUUUCUAAUGUCAAGUAUCAUUUCCUUAGACCAUGAGAUUGUGCAACUCCCGGAUACCGUAGGAAUGCUUUGGGUGUACCAAACGUCACAACGUAACUGGGUGGCUAUAAAGGUGCACUACAGGUAUCUCCGAAAGUGUCUGUUGGGUUGGCACGAAUCGAGACUGGGAUUUGUCACUCCGUGUAAACGGAGAGGUAUCUCUGGGCCCACUCGGGAGGACAUCAUCAUAAUGUGCACAAUGUGACCAAGGAGUUGAUCACGGGAUGAUGUGAGUUACGGAACGAGUAAAGAGACUUGCCGGUAACGAGAUUGAACAAGGUAUAGGGAUACCGACGAUCGAAUCUCGGGCAAGUAACAUACCGAUAGACAAAGGGAAUUGUAUACGGGAUUGAUUGAAUCCUCAACAUCGUGGUUCAUCCGAUGAGAUCAUCGAGGAGCAUGUGGGAGCCAACAUGGGUAUCCAGAUUCCGCUGUUGGUUAUUGACCGGAGAGUCGUCUCGGUCAUGUCUGCAUGUCUCCCGAACCCGUAGGGUCUACACACUUAAGGUUCGGUGACGCUAGGGUUGUAGAGAUAUUAGUAUGCGGUAACCCGAAAGUUGUUCGGAGUCACAGAUGAGAUCCCGGACGUCACGAGGAGUUCCGGAAUGGUCCGGAGGUAAAGAUUUAUAUAUGGGAAGUCUUAUUUUGGUCGGCGGAAAAGUUUCGCACUUUAUCGGUAUUGUACCAGGAGUGCCGAAAGGGGUCCGGGGGUCCACCAAGGGGUCCACCAGCCCCGGGGGGGCCACAUGGGCUGUGGGGGGUGCGCCUUGGCCUAUAUGGGCCAAGGGAACCAGCCCCAAGAGGCCCAUGCGCCAAGAGAUAAGAUAAACGGAGAGUCCUAAAGGGGGAAGGCACCUCCGAGGUGCCUUGGGGGGGAAGGACUCCCCCCUGGCCGCACCCUUCCUUGGAGGAAGGGCCAAGGCUGCGCCCCCCCCUCUCCCUUGGCCCUAUAUAUAGUGGGGGGGAGGGAGGGCAGCAGCAAUCCAAGCCCUGGCGCCUCCCUCUCCCUCCCGUGACACCUCUUCCCUCCCGUUAGUGCUUGGCGAAGCCCUACCGGGAUCCCCGCUACUUCCACCACCACGCCGUCGUGCUGUUGGAUCUCCAUCAACCUCUCCUCCCCCCUUGCUAGAUCAAGAAGGAGGAGACGUCGCUGCUCCGUACGUGUGUUGAACGCGGAGGUGCCGUCCGUUCGGCGCUAGGAUCAUCGGUGAUUUGGAUCACGACGAGUACGACUCCAUCAACCCCGUUCUCUUGAACGCUUCCGCUCGCGAUCUACAAGGGUAUGUAGAUGCACUCCUUCCCUCUCGUUGCUAGUAAACUCCAUAGAUUGAUCUUGGUGAUGCGUAGAAAAUUUUGAAUUUCGGCUACGUUCCCCAACAGGUUUUGUGCUCUACCACCCAAGGAUCGACCACGGCUAUGUGUUGUAGCGCGACUAGGUUUGCUCUUUCAAAGUCGGCGAGUCGACCCUCGAAGUCGACAUGCAUUUCGCGGCGACCCUCACGGUGACCCCAUCCAGCGAGCCUGCCGAGGUGCCUGUUGACGGGUAAACCAACGGGGUUCUCGAUGCCUAGAUAAUUCGUGCAGUAGGAGAUGCACUCUUCGGUCAGAAAGCCCCUGGCUAUGCUUCCCUCUGGACGUGACAUGUUGCGAACGUAUCCUUUGAUGACACCAUUCAUCCUUUCGAACGGCAUCAUGCUGUGUAGGAACGUCGGCCCGAGUUGGAUGAUAUCCUCCACGAUAUGGACCAGCAGAUGCACCAUAACGUCGAAGAAUGCGGCGGGAAGUACAUCUCAAGCUCGCAAAGUAUCACCACGAUCUCUUCAUGUAGCCUUCUGAGUUGCCUCACGCCAACCGACUUCCGAGAGAUGACGUCGAAAAAGUUGCAUAGUCCAAAUAGCGUUUCACGGACGUGCGCAUCCAUGAUCCCACGGGUUGCAACUGGAAGUAUCUGCGUCAUCAGCACGUGACAGUCGUGAGACUUCAUCCCGCUGAACUUCUGCUUCGCUGAGUCUAGGUAUCUGCUUAUCUUCCCCGCGUAACCGUAAGGAAGUUUUACUCCUACGAGGCAGGUGAAAAACUGAUCGAUCUCCUCCUGACUUAGAGUGAAGCACGCGGGAGGGAAGUCAUUUCCGGUCUUCUUGGCCUUUUUGCCUUUGCUACGACUUUCCGUGUCCUGCUUUGCCUCAUCAUCAUCAUCAUUAGCGUGAAGCUCCUCCCUGAUGCCCAUUGAUUUCAAGUCUGCCCUUGCUUUCGGCCCAUCUUUGGUCCUCUCCGGCAUGUUGAGCAGGGUACCAAGCAGACUCUCGCACACGUUCUUCGUGAUAUGCAUGACAUCAAGGCUGUGAGGCACAUGGUGGAUCUUCCAGUACGGCAAGUCCCAGAAAACAGACCUCGUUUCCCAUACCUUCAGCAGCGGCUCUUGCGCCUUUCGCUUCUUUCCCGGCUCUGGCGCCUUUUGCUUCUUUCCCGGCAGUGGGCAAUCUUUCCAAUUUUUCAACAGCUCGUCUAUUUCCUCGCCGCUCCUCGUACGCGGGCGUCUUCGGGGUUCGGUUUCACCAUCGAACAGAUCCUUGCGUUUUCUCCAUGGGUCAUCAUCGCGAAGCCACCUUCGAUGUCCCAUGAACACGUUUUUCGAAGACCCGGGAUCUCUAUCUAGCUGGCGAUACGUUGUGUCAUCCAUGCACCUGACGCAUCCAGAAAAUCCGUGGACCACCUGCCCCGCGAGAUAUCCGUAACCGAGAUAGUCGUGCACCGUCGUGAGUAGUGCGGCUCUCAUAGGGAAAUAUUCUUUCUCUGCGGCGUCCCAUGUAUUGGCUGGCGUUUUCCACAGCGUGUCUAGCUCCUCUUUCAGCAGCCCCAGAUACAGAUUGAUGUCGUUCCCUGGUUGUUUCGGCCCUUCAAUUAGCAUACUCAUGUGAAUGUACUUCCUCUUCAUGCACAACCAGGGGGAAGGUUGUACAUCCACACAAACACAGGCCAGGUGCUAUGUGUGCUUCUCUGGCUGCCAAACGGAUUGACUCCAUCGAUGCUCGCGCCCAGCACGAUGUUCCUUGGAUCAUUCCCAAAUUCUGGGUGUUCGAAGUUCAACGCUUGCCACUGGCUCCCAUCCUUAGGGUGACUCAGCAUCUUGACUUUUUUAUUUAUCUCCGGAUCAUUUGCGUCAUCUUCUCGCUUCUUCUCCUCCCUAUCCGCGUGCCAACGCAAGAGCUUUGCUACCUUAGGGUCCGCGAAAUACUGCUGCAGACGAGGAGUGAUCGGAAAGUACCACACCACUUUUCGAGGAGCUUUCUUCCUCUUCUUGUAACGAGUGACGCCGCACACCGGACAUAUGGUAGACUCCGCGUGCUCGUCCCGAUAAAUGAUGCAAUUGUUCAUGCACAAAUGGUAUUUCACAUGCGGUAAAUCCAGAGGACACACGAUUUUCUUCGCCUCCUCAAAACUGGUCGGGCACUUGUUCCCCUUGGGAAGACGUUCGUGCCAGAAUGACAUGUUCUCGUCAAAGCAUGCGUCGGUCAUUUUGUGUUUUACCUUCAUCUCCAGAGCCAUGAGCGUUACUUUCAGGCGGGUAUCCUCGGGCCUGCAUCCUUCAUACAAUGGAGUAACCGCGUCUAUCUCUAGUUGAUCCAGCUUGGCUUUCUCUUGGGCGGCAGCUCUUGCGUUAUCCGUCUGCUUGAGAAUCAGCUCUUGAAUGUGAGCGUCCUGCACCCAGCCCAUCGAUGGUCCAUCGUCGUCUGCUCCGGCAUCUUCAUCUUCAUGAUCAUGCCCUUCGUCUGCUCCGGCAUCUUCCUCAUCAUCAUGUCCGGCAUCUUCUACAUGAUGACUGUGUACUGCAUCUACUUCGUGAUCAUGUCCUGGAGAUUCUUCGUCUUCUCGCCCGCCCUCGCCGCGGUUGUCUUGCUGCCCUUCCUCAUUUCUUGCCGCCCGGCCCCCAUGGACGACUUCAUAAUCAUCUUCAUCACCUUGCCACCGAUAGCCAUCCAUGAAACCACGCAAGAGCAGGUGGUCCCGCACCUGUACGGAAUCCGGGUCCAUAAGGCUCCUCAGCUUGCAUCGUCGACACGGACAUCUUAUCUUCGUCUCGUUAUUUUGAAGCAUCUCGGCCUUCGCGGAGCUAAAAACCCUAUUCACGAUGCCUUCGGUCAUCGUGCGGACCAUGGUCGCCUGCGGGGUAGAGCAAAACGAUAUUUUAGAACCAAGAAAAAAUUUGGCAUGACUUUGCCUAAAAAUAGGACUAAAAAGAAUGCAUAGUGCCAAAAUUCUCGCCGAAACGGAAAUGAAUCAACAUUCCGGCAAAAUAUUGGCAACUAUCGCAUUUCAAAUACCGGUACCUGCAAACACAAACAUAUAUGCAACACCACAAACAUAUGCAACACCACAAACAUACAUAGAUCUAGCUAGGCCAUAAAAAGUGCAUGUGCACGUUGUUGGAGGAAGAAAAAAGUAGAUCUACAACAUAAAGAAAGCUUUCCCCUUACUUACUUAUCAAAAAAAGGUAAUUUAACCACUUAAUUUGGAUGACUAUGGUGCAAAUAAGGUGAGGAGGAGGAGGCAGCCGAGACAAGCUUGGAGGAGGAGGUGGAGAGAAUGAAGUGGGGAAAGUGAGUGUGUAGGUGGCUGUCCAAAAUAUCUAGCUGGUCCCAGGUUACUAAUGGCGCACCACCAACAAAUGCGCCAUUAGUAAUCCUGGUUACUAAUGGCGCACCAGCUGGCGGUGCGCCAUUAGUAGUUUUGCAAAAAAAAUCAAAAAAAAUAGUAGUGGCGCACGGGGUGACUGUUAACUAGUAAUGGCGCACUAUGCCACGAUGCGCCAUUAGUAUUUUUGAAAAAAAAAACAAAUUUUAUUAGUAGUGGCGCACCAUGUUUGUGGUGCGCCAUUAGUGUGAUAGUGUCUAUCACACUAAUGGCGCACCAGCACACGGUGCGCCAUUAGUAUUUUUGGAAAGUAGAAAAAAACUCUUAGUAGUGGCGCACCAUAGUUGUGGUGCGCCACUGCUAUAUAGUAGUGGCGCACCGCAUGUCUGGUGCGCCAUUAGUGUGCGUAUUGUCUAUAGCCCUUUUCCUAGUAGUGAGGUUUUGGCUAAUGAUUUUUAUAAAUCCUUAUAUCUAUCUGAAGGGGUCCAAAACAUGGAUGCGGUGCUCAACCAUGUCCCGAGGAAGGUGACAACCGAGAUGAACUCCAACCUGUGUGCCCCGUACACCAAAGAGGAGGUCAAGAUCGCUCUAUUUCAGAUGUUUCUGACCAAAGCUCCAGGUCCAGACGGUUUUCCUGCUCAUUUUUACCAAAAGCACUGGGAGAUUUGUGGGGAUGAAGUGACAAAUAUAGUGAUCAGAAUAGUGAAUGGCGAGGAGAGCCCAGCAGCUAUCAACGACACUGUUCUAGUUUUGAUCCCCAAGGUAACGAAUCCCACGGUACUUGCUCAAUUCCGGCCUAUAAGUCUUUGCAAUGUUCUGUAUAAAAUAGCCUCCAAAGUUAUAGCAAACAGGUUGAAAAUUAUAUUGCCUGACAUAAUUUCUGAGGAACAGUCUGCAUUUGUGCCUGGGAGGUUGAUUACGGAUAAUAUCAUAUGUGCUUAUGAGUGCUUACACUUCAUGAAAAGAUCGAGAGCAAAAUCAAACAGUUAUUGUGCUUUGAAGCUAUAUAUGAUGAAGGCAUAUGACAGGUUGGAAUGGGCCUAUCUUCGAGGUAUCAUGACUAAAUUGGGAUUUGAUCAUCACUGGAUAGAUGUGGUCAUGGGCAUGGUCUCUUCAGUUUCAUUCUCUGUUUGUUUUAAUGGCGAGAAGCUUGACUCUUUUUUACCAACACGCGGUAUCCGGCAGGGAGACCCAAUCUCCCCCUACUUGUUCUUGAUUGUGGCAGAGGGCCUUUCGUGCCUCCUUAAAUCAAGUUCUCAGUCGUCUCUGACAGGUAUCCAGGUGGCACCCACGGCUCCUACCGUUAACCACCUCUUGUUUGCAGAUGAUAGCCUGCUGUUAUUUAAGGCGAGUGGGGAGAGUCAACUACGGUGUCAAACCUACUUGAUACAUAUUGCAAUGCUUCAGGGCAGAGGAUCAACAAUGAGAAAUCCUCAAUCUUUUUCAGUAAGGGUUGCCCGGUGCAGAUGAGGGAAAUUGUCAAGAACAAUCUGCAAGUACACAAUGAGUCUUUGAGUGAGCGCUACCUGGGCAUGCCGACAGAUAUUGGCCACUCGAAGAAUGGUACGUUCAAAUAUCUCCGGGACCGUGUGUGGGAGAAAAUCAAAGGGUGGAUGGAGAAAUUAUUAUCAGCUGCUGGCAAAGAAGUUUUGAUCAAAUCUGUUGCACAAGCUAUACUGGUCUACUCUAUGUCUUGCUUCAGAUUGCCACGAGGUUUAUGUGAGAGCAUAAUGUCACUUAUCCGACAGUUUUGGUGGGACUCCAAGCAUGGUAAGAGAAAGUCGAGCUGGGUAGCGUGGGAUAUAAUGACUCUACCAAAGCACUUGGGGGGCCUGGGAUUUCGUGACAUGGAGAUUUUUAACCUUGCACUUCUGGCAAGGCAAGCAUGGCGUACCCUUACAGAUAGCACUUCGCUGAGUGCACAUAUUCUCAAGGCAGUAUACUUCCCACACUGUUCUCUCCUCAAAGCCGAACUUGCGCCGCAUCCAUCCCAGAUUUGGCGAGCGAUAUUGGAUGGUCGUGACAUUCUGGCACAAGAUGUCAUUAGGCGUAUUGGAGAUGGAGAGACAACAAAUAUUUGGAAGCAUAACUGGAUCCCACGCGACGGCAUCAAGAGACCCAUCAGUUCACUUGUUCAUAACCCGCCGGAGAAGGUGGUGCAGCUCAUAGAUGCAACGUCGGCAACAUGGAAUGAAAACUUGGUACGCUCACUGUUCACUCACUUUGAUGCAGAAGAGAUCCUACAGAUUCCUUUAUGAACACGUCGCAUGGGGGAUUUUUGGGGCUGGCAUGAGGAGCCUCGAGGAAAGUUUAGUGUUCGCUCAGCUUACCGGAUGAUACUAAGGACGAAACAUAGCAGGGAGGCUUGGUUAUAUGAGGAGGACGGUACAUCCUACGAGCAUCAAGAGACGAAGAAGUGGUCCAUGAUCUGGCACAUGCAAGUUCCAUCAAAACUCAAGGUGUUCGUGUGGCGACUGGUUCGUCAAUCCAUGCCAACGGGUUCGCUCCUUAAGCAUCGUCACAUGGCAACAGAGGAUACUUGCUUGAUAUGUGGGGCUGUUGACACUUGGAAACAUGCUCUUAUUUCAUGUCCGAUGGCGGCGAGUGUGUGGGCAUUGGCCCCGGAGGAGUUGGUGCAGCAUAUGGUCGACCGUGCGGAAGUAUGCCCGAAGGAGUGGCUGUUUUCUAUGCAUGAAAUAUUGACGAAACAACUCUUUGUUCGACUAGUGGUGACACUCUGGGCAAUAUGGGCCGCCAGGAGGAAGGCAAUUCACGAGCAUAUAUUUCAGCCACCUUAUUCUGUUGACAGCUUCAUAUCUAAAUAUAUAGGUGAGGUCCAAGUGACUAAUUCAAGGUCUCCAUCGACGCUCACUCCAACCAGUGCCAGGCCGAGGCGAUGGGUAGCCCCGCCCCAAGGGGAUGCCAAGUUCAAUGUUGACGCAACAGUGACCAGGUAUGGUGGAGCAGUUGGGGUCAUUUGCAGAGAUGACGGAGGUAUGUUCAUGGGAGUGUCGACUCUCUCUUUCAAAUACAUUGUGGAUCCCCCAACGUUGGAAGCUCUCGCCAUCAGAGAAGCGCUCACUUUGGCGGAUGAUCUCUAUUUGAGGCGCAUACAAGUCUCAUCGGAUUGCAAAACGGUGGUGCAGGAUUUAACUAAAGAGAAUUUGGUGAGCUAUGGUGCAGUUAUUCAUGAAAUAGUUGAACAUUCUUUAGCUUUUGAUUUUUGUAAUUCCAGUCAUGGGUUUAGGAGCUCAAAUUUUGAAGCUCACACCCUAGCGAAGCAUGCUUUUAUCUCUCGGUGGUGGCCGCCAUGUUUGGUUAGGACACCACGGGAACUUACCAUUCGUCCAUGUAAACAUUGUGACGAAUCAAUAAAAGCUUCGCGACGUUGUCUCAAAAAAAAUCUAGCGAGCCCGGGCAAGUGCCCAGGCACGCCGGGCGCUGGCUCCGCCACUGCUUCCCGGUGAAAUAGCGAAAUCAUUAAUUAAGGAGUACUCGUUGCAAAGGGAUCCAACUUGCCUGCUCCCUCCCCAUGCUCCCACUUCAUCCUACGGCUGCCCUUUUCCCUUUUUCCUUUCUAAUCUAAUCAUCUCCCCCCUGAUUUUAAGGGGGUGGGGCUGGGCCUUAUUUUGUUCCAAUCAAAUCAAGCCACGUACGCGGGAGCACGGAUGGGCACACGUGCGGGGAGCAGACAAGUCUCGUCCGUUGCAAAGAACACUCCACCUUCCCAGGUCGCGACAAGUGGCGCACAUGCAGCGCGCCACUUGUCGCAACCUGGGAGUUUUCCCUUUUUUCGUAGAUCCGUUUAUUCAAAAUGUUUUAUCUCUUAAACCGUGCGUCCAAAUCUCGAACCGUUUUCACCAUUCGGUUCCUCGCGUCGAGAUCUUCAAAACUAGAUCCCAUGUUGAUAGGUUUUGAUGAAUUUUUUUUCACGAAAAAACCGGACGAAAAACUAGACGAAAAAACCGAACCGGGAGCAUGGUUUUUUUCCUUUCCGAAAAAGGCACGCCCGUGCCUCUCGUGAACUCACAACCGUGCCUCUCGUGGAAGCAAAACCGUGACUAUCGUGGAAGGAAAAAAACAGAAAACGUGUUUUUUUCCUUUUCCAAGAGGCACGGCCGUGUCACUCGCGAAAGCACAACCGUGCCUUUCGCGAAAGCAAAACCGUGACUCUCGCGAAAGAAAAAAAAACAGAAAACGCGUAUUUUUUUCCAUUUCCGAGAGGCACGGCCGUGACUCUCGCGAAAGCACAACCAUGCCUCUCGCGGAAGCAAAAGCGUGACUCUCGCGAAAAAAACAAAAAACGCGUUUUGUUUUUCCCUUUUCGAGAGGCACGACCGUGACUCUCGCGAAAGCACAACCGUGCCUCUCGCAGAAGCAAAACUGUGACUCUCGUGAAAGAAAAAAACAGAAAACGUGUUUUUUUCCCGUUUCCGAAAGGCACGGCCGUGACUCUCGCUAAAGCACAACCGUGCCUCUCGCGAAAGAAAAACCGUGACUUUCGCGAAAGAAAGAAAAAGAAAACGCGUUUUUUCGCGCAAAAAGGAUUUUUUUUCGAAUUUUUUUAUCAAAAAGCUAAGGAAGACCGGGAAAACCAAAACGUCGAAAAAACCCGGAAAAAAACCGUUUAAAAAGCCGAGAACGCGUGCGGAAAAAAAAUCCGGAGGGAGUGUCCAGAGCGCGACACGUGGCGAAUGACUGAGAGCGCGCCAAGUGGCGCUGAUCGUUGCGAGGCUUCCGAAGGAGCGCUCGUUAACUAGUUGCUCUCGUGAAAUAGUCUGACAAGACGGUCUUGGACCUUCCUCGCGCGUCGGACCCUCGUUCAACCUAGGAUCGCGCGGCGCAGCUCUAGUUCAUUCUUUAAUACUAGCCACAAUGGGUAGUAACAUAGAGUAGUAACAUGCCCAUGUUACCAUGUUACUACUCUAUGUUACUACCUCUAUAGUGGGGAGUAACAUAUGUGUGGUAACAUGCAAUACUUCAUUUAUUAUGCUAUAGACUCAUCUUGUCUUGAUAUGCGUGAUGUUACUCAUACUAUUAGUAACUAGCUAUGUUACUACAUGUCUCUCUUUCUUCAUUUAUUGCUUACCACAUCAUCUAUUUUAUUUAGAUAUGUGUGAUGUUACUAUCUAUGUUACUCCCAUUAAGGAUAGUCUAAUCGUCUGAUGAUUUCAGUCCGCACGUUCCCGAACUGAUUCCUAUCCCAAGAUAACAAGUCGCCCGCCAGCCUGCAAAGCUUGUCACGGACCCCCUCCACCGAAUCUCUUAUAUGCGCGUUCCAGCCAACGCCAACCACCGCAUGCAGCAUCUCGAUCCUUUCCCACAUUAGUUCGUAUUUAAAUCGCCUGGGACCCAUAUUGCAUGCAUGCACAUCACGUAAUCUCAGUAGUACGGGGACGUGAUCGCUACUAGCUGCCGUCUUGUGAUGCAGCCGGGAAGGCCAAUGUCCAUGCUGGUUUUGCCACGCACCGGUCAAGACGAACUCUGGUUCCUCCGGUCACAUUUUUUCAAAUGUCUAAAUAGAAGGCGUGUUGGGACGAUUUUUUUUGUCCGCGACGACCCAAAUAGACACACGCGGACGAAAUGGGUCGACGCGUUGGAGUUGCUCUAACCAAUGUCCGUCAGUCCACAUGUAUCUAGUGCAUCUCUAAAGGCAUCCAUUUGAGCUUGACUUCGAUUGCCGACUCCGUCAUGUUCACAGUCGUGUAAAACUUCAUUGAAGUCACCAAUGACAGCCCAGGGUUGGUUGUUGACACUAACUGUGCUCCUCAACAUAUUCCAUGUCUUAAAUCGCUAAGGCACUUGGGCCUCGCCAUACACAAAAGUAAUUCUCACUCGUGUUUCCAUAAGGUCAUCAAUCAAUGCAUCAAUAUGGUACUCUGAGUAACCCACAACCUCAAGUUUUAUUUCAUCUUUCCAAUAAAUUCCAAGACCUCCACUACGACCAGAACUACUUACAACAUAACUCUUAUUGUAAUCUAGAGUGCCUACUAAGUUUUCCACACGGGUACCCUUAAUUUGAGUUUUGAGAAUACAAAGAAUAGAGGGGGCAAAUUGUUUCGAAAUGUCUCGAAGCUCUCAAACUGUCGCGGGUUUGCCAGCCUUACAGCAGUUCCAGCAUAACAGACUCAUUGUGCUAAGCGCGACUCCUCAUGGGAGCCCGCCAAAUGCGCAUUGGUUUUGUUUCCCAUGAUAUUCUUUUCGUUUCCUUCAUGAGGUGCAUUCGGCGUAGGCAUGUUUUUCUUUGGUUCUUGCAUGGACGAUGGACUUGCUAGCACCACAGGGGGUGGUGAAGCUAAAAGCUCCUUCUCCACGAGCAGCGGAGGUGAAGUCACUAGAAGUGCCGAAGAGUUGUCGUCGACCUGGGACAUGCCCCUCUUUCUGUUGCCCUCUGCCUCGACCAUAGUAGUAUCCCGAUGUUUUGAACUUGGGUCUACUUGUUCCAUCCAUUCAGAUUGUUGUUUCUGAUUUGCACCGCGGCCAGCACGACCUCUGCCACAACCUCCUCCCAAGCCUCUUCCGGCUCCAGGGCCACACCCAGGGCCCCUGAACCAGUUUGCACGGAGGUUCUUCAAGACAAGUGCCGAUGGUGGAUGGGUGCCGUUUCCACAUUCCUUGUGUUGAUGACCCAAGUGGCCGCACACGACGCAUCAAUCAAGCAACCUCUCAUACUUUACCCGGAAUAUUCCCCUCUUCUUCUUGAUAACCAAAGACACAACAUUCUUCAAGGGUCUAGUGACAUCCACCUUAACUCUGACCCUAAAAAGAUUUCUUCAAAAUCUUGGGAUUUAGGCUCUGCAUACACAAACUCGCCUACCGUGGCUGCAAGGGAUUUUAUUAAGUGGAGGAAGAGCUCUGGCAGGUCGUGAAUUUGGAUCCACAUCUCUAUCUUGUCCAGCUUGACUGUUGAUGGUCUAGUAAAUCCAUCAUAUGGCUCGAUAACGAUAGCUUUACCUUUGAAGGUCCAUAGUCCAUCCUCCAUUACUCGCUCCCAAUCGCCGAGACAUGAAAAUUGUAACGUGUACAGGUUGUCGUUGAGGGGCCGAAAUUUGACUGCUUGCGCCAGAUCCCAAGCAACACACAUGUUUUUGAAGAACCAAUACUGACUAUACGACUUCUACAUAUGAGCUUGAGCUAUCGCCAUCCAAUGCGCCGCAUCCUCCGGCCCGUCCUCAACUACAAGUCCACCAGACCAUCCUCCUUGAAACCUAGCUCCCACAUCAUAGCUUCCAUGUCGCUGACCGCCGAUCCAGAUGCCGGUGUCGCGUCCUCCAUGAGAUAUCUAGCCCGUGAAGAUGAUUCCCGCGGGCGGGAAGAACCCUAGACACGCCUCCCCCUGUCGCGUUAGCCGUGAGUCCGAAGACACCGGCUGCAGCAGCGAACGGAGAGGGUAGGGGAUCGAUUUUCUCCACGUCGUAGCCAGGCACCGUCAAGAGUAUAGGAACCCUUUUUUUAACUUUAGCGACUUUAUUUAAUUAAUAAUCAUAUCCUUUACAAUAAGAGGGACCAAGAAAUCUGGAGAUUUAUCAUACCACAUCCCUGAUUCCUGCCUCAAAAAACUAAUAAAUAGCGAGAGGGGAGACCAGUAGGUGCUGAGUUCAAUUUGCCAUACGGACCCUUUUGUUAGUAUGAAAAAUCUAAAAAGAAACGACUGUAACCACAGCCCAGCACGAGCAUAAAAAAAAAAACUCCAUCCCAAUCGAUCGAUCGAUAGUUCUCGAAUCUCGACUACCCCUAAAAAAAGAAAGAAAGAAAGAAGAUAGUUCUCGACUCCUCGGUUGGUUGGCCUGAGUUUGCAAUCGCCUACAGGACCUAGGGUUCCGUCUCCGCCGCCUCUAGCUUCCCCUCCCUCCCUCUCCUUCCCUCCCUUGCCGGACCCCCGUUCAUCCUGCCGACGACCCACAUUUCCAUCUAGCUCGCUUCUGGCGCAGUCCGCACGCCGGCGACCCGGCCGCUUUCUCCGCGAUCUGCCUCGACCUCCGCGAUCUGCCUCGACCUCGAGCUCGACGACCUCCGCGAUCUUCCUCGACCUCGAGCGCGACGACCUCCGCGAUCUGCCUCGACCUCGAGCUCGACGACCUCCGCGAUCUGCCUCGACCUCGAGCUCGACGACCUCCGCGAUCUGCCUCGACCUCGAGCCCGACGACCUCCGCGAUCUGCCUCGACCUCAAGACCUCCACGAUCUGCCUCGACCGUCGCCUUCCAUUCCCAUCUGCACUGUCUGACCGGUAAGACCAAACGAUUCGUCCUAAUCCCUCCUCCUCAAGUUGUUAUCGUGAUUCACGUUUCGUAUGUGCCGUGGGUUAGCUUAAAUUAACCGGGGUUAGUUUGUGUUUGUUAUUUCUACACAGCUGCUCCCUCCCCGCCCGCCAUGGAUUAUACAACGAGGACCAUUGCCUUCAAUGGACUGUUUCCCACUAUUGUCUGUCAGAAAGACAAUAACUCAUCCCCACUGUUAGCUUUAUGUCAGUAUUAGUUUAUCACCUGCACAUUCUUCUACAUUUGAAUGAUUAUUAUUACUUUGAAUUAAGAAUGAGAUUGUCUUCACAGGUAAUUCAUUAAUUCUAUUGGGCGAGUUCAACUUAAAUUUAGGGUAUGGUGUCUGUACUAUAUCAGAGAAGAAACUUAUUGACUGUGUCUGUGAUUAUUUUAUGACUAAGGCCACUCACAAGGUUUGUUUUCAAUCUCGUGCAAUCGAAUAGUUUUAUGGUUGGGGUUGGGCUGCUAAUGUGUAAUGCAAUUCACAGGGGACGAAAACUAGGAGAACUGCAAAUAAAACCCUCAAACGUUUGGCACAACCCAUUCAGUGUAAAAUGAUGCUCACAAGGUAUUCAGUUGGUUACUUGUUAAUUUGUUCCUUUUAUGUAGAUUUGUACUUUUGUGUUCUAAUGUCAUGUUGAUGCUGUAGUGUUGAGCAUAUGGAGACCAGUGAAGAACUCCAGUUAUUUGAGAAAUUGGGUAUUAAAGUUUAUCAUGCUAAUGUUGUUGAUCCCAAGGUAAAUAUUAAGUGUGAACUGUUUUUUUUUGUGCUAUGUCACCUACUUUUAUGCUUGCUUCACAACAAAAUUUUAUUGCUUUAUUUCGUUUAAUUUGCUGAUUGCUGAUAUUGGAGCAUGAUGAUUGAUUGUACUGAUUAUGUGAUUACCUUCUCUUGCUCACGUUUUUACUAGAACCUUGUGAUUUAUUUAAUUCAUGUUGAUGUCUAGGAGGAAGAACUUGUUAGAGCCAUAGGGACAAAUACAUUUGACACCCUUUUGGCUGGUCUUGCUGCACAUAAAGCCAAGACAGAUGUGCAGAGUCGUUCUUCCGGUUCUUCAAAGGUGGAUGGGAGUGCAACAUCGCAUUUGGAGGCAGUCAAUUGUGAGCAUUUUUGGUCUUGUUAUUCGUAUUAUGGAUUUGUAAAUCGUUUUAGCAAAUGAUGUUCACUGCAGUGUUUCUAAAAAAUUGCAUUUCAGGGGAAUUGAUUGAUGACUUCCUUACUAAGAACCACACUCAGUUAACAGCAUAUGGGUAUGAAUUGAUGCUUUGUUUAUGUUAAUAUGUCUCUAUUCAUGUUACUGAUUAAUAUGUGGCUGUUGUUUUGAGAUGGCAGUAUCCAGUCUAUAAAACAACAGAUGAUAGAUAAUAAUACAACCGUAUGUGCUCUGUUCUGGAAUAAUCAGUUUCACGUGGUGUCGCAGGUGGUUUUUUUUUUAUUAUGUUACUUUCUGCACAUGUACUUCAAUAAAUCUGUAUGUUUAAUAACUUCCAUGCUUUCUUAUGCAGCUACAUGGAACUUUGCUUCUGUUACAAAAUAAUGCAGAUCAGGUUGACAAGCCUAUUGUAUGGAAGCAUUUCAAUGAUGUAUGUUAUGCUAUUUAUUUUGACUUUGUUUUCUUUCCCUAGUUACAGUUCUUACUGUUUUAAUGCCCUUUCUAGAAACCUAUUUGAUAAUCAUAUAUUUCCUCAUUUUUUUAAGUCAUUAAUGUCAUGUGAUGCUUGCAUGGGCGAAUUAAAUUGACUACGGAUUCACUUCUUCACAAAGGUUUUGGACAGCUCAUGGACACAAGGGAAUGACUAUGUCGCAAAAUCUGUGGAUUUUAAAGGCUGCCGGAGGUUCAUUAUUUAUCCUAAUAUGACUGGCUCAUCCGCGCUGGUAGCACUAUGUAAGUGUGUCUCAAUUGUGAUGCAAAUUUAGCUCCUGUGGGCCACUUUUAGUCAAUCUUGUGUUUUUGCAGGCAAUGCCAUACUUCUAAGAGGUGAUGUGGACCUGAGUAAAAUACUCGAUUGUAACUUGAGUCUAAAUCUUGGCCAUCUUCAUCAAGUUGUUUUUGGGGCCUCCAAGGUUUAAUCGAAUUGUUUCUACUUCUGUACAUUGUCUUGGGUAUAUGAUGUUAUUUUGUUAAUGGGCUGUUUUAAUUUACAGACUAAAUCCUAUACCAUGAGGCCAGAAGAAUGGGUUGUAGCAGUAGGAUGCCUUCAUCAACCUGUCGAUGUUAAAAUGAACUUUAAAAGGUUAGUUUGCUUAUCUGUAGUUUCUUACUUCACGCGGUUUAUAUUCUGAUAACCUCUUGUGUGGUAAUAUUGCAGCAUCCGUAACAUAAAAAUCACGAAAGACUUUGAGAUUUUUGAGAACUUUGGCUUUGAUUUAUACCAUGGUUUCAUCGCUGACCCGGAGGUAUGCACUUAAUCCAAUAUGGCAUGAGUCGUUGUUCUAGCUACUGUUUCUUGACCUUUUCUAGUCUUUGGAAUUAGAUUCAGCCUUCCUUCUAUGAUUUUAUAUCGGUGUUGCUGUAUGAUAUUUCUCAUUUCACCUUUUUUGACACAUGUCCUUAGGUGGGUAUUUGUUUAAGUACUUUGUGAGUAAACCUUGCUUAGGUAGUUAGGAGUUAAGCACGUUUCGCCUUUUUUGACACAUGUCACUUUCUAUAUAUCUCUAUACAUUACAAGCUGUUGUAGCUGUGCACACUAAACCUUCUAGCCACAUAACUGUGUACGCGAGGAAGAAAGAACUUCCAACAUGCUCUACUUCUGAAGCCAGAUAAAUAAUUUGUAUACUCAUUACCACUUUAGACUUGUACAGGAAUAAUGUUACAUUUCUUGUUAUUUUGUUACUAACAAAUACUUUUAGCCUAUGAUUUACUAUUUAUGUUUGUUUAAAUGUUUAGGAUCUCAAUCUUUGCAAUGCAAUUGGAGAAAGGUAUUAUGAUUGUACAACUGAGAGCCCACCUUCUCAUUUGAAGGCAGAAGAUCAUAGUGAGAACUUUGUUUAUUCAUUAUUCAAAAUUCUUUCUAUGUGUUGAUCCCUUAGAUUGUGACAAAGGUAAUUCAUUUGCAGGAGAGUUACUUGAUAAGUUCCUAAAAGAUCAUGAUACCGAACUAACACCUCAUGGGUACAAGAUAUCUACACUAUGUUUACACAUGUUUUUCUCACUCCAGUAAACUUAAUUUGUUGUUUUUUUCAACCUGUCAGUUUGCAAAGUUUACAAGAGGAAUUGUCUGAAACAAAUAUCCAUGUUAUAUUCUGGAACAAACAGUUCCAUACUGCUAUCAAGGUAUCAUACUUUGUUAGGUUAUUGUCUCAGAUUUUACUGAAUAACCUUCCUGAUAUGUUAUGUCCUCUAUCCUUCUUUCGUGCAGUGCAAUAACCGCAUCUUUGUUUUGGAUCCAAGUUUGAGUUCAUUUGAUGCUGGCAAAAUAUGGAGAAGUUUAGACAGUGUAAUAUCAUCGUCACAUCUCUUAUAUCACUACCACCGUUCAUAUUGAUUAGGUGUACUAAUUUUAGUGACUAGUGAAUUACUUGUCACUUGAUUGUUUUUCUUUGAGUAUAUGAUUAUACUUCACACUCGUUCAUUUUUUAGGUGGAUGGUGCCGGAGAAACUUUGGCCAGUGUUUCCUACCCUGUAAGUGCAUCAUAAAUGAGAUACAAUGCUAACUGAUAAUAAUUAUCUGGAAGAAGCUAAUACAAAUCUUUGUUGGUUCGAGUGCUCGUAUUGAUAUUCUACACCAUACGUUUUUCACUAUAUUGUGUAAGAACAAACUGCUACUAUUGAUUAGGUGUAGUAAUAGUAGUGACUAGUUGAGUAUGCUCUAUUACUAGUAGUGCUUGUCACUGGAUUUUUUGUUGGCUCGGCUACACACUACUCCCUCCGUCCCAUAAUAUAAGACGUUUUUUGACACUAUGUAUUAUAUUGUGUUAGGACACAAAUGCUACCAACCAGCAGGCCUGUAUCUAGAUAUUUAGUGGAUUAACUCUUUGUUUGUUUGAGUGCUCGUAAAGAUUUUCACUAUUUUCUUUAUUAAUCCUGCAGAAGUCAGGCGAACAUAAAUGCAUCAGUCCAGAUUGUCUAUUGGCAUUUAACUCACCAUUUAAUCUUCGACGGCAUAAUUAUGUUCAUCAUACAAGUUCUGGCAGCAAAGAAUUGGUCUGUCUUUUUUCCUUAUCUUUCUCAUCUAUUUAUUGUUUUUAUAUAUUUACUUGUGUGUCAAACUCCGCACAGUUAACCUCCAUUUGCCAAUGUUCUGCAGGACAUUUUGCAACACAGAACUGAAUUUAGUAAUUGUUGGGAUAGUGUAAGUUAUUUUGAACAAAUUAUUUAUGCUUGUUUUCAUAGUUUGCUCACGCAUUGUAAAUUAGGUUUAGAUAUAAUAACUCUUUUCUUCCUUUUCUUAUGCUGUUCAGCUCUCAUCUGAAGAGUCUGGGGAGAUAUUGUCUUUAAAGGAUAUGAAAUUUAAGGUAUUUUACUCAACAUGACCAGUAACUACACACCAUUUUUGUAAGAAAGUUAUCUGAAAUUGAAAUAUAUUUUCAGAAUCUUGAGGGAAAACUCAUUGUGCGAAUAUUAGAACAGCGAUCUUCUGAAGGGGACAGUGUUGCUAUGACGUUGUUGGUAUGUUAUUUUGCAUGACUUCUAUACCAUGUUCUGUAAGUAUGAAAUCAGUAAAUAGUUUUUAUUCCUUUUUUGUGCGUUCUUAUAGGGCAUUAGGAGUCGUUUAAUGGAAGGAGAAAAGAUAACGUCAGCAGUUCUGUUUGCUGUUCUCGAUGAAGCCAGCGAGAAAACUUUGUUAAGCUCUGAUAUUCGUAAUUGUGAAGAGGGAAGAAUAUGGGACGGCAGUCUGAGUGGCAUCAUGACUGACAUGAACUCAUUGCUUGCGUGUUACAGCUACUUGCUUGAGAAAGCAUUGGUAGGUUUGUACUUUAUUAUGCAAGAGAUGAUGUAUUGUCACAAUAUGGUUUCAACAUUGGACAUACACAAGCUUACAUUAUAUAAAUAACAGGUGAGCGAAUGGUUACAACACAAGGAUGCACUAGCAAAUAAAGUUGGGGAAGAUCUUAUUGCCGCGGAGAAAAGGUAUCACUAGCACCAUUAAUGCAUUACUGAGAUAAAAAUUACAGUUUAUUAUCAUUUUGUAACUUAGAAGUGAAAUGUCCAGUAGGGGAAAGAAAAAGGCCAACGACCAAAACAAACAGGGAAAUCAUAGUUCUACCGGAAAUCAUAGUUCUACUUCUACUGGCCAACGUGAUGACCAAUCUUUAGAAGGCACUGGAGAGGAUACAAGCGAUAACGACAAACAGGGAGAGCUAGAUAUUUCUUCUCAUCCUACCGGAAAUCAUAGUUCUACUUCUACUGGCCAACGUGAUGACCAACCUUUAGAAGGCACUGCAGAGGAUCCAAGAGAUAACAGGUUAUAUUAUCGGUUAAUAACAUUGAGUCUGUUAUUGCUAAGAAAUUAUUAUGAUGUCAAUUUCUAACUUUGGAGCGGAAACUUCCAGGGUUCAAAGUAGCCAAUCGUUAAAACAUCCUGAAGACGACACCAUUGGCAAUCUGUAUGAUUUGGUUCUUGAAUUCCUCAAGAGGUACUGCUUAUUCAUUUUCCUUCUGACUCGUCUGCUGUUAGAACAAGUGUUUAUUUUAUGUUGGUUGUUGAUUCUUGUUUGUUUAAGAGAAGAUCAUCUGCUGUUUUAUUUUGGUUUCAGUUCCUAUGUUAAUGCACAUAUAUGAUUGGAAAUAAAUCUGCUUGUGUACUGGACUGCCACUUCACAAUGAUUUCAACAUGGUUGUUGAUUUGUCCUAUCUUUACUUUUUUUAGUACUUGACCGUUGUAAUCCAUGCUUUGUUUUUGUCACUAUUGGGUUGCAUAUCAUGUCACUGUCUUGUUUGUCGCCAGGAUCCAAGUCUAUAACAUUUUACUAGUUUCCGGAAUCCAUGCUAUAUUUUUGUCAGUACUUGGAUCCAUGUCAUGUUGAAUUUUUUCUGUCCAAUGCGUUGCUGAUAUUUCCUCAUUCAUCCCGCUUUAUCAAUGUUUGUAACAUCUAGCUAUCUCUAAGUUUCAGUUUAUGGAAUUAAGAAUAAAGAUGGUAAUGCAUUUGCACAAGUGGUAUUUCAUUUUUAUCUUGUAUGGUAAUCUGGACGGGUGACUUUUGGGUGCUAUGAAGUGUAGUGCAUAGUGUUAUUUUUCCUGAUGUACUUGUAUUAUACUCGCUCCGUCCCAAAAUUCUUGUCUUAGAUUUGUCUAGAUACGGAUGUAUCUAAUACUAAAACGUGACUUGAUACAUCCGUAUUUAGACAAAUGUAAGACAAGAAUUUUGGGACGGAGGGAGUAUGUAUUAUAUGUUAUUUGUUUGCUCCUUCCUAAAGUUUGAGACAUGUUUUUAUAUCAUGAGUAAUGCAGCAGUGGCCAUGUUGGCCAUGGUGGUGUGGAUCAGACUUUUUUGUUUUGUGUUGAACACAAGUGCUAUGUUUCAUAUGUUUACGCAGGUUUAGGAACAACGAACCCAAAAAAUUCUACAGAGGCAUAAUUGAAGCGAUUAAAUAUAUGAACAAUUUGCAUAUGCACAUUCUUUUUUCGCACAUUGAAGAAGAUUCUCCAGAACUUGCUGCAUAUAUUAUUGAUCAUUAUCAUGACAGUGACAGGUAUGUAAGUAUGUUCGAAAGUUACAUAGAUUCAUCCUAAUGCUAUAUGUUUUGCGCACUUGUUGAUACAUUUCUUGUCAUAUUUAACAUUUGUAUCUCAUUCUAGUUAUAUCUUACUAAACAACCUACUGUCAUUCUUAUCUAGUAGUUUCAAGUUUGUUUAGCCUGGUCCCUGCAUCAAUUAUAAGUUAUUUUCUCCACUAAACCCCUCCCUAAGCUGCUUAGUAAAUGUCAAUUGUUUGUAGUUAUAGUACACACCUACCUUAAAUUACCCCAUUUUACUAUUUUUGGAGUAGCACCUCAUCAGUUACUGAUUGUCUCUGUUCUAACGUUAUUUAUAUCUUAUUCCAGGGUUAAAGCUGAUAUAUCACGUGCUGCUGCUCAAUACCUCAUCGAACAUAAUAUCGGAAAAUCUGAGCAAGAGAUACGUGAGGGUAUAUCUGUGAUGAUUGUGGGUCUGCCCUCACCAACCAGGUCAGUUUUUUAUAAUGCCUUAAAUAAGAGAACCUUAUUUGUCUGAUAUUAAAAGAUUCUUACAACCAAGUAACCAACAAAAAUUGACAAUUGUCUUUCUUUUCUCAAAUGCAGUAACAUGUCUUUUAAGAAAUAUGCUAGGCUAAACAAGUUGAUAAGGCCUUUUAGACUUCCAAAGAAGUUUCGUCGACUUUUUUCACCUCGUUGGAAAGGAAGAUUGUACUUGAUGACAUAUGCUGGUAGAAAAGCUGCUCGUGGGUUAUUGAACUACAUCCUUGAGAUGCACAAGGAAAAACUCUGUUGGAGAGGUGAAUGGAAAUUGUCUGACAUGCGAAUCAAAGAUGGAUUGUUUCGUAUUGACAAACAAGCAUUGUAUGAUGCGGAUGUCGAUGGGAUGGCUGAAGAUUUUAAAAAGUACAUCGAACUCCUGAAUCCUUACUAUGUUGUAGUUGAACAAUCCUCCUCCAAUAGUCCACCAUAUUGGGAAAUUCUUCAAACUGACACCAUGGUGAUACCAGAUCCGUCUAAGGACCCAAAGGCAUUUCGCAGAUUUCUGAAGUACAUGUCUGCACACUUUGCAUUCAUGCCGCCAGUUAGCAUAUAUCAGUUUCUUUGCCUGCUAUAUAGCAUUUGUGAUGGACUAAAGGCAAACAGCGAUAAACAAUAUAAACCAUUGAACUUUGAGCCGGAGAACAAUUUUGAAGGUUGGACACUCAAGGUCUUUGAAGUAUUUCUGUUUAAGGAGGUCUUCAACUUUUCGAGGAAUGGUGCCAUUGUCAAUGUGUACAGUGAUUCAUACUGGCAUCUGCUACAGUUUAGUAGACAUUUCUCUUCGCAUAUUCUAAGACUGACAAAGGUAUUUUUAAUAAUUCUGUUAGUUUAUUCUGUUCUCAAGGCCUCAACAUACAUUCUGUUUAGCUAGUUUUGCUCAGUUGUUGCAUCGAAAUGAUUUGUGAUAUUGUCUGCAUGUUCUGAAUUUUGUUUUGUUCUUGUGAAGAAACUUCAUGGUCAAGACGUCCAGGAUCUGAUCUUAAUACAUUUAAUGCUAGCCUGCCGUCUCGAUCAAUAUUUGGCAUUACUAGUUCGACACACUGUUAAUGAAACAAACAUGGAUGGACUGUAAGUAUUUGUGUUUCUUGUUCUAUCUUAUACUCCCUCCGUCCCAAAAUAAGUGACUCAACUUUGUACUAGUUUUAGUAUAAAGUUAGUACAAAGUUGAGUCACUUAUUUUGGGACGGAGGGAGUAGCAUAUUGUUCUUCUCAGUUAAUGUAUUAUAUGUCAUUGUAGAUUUUUUCGUGCAUGGCAAGCGCUCUUAGCUUCAGAGUGAGUUUCCUUCACAUUAUAUUGCAUAUUGUAAUUAAGUUUUUUGCUCUACAUGUAAUGAUGGGAUCAUUUAAUUUUAUUUCUUGUAUCAUGUACGCAAAAUAUAUAAAUGUGAAGUGAUAAAACUGAGGAGGAGGAUAUGUUAGAAAAUCUUGAAGAAUCUGAAUCUGAGGAUGAAGAAAGUGACAUUGCUGUUGAAGAUUCAAGGUAACAAUCUGGAAAACAAGAACUGUGAUUAGAUGAUUUAAUAUAUUUUGUUCAUCUUGCUAUGUUGUACUACAUAGAUAAUAAGCAUCUGGUGCAAAAGUUCUGAGGGCUCCUUUGAUUCAAAGGAAUUUUAUAGGAUUUCUGGAGGAUUGAAAUCCUUAGGAUUUUUCCCUAUGUUGGUCCUUUGAUUCAUAGGAUUGGAUCCCAUAGGAAUUUUUCCUAUGGAAUCUUUUGUACUACAUUUCAUAUGAAAUCUAACAUCCACUUCAACCUCUUUUUACAAUUUCUUUGUUUUUUCUGUGGCAUCAAACACUUCAUUGUUAACCCUAUAGGAUUCAAGUGGACAUGCCACUCCAACCCUACACUUUUUCUAUUCCUACGUUUUCAAUAUCCUAUGAAUCAAAGAGGCUCUGAGUUUUAAUUUGUAUUUAAUAUAUAUACAUCUAAAUUUCUGUUAGCACUAGGAAAAAAAUCUGAUAUGUAAUGUGAUAUAUGUGAUAAUUGUACAGCGACAAAAUUGAGGAUGAAGAUAUUGCAGUUCAAAUCUGAGGAUGAAGAGUGACAAGGAAUGCUAUUCCUGGAAAGAAACAAGGUAAUAUAUAAACGCACCCUAAACGCGUUAGCCCUGAUCGUGUCGAGUAGGCUAAUGCUAUAGGGCUGUGCUCUUUUGAUGAUUAUGUCUUGAGUUAUUGAGCUAUGAGCGUAAUCAAUGACUGGGUUACUCCUCUCGCGGGGGUGGUGGUGGUGUGGACUGUUUGCUGCCACCAAUCCACAAAUGUCCGCCAAGCAGCUGGUGGUUGAUCUGUCAACUGGAACAUGCAUUUCUAUCUUUCUUGUGAAUGUGGUGAUUAUGGCUCUCGGAUGUACAUUCAUUUGUUUUGCCAAAUGUGCCUUUGCAGUUCUGAAUCUCCAAGCCAACAUGCAACUUUGGUUUUCAGUUGAUGUCGCAACUUUAAUGAACUAAUUUCUGCCAUUCAUUUUUCCAUCUGUUUGCCCCCUCUUCUUUGGGCUCUCCGGUGGCUGCACAAUCUCACCGGUGCUCCGUGACUUGCAGAACUAUGAUACCACAUCCGUUGUCAGUCCAGCAGGAGUGGGAUGGUGUUGUCCAUCCUUGCGGUGUGGACUGCGGAGCACAUCUCUGCGGCACACGAUGGAGGAACUCCAGUUUCUAAAAUGAAAUUGUGGGUCGUUUGUCAUUAGAUGGUUGGAAGUCAGUUCUUUUUAGAAAUGUUGUGCUGUAAUUUAUUCUUCAUGUAUCUGUAGUAUUAAAGAGAAAGUGGUUCGUUGGUACAUGUGAGCAUCUCCUGUCCCGAUCAUGAGAGAAGAAAACCACUCACCCAGACCUGAUCCCCAAGAUCAAGCAGCACACCAUAAGCAGUUGUGUCUCUGCCGAUCGAAACGAUCAUAUCCUAGAGGGCUCGUGCCGCUGCAGAUCGAAACAACCAUAUCCCUGAGGGCUACCACACGAAAGCACGGAGAAGGAGCAAGUCAAGAACCCCGUCUGGGCAAAGCCGUGGCCCUGCCCUGGGGAGCCAAAUGCAGCUGGGCUUGCUGUAGCAGGGGAAUGUGCCAUGCCAGUCGAGGUGCGGUACCAUCAUUGCGCGUGGAGGUGUGCCCGGGUUGGCCUAGCCACAGAUAACGUGGGCAGAUUUGCAACCGGUGAUGCUGCUACCACUUGCAGCUUUGGAUUGACAUGUUGGCUCCUGUGUUUCUCUUCAUGGACUCAGUUCUGCGACAAGGAAGAAAGAACAAAAGGUUUUAUCUCGCGUGCCUGCUUUUCUGGUUUCUAUUCAAGGUACUUAUUGGAGUACAACUGAAGAACGGGUUGUGGCCCCCUAACUACGCGUCAUGCCAUCCCACCAGUGAUAAGAGGGACGCCAGCCUCGGGUCCUGGCUAACAAAGGAACAUAACUAACCUGAUGAAACUGAAAAUUAAUACUAGCUAAAAGCGUUGCCACAGCAGCAAAACAGGAAGGCCUGGGUUUAUUCCAACAUUCACCCCCUAAACCUAGUCUGCCUACGUCUGGAUGAAUCUGAUGCGUCCCGAAGGCUUGGUCAAAAUAUCAGUCCCGAUGAAAAAAUCAACAGUCAUCCUCCCUUCUUCCACACACUCUCUGAUGUAGUGGUAGUGGAGGUCAAUGUGCUUGCUUCUGUCAUGGAGCACUGGAUUCUUGCAUAGUGUGAUCGCUAACUUGUUGUCCACCUGAAGCAGUGGCGUCUGGAGUUCCUUGCUGGUGAUCUCAGCCAACAGGCAUGCCACUCACGCGCCCUGGCAAGGGGCCGUUGUGGCCGCGAUGUACUCAGCUUGGCAGGAUGAGUGGGGCACCCCCUCUACUUAUGACAACCAACAAAGGGGGCUAUCCCCGAGGAAGAAAAUGGCUGGAGAUGUGCACUUGCGAUCGUCGAUGUCGCCGAACAUGUCGUUGUCGCUAUAGCCGAGAAGCGCUGCUUCUCCUGCUUUCCUUUGUGGGAAGCGAGAUCCCAAGUCACGAAUCCCGACAACAUAAAUGUACUUGACUAUGUGCUUGACCGUGGGCCUUCUUCGCGUGGGGAGGUGGGAGGGAAGGAGACGACGGGGAUAAAGGGUUCAAGGGUACCUCCUAUAUUGCGCUUACUGCGGCAAAAAGUCGAGGAUUCGCACAUGAGGUAGCUGACCUGGACAGGCCCAUUUGGGCGACGCGCGAUUAAAGUUCAACACGACCCCUUGUGGGAAUCGAACCCACGAUGUGAUGCAGACAAGCGCGCGUCACUUGUCACUCUGACCAGAUGACUUAUGUUGACUUAUCUGCAACGUGAUUUCUAAAGAAAGGGAUAGCAAGGCAAAACACAAAAGACAAGGUUACAUUUUUCUCUGAAAAAUGUGUUUUAGUGGGACCGAACACAUGACCUCCCGCGAGAGAACCAUGUCACAUGCCACUGUAGUUCAUAGAUUUGUUGAUUAAAAUUGGCAGCUCAGCUAUUUUUUUUUUAAAUUUUGGAUGUGAUUUUCUUCUCACAAAAGUAUCUUUUUUUUUAAAAAUGAACAAUUUUCAGAUAAGUAAUUAAAUUUAUAAAGACUCAACAUUUUUUUUGGAAAUCUCACUUCAGAAAAAAUAGGAACAAUGUUGAAAAAUGAGAAAUUUUUGAAAAAAUGCAAACACUUUUUGAAACAACAACAAAUUUGAAGAAGGCAACCAUUGUUUCAAAAAACAUGAACAUUUUAUGAAAUUCCUGAACACUUUUCGAAUUUGAGAAAAAAUUAUGAAAACCUGACAUUUUUUAAUUUGUGAACAAAUUUUUAAAAGGAGAACUUUCUUUGAAAAUUCGUGAACAUUUUUUGAAUUGUGAACAAAUUAACAUUUUUCGAAAUGUAGGAACAUUUUUUGAAACUGUGAACAAAUUUCGAAAACAAGUUUUUUUUUGAAAUUUCUGAACGUUUUUUGAAAGACGAACAUUACUUGACAUUGUGAACAAAUUUAGAAAACGAUUUUUUUAAAAAAUUCCUGAAUAUUUUCAAAAAAAGAACAAAACCAUUCCAAAUGAUUUUUGAAAAACGGAAGCAUUUUUUUGAAUACAUGAACAAUCUUUGAGAACAUCACCAUUUUUUUAAAUGAACUUUUUUAAAAGUACAAAGUUUUUAAAGUUUGCAAACAAUUUUUUGAAACAUGAACUUAAAAAAAAUUGAAACUUGGAAAAUAAAAAAGAAACAGGAAAGGAAAAAAUCAACAGAAAAAUGAAAAAAAAGAGAAAAAAGAAAAAAGAAACCGGAAAACCGGUUUAGUAACCUUCGGCUGGGAAACUCUAGAAGGUUCCCAAAACCGAAAACGCCUGAACAUAUUAAUGGCUGGCCCAGGUUACCGCUCGAUCGCUAGCAGCGUUGCGCAGUUAAGUUGGUAUGGAAGAACUGAUGUGUCGCGGGAAAUCCUUGUCUAUACAAGUUCUCGUACGAGGUUUUUUAGCAGAACUUUGAUAGUCGAGAGGUGCAAGCACCGCGAGGUGUGAAGCGAUCUCGUACUAAACAAAUGGAAAUUGACAGCAAUAAAAAAAACAUUACUUAGAAAGAGAGAUUCUCAUACAAUAUUAUAUAUAUAUAAUAAUAAUAAUAACGCUAAAAUAAGGAGAAUUUGGCCAUCGUGAUUAGGGUCACUCUUCUUUUUAAACUUUGGUGGAAUUUAACCGGAACUGUUCGUUUUGCCUUCCCGCCAAAAAAAAAAACUGUUCGUUUUGCCAUUUGAGUGUUUUUCAUGGUCGAUAAAAUCUUUCUAGCUCAUUGCGAAACGUGGACUAUGCGUCGAAUAGGAUAUUCCGGGCUCAAGGGUUUCCGAGGAACCAGAUGUUCCUCCGACUUGUUUUGUGGAUGGCCAGAACAGAACGUGAUGCUUUCCAAUGUACGAAGCCCGUAAAACCGAAAAGCCAGAGGUGAUGAAGGGUUGGGCUGGCUAGCUUAUCCUUGAUUCUUUCUUUCGUCGGCUCUAGCAGGCUGCAAGCCCAUGUCGCGCCAUUAGCCCAUUCGGCUGUUUAUAGAUUGGAUUUGAGGCCUGGAUAUACUAGCUAGGGUUUCCUCCCGUCCCUCCCACCAACUGAUGCGCCGCCUCCCGUCCUUGUUCUUGCUUCAAGCCCCCACCCGUCCCCAACCCUUAACCUGAGAGAGAGAGAGAGAGAGAGAGAGAGAGAGAGAGAAGAGAAAUCCAAAGAAAUUGCCAUCCAUGGCGUCCGGCUGCUGCGUCCUCGUCGAUUCAGGGGCGUACAUCGACGACACCAACGACAGCACCAACGACAGCACGGCCCGAGACUUUACUACUACAGGCAAUCAGAUGAUGGUUUCCUUAUGGCCUGCUCAGCCGCCGAUCCCCUCCCGUCUGUCCGUGCACUGCAAGAGGAUGCGUCUCGGCCAUGUCUUCUUCCAGGAACCCAAGAUCCUUUGCGCUGUGGACUGCUUCUUUGUCCUCCGCAUCGCCAUGGGCCGCAGCCCCCCACCCAUAAACAUCACAAAGAAGAUGAGCGACUACUUCAUCUACCAGUCAGCUAGCUCCACAGGUCCGUCGCUCAAGCUCCUCCCGCACCCUCACCCUCACUUGUUCUCAGACAAUGAGGUUGGCGUCCUCCCCCGCGGCAACGAAUUUACCAUCGCCGUGCUGUCUCAAACCUCAUAUUACAAUUUCGUGCUCUACCUCUUCAAAUCCGAGGACUGGUAUUGGACCUCCAAGAAGGUGCUGGUGGACUCGCCGCGGCUACCCUUCCCCAUGCCGCUCCCCCCUGACGAUGUCCUUGGCCACUUUCAGCAUCAUGGCAACUCGGUCAUCACCAUCGGGAGCAGGGGACUCGUUGGCUGGGUUGAUCUCUGGCACGGAAUACUGCUCUACGACGUGCUCCGUGACGACAACGACAAAGUACGCCUUGUGCCGCUGCCGGUAAGGCUGGGAAGCCAUGGCGGCUAUGCGCUUAUUUGCUGUCCAAAGCCUUACCGAAGCGUUGCUGUCCUGGGGGAUUGCCUCAAGUUUGUCGAGUUGGAAGUCUCCGGCGAUCGUCUUCCUGGUAAAGACCCUGAAACCAGGGGCCCCAAUAUCAGAAUUGAUGACUGGGCACUCACCACAUAUACCAACUGCAACAUCACCGGCGAUCCCGACGAUUGGAUAAUCGACUUCACUGUCAAGGCAUCUGCCAUCCGAAUUGACACAGCAAUGCGGUCUGGAUUGGUUCGCUGUGGAAUGCUGCGUAAGAGUGAGGCUGCAGAGAGAAACUUGCAAAAUCUCUGGACAUGUCAGCCUGUUCUCAGCCUGAAUGACCAAGGUACUGUUGUUUACCUCAUCACCAGGGUCAAAUUCCGGCACCCUAAGGCAUGGCUUCUUGCUGUUGACAUGGCCAACAAGCAAGUACGAGCAAUGGCUAAGAUUGAGGCUGAAAGGAGCACCGCCUUGGCGCUCAAGUAUUUUCCUUGUAGGAUCUCAUCUCCAGCUACCUGCCUGAAUGGGACAACUAUGCCAGGUAAUUAUAAUAUAGCGUCAAAUGCCAUGUCCUGUGAUUACUUGUAUAAGCUGCAACCGCUAAGAUAUUUGUUUUUUGCCAAAUCUGCAAGACUUGCAAUUGUUAACUACUGAGCCCAAUGUGACAAUGAAUUUCCUUAGAAUGCUUACCGAGGAGAAUUAACAUUGUAGUGAUAUACUGAUGUGAAAUCAACUAUGUAGUGUUUUUGUCGGUCAUGUCCUAAGUUCUGCCUCGCUUGAAGAUUGUUGUAGUGCCUCAAGUGCAUCAUUAUUCCAAGAAACCAAUCAAACACUUGAGUUUAUUUACCUACUGAACUUCACUCUCAAUUACAAGUGGAGUACAUGACAAUUGUCCAGUGUCAUGUCAGAACUGGUCAGAAGCGGUACUGCAGUAGAGAACAUAUGGUUGGGGUCCACCUGAGAACAAACCAUUGGAAUGAGAUGCCACAAGAAGGUCAUUCCCAUGAAAUUUCUGGCUUUGCGUUGCCAUAAUUUAGGGAAUAUUGGAUCUCUUGAUUUAACAGGGACGUGAAUGGAGUGAUGGUUAAUUCUUUUUGCACCGAGUCGCGUGAAAUUAAUUCUUUUUAUUUGCGCUGAAAUGAGUAAACGUUAAUAUUUAACAGUGAAUAAAAUGAAACUUAACUUGUGCUGAUUCCUCCCCUAAUUUGUAUCUUGUUUUAUUCUAGCAUCAUAUCUUAGCGUGUGAUAAUUAACAUGAAGAUUUUUCCCUGUUGCUGUUUGAAUUGGUAGAAGAUGCAACUACAUUCUGUAGCAUUUCUAAUUUUAUCUAUUUACUACUCCCUCCGUUCCUAAAUACUUGUCUUUCUAGGCAUUUCAAAUGACUAUCACAUACGGAUGUAUGUAGACAUAUUUUAGAGUGUAGAUUCACUCAUUUUACUCCGUAUGUAGUCACUUGUUGAAAUGCCUAGAAAGACAAGUAUUUAGGAACGGAGGGAGUAUUUAUCUUAUCAAAGAGCUGAUUUGUUUACUCUUGUUUCCAUGAAUGAAGUUACUCGUGGCACACUGAUGCUUGGGGAACAAACUGCGGGUGAUGGCGGGAAAUGAACUGCGUCUACCGAACCUGGUGAAGGUUAAGGUUUAUAAUAGUUAAUCUGAGUGUUUUACCGGGACACUUUGUAUGCUCGCUCGUAUGGGGUUGUAAUAAUGUUGAGGACAUUCUUCUCUGCAUGUGGUUAUAUCUUAUUUUCCUGUACUCCUAAUUUGAAUUUGGCGGUAUUGCAUUACCAGUGUUAUUUACAUUAUUGCAUCAUAAAAUGUGCGUAUACUUCAUAUAAUAUUUGAUGAAUACAUUGCAUUGCAUUGCCAGUAGUUGUUACUAGGAAGGAUCGCGUAGUUGCCGCUUGAUGAAAACUGGUGCCCCUACCUUAUCCCCUAAUAUUUCUCUACUUUCCCAGGCCACAGUCUUCAUCAUAGCGAGAUUGGCCUGCAGAAGAAGCUUUCCCACUCUACAUGUCUUUUUAGUCCUACUAGUUUUUACUAGUCCUUUUGUUAAAAUUAUACCUUCCGUUUGCUCGUCGUUCUAAACUGAUGUCGUCAACACAGGCAGUGUGUAAAGCUAGUCUGCGGUUUCAGAGGCUAGUCAUUUACAAAAUGAAUGGAAAAAGUCGAGUCGUACUCAACAGAUUCGUUGAACUCCAACACGGGAAGGAAGGUAGCCAGAGGGGAUGGGGGCCUCGGUAGUGAGGAGGGGAGGAAGGAGAUCGAAGGGGAGAGAGCAUGGCGUGCUUUGCCUCUCAUGUGCGCGAGAGAUGACAAGAUGUGGCUCCGUGUGUUUUGCUGCCGCCGCUGAUUACUAAGCUACACCUACACGCGUGUUUCUUCUUCUUUUUUGCUGCUGAUUGCAGUUGCGCUUUUUUGCCCUGCUGCUGCUGAAAUUGCUAUAGCCGCAGCUUGCUAGCAGGUAGCAGUAUAACAUUGUUUUUUGAGUUGUUGAUUGUUUUUGAGAUAGCUACCCACUUAUUCCAAGUGGUAGCAGUAUAACAUUGUUAAGUGUAAACUGAUGCUUUGUUGCUAUUGCUUGCUGCUCUGAAUUUUUGUUAUGAACCGUAUCAAACGUUUUGAGCUUGAGAUAGGUAUUUGAUAGGUACGUACGGAACAAAUUAUAACGCGAGUGGGAUAUAAGGAGUGAGCAGAAAUAAAGAAAGGUGUACAUUUCAAAACUUAAAAAAUGAGUCUAAAAGAGUACGUAGAUUUAAUAAAAACAAAAAUCAAAAUUAAAGGUUCAAACUAAUAGUAGACCAAAUUAAAACAUUCACUGGUAGAAAAAGAGGCUUCCAUACGCCCCCAUUAGUCCCCAAAACAAUCGAACCGCGACCAAAAGGGUCUUUAGUCGCGGUUUGGGAGGAGACCCGCGACCAACUAUCUGGGCCCAGCGCGCUCGGUCGACAGCUGGCGGACGGGAGGGGCUUUAGUCCCGGUUGGCCUGGCCAACCGGGACUAAAGGGCCCCGAAGGCCUUUAGUCGCGGUUGGCCAGGNNNNNNNNNNNNNNNNNNNNNNNNNNNNNNNNNNNNNNNNNNNNNNNNNNNNNNNNNNNNNNNNNNNNNNNNNNNNNNNNNNNNNNNNNNNNNNNNNNNNNNNNNNNNNNNNNNNNNNNNNNNNNNNNNNNNNNNNNNNNNNNNNNNNNNNNNNNNNNNNNNNNNNNNNNNNNNNNNNNNNNNNNNNNNNNNNNNNNNNNNNNNNNNNNNNNNNNNNNNNNNNNNNNNNNNNNNNNNNNNNNNNNNNNNNNNNNNNNNNNNNNNNNCCCCGAAGGCCUUUAGUUGCGGUUGGCCAGGCCAACCGGGACUAAAGGCCCAUCCCUAUAUAUAGGACUCAGCUCACUUCACUUCACUCAGCUCACUUCAUAAUUUUCAGAAGGGGGUGGUGGGUUUGCUUUUGGUUCCUCCUAUGCACACAAGGUGUUUGAUGAAAUGCCCGAGAGCCUGAAACAAACAUGAUAUGAAGUGUCCGAGCCACACUUGAGCUUUCUCAUGUAUUUUUCCUCCGCGAUCGCGGUUAGCAACUUGAACCUUUCAUGUGUCAUUGAUAAAAUAUGCAUGUGUGUAGUUCAUUGUUUAAUUUGUAUUAUUUCUAGCUAGUUAGUUUAACAAAUGCAUGAUGGUUAAUUAUAUACUUUAUAUAAUAAUAAUGCAGAUGAAUCGGCAAUGGAUGUACGGUCCCCGAGUCUCCGGCGAGUUCACUACGGGUUUGAAAGAUUUCCUCGUAGUGGCAAAUGCGAACAAGCAGCAAGGUUUUAUUAUUUGUCCAUGUGCUGUCUGUAAGAAUCAGAAGGGUUACUCCUCCUCAAGAGACGUUCACAUGCACCUGCUUCGGCACGGUUUCAUGCCAAGCUAUAAUUGUUGGACCAAGCAUGGAGAAAGAGGGGUUAGAAUGGAAGAAGAUGAAGAAGGGGAUGAUAUCGAUGACAACUAUCAUGAUCAUUUCGGUGAUACUUUCAUGGAGGAUGAUGCNNNNNNNNNNNNNNNNNNNNNNNNNNNNNNNNNNNNNNNNNNNNNNNNNNNNNNNNNNNNNNNNNNNNNNNNNNNNNNNNNNNNNNNNNNNNNNNNNNNNNNNNNNNNNNNNNNNNNNNNNNNNNNNNNNNNNNNNNNNNNNNNNNNNNNNNNNNNNNNNNNNNNNNNNNNNNNNNNNNNNNNNNNNNNNNNNNNNNNNNNNNNNNNNNNNNNNNNNNNNNNNNNNNNNNNNNNNNNNNNNNNNNNNNNNNNNNNNNNNNNNNNNNNNNNNNNNNNNNNNNNNNNNNNNNNNNNNNNNNNNNNNNNNNNNNNNNNNNNNNNNNNNNNNNNNNNNNNNNNNNNNNNNNNNNNNNNNNNNNNNNNNNNNNNNNNNNNNNNNNNNNNNNNNNNNNNNNNNNNNNNNNNNNNNNNNNNNNNNNNNNNNNNNNNNNNNNNNNNNNNNNNNNNNNNNNNNNNNNNNNNNNNNNNNNNNNNNNNNNNNNNNNNNNNNNNNNNNNNNNNNNNNNNNNNNNNNNNNNNNNNNNNNNNNNNNNNNNNNNNNNNNNNNNNNNNNNNNNNNNNNNNNNNNNNNNNNNNNNNNNNNNNNNNNNNNNNNNNNNNNNNNNNNNNNNNNNNNNNNNNNNNNNNNNNNNNNNNNNNNNNNNNNNNNNNNNNNNNNNNNNNNNNNNNNNNNNNNNNNNNNNNNNNNNNNNNNNNNNNNNNNNNNNNNNNNNNNNNNNNNNNNNNNNNNNNNNNNNNNNNNNNNNNNNNNNNNNNNNNNNNNNNNNNNNNNGUAAUUAGAAACUUUAAUAGCAAAAAUAAUUAUCAUAAAGUAAAAUAAAUAAGUAAUUAGAAACAAAAUAAAUAAAGCAAAAAAGAAAACAAAAAACAGGCAAAAAAUAAAAAAUAUGCCACCUAAUGGGCCACCACGGCCUGAAUACGACUAGAAACCCAUUAAUGGGCCAGGAUUCAGGCCCGCAGAAGGCCCAGUAGGCCCACACGCACAUAGUGAUAGAAUAGGCCCGUAAGCCUGCAUUUGAGAGGAGCUCGAAGUGGUGAGCGCAGCCGCGCUUAUAAACCACUGUCGAAGCCUCUCGACUAGCGAGGUGGGACUAAACAUCCCACCGCACCGCGCCAGUUCCAGCACAGACCUUUAGUCCCGGUUGGGGAGGCGGACCGCGACUAAAGGGUACCCUUUAGUCGCGGUUGUUGUCCCCAACCGCGACUAAAGGGUCUUUCUGCGCGGGAGCGAAAGCGGCGCCAAAACCCUUUAGUCCCGGUUGGGGAGGCGGACCGCGACUAAAGGGUACCUUUAGUCGCGGUNNNNNNNNNNNNNNNNNNNNNNNNNNNNNNNNNNNNNNNNNNNNNNNNNNNNNNNNNNNNNNNNNNNNNNNNNNNNNNNNNNNNNNNNNNNNNNNNNNNNNNNNNNNNNNNNNNNNNNNNNNNNNNNNNNNNNNNNNNNNNNNNNNNNNNNNNNNNNNNNNNNNNNNNNNNNNNNNNNNNNNNNNNNNNNNNNNNNNNNNNNNNNNNNNNNNNNNNNNNNNNNNNNNNNNNNNNNNNNNNNNNNNNNNNNNNNNNNNNNNNNNNNNNNNNNNNNNNNNNNNNNNNNNNNNNNNNNNNNNNNNNNNNNNNNNNNNNNNNNNNNNNNNNNNNNNNNNNNNNNNNNNNNNNNNNNNNNNNNNNNNNNNNNNNNNNNNNNNNNNNNNNNNNNNNNNNNNNNNNNNNNNNNNNNNNNNNNNNNNNNNNNNNNNNNNNNNNNNNNNNNNNNNNNNNNNNNNNNNNNNNNNNNNNNNNNNNNNNNNNNNNNNNNNNNNNNNNNNNNNNNNNNNNNNNNNNNNNNNNNNNNNNNNNNNNNNNNNNNNNNNNNNNNNNNNNNNNNNNNNNNNNNNNNNNNNNNNNNNNNNNNNNNNNNNNNNNNNNNNNNNNNNNNNNNNNNNNNNNNNNNNNNNNNNNNNNNNNNNNNNNNNNNNNNNNNNNNNNNNNNNNNNNNNNNNNNNNNNNNNNNNNNNNNNNNNNNNNNNNNNNNNNNNNNNNNNNNNNNNNNNNNNNNNNNNNNNNNNNNNNNNNNNNNNNNNNNNNNNNNNNNNNNNNNNNNNNNNNNNNNNNNNNNNNNNNNNNNNNNNNNNNNNNNNNNNNNNNNNNNNNNNNNNNNNNNNNNNNNNNNNNNNNNNNNNNNNNNNNNNNNNNNNNNNNNNNNNNNNNNNNNNNNNNNNNNNNNNNNNNNNNNNNNNNNNNNNNNNNNNNNNNNNNNNNNNNNNNNNNNNNNNNNNNNNNNNNNNNNNNNNNNNNNNNNNNNNNNNNNNNNNNNNNNNNNNNNNNNNNNNNNNNNNNNNNNNNNNNNNNNNNNNNNNNNNNNNNNNNNNNNNNNNNNNNNNNNNNNNNNNNNNNNNNNNNNNNNNNNNNNNNNNNNNNNNNNNNNNNNNNNNNNNNNNNNNNNNNNNNNNNNNNNNNNNNNNNNNNNNNNNNNNNNNNNNNNNNNNNNNNNNNNNNNNNNNNNNNNNNNNNNNNNNNNNNNNNNNNNNNNNNNNNNNNNNNNNNNNNNNNNNNNNNNNNNNNNNNNNNNNNNNNNNNNNNNNNNNNNNNNNNNNNNNNNNNNNNNNNNNNNNNNNNNNNNNNNNNNNNNNNNNNNNNNNNNNNNNNNNNNNNNNNNNNNNNNNNNNNNNNNNNNNNNNNNNNNNNNNNNNNNNNNNNNNNNNNNNNNNNNNNNNNNNNNNNNNNNNNNNNNNNNNNNNNNNNNNNNNNNNNNNNNNNNNNNNNNNNNNNNNNNNNNAACGAGAUUCCUUAUGUGCCGGGCUCAGAAUAUGAGCAACAAGAGGAUGUAGUCUCUUCUUUUCUGAACCUUGACGGUGGAACAGAGAUUGUCGAUGAUCAAGAAGGUGAAGGAACGGACAUUGUCGACGGAGGUCAACCGUCAACAACCGACGAUCUCGAAUUGCAAGUAGCAACCACCUCCGGCGAGGUAUAUAUAUACAUUGAGCCUCUCGUGAUACAAACUUACUGAAAUGUGAAUACAUAUGUAUUAACGCGCGCGACUCUCUUUCUUUUUUUAGCCCUCCGGAUCGAGUACGACAAAGCGUGGCAAAUCCAAGGCGAUGAAAACAGGAGAAACAUAUGCCAUUGAGUUUGUCAGUGAAACCGGCAAGCCCCUACAGCACACCUCAAAGUUUAUCAACCAAUGCGGAGUCGUUGUUAGAGACAACGUCCCGAUCACCGUCCAAGAAUGGAAGGAGCCAAAGAAGGCACGUCUUGGUUUCAGUUUUGUCGACAAGAGAACGAAAAAGGAUUGCUGGAGAAAGCUUAUGGAACAUUUCAUUCUACCUCCGGAAUACAACAAAGUUGAUGAAUUCGGUAACGAGGUUCCGGGUGGACGUCAGAGGAGGAGGCUAGUUAAAGAGUUCGCUCUUCAGAGGAUGGGCGAAGCAUUCCGGAACUUCAAGAAAAAUUUAACCCGUGACUAUGUCAACAAGGGCAAGACUCCGGAUUUCAAUGGACAACAUGAGAAACUGAAAGAUGAUUGGCCAGAAUUUGUGAGGCAAAAGCAAUCGGAGCAUUUCAAGGAAAUAUCGAAAAAAAUAAGGAUAAUGCGAGUAAGAAAAAGUUCCAUCAUAUUAUGGGGCCAGGAGGAUACCGCCUUUCGGAGCCUAGGUGGCAGAAGAUGGAGGAGGACCUGAGGGUGCGAGGAAUCCCUCUAGGUACAGAGGGAUGGGACCCAAGGGCCAAAAGCUGGUGGUACGGGCAUGGGGGAUCGCUAGACCCGGAGACAGGGGUGUGUGUUCACCGGCAGAGACAGUUUUCUCCCACCCAAGCCCUUAUUGACGCAAUGACCCAAGCUCAAGAGGGCUUGAUCAAGUUCAACAGAGAGAAAGACGCACUGACAACAGCCCUCGGGAAUGAUGAACACGGAGGACGUGUACGAGGCAAAGGCAAAGUUCCGUGGAAAGUAGGGUUUUCCCAGGACAAUGACCCGUACUGUUACAGAAGCCGUAAGAGAAAGACGGACCGGGAUGCAGAUCUUAUGACGAAGUUUGCAUCGGAACUCCAUGAGUUGAAGCAGACCGUGCAUGAACUAGUGAAAGAAAAAUCGGCUGUAGGGCCGCAUGAAGAUCAUGAAGCGGAUCGCGGAAGCCAGCAGCGGAGAAGCAGCGUGGCUUCCACGGAUGCCCCGCCUGCUGCUAGUGCACCGAUGAUCGAGAUUCGUGCACCGGAGCCUCACUACCCCGUGGAUGAUGUAAAGGAGAUGAAAGAAUGUGAUCUGCAUUAUCCCGUGGGGAACGUUUCCACGAAGGUAGCUAGCGGCAGUGCUUUACCCUGUACACCUGGAGCACUCCACCACAACAACCCCAUUGCAUAUGGCUAUGCUCGUGUCACGGUGGAAGACAUAGUCCAAGGGUUUGAGGACCUGGAGAUUGACAAACCUACACCCGAAGGGGAGAGAAGACUUGGAGAUGUCAAGCGCCAGUUCAUUCUAUGGAAAAAGAAGUACAUAGUGUUUCCAGGCGAGGCGCCAAGGCUAGCAAGUCCACCCCCCUCCGAUGGUGGUGGCGGUGGUGGUGGUCGUGGUGGUUCACCUACACCUCCUUCACGCCAUUCGACGCCGUCCCCCGAUCCACAACCUCCGGCGGGUACGACGCCCCCCAAUCCUCCUCCGGCGGGUACGACGCCCCCCAAUCCACCUCCGGCGAAGAAGCAGAAGCAGGCGGACAGCAAGGAAACCCGCUCCUGGACUAUUAACCCGGACCCUUAUGUACCUAAGACCACAAGGGUACCGGAGCCAUCACUGAAGCCUCUCCUCCCAAGGCCUGGGGAACUUAGUGAAGCUGAAACCAAAUUGGCCGCGUCUGCUGAUUAUGAGAAAUGGAAGGCGGAUAUGAAGGCGAAAAAAGAGCCUGAGCCCAAGCAAGUAUUCACUGAGAAGCAAAAGAAGUGGGCUAAGGAUUUUUUGACCACACCGUCCCAAGCCGAGCUGAAUAUGCCUGACGACUAUGGACAUGAACUUCGUAGGCAAGCAAAAAUAUUGAAGGAGGAGAAAGAAGAAAGUAAAAAAAGCGGGAAACAAGUUGACCAGCUCGGGAUGCAGAAGAAACAGUCGAUCCCCCCGCUCAUAGUGAAAGCCGGUCCGGAAGAGGACCCCGAGAUCAUAGCAGCUGCGGCAGCACUUGGAUUGACUGUAGCGAGUGCCAUGAAACAAGCAUCCGAGAUGGGUUUGACUCUUCGUGCCUUCUUAGGCCUUGAGGAUGCGCCAGUAUGUGAGAUAGCAUUACAAUAUGUGCGGAAUGGGCCUCUCGUCGAGCCUGCGCGGGAAAAGAGUCUACCACCACAAAUGCGAAAUCUGCUACGUUGGUACAAGCAAUUCAUAACAUGGGCCGACAAAGAAUAUAUUUAUGCGGAUGUUACAGAUGAGCAUCACACCAAACGGUACUCUGUAGAAGUUCAUAUGAGUGAAUUGUUCCAGCUAUUCAAUCUGCGCGACCUCGACAAAUCUAUGCUGAGUUGCUACGUUCUGUAAGUGAUUUAUUUCUACCUCAUCUCGUUCUUCAUUGCCUGCACUAUAUAUAUAUAUAUUGUCCUAACUAUAUUGUUGCGUACGCUAUUAUGCAGAUUGAAGAUUUGGGAAUGCAAAAUAAGAAACAUCCAUGAUGUUGGGUUCAUUGACCCACAUAUCGUUAAUGGACAUGUGUUACAACAUCACCCCGAAGACGUGGAGAAAGACUUGUACAAGUUUCUUAGAAAGCAUCAACUCAAAAGUCAUAUUCUAUUUCCUUACCAUUUUGGGUGAGUGUUUCUCUCUUGUGCCCAUUCUCUUUUGUUUACUCCAUGCAUGGUAUGUCUAAUCGAUGAGUUAUGCAUGACUGUGCAUGUAACGUGUCCGCAGGUUCCACUGGAUUCUGCUAAAUAUUGAACUUCACACCUCCAGAGUUCUAAUCAUGGACUCUAUGGAUUCGGAUCCAAAGCGUUGGGCCGACAUGAGAAAAAUGCUGCAAAAGUAAUUAUUUUCAAUCAUUUGAACUCUAUAUCGAUCGGUCUCUUUUGUUCAUUUCCUAAUAUCAAGUAACUAAUAACUCCCUUGUUCAUUUAAUUUUCUUUGCCCUGUAGGGUUUGGAGACGGUUCUCAGAAGAAAUUGUCGGUGAAUUCAAACAUGAGCUAGAUUUCAGAAGGUUAGUUAAUGUGGAUAAGCAGCCACCGGGGACCAAUCUAUGUGGAUACUAUGUUUGUGAGAACAUCUGGAGACACACCUCUGAGCGGAAGGCAUCGGAUAGCGUGCGGAACGCGACGGAUAACUUGCGGAGGAGGCUUAGUCCAGAAGCUCGCUUCCGACCAAUUCAAGAAGAAUUAGCAGGAUUUUUCAUGAGGGAAGUCAUCAAUCCUAAAGGAGAACACUAUACCGAGGACGAAGAAAUUUAUAUGCAUACCCGAGAUUGAAACUUGUACGAAGUUGUAUAUGGUCAUCCAUCCUAAUUGUGUAUGCAAACUUGUUCGAAGUUGUAUAUGGUCACCCGAGAUUGAAUAUAUAUUAUAUAUUCCUCUUGAAUUCUUCUUGUUUGAAAUUUCAUAUGCAUGUAUAUAGUAGCGUAGAAUAUGUGUACUGAAACUUUAUCAAAAUUAAAAUAAAACACAAAAUAUAAUAUAAAAGAAAUAAAACACUCCAAACUAAAAAGAAACCAGGUUUAGGGGGGCUAAAACCCUAAACCUGCGGAGGGGCCCUUUAGUCCCGGGUGGCCACGAGAACCGGGACUAAAGGUCCUCCGCCCCGACGGACCACGGGCGUCCACGUGGACGGGCCUUUAGUCCCGGUCAGCCACAAGAACCGGGACUAAAGCCUUUAGUCGCGGUCCGUAAGAGGCGCGACUAAAGGGGGGGGGGGUCUUUAGUCGCGCAUAUUUAGUCCCGGUUGCACAGCCGGGACUAAAGGCUGUUGCGAACCGGGACUAAAGGGCUUUUUUCUACCAGUGAUUGUUGAAUUAGAUUUGUGAAGUUUUAUUGAAUCAUUAUUUUUUGAACUAAGGCCAAAAACGUUUAGCUAUCAAAGUGGACAGAUUUAAAUGGUUGAGUGAUGUCACGAGAACGGAAACUAUAUUUGUGAAUUGUUCAAUCAACCCGUAGCAACGCACGGGUACAUUUACUAGUAGCAAAUAAAGCAGAAAAGGUUGUAGGAGAAGAAUGAGAAAACCUUUCGAGGAAGGCCAAAAAAGUGAAAUUACCAAGAAAGGAAAACAAACGAAAAAUAUGUACUGGGGACUCAUGGUUUAAGACACGCGUUCUUAACAUCAAAUCUUUAUCAAGACAUGGCCUCACAAAGGCCAUUUCUUGAUAAGAAUUUGGCAUUAAGCAUGGGGCAAAGAUGGUAGAGCCUAGGUUAGCAACCAUGCUCCGCCCCUCGUCAUGGCUCUCCGUACCGGCCGAAGAAGCUGUUGAAGGAGGGGCAUACGUAUGAAGCUCUUCUGAGAACAUAUAUAGGGAAAGAAGACGGAACACAUACUAGCCAGGCCUAAAACCGUCGCCCUGCCCCGCUCAGGUCUCUCGGAGCGACCGGAGAGGCCAGGGAGGGUAGGUUGGAGGAGGGGGAGGCAUCGAAAUGCAUACCUCCCAGGAUGAACAAAGGCGUCUCGCCCCGCUUGGGUCUCUCGGAGCGAUCAAAGAGGCCAUCGAGGGGCAGGACGACAGUGUCUCAGCCGCGGGGAUGGGAAGCAAGAGGUGGGAAGCGAGGCGAUAAGGCAGGCCUAGGUUUCAGUGCGUGAGGGAGGGAUGAGGAGGCAGAAUAUAUAGGCCGACCGUGUAUGGGUUUGCACUUGUCAUGGUUUUGAUUCCUCCCCUUAAUUUGUAUCUUGUUUUAUUCUAGCACCAUAUCUUAGUGUGUGAUAAUUAACAUGAAGAUUUUUCCCUGUUGCUGGUUGAAAUGGUAGAAGAUGCAACUACAUUCCGUAGCAUUUCUAAUUUGAUCUAUUUACUAUUUGUCUUAUCAAAGAGCUGAUUUGUUUACUCUCUGUUUCCAUGAAUGAAGUAAUUCGCAUUACACUGAUGCUUGGGGAAGAAACUACGGAUGAUGGUGGGGAAUGAAGUGCGCGUACAUAAUUUGGUGAAGGUUAAGUUUAUAAUAGUUAAUCCGAGUGUUUUACCGGGCCACUUUGUGAUGUAGGGUGGAACCCUAAUGGCCGAUUUUUCACGAUUUGAAGGGGAUCCCUUGAAGAACACGAGAGAGGAAACACUCAAAUAGACAAGAUCCAAUCACACAUUUGCUAAAUCCACAUACACAAGAGGAGGUACAAUGAUCCAAAUUCAACACAAGUAGGUGACAAGGUAGCUAGUUCAUCCCAAUCCUUGGAGGAUCUUCCCUAGGAGGGGUCUUGAAUUCACUUGGGGGAUCUUCUCACAUGAAAGUCUUGAUCUCCAUGGGAGUAUGGGGAUAAGUGGAUGAGCAAAGCUCUGUCUCUAACUUGAGCUAUCACAAUGCUAACCCUAAAACGUAGGUGGAGGAGGAGUAUAUAUAGUCUAGGGGGAGAUAGAGUUACAUGGGCUUCGACCCAAGUCACACACGCAGGCAUGGUCCGGAAGGUGGUAUGGGCGACCGUCCAAAUCAUCCAGAUGUGUCGUAGCAGCUGCAGGUGGUCCGGAUGUUCGGGUCGUCGUCGGGACGUCCGGGUGGGCCCAGAUGAUCCGGGAGCAGGUCCGGAUGAUCCAGCUUCAAGUGGAGGCUGAAGAUGCCCUCUGGCCUGGGAUCCGGGCGAGGGUCUGGGGGAUCCGGCUUCGUCUAGUGGGCUACUGUAGUCUUCGUGCACAGAGUUCGGAUCAUCUGGGAGAGGGUCUGGAUCGUCCGGGCUUGGUCCGGAUCGUCCGACUGGGGGUCCGAAUGACCCGGGCAAGUCCAGUCUUGCUCCAUUUCUUCUCAGUCUUCACUUUUGUUUCCUCCAUCGAUCGGACUUGCUCCUUAGCUUCUCCAUGGCUAGUUCCUUGGUACCUGAGUAUGCAAAGUGUCUUCGCUUGAGGUAGUAGCCAUGUCUCAUGUGAUUCGAAAGGGAGUUGCAAGAGGAGAGAUGUCACCUCGGUCUCGAGAGUUCUUGCACGUGCACAUGUCAUCUGUCCACUUCUUGGGGAGACAAAGGUAGGUCCAUGUGGAUGACCUUGGGAUGCUCCGCAUCACCCCCCCAUGGGAAAGAUCCGACCUCGGAUCGAAAUCCUCAUCACCAUGGAAGGGAGAUAGGUCCGUGACGGUGAAUAUGUCACUCACGUUAUACUUGUCGCGUGGGAUGUCGAUCUUCUAUGCGUUGUUGUUGUAGCAUGCUAUCACCUUGAAAGGUCCAUCGGCUCAUGGUAGUAGUUUGGACUUGUACUUGUUAGGGAAGCAUUCCUUGCAAAGGUGUAUCCACACAAGAUCUCCGGGGUUGAACACCACGGGUUGCUUGUUGAUGUUGAUCUUGGUCAUGAGACAGUGUACUCGGUGCUCGAUGGCGUGCAUUGCAUCUUCAUGCACCUUCUUGAGGUAGCUUGCUCUUGGCGCUCGCGUCCAUGUUGAUGCGACGAGUUGAAUCCAUAGACGACCUUGAAGGGGGACCUGCCGGUAGUAGAGUGUCAUAUUCGAUUGUAGGCGUACUCGUCGAUGGGUAAACAUUCAUCCCAUUCCUUGAUGUUCUUCUAGAUAAACACAUGGAGUAGAGUAGAUAGCGUCUGGUUGGUGACCUCCGUUUGGCCGUCAGUUUGUGGAUGGUAUGCCGAUGAGAAGAGUAGCUUGAUUCCGAGCUUGGCGCAUAGUGUCUUCCAAAAGUAGCUAAGAAACUUUGACGUCGCGGUCUGAAACAAUAGUCUUUGGCACUCCAUGUAGACGCAAGAUUUCCCUACAAAAGAGAUUUGCAACAUGUGAAGCAUCGUCUAUCCUGUUGCAUGGAAUAAAAUGUGCCAUCUUAGAGAAAUGGUCCACAACAACAAAUUCCGAAUCUUUUCCUUUUUGUGUCCUAGGCAAACCCACAAAGUCCAUACUUAUAUCUUCCCAUGGGUGAUACGAAAUAGGAAGUGGCAUAUAGAGACCAUGUGAUUGAGCUUUCGAAUUAGCUUUGCGGCAUGUAGAGCACCGGUUGGUUUAGCGUGAGACACCGCGAAACAUCUUUGGCCAAAAGUAGUUCUUGGAGAGCGUAGCGAAUGUCUGGUCGCGUCCAAAGUGUCCCAUGAGUCCUCCACCGCGAGCAUCUUGCAAAAGCAACAAACGAAGAGAAGACUCGGGGAUACAAAGCUUGUUAGCUCGCAUUAGAUAAUCAUCCUUGAUAUAAUAUCGCUCCCAAGAUGUAUGCAUUAAGCAUUUAGCAUAAGAAAUAACAAAUGAAGUAUCAUUCACAGACAAGUCUUUAAUGUGCUCAAAUCCAAUGAAAUUCAAUUCUAGUUGAGUUACGAGCAUGCAUUUGCGGUAUAGAGCGUCCGCCACAACAUAUUCCUUACCCUUGAUGUACUUCAUCACAUAAGGAAAUGACUCAAUGAACUCACUCCAUUUGGCAUGUCGUUUAUUCGACUUAGUUUGUCCCUUAAGGUACUUAAGUGUUUCAUGAUCCGUGCGAAGAACAAAUUCAUGAGGUCGAAGAUAAUGCUCCCAAACAUGCAAAACUCUCACCAAAGCAUACAACUCUUUGUCAUAGAUGGGGUAGUUAAGUUGUGUGCCAAUUUUUUUUCCGCUAAAAUAUGCAAUGGGUCGCUUCUCUUGCAUCAACACACCACCUAUGCCAUUACCACUAGCAUCGCAAUGUACCUCAAAAGUUUUAUCAAAAUUGGGUAAUGCAAGCAAAGGAGCAUGUGUAAGAAAAUUCUAAAGCUCAUCAAAUGCGGUAGCUUGAGAAGGUCCCCAAACAAAGGGUGCAUUCUUCUUACUCAAAGCAUGGAAUGGUGAUGCAAUAGUGCUAAAGUCCUUACCAAAUCGACGAUAAAAGCCGGCUAGGCCAAGGAAAUGAUGCACUUGUUGCAAGCUGGUUGGUUGUGGCCAAGUUUUAAUUGCGUCAAUUUUAGACUCAUCAACAUGAGCACCCUUAGAAGACACAACAAAGCACUAGAAAACAAGCUUCUCAAUACCAAGUGUGCAUUUUCCAUGUUAGUAUAAAGUCACUUGUUUCUAAGAACUUGCAAGACGUCCCUAAGAUGGAUGACAUGAUCUUCAAGAGAUUCGCUAAACACAAGUAUAUCAUCAAAGUAUACCACAACACAUAGGCCAAUGUAUUUGCGAAGAACAUAAUGCAUCACACAUGAAAGUGCUAGGUGCUUCGGAUAAGCCCAUAGGCACGACUAACCAUUCAUACAAGCCAAAUUUGGUCCUGAAAGCCGUUUCCCAUUCAUCACCCUCUCGAAUGCGAAUUUGAUAGUAGCCACUUUUAAUGUCAAUUUUUGAGAAAAUGUGACUCCGCUAAGUUCAUCUAGCAUAUCAUCAAGGCGUGGAAUGGGAUGCCUAUAGCAAACAGUGAUAGUAUUUAUGGGACGACAAUCGAAACACAUGCUAAAACUACCAUCUCUCUUAGGCACAAGAAUAACCGGAAUGACACAAGGACAUAAGCUCUAGCGUACAUGCCCAUUCUCAAUGAUAUGUUGUACUUGCCUUUGUAUUUAUGUAGUUUCUUUGGGGUUGACGUGGUAUUGUGCCUUGUUCGGUAGAGGUGCACCGGGAUGAGGUCGAUGCAGUGUUCGAUGCUGCAUAGUGGAGGAAGUCCCAAAGGUAGCUCAGGGAACACAUCCUCAUAUUCCUGCAAUAAUUGAGACAACACCAAAGGUAGAUGUCGUGAAGGAUUAGUCCUCACCACUUCAUUAUGCUUAGUGCUUUGAUGACUGUUUUCAUUAUGCUUGUGAUUUCGUUAUUGCUAGAUUUGAGCACUGUAAUAGGGAAGCAAAUAAAGUAGCUCAUGAGCUUGCUAGAUUAGCUAGAUUUUCUUUGACUUCUGAUUGGUUUGAGGAGCCUUUAAAUGAAAUUGUAAUGAUCCUCACAAGCGAUGUACUACUUAUUACAAAUGAAUAAAGUCUGAGUUUUUUCAAAAAAAAGUCCUCACCGCUUCAUCUUUACACACAAGUACAAAGUGAAGAACACUUGAUGGGCUCUCUCACACAUCCCUCAUGUCUCUUUUGCUGGCUAAAAGCACUAAGUUUUUCUCGUCGCUCAUUGUGGGGGCACUCAAUUUUGGUUUAUGGCGCUCACUUUCUUUUUGGUGCUUCACUCUCUCGCUAUUCUCUCCAUGAUGGGUAGAUGCUUGUUUGUCGGCGAUCACUUGACUUGGUGACAUAGGUUGUAGCAUGUACUUCUUUCCCUUCAUCUUGAAGCCAUAGUGAUUGGUGCGCCUAUUGUGGAUGACGCCGCAGUCGAAUUGCCAAGGUCGUCCUAGUAGGAGAUGGUAUACAUACAUGGGAACCACAUCACACUCCAAGGUGUCUUCAUAUGCGCCAAUCUUGAAGGAGACUUGGACGGUGUGCUCCACUUGAAUGGUGAUGGAGUCGCUAAGCCAUUGGACCUUAUAGGGGUGAGGAUGCUUCAUCUUGACCAAUUGUAUCUUGGAACAUAGCUCUUCACUUGCCAAAUUGUGCCAACUACCUCCGUCGAUGAUGACCUUGAUGGAACGUCCAUUGAUGCCCUCUUUGGUGUGGAAGAUAUGUCAACGUUGGUCUUUGUCUUGUUGGUGUUGAAGUGGAAAGACCUUGGAGACAACAAGAGCGGGGCUCGAAUCAUUGUCACAAAAGACUUGAGCGUCUUCCUCUUCAUUCACUUGCCAGUGUAUGGCCACGUGCGCAAGUGCUUCCAUUUCAUCUUCGCUCAUGGAGUCAUAGGUGCCAUCGUCGUUGGUGAUCAUGUUGUGCCGAGUGGGGCACUCAAAUGUCUCGUGGCCUCGGCCUUGACAUGUGAAGCAUCUGAUGGAACUCGUCUUGACGGUCUCAUCAAUUGGAGUAGGUGAUGACGAAGCUCUUGGCCUAUAGUUGCUUGUCGUAGGAUGACGACUCAAAGAUGUCGAAGGUUUCUUGUAGCUUAAGUUGUCACCGUUGCUUGGUGAUGCUUUAGUCGAGGUAGACAGUGUAGUAGUUGUUGAAGCUUGAGUGUAUGAACCAUAGGUCUUGGAAGAGCACUUGGCGUACUUGUAGUCGUCUUGCACUUGUCACUCCGCCUUGGAAGCUUGGUGCACUAGCUCGAGGAGGUUGGAGUAUGGUUGGAAGUCGGCGAUUUUCUUGAUAGGAUGAUUGAUUCCAUUCAAGAACCGUGCCAUGGUUUGCUCCUCAUCUUCUGUGACAUUGGCUCGUAUCAUUGCAAUCUCCAUUUCCUUGUAAUAUUCUUUGACUGACUUGUUUCCUUGCUUGAGGAGUUGCAACUUCUUGAAGAGAUCUCGACUAUAGUAUGUAGGCACAAAAUGAGCUCUCAUGACAUCCUUCAUUUGAUUCCAUGUGGUGAUGGGUGGUUCGCCUUUCUUGCGGUGGCGCUCGGUAACUUGCUCCCACCAAAUGAGAACGUAAUCUUGGAACUCAAGGAUGAAAGGAUCGAGAAGAGGGUUCUAGAGGGGGGGGGGGUGAUUAGACCCUUAGCAAGCAAAAGAGGCAGUUUUUAGUUUCUUCAAGUUAAGGUUGAGUUUAGCACAAGUUAAAGCACUCACAAUACAUUUCAAGCAACCAUGAUAAAGAGUAUGAGCAGCGGAAAUAGUAAAGCAUGCAAUUUGCAAGAAAUUAAGGGAUGGGAUUGGAGUGUACAAAUGCAAUGGAGACAUGGAGAAUUUUGGCAUGGUUCCGAUAGGUGAUGCUAUCGUACGUCCACAUUGAUGGAGACUUCAACCCACGAAGGUAACGAUACGUCUCUGAUGUCUACUACACAACUUUAUUCUUGUAGACACGUGUUGGGCCUCCGAGCGCAGAGUUUUGUAGGACAGUAGCAAUUUUCCCUCAAGUGGAUGACCUAAGGUUUAUCAAUCCAUGAGAGGUGUAGGCUGAAGAUGGUCUCUCUCAAACGACCCUGCAACCAAAUACAAGAAAUCUCUUGUGUCCCCAACACACCCAAUACAAUGGCAAAUUGUAUAGGUGCACUAGUUCCGCGAAGAGAUGGUGAUAAAAGUGUACUAUGGAUGUUAGAAAUAUAUUUUUAUAAUCUGAAUAAAUAAAAACAGAAAGGUAGCAAAUAGUAAAUGGGCACAAAAACGGUGUUGCAAUGCUUAAAAAUGAGGCCUAGGGUCCGUAAUUUUCCUAGUGCAACCUCUCAACAAUGCUAACAUAGUUGGAUCAUAUGAUUAUCGCUCAAAGUGCAAUAAAGAAUCACUCCCGAGUUCCUAUUAGCAUUCAGAACCACGACCCUCUAUGCACCAUUCAGAACCAAGACCCUUUGUGCACCAUUCAGAACCUUGUCCUUCACAGCCAGGGAGCUCUUCCUGGCAUCAACCACCUCCUUCACGACCAGGGAGCUCUUACUGGCGUCAGCAGAUGUGUAAGGGCAUUCUUGUCCCUUAGUAAUUUUGGUGAUUGAUGACAAUACUUUUGCGGACUAAUCGUGUGUAUUGAGCUUUUCAGAUAUAUCAUGACUAAACACAAGACGAUUUGAUACCCCUCGAAGAUUAUUGAAGAUGGCGUUUCUCUACGGUUCUUUUUGGUGGAGUUGAGUCCUAGGAAAGCCAUACUAUUAAGAGGGGGUCCGCUUUGGAAAGGUUUGGGUGGAAUCUCACGCACACGUCCCUUCUGCACCGCCUUUCCUUUGGGUCUUUGGAGUUUCCUCCGUCUCACCUUGUCUCUGCGAAAUGAAGGACUCCGAGUUGCUCUUCUCAGGCUGGCGGUAGUACUGCUCCUCUGAGCGGUACUACCGCAGGAGCCAGCGGUAGUACCAGGCUCAGGCACGGUAGUACCGUGGGCCCCCACGGUAGUACCGCUCCUUCUGAGUGGUAGUGCCGUGUGCUCUGGCCUGGCGCUGCCGCGCAAGCGGUAGUAGGGGCGGAUGUAAUUUUUUACAUCCGCGCCCUACACGGUAGUACCGUGCUAUGGCGCGGUAGUACCGUGCCGCCUGGCCAGGCACAGCAGCAGGAGUGGAGGUAGGGUCGGAUGUAAUUUUUUACAUCCGCACCCCUCACGGUAGUACCGCACCCCUGGUUCGCGGUAGUACCGUGUCGGAUUUUCGCAUCGAUAAAAUCUCAGCGGAGGUAGUCAUGUAAUUUUUUAUAUCUGUGCCUACCGUGCCUGGACUGUGGCUGCCUUGCGGUAGUACCGCCAUAGGGUCGCGGUAGUACCGCGCCUGCGGUUCUACCGCGCCCUGUCUGUGCUCUUCUGUUCAGGUCCAGGCUCUGCCGCGCCCACGGUAGUACCGCGGGCCGCCGCGGUAGUACCGCAGGCCCGUGCGGUAGUACCGCGGGUCGCGGGCUGAGUGGUGGGUAACGGUUGGAAUUGUCCCCCCACUAUAUAAGGGGGUCUUCUUCUCCAAGAAGAUUUACCUCUUCCAACCCUGAUUUCCAUUGUUGCUCCAAGCUCCAUUUUCGCCAGAUCUCUCUCCCUAGCCAAUCAAACUUGUUGAUUUGCUCGGGAUUGGUUGAGAAGGCCCCGAUCUACACUUCCACCAAGAGAAAUUUGAUUCCCCCCACUAAUCCCUAGUGGAUCUUGUUACUCUUGGGUGUUUGAGCACCCUAGACGGUUGAGGUCACCGCGGAGCCAUAGUCCAUUGUGGUGAAGCUUCGUGGUGUCGUUGGGAGCCUCCAAUUAAGUUGUGGAGAUUGCCCCAACCUUGUUUGUAAAGGUUCGGUCGCCGCAUCCAAGGGCACCAAUAGUGGAGUCACGGCAUCUCGCAUUGUGUGAGGGCGUGAGGAGAAUACGGUGGCCCUAGUGGCUUCUUGGGGAGCAUUGUGCCUCCACACCGCUCCAACGGAGACGUAUUUCCCCUCAAAAGGAAGGAACUUCGGUAACACAUCUUCGUCUUCACCGGCUCCACUCUUUGUUAUCUCGUGCCUUUACUUGUGCAAGCUUCUUUGCGUUAUAUCCCUUGAUUGCCUGUGUGUUUAUUGUUGUUGCAUUAUAUAGGUUGCUCACCUAGUUGCAUAUCUAGACAACCUACUUUGAUGCAAAGUUUAAUUUGGUAAAGAAAAGCUAAAAAUUGUUAGUUGCCUAUUCACCCCCUCUAGUCAACUAUAUAAAUCCUUUCAAUUGGUAUCAGAUCCUCUUCUCUUUAUUAAGGACUUUGCCAUCCGAAGAGUAUGGUUGACACCGUAGACGGUGGGGAGGAGCACUCCGGUGUGAAUCCGUUCUCGUCUACGGCCGAUGGGGGAACCUCGGUCUCUCGUGAGGAAUUCAAUGUGGCUUUGGACACAUUGAAAACCUCCAUGACAACCGAGGUUGAAAGCAUGUUUAAUAAAUUCAUUGAAGGGCUUAAACUAUCUACCGCACCGUUGAAAGUGGGUGAUCCCACUAACAAGGUGACCGAUGCUAACUCCGACAAGGGGGAAGCUACUAGCGAAAAAGCUCCUUCUACUAGUGGUAAGAAUUGUUGGAAAUAUGCCCUAGAGGCAAUAAUAAAUUGGUUACUAUUAUAUUUCCUUGUUCAUGAUAAUCAUUUAUUAUCCAUGCUAGAAUUGUAUUGAUAGGAAACUCAGAUACAUGUGUGGAUACAUAGACAACAGCAUGUCCCUAGUAAGCCUCUAGUUGACUAGCUCGUUGAUCAAUAGAUGGUUACGGUUUCCUGACCAUGGACAUUGGAUGUCGUUGAUAAUGGGAUCACAUCAUUAGGAGAAUGAUGUGAUGGACAAGACCCAAUCCUAAGCAUAGCACAAAAGAUCGUGUAGUUCGUUUGCUAGAGCUUUUCCAAUGUCAAGUAUCAUUUCCUUAGACCAUGAGAUUGUGCAACUCCCGGAUACCGUAGGAGUGCUUUGGGUGUGCCAAACGUCACAACGUAACUGGGUGACUAUAAAGGUACACUACGGGUAUCUCCGAAAGUGUCUGUUGAGUUGGCACGGAUCGAGACUGGGAUUUGUCACCCCGUAUGACGGAGAGGUAUCUCUGGGCCCACUCGGUAAUGCAUCAUCAUAAUGAGCUCAAGGUGACUAAGGAGUUAGCCACGGGAUCAUGCAUUACGGUACGAGUAAAGUGACUUGCCGUUAACGAGAUUGAACAAGGUAUUGGGAUACCGACGAUCGAAUCUCGGGCAAGUAACGUACCGAUUGACAAAGGGAAUUGUAUACGGGAUUGAUUGAAUCCUCGACAUCGUGGUUCAUCCGAUGAGAUCAUCGUGGAACAUGUGGGAGCCAACAUGGGUAUCCAGAUCCCGCUGUUGGUUAUUGACCGGAGAGGCGUCUCGGUCAUGUCUGCAUGUCUCCCGAACCCGUAGGGUCUACACACUUAAGGUUCGGUGACGCUAGGGUUGUAGAGAUAUUAGUAUGCGGAAACCCGAAAGUUGUUCAGAGUCCCGGAUGAGAUCCCGGACGUCACGAGGAGUUCCGGAAUGGUCCGGAGGUGAAGAAUUAUAUAUAGGAAGUCAAGUUUCGGCCACCGGGAAAGUUUCGGGGGUCACCGGUAUUGUACCGGGACCACCGGAAGGGUCCCGGGGGUCCACCGGGUGGGGCCACCUAUCCCGGAGGGCCCCAUGGGCCGAAGUGGGAAGGGAACCAGCCCCUAGUGGGCUGGGGCGCCCCCAUGGGCCUCCCCCUGCGCCUAGGGUUGGAAUCCCUAGGGGUGGGGGGCGCCCCACCUGUCUUGGGGAGCAAGUUUCCCCCCUGGCCGCCCCCCCCCCUUGUAGAUGGGAUCCAGGGCCGGCGCCCCCCCAGGGGGCCUAUAUAUAGUGGGGGGAAGGGAGGGCAGCAGCACCACAGCCCCUGGCGCCUCCCUCUCCCCCUGCAACACCUCUCCCUCUCGCAGAAGCUUGGCGAAGCCCUGCCGAGAUCCCCGCUACUUCCACCACCACGCCGUCGUGCUGCUGGAUCUCCAUCAACCUCUCCUUCCCCCUUGCUGGAUCAAGAAGGAGGAGACGUCGCUGCUCCGUACGUGUGUUGAACGCGGAGGUGCCGUCCGUUCGGCACUCGGUCAUCAGUGAUUUGGAUCACGGCGAGUACGACUCCAUCAACCCGUUCACUUGAACGCUUCCGCUCGCGAUCUACAAGGGUAUGUAGAUGCACUCCUUUCCCCUCGUUGCUAGUAUACUCCAUAGAUGGAUCUUGGUGAUGCGUAGGAAAUUUUAAAAUUCUGCUACGAUCCCCAACAGUGGCAUCAUGAGCCAGGCCUAUGCGUAGUUACUAUGCACGAGUAGAACAGAAAGCAGUUGUGGGCGUAGAUGUUGUCAAUUUUUCUUGCCACUACUAGUCUUAUCUUGUUUCGGCGGUAUUGUGGGAUGAAGCGGCCCGGACCGACCUUACACGUACGCUUACGUGAGACAGGUUCCACCGACUGACAUGCACUAGUUGCAUAAGGUGGCUAGCGGGUGUCUGUCUCUCCCACUUUAGUCGGAUCGGAUUCGAUGAAAAGGGUCCUUAUGAAGGGUAAAUAGAAAUUGGCAUAUCACGUUGUGGCUUUUGCAUAGGUAAGAAACGUUCUUGCUAGAAUCCCAUAGCAGCCACGUAAAACAUGCAACAACAAUUAGAGGACGUCUAACUUGUUUUUGCAGGGUAUGCUAUGUGAUGUGAUAUGGUCAAAAGGAUGUGAUGAAUGAUAUAUGUGAUGUAUGAGAUUGAUCAUGUUCUUGUAAUAGGAAUCACGACUUGCAUGUCGAUGAGUAUGACAACCGGCAGGAGCCAUAGGAGUUGUCUUACUUUAUUGUAUGACCUGCGUGUCAAUGAAAACGCCAUGUAAUUACUUUACUUUAUUGCUAACCGUUAGCCAUAGUAGUAGAAGUAAUAGUUGGCGAGACAACUUCAUGAAGACACGAUGAUGGAGAUCAUGACGAUGGAGAUCAUGGUGUCAUGCCGGUGACGAAGGUGAUCAUGCCGCACCUCGAAGAUGGAGAUCAAAGGCGCGAGAUGAUAUUGGCUAUAUCACGUCACUUUAUGAUUUGCAUGUGAUGUUUGUCAUGUUUACAUCUUAUUUGCUUAGAACGACGGUAGCAUAAAUAAGAUGAUCCCUCACUAAAAUUUCAAGAGACGUGUUCCCCCUAACUGUGCACCGUUGCGAAGGUUCGUUGUUUCGAAGCACCACGUGAUGAUCGGGUGUGAUAGAUUCUAACGUUCGAAUACAACGGGUGUUGACGAGCCUAGCAUGUACAGACAUGGCCUCGAAACACAUGCAAAACACUUAGGUUAACUUGAUGAGCCUAGCAUGUACAGACAUGGCCUCGGAACACAAGAGACCGAAAGGUCGAACAUGAGUCGUAUAGUAGAUACGAUCAACAUGGAGAUGUUCACCGAUGAUGACUAGUCCGUCUCACGUGAUGAUCGGACACGGCCUAGUUUGACUCGGAUCAUGUAUCACUUAGAUGACUAGAGGGAUGUCUAUCUGAGUGGGAGUUCAUUAAAUAAUCAGAUGAACUUCAUUAUCAUGAACAUAGUCAAAAGGUCUUUGCAAAUUAUGUCAUAGCUUACGCUUUAGCUCUACUGUUUAAGAUAUGUUCCUAGAGAAAAUUUAGUUGAAAGUUGGUAGUAGCAAUUAUGCGGACUGGGUCCGUAAACUGAGGAUUGUCCUCAUUGCUGCACAGAAGGCUUAUGUCCUUAAUGCACCGCUCGGUGUGCUGAACCUCAGCGUCGUCUGUAGAUGUUGCGAAACAUCUGACAUACACGUUUUGAUGACUAUGUGAUAGUUCAGUGCGUAAUGCUAACGGUUUAGAAUUGUGGCACCAAAGACGUUUUGAAACGUCGCAGAACAUAUGAGAUGUUUCAAAGACUGAAAUUGGGAUUUCAGACUAGUGCCCACAUCAAGAGGUAUGAGACCUCUGACAAGUUUCUUAAGCCUGCAAACUAAGGGAGAAGAACUCAAUCGUUGAGCAUGUGCUCAGAUUGUCUGAGUACCACAAUCACUUGAAUCGAGUGGGAGUUAAUCUUCCAGAUGAGAUAGUGAUGGUUCUCCAUAGUCACUGCCACCAAGCUAUUAGAGCUUCGUGAUGAACUAUAACAUAUCAGGGAUAGAUAUGAUGAUCCUUGAGCUAUUCGCAAUGUUUGACACCGCGAAAGUAGAAAUCAAAUAGGAGCAUCAAUUGUUGAUGGUUAGUAAAACCACUAGUUUCAAGAAGGGCAAGGGAAGAAGGGAUACUUCAUGAAACAGCAAAUCAUUUGCUGCUCUAGCAAAGAUGUUGGAAAUAUGCCCUAGAGGCAAUAAUAAAUUGGUUAUUAUUAUAUUUCCUUGUUCAUGAUAAUCGUUUAUUAUCCAUGCUAAAAUUGUAUUGAUAGGAAACUCAGAUACAUGUGUGGAUACAUAGACAACACCAUGUCCCUAGUAAGCCUCUAGUUGACUAGCUCGUUGAUCAAUAGAUGGUUACGGUUUCCUGACCAUGGACAUUGGAUGUCGUUGAUAACGGGAUUACAUCAUUAGGAGAAUGAUGUAAUGGACAAGACCCAAUCCUAAGCCUAGCACAAGAUCGUGUAGUUCGUUUGCUAAGAGCUUUUCUAAUGUCAAGUAUCAUUUCCUUAGACCAUGAGAUUGUGCAACUCCCGGAUACCGUAGGAAUGCUUUGGGUGUACCAAACGUCACAACGUAACUGGGUGGCUAUAAAGGUGCACUACAGGUAUCUCCGAAAGUGUCUGUUGGGUUGGCACGAAUCGAGACUGGGAUUUGUCACUCCGUGUAAACGGAGAGGUAUCUCUGGGCCCACUCGGUAGGACAUCAUCAUAAUGUGCACAAUGUGACCAAGGAGUUGAUCACGGGAUGAUGUGUUACGGAACGAGUAAAGAGACUUGCCGGUAACGAGAUUGAACAAGGUAUCGGGAUACCGACGAUCGAAUCUCGGGCAAGUACCAUACCGAUAGACAAAGGGAAUUGUAUACGAGAUUGAUUGAAUCCUCGACAUCGUGGUUCAUCCGAUGAGAUCAUCGAGGAGCAUGUGGGAGCCAACAUGAGUAUCCAGAUCCCGCUGUUGGUUAUUGACCGGAGAGUCAUCUCGGUCAUGUCUGCAUGUCUCCCGAACCCGUAGGGUCUACACACUUAAGGUUCAGUGACGCUAGGGUUAUAGAGAUAUUAGUAUGCGGUAACCCGAAAGUUGUUCGGAGUCCCGGAUGAGAUCCCGGACGUUAUGAGGAGUUCCGGAAUGGUCCUGAGGUAAAGAUUUAUAUGUGGUAAGACUUAUUUUGGUCGCCGGAAAAGUUUCGCGCAUUAUCGGUGUUGUACCGGGAGUGCCGAAAGGGGUCCGGGGGUCCACCAAGGGGGUCCACCAGCCCCGGGGGGCCACAUGGGCUGUAGGGGUGUGCGCCUUGGCCUAUAUGGGCCAAGGGCACCAGCCCCAAGAGGCCCAUGCGCCAAGAGAUAAGGGAAAGGGAGAGUCCUAAAGGGGGAAGGCACCUCCGAGGUGCCUUGGGGAGGAUGGACUCCUCCCUGGCCGCACCCUUCCUUGGAGGAAGGGCCAAGGCUUCCCCCCCUCUCCCUUGGCCGUAUAUAUAGUGGGGGGGAGGGAGGGCAGCAAUACCUAAGCCCUGGCGCCUCCCUCUCCCUCCCGUGACACCUCUUCCUCCCCGCUUGCACUUGGCGAAGCCCUGCCGGGAUCCCGCUACUUCCACCACCACGCCGUCGUGCUGCUGGAUCUCCAUCAACCUCUCCUCCCCCCUUGCUGGAUCAAGAAGGAGGAGACGUCGCUGCUCCGUACGUGUGUUGAACGCGGAGGUGCCGUCCGUUCAGCGCUAGGAUCAUCGGUGAUUUGGAUCAUGACGAGUACGACUCCAUCAACCCCGUUCUCUUGAACGCUUCCGCUCGCGAUCUACAAGGGUAUGUAGAUGCACUCCCCUUCCCCUCGUUGCUAGAGUACUCCAUAGAUUUAUCUUGGUGAUGCGUAGAAAAUUUUGAAUUUCUGCUACGUUCCCCAACAAAAGAAUCCCAAGGUUAAACCCAAACCCGAGACUAAGUGCUCCUGUAAUGAGGGGAACGGUCACUGAAGCAGAACUACCCUAGAUACUUGGUAGAUGAGAAGGCAGGCAAGGUCGACAGAAGUAUAUUGGAUAUACAUUGUAUGAAUGUGUACUUUACUAGUUAUCCUAGCAGCACCAGGGUAUUAGAUACCGGUUCGGUUGCUAAGUGUUAGUAACUCGAAAUAAAAGCUGCGGAAUAAAUGGAGACUAGCUAAAGGUGAGAUGACGAUGUGUGUUGGAAGUGUUUCCAAGGUUGAUGUGAUCAAGCAUCGCAUGCUCCCUCUACCAUCGAGAUUGGUGUUUGCGUUGAGCAUAAACAUGAUUGGAUUAUGUUUAUCGCAAUACGGUUAUUCAUUUAAGGACAAUAAUGGUUACUCUAUUUAUUUGAAUAAUACCUUCAAUGGUCUUGCACCUAAAAUGAAUCUCGAUCGCAGUGAUACACAUGUUCGUGCCAAAAGAUAUAAAAUAGUAAUGAUAGUACCACAUACUUGUGGCACUGCCAUUUGAGUCAUAUUGGUAUAGAACGCAUGAAGAAGCUCCAUGUAGAUGGAUCUUUGGACUCAGUCGUUUUUGAAAAGAUUGAGACAUGCGAACCAUGUCUAUUGGUAUAUAUGCAUGAAGAAACUCCAUGCAGAUGGAUCGUUUGGACUCACUUGAUUUUGAAUCACUUGAGACAUGCAAAUCAUACCACAUGGGCAAGAUGACUGAAAGGCCUCGUUUUCAGUAAGAUGGAACAAGACAGCAACUUAUUGGAAGUAAUACAUUUUGAUGUAUGCAGUCCAAUGAGUGCUGAGGCAUGCAGUGGAUAUCAUUAUGUUCUUACUUCACAGAUGAUUUGAGUAGAUGCUGAGUGUAUUUACUUGAUGAAACUCAAGUCUGAAUUGUUGAAAGGUUCAAGUAAUUUUAGAGUGAAGUUGAAGAUCGUCGUGACAAGAGGAUAAAAUGUCUGUGAUAUGAUCAUAGAGAUGAGUAUCUGAGUUAUGAGUUUGGCACACAAUUAAGACAUUGUGGAAAGUGUUUCACAAUUAAUACCGCCUGGAACACCACAGUGUGAUGGUGUGUCUGAACAUCAUAACUGCACCCUAUUGGAUAUGGUGCAUGCCAUGAUGUCUCUUAUCGAAUUACCACUAUCGUUUAUAGGUUAGGCAUUAGAGACAACCGCAUUCACUUUAAAUAGGGCACCACGCAAUUCCGUUGAGACGACACCGUUUAGAGAAACCUGAGUUGUCGUUUCUUAAAAGUUUGGGGCUGCGAUGCUUAUAUGAAAAAGUUUCAGGCUGAAAAGCUCGAACCCAAAGCGGACAAAUGCAUCUUCAUAGAAUACCCAAAACAGUUGGGUAUACCUCCUAUUUCAGAUCCGGAAGCAAGGUGAUUGUUUCUAGAAAUAGGUCCUUUCUCGAGGAAAAGUUUCUCUUGAAAGAAUUGAGUGGGAGGAUGGUGGAGACUUGAUGAGGUUAUUGAACCAUAACUUCAACUAGCGUGUAGCAGGGCACAUGAAGUUGUUCCUGUGGCACCUACACCAAUUGAAGUGGAAGCUUAUGAUAGUGAUCAUGAAACUUCGGAUCAAGUCACUACCAAACCUCGUAGGACGACGAGGAUGCGUACUACUUCAGAGUAAUGCGUGAUCCUGUCUUGGAAGUCAUGUUGCUAGACAACAAUGAACCUACGAGCUAUGGAGAAGCGAUGGUGGGCCCAUAUUCCGACAAAUGGUUAGAAGCCAUGAAAUCCGAGAUAGGAUCCAUGUAUCAGAACAAAGCAUGGACUUUGGUGAACUUGCCCGAUGAUCGGCAAGCCAUUGAGAUAAAUGGAUCUUUAAGAAGAAGACGGACAUGGACGGUAAUGUUACCGUCUAUGAAGCUCGACUUGUGGCAAAGAGUAUUUUCACAAGUUCAAGGAGUUGACUACGAUGAGAUUUUCUCAUCUGUAGGGAUGCUUAAGUCCGUCGGAAUCAUGUUAGCAUUAGCUGCAUUUAUGAAAUCUGGCAGAUGGAUGUCAAAACAAGUUUCCUUACCAGUUUUCGUAAGGAAAGGUUGUAUGUGAUACAAUCAGAAAGGUUUUGUCCAUCCUAAGGAUGCUAAAAGGUAUGCUAGCUCCAGCGAUCCUUCCAUGGAUUAGAGCAAGCAUCUCGGAGUCAGAAUAUACGCUUUGAUGGAGUGAUCAAAGUUUUUGGGUUUAUACAAAGUUUGUUAGAAACUUGUAUUUACAAUAAAGUGAGUGGGAGCGCUACAACAUUUCCGAUAAGUAUAUGUGAAUGACAUAUUGUUGAUCCAAAAUGAUGUAAAAUUUCUGGAAAGCAUAAAGGGUUGUUUGAAAGGAGUUUUUCAAAGGAAGACCUGGAUAAAGCUGCUUACGUAUUGGGCAUCAAGAUCUAUAGAGAUAGAUCAAGACGCCCGAUGAUACUUUCAAAGAACGCACACCUUGACAUGAUUUUUGAAAGAGUUCAAAAUAGAUCAGCAAAGAAGGAGUUCUUGGCUGUGUUACAAGGUGUGAGUAUUGAGUAAGACUCAAGACCUGACCACAGCAGAAGAGAGAGAAAGGACAAAGGUCGUCCCCUAUGCUUUAGACGUAGGCUCUACAGUAUGCUAUGCUGUGUACCGCACAUGAAGUGUGCCUUGCCAUGAGUUGGUCAAGGGGUACAAUAGUGAUCCGGGAAUGGAUCACAUGACAGCGGUCGAACUUAUCCUUAGUAUCUAGUGGACUAAGGAAUUUUCUCGAUUAUGGAGGUGAAAAGGAGUUCGUCGUAAAGGGUUACGUCGAUGUGAACUUUGACACUAAUCCGGAUGACUCUGAGUAGUAGACCGGAUUCGUAUAGUAGAGCAGUUAUUUGAAAUGGCUCCAAGUAGUGCGUGGUAGCAUCCACAAGAUGACAUAGAUAUUCGUAAAGCACACACGGAUCUGAAAGGUUCAGACCCGUUGACUAAUAACCUCUCUCACAAGCAUAACAUGAUCAAACCAGAACUCAUUGAGUGGUAAUCACAUAGUGAUGUGAACUAGAUUGUUGACUCUAGAAAACUCUUUAGAUGUUGGUCACAUGGUGAUGUGACCUGUGAGUGUUAAUCACAUGGUGAUGUGAACUAGAUUAUUGACUCUAGUGCAAGUGGGAGACUGUUGGAAAUAUGCCCUAGAGGCAAUAAUAAAUUGGUUAUUAUUAUAUUUCCUUGUUCAUGAUAAUCGUUUAUUAUCCAUGCUAGAAUUGUAUUGAUAGGAAACUCACAUACAUGUGUGGAUACAUAGACAACACCAUGUCCCUAGUAAGCCUCUAGUGACUAGCUCGUUGAUUAAUAGAUGGUUACGGUUUCCUGACCAUGGACAUUGGAUGUCGUUGAUAACGGGAUCACAUCAUUAGGAGAAUGAUGUGAUGGACAAGACCCAAUCCUAAGCAUAGCACAAAAGAUCGUGUAGUUCGUUUGCUAGAGAUUUUCCAAUGUCAAGUAUCAUUUCCUUAGAACAUGAGAUCGUGCAACUCCCGGAUACCGUAGGAGUGCUUUGGGUGUGCCAAACGUCACAACGUAACUGGGUGACUAUAAAGGUACACUACGGGUAUCUCCGAAAGUGUCUGUUGAGUUGGCACGGAUCGAGACUGGGAUUUGUCACUCCGUAUGACGGAGAGGUAUCUCUGGGCCCACUCGGUAAUGCAUCAUCAUAAUGAGCUCAAGGUGACUAAGGAGUUAGACACGGGAUCAUGCAUUACGGUACGAGUAAAGUGACUUGCCGGUAACGAGAUUGAACAAGGUAUUGGGAUACCGACGAUCGAAUCUCGGGCAAGUAACGUACCGAUUGACAAAGGGAAUUGUAUACGGGAUUGAUUGAAUCCUCGACAUCGUGGUUCAUCCGAUGAGAUCAUCGUGGAACAUGUGGGAGCCAACAUGGGUAUCCAGAUCCCGCUGUUGGUUAUUGACCGGAGAGGCGUCUCGGUCAUGUCUGCAUGUCUCCCGAACCCGUAGGGUCUACAAACUUAAGGUUCGGUGACGCUAGGGUUGUAGAGAUAUUAGUAUGCGGAAACCCGAAAGUUGUUCGGAGUCCCGGAUGAGAUCCCGGACGUCACGAGGAGUUCCGGAAUGGUCCGGAGGUGAAGAAUUAUAUAUAGGAAGUCAAGUUUCGGCCACCGGGAAAGUUUCGGGGGUCACCGGUAUUGUACUGGGACCACCGGAAGGGUCCCGGGGGUCCAUCGGGUGGGGCCACCUAUGCCGGAGGGCCCCAUGGGCCGAAGUGGGAAGGGAACCAGCCCCUAGUGGGCUGGGGCGCCCCCCUGCGCCUAGGGUUGGAAUCCCUAGGGGUGGGGGGCGCCCCACCUGACUUGGGGAGCAAGUUUCCCCCCUGGCCGCCGCCCCCCCUUGUAGAUGGGAUCCAGGGCCGGCGCCCCCCAGGGGCCUAUAUAUAGUGGGGGGAAGGGAGGGCAGCAGCACCACAGCCCCUGGCACCUCCCUCUCCCCCUGCAACACCUCUCCCUCUCGCAGAAGCUUGGCGAAGCCCUGCCGAGAUCCCCGCUACUUCCACCACCACGCCGUCGUGCUGCUGGAUCUCCAUCAACCUCUCCUCCCCCCUUGCUGGAUCAAGAAGGAGGAGACGUCGCUGCUCCGUACGUGUGUUGAACGCGGAGGUGCCGUCCGUUCGGCACUCGGUCAUCGGUGAUUUGGAUCACGGCGAGUACGACUCCAUCAACCCGUUCACUUGAACGCUUCCGCUCGCGAUCUACAAGGGUAUGUAGAUGCACUCCUUUCCCCUUGUUGCUAGUAUACUCCAUAGAUGGAUCUUGGUGAUGCGUAGGAAAUUUUAAAAUUCUGCUACGAUCCCCAACAAGAAUGGCACCGACAUUUUUUCCCAAGUGGAACCUCCACUUGUUUAUGGUGGACCGCUUCCUUCUACUCAUUUGAAUCAUGCCGGUCCUCCCCCUAAGAUUGUGAAAAAUGAGGAUUUUGAUUCUUGGGUCUAUCGCUUUAAGCGUCAUUUGAAUCAUGUGAAUACUAAUCUUUGGAGAAUCAUUGAAGAAGGUUUCUAUCCGCAUGACCAAAGCAACUUCACGCCUAGAGAAGCCGUGGACAAUCAAUUCAAUGAGAAUGCUCUCUUCAUCAUUCAAGAUGCAAUUCCACCCGAAGAUCUUCCUCACCUCCGGCCCUACGCCAUGGCCAAAGACGCUUGCCACCAAGUCGUUUCCCUCUAACGGGGAAGCGCAAGCAUUCAAUGCUCCAACUAUGAAGUGGUGCAAGAUGAAGCCGGCGAGUUUGCCAGGAAAGAAGAUGAAGAACCUCGUGAGCUUUAUCGGAGAGUAACCAAACUUGUGGUCUCUCUCCGAGAUCAUGGGAGCAAGGACACGGAUGACAAUUGGAUCAAGCGCAAAUUUCUCAAGGCAAUGAUGCUGUACCACAAGGCCAUGUCCCCCGUCAUUCGUCAACGGCCGGACUUCCACACCUUGUCCUCAAGUGAAGUGUUGGAUGAGUUUGUGGCUAUGAGCAUCUUGGACAAAACCGCCGACAAUGCGGUGCUUUGCUCCCAAAGAGCAAAGAAGCCCAACCUUGCUUUGAAGGCCAAGGUUAUUGUGGAGGAAGAGGACGAAGAGGAAGAAGAGGAGAGCAACCUUGAAGAUACAAAGUAUGCCUAUCAUGAACACAUGGCUCUUGCUUCAAGGCAAUUUUGGAGCAAGAAGAACUCAAGGCCCAACUUCAACAAGACCAAUUCAAGUGGCGCCAAGGGCAAGCAACAUAUGAGGACUUGCUUUAAUUGUGGCAAUGUGAGUCACUUUGUUGCGGAGUGCCCUUAUGAGAAGAGGGAAGACGAUGGUGGCAAGCUCAUCCGAAAGGACAAGGCCAAGUCUUUCCCCAACAAGAACAACUUCACCAAGAAGACUCCUCCUAGGGCGUUGGUGGUACAAGAAGACUACAAUGACGAUGAUGAUGAUGAUGAAGAUGGUGAGUCGGUUGCCAUGGCCUCCGUUGCCAUUGCAUCAACUCCACGGGUGUCUCUCUUUUUGACUCACCCAAUGAGAACAUCACCGCCAAGUGCCUCAUGGCUAAAGCCACCAACAAGGUAACCCCCAACAUCAAAACUACCAUCAUUAAUAAUCCUUCAUUGACGGAUUGCAUUGAUGAACAUGAGAGAUCUAGUGUGGAGGAAAAUGAGUUUGAGUCCUUUAUGGGUAAACUCAAGGGUAAAUCCAAGACGCACUUCGUUGCUCUCUUGGAACAACUUGGUGAAGCCAAUGUCAUGAUCGAGGCUCAUGAAGAAACCAUAUCUAAGAUGUAGGAGCAUAGUCGUGGCUAUGCCGAUGAGAUUUCGGAUCUUUCCAAUGCUCUUGAGGAAGAGCGUGGUCUUCGUUUGGCUCUUGAGGAGUCAUACAACGAUGAUCACGCUAUACUAAAGAAAGAUCUUGAUCAUACUCUUGUUGUAUCUCGUGUGCUAAAUUCCGAGAAAGCCAAACUUGGGAUUGAUCUUGCUAGACUCAAGGAGGAGUUUGAUAUACUUGACAAGGCUCACAAGGCCUUGAAGGGUAUUCAUGCUAAUCUUAAAGAGUCUCAUGAUCAACUUCAAGUGAAGCUAACCAAGGAGAAAGCCACCUUUCCUCAUAUGGUUUUAAUUGAUAAUGCAAAUGCCACUAACCCGUGUUGUGAGCAUGUGCAUCUUGUUGAGGAGAAUGCUAAGUUGAAGGAGCAACUUGAGAAAGGCCUUGUGUCAUGCAUACAAGGUGAGAAGAACCUCAACGACCUUUUGAGUAAUCAAAAGGAAGUUGUAGCCAAGGAGGGGAUUGGGUUCGCACCCAAGCCCAAGAACAAGAAGAAGAAUGACAAGACCAAACUACCUCCUCCUCUCAAGCAAACCUUUGUGAAGGAGGGAGAGGGUGCUCCCAAGGAGAAUAAGAACAAUGCGAAGGGUGGUGGUGCCAAGAAGGGCAAUGCCACCCCUCCCAACCAAGCCGGCGACUUUAACCCUUCUUAUGUGUUGUGCCGUGCUAGUGAUUGGCAUGUUUAUGCCAAAUUUGUUGGUUCUCCUUAUGAGUACAUUGAAUGGUCUAUUUGGGUUCCUAAGACCCUUGUCAUUAACAUCAAAGGACCCAUUAGAAAAUGGGUACCUAAAUCCAAGCAUUGAUCUCUUGUAGGUGUUUGCUUCCGGUGGGGGGUCAUGGUUGCUCGAUAGUGGAGCUACAAAUCAUAUGACCGGAAGCAAGGAUUUGGUGGUGGACGUUCACAAGAUUCCAUCUAUGCCCACCAAUGUCGAGUGGGGUGAUGCCUUGUCUUCUAAGGUAUUGGGACUUGGCAAGGUUGUCAUUUCUCAUGAUCUCACGAUCGAGAAGGUCAUGCUUUUUGAGUCCCUUGCAUACAAUUUACUUUCCGUUCGUCAACUUGCACUCAUGAGUUUUGCCACAUUCUUUGAUAUUGAUACCGUGGCCCUCUUGUGGAGCAAGACUCUUAAAGUAGCCUUUGUUGGGCAUGUCGAGAAUGGUCUCUAUGUGAUUAACUUCUCGGAGCGACCCACUAAGACCGCGACAUGCCUAAUGGCUAAAGUUGACGUGGGUUGGCUUUGGCAUCGCCGACUGGCCCAUGUCAAUAUGAGAUCUUUGCAAAGUCUUCUCAAGGGGGACCAUGUCCGUGGAUUAACAAAUGUUAGUUUUGCCAAAGAUCGUGCUUGCAGUGCUUGUAUCGAAGGAAAGCUUCAUGAGAAGGCUCACCCUCCCACGACUAUCAUCUACUCGAAGAGACCCUUGGAGCUCCUUCACAUGGAUCUCUUUGGGCCUCCAUCCUUUGAUAGUCUUGGAGGUAGAAAGUAUUUCUUGGUGAUUGUGGAUGAUUAUUCAAGAUACACUUGGGUAUAUUUCUUCAAGAGGAAGAGCGAGACCCAACAAACCGUCAUCCACUUUGCAAAUGAAGCUCAACGUCCACACAAUGCAAAGAUCUUGACAAUAAGGAGUGACAACAACACCGAGUUCAAGAACUACACCUUGGAUGAGUUUCUUAGUGAUGAGGGGAUCAAGCAUCAAUAUUCCGCACCAUACACCCCUCAACAAAAUGGUGUUGUGGAGAGGAAGAACCGGACGUUGAUGGAUGCGGCAAGGACCAUGAUGGCGGAGUUCAAGUCUCCAUACAACUUUUGGGCCGAAGCCAUCAACACCGCGUGUCAUGCAUCAAAUCGGCUCUAUCUCCGCAAAGGCUUAAACAAGACUCCAUAUGAGAUACUCACCGGUAACAAGCCCAACCUCAAGUACUUUCGGGUGUUUGGGUGUAAGUGUUUCAUUCUCAAGAAAGGUGUUCGUUUGUCUAAAUUUGAGACUAGAGCUCAUGAGGGCAUAUUUGUUGGUUAUGCUACAAACUCCCAUGCUUACCGUGUUCUCAAUAAGUCCAGGGGACUUAUUGAGGAGACGUGUAAUGUGGAGUUUGAUGAGAAUAACGGCUCCCAAGUGGAGCAAAGUGGUACUUGUGAUGUAGGUGAUGAAAUUCCUCCCCAAGCCAUAAGAAGAAUGGGUGCUGGUCAUAUCCUACCCAUUGAGGAACCCCUUGUGGCCGAAGGAGAAGGACAAUGCUCCACUCAAGUGGAGCCAUCACCAACCCAAGACCCACACGCUUCCGAAGGACAAAGUGAAGGCCCUCAACCUCAUGAACAAGAUCAAGGGCAAGAUCAACCUCAAGAUGGUGGUGAACAACCAAAUGAUGCACAAGGUCAAGCUCUCCCCUUCGAGCAAGUUCAAGAUCACGAGCAAGCUCAAGAUCAAGAACAAGCUCAAGACGGCGCUCAAGAUGAUCAAGUUACCCCUCCUCGUUUCACAUCUGGGGAGGAAUUAGAGCGUCGUGCCGCGAAGAUUGCUUCCAAGCUCACCACCAAAGGUCAUCUCAUGGAGAAUGUGGUUGGAAGCCUAAGAAAGGGUGUAAGCACUCAUAGAAAAUUAGCAAACUAUUGUGAACAUCAUGCGUUUGUUUCUUGUGUCGAACCCCAAAAGGUUUAUGAGGCGCUCGAGGACCCGGAUUGGCUCAAUGCCAUGCAUGAAGAACUCAACAACUUCGAGCAUAACCAAGUGUGGAAAUUAGUGCCAAGUCCAACCGGAAAUCGUAAUGUCAUUGGAAACAAGUGGAUAUUCAAGAACAAGCAAGAUGCUCAUGGGAUCAUUGUUCGCAACAAGGCUCGUUUGGUGGCACAAGGAUACUCCCAAGUCGAGGGUAUCGACUACGGUGAAACCUUUGCUCCCGUUGCUCGCCUUGAAUCUAUUCGUUUGUUGAUUGCUUAUGCUUCUCAUCAUAAUUUCACGUUGCAACAAAUGUAUGUGAAGAGUGCUUUUCUUAAUGGUCCCAUAAAUGAGUUGGUGUAUGUCAAACAACCCCCCGGGUUCGAAGAUCCCUAUUUCCCCGAUCAUGUGUACCAACUCCACAAGGCGCUCUAUGGCCUUAAACAAGCCCCACGUGCGUUGUAUGAGCAUCUUACGGAGUUGUUACAAGAUCGUGGGUUCGAAAUCCGGAAAAUCGACCCCACUCUUUUUACUAAGAAGGUCAAAGGGGAGUUAUUUGUGUGCCAACUAUAUGUUGAUGAUAUUAUCUUUGGUUCCCCUAACAAAGCUUUCAAUGAAGAAUUUGCCGCUCUCAUGACCUCAAAGUUCAAGAUGUCUAUGAUGGGAGAGUUGAAGUUCUUUCUCGGGUUCGAAAUCAAACAAAGAAGAGAAGGAACCUUCAUUAACCAAGCCAAAUACACUCAAGACAUGCUAAAGAGAUUCAAGCUAAGUGAUGUCAAGCCAGCUUCCACUCCAAUGCCCACCAAGUGCCAACUUGACAUUGAUCCCAAUGGUAAAGCGGUGGAUCAAAAGGUAUAUCGCUCCAUGAUUGGAUCCUUGCUUUACCUUUGUGCAUCUAGACCGGAUAUCAUGUUGAGUGUGGGAAUUUGUGCACGGUUUCAAGCCGCACCUAAAGAAAGCCACUUUGUGGCGGUUAAGCGAAUCUUUCGAUAUUUGGCUCAUACCCCAAACUUUGGCUUAUGGUACCCAAGAGGAGGCACCUUUGAUCUUUUGGGUUAUACAGAUUCAGAUUGGGCGGGAGACAAAGUGGAUAGGAAGUCCACCUCCGGAGGGUGCCAAUUACUUGGUUGCUCUUUAGUGAGUUGGUCUUCGAAGAAGCAAAGUUGUGUGUCUCUCUCGUCCACCAAAGCAGAGUAUGUGGCUUCCGGUAGUUGUUGUGCUCAACUCCUAUGGAUGAGGCAAACUUUAAAGGAUUACGGUGUCACUUGUGACGAAGUGCCUCUUUGGUGUGACAAUGAAAGUGCCAUCAAGAUCUCUCUCAACUCGGUGCAACACUUCAAGACGAAGCAUAUUGAGAUUCGGUAUCACUUCAUUCAGGAUCACAUUAGGCGAAAGGAGAUCAAGCUCAAGUAUGUCAGCACUCAUGAUAACCUUGCAGAUAUUUUCACGAAGCCCUUGGAUGAAGCAAGAUUUCGCGAGUUAAGGCAUGAGCUAAAUAUCAUUGAUUCGAGCAAUGUGGUUUGAACCUGUGCACACCCCACCAUAUUCAUCAUGCUUCCUUGUCUAGGUGUAGGCAUAGACAUAGGGGGAGUGUUGUUCUCUCAAUGAACUCUCCCUCCCCCCAUUAUGCAUAAAUUGAUCAAACUCUUUCACAUUUUCCAUUUUUGUUGGUACUUGUGCCUUAAAGACGAGUCUCGGUCAUGGGCCCAAGGAUAAUUCUUCGCGGUGCCAUACCAAGUGACUCAUACAUAGGUGUCCUCGGCCACCGCCCUCUCCUCCAAAGAGUUGAGGUCAGUUUGUUGGUCUUCGGUGUCUUGUGCUUUCUCUGUGCCGUGUUUGUGUCGUCAUUUGUGUUUGCUUCUUGGUUGUUCGGUGCUUCCGAAGGUUGUCUUGCAAAUGCUCUCUUUCUCUCGUAUGAAACUAGCACUUUCUUGGGUUACAGAACUACCGUGGCGAGCCACGGUACUACCGCAGGAGUUGGUGGCUAUGCGCUUGCACAGUUGCUUCCCAGGGGCCCGGUACUACCGCUUCCAUCGCGGCGGUAAUUUUUUACUGCCGCUGGAAGAGCGGUACUACCGCCCAACGUGUGGUACUUCCGCCCGAGCGGUACUACCGCAAUGACCCGCGGUACUUCCGCGCCCACGCGAGCGGGUGGGGGUUAAGAGCAGGGCAGGGGGAGUUCUAACUCCCCCAUACCCAUUCAUCUCUAUUCCCCACCCCGUCUCUCUCUCUCCUGCCCAAGAACGGCGCCGGAGGCCGUCGCCGGAUCUCCGUCUCCGGCCGCACUCCUCGGAUUCCGACCGGUGGGAUCGUUCCCCACCUCGCCCUCUUGCCAUGGACCAAGGUUUUUCCCCAAGUUCCUCUCCUUGUUCAUUCUUACUUGUGCUUUUAGGUCUUGGGGAGAUGCAUGUGGUGUUCUUGAGAUUUUUGGCUAAAUCUGUGCAAGUGGGAUUCGUAGGAGCGUGGUAGUGUAGUAAGCAUGCUCUUUGGAUAGUCAAAAUAGUUCCGGUUGAUCAACGGUAGUACCGAUGUAGUCGUGCGGAGGUUCUAGAUCCAGAUCCGCAGCUCCAGUCGCGUUUCUCGAUCCGCGCGGUACUACCGCUCCUCCUGGAGCGGUACCGCAACCUCGCUGGUAACUGGCGCGGCGCGGUACUUCCGCACCUUGGUGCGGUACUACCGCUUGGAGCCCGGAAGUAAAAAAUUACUUCCGCCCCAGGCGCGGUACUACCGUGCCACCCCGGCACGGUACUACCGCGGCUGGUGCAGAUGUAAUUUUUUACAUCCGUACAACGGCCCGGUACUACCGUAGAUGCAUCCUGAGCCCUUUUUCUGUCCAGCUCUCGUGCUUAUCUGUUUCUUUCAGCUUUGGCCUUGGCAUUUGCAUUGAUCCUUCUUGUUUCCCGUGCGUGUUCUUGUGUUUUGUGUCUAGGUGGUGGCUCUGGUUCUCUUGCUCGUCGCUCGAAUCCCAGCCGUGACACAGGGUCAAAGCGGCUGCGCAACUCAGAUGAAGCUCCAGAAGGGUCGUCUGCUUCUCAACGCAGGACCAAGCACACCGCCACCAAGCAGAAGGAGCCCAUCAUGGACAUGGAUGAGAUGCCCCAGGCAGAGUUCGUCAUUCGAAGGAAACUCAAUCCAUAUGUGAAUCCCCGGGCUAACUUGCGAGGCAAUGAUCUCUUCUGGACCAAGCAGCAGAAUCUGAUCUAUCUGGAUGUGAUCAAGGCCAAGUAGAACAUCUACGUGGAAGUUCACUGGAUUGACAUGCAUCAUAUGAGGCAGAACAAGCACCGUGGCUACUUUGGAGAGGCUUUGGAUCUCAUGGAGCAGUUCGACAUUGAGCACAUGCUCACCUUUCACAAGGAUUUUGAUCCAGAAAUCGUGGCACAGUUCUUUGCUUCGGUCUACUUCGGCAUCGAUGAAGCAAGGACCAUGACCUGGAUGACCAAUGGUCGACGGAUGUCUGCUACAUGGAAGGAGUUCAUGGAGUUGCUUCAUGUUCCAGAUGAAGGGCUCGACACGCUAGUUGGAGUUCGCCCUCAUGCCAACUCUGAGUCUGCCAAGAAGAACAAGCUCAUGCCAUUCCUUGUUCAGAAGACUCUUCCCAGCAAGAAGAAGGUGUGGGUGCUUAACCCCUUCCUUGACAUCAUGCAUCGGCUCUUCCGGAACACCCUCUUCCCGCGCAUUGGUGACAUGGGCCAGGUGCAUGCUUACCUCGUUGAUAUGAUGCUCCUUUGUGAGGAGGCUCGUCAGGCUCAGACUCAGCCACUUGAUGUCUCACAUAUCAUGUGGUGUGAGCUUCAGUUUGCCGUGUUCAACUGUAAGGUCCCCAUCUAUGGGCCUUACCUGUUUCACUUGAUCUCCAAGACUUGGGAGAAGCUCUUUCCCAAUGAUGAGUUUGAAGCUCCAGGCUGGAUUCGUCAUGAGCCCAUCAAGCUACGCAUCAAGAGCCAAUGGGCUAACACCACCACUUCUGCUGAGGCUGCCAAGAUGGCUGUGGAUGAGGAGGAGAUUGAGGAGGAAGAAGUUGCUGAGGACCGUUCUGCUUACACUCCUCCCUCUGCUGAGCCCUCUUGGGCGAAGAAGCUAAAGAUCAAGUGAAGAGGCUGUUCUGCAUGCAGGUCCAGGGUCAGUACAAGGCCCAUGUUGCUCAGAAGGAAUGUCGUCGUCGCGACAGCAGGAUCUUGAGGGCGUGCGGCGAGGACGUGUCUAGCGGUUCUGAGAAGCACAUCACCCCCGAGGCUGCCUGGAUGGCUAAGCAGGGCUACAAGUGGACCGAUUCUGAGGAGGAGUACAUUCCUGCUGCGGAGUCUGGCGACGAGGAGUCAUUUUCCGCCUGAGCUACCACCUUUGUUGUAGGUGUCCUCUCUGCCUUUUUGGUGUCUCGAUGCCAAAGGGGGAGAGAGUGUAGGAUUUGCGUGUCGUGAGUCGUGUGUUUCGCCGUUCGCUUUGUCGCUUUGCUUUCCGUCUGUUGAACUUAGUUUGCUUUGGUUUGGUUGUGCUCAUAAGACUAAGUUUUAUCAUAUGGUGUAAGACAUAUGCACUCCUACUUAUCUUUAUGUAUUCGUUACUUAGUCAUAUCUAUCUUCUUGCUUACUUCCUUAAUGUUGAUUCAUGCCUUGUCUAUAAAAUAUAGGGGGAGUGUUGAUCCUAGUAUGUGUGCCAUGCAGUCCAAAGCACAUCUAUAGAAUGCACACAUCUAGAGGGAGCCCGUCUAUAUUUUAUAGAUAGUGGGUUUGCCGUUGCCUCAUUCGUUAUCUCUAUGUGCAAAUCCCGUAUUGUCAUCAAUCCACCAAAAAGGGGGAGAUUGUAAGGGCAUUCUUGUCCCUUAGUAGUUUUGGUGAUUGAUGACAAUACUUUUGUGGACUAAUCGUGUGUAUUGAGCUUUUCACAUAUAUCAUGACUAAACACAAGACGAUUUGAUACCCCUCGAAGAUUAUUGAAGAUGGCGUUUCUCUACGGUUCUUUUCGGUGGAGUUGAGUCAUAGGAAAGCCGUACUAUUAAGAAGGGGUCCGCUUUGGAAAGGUUUGGGUGGAAUCUCACGCACACGUCCCUUCUGCACCGCCUUUCCUUUGGGUCUUUGGAGUUUCCUCCGUCUCACCUUGUCUCUGCGAAAUGAAGGACUCCGAGUUGCUCUUCUCAGGCUGGCGGUAGUACUGCUCCUCUGAGCGGUACUACCGCAGGAGCCAGCGGUAGUAUCGGGCUCAGGCACGGUAGUACCGUGGGCCCCCAAUAGUAUCGCUCCUUCUGAGUGGUAGUGCCGUGUGCUCUGGCCUGGCGCUGCCGCGCAAGCGGUAGUAGGGGCGGAUGUAAUUUUUUACAUCCGCGCCCUACACGGUAGUACCGUGCUAUGGCGCGGUAGUACCGUGCCGCCUGGCCAGGCACAGCAGCAGGAGUGGAGGUAGGGUCGGAUGUAAUUUUUUACAUCCGCACCCCUCACGGUAGUACCGCACCCCUGGUUCGCGGUAGUACCGUGUCGGAUUUUCGCAUCGAUAAAAUCUCAGCGGAGGUAGUCAUGUAAUUUUUUAUAUCUGUGCCUACCGUGCCUGGACUGUGGCUGCCUUGCGGUAGUACCGCCAUAGGGUCGCGGUAGUACCGCGCCUGCGGUUCUACCGCGCCCUGUCUGUGCUCUUCUGUUCAGGUCCAGGCUCUGCCGCGCCCACGGUAGUACCGCGGGCCGCCGCGGUAGUACCGCAGGCCCGUGCGGUAGUACCGCGGGUCGCGGGCUGAGUGGUGGGUAACGGUUGGAAUUGUCCCCCCACUAUAUAAGGGGGUCUUCUUCUCCAAGAAGAUUUACCUCUUCCAACCCUGAUUUCCAUUGUUGCUCCAAGCUCCAUUUUCGCCAGAUCUCUCUCCCUAGCCAAUCAAACUUGUUGAUUUGCUCGGGAUUGGUUGAGAAGGCCCCGAUCUACACUUCCACCAAGAGAAAUUUGAUUCCCCCCACUAAUCCCUAGCGGAUCUUGUUACUCUUGGGUGUUUGAGCACCCUAGACGGUUGAGGUCACCGCGGAGCCAUAGUCCAUUGUGGUGAAGCUUCGUGGUGUCGUUGGGAGCCUCCAAUUAAGUUGUGGAGAUUGCCCCAACCUUGUUUGUAAAGGUUCGGUCGCCGCAUCCAAGGGCACCAAUAGUGGAGUCACGGCAUCUCGCAUUGUGUGAGGGCGUGAGGAGAAUACGGUGGCCCUAGUGGCUUCUUGGGGAGCAUUGUGCCUCCACACCGCUCCAACGGAGACGUAUUUCCCCUCAAAAGGAAGGAACUUUGGUAACACAUCUUCGUCUUCACCGGCUCCACUCUUUGUUAUCUCGUGCCUUUACUUGUGCAAGCUUCUUUGCGUUAUAUCCCUUGAUUGCCUGUGUGUUUAUUGUUGUUGCAUCAUAUAGGUUGCUCACCUAGUUGCAUAUCUAGACAACCUACUUUGAUGCAAAGUUUAAUUUGGUAAAGAAAAGCUAAAAAUUGUUAGUUGCCUAUUCACCCCCUCUAGUCAACUAUAUAAAUCCUUUCAAUUGGUAUCAGAGCCUCUUCUCUUUAUUAAGGACUUUGCCAUCCGAAGAGUAUGGUUGACACCGUAGACGGUGGGGAGGAGCACUCCGGUGUGAAUCCGUUCUCGUCUACGGCCGAUGGGGGAACCUCGGUCUCUCGUGAGGAAUUCAAUGUGGCUUUGGACACAUUGAAAACCUCCAUGACAACCGAGGUUGAAAGCAUGUUUAAUAAAUUCAUUGAAGGGCUUAAACUAUCUACCGCACCGUUGAAAGUGGGUGAUCCCACUAACAAGGUGACCGAUGCUAACUCCGACAAGGGGGAAGCUACUAGCGAAAAAGCUCCUUCUACUAGUGGUAAGAAUUGUUGGAAAUAUGCCCUAGAGGCAAUAAUAAAUUGGUUAUUAUUAUAUUUCCUUGUUCAUGAUAAUCAUUUAUUAUCCAUGCUAGAAUUGUAUUGAUAGGAAACUCAGAUACAUGUGUGGAUACAUAGACAACAACAUGUCCCUAGUAAGCCUCUAGUUGACUAGCUCGUUGAUCAAUAGAUGGUUACGGUUUCCUGACCAUGGACAUUGGAUGUUGAUGAUAACGGGAUCACAUCAUUAGGAGAAUGAUGUGAUGGACAAGACCCAAUCCUAAGCAUAGCACAAAAGAUCGUGUAGUUCGUUUGCUAGAGCUUUUCCAAUGUCAAGUAUCAUUUCCUUAGACCAUGAGAUCGUGCAACUCCCGGAUACCGUAGGAGUGCUUUGGGUGUGCCAAACGUCACAACGUAACUGGGUGACUAUAAAGGUACACUACGGGUAUCUCCGAAAGUGUCUGUUGAGUUGGCACGGAUCGAGACUGGGAUUUGUCACCCCGUAUGACGGAGAGGUAUCUCUGGGCCCACUCGGUAAUGCAUCAUCAUAAUGAGCUCAAGGUGACUAAGGAGUUAGCCACGGGAUCAUGCAUUACGGUACGAGUAAAGUGACUUGCCGUUAACGAGAUUGAACAAGGUAUUGGGAUACCGACGAUCGAAUCUCGGGCAAGUAACGUACCGAUUGACAAAGGGAAUUGUAUACGGGAUUGAUUGAAUCCUCGACAUCGUGGUUCAUCCGAUGAGAUCAUCGUGGAACAUGUGGGAGCCAACAUGGGUAUCCAGAUCCCGCUGUUGGUUAUUGACCGGAGAGGCGUCUCGGUCAUGUCUGCAUGUCUCCCGAACCCGUAGGGUCUACACACUUAAGGUUCGGUGACGCUAGGGUUGUAGAGAUAUUAGUAUGCGGAAACCCGAAAGUUGUUCAGAGUCCCGGAUGAGAUCCCGGACGUCACGAGGAGUUCCGGAAUGGUCCGGAGGUGAAGAAUUAUAUAUAGGAAGUCAAGUUUCGGCCACCGGGAAAGUUUCGGGGGUCACCGGUAUUGUACCGGGACCACCGGAAGGGUCCCGGUGGUCCAUCGGGUGGGGCCACCUAUCCCGGAGGGCCCCAUGGGCCGAAGUGGGAAGGGAACCAGCCCCUAGUGGGCUGGGGCGCCCCCAUGGGCCUCCCCCUGCGCCUAGGGUUGGAAUCCCUAGGGGUGGGGGGCGCCCCACCUGUCUUGGGGAGCAAGUUUCCCCCCUGGCCGCCGCCCCCCCUUGUAGAUGGGAUCCAGGGCCGGCGCCCCCCCAGGGGGCCUAUAUAUAGUGGGGGGAAGGGAGGGCAGCAGCACCACAGCCCCUGGCGCCUCCCUCUCCCCCUGCAACACCUCUCCCUCUCGCAGAAGCUUGGCGAAGCCCUGCCGAGAUCCCCGCUACUUCCACCACCACGCCGUCGUGCUGCUGGAUCUCCAUCAACCUCUCCUUCCCCCUUGCUGGAUCAAGAAGGAGGAGACGUCGCUGCUCCGUACGUGUGUUGAACGCGGAGGUGCCGUCCGUUCGGCACUCAGUCAUCAGUGAUUUGGAUCACGGCGAGUACGACUCCAUCAACCCGUUCACUUGAACGCUUCCGCUCGCGAUCUACAAGGGUAUGUAGAUGCACUCCUUUCCCCUCGUUGCUAGUAUACUCCAUAGAUGGAUCUUGGUGAUGCGUAGGAAAUUUUAAAAUUCUGCUACGAUCCCCAACAGUGGCAUCAUGAGCCAGGCCUAUGCGUAGUUACUAUGCACGAGUAGAACAGAAAGCAGUUGUGGGCGUAGAUGUUGUCAAUUUUUCUUGCCACUACUAGUCUUAUCUUGUUUCGGCGGUAUUGUGGGAUGAAGCGGCCCGGACCGACCUUACACGUACGCUUACGUGAGACAGGUUCCACCGACUGACAUGCACUAGUUGCAUAAGGUGGCUAGCGGGUGUCUGUCUCUCCCACUUUAGUCGGAUCGGAUUCGAUGAAAAGGGUCCUUAUGAAGGGUAAAUAGAAAUUGGCAUAUCACGUUGUGGCUUUUGCGUAGGUAAGAAACGUUCUUGCUAGAAUCCCAUAGCAGCCACGUAAAACAUGCAACAACAAUUAGAGGACGUCUAACUUGUUUUUGCAGGGUAUGCUAUGUGAUGUGAUAUGGUCAAAAGGAUGUGAUGAAUGAUAUAUGUGAUGUAUGAGAUUGAUCAUGUUCUUGUAAUAGGAAUCACGACUUGCAUGUCGAUGAGUAUGACAACCGGCAGGAGCCAUAGGAGUUGUCUUACUUUAUUGUAUGACCUGCGUGUCAAUGAAAACGCCAUGUAAUUACUUUACUUUAUUGCUAACCGUUAGCCAUAGUAGUAGAAGUAAUAGUUGGCGAGACAACUUCAUGAAGACACGAUGAUGGAGAUCAUGACGAUGGAGAUCAUGGUGUCAUGCCGGUGACGAAGGUGAUCAUGCCGCACCUCGAAGAUGGAGAUCAAAGGCGCGAGAUGAUAUUGGCUAUAUCACGUCACUUUAUGAUUUGCAUGUGAUGUUUGUCAUGUUUACAUCUUAUUUGCUUAGAACGACGGUAGCAUAAAUAAGAUGAUCCCUCACUAAAAUUUCAAGAGACGUGUUCCCCCUAACUGUGCACCGUUGCGAAGGUUCGUUGUUUCGAAGCACCACGUGAUGAUCGGGUGUGAUAGAUUCUAACGUUCGAAUACAACGGGUGUUGACGAGCCUAGCAUGUACAGACAUGGCCUCGAAACACAUGCAAAACACUUAGGUUAACUUGAUGAGCCUAGCAUGUACAGACAUGGCCUCGGAACACAAGAGACCGAAAGGUCGAACAUGAGUCGUAUAGUAGAUACGAUCAACAUGGAGAUGUUCACCGAUGAUGACUAGUCCGUCUCACGUGAUGAUCGGACACGGCCUAGUUUGACUCGGAUCAUGUAUCACUUAGAUGACUAGAGGGAUGUCUAUCUGAGUGGGAGUUCAUUAAAUAAUCAGAUGAACUUCAUUAUCAUGAACAUAGUCAAAAGGUCUUUGCAAAUUAUGUCAUAGCUUACGCUUUAGCUCUACUGUUUAAGAUAUGUUCCUAGAGAAAAUUUAGUUGAAAGUUGGUAGUAGCAAUUAUGCGGACUGGGUCCGUAAACUGAGGAUUGUCCUCAUUGCUGCACAGAAGGCUUAUGUCCUUAAUGCACCGCUCGGUGUGCUGAACCUCAGCGUCGUCUGUAGAUGUUGCGAAACAUCUGACAUACACGUUUUGAUGACUAUGUGAUAGUUCAGUGCGUAAUGCUAACGGUUUAGAAUUGUGGCACCAAAGACGUUUUGAAACGUCGCAGAACAUAUGAGAUGUUUCAAAGACUGAAAUUGGGAUUUCAGACUAGUGCCCACAUCAAGAGGUAUGAGACCUCUGACAAGUUUCUUAAGCCUGCAAACUAAGGGAGAAGAACUCAAUCGUUGAGCAUGUGCUCAGAUUGUCUGAGUACCACAAUCACUUGAAUCGAGUGGGAGUUAAUCUUCCAGAUGAGAUAGUGAUGGUUCUCCAUAGUCACUGCCACCAAGCUAUUAGAGCUUCGUGAUGAACUAUAACAUAUCAGGGAUAGAUAUGAUGAUCCUUGAGCUAUUCGCAAUGUUUGACACCGCGAAAGUAGAAAUCAAAUAGGAGCAUCAAUUGUUGAUGGUUAGUAAAACCACUAGUUUCAAGAAGGGCAAGGGAAGAAGGGAUACUUCAUGAAACAGCAAAUCAUUUGCUGCUCUAGCAAAGAUGUUGGAAAUAUGCCCUAGAGGCAAUAAUAAAUUGGUUAUUAUUAUAUUUCCUUGUUCAUGAUAAUCGUUUAUUAUCCAUGCUAAAAUUGUAUUGAUAGGAAACUCAGAUACAUGUGUGGAUACAUAGACAACACCAUGUCCCUAGUAAGCCUCUAGUUGACUAGCUCGUUGAUCAAUAGAUGGUUACGGUUUCCUGACCAUGGACAUUGGAUGUCGUUGAUAACGGGAUUACAUCAUUAGGAGAAUGAUGUAAUGGACAAGACCCAAUCCUAAGCCUAGCACAAGAUCGUGUAGUUCGUUUGCUAAGAGCUUUUCUAAUGUCAAGUAUCAUUUCCUUAGACCAUGAGAUUGUGCAACUCCCGGAUACCGUAGGAAUGCUUUGGGUGUACCAAACGUCACAACGUAACUGGGUGGCUAUAAAGGUGCACUACAGGUAUCUCCGAAAGUGUCUGUUGGGUUGGCACGAAUCGAGACUGGGAUUUGUCACUCCGUGUAAACGGAGAGGUAUCUCUGGGCCCACUCGGUAGGACAUCAUCAUAAUGUGCACAAUGUGACCAAGGAUUUGAUCACGGGAUGAUGUGUUACGGAACGAGUAAAGAGACUUGCCGGUAACGAGAUUGAACAAGGUAUCGGGAUACCGACGAUCGAAUCUCGGGCAAGUACCAUACCGAUAGACAAAGGGAAUUGUAUACGAGAUUGAUUGAAUCCUCGACAUCGUGGUUCAUCCGAUGAGAUCAUCGAGGAGCAUGUGGGAGCCAACAUGGGUAUCCAGAUCCCGCUGUUGGUUAUUGACCGGAGAGUCAUCUCGGUCAUGUCUGCAUGUCUCCCGAACCCGUAGGGUCUACACACUUAAGGUUCAGUGACGCUAGGGUUAUAGAGAUAUUAGUAUGCGGUAACCCGAAAGUUGUUCGGAGUCCCGGAUGAGAUCCCGGACGUCACGAGGAGUUCCGGAAUGGUCCUGAGGUAAAGAUUUAUAUGUGGGAAGACUUAUUUUGGUCGCCGGAAAAGUUUCGCGCAUUAUCGGUAUUGUACCGGGAGUGCCGAAAGGGGUCCGGGGGUCCACCAAGGGGGUCCACCAGCCCCGGGGGGCCACAUGGGCUGUAGGGGUGUGCGCCUUGGCCUAUAUGGGCCAAGGGCACCAGCCCCAAGAGGCCCAUGCGCCAAGAGAUAAGGGAAAGGGAGAGUCCUAAAGGGGGAAGGCACCUCCGAGGUGCCUUGGGGAGGAUGGACUCCUCCCUGGCCGCACCCUUCCUUGGAGGAAGGGCCAAGGCUUCCCCCCUCUCCCUUGGCCGUAUAUAUAGUGGGGGGGAGGGAGGGCAGCAAUACCUAAGCCCUGGCGCCUCCCUCUCCCUCCCGUGACACCUCUUCCUCCCCGCUUGCGCUUGGCGAAGCCCUGCCGGGAUCCCGCUGCUUCCACCACCACGCCGUCGUGCUGCUGGAUCUCCAUCAACCUCUCCCCCCCCUUGCUGGAUCAAGAAGGAGGAGACGUCGCUGCUCCGUACGUGUGUUGAACGCGGAGGUGCCGUCCGUUCGGCGCUAGGAUCAUCGGUGAUUUGGAUCACGACGAGUACGACUCCAUCAACCCCGUUCUCUUGAACGCUUCCGCUCGCGAUCUACAAGGGUAUGUAGAUGCACUCCCCUUCCCCUCGUUGCUAGAGUACUCCAUAGAUUUAUCUUGGUGAUGCGUAGAAAAUUUUGAAUUUCUGCUACGUUCCCCAACAAAAGAAUCCCAAGGUUAAACCCAAACCCGAGACUAAGUGCUCCUGUAAUGAGGGGAACGGUCACUGAAGCAGAACUACCCUAGAUACUUGGUAGAUGAGAAGGCAGGCAAGGUCGACAGAAGUAUAUUGGAUAUACAUUGUAUGAAUGUGUACUUUACUAGUUAUCCUAGCAGCACCAGGGUAUUAGAUACCGGUUCGGUUGCUAAGUGUUAGUAACUCGAAAUAAAAGCUGCGGAAUAAAUGGAGACUAGCUAAAGGUGAGAUGACGAUGUGUGUUGGAAGUGUUUCCAAGGUUGAUGUGAUCAAGCAUCGCAUGCUCCCUCUACCAUCGAGAUUGGUGUUUGCGUUGAGCAUAAACAUGAUUGGAUUAUGUUUAUCGCAAUACGGUUAUUCAUUUAAGGAGAAUAAUGGUUACUCUAUUUAUUUGAAUAAUACCUUCAAUGGUCUUGCACCUAAAAUGAAUCUCGAUCGCAGUGAUACACAUGUUCGUGCCAAAAGAUAUAAAAUAGUAAUGAUAGUACCACAUACUUGUGGCACUGCCAUUUGAGUCAUAUUGGUAUAGAACGCAUGAAGAAGCUCCAUGUAGAUGGAUCUUUGGACUCAGUCGUUUUUGAAAAGAUUGAGACAUGCGAACCAUGUCUAUUGGUAUAUAUGCAUGAAGAAACUCCAUGCAGAUGGAUCAUUUGGACUCACUUGAUUUUGAAUCACUUGAGACAUGCAAAUCAUACCACAUGGGCAAGAUGACUGAAAGGCCUCGUUUUCAGUAAGAUGGAACAAGACAGCAACUUAUUGGAAGUAAUACAUUUUGAUGUAUGCAGUCCAAUGAGUGCUGAGGCAUGCAGUGGAUAUCAUUAUGUUCUUACUUCACAGAUGAUUUGAGUAGAUGCUGAGUGUAUUUACUUGAUGAAACUCAAGUCUGAAUUGUUGAAAGGUUCAAGUAAUUUUAGAGUGAAGUUGAAGAUCGUCGUGACAAGAGGAUAAAAUGUCUGUGAUAUGAUCAUAGAGAUGAGUAUCUGAGUUACGAGUUUGGCACACAAUUAAGACAUUGUGGAAAGUGUUUCACAAUUAAUACCGCCUGGAACACCACAGUGUGAUGGUGUGUCUGAACAUCAUAACUGCACCCUAUUGGAUAUGGUGCAUGCCAUGAUGUCUCUUAUCGAAUUACCACUAUCGGCAUCGAUGAAGCAAGGACCAUGACCUGGAUGACCAAUGGUCGACGGAUGUCUGCUACAUGGAAGGAGUUUAUGGAGUUGCUUCAUGUUCCAGAUGAAGGGCUCGACACGCUAGUUGGAGUUCGCCCUCAUGCCAACUCUGAGUCUGCCAAGAAGAACAAGCUCAUGCCAUUCCUUGUUCAGAAGACUCUUCCCAGCAAGAAGAAGGUGUGGGUGCUUAACCCCUUCCUUGACAUCAUGCAUCGGCUCUUCCGGAACACCCUCUUCCCGCGCAUUGGUGACAUGGGCCAGGUGCAUGCUUACCUCGUUGAUAUGAUGCUCCUUUGUGAGGAGGCUCGUCAGGCUCAGACUCAGCCACUUGAUGUCUCACAUAUCAUGUGGUGUGAGCUUCAGUUUGCCGUGUUCAACUGUAAGGUCCCCAUCUAUGGGCCUUACCUGUUUCACUUGAUCUCCAAGACUUGGGAGAAUCUCUUUCCCAAUGAUGAGUUUGAAGCUCCAGGCUGGAUUCGUCAUGAGCCCAUCAAGCUACGCAUCAAGAGCCAAUGGGCUAACACCACCACUUCUGCUGAGGCUGCCAAGAUGGCUGUGGAUGAGGAGGAGAUUGAGGAGGAAGAAGUUGCUGACGACCGUUCUGCUUACACUCCUCCCUCUGCUGAGCCCUCUUGGGCGAAGAAGCUAAAGAUCAAGUGAAGAGGCUGUUCUGCAUGCAGGUCCAGGGUCAGUACAAGGCCCAUGUUGCUCAGAAGGAAUGUCGUCGUCGCGACAGCAGGAUCUUGAGGGCGUGCGGCGAGGACGUGUCUAGCGGUUCUGAGAAGCACAUCACCCCCGAGGCUGCCUGGAUGGCUAAGCAGGGCUACAAGUGGACCGAUUCUGAGGAGGAGUACAUUCCUGCUGCGGAGUCUGGCGACGAGGAGUCAUUUUCCGCCUGAGCUACCACCUUUGUUGUAGGUGUCCUCUCUGCCUUUUUGGUGUCUCGAUGCCAAAGGGGGAGAGAGUGUAGGAUUUGCGUGUCGUGAGUCGUGUGUUUCGCCGUUCGCUUUGUCGCUUUGCUUUCCGUCUGUUGAACUUAGUUUGCUUUGGUUUGGUUGUGCUCAUAAGACUAAGUUUUAUCAUAUGGUGUAAGACAUAUGCACUCCUACUUAUCUUUAUGUAUUCGUUACUUAGUCAUAUCUAUCUUCUUGCUUACUUCCUUAAUGUUGAUUCAUGCCUUGUCUAUAAAAUAUAGGGGGAGUGUUGAUCCUAGUAUGUGUGCCAUGCAGUCCAAAGCACAUCUAUAGAAUGCACACAUCUAGAGGGAGCCCGUCUAUAUUUUAUAGAUAGUGGGUUUGCCGUUGCCUCAUUCGUUAUCUCUAUGUGCAAAUCCCGUAUUGUCAUCAAUCCACCAAAAAGGGGGAGAUUGUAAGGGCAUUCUUGUCCCUUAGUAGUUUUGGUGAUUGAUGACAAUACUUUUGCGGACUAAUCGUGUGUAUUGAGCUUUUCACAUAUAUCAUGACUAAACACAAGACGAUUUGAUACCCCUCGAAGAUUAUUGAAGAUGGCGUUUCUCUACGGUUCUUUUCGGUGGAGUUGAGUCAUAGGAAAGCCGUACUAUUAAGAAGGGGUCCGCUUUGGAAAGGUUUGGGUGGAAUCUCACGCACACGUCCCUUCUGCACCGCCUUUCCUUUGGGUCUUUGGAGUUUCCUCCGUCUCACCUUGUCUCUGCGAAAUGAAGGACUCCGAGUUGCUCUUCUCAGGCUGGCGGUAGUACUGCUCCUCUGAGCGGUACUACCGCAGGAGCCAGCGGUAGUACCAGGCUCAGGCACGGUAGUACCGUGGGCCCCCACGGUAGUACCGCUCCUUCUGAGUGGUAGUGCCGUGUGCUCUGGCCUGGCGCUGCUGCGCAAGCGGUAGUAGGGGCGGAUGUAAUUUUUUACAUCCGCGUCCUACGCGGUAGUACCGUGCUAUGGCACGGUAGUAUCGUGCCGCCUGGCCAGGCACAGCAGUAGGAGCGGAGGUAGGGCGGAUGUAAUUUUUUACAUCCGAACCCCUCACGGUAGUACCGCAGCCCUAGUUCGCGGUAGUACCGUGUCGGAUUUUCGCAUUGAUAAAAUCUCAGCGGAGGUAGUCACGGAUGUAAUUUUUUAUAUCUGUGCCUACCGUGCCUGGACUGUGGCUGCCUUGCGGUAGUACCGCAUAGGGUCGCAGUAGUACCGCGCCCGCGGUUCUACCGCGCCCUGUCUGUGCUCUUCUGUUCAGGUCCAGGCUCUGCCGCGCCCACGGUAGUACUGCGUGCCGCUGCGGUAGUACCACAGGCCCGUGCGGUAGUACCGCUCCUGUGGUGCAGUAGUACCGCGGGUCGCGGGCUGAGUGGUGGGUAACGGUUGGAAUUGUCCCCCCACCAUAUAAGGGGGUCUUCUUCUCCAAGAAGAUUUACCUCUUCCAACCCUAAUCUCCAUUGUUGCUCCAAGCUCCAUUUUUGCCCGAUCUCUCUCCCUAGCCAAUCAAACUUGUUGAUUUGCUCGGGAGGUUGAGAAGGCCCCGAUCUACACUUCCACCAAGAGAAAUUUGAUUCCCCCCACUAAUCCCUAGCGGAUCUUGUUACUCUUGGGUGUUUGAGCACCCUAGACGGUUGAGGUCACCGCGGAGCCAUAGUCCAUUGUGGUGAAGCUUCGUGGUGUCGUUGGGAGCCUCCAAUUAAGUUGUGGAGAUUGCCCCAACCUUGUUUGUAAAGGUUCGGUCGCCGCCUCCAAGGGCACCAAUAGUGGAAUCACGGCAUCUCGCAUUGUGUGAGGGCGUGAGGUGAAUACGGUGGCCCUAGUGGCUUCUUGGGGAGCAUUGUGCCUCCACACCGCUCCAACGGAGACGUACUUCCCCUCAAAAGGAAGGAACUUCGGUAACACAUCCUCGUCUUCACCGGCUCCACUCUUGGUUAUCUCGUGCCUUUACUUGUGCAAGCUUCUUUGCGUUAUAUCCCUUGCUUGCUUGUGUGUUUGUUGUUGUUGCAUCAUAUAGGUUGCUCACCUAGUUGCAUAUCUAGACAACCUACUUUGAUGCAAAGUUUAAUUUGGUAAAGAAAAGCUAAAAAUUGUUAGUUGCCUAUUCACCCCCCUCUAGUCAACCAUAUCGAUCCUUUCAAGAUGGAACUAGGUAACACUACUUACUACAUUCUUUUCAACAUUGUAGUUUCGCAAAUCAAUUUUACAUGUUUUACUUUACCGCACUCGGCAGCUAGUCACAACCAUUCAUGCAUUCAGUGCAGUCACCAAUGCUUAGUGGUGGUGCUUCAUUCUUAGAGGGUAACGGGAUGAUGAUGACCAAGCUGCAAACACUUAUGACUUCUCGCAGACAGUGUUUCACACUCCACCACCACCAUCGACGCAGGAGACAUAGACAGUGACAGAUGAGGUUAUUUAUGGUCGUGGUUAUCGUGAGCCUCGUCCACCGCAUCAGCACUUAUCGCCUUCCGGUCCUCGCCUGAGGAAGACCCAGAUUUGCCGUCAUCCCCUGCAGUGAUAUGGUCAUUAUCUACAUAUACCAUUUUAUGUAUGCGAGAGACAUAUUACUAUUAAUUCUUGUUGUUAUUCCAGUUACAUUUCCAAAAACACUACAACCGAUAAUUAAGGUACAAGUACAUCUGAAUUAAACGGUAGGGCUAAACUUAAAAAAUACAGCUUACAUACUACAUGAAGGCAUCAUCGUCAUCCUCCGUCGAUGCAGCACUCUUGCCAUUCGACGAUGCGGUACUAUUGCCCUCCGUUGAUGCAGCACUCUUGCCCUUCGACGAUGUGGUACUCUUGCCAUUCGACAGUGCAGUACUUUUGGCCUUGGUGCUCGGCAUGAAGAUAUCGUCUUUGUCUUCGCUGUCGGCAGUCCGUAAAUAUGUAUGCUCUGCUGUAGUCCUUAUGAAAGUUUCACUCUUCGUCUGCUCUACCUUCUUCCACCUUCCAUGCAACAUAAGAAGUUCUUUACGUACCUCCUCAUAGGUCUUUUCAGGCCACCUAGACCUACGUAAUGCAUGAGCUGUUGGGGAUCGUUGCAAAAUUUAAAAUUUUCUACGCAUCACCAAGAUCCAUCUAUGGAGUUUACUAGCAACGAGAAGGAAGGAGUGCAUCUACAUACCCUUGUAGAUCGCGAGCGGAAGCGUUCAAGUGAACGGGGUUGAUGGAGGCGUACUCGUCGUGAUCCAAAUCACCGAUGACCAAGCGCCGAACGGACGGCACCUCCGCGUUCAACACACGUACAGAGCAGCGACGUCUCCUCCUUCUUGAUCCAGCAAGGGGGAAGGAGAGGUUGAUGGAGAUCCAGCAGCACGACGGCGUGGUGGUGGAAGUAGCGGGGAUCCCGGCAGGGCUUCGCCAAGCGCAAGCGGGAGUGAGAGGUGUCACGGCAGGGAGAGGGAGGCGCCAGGGGCUGUGGUGCGGCUGCCCUCCCUCCCCCCACUAUUUAUAGGGGUCCUGGGGGGGCUCCGGCCCCCUGGAGAUCCCAUCUGAGGUGGGGGCGGCGGCCAAGGGGGUGGCUUGCCCCCCAAGCCAAGUGGGGCGCCCCCCCACCCCCAGGGUUUCCAACCCUAGGCGCAGGGGAGGCCCAAGGGGGGCGCACCAGCCCACCAGUGGCUGGUUCCCCUCCCCACUUCAGCCCAUGGGGCCCUCCCGGACAGGUGGCCCCACCCGGUGGACCCCCGGGACCCUUCCAGUGGUCCCGGUACAAUACCGGUAACCCUUGAAACUUUCCCGGUGGCCGAAACUGGACUUCCUAUAUAUAAUUCUUCACCUCCGAACCAUUCCGAAACUCCUCGUGACGUCCGGGAUCUCAUCCGGGACUCCGAACAACUUUCGGGUUUCCGCAUACUAAUAUCUCUACAACCCAAGCGUCACCGAACCUUAAGUGUGUAGACCCUACGGGUUCGGGAGACAUGCAGACAUGACCGAGACGACUCUCCGGUCAAUAACCAACAGCGGGAUCUGGAUACCCAUGUUGGCUCCCACAUGUUCCACGAUGAUCUCAUCGGAUGAACCACGAUGUCGAGGAUUCAAUCAAUCCCGUAUACAAUUCCCUUUGUCAAUCGGUACGUUACUUGCCCGAUAUUCGAUCGUCGGUAUCCCAAUACCUCGUUCAAUCUCGUUACCGGCAAGUCACUUUACUCGUACCGUAAUGCAUGAUCCCGUGACCAGACACUUGGUCACAUUGAGCUCAUUAUUAUGAUGCAUUACCGAGUGGGCCCAGAGAUACCUCUCCGUCAUACGGAGUGACAAAUCCCAGUCUCGAUCCGUGUCAACCCAACAAACACUUUCAGAGAUACCUGUAGUGUACCUUUAUAGUCACCUAGUUACGUUGUGACGUUUGGUACACCCAAAGCACUCUUACGGCAUCCGGGAGUUACACGAUCUCAUGGUCUAAGGAAAAGAUACUUGACAUUGGAAAAGCUCUAGCAAACGAACUACACGAUCUUUGCGCUAUGCUUAGGAUUGGGUCUUGUCCAUCACAUCAUUCUCGUAAUGAUGUGAUCCCGUUAUCAAUGACAUCCAAUGUCCAUAGUCAGGAAACCAUGACUAUCUGUUGAUCAACGAGCUAGUCAACUAGAGGCUCACUAGGGACAUGUUGUGGUCUAUGUAUUCACACAUGUAUUACGAUUUCCGGAUAACACAAUUAUAGCAUGAACAAUAGACAAUUAUCAUGAACAAAUAAAUAUAAUAAUAACCAUUUUAUUAUUGCCUCUAGGGCAUAUUUCCAAUAUGAGCCAACUCAUUCAGUAUGGUGUCACUACCGACCAGUUCGCCCCAUGGAACUAUCCUAUUGUCCAUCCUGAAAUCGGUGGCUAGCCUUAGAAGACAUUUGCUCAUCCCAGGGUGAAAACUAUGAUCAGAAGGAUAAUAGGACAUCUCGACUACACUAAACUGGGCUGCUUACCCACCUUUGUGUGAAGGAGGUUUUAUAGGUAGAGAGGAGAAAAUGGCGGGAAAGAACGACUGCAGUAUGGAGGGAAAGGGUUGGCGGGAACUUAUGGCGGGAAAGGGUUGGCGGAAACAUAUGGCGGGAAAGGGUUGGCGGGAAACGGGUGGCGGAAACAUAUGGAGGGAAAGAGUUGGCGGGGAAAUACUGAGGGAAAGGGUUGCGCGAAAUAUAUUUUUUCAAUGUCUAAGAUGGGCAAUGUUUGCACAGAAUUCAUAAGUCAAAAUAAAAAAAACAUUUUGGCCUAACAUAAGCCAAAGAGCGCAACCAUGCAGCUUCGGCCUACCGUUCACGCGAAAAGGUGGGGCCCUGGGACUCUUUGGCCUACUGCUGACCAAAGAGUACUCUUCGGCCUACUGCUGACCAAAGAGUCCUUUUCGGCCCACUAUGGAUCUCUUCGGCCAAUCAUGACCGAAGAGUCAUUUUUGGCCAACCACUGACCGAAAACCCUGCCUUCGGCCUAACAGAGGCCGACAAGGUCAUACUUCUCAAAAUUUUAUGCAUCAGGUCAUAUAGUUCCCUAAUUGCUAUAAAAACGUCAUAGUUUUGGGGAAAAAUCCUUUUAUUGAACAUGCUUUUGCGGCCCCUGCUUCAAAAUAAUCAAUGAAGUAGACUAUAUAAUAAGAAUCAGAGAUAAAAUUAUGAGUUCGCAAUACAAGAUCAAUACAUUUAAAUAAGAUCAUGCACAUGAUAAGGGGAGGGGAUUUUGGGUCGAGGCUAGUUAGGGUAAAAUGACUAGAUUUUUUCUUUUCUUUAGUGAAUGACACACGAGACCUACCUGUUAGAAGGAAUUAAGCUGAUUUUUGCAUGCCGGGUGCGAGCCUGGCAUCAAAACACACCCUAUAUGGGUAUUGUCUUCCCGUACUCGAACCUGGCUUAUCCAAUGGGUACAAUUUUUUUCCAUUAUAUAAAUUAUGAGUAAUAGGGUUUUUUUACCCUGUUGGGUUCGCGGGUUGCAAUAUGUAUGAGCCAACAUUAAGAAAUUUUAGCAUGCACUCAAACCAAACGAAAAGGACUAAACCAAACCAAAAAUACCUAUUCCCUUUAAUAGUAGGUAUAGAGGUAUAGAUUUGGUCAAAAAAAUAACAUACAUAGUCGAGUCACAUUGGUGGCCGUCCGAUCUUUCUCCGCGAUUAGUGCCAACACAGGCGGCCGGCAUCUUGCACCUGCGGCUUGUGGUGGGCAUGCUACUCUGCAUCAGCCACUUCUAGAGACCACCGGAUGGCGCACGAGCAAUGAGAGAUGGAUGAAUCUGCCGGCGGGAGGUUGCCCGUCGGCCCGGCGUCGUCAUCCUAUCUCAAGCAGAGUUGGGGUCACGGCGGCUUGAUUUGUAAGUGCUCUGUACCUGGGGUUCCUCAUGUUUCAGAAUUGGGCAUGGAUUGUGCAAAUGUGGGGUGGCAUCUAGCCUAGCUCUCUGUGUGUUUCUUGCUCCAAGAGAUAAGAUAGGAGCCGCCAUUAACGUCGCUCGAGGUUGAGCGGCAGGCAGCAUCUCCUUCCUGUGCUCCCGUGUUAAGGGGGCAGAAGAGAUGUCCAUCUAUUGAUUGACUACUUUUUGAGCAGCAAAGCAAAUUAAUGGGAGGAGAUUGGGGUGCUAAUUGCUUUUCUGCUUAGGAUCUUGUAACUUACGAUUUCACCUCUAAUUAUACCAAUCCUUCAUGAUUCUGAUUUCCCGUGGGCAAACAGGGGAAGAACACACCCAUCUCGAAUCCCCAUGUAUGGUCCAUUAAUCCUCAAUAUUUACCAAACGAAGCCUUGGGAUUCAGAUGCAACGUUUGCCAAACAAGAUGGGCCCAGCAAGUGCCGAAACCCUUGCGGACGUCCCCGGUUGCUAUAUCAGGCGUGAACAUAUGAUUUUUUGAUAUACCAAGUUGUCUGACACACUUAUGCAGGGCUAGACGUACGGUGUUAAUCAUCUGUACAACAUCUGGAUGUGAAUAAAAUUGGAAUGGAUAGUUUAGAAGAAACAUCAAGUUGAUAUUUUUUUAAAGAAAAGGCUAUUUCUCUGGUCACAUCCAUUGAACCAAUGGUUCAGUACACAACAACCAGCAAGGAAAUAAGGAUGACAGGCAUGUAACAUCCAUCCGUGUUCAUGCUAAUUAUUGUAAGCUAACAAGAGCAAUUGAUUGACUCAUAAGAAAGCAGUUCUUAUGACUGUAUGAAGGAAAAUAAAAAAGUUCUGUGAAAUAUACCUCACAGUCGAACAUGACCAAAUAUAUAUCCAACAACAUAUAUGGUAAACGUUGUUACGGCACAGAAGAAAUUGAAAAUAACUUGUGCAUUCAGGACAAACUUAUUGGAAGCACUUCAGCAAGCGUCUUCAGGAAACGAGCUCAUAUCCUUCGCAGUCUGGUAGCCCACCCAGCACCUAAGAAUCCACCAUUAGUGCAUGAGAAACUGACACCACGAUUUCCAAAGGCUCAAAAAGACAGACCAGAUGCCAACAGAAGCCACAACUAUUUAAAACGUCAACCUGACACUCAAAGCAAACCCCAGCCCUGUCCCGAGCAAGAUUAGCCCAGCCGAUGCACCAACCGCCCAUGUCGACUUCUUCAACGAAAGACCCCAAUUUCCACCAGAGAUGACAAUCUCGCGCGAAGGCACUGUUUGUUUUGUAGGCCUCAUUUCUGCAAACCGGUCCAGACGAUAGCCAAUGUGAUAAUUGAAAAACAACAGCAGCAGGGUCAGUAAGGAACAUAUUCUUAAAGACAUUUCUAGCUUUCCAUAUGUAGUCGAAAUUAAAGCAGUGAUUGGAACAACCAUCAAAUUUCUAACAUCUCCAGUAAACUUCAGAACCCUACUACACAUAUCAUUAAAAGAAAAAGGAACAACCUGAAUAUAUAGAAACAUGGCAUAAAAGGAAUAAGUGGUCCACAGUUAAACAAGCUAAACCUCUACACAACAAUCUACAUUCUCAUUUUCUAAACCAAUCCCAUCGUCAUCUGACAGCAGCUCCUGAAUAGCUUUAGAAUCAAAACUUUCCAGCUUUGGUUCCCCACUCAAAGGCACACUGUCAGACUUCUCCGUGCUAGCUAUAAAAAUACUACAUCUAGCAGCUUCCAUAACUCUAAUCACUUGAAUAUAUUUGUUUUACGUCAAGAUAUUACUUCCUAACUUCACCGCAGUUCUGCUAGCUACAUCACUAAGAGAAGCAUUGAAAGAAUUUAAGAUAAUUGGAGUGUGUAAAUUAACUACCUUGGUGCCAUCUUCCAUCUGCUGAUCCUCUAAACCUGCCACUCCUUCAAUCUUCUGUUUAGAACUUUCCUUGUUCGUCUGAUCUAUCAUCUGAGUGCUCGGACCAUUUUUCUUAGCAAAAUCCUUUGGGUCAUCAAUGUUACCAUCUUCUUUUUCAUCAUCGUCAUCAUGUUGACCAUCACCAACAACAUGUACUGCACAAUAAAAUAUGUCACAUGUGUGCAUGAUGAGGGAGUAUAUGUAACUCAACACCAACAAUUAACCAAAGUACUAGCAAUGAAGCAAAAUAAGAUGCACAUCACUAAAUUACCCGAUUCUUCAGCAGCAUCGGGCAGCGUUGUCACUGAUAGCAUUGCAGUAGUAGGUGGUGCCACAGGGCUUAUUUUUGCAGCAGGUCCAGUUUCCACAUCAACCUCGUCGGUCGUCAUAUUAGUGGCUGCCGCAGGGUUAAUUUCCGCAGCAGGCUCACUUUCCACAGCAACCUCUUCAGCCGUCGUAUCAGUAGGUGGUGCCGCAGGGCUUAUUUUCGCAGCAGGUCCAGUUUCCACAUCAACCUCAUCGGUCGUCAUAUCAGUGGCUGCCACAGGGUUAAUUUCCGCAGCAGGCUCACUUUCCACAGCAACCUCUUCAGCCGUCGUAUCAGUAGCUAGUGCUGCAAAGCCAAUUUCCACAGCAGUCUCACUUUGACCAUCGACCUCUUUGUCCGUAUCGGUAGCUGUUGCUAGAUGGAUAAUUUCUGCAGCAGGCUCACCCCCCAUCGGUUUAUGUCAACAAACAAAAGCUUGGGACGUCUGGGGUGGUUCUUUGCUGCUUCUUUCCACUCAUAUUUUGUUUCGUCGCUGACUCCAUCAUGGAGGCCGACCUCCUUAAGACGUGGCAGGGACUGGACCGUCAUGCCACUAAAUCCAUUUAGAUCCUUACAUAGCAGUUUUAAGGACUCGAAGCGUGGCAGAGCUCCCUUUUGGAUUUCCAGCUCAGUCAUGACUUCCACAACAAUGCAUAGGUGUCGCAUGCUUAUGAGUGCACCUUGUCCUAUGACCAGCUUGUCCAUUUGAGUUGCAAUCAGCUUCAGGUACUCCAGGCCGCGCACUCUGCCUAGGUCAUCAAGAGCGUCACCACUCAGGUUAAGAUCACUAGUGAAUGACAAGCACAGUUUAGUGAGACCACCCAGCUGCAUGGUAACAAACAGAGGCAGCUGGCUGCAUAUGUUGUUCCCUUGUAGCUUGAGCAAGCUAAGGUAGUAGGAGUAAUCAUGUUCCAGGGAGAAAUUCAGCAAGUUUGACCAUGCAUCAUCGAUGUUCAGUGAGAGUGAGCGAGCUUCAUUCAGUUGGGUUCCUCUCUCGAUGAACGCCUUGAUGGCCCUUGACAGAUGACUUAAGUUGUUGCUAGCAAUGUCAUCAGCGCAGGUGGACUCGCACCAUAUUUUUACCUUCGUCAGGUGCUCCAUGUGAUCCAUGAGUUGUGGCAAUUCUUGGUUCUUGUCCAAAAGAAAUCCGGCUAUCGUUUUUAGUUUACUGUUCUCUGACAACCAAGCUUGUAGCUUACGCAUUAUCCGGCUUCCUACAUUUUAUUGGAGCUUGAACUUUCCAAAGAGAUGAACUAAACAUGGCAGCUCAAUGACUUGUGUAGGCAGAAUCUCUAUGUUCGAUCUUCUUAGAUCCAGUGUCUCCAAGAAUUGAAGUUUCUUAAUCUCCUUUGGAAGCACUAGAACCUUAAGAGAGCUUCCAAGGCUUAGGUACCUGAGCAGCAACAGGUUGCUGCAUAUCUUCUUGAGAUGCUUGACCUUCAAGUGUUCAUCGCAUUCUUCUAGAUCCAAAACUCGCAUCAGUUCAUACUUGGGAAAGUCCAACACAGAUGUGUGUGCCUUACCGAAGACUGUCAAAGACCGGACAAGAAGUAAAUCCUUUGGAUUCAUUUUGGACCUUACUGCCCUUUUAUGAUGCAGAGAAAGCCACCGGAUAUUACUCCCGGGUAGGGGAUCCUGAUCAUAUAACAAGGUAACAAAGUUCUCACACAUGGACUUGUGCAGGAUGAACCCGAGCAUCAUGCCGGGAAUUUGGUAUCUCUUCACCUCUACACUGUUGCUGCUGCUGGCGUCAAUAGGCUGAAUGAUACUCCUGUCAACCAGCUCAUCAAAAUUGUCAAUGGUGACUCUGUGGGCAUUGCGUCUAUGGUCUUGUUUGACGAAUCCUUCAGCUAACCAUUUCCUUGUCAGUCUUCCUCUCCUGAUUGGAUGACCACUUGGGUAAAUUGUAACACCCCGGAUGUAACUUUCCAUAUUUGUAACUCCAACUCUUGCCAUUUUCGGCUAUGUGUUAUGAUAUUCCCUUCGUGGUCGGGUUUUGUUUUUCCUUUUGCAUUUUGUUCAUGUCAUGCAUCUCAUAUCAUGUCAUCAUGUGCAUCUCAUUUGCAUACGUGUUCGUCUCAUGCAUCCGAGCAUUUUCUCCGUUGUCCGUUUUGCAAUCCGGCACUCCCACAUUCAUCGGCGCACCCCUCUUGUUUCUUUUCGUGAGCGGGUGUUGAACGUUCUCAGAAUGGACCGAGUCUUGUCAAGUGGCCUUGGUCUACCACCUGUCAAGUUUCGUUCCAUUUGGAGGUCGUUUGGUACUCCAACGGUUAACAGGGUAACCGCAAAGUCCUUUUGUGUGUUGCAGCAAAACCCCCCUCCAAAAAGCCCAAAACCCAUCUAAGUCACUUCCAUGCUCUAGGUCGUUCGAUCACGAUCGUGUGGGCGAAAACCGCACUCCAUUUGGAGCCUCCUAGCUCCCUCUACCUAUAAAUAUGUGAGCCUCCCCGAAACCCUAGCCAGCUCCUCCGGGCCGCCGGACGUGUCCGCCCGGCGCCGGACGAAAGCCGCCGCCGCCCACAGCCACUCAGACGCCGCCACGUGUCGCCCGUACACCGGCNNNNNNNNNNNNNNNNNNNNNNNNNNNNNNNNNNNNNNNNNNNNNNNNNNNNNNNNNNNNNNNNNNNNNNNNNNNNNNNNNNNNNNNNNNNNNNNNNNNNNNNNNNNNNNNNNNNNNNNNNNNNNNNNNNNNNNNNNNNNNNNNNNNNNNNNNNNNNNNNNNNNNNNNNNNNNNNNNNNNNNNNNNNNNNNNNNNNNNNNNNNNNNNNNNNNNNNNNNNNNNNNNNNNNNNNNNNNNNNNNNNNNNNNNNNNNNNNNNNNNNNNNNNNNNNNNNNNNNNNNNNNNNNNNNNNNNNNNNNNNNNNNNNNNNNNNNNNNNNNNNNNNNNNNNNNNNNNNNNNNNNNNNNNNNNNNNNNNNNNNNNNNNNNNNNNNNNNNNNNNNNNGCCCGCGACCGCGCCUCCUCGCGGCCCCCGAGCCCGCGCCCCCUCUCCGGCGACGCGCCCCGCCGUCUCCUCCCUCUCCGGCCUCGUCGCCCUCUCUCUCCGGCCGGCGACUUGCCCCGAGCUCUCUCCGGCGAGCCCGAGCUCCGGCGGCCUCGACGUCCUCGAUCCGAGCCAGAUCCCGAUCCAAAAGAACUAGGUUGACUUUUUCCCUCCCCCGAGAUUUCUCUGAGUCCCGAUAUUUUUACAUUAUAUGCUUCUGUUCAUUGCAUCAUAACUCUCUGCAUAUAGCUCCGUUUCGUGCGUGUAAUAUAUCGAGAUGUUCGUCUCGAGAUGCUCUUCAUUUUGUUCCAUUAUGCCAUGUUCUUUUGAAUUUAUCUCGAUGCCCAAAUCUCGGGUGCAAGAGUGCUAUAUGCUGUUACUUAUCAGAACAUGAGGAUUUGUUAUUUUUGUUGCAUUUGAUGUGUGCAUCUUAUGGGCAUGAGCUCUACAUGUGUUUUGAUGUAUGCCAUGCCAUCUUUACAGAGGUGUAUGCCAUGUAGUUUUGUGAUCUCUGUGGUGACUAGCACAAGCAUGCAAACUAGGCUUCGGGAUGUUUCUGAUUUCAGGGACUUAGUAAUUCCACUAAGUUUGUUGCUGCUGUUAUUUUGUUGCCAUGUAUCCAUGUGUCUACAGAGAGAUCCAUGCUCCUUUUGGUGAUGUUCAGUAAGGAUGUUUUGUAGAUAUAGUUGUUCUCUAUCCACCAAUGCCUCUGUUUACAAUUAUGGAGUGACCUAGAAUGUCUUAAUCUUGCUCUAAUUUUGCUAUAAAAUAUUCCUGGCAGAUUGUUAACAUGAUAUUCAUUUUUGCCAAGGUUGUUGUAGUUGUUUCAUACACGCUAUGUAUUUUCUCUUGAUAUGGAUAGCUUAAUAAACAUGCCAUAUUUCUGUAGGUAUGCUUGUUUUGUCCUGAGUUGCUUUGUGUUGAGUGAAUCAAGCUCACAAAGAUGCCUUCAUAAUACUGUUUCUGCCAUGAUCUGUUUUCUGCCAAGUCUGAAACCUGUUAACGAAACUUGCUAUGUUUACAUGGUUGCCAUCAUAUCUUAUGGUCCUUUUUGUCUUAUGGUCAGUAAGGGACUUUUGGUCUAUGCAUUUAGUAUAUUCAUGCCAUGCCUUGUUUUGCUAUGUUAAGUUCCUGUAGCAUGUUGAUUGCUUGCUCUGAACAUUGCUACCUGAUGCUGUUUCAGCCAUGUCCAGUAAUUUCACUAAGUCUGUGAUCCUGAUAUCUUUUGCACUUUUGCCAUGCUUGCUUGAACCUGCUGUGGUGUGAUCUAGCCGUAGCUCAGUGUUCAUCUUUUGUCAAGCACCUCCGAUAGAUUACUGCCAUAUGCUUUGUUGCUAUGUUGAAGUGCUGUAGCAUAGUUACUUGAUGUAUUCUAAGUGCUAUCAUGCUGUUCAUCGCAGAAUAGUGUCAUUCUUGUUUUGCUUGCCAUUUGCAAACCGUGCAUCCGUUUCCGGUGAUCUUUAUAUCGAUUUCAACCGAAAUCAUCUCAUCUUUGCAGUGGCAUGCUUGGUUUGCCAAGUUACUGCCUUGUUCAUUAUUUUUCUUCCGGAGCACGCAUAUGCAUCGCCAUAUCUUGCAUAUCAUGCAUGUUUCGCAUCAUGUUGCUUGUGCAUUUCCCGUGAUUGAUUGUGGUUCCAUUGCUUGUGUUCUUGCUGUGGGUAGAGCCGGGAGACGAGUUCGUGAAUGAGGAACCUGUUGAGUACGCUUACGAGGAUCAAGCUUUCGACAACUCUGAGAGCCUUGCAGGCAAGAUGACCAUACCCUCGAAAUCACUUCUAUCUUUGCUUUGCUAGUUGUUCGUUCUAUUGCUAUGCUGCGCUACCUACCACAUGCUAUAUCAUGCCUCCCAUAUUGCCAUGUCAAGCCUCUAACCAUCCUUUCCUAGCAAACUGUUGUUUGGCUAAGUUACCGCUUUUGCUCAGCCCUUCUUAUAGCGUUGCUAGUUGCAGGUGAAGUUGAAGUUGAAGUUGGUUCCAUGUUGGAACAUGGAUAUUUUGGAAUAUCACAAUAUCUCUUAUUUAAUUAAUGCAUCUAUAUAUUUGGUAAAGGGUGGAAGGCUCGGCCUUAUUCCUGGUGUUUUGUUCCACUCUUGCCGCCCUAGUUUCCGUCAUAUCGGGAUUAUGUUCCUUGAGUUUGCGUUCCUUACGCGGUUGGGUGAUUUAUGGGACCCCCUUGACAGUUCGCCUUGAAUAAAACUCCUCCAGCAAGGCCCAACCUUCGUUUUACCAUUUGCCACCUAAGCCUUUUUCCCUUGGGUUUUCGCGAGCCCGAGGGUCAUCUUUAUUUAAACCCCCGGGCCAGUGUUCCUCUGAGUGCUGGUCCAAACUAGAGCACCGUGCGGGACCGUCCCUUGGCAACUUGGGUUACGUUGGUACCUGUACCCUUCGCUUAUCCGGUGUGCCCUGAGAACGAGAUAUGUGCAGCUUCUAUCGGGAUUUGUCGGCACAUUCGGGUGGCUUUGCUGGUCUUGUUUUACCAUUGUCGAAAUGUCUUGUAAACCGGGAUUCCGAAACUGAUCGGGUCUUCCCGGGAGAAGGUUUAUCCUUCGUUGACCGUGAGAGCUUAUAAUGGGCUAAGUUGGGACACCCCUGCAGGGUAUUAUCUUUCGAAAGCCGUGCCCGCGGUUAUGAGGCAGAUGGGAAUUUGUUAAUGUCCGGUUGUAGAGAACUUGUCACUUGACUUAAUUAAAAUACAUCAACCGUGUGUGUAGCCGUGAUGGUCUCUUCUCGGCGGAGUCUGAGAAGUGAACACGGUUUGAGUUAUGCUUGAACGUAAGUAGUUUCAGGAUCACUUCUUGAUCAUUUCUAGCUUCGCGACCGUUGCGUUGCUUCUUUUCUCGCUCUCAUUUGCGUAUGUUAGCCACCAUAUAUGCUUAGUGCUUGCUGCAGCUCCACCUCUUUACACCAUCCUUUCCGAUAAGCUUAAAUAGUCUUGAUCUCACGGGUGUGAGAUUGCUGAGUCCUUGUGACUCACAGAUUCUACCAAAACAGUUGCAGGUGCCGACGAUGCCAGUGCAGAUGACGCAACCGAGCUCAAGUGGGAGUUCGAUGAGGAACGUGGUCGUUACUAUGUUUCUUUCCCUGAUGAUCAGUAGUGGAGCCCAGUUGGGUCGAUCGGGGAUCUAGCAUUUGGGGUUAUCUUAUUUUCAUUUGGAUUUUGACCGUAGUCGGUCUAUGUGUGGAUUUUGGAUGAUGUAUGAAUUAUAUUUAUGUAUUGUGUGAAGUGGCGAUUGUAAGCCAACUCUCGUUAUCCCAUUCUUGUUCAUUACAUGGGAUUGUGUGAAGAUGACCCUUCUUGCGACAAUACCACAAUGCGUUUAUGCCUCUAAGUCGUGCCUCGACACGUGGGAGAUAUAGUCGCAUCGUGGGCGUUACAUAAAUGCCCAGAUAUAGCAAACAAGUCUUGACAUCUUGUUUACCAAGGCUGGUGUAGCUAUGGACGAGCACGCGUUUCAUGCUUGCUAAGGUCUCAUUUGUCUCCAGAUGUCCACCAAGGUUUUCACACAGGUUUGCCCAUUUCACCCUCGUGGGAUCACCUCCACUUUGCAAGAAUCGGGCUGUGGUAACAAGAGCAAGGGGUAGACCAUCACAUUUUUUUAGCGCUUCUGAACCCAGCUGUGUAUCACCUGGUGGUGGUGGAUCCUUCAAGCAAGCUUCCUUGAAGAACAGUUGUCUUGAAUGAUCCUCGGCAAGAGUUGCCAUCAUGUACACAUGACCAUGAGCAGAGCUGCAGGCAUUUGCCACGGAGUGGAUGGCUGUCGUCACCAUAACUCUGCUACUCACCCCUGGAAUUACAGGGAAGGCAUCUUUUAUAUCAUGCCAAAAUACUGCCUGCAUGUCAUCGAUCACAAUGAAAAACCUAUAAACAGUAAAAGCGAGUUAGGACACAUUCACUCUUCAGACAAAGCAAGUCUCGGGUAGCACAUAAUAUAACAAGGAAAUCUAUCUCUUUUCACACUCUUGCGACACUCUCAGAUCGUUGCCCUCCACAAGAAUCUAAUGCUAGAGAAACAUAGCUCUCUAUUCCUCUCUUGCUUGCAUCUUGCUUUUGAUUGGAUUCUUAUGGGAGGACUUAUUUUUCUUUUCCUUUUUGGAACCAUGCAGAGCAUUUGCAUGUAUAUUCAUUAAGAAGAAAGAAAAUUAUGAACUCCGAAGGUCGGACAACCCUUACAACGCCCAAGAUGACUUCUUUUUUUAGUAUUGUUUCUUGUAGCUCAAAGGCUUCUGAGUGCUAACAGGAUUAGGAUUAUAGUCACCCGGUUCAACAUCAACCUUGACUUGCAAUUGAUCUGAUCAUAGAUAUCCAUUAGUUUUGUAGUCGCAUGAUAUUAAACUAAUCUGCCUAUCUCCUCCUGCUCCUGGACUUUGUUUUCCUUUAUGAUUGGGAGCAUACAGAUCGAGGGAAAGAAGUGGUAGUUUAGCAUUCUUAGCCAUCAAGCCAUUCAUAUGGCUUCAUAUUGUUACAUUUACAUGAACUUGUGUAAUCCUAAGACUAAGAGCACGCGCGCCCGUGCCCUACUUAUCUGCAUGUUAAUCUUGCUGGUUCAUUAGGUAAUGAAAACUUUGAUGGAUGGUCGAAUCAAACUAAUUGUGGUAAUAUAAAAGAUGCAUCUUAUUAGCUAUAUUGGUCUUUCCAAAAAGAAAAGCUAUAUUGGCGAUCCUGUAGUGUGGAGGCCGGGUACUGUGCUGUAUACAUAUGUUUUGGAAUCAGAGAGAAAAGUGAGUCCGGAAAACCAAUGUAAACGACGUAAAAAGCUAGGGUAGAUAAUAUCUUGUAUACCUCUUGGUACCAAGGCACUCUCUGAGGCUUGCACAGAGCUUGCUGUUCCUGGGAUGGCAGGACUUGCCCGCACUUCCACCACUACUAGUAAUGGUCGAUUGCAUUCCAAGCUGCUGGAGUAUCUCCUUGAGAACAUCCCCCGCACCUUUUUGUGCAGCACGAACCCAAGCCCGUGCUUCGUAUUCGCCAACAACGGCGGGGCUCUCAUACAUGGCUGGCAAGGAGAGUCUUCCCUAUACCACCGAAUCCGACGAUGGAGAUCACUGAUCACCUCGAGUUCUUUGGGUUGGCCUUGUUGUGCUUCCCUUAUCAGCUCUAUGAGCUCGUCCCGGGGCACGUCCAUGCCAACGGCAGCCACCGAGCUGUCCCUCUCAUCAGAUGGUUCCCCUGACUCCAAAGUGCUGGAUCCGCCAGCAUACUCACCGGUGAUGUAGCUUGUUCUCAGCUUGGAUGCAUCCUCGGAUUUCUUCGUGAGACGACGGAUCGCUGCAGCAAACUUGUUACGAGCAUUCCUCGUCUUCACCCGGUGAAGUUUCUUACCGAUCCAUGACACGCCGGGCUUGAGCGUCACACGGUGCGUGAAGCGGUCGAUGCAGUCUUCGAUAUCUUAAGCCAAGUCACGCACCAUAGUGAUCUAGGCCUUAUGCACGAGGUUGCCACUCCACGGUGGACGAUCGCCAUCUUCUUGAAUGGCUGCAGAAAUCAUCGGAGACUCGCUUCUGAGGUAAUUGAUGUCAUGCUCCAGCUCGACCCGCAGCUUGUGAUUUUGUACCAAGUAAUCCAAGAGCUUAGGUGUGUUCCUGCCGGCCACACUGCUUGCCACGGUGGCAGACGCAGCUAAUUCCGCCAUCUGCACACCGCACCCCCUGCCUCUUGAUUGAUCAGUGUUGGAAAUAUGCCCUAGAGGCAAUAAUAAAUAGGUUAUUAUUAUAUUUCCUUGUUCAUGAUAAUCGUUUAUUAUCCAUGCUAGAAUUGUAUUGAUAGGAAACUCAGAUACAUGUGUGGAUACAUAGACAACACCAUGUCCCUAGUAAGCCUCUAGGAGACUAGCUCGUUGAUCAAUAGAUGGUUAUGGUUUCCUGACCAUGGACAUUGGAUGUCGUUGAUAACGGGAUCACAUCAUUAGGAGAAUGAUGUGAUGGACAAGACCCAAUCCUAAGCCUAGCACAAGAUCGUGUAGUUCGUUUGCUCAGAGCUUUUCUAAUGUCAAGUAUCACUUCCUUAGACCAUGAGAUUGUGCAACUCCCGGAUACCGUAGGAAUGCUUUGGGUGUACCAAACGUCACAACGUAACUGGGUGGCUAUAAAGGUGCACUACGGGUAUCUCCGAAAGUGUCUGUUGGGUUGGCACGAAUCGAGACUGGGAUUUGUCACUCCGUGUAAACGGAGAGGUAUCUCUGGGCCCACUCGGUAGGACAUCAUCAUAAUGUGCACAGUGUGAUCAAGGAGUUGAUCACGGGAUGAUGUGAGUUACGGAACGAGUAAAGAGACUUGCCGGUAACGAGAUUGAACAAGGUAUAGGGAUACCGACGAUCGAAUCUCGGGCAAGUAACAUACCGAUGGACAAAGGGAAUUGCAUACGGGAUUGAUUGAAUCCCCGACAUCGUGGUUCAUCCGAUGAGAUCAUCGUGGAACAUGUGGGAGCCAACAUGGGUAUCCAGAUCCCGCUGUUGGUUAUUGACCGGAGAACGUCUCGGUCAUGUCUGCAUGGUUCCCGAACCCGUAGGGUCUACACGCUUAAGGUUCGAUGACGCUAGGGUUAUAGGGAAAGUAUGUACGUGGUUACCGAAUGUUGUUUGGAGUCCCGGAUGAGAUCCCGGACGUCACGAGGAGUUCCGGAAUGGUCCGGAGGUAAAGAUUUAUAUAUGGGAAGUCCUGUUUUGGUCACCGGAAAAGUUUCGGGUGAAAUCGGUAAUGUACGGGGACCACCGGGAGGGUCCCGGGGGUCCACCAAGUGGGGCCACCAGCCCCAGAAGGCUGCGUGGGCCAAGUGUGGGAGGGGACCAGCCCCAGGUGGGCUGGUGCGCCCCCCACCAAGGCCCAAGGCACAUGGGAGAGUGGGAGGGGGCAAACCCUAGGUCCAGAUGGGCCUUAGGGCCCAUCUAGUGGGGCGCCCCCCUCUCCUCCCCUUGGCCGCCCCCCCUUGAUGGGAUCUAGGGCUGGCCGCCUCCUCUUGGGGGUGGAAACCCUAAAGGGGGCGCAGCCCCCUCCCCCCCUAUAUAUAGUUGAGGUUUGGGCUGCCCAAGAUACAUGAGAACGUCUCUCUUUCGGCGCAGCCCUACCCCUCUCCCUCCUCCUCCUCUCCCGUGGUGCUUGGCGAAGCCCUGCGGGAUUGCCACGCUCCUCCAUCACCACCACGCCGUCGUGUUGCUUCUGGAUGGAGUCUUCCCCAACCUCUCCCUCUCUCCUUGCUGGAUCAAGGCGUGGGAGACGUCACCGGGCUGCACGUGUGUUGAACGCGGAGGCACCGUUCUUCGGUGCUUAGAUCGGAAUCAACCGCGAUCUGAAUCGCUUCGAGUACGACUCCCUCAUCCGCGUUCUUGCAACGCUUACGCAUCGUGAUCUACAAGGGUAUGUAGAUGCACUCUCCUUCCCCUCAUUGCUAGAUUACUCCAUAGAUUGAUCUUGGUGAUGCGUAGAAAAUUUUGAAUUUCUGCUACGUUACCCAACAUUCUGGACCGUCACCACCGUCUGCUACUCUUCUUGCCGGUGAGAGAUUGGCGAGCCAUCUGAUUCAGGUUUGGAGGAUAAUGAUAUCAGAAGCAAAUUAACUAUAAGUGAGGGUCCUUUUUUGCUAAUAGAUCGCGCGGAUCGCUCCACUAUAACCUGUACCGUCUAUCUUCAAUCCAAUGGCUCAGAACCUUUUUUUUCUAUUUUUGUACGUGAAGCCCAGAUUCUAUGCUAGUAGUUCCCGUGAGAUCUAUAGCUAGCGAAGAGGCAAGCAACCAUUACAUACAAAUCUGUAAGAGAGAGAUGGGGGAGGGGAGUGGAGCAGUAUACCUUGUUGUUGAACAUGAGGGGGAAGGAGUUUAGGAGCCCACCACCUGCUUGCCGCCGGCGAGCUGCUGCUGCAUCUGGAUCGUGAGGGGGAGGAGUAAGGGAGCACGCCCGAGAGCUGCUCCUGGAGCCAGAGAUGGGGAGAAGGCUACGAGGUCAGCACCAGCUUGCCGUAGGCGAGUCGCUGGAGAGAGGACGCAGUUCUGUGUUGGAAAUAUGCCCUAGAGGCAAUAAUAAAUAGGUUAUUAUUAUAUUUCCUUGUUCAUGAUAAUCGUUUAUUAUCCAUGCUAGAAUUGUAUUGAUAGGAAACUCAGAUACAUGUGUGGAUACAUAGACAACACCAUGUCCCUAGUAAGCCUCUAGUUGACUAGCUCGUUGAUCAAUAGAUGGUUACGGUUUCCUGACUAUGGACAUUGGAUGUCGUUGAUAACGGGAUCACAUCAUUAGGAGACUGAUGUGAUGGACAAGACCCAAUCCUAAGCCUAGCACAAGAUCGUGUAGUUCGUUUGCUCAGAGCUUUUCUAAUGUCAAGUAUCACUUCCUUAGACCAUGAGAUUGUGCAACUCCCGGAUACCGUAGGAAUGCUUUGGGUGUACCAAACGUCACAACGUAACUGGGUGGCUAUAAAGGUGCACUACAGGUAUCUCCGAAAGUGUCUGUUGGGUUGGCACGAAUCGAGACUGGGAUUUGUCACUCCGUAUAAACGGAGAGGUAUCUCUGGGCCCACUCGGUAGGACAUCAUCAUAAUGUGCACAGUGUGACCAAGGAGUUGAUCACGGGAUGAUGUGAGUUACGGAACGAGUAAAGAGACUUGCCGGUAACGAGAUUGAACAAGGUAUAGGGAUACCGACGAUCGAAUCUCGGGCAAGUAACAUACCGAUGGACAAAGGGAAUUGCAUACGGGAUUGAUUGAAUCCCCGACAUCGUGGUUCAUCCGAUGAGAUCAUUGUGGAACAUGUGGGAGCCAACAUGGGUAUCCAGAUCCCGCUGUUGGUUAUUGACCGGAGAACGUCUCGGUCAUGUCUGCAUGGUUCCCGAACCCGUAGGGUCUACACACUUAAGGUUCGAUGACGCUAGGGUUAUAGGGAAAGUAUGUACGUGGUUACCGAAUGUUGUUCGGAGUCCCGGAUGAGAUCCCGGACGUCACGAGGAGUUCCGGAAUGGUCCGGAGGUAAAGAUUUAUAUAUGGGAAGUCCUGUUUUGGUCACCGGAAAAGUUUCGGGUGAAAUCGGUAAUGUACCGGGACCACCGGGAGGGUCCCGGGGGUCCACCAAGUGGGGCCACCAGCCCCAGAAGGCUGCGUGGGCCAAGUGUGGGAGGGGACCAGCCCCAGGUGGGCUGGUGCACCCCCCCACCAAGGCCCAAGGCGCAUGGGAGAGUGGGAGGGGGCAAACCCUAGGUCCAGAUGGGCCUUAGGGCCCAUCUAGUGGGGCGCCCCCCCCUCUCCUCCCCUUGGCCGCCCCCCCUUGAUGGGAUCUAAGGCUGGCCGCCUCCUCUUGGGGGUGGAAACCCUAAGGGGGGCGCAGCCCCCUCCCCCCCUAUAUAUAGUUGAGGUUUGGGCUGCCCAAGACACACGAAAAAGUCUCCUUUUGGCGCAGCCCUACCCCUCUCCCUCCUCCUCCUCUCCCGCGGUGCUUGGCGAAGCCCUGCGGGAUUGCCACGCUCCUCCACCACCACCACGCCGUCGUGCUGCUGCUGGAUGGAGUCUUCCCCAACCUCUCCCUCUCUCCUUGCUGGAUCAAGGCGUGGGAGACGUCACCGGGCUGCACGUGUGUUGAACGCGGAGGCACCGUACUUUCGAUGCUUAGAUCGGAAUCAACCGCGAUCUGAAUCGCUACGAGUACGACUCCCUCAUCCGCGUUCUUGCAACGCUUCCGCAUCGCGAUCUACAAGGGUAUGUAGAUGCACUCCCCUUCCCUUCGUUGCUAGUAAACUCCAUAGAUUGAUCUUGGUGAUGCGUAGAAAAUUUUGAAUUUCUGCUACGUUCCCCAACAGUGGCAUCAUGAGCUAGGUCUAUGCGUAGUUUCUAUGCACGAGUAGAACACAAAGUAGUUGUGGGCGUUGAUGUUGCCAAUUCUUCUUGCCGCUACUAGUCUUAUCUUGUUUCGGCGGCAUUGUGGGAUGAAGCGGCCCGGACCGACCUUACACGUACGCUUACGUGAGACAGGUUCCACCGACUGACAUGCACUAGAUGCAUAAGGUGGCUAGCGGGUGUCUGUCUCUCCUACUUUAGUCGGAACGGAUUCGAUGAAAAGGGUCCUUAUGAAGGGUAAAUAGAAAUUGGCAAAUCACGUUGUGGUCAUACGUAGGUAAGAAACGUUCUUGCUAGAAACCUACAAACCACGUAAAAACUUGCAACAACAAUUAGAGGACGUCUAACUUGUUUUUGCAGCAAGUGCUAUGUGAUGUGAUAUGGCCAGAAGAUGUGAUGAAUGAUAUAUGUGAUGUAUGAGAUUGAUCAUAUUCUUGUAAUGGGAAUCACGACUUGCAUGUCGAUGAGUAUGACAACCGGCAGGAGCCAUAGGAGUUGUCUUUAUUUUUUGUAUGACCUGUGUGUCAUUGAAUAACGCCAUGUAAAUUACUUUACUUUAUUGCUAAGCGCGUUAGCCAUAGAAGUAGAAGUAAUCGUUGGCGUGACGACUUCAUGAAGACACAAUGAUGGAGAUCAUGAUGAUGGAGAUCAUGGUGUCAUGCCGGUGACAAAGAUGAUCAUGGUGCCCCGAAGAUGGAGAUCAAAGGAGCAUGAUGAUAUUGGCCAUAUCAUGUCACUAUUUGAUUGCAUAUGAUGUUUAUCAUGUUUUGCAUCUUAUUUGCUUAGAACGACGGUAGCAAGUAGGAUGAUCCCUUAUAAUAAUUUCAAGAAAGUGUUCACCCUAACUGUGCACCGUUGCGAAGGUUCGUCGUUUCGAAGCACCACGUGAUGAUCGGGUGUGAUAGAUUCUUACGUUCGAAUACAACGGGUGUUGACGAGCCUAGCAUGUACAGACAUGGCCUCGGAACACACGCAAUACACUUAGGUUGACUUGACGAGCCUAGCAUGUACAGACAUGGCCUCGGAACACGGAGGACCGAAAGGUCGAGCAUGAGUCGUAUAGAAGAUACGAUCAACAUGGAGAUGUUCACCGAUCUUGACUAGUCCGUCUCACGUGAUGAUCGGACACGGCCUAGUUAAACUCGGAUCAUGUUUCACUUAGAUGACUAGAGGGAUGUCUAUCUGAGUGGGAGUUCAUAAUCAGAUGAACUUCAUUAUCAUGAACAUAGUCAAAUAGGUAUUUGCAAAUUAUGUCAUAGCUUGCGCUUUAGUUCUACUGGUUAAGAUAUGUUCCUAGAGAAAAUUUAGUUGAAAGUUGGUAGUAGCAAUUAUGCGGACUGGGUCCGUAAACUGAGGAUUGUCCUCAUUACUGCACAAAAGGCUUAUGUCCUUAAUGCACCGCUCGGUGUGCUGAACCUCAGCGUCGUCUGUAGAUGUUACAAAACAUCUGACAUACACGUUUUGAUAACUACGUGAUAGUUCGGUGCGGUUUAGAAUUGUGGCACCCAAGACAUUUUUUGAAACGUCGCAGAACAUGUGAGAUGUUCCGAAGACUGAAAUUGGGAUUUCAGACUAGUGCCCACGUCAAGAGGUAUGAGACCUCUGACAAGUUUCUUAAGCCUGCAAACUAAGGGAGAAAAGCUCAAUCGUUGAGCGUGUGCUCAGAUUGUCUGAGUGCCACAAUCGCUUGAAUCGAGUGGGAGUUAAUCUCCCAGAUGAGAUAGUGAUAGUUCUCCAUAGUCAUUGCCACCAAGCUAGUAGAGCUUCGUGAUGAACUAUAACAUAUCAAGGAUAGUUAUGAUGAUCCUUGAGCUAUUCGCGAUGUUUGACACCGCGAGAGUAGAAAUCAAGAAGGAGCAUCAAUUGUUGAUGGUUAGUAAAACCACUAGUUUAAGAAGGGCAAGGGCAAAAGGGAUACUUUAUGAAACAGCAAGUCGUUUGCUGCUCUAGUGAAGAAUCCCAAGGUUGAACCCAAACCCGAGACUAAGUGCUUCUGUAAUGAUAGGAACGGUCACUGAAGCAGUACUACCCUAGAUACUUGGUAGAUGAGAAGGCAGGCAAGGUCGACAGAAGUAUAUUGAAUAUACAUUGUAUGAAUGUGUACUUUACUAGUACUCCUAGCAGCACCAGGGUAUUAGAUACCGGUUCGGUUGCUAAGUGUUAGUAACUCGAAAUAAAAGCUGCGGAAUAAACGGAGACUAGCUAAAGGUGAGAUGACGAUGUGCGUUGGAAGUGUUUCCAAGGUUGAUGUGAUCAAGCAUCGCAUGCUCACUCUACUAUCGAGAUUUGGUGUUUGCGUUGAACAUGAUUGGAUUAUGUUUAUCGCAAAACGGUUAUUCAUUUAAGGAGAAUAAUGGUUACUCUGUUUAUUUGAAUAAUACCUUCAAUGGUCUUGCACCUAAAAUGAAUCUCGAUCGUAGUGAUACACAUGUUCAUGCCAAAAAGAUAUAAGAUAGUAAUGAUAGUACCACAUACUUGUGGCACUGCCACUUGAGUCAUAUUGGUAUAGAACGCAUGAAGAAGCUCCAUGUGGAUGGAUCUUUGGACUCACUCAUUUUUGAAAAGAUUGAGACAUGCGAACCAUGUCUAUUGGUAUAUAUAUGCAUGAAGAAACUCCAUGCAGAUGGAUUGUUUAGACUCACUUGAUUAUGAAUCACUUGAGACAUGCAAAUCAUACCACAUGGGCAAGAUGACUGAAAGUCCUCGUUUUCAGUAAGAUGGAACAAGAGAGCAACUUAUUGGAAGUAAUACAUUUUGAUGUACGCAGUCCAAUGAAUGCUGAGGCACGCAGUGGAUAUCGUUAUGUUCUUACUUCACAGAUGAUUUGAGUAGAUGCUGAGUGUAUUUACUUGAUGAAACACUAGUCUGAAUUAUUGAAAGGUUCAAGUAAUUUCAGAGUGAAGUUGAAGAUCGUCAUAACAAGAGGAUAAAAUGUCUGUGAUAUGAUCAUAGAGAUGAGUAUCUGAGAUACGAGUUUAGCACACAAUUGAGACAUUGUGGAAAGUGUUUCACAAUUAAUACCGCCUGGAACACCAUAGUGUGAUGGUGUGUCUGAACAUCACAACUGCACCCUAUUGGACAUGGUGCACACCAUGAUGUUUCUUAUCAAAUUACCACUAUCGUUUAUGGGUUAGGCAUUAGAGACAACCACAUUCACUUUAAAAGGGGCACCACGCAAUUCCGUUGAGACGACACCGUUUAUAGAAACCUAAGUUGUCGUUUCUUAAAAGUUUGGGGCUGCGAUGCUUAUGUGAAAAAGUUUCAGGCUGAUAAGCUCAAACCCAAAGCGGAUAAAUGCAUCUUCAUAGAAUACCCAAAACAGUUGGGUAUACCUCCUAUUUCAGAUCUGGAAGCAAAAGUAAUUGCUUCUAGAAAUGAGUCCUUUCUUGAGGAAAAGUUUCUCUCGAAAGAAUUGAGUGGGAGGAUGGUGGAGACUUGAUAAGGUUAUUGAACCGUCGCUUCAACUAGUGUGUAGCAGGGCACAGGAAGUUGUUCCUGUGGCACCUACACCAAUUGAAGUGGAAGCUUAUGAUGGUGAUCAUGAAACUUCAGAUCAAGUCACUACCAAACCUCGUAGGACGACGAGGAUGCGUAAUACUUCAGAGUAGUACGUGAUCCUGUCUUGGAAGUCAUGUUGUUGGACAACAAUGAACCUACGAGCUGUGGAGAAGCGAUGGUGGGCCCAUAUUCUGACAAAUGGUUAAAAGCCAUGAAAUCCGAGAUAAAUGGAUCUUUGAGAAGAAGACGAACAUGGACGGUAAUGUUACCGUCUAUGAAGCUCGACUUGUGGCAAAGAGUAUUUCCACAAGUUCAAGGAGUUGACUACGAUGAGAUUUUCUCAUCCGUAGCGAUGCUUAAGUCCGUCGGAAUCAUGUUAGCAUUAGCUGCAUUUAUGAAAUCUGGCAGAUGGAUGUCAAAACAAGUUUCCUUACCAGUUUUCGUAAGGAAAGGUUGUAUGUGAUACAAUCAGAAAGGUUUUGUCGAUCCUAAGGAUGCUAAAAGGUAUGCUAGCUCCAGCGAUCCUUCCAUGGACUAGAGCAAGCAUCUCGGAGUCAGAAUAUACGCUUUGAUGGAGUGAUCAAAGUUUUUGGGUUUAUACAAAGUUUGUUAGAAACUUGUAUUUACAAUAAAGUGAGUGGGAGCGCUACAACAUUUCUGAUAAGUAUAUGUGAAUGACAUAUUGUUGAUCCGAAAUGAUGUAAAAUUUCUGGAAAGCAUAAAGGGUUGUUUGAAAGGAGUUUUUCAAAGGAAGACCUGGAUAAAGCUACUUACAUAUUGGGCAUCAAGAUCCAUAGAGAUAGGUCAAGACGCCUGAUGAUACUUUCAAAAGACAGCACACCUUGACAUGAUUUUGAAAGAGUUCAAAAUAGAUCAGCAAAGAAGGAGUUCUUGGCUGUGUUACAAGGUGUGAGUAUUGAGUGAGACUCAAGACCUGACCACAGCAGAAGAUAGAGAAAGGACGAAGGUCGCCCCCUAUGCUUUAGACGUAGGCUCUAUAGUAUGCUAUGCUGUGUACCGCACAUGUAGUGUGCCUUGCCAUGAGUUGGUCAAGAGGGUACAAUGGUGAUCCGGGAAAGGAUCUCAUGACAGCGGUCGAACUUAUCCUUAGUACCUAGUGGACUAAGGAAUUUUCUCGAUUAUGGAGGUGAAAAGGAGUUCGUCGUAAAGGGUUACGUCGAUGCGAACUUUGACACUAAUCCGGAUGACUCUGAGUAGUAAACCGGAUUCGUAUAGUAGAGCAAUUACUUGAAAUGGCUCCAAGUAGCGCGUGGUAGCAUCCACAAAGAUGACAUAGAUAUUCGUAAAGCACACACGAAUCUGAAAGGUUCAGACCCGUUGACUAAUAACCUCUCUCACAAGCAUAACAUGAUCAAACCAGAACUCAUUGAGUGUUAAUCACAUAGAGAUGUGAGCUAGAUUGUUGACUCUAGUAAACUCUUGGGUGUUGGUCACAUGGUGAUGUGACCUGUCAGUGUUAAUCACAUGGUGAUGUGAACUAGAUUAUUGACUCUAGUGCAAGUGGGAGACUGUUGGAAAUAUGCCCUAGAGGCAAUAAUAAAUAGGUUAUUAUUAUAUUUCCUUGUUCAUGAUAAUCGUUUAUUAUCCAUGCUUGAAUUGUAUUGAUAGGAAACUCAGAUACAUGUGUGGAUACAUAGACAACACCAUGUCCCUAGUAAGCCUCUAGUUGACUAGCUCGUUGAUCAAUAGAUGGUUACGGUUUCCUGACCAUGGACAUUGGAUGUCGUUGAUAACGGGAUCACAUCAUUAGGAGAAUGAUGUGAUGGACAAGACCCAAUCCUAAGCCUAGCACAAGAUCGUGUAGUUCGUUUGCUCAGAGCUUUUCUAAUGUCAAGUAUCACUUCCUUAGACCAUGAGAUUGUGCAACUCCCGGAUACCGUAGGAAUGCUUUGGGUGUGCCAAACGUCACAACGUAACUGGGUGGCUAUAAAGGUGCACUACGGGUAUCUCCGAAAGUGUCUGUUGGGUUGGCACGAAUCGAGACUGGGAUUUGUCACUCCGUGUAAACAGAGAGGUAUCUCUGGGCCCACUCGGUAGGACAUCAUCAUAAUGUGCACAAUGUGACCAAGGAGUUGAUCACGGGAUGAUGUGAGUUACGGAACGAGUAAAGAGACUUGCCGGUAACGAGAUUGAACAAGGUAUAGGGAUACCGACGAUCGAAUCUCGGGCAAGUAACAUACCGAUAGACAAAGGGAAUUGUAUACGGGAUUGAUUGAAUCCCCGACAUCGUGGUUCAUCCGAUGAGAUCAUCGUGGAACAUGUGGGAGCCAACAUGGGUAUCUAGAUCCCGCUGUUGGUUAUUGACCGGAGAACGUCUCGGUCAUGUCUGCAUGGUUCCCGAACCCGUAGGGUCUACACACUUAAGGUUCGAUGACGCUAGGGUUAUAGGGAAAGUAUGUACGUGGUUACCGAAUGUUGUUCGGAGUCCCGGAUGAGAUCCCGGACGUCACGAGGAGUUCCGGAAUGGUCCGGAGGUAAAGAUUUAUAUAUGGGAAGUCCUGUUUUGGUCACCGGAAAAGUUUCGGGUGAAAUCGGUAAUGUACCGGGACCACCGGGAGGGUCCCGGGGGUCCACCAAGUGGGGCCACCAGCCCCAGAAGGCUGCGUGGGCCAAGUGUGGGAGGGGACCAGCCCCAGGUGGGCUGGUGCACCCCCCCACCAAGGCCCAAGGCGCAUGGGAGAGUGGGAGGGGGCAAACCCUAGGUCCAGAUGGGCCUUAGGGCCCAUCUAGUGGGGCGCCCCCCCCUCUCCUCCCCUUGGCCGCCCCCCUUGAUGGGAUCUAAGGCUGGCCGCCUCCUCUUGGGGGUGGAAACCCUAAGGGGGGCGCAGCCCCCUCCCCCCCUAUAUAUAGUUGAGGUUUGGGCUGCCCAAGACACACGAAAAAGUCUCCUUUUGGCGCAGCCCUACCCCUCUCCCUCCUCCUCCUCUCCCGCGGUGCUUGGCGAAGCCCUGCGGGAUUGCCACGCUCCUCCACCACCACCACGCCGUCGUGCUGCUGCUGGAUGGAGUCUUCCCCAACCUCUCCCUCUCUCCUUGCUGGAUCAAGGCGUGGGAGACGUCACCGGGCUGCACGUGUGUUGAACGCGGAGGCACCGUACUUUCGGUGCUUAGAUCGGAAUCAACCGCGAUCUGAAUCGCUACGAGUACGACUCCCUCAUCCGCGUUCUUGCAACGCUUCCGCAUCGCGAUCUACAAGGGUAUGUAGAUGCACUCCCCUUCCCUUCGUUGCUAGUAAACUCCAUAGAUUGAUCUUGGUGAUGCGUAGAAAAUUUUGAAUUUCUGCUACGUUCCCCAACAAUCAGACCAUUACUGAUACUGGUUCUUCCCUUCCCUCCUCCGCCCGCAUGGGAUUUCGUGGAUACAGAGAAAAGGUAAGGUCCAACAACUCAACAGCAGCCACAACCGCAUAAACUCCAGGAAGCUUCAAUUUUAUUAUCAAUAAUGUUAGUUAGCCCAUCACAUCACAGCACAGCACAUCACAUCAGAUACAUAUAUUUUUUUGGGGGGGAAAGACAUCAGCCACAUAGAUUAAUAUUCACCAGUUAACAUCCGUCCUUGUUCCCUCUUUGAUAGGUCGCCUGCGGAUGAGGGCAUGUCGAGCUCCGAAAGAAGCCGGGAUCCAAUGGCACCCAUUGGGUAUGUCAAGUCUCAACCACACCCAUCCACUGAAACUUGGUGGCAUUUUAUUUAUCCCCAUGGCAGUUCAUUUCUCUAUUUAUAUUGUCGGCCACACCUUGUGCAAUGGUGUUUUUCACCAUCCUGUCCCCUCUGCAUCUUUCCGUUUAGAUGUUACCAUCAUAGGAAGAUGAUAUUCCGCGCUAAAACACUGUUUUAUUGGGGAAUGAGAGGACUGAGAAAAUAGAGUGGUGAUCGAGUAGAGGAUAGCUGGUUUUGAUUAAUUGAUGGAGCAACUGAGAGAGUUCAAUGAGGAGGUGCAGAUCGUGGAAGAGGAAUCUCCUGAGGUGCGCAGGCACGUCGUCCUCUCUGUUCCAAGUCCUGCUAGAGGUGGGAGCCCCUCUUUACUUACCAACUCAUGCAGCACUACUUAGCUUGUUUCUUUUGGAUAGGAAGAAGAAUGGCUAACUGUCGCGUUGUUUCUGUGUUGUGACCACGAGAUUGUUGUCUUGGUGUGAUUGCUUGUUCCUCGCUAAAUUUUCCGACUUUGACAUUGUUUGAUGCAUUUCGCUUUCUCAUAAUGCUGAAGGUUGGAUUUCUAUUAAUUAAUUAAUUAAUUAAUUGUACCUUCGUUUGUGUGUGUUCAGAUGAUUUCAGAGGCAGAGGUGAAGUCAGGGAGACGAGGGGCCCAAUUAGUGCUUCCCUGGGUGCCAUGAGACCCCUUGUUGGGAAGCUGGACAUGUUGCUCUUUGGGGAUGCUCCUCUGGAAUGCUCUUCCAAGAGGGUUAAGGACGGUAUGCACCUCCUCAAAGAUGACGUUGAGAAGAUAAGCUCCUACCUUGAUGACCUGUCUGAGCUACAGGACCCUCCCCUGACGGCCAAGUGCUGGAUGAAUGAGGUGCGUGACUUGUCCUAUGACAUGGAGGAUUACAUCGACAGUUUAGUAGUUGUGCGACCUAAAGAUUUCCCCCUGUUACCAACAUCAAGAGCACCAAAUCCCACCACAAAUUGUCCAGCCAUAUCAAGACUUCCAAGAGUCAGAUUAUUAUUGCGGAAACGCUAUCAGAAUUUAGGAUGUAUGUCCAAGAGGUGAUUCAACGGUACCAGAGGUACAAUCUCCAUUCUUGCAGAACCUUGAGGCGUAGGUUUGUGUCCCUUGGCCCUAUGCUUCUUCCAAUGCCAUAUAAAGAAACUGAUGACAUAGUAAUCGAUGGCCGGAUGAAUGAAUUUAUCAACUCACUGGUUAAUGAUGGGGACCAGCAGCUCAAGGUGCUAUCUGUUCUUGGAUCUGCUUGUCUUAGUAAAACUACACUUGCUAGAGUGAUGUACAGCAGAUUUAGGAAACAAUACAGUUGCCGAGCUUUCAUUCAGGUGUCCAAGAAACCUGAUAUGAAGAGAAUUUUCCGUGACAUGCUCUCACAACUCCAGCGGCAGCAACCCCCACAAUAUUAUAUGGAAACUGAUCUCAUUCACCAUAUCAAGCAAUAUCUACAGGAUAAAAGGUAGUGGCUUUUUUCCUUCAUUCGAAGUAUACCAGAUUUUUUUCUUCAUUCAAAAUAUACCAAAGUUCCCAUGCUCCCUAGUACUAAUAUGAGUUGAUUACAUGUAUGCAGGUAUUUAAUUAUUCUUGAUGAUGUAUGGGCUGCAUCAGUAUGGGAUAUUAUUAAUCAUGUUUUGCCAAAGGGUAAUUGUGGAAGCAGAAUAGUAACAACUACGCAGAUCGAAGACAUUGCAUUAGCGUGCUGCCAUUAUCAGUCAGAGUAUGUUUUUGAGAUGAAACACCUAGAUGAUGAUCAUUCUAGAAAGCUUUUCUUUAAUAGACUUUAUGGCUCUGAAGUGAUUGUCCUGAAGAGUUCAAAGAGGUACUGGAUGACAUUGUUGAAACAUGUGAUGGUUUCCCGCUAGCCACAAUCAGCAUAGCUAGCCUUUUAGCAAGCCAACCUGUCAUGUCAAUUGAUCUUUUGACGUACAUCCAACAGUCGUUAAGCUCUUCUCUUUCUACAUCAGAAAAAACGAGACAAGCACUGAAUCUUAGCUUCAAUAAUCUUCCUCGUUAUCUGAAGACAUGUUUGCUGUAUCUUAAUAUGUAUCCAGAGGGCCAGAUAUUCUUCAAGGAUGAUUUGGUGAAGCAAUGGGUAGCUGAAGGUUGUAUUGAUACAGCGGAAGGGCAAGACAUGGUGAAACUUGCAGAGAGCUAUCUUGAUCAACUUAUUGGCAGAAGACUCAUACUGCCUAUAUGUAUCAACUACAACAAUGAAGUGUUGUCCUGUACAGUUCAUGACAUGGUACAUGAUCUUAUUGCAUACAAGUCUGAAGAAGAAAAUUUCGUUUUGGUAAUAGACCACAGUCAAGCAAAUGUGUCACUUUCUCAUAAGGUCCGUCGACUAUCUCUCCUCUUUGGCGAUGCAAGAUAUGUCAAGAAACCAGCAAAUAUCAGAAAGUCACAAGUUCGGUCACUUAGAUUUUUUGGAUUAUCUGAGUGCAUGCCUUGCAUUAGAGAUUUCAAGCUUCUUCGUGUUCUGAAUCUCCAACUACCGGGUCAUGGUGGCGACGCUGAUGCCGACUCUUUUGAUCUCACUGGGAUCUCAGAACUGUUUCAACUGAGAUAUUUGAAGAUUGCAUGUGAUGUCUGCAUAGAGCUUCCAAACCAUGGGCUACCAUGUUUGGAAUUGCUAGAUAUUAUGGAUGCAAGAGUUGCUAGUGUUCCAUGUGAUAUCCAUCUACCACACUUGUUGCACCUCAGCCUUUCUGUCGAGAGAAAUCUGCUGGAUUGGUCUGUCAGUAAGGGGAGCCUUGGCAAGCUGAACUACCUGCAGGAUCUUCAUGUUAGCAUUGUUCCGUCUGCGCCUUCCUACGUUGUGGAGAGAAGCAUGGAAUCUCUAGGCUCUUUAAUCGGAGGACAUGGAAGCUUGAGAACUAUACAAGUGGUGGCUCAUGGCUCCUCGGUACAAAAUGCUCUGGUUCGUGGUGUGUCAAAAGUAACCAUUUCAUGGGAUGACUUGGCACCUCCCCCGUUUCUCCAGAGAUUUGAGUGUUCGCUGCAUAAGUGGCUUGGAAAACUUGGCAACCUAUGCAUUUUGAAGAUUUCAGUAAGGGAACUGAUGAUGGAUUGUAUUGAUAUUGUUAGAGGAUUGCCAGCCCUCGCCACUUUGUCGCUGUAUGUGCAGAAGGCGCCCAUUGAAAGGAUCAUCUUUGACAAAGCCGGGUUCUCAGUUCUGAGGCACUUCAAGUUGAGGUUCACGAGUGGUAUAGCUUGGCUAGUGUUUGAGGCAGAUGCAAUGCCUAAUCUCUGGAAGAUGAAGCUAGUCUUCAACGCCACCCCCCCAAUGGACCAACAUCCUUUUCUUUAUUCUUCGAAGCAAGGCGCCUUCGAACGACACCAACGUGGUACUGCAAUUAUCAGCGUCGAGCCUAUGCCAGAGCUUAGAGAGAUGUCGGUAAAAUUUGGGGGUGCAGCUGCUGAUCUAGAGUAUGCCAUGAGGACCUUCGUAAGGAACCAUCCGAGCAAUCCUACAAUCAUAGUGCAACUGGUGGAUCACAGUUCCUAUGGCGACGGAAUCACAAAACAGAGAACAUAGCAACCAGAUGAGAUUGUGGAGGAGGAGCCGACAUCCAACAGUAAACAGCCAGACGAGACCCUGAUGGAAGAAGUAGGUAAUUAUGACAAGAUUUUUGAGAGAGUGUUUGAGAGACCAAGGUAGGCACUACCAGUGUUCAUUGUAAACGCAGGGAGAUAAUGCCCUCCUGAUUUAAUUUCUCGUGUUUUAACGAAGCUAGCUAAUUUUGUUGUAACCAGGAUUUCGAGGCCAUCCCUCCCAAAAAAAAAGAGAAACAAGAUUUCAAGGCCAUCCCUCCCAGGAAAAAAGAAAGAGAAGAUUUCAAGGUCAUUCAAAUCCUCUUCGCUUCUGCAUUUUCCAGGCACAUUUCAUUUCUGUCAACUGGUUCUGUAGAGAUGUUUCGCCACUAAGCUAGUAGAGUUACUUGGUCCACAUACAUGCUGAAAUGACUAGGGCCUUGCAAUUUGACUAGGCAACUUUGUCCUAAGUGAUAAAAUUCUUGUCCCAAACUAGCAAUACGCAAACAAAUUAAUUCUCUCCAACUCUUGACUUGGCUUGAGUGGGAACAGGCAUCGCAUUGAAGAAGGGCCUCUGACACUUGGGGUGGAUCCAUGAGGUGAGUGGGACUACAAAGGGUGGAUUUAUGGACAAGAUUGACAGAGGUGCUGCUGAUUCCGUCGAGACGACGCGGUCAUAUGCUACUAGAUCAAGUCCCUCAUAUGCUGCUACCUGAGAAUGAGAUGGCCCUGAGCUCAUCUGGGCUGUCGUGCGUUGCCGGUGUGCUGCUCACCAGGCAGCUUGUACAAGAGAGAUUCUGUCGGCGUUCUCUUUAUGCAGCACCCUGUUUCCCAGGACUGAAGAAGAGGAGGAGUUCAAGAGAAAGCCCCCAUUGAAACAUCCGACUUGUAUUAUUUUUGUUGCAAUUUCAGAGUUCCGAUGGUUUUCACUGCGUUCUUCUGAUGGCUUUCAUUUCCCAGCUUUGUUUGUGAGCAUGUUACUACCAGUUAUUUUCCGAACAUCAAGUUCCGUGUUACGCUUGUAUUUUGUUGAAGAUUGUUCGAAUUCUGAAGAAGACCAGUAGUUUAGAAAGAAGAACCCUAUUGGUUUUGUGCAGGCAAAGAACGCCUAUUGGUUUUGGGCGGGUUCUGAGGUCCAAUCCCGUAAGUCUUGACAGCCACAAGGAUAAGCUCCUCGCUUUUUCCUUGUUGCAUCAGCUGCUCCCAGCGAGAACCACCAUUUAAAAACAUCCUGAAUUUUGAAUCGCGCAGCUGUGCCGGAUGGCUGUCUCGAGCGCACACGCGAGAGCCGUCCGAUACGCCCGAUCGCCACCGACGCGUGCGGAAUCGUCCGACCAGAACAAUAAUAAUCCACGUCACGACAAGUGCAAGGAUGUGGCCCACGUGAGGACAGUGCAUGAGGUGGGGAUUUAGUUCGAACUUAGAUCUGCAUGCAUUUAAUUAGCGUUUUCAAAAUUUUGAAAAGCUAUAACUUUUGGACCAAGCAUCGAAAUUAAUAUAUGUUUUCACCCUUAGAUUAAUCGUGACGAGAUCUUCAAAACUAGAUCCCAUAUGAGUAUGUUUCGACUAACUUUUUUUAUGAGCAACUUUGGAUGCUACGGAGGCAACUUUAGUGCCAUAGGAAAGCAACUUCUUGUUAGUUAGUUUAGUAUGACUUUCUAUGAUCGAAAAUCUCUUUGAAGUUGGCUACCAUGACUAUCUAGUUAACUAGCUUCACUUCUAAGUUUUCUACCAUAAUUAGCUUCGCCUUCAAUUUGAUAGUAUUGUAGGCAACUUAGUUUCUGGGGUAGGUUAACAUUAUCCUAAACUGCUUGCCAUGCCAAGUGAGUAGCUUAAUAUCAUCCUUAGUUGCAUGUAAUACUUUUUGGUAUGGUAAACAACUUAGUUUCAUAGAAAGGCAACUUACUAACAAUGAUGGACCACCUUUUCAAUGUAUUCUAGGCAACUGAAAUAGAAAUGGCAGGCAACAGAGCCUACAGGCAACUUAGAAAAAGAAUGAUAAGAAACUUCCCAAUAUUACUAGGCAACUAAUUUGUAAAGUUAGGCAACUAACAUCAAUGUUAGGCAAUUUCGUAGUAUUUUGUAGCCAACUGAGCAUGAACGUGGGCAACUGGUCACUAACGAUAUGCAAAAUGGACAUCAGUGUUAGGCAAUUUCAUAGUAUUUGUAGGCAACUGGGCAUCAACCACAGGCAACUAAUCAUCAAUGAUAGGCAAAUGUGCAUCAAUGUUAGACAAUUUCAUAGUAUUUGUAGGAAACUGAGCAUCAACUGUAGGCAACUAAGCAUCACAGAUAGGCAACUGGGUAUCAAUGUUAGGCAACUUUAUAGUAUUUCUAGGCAACCGAGCAUCAAUCGUAGGCAACUGAUAAUCAAUGAUAAGCAACCGAGCAGCCAUGAUAGGCAAGUUGGGAUUAAGUUAGCAAGACUCACAUCACAUAAUGCAGUAAAGUUGCUUGUAUGUAGCACUAAAGGCACCUCGUGUUUUGUGUGAUUUUAUUGUUUUAACACAAAUCAACCUAAUAGAAAGUCAUACUAGGCCAAAAAUAAGAACAUGAUGCUAAAUGAGGCAACUUUAGUGCUAAGUAGGAGCAACUUUGAUGCUAGAUGAAUUGAACCGUAUCUAUUAGUGAAUUCGCCUAGUAGCCUCCUAAUUAGCUGUGUGCAGUAGUGUAAUAGGUGGCAUAGAGUUAGGAUACUUGCUAGUUAUGGUAUACAACUUAGAGAUGAAGCUAGUCAAUUUUGGUAGUUGCGAUAACCAACUUAAAAGGAUUUUUCGUUGAUAGGCAGUCAUACUAGGAAAAAAAGAAGUUGCUUUCUUAUAGCACUAUAGUUGCCUCAAUACAACCCAAAGUUGCCCGCGAAAUAAGUUUGUCAAAAUGUACCCAUAUGGGAUCUAGUUUUGAAGUACUCGUCGUGAGAAACCCAACGGUGAAAACGAAGUUGGAUUCCGAUGCACGAAUCAAAAGUUAUAGCUUUUGAAAUUUUUUGAAACCCAAAUAAAUGCACGCGGGACAAGAUCAUACGUGAUUUCCUAAGUAGCGUAAAUACGUCAAGUAGUUUCCUUUUAGGAUGUCAGCUGGUUUCGGAAUCACGUGGGCGUGGGGUGGUGGUGUGAGAAACUGAUUUCCUUUAUUGAGAAAGUGAUUUGCCAGGCAGCCACGUCCUAAAAACAUUAUAACUGCGCACCUUUCCAGCCCUCUCAGACUAUUUGCAUUCCUGGCCAUCCGUUUUUUCGAUCUGAACGUUUCUGAACAUUGGAUCUGAUUUCUACGCCACGUUUUUCGCCUCGUGGGCCUGCUGUCCUAAGGGGACGCUACUCCAGCGGAAAAAGGGUGUAUGCUGGUUGUUUGGGUUGUUGGGUCGAAGACUCAAAGCGUGGUUCCCGUGGGGCACCGGGCAGUCGAGUGAGAGAUAAAUACAUCUGUGGUCAUCGAAGUUGAGGUCAAAGCACACUACGGUCACUGAACUUCAAAAUACACUCAAUACGGUCACUGAAUACGAGUUAGGGUAAUUAUACAGUCACUGCAUCAUCGUAGAGCUAUGUAUUUUGUCGAGUUGACCAGUCAAACUGUCACCUAGUGAUGCAUGGUCACCGCCACGUCCUCUCUAUCCUGUAGGGCCGACUUGUCAGCUGGUGGCAAAAUAAAAAACCCUGCGCACCAGGACACAGAUUCGAACCCAAAAUCUCCCAGUUGGAGAUCACCAAGGCUAACCACUUGAUAAAACACAAUUGGAUGCAGUAGUAUCUUUCUGAUUUUAUAUAAACAUGAAUGCAUGCACCGGUCGAACACAACCCAUGCAGCCAGAUCAGGUACACAGCACGUACGAACAGGCGCACACAAAGCAUGCACCUAGGUGCACAGCACGCACACAACGCAUGCACCAGGCGCACGCCACACACAUAUACAACGCAUCCAUGCACACACACUCGGGUGCAUGGAGACAUGCAUCAUCUACGGCAACGUCUGGUUCGUCGUGCUACGGCGAAGUUCGCCCACAACGGCGCCCUGUGCCAUCUCCUGCGGCUCCUCCUUGUCGUCAUUGUUCGACGGUUGGACGGAGACAAAGGCGAUCACAUCCUCGGCCUUAGAGCAUCAGUCGAACACACGCGCGCGCACAAGGACGUACGUGAGGAGGUUCUUUCGAGGGGAUGAAACGACAGGUGAUCAAGAGCGGCUCACGCACAAGCAGGACUCCAUCCAGGAGCGCAUCAACGACGAACAUGUCGAGCAGGAGCACGUUCACCGCAGCAGGUUUUUGAGCAUUAAAAAAACAUGAGCAUGUCAAGGACGAUAAAAGGGUUGCCUGCGGCAAGGCACGUCAUGGCAUCGGUCGAGACGACGGCGCUGUCCAGCUUGUCGAACAUGGCGCGGGUGGAGGUCUGGUGCCGACAAGAGGUGUCCCGUCUCAACCGCGCUGGUCCGUCUCCAUGGAGGAUCACGUUGUCGACGUCGAGGCCGCACGCACGCACGGACACGCUAACACGCACACACCAUACGCACGCAUAACAGAAAUAAUAAAAAGAACACACACUAACAUGCACAACAGAAAUGAGAAAAAACACGAAGCACACACUAAUAUGCACGCGCUAGCAAAAAAAAAGCAAAAGAAAACAUCACGCAUUAGCAGUCAAAGAAAAACUGUGGUUAAAGCAAUCGUACACAAACGGGUUACAUCGAGACAUUGUAUUGAUUAACCCUCAGGUUAUCAACGCUAAAACACGACGGUCCUGGUGGGUUGCGCGUGAGUUCUACGACGCUAAGUUCGAUUCCCGGCCAUUGGAGUAGUUUAUUUUUGUUCAUUUAUCUCUUAUACUCACUUGCAGGUGGGACCCAUAGAGUAGAGAGACAACAAAACGCUGACAGUGCUGCCUUAGUGCCACAAUAGACUAUUUGACCGGUCAACUGGACAAAAUACGGAGCUCUACGGUGAGUUAGUGACCGUAUAAUCACCGCAACUCAUAUUCAGUGACCGUAUUGAGCGUAUUUUGAAGUCCAGUGAUUAUAAUAUGCUUCAGCCACAACUUCGAUGACCACCACUGUAUUUAUCUCGUCGAGUAAUCACCCCCGACCUAUCGUCUCUCCUCUCUCUCUCGGCCGCAACAUGGGGGUGCGCCGCCACCGCAGCUAUUCUCUCCGGCUCGCCGCUCCUCGCUGCGUAUUCCUCGAACACCUCCGCGUUCGCGCAGUAGAUGCCGCCCUCCUUCUCCUAUCUUUCCUCCCGGUAAGCGCAAUGAGGAGGGGCUCCAUGACCGGGCCUAGGCUCCAUGAUCGGGCCGUCAAUCUCGCCGAGCAAAGGUGCACAGACUCUGGCCUGUUCCCUGCGUGUCCAUCCCUAACAGCUCCUGAGAAAGGGGAAAUCUUCAUCACUAACUACUCCCAAACUAACGCGAAUGUUUGUCUGCGCUGUAGCAGCGCCCGCCGCUGCCGUCCUGCCUCCAGAUUGCGGGAGAAGUUUGGGGACAAUUUGUGCCAACGCAUCCAAGAAUCUCCUUUCAGCAACGAUGGUGCAUGGAUGGGAGGCGCCGGAUCUUUUCCGCCUCCCACCUCCUUCCUCUCGUGGAUCAUCAUGUGUCUUUCUUCUUUGACCUGGCUUGGCCAUGGUCGCUACUCGCUAAUGGUGAGUCUUUUUGUAGCACUUCAUCCUUUCCAUUCCAAGUUUUUGAGUUUUGUAUGUGUUGUGCCAUUAUUUCUUUGGUCUCCGUUGCAGAGAGGAGUCCGAAAAAAAAUGAUUUAUGCAUAGAGUUUGCAUCCAAAUUCCAAAGCCACAACGUUGAUUUAUCUGUUGGGGAGUUGAGGUAUCGUCUUUGCUUAUGAUUGCAUUCUUUACAGGAGCUAUUUCUUGCAGUUUAUGAUAUGAACAUUCCUUUUACACGGAUGGAAGAAACAUGACAACUAGCGCUGUUCAAUCUGCUAUCAACUCCUACAUAUACCAAUCUCAUAUUUGUGCGCGUGGUGCUCAUCAUGGUUCGGUCAACUCUUUGAUGCUGAUUCUUACCGAGCUGCUGACCUUCGAUCAUGUCCAGUCGGUCAGAUCGGGAGAGGAAAAAGCAUGCCGCUGGAUGCGGGGCGAAGGCGAAGCGAAACGGUCCUGACUAAUCGAUGCGGCGCAAAGCGAUGCAAGGCUCAAUUUUUGUUGGUUCUAUGGAGUUGACAUCACACCCCUAUGUGCCUCCCAACCUCACUACUCGAUAAAAUAUAAAGGUACCUACCUCACUCCCCCGUAAGGUUUGAUUUUGAUGUACGGUUCGUGAGGAUCCAGUUUUCUUAUUUGAUCCACUUUCUGAUUGUUGUAAGUGCACCAACCUUAAUUUAUUUUUUACAAACUUUAACAGGACCGUGGCAUAUAUUGAUUGGUCUGUUUGGUCGAGGAGAGUACAGCAAUAAGAUAUGCAAUAUGGAGUUCGCCUAGCAAGCCAUGUCAAUGUGCCACAGUAGCCUCGGACCUCGGUUGAUCUUAUAUUCAGCCUCUGAAUGGAGUUAAGUUUCACAAUUGAUGAUCUCCUGAUUCUAUUGCAUGUUUUAGUAGAUGGAUGUAUCUUCUGAAACAUGGGAUGGAGUCUUAAUAUGCUUCGACAAUGUCUUCUUGCGUGAGAAAUUGCUCCAUUCACUUGCAAUAUUGAGAACAGAUUCAGGAUACAUGCUUUGAAGUUAUUAUCUUACCUGAAUUUGUAUUGUUAUCUCAAUCAGCUCACUUGUCAGAGAAAGUAAAGUAAUUGGCCUCUACACUUAUUUGUGAUAGAGCAUGUUGUAGGAAACUAAAGGCCUGUCACAUGCUAUUUUGGGAAACUAAAGGCCUGUCACAUGCUCUUUAUAAAAUAAAAUGCUAAGAAGGCCAAUGCAACUGUUUCUUAUUAUUAUUGUUGUUGUUAUUUUAGUUUACUGUUACUUAACCUCCAUAGGCUUGCAAUGAAUCAUCCACUAAAAUACCUUGACAGUAAUUAACAAAAUUUCUAUACAUAUAUUUACAUCAACAACUAUGAUCCUAUUGGAAAAAUGGACGGGCGCAGCAACGCGCGCCUUCAAUGAUCUAGUGGGAUUGAUAGCAGUGACAUGGUCCAACUCCGACAUGUAUUUCAUUUUUCGGAGUUUUUUUGUUUUCCUCUGUUCCACAGCAAUCGUUAGCAGUAAUCGUGUGGCGUGGCCAUGCCCGGUUUUGUGGAACACUGUUUUUCUCAUAUUUGUUUCGACAAACUAUUUAAAAAAUGUUAAAACAACUAAAUGAAGAAAAAAUAUUAUACCAUGGAAAAUGAAAUUAUUUAUGCGUUCUUCGUGCAUAAGUUUGUCGCCCUUCUUGAAAACUUGCAGUUGUGACCCUCUCUUAGAAACUUACAUUUGUGACCCCUCUUGAGAGCUUUCAGUUACAUCCAUGCUAAAAACCUUGCAGUUGCGACCUCUCUUAAAAACUUACAAUUGUGAUCCAUAGAAAAACUUAUAGUUGCGACCUCCAUGGAGAACUUGCAGUUGGGACCUCUUUCGCAAACUUGUUGUUGUGCCCUUCCUUAUAAAAUAGUAGUUGUGACCUCUUGGAAAAUUUGCAUUUGCAACCCCACUGAAAACUUGCAGUUGUGAUCCCAUUGGACGACUUGCAGUUGCAACCCCUCUUGAAAACUUGCAGUUAUGAUCCCUGCCCCCCCCCCCCCUAAAGCUUAUACUUGCAAAAAAGGGGGGCAAAACCAAGGAAUGUUGAAGAAAAUAAUUUUUCGAAGACCAAAAAAUUCAAGGAAAAUAUGACAUUUUUCUAUGUCGAAGGUAGCCGGGGAAACCUUGGCCCACUUGAGGAGAACCCUGUGGGGGGGCCAUGUGGCCACCCCAACUGCGUGGUGUGCCUGGUGGGACCCGCGGGAUACCCCGACAAGUUCUACUGCCCGAUGACCUUAUAUGACAUAAUAUUACAAGUUCUACUCCCGAUGACCUUAUAUGGCGGAGGAAAAAUCCCGUAAAAAUUACGGGAUUUUCCCUCCGCCAUUUGCAAGGCGGAGCUGAGGCAUAACACUUUUCUGCUCUAGGGGGCUAUUUUCUUAGGACCCUUUCCUUCUUGAAGGGAGUAUUCGAAGACAUCGACGCCACCACAUCGUGGGGAUCAUCAUCAGCACCUUCAUGACCGUCAUCCAUCUCCAACCCUUGCUUUCAAUCUAUGAACUGUUACCUGAAUUGUUGAGAGUGCUUUCAGGUGUUGAUUAGUAUCUGUAGUUGAUGCUUAGAAGUUUUGUCGGUGAAAGAUUUAUAUGUUUGGAUUGUUAAUCAUAAUUUCAUCUCCGCUGAUCAUGAUCCAUAUGAUGUCUUGUGAGUAGUUCGUUACGUUCUUGAGGACAUGGAAUAAACCUUGUUACGAGUAAUCUUGUGAAGUUGAAUAUAAUUCAAUGUUUUGAUAUUAGAUUGUGAUGUAAUUAUCUAUUGGGUAUCUAAAAGGGUUGGGUUAUCCCAAGCCAACUGAUAGUGAGUCAAUUAUUGUACAUCUACCUGUCUAUUUUACAGUUCCGCUGUGCCGGUAACAAGUAUCAUAUCAUUGACAAGGUGUCUGGCGGGUAAUGUAAAAAUCACUUCUUAUUUAGCUUUCCCUAUUUGGGAAAUAGUGUGCUUAAACACUUUCCUCUACAGAUUUCUGCCAUAUGGAGUGAAUGGAAUGCUUGCUGGAUCAGUGACCGUUUUCUUUGCCUACAUAGGCUUUGAUUCAGUUGCGAGCACCGCUGAGGAGGUAAGGACAGGCUCUAAUUUCCAAAUUGACAUGGCACUGGAUCGGCGGUAUUAUUAAGAAUUCUUCUGUCUAAACUUCUAUUCCAACAGGUGACGAAUCCACAACGAGAUCUGCCGCUGGGAAUAGCCAUGUCAUUGACGAUUUGCUGUUCCUUGUACAUGCUGGUUUCAGUUGUUAUUGUCGGUCUGGUGCCAUACUUUGCUAUGGACCCAGAUACCCCUAUUUCAUCCGCCUUUGCGAGGCACGGGAUGCAGUGGGCGAUGUAAGGACUCCAUUUGACAGUGCUUCCAUUUCGCCGUGCAUCACUUGCUGUGCUUCCUGCUGAGGAUUUUUUUUACGGUGCUGUCUUAUUUUAGGUACCUUGUAACUGUUAGGUUGAUCUCUCUCCCGUUCGAACCCAACGGGUCGAACGGGCCCUUGACUUGCGCCCUGAUCGGGGGUGCCCAACCAAACCAUGGUUGGUGGGCCCCUGUGACCCGCGCUAUAUAAACAGAGGUGGGGGCCGGGGCACGAUCUACGAGGUUAAUCGCUGCCAUAAUCCCCACCUACAACCCCUACCGAUCUAGGGUUAGCGCGGUGCUCACGGGAAGCUCCACCACCUCGCCCACUCUCUGCCAUCGCCGUGCUCCCCAGCACCACGAUGGCCUCCAGCUCGAGUUCAUCUACUGCUGCACAAGGUAGGUGUACCGGAAUAUCUAGCCUACUCCGAUCCAAAGGUAUAUCAAUGGUAUCAGCCAGAUCGGGCUAGUGGAUUUCGGUACAAAGAAACAACAACAGAAAAAGAAAAAGAAAAAGAGAUCCCCUCCCCCAAAGAACCCUGGAAGGGCAAAGAAAUCUAAAAGAAAAUUUGUGCCGCCGUCAUGGCCGCACCCGUUCCUCUCGAUCCCCACACGCAUCAGCAAGCCGAGGUGCGGGGACGAAGAACCACCCCGCGAGGGGCAAAGUGCACCGCGGCCGAUCCGUUCGACGGCGGCGCGCUCACCACAGAGGGGAACGCGCAGCCGGCGAAGGGAAUGGCACCAGCGCCACCGUCGAGCUCCUCUCUCUCUCUCUCUCACUGCCAGGUAGUGGUGGAAGAGAAAGACAGAAAAGAAAAGAACGAAAAGGCGGAGCCUCGCCGCGCCGGGAAGCCUCGCCGUCGGCGGCUGGCCGGCGGCCAGAGGGAACCGCGGGCGCACAGGGGAGCAAGGAAUGGCUCCGUCGCAUCUCCCUGCCUCUCGAGUACAUGAGGCGUGGGAUAGGAGGGAGGAAAGAAAAGGAGAAGGAAAAGAGUGCCGCGGCGCGGCCCGGUGGCAAUCGUCGCCUUCACCGGUGGCCAGGCCCGGUGGCCCGGCGACCUGGACAUGCGCCACCGCCGCUAAGCGAGACAGAGAGCGGGGCCGCGCGAGGGGAGAGAGAAUGGGGCGCUAGGGUUUUCGUUCGGGGGGCGCUGCCCUGUUUUGAUCGAGCGAAACCAGCGGACAGCCGUCCGAUCGUCUUGAACGACCAGGAUGCAAAACCUAGCCCCGCCGCUGGGCCUCUUGGGCCGAAAGUGACGAGGCCGGCAGCCGGAUGCGCGCUGAACUGGCCUCAGGCCCUCUGGGCCGUAAGUGGCAGGAGGCCGGCUGCGGCAAGGCCGCCACGCGCGCUGGGCCGAGCCCAGCAGCUGCGGGCGCAGCAACGCGGCUGGGCCGCGCUGAGCCAAGGGUGGCUGGGCUGCGGUAGGCCGGGCCAGCUGCAUUUUUCUCUGCUGCAGUUAUUUUUUGUUUUCUCAGAGAAUAGAAAAAUUUCCAAAAAGAAAAGUUUAUGUAUUUUAUAAAGUAAAAGUUUCUGUAGAACUAAAAAAGUUCUUGAUUUUUUAUUCAGUCAUAGAAAAGUUUCUGUAAAAAAGUAAAAAGUUCGUGAAUUUUUAUUCAUGAUUUUCCGCUGCUUAAAUAAUUAAUGCUCUUUUACAAAGAAAAUAAAGUUUACAUAGUAUUAAGUUUUUAAGAGCAUGUUAAAGUGAUUAUUAAAAUGAAUAUGAUUAUGUUAUUUUUAUGACCAACGUUGUUAAUAACAUGAUCAUGUUUUAUUAUUGAAAUUUAAAGGUGCAUUUAUUUCUAAUUUUUGCCCAACGGUGAUAUAGAUUUAAUUGCAUAGACAGUUAUAUGUUUAAUUUGACCAACGUUAAAUUAAUACAUAUGAUUGUUAUAUUGAUGUCACUUAAAUUGUAAUUUCAGAAGGCUUUCAUUUGAUGAGUUGCCUAAAAGAAGUUCCGACACUCAGAGGUGACAACCACACUGAGUGGAGGAAGAAAGUUGAACUGCCGUUUGUUUGUGCUGAUCUUGACUGGGUUGUGGAGAAACCACAGCCGGUCAGACCCACAGAGCCAGUAAGAGAGGCUACUGACGAUGAUGCUGCAUGGGCUAAAAAGAAAGGGGACUAUGCUCCUUUGGAGCAGUCCUACCUCAUAGAUAAUCAAAAGUGGAUCAAUGCAAAUAAAAAAUGCAUGGCUUUUAUAAAGAACACCAUUGAGAGCGCCAUUGUGGGCUCUAUUGCAGAGUGCACUUCCGCAGGGGAGUUGCUCUCAAAGAUAAAGAGCCAGUGAAAGCCAGUUCACUGGCUCUUCAAAGAUAUAUGCCACCCAGGUGUUAGAGCAACUGGUGACAGAAAAAUACACAGGUGGUAGUCAUGGCAUAAGAGAGCACAUCCUCAGGAUGAGCAAUAUGGCAGCAAAGCUCAAACCCAUGGAUGCGGAUCUGGAGAUCAAACCAGCGCUCCUGGUCCACCUUGUCAUGGCUUCACUGCCGAAGGAGUUUGAAGCUUUUGUUGCGAACUAUAAUAUGUCACCUGGAACAUGGGACGUUCAAAAGACAAUAGCAAUGUGUGUUCAAGAAGAGGAGAGACUCAAAGCCUCACAUGGUGGUACACUCAACUAUGUGCAGGGUCACAAAAGAAAGAAUUACAAUCAAAACAACAAAAGUUCUCCUUCAAAGCCACAAGGAAAAGUUUCCUAUCAGCAUCAGCGUCAGCCACAGCCUUUCUCAGUGGACAAAGACACUUGUCUCCACUGUAAGAAGACCGGGCAUUACAAGAAAGACUGUCCUGUUUGGCUAAAGUCGAUCAUGGCAAAAAGAGGGAUUCCAUUCGACGCGGACUACGCUAAGAAGCGAAAGACGCAUUGAAGUGGCGAACGGAGUUGAAGCAGAAGUUGAAGCUGUCAGUGAUAUCUCCUUGGAGUUAGCUGAUGGAUUCAAUCUUCUACUUAGAGAUGUUUUAUUUGUUCCAUCAUGUCAUAGAAACUUAAUAAGUGUUUCUUGCUUGGACAAAGAUAAUUAUGAGUGUUAUUUUGGACAUGGCAAGUGUGCCAUUUGGUUAAAUAAUGCUUAUGUGGGUGAUGCUUUACUACAUGAUGAGCUUUAUUUGUUAUCACUUUGUGAAAAAGUUUAUUCCGUUUGCAAUGUGAAAGAACAUGUUUCUGCGUCGAAUAAAGAACAAAAGAAAAGAAAAAGAGCAUUUGACUCAUCGAAAUUAUGGCACUGUCGCUUGGGCCAUAUUUCGAAGGGGAGAAUAGAAAGAUUAGUCAAAAGUGAAAUUCUUCCUCCGUUAGAAUUUUCAGACUUAGAACAAUGCAUAGAUUGCAUUAAAGGAAAGUACGUAAAACAAAUCAAAAAAGGUGCAAUCCAUAGCAAAGGCACACUAGAAAUCAUUCACACUGAUAUUUGUGGACCAUUUCCGGUGAAAAGUGUGGAUGGAUAUGACUCGUUCAUAACAUUCACAGAUGAUUACUCUCGCUAUGGUUAUAUUUAUCCAAUCAAAGAAAGAUCGGAAGCGUUGGAUAAAUUUAAAAUAUUCAAAGCUGAAGUUGAAAAUCAGCACAAUAAAAGAAUAAAGAUAGUAAGGUCCGACCGUGGGGGAGAGUACUACGGUCGACACACUCCAUAUGGCCAAGUCCCUGGACCUUUUGCGAAGUUCUUGCAGGAGACUGGCAUAGUAGCCCAGUAUUCAAUGCCGGGCGAGCCUUAGCAAAAUGGAGUAGCUGAAAGGCACAACCGUACCCUUAUGGAUAUGGUGCGCAGCAUGAUGAGUUAUUCCAACUUGCCAUUGGGAUUAUGGAUGGAGGCGCUUAAAACCGCCAUUCACAUUCUCAAUAGAGUACCAAGCAAGUCGGUGCCCAAAACACCGUACGAGCUAUGGACAGGAAGGAUGCCCUCCCUACAACACUUCAGGGUGUGGGGGUGCCCUGCUGAGGCCAAAAUGUUUAAUCCAAACAUUGCAAAGUUAGAUCCCAAAAUAGUAAGUUGCCACUUCAUUGGCUAUCCAGACAGAUCAAAAGGUUUUCGUUUCUACUGCCCUGACAGAUAUACAAAGUUUGUAGAAACGAGACAUGCAGUCUUCUUAGAGGACGAAAUGAUGAGGGGGAGCUUGGUAGUUCGGAAAAUUGAUCUUGAGGAGAAGAGGGUGCAUGCACCUAAUCCGAUGAUUCAGGAGCCAUUUUUCUCACUACCAGUUGCAACUCCACCCAUGACAGCUAUGGGGGAAGAUCCGGAACCUGUCCGUCAGGAGCCGACUGAACCCGUUGUUGAGCAUGAAAGGGAGGUGCAACAGCAAAUUUUAGAAGAAGUGCCAGAAGUUGAGGCACAAAAUGUGCCAGAAACUGAGGCCCUUAGAAGGUCUACAAGACCAAGCAAGUCAGCUAUUUCUACUGACUUUAAAGUUUAUAACACAGAAAUGGUUCAUAUGGAAAAAGAUCCCACCUCAUAUGAAGAAGCCAUGAGAAGCCCUCAUUCAUCUAACUGGAUGAAGGCAAUGGAAGACGAGAUGAAAUCAAUGAGUUCCAAAGAUGUUUGGGACUUAGAGGAAAUUCCCAAAGGAGCCAAAACAGUAGGCUGUAAAUGGGUCUACAAAAUUAAGUAUGACUCUAAAGGGAAUAUAGAAAAGUAUAAAGCACGACUCGUGGCAAAAGGAUUUACACAAAGAGAAGGGAUAGAUUACAAUGAGACAUUUUCUCCAGUCUCAUGUAAGGAUUCCUUCAGAAUCAUAAUGGCAUUAGUUGCUCAUUUUGAUUUAGAGUUACAUCAAAUGGAUGUUAAGACGGCAUUUCUGAAUGGUGAUUUAAAAGAAAAGGUCUACAUGAAACAACCCAAGGGUUUUAUCAUGGAAGGCAAGGAAAAUAUGGGAUGCCGCCUGAAGAAGUCCAUUUAUGGAUUAAGACAAGCCUCUCGGCAGUGGUAUCUAAAGUUUAAUCAAACGAUUAAAAGUUUUGGAUUUAAAGAAAAUAUUGAGGAUAAUUGCAUUUAUGCAAUGUUUAAAAAUGAGAAAUAUAUUUUCCUAAUCUUGUAUGUGGAUGAUAUCCUGCUUGCUAGUAGUGAUGUUAGUCUACUACAAGAAACAAAGAAAUACUUAUCCUCAAAUUUUGACAUAACAGAUCUUGGUGAAGCAUCAUAUGUUUUGGGCAUAGAAAUUCACCGAGAUAGGAACAAUGGAGUCUUAGGACUAUCUCAGCAAGCAUAUUUAGAAAAGGUUCUUAAAAAGUAUAAUAUGCAUGCGAGUAAAGCCACACCUGCUCCAAUAGUCAAGGGCGAUAGUUUUGGGAAAUUUCAAUGUCCCAAGAACCAGUAUGAGAUCGAUCAAAUGAAAGCAGUACCAUAUGCUUCGGCAGUUGGCAGCUUACAGUAUGCACAAGUGUGCACUCGCCCUGACUUAGCUUUUAUCACCGGGGUACUCGGUAGAUAUCAAGAGAAUCCAGGCCUAGAGCACUGGAAGAUGGUAAAGAAAGCAUUGCGUUAUGCGCAAGGCACGAAGGACUACAUGCUAAUAUACAGGAGAAGUGAUUCCCUAGAGAUAAAAGGGUAUUCAGACGCAGAUUUUGCGGGGGACAGAGAUGAUAGAAAAUCCACGUCAGGAUACAUAUUCACCCUCUGUGGGGGAGCUAUUUCGUGGAAAAACUCCAAACAGUCGAUAGUUGCAUCAUCCACGAUGUAUGCAGAAUCCAUAUCGCCUGCCCCGUGGUAUAUCAGUAACAUCUGGUGUUGUUCUCGCUCUCUGCUCAACCUUGAUGGGAUCACUUCUGCCACAGCCAAGGAUAUUGAUGGCCAUGGCGAGAGAUGGGCUAUUGCCAUCCUUCUUCUCUGAUGUUAGCGAGAAGACACAAGUUCCUGUCAAGAGCACAAUCAUAACUGGCAUCUGCGCGGCUUCUCUGGCUUUCUUCAUGGAUGUUUCACAACUGGCAGGAAUGGUAAAGGAUCUAGGAAGCAUUAAAUAGUUGUUAUUUGAGAAAUUUGAUGAACCUUUCAUAGAACAUGAGCAGAUUAAGAAUUUAACGAGGGCUAAUGGUUGGAAUGUAGAGCUAAAGGAGUUAAGUUUGGUUGCAGGUCAGUGUAGGCACGCUCCUCGCGUUCACCAUAGUCGCCGUCUCCAUCUUGAUCCUCAGAUAUGUACCUCCAGAUGAGGUACCCCUGCCAACCUCUCUGCAAACGUCAUUCCGCUUAAGCCAAGAAUGUGAUGAGGAAAAGGUGGGGAGUCCUCUUGGAGAUGGGAACCAUGAACAGGGGACGUCUGAGAUUAAGGAUGUGAUCGUAGUAGAAUCAAUCAAUGACCCUCUUAUUGAGAAGCAGCUAUAUGCAAGUAAGUCUAGGAAAUUGCAUUUCGAGUUGGUCUAGUCUACAUUUCUGAGCAUGUGCAUUUUACUUAUCAGACCCUUUACUUAUCUAGCUGGCUAACCGGUUUCUCUGUCAAUCCAUCAGACAAAUUGGAUGAGUUAAAGCGGCGGAAAACCGCUGCUCGCAGCAUAGCAUCUGUAUGCGUAGGGGUGCUAAUCCUGACGGCUUCAGCUUCUGUAACGUUCCUGCCAUUGUAAGUACGGACCGGGCAUAUCUUGUUCCCACGAUGAACUUUCCUGUGCAAUGAAAUACUGACCUGUCUAACACGCGUCCCUCACCUUUCACGUCAGCCUGGUGAUGUGCUUAUUCUGCGUGUUUGGUGGCCUGCUCCUCCUAGCUGGUCUCGGAAUGCUCUCCUGGAUCGACCAGGACGACGGAAGGCACUCAUUUGGUCACUCUGGAGGUACACUUGCAUCACAUCAUUUUCACGCUUCUCUCCGUACUAGACUACUGGUAACUUGAUGUCACAGCUCCUUUCUGCCGCUCCCUCUGCAGGUUCAUCUGCCCGUUUGUUCCGCUGCUGCCAGUGAUGUGCAUUCUCAUAAACACAUACUUGCUCAUAAAUCUAGGGUGAGUACCUCAAAGCUCAAACAAUUAUCUCACUCGCUGAUAAGUUUACUUUCGCCAACAAAACAUUCAGAAUGGAAGGAUGCGUAUGUAUGUGUCUGAACGUUGCCAACCUCUGUGUAUGUUCUUCAGGGGUGGCAUGUGGAUGCGGGUCGGGGUAUGGCUGGUGAUGGGGAUCUUCGUGUACAUUUUCUGCGGCCGGACCCACAGCUCGCUGACGGAUGUCGUGUACGUCUCCCUGGCUCAGGCAAACGAGAUAUACGGUUCUUCCUCUUCGUCAGCGUUUGUGGCCUAGAUAGAUACUGUCGCAGAGCAUCCUUGAGAGAUCAUAUAUAUGAUCCGGGAUCCAUCUCACGGAAACCUCGAGCACCACCCUGAUAGGAGGGAUCUUCCCCCGCUGUCGCUGCUGCAUCCUGCAUGGCAAGGCAGGGCAUGGGAUCUGAAGAAUUCAACAAAUUCUGAAGCUGUGUACAUUGCAAUUUGUAGAUAUAGCAUCAUCAUAUAUAUGUGGCUCGUUGGAGGAAUGUAAAUAGUAAAUUUGUGCACAUAGAAGUGUAAGACUUGCAAUAUGUGCAAUAUUGCAAGGGGUGAUUCAGUUAAGUGUACGGGAGUUCAUAAAACUUCAGAGAUCUUGGGGUGACAUUGCAGCAGGAACCCAUCCUGAAUCAUCGUCAGUUCUUCAGUUUGCCAUGCAAUAUCUGAUAUUGUGAUUCAGCACCUCCAUUGCAACGGCAAGAGCAAACUUCACAGAUAGAUAGGCCACCAUUUGUAAUCGUACAGUUUCCACUUUAUUUCAGUUAAAGAACACUUGUGCAGCUCCACGUUUGAGUAUACAGCAACCAUCAAACCCAAGCUCUUCACCAGAUCAACUACAUUACGACCGAAUAUCCAGAACCAUCAAACCCAAGCUCUUCACCAGAUUAAACCAAGCUAUUCUAAAAACAGUAGUGCAAUCAAAUCCAAGCCAAUGCCUUAGGAGAGAACAAGUUAUGCACCAGACUAACUACAUCAAAACGCAUUACAGUAUGGAAGCAGUAUCAGUAUAUCCCCUUCUGUUUCCCCAGGUUCUCUGAAAAAAUCAUCUAGGAGUCGUUCUUGCGUAGGUUGUAGAAGAUUGAGCCAUCAAUCGUCUCCAUAGCCAGUUGAUUCAACCGCAGAAGGAUCAACAAGUAGGAUCUUCCUUUGCGCC
rnacentral:lncRNA from 1 species